rnacentral:lncRNA from 1 species
UUUUUUUUUCGAUUUUUUUUUUUCGAAUUUUCGAAAUUUUGAAUUUUCGAAUUUUUGAAUUUUUGAAUUUCUGAAAAAAUAUAUAUAUUAAAGCUUUGUAGGUGAAGCUUUGAGGUUGAAGCUUUGUUAGGCACCAUGAAUUGAUUUUGCUUCACACUAUCUUGAUCAAAAUAGUGUGAAGCUUUUGUAGGUGAAGCUUUUGUGUUGAAGUUUUGUAGGUAAAGUUUUUGUGGGUCAAGCUUUUGUAGGUGAAGCUUUUGUUGGUGACCAAGCUUUUAUAGGUGAAGCUUUUGUAAAUUAAACUUUUGUAGGUGAAGCUUUUGUGGGUGAAGCUUUUGUAGGUGAAGCUUUUGUAGGUGAAGCUUUUAUGUUGAAGUUUUGUAGGUGAAGCUUUUGUGGGUGAAGUUUUGUGGGUCAAGCUUUUGUGGGUCAAGCUUUUGUAGGUGAAACUUUUGUGGGUCAAGCUUUUGUAGGUGAAGCUUUUGUGAGUCAAGUUUUUAUGGGUGAAGCUUUUGUGGGUCAAGCUUUUGUAGGUGAAGCUUUGGAGUUGAAGCUUUGUUGGACACCAUGAAUUGAUUUUGCUUCACACUAUCUUGAUCAAGAUAGUGUGAAGCUUUUGUAGGUGAAGCUUUUGUGGGUCAAGCUUUGGAGUUGAAGCUUUUGUUGGGUACCAUGAAUUGAUUUUGCUUCACACUAUCUUGAUCAAGAUAGUGUGAAGCUUUUGAGAAUUUGUAGUUGUCCUCCAUUGAAGAAGCUUUUGUUGGUGAAGCUUUGGAGGUGAAGCUUUUGUUGGUGAAGCUUUUAUGGGUGAAGCUUUUGUUGGGUACCAUGAAUUCAUUUUGCUUCACACUAUCUUGAUCAAGAUAGUGUGAAGCUUUUGAGAAUUUGUAGUUAUCCUUCAUUGAUAAAGCUUUUGUUGGUGAAGCUUUGGAGUUGAAGCUUUUGUUGAAUUUCCCUUUUUUUUUUUUUUUUUUUUUGGGAAACUAGAACUUUGAAAAUGUGGGAGAGACAACAUAUACAAAUUUGGCUUCCACACCGUUGAGCAAGAGAUUGUGAUGCAAGCCACACCUUGUAGUAGUCGAAUGUUUGGAUGAACUAUAUAAAUUGAAUUUGCUUCGAACAGUCUUGAAUUUACUUCGAAGGUUUGAGAAUUGUAGUUGCCCUCCAUUGAUGAAGCUUUUGUUGGCACCAUAAAUUGGUUUUGCUUCACACUGUCUUGAUCAAGAGUGUGAAGCUUUUGAGAAUUGCGGUUGUCUUCCUUUGAUGAAGCUCUUGUUGGCACCAUAAAUUGGUUUUGCUUCACACUGUCUUGAUCAAGAGUGUGUGAAGCUUUUGAGAAUUGUGGUUGAACUCCUUUGAUGAAGCUCUUGUUAGCACCAUAAAUUGGUUUUGCUUCACACUGUCUUGAUCAAGAGUGUGUGAAGCUUCUACGAGUUGUAGUGUUUGCAUUGUUAUAGAGGGGAAAUGUUUGAAGUAGAUGUAAGAAGGCUGAAUAGCUUGAUCUUCGUAUGCCAUACACUGAAGUUGUUGUUGGCUUGCAAUAAGACUUUGUUGGUGACUAUAACUCUUGUUGGGCAUAAGUGCUCCCCUAGUUGAGUUGUCAAGCUUCAGGGUUUUUUAUUAUUUGUGAAUGCUAGGAGUUCACAUGUACAAGUUGUAACACUUGUCUUCUGGUAGGUGGAAUGAAUGGAAAGUUGCUUUCAUCACUUGGUUGGUGGUACGAAUGUGAGUUCCUUCAUCACCUUUCAUCACAUUCCAUCACCUGGUUGGUGGCACAAGGAUGAGUUCCUUCUUCACCUGGUUGGUGGCAUGAAUGGCAAGUUGCCAAAUGAUAUUAGAGUACGAGUUGUACAUUUCAUCACCUAGUUGGUGGCACGAAGGAGAGUACAGGUUGUACAUUUCAUCACUUGGUUGGUGGCAUGAAGAUGAGUUCCUUCUUCACUUGGUUGGUGGCUUGAGUGGUAAGUUGCCAAAUGAUAUUAGAGUACGGGUUGUACAUUUGAUCACCUGGUUGGUGGCAUGAAGAUGAGUUCAUUCUUCACAUUUCAUCACCUGGUUAGCGAGAAUAAGGGCAAGGUGUCUAGGCACAUUGUAGCAAGUGUCGAAUGACACAAAUUAUGUUGAACCCUUUCAAAGCACAGUUGGCUUAUGUACGAAUGUGUUGGAAUGUAUGAUUGAACGAAUAUACUGUGAAGUUGUUCGUUUAUUUGUAUAGUCUUGUUGACAUAUACUUAGAAUUUGUUUCAUGUUGGAAGCAUUCAUGUCGAAGCUUUGAACCCAAGUGUUUCAUUGCUAGGAAUGUAUGAUGAUUAGGACCGAAUAGUCUUCGUUACAUAGGAUGCCAAACGGUUGAAGCUUAACACUUGUACAAUGUGAGUUUACUUGUAAUAGUACUCCAAGUGAUCAGCGUUCCAUGGAUGGCCAAGGGUCUUGCCAUCGGAGCUUCUAAGCUUGUAGGAGCCAGGACGACUGAUGCUAACAACUUCAAACGGUCCAUCCCAAUUUGGACUAAGUGUUCCUUCACUCGGGACUCUGUCGCAGAGUAAUCUUUUCUUCAAUAUCCAGUCCCCUACUUUGAAAGAACGAGGUUUGACCUUGGAGUCAUAGUAGUUGGAGAUACGCUGCUUGUAGGCGACAUUCUUUAAGUGAGCCUGGUUUAUGUGUUCCUCGACUAGAUCUAAGUUGAGGGUAAGUUGUUUGUCAUUUUCGCUUUGCACGUAGUUCUGGACUUGGAACGUUGCUUGCUUAAGCUCAACUGGGACAACUGCCUUUGUACCAAAGGCAAGUGAGAAUGGGGUUUCUCCUGUUGAUGUUCGAUAUGAAGUGCGGUAUGACCAAAGAACUUAGGGUACAAAUUCUAGCCAACAACCUUUAGCCUUGUCCAAGCUGGUUUUCAAAGUUCGCUUGAUUAUUUUGUUGAUGGCUUAAACUUGUCAAUUAGACUUGGAUGAGCUGGGGAGGCAAAACAUAAGUUGAUGUUGAACUUAGAGCAGAACAUCCUAAACUUAUUGUUGUCGAACUGUUGCCCGUUGUCAGUGACUAUCAUUGGGAAUGUCGAAUCUGCAAAGGAUGUUCUUCCAUACGAAGUCUUCUAUUUUUGCCUCAGUAAUGGUUGCCAAGGGUUCUACUUCGGCUCACUUUGUGAAGUAGUCAACUGCAACGAUUGCAUAGAGAAUUUUGCCCUUCCCUGCAGGCAUUGGGCCAAUCAAAUCAAGUCCCCAUUGGGCGAAGUGCGAAGGGCUGAUUAUAGGAAUGAGCAGCUCAGGAGGGGAGUGAGGAAUAGUUGCGUAACGUUGACACUUAUCACAUGAGCGGGAUAUUCUGAUAGCAUCUUGGUGGAGUGUUGGCCAGUAAUAUCCUUGGCGAAAAGCCUUGUGUGCUAGGGAUUGAGAUCCAUCAUGAUCUCCGCAGACUCCUUCAUGUAUUUCCCGAAUGACAGUUUCCGCCUCUGCGAGCGUAAGGCAUCUUAGGUAUGGUAGGUUAAAACCCCGCUUGUAGAGUUGGUCAUUAAUGAUCAAGUAACGAGUAACCUUGUAUCGAAUCUGCUUAGCCUGGAAUUUGUCAUUUGGAAGGGUGCCAUGAGCAAGGAAUCUAUAAAUCGAGGUAAUCCAACUAUCUCUUUGUUGUAAGUUGCACACUUCCGCAGCUAUGGUGCUUGGUGCUGCCAACAAUUUGACCUGAAUUUUUCUCCCAAUCCUAUCUUUCACCGCUGAGGCGAGGCGACCCAAAGCAUCUGCAUGACUGUUUGUCGCUCGAGGAAUUUAGGUGAUCUGGUAGUGGAAGUACUUGAGCAACAAUUAUGUUUGUGCCAGAUAUAUUGCCAUGGAGCUAUCCUUAGCGUCAAAGUUGUUGGUGACCUGGUUAACCACCAAUUGGGAGUCACUGAAGAUAUCAAUUCGUUUAAUCCCAAGGUGUUUGGCCAAACGUAAGCCUGCUAGGAGGGCUUCAUAUUUGGCCUCAUUGUUCGACGCCUUGAAUUUGAAACGAAUAGCAUACUUCAUCGCCACUUUGUCAGUGGUCGUAAGGACCAGUCCUGCUCCACAACCAUGUUGGUUGAACGAGCCAUCAACAUAUAGACUCCAUGCUGGGGCUGUUGGUUCUAUUUUCUAAGCUUCCGAGGGUAAUGAAACCACUUCUUUAGGCGUAGAAACAAUGUCAACAAGAUAUGUGAAGUCGGCGAUGAAGUCUGCCACUACUUGGCCCUUCUCAGCUGGCUUUGGUUGGUAGGAGAUGUCAAACUCACCCAAAGCUAUUGCCCAUUUGAUCAUUCGCCUGAAAGUGUUAGGACUUUGGAGUAUUUGUCGAAGAUGAUGAUUGGUAAGCACGAUGAUGGAGUGUGCUUGGAAGUAAGGGCGAAGUUUUCGAGCAGACAUGACCAAUGCUAGUGCCAAUUUCUCAAUGUUGGAGUAUCGUGUCUCCGCAUCUUGUAAGGCCUUACUAGCGUAGUAGACAGGCCGUUCGACAUUACCAUCAUUUCGAAUGAGAACGGAACUUACUGCUGAAGCCGAUACCGACAGAUAGAUAAUGAUAGUGUCACCAACCUCAGGUUUAGAGAGCAAAGGGGCUUUACUCAUGUAGUCUUUGAGGUUCUUGAAUGCCUCAGCACAUUCAUCAGUCCAUGUAAUGUACUUCUUACUUCCCUUAAGUGCUUUGAAGAAAUGAGCACAUCUGUCUGUGGCCUUAGAGAUAAACCUAGUUAAAGCUGCCACCUUACCAGUAAGGCUCUGGAUGUCUUUUGAAGUUACCAGUUCCUUUAUGUCGAUGAUUGCUUUGAUCUUCUCGGGAUUAGCCUCAAUGCCUCGUUGGCUUAUCAUGAAGCCUAAGAAUUUGCCAGAGCCUACGCUGAAGGCACAUUUGUUGGGGUUCAACCUCAUUCGAUACCUCGUCAGAAUGGUGAAAGUUUUAGAUAGGUUGGUGAUGUGUUGGUCAGUAUGUUUGCUUUUGACUAUCAUAUCAUCAACGUAAACUUCCAUGCUCUUCCCAAUCUGUUCGGCGAACAUUAAAUUGACUAGUCUCUGAUAAGUCGCUCCUGCAUUCUUUAGGCCGAAGAGCAUGACUUUAUAGCAAUAUAGUCCCCUGUCAGUAGUGAAGGCUGUGUGUUCUUGGUCCGGAAGGUUCAUGAGGAUUUGGUUGUAUCCUGAGUAAGCAUCCAUGAAGCUCAGGGGUUCACACCCUGCUGUAGAGUCUAUAAGUUUAUCUAUGAAAAGAAGAGGAAAGCUAUCCUUCGGGCAUCCUUUGUUUAGGUCGGUGUAAUCGACACACAUUCUCCACAAGACCUUUUAGAGCAGGAGACUUUCCUUGGUCGGAUUCUUCUUAACAAUGACAACAUUUGCUACCCAUGUUGGAUAAUUGACUUCACGGACGAAGCCUAUGCCUUUGAGUUUUUCAACUUCUGCCUUCAUUGCCUCGUACCAUUUAGUGUUAUAACAUCUUCGCUUCUGUCUCACUGGCUUGGUCUUGGGGUCAAUACUUAAGUGAUGACAGAUUAUAUCGGGAGAGAUGCCUGGCAUGUCCUUGUAUGACCAGAUGAAGACCUUAGUGUUCUCUUCCAAAAAAGAGAUCAAUACCAACCGAAUGGGUGGUGACAAGGUGGUACCAAUCUUCACCAUACGAUUCGGAUAAUCUUUUGAGAUAGAGACAUUCUCCAACUCUUCAGCGGGUUGUGCUUACUGGGUGAAAAAGUCAUCUCGAGAAACGUCGGGUUGACUAUUGCCACCGUGAAUAUCCAAGUUAGCUUCGUCUGGGUUAGUCUUUAUGACUUGGUCAUGUAUAGAAAGGGUUUCCUUUGGCACAUGCAGGUGCUCUUGCUUGACCGACGUGUUGUAACAUGAUCGUGCACUAAGUUGAUAUCCUCUAAUGUAACCAUUACCAUAGGGGGUCGGAAAUUUCAUCAACAACAUAUGUGUGGAUACCAUGGCCUUGAGAUCAUUGAUGCCUGUGCGUCCGAAGAUGACAUUGAUGCCAUUGGGCAAUCAACCACCAGGAAGUUAGUGGUAAUGAGGGCAUGUACCAAUGGUGAAAGGUAAGUGUAUGCUCCCCAAAGGUUGCACGAUAUCACCGGAGAAGCUUAUCAGAUGGGAAAUCGAGCGGUCGAGUAAGUGUUCAGCUACAUUAAGUGCCCUGAAAGCUUCAGCAAACAUGAUAUUGACCGAAGCCCCCGUGUCUACCAGGAUUCGUCGUACUUCAAAGUUGGCUAUGUGAGCUUCCACGAUCAGUGGGUCGUUGUGAGGGUAGAUGAUACCUCUUUCUUCAUCAGGGUAUAAAUAUAUUGGAUCUCAGUUAGGCUUUUGAUACUUACCUCCCCUGAUGUCUUCCACGUGAAACAUUUGGUGGCUAGACCUUAAAGCUCGUUCACUAUUUUUCAUAGCCCUAUUGGAAGAUUUAGAUAUGGGUGUGCCACCACUUAUGGAAUAUAUCACAUUUACCUGGCGUUGGUUACGGUUACCCCUUGGAGGGUGAAUGAGGAAUUGAUCAAUUUUUCCUUCACGUGCCAAAGCUUCAAUAUGAUCACGAAGGGUGAUACACUUCUCGCCGUCAUGGCCGUUAUACUCGUGGUAGCAUCAAAACAUGCUCAUGUUCUUUGUGGGCUUGUAAUCUGGGUGCCUUGGCUUUGGCUUCGGUAUCAAGUGUGCUAUGCUGGGGUAAAUGGCCACGCAUGUGGCGUUCAAAGGUUUGUAUGCCUCAUACCUCGGGGUAGGGGCUGUCUUGACACGUGUUUGACCCACUGUGUUGACUGCCUGGGGUCGGGGAUUAUCAUGGCGAUACCUUUGGUUAUCGCGGUAGUGUCCCUUACUCCUUUUACUAAAAUGAGACUGGUGAGGAUGGAAAUCUUUCCUUUUGCCCUGAGAUUGAUAUGUCUGUUGACUUGGCAAAGUAUGAAGUAAGGCAGAGGGAGGCACCGCUGCCGUUUGGAAGGUCGAGGUCUUCUCAUUUGGUUGGAUCUGGCUUCCACUCCCUACUUGCUGAUAAUGGGUGGUUGUUGGGGGUUUCCCUUGAUAUGUCAUUGCCUCGGCAGAGGCAUGGUUGUAAGCUUGUGCCAUCACUUCAGAGUAAGUCUUCCAAGUGUUGGCAUUGAUCAUGUACUUGAAGAAACAAUCACGUAGGCCUGCCGUGAAGGCCUUGAGGGCGGUCUUGUCAUCUGCCUCAGUGCAGCGAGAAUACUCAUAGCUGAAACGAUGGACAUAGUUUCGUAGUGACUUGUCCGGCUUCUGGCGAAUAGUGUACAAGUCAUCUGCAAAAUGCAAGCGAUCGGUUUGAAAGAUAUGUUGAGAGACAAACAGUUUCCUCAGUUCUUCAAAUGAGUCUACUGUCUCAGGUGGAAGACGACAAUACCAGUUUAGAGCUCCGCCAGAGAGGGUGGAGGGGAAGAGAAGACAUCACUCUUCGUCGGUGUGCAUCCGAUAGGCCAUGGUGGACUCAAAGAGGUUAAAAUGUUCAAUUGGGUCUUCCCUUCCAGUAUAGAAUUGUAAACCAAGCUUUUGUUUUGUCUUUGCUUGAAAGGGGUGUCGACGAUCCUCCAUGUGAGAGGGCCAGGCCUGGGUUGGUUCCAAUCAGGUAUCUCAGCCUGACGUUCGGCCUACAACUUGUUUACUUCCUCAAGGAGCUGUAGGACAAGGGGGUCCUGAGUGGAGUCAUGUACCAUUGGGAUUUUCUUUCGUAAGUCUCCAUCGCCUCUUGGAAGUAGGAAAGUUUGAGCAAAGGCGUGUGAUUUUUCCUUGGACUCGCUGUACUGACUUCUAGGGCGAGUCUGUCGAAAUACCUCAGAGUCCCAUGUACCUUCAUGUCCCUCUGGGACCUGUCGUUCCUUCCCUAGAUUGGUAGAUGGCCUGGGUCGUAGGAAGGGACCGAGUUUUUCAGAAACCCUUGGGUCAUUGAUCUUCAAGCAUAUGUGGAAGGGAUUCUCUCGACGUUGCUUGAAGAAGUCUCAGCAGUCACGAUAAACAGCUUUCGAUCCUUCCAAUCCUUCUGCAAGGAGGUGUCUUCCUCCACUUCUCCUGCUUCGGGUCGAAGCAGCUGGGUUGAGAGAUGUCUCAUGUUGAUCAAUAUUUUGAUGAUUAUCUCGCUCUUCAUCAGGGAUACCCAUGUCGAAGAAAGGUAACCCUCUGUGUUGGAGGGCGCCCAGAUAAUGGUUGAUGUCCACAGGGGCAACGAGCUCGCGUGUUUGAGUAUGUCUAGUUUCGUAGAGCAUCUCAAAUAGCUUCUCAUAUUGCUCCUGGAGGACCUCAUUCUUCAUUGCUAUCUUGUUGUUUUGAGCUUCUAGCUCAUCGACUUUAGCUUGAAGAGCAACCCUUUUCCUUCAUUCUUUCGUUGCUUCGCACUAAGUGCAAGAAGGGUGUCAUUCUGUGUGUUGUGGCUUCAUUCGCUCCCCAUGUUGGAGAGGGAUGCUUGGUCAAAAGAGAGUGUACGAAUGGUGGAAACCAGCUUGACAAAGCUGAAGAGAGUGGGAAUAGGUGUCGUUUCCACAGACGACGCCAAAUGUUGAUGCACAAAAUCAACGAGGCCUUUGGUACAACAGAAAGUGUUAAGUUUGUGACCUUCACUAGAUUGUUCCGGUCUGUGUGCUGUGGAUAAGUAAGUAAAUGGAUAGGGACAGGGAAGCAAACACAAGAUGUACGUGGUUCACUCAGAUUGGCUACGUCCACGGAGUAGAGGAGUUCUCAUUAAUUGUGAAGGGUUUACACAAGUACAUAGGUUCAAGCUCUCCUUUAGUGAGUACUAGUGAAUGAUUUAGUACAAAUGACAUUAGAAAAUAUUGUGAGAGAAUGAUCUCUAUUCAUAGAAGAAAAUUUCUAGUUUCAUUCUGACAUUGACAUGUGUCGUGUUGUGAUUGGCUUCUGAUGUUGACACGUGUCGCGCUAUGAUUGGCUUCUGAUGUUGACACGUGUCACGCUGUGAUUGGCCUCCUGGUUGGAGGGAAACUCUUCUAGGUCCUUGACGGUAUAACGUUGACCGGUGCUCAGUAGUUUCGGGAUUGAUCAAGUAUGGUACAAACACACUACAGAUAACCCUUCUCGACCAUCCAUCCCAGCUAUCAUCAAGGGCAUUAUGUAUCUCUACUCCAAAGCCUACUGUUUGAGUUGUAAUGUCAUUACUGCCUUGAUCGUCAGAGAGUCCUUGGCCUGUUCCACACCGGUGCGCAAGUUCUUUUAUGAUCUCUUCCUUUGUUUUGCAAGUUUGGCAUGGUAUAGUUUAGGCAACUUUGGCAUUUUGAAAAUUUGGCUCCAAAAAGAUGCAAAUGAAUACAUCUCAAAUUUGUAUCUCUCAAUUACAUAUACACUUAAUCUAUAGGGUCUAAUUCCUUUCUGUCAAAAUAUAUUCUCAAGAUUUUUAUUUUUAUUUCUAAGUUGUUGUGAAGUCAUAUCGGAGCUGCUGUGAAGUCAUAUCAAGGCUCGAUAGCCAUCAACACGUACGUUGCUCAUCAACCAAGGAGAAAAGCUCUAUAAGACCCACCGCCAUCCAACCAGUGAUGGCGACCGAUCGACGCUGCAAAGCUUUUGGAUACCCACGAGUUUCUUGACAAUUCUCGUCAUUUUCCCAAGGAAUAUCACGCUGGCCAAAGUAUCCUAUUUGUGAUCUAAGUAAAUUGUUGUGGCGUUUAUUCAAGUUCAAAGUUCGGAUUUCCAAUAGUCAGACCACCGCGGUCUUUAUGAUUUAGGGUUUGGAGUUUAUACUCGAUUUAAAUGUUGGACGUGUAAGGUAAACAAGUAUUAAUGAUCAAGUGCUACAAUAUGUGCGAGGUGUUAUACCGGAAUUAAACGUUGGACGUGGAAGAGCUUGUGAUUAAAUUAUACGAAAACUGAAUACUGAUGAAGUUGUUAUGUUAAUUAGGAUCUGAGAUUAAAUCUGCAUUUGUCAUUUCAAUUAGUGAUUCCAAUGUUAUUGUUCGUCAUUCGCACGAACUUUAUAGCUUAUAGUCUUUCAUCUAAACAAACAUACUAAAUCACGGAGCACUUGAAAAGUAGGUUUUUAAUAACCCUUAUAUUUAGUCAGUUUGAUUUCGUUCUCUUGUGAAGUAAAAUUUGUUGUAAAUUGUUAUUGUGCUGAGAUCUCAUAUAUUGAAUGUAACAUCUAUUUAUAACAUCAUUUGUACCAUUGAUCUAAUUGAGGUAAGGCCCACUAAUACAUGUGGAUCUCAUUUUUAUUAGAAAGAUGAUACAAAUGGCGAUAUAAAUAGAUAGUAAAAAUAGUUUCUUUUGUUGCAGUCAUAUUUAGAAUAAGAAUGUGAUUGUGUAAAUCUUAGUGUAUCUAGGGAUAUCUUUUAUAUUCCCUUUGGUAGUUUAAUUUCUAUUAAGAGUUGUAAUCCUAAAAGGGUAAGGAUUUAACCUAUCCUGCUACUAUAAAUAAAGGCACAAUGGGGUGAUACAACACACACCUUACAAUUAAAUGUCUCUCUUCUCUCUCUCACUACCGCCGGCCUCCCCCUCUCUAUUCCCUUAGAAUAGCUCAGUUAAAUAGGCCUACAAUACAUUAUCAGCAGGCUCUUGCCAGAAGCUAAGGAACUGAAGGAUCAUAGGAGGAGGCUCUCUUCUACAAAAUUCAAAGGCUUUUAUUUGUUUUCUGCCAAUCAGGUACGCUUAAAAUAAAGUAAGAUAUUUGAAACAUCCACGAAGCAUGAAAACAUUCCCCAUGAUGCAUAAACCCCCUAUGUUUAUAUUUUCCUUUCGAUAUAUAUAUAUAUAUAUAUAUAUAUAUAUAUAUAUAUAUAUAUAUAUAUAUAUAUAUAUAUAUAUUGUGUGUGUGUGUGUGUGUGUGUGUGUGUGUAUGUUUCAUGCAUUACACAAUUAUAUUGCUAUGUGGAAUUUGUGAAUCAAAGCAUAUAAAUAAAUUAGAAGCAUAUAAAUAAAAGACGUCAUCUAGGAAACCGUGCGGCACGACUGCUGCAUCGCCUUGGACAUCCGUGUUGGCCUGCAACCUAGCCGCGUUAAGCACGCCACCAGGAUAACGUCAUUUUGACGCCUGACCCAUGGUGCAGCCCGUUGGGCUUGCCGUGAGCAAAGAAAACCCGGCCUCUUUGGCCUGGGUUUAGUUCUGAUUGGGCCUGCAGCCUUAGCCCAUAGCCGUUUGCUGGGCUUUGCCCUCACACCCAUGGCCUAUCACUAGUAACCCGUGUGUUGCUAGGCCUGGUCUUGUGUCCUUGGCCCGCCUGCAGGAAGCCCAUAUCGCUUAUUGGGCUUUGCCCAAAUCUCGACCCAUUCACCUACAACUGUUUGCCUCUGGGCUUGAACUGCCUCGACCCAAAAACAUGAAACCCAGUUUCGGAUGGGCUUCCUCAGACCGACCCAAGGCCAGCUUUCGCUAGGCCUACACCCGUGUCCAAUUUUUGGUCCAAUGCCAAUAGCUAUUGUUGCUUGGCUUACCCAGACCGCUCGGCCCGAGGCCUGCAGCCCUCAUCGAGGCCCAAUAAGCCUGCAAUCAUACCUGCAAGGCCCACUCCUGUGUUUUUUCAACCCGAUGCCAAUUUUUGGCAUCCCCGCGUUAUAAAUCAUGCCCAAAUAUUUUAUUUGGGGCGUUUUGGUUUACGCUAAUUAAUUCUAAUUUAAUUAUCACUUGGUUUAUCACUAACCGAAGCUAAUAUGACACAUUUGUCAUUAUUUUGCUUCCACGAUCGACCCCGUUUGGUCUUGAUCUAUUGAAUUAAUUAAAAGUGACAUGCAGUCCCUUAAUCUAAUAAUUAAUCCAAUAAUUAAUCUAAAAUUAUUGACCUAAAAAUCACUUUUGGACAUUAAUGAUUCAAUAAUUUAUUUUUAUACUUUGAACCGUUGACAUCCUUUCAUAGUCCCGAAGCAACUCAAAUCCACUACACUUAAAUCAGCAUAUUGCAUUAUGUGUUCUUGCAGGAACCUUUCCUUUAUGAACUAAUCGUUCAUAAAACUAAAUUGAACCUGUAGUUUCAUAUUUAGUGCCUUUGAAAUCUGAAGUUUUCAUCCAAAACGUACCACAUGAAAUCAGUAGCUUUCAUGCAUAAAUUAAACCAAUGUAUAUAGAACCCCAAAUGUUAUACAAUAUAUGUCUAUGGAUCACCAUCUAACUAACCAUGUUUUUGUUGUACCCUCCGUUUUAGGGACAUGUCGAACUUGAACAAGCUCGAUUUCACCGCUCUGGAAGAAACUAUCUGAAGUGGAUUCAAGACGUGAAGUUUCAUCUUACUGUAAAAGGUAUUAGAGCCACCAUCGAGGCACCUAUCGAUGACAAACCAGUCGACGAAGCUUAGAAAGCUAAUGCAAUGAUCCGAGUACCUCGUCGAGGAAGACCCACGCACCAUCGGGCUUGCUCUGGCCUUCAGUUUCGAUCACCAGAAAGACAUCUACUUGCCUGAAGCAAGACUUGACUGGUAGCAUCUUCACUUCCAAGACUUUAAGUCAUUGAAUGAAUACAACUCUGAGGUUUGUAGAAUCCGAUCACUAUUGAAGUUCUGUAAAGUGGAACUAACCAAUUCAGAUCUCCUGGAGAAGACAUAUUCGACCUUCCAUGCCAUCAAUAUUGUCCUGCAGCAAUAAUAUAACGCACAAAAGUUCACCAAAUUUUUGGAUUUGAUCUCUGUUUUACUUAUCACUGAAAAGCAGAACCAACUUUUGAUGAAGAAUCAUCAAGCUCGACCCACUGGCUCGAACAUCGCGCCUGAAGCGCAUGCGACCAAUUCUAGCAGCCACAAACGACGCAAAAAUCAUUGUGGCCGUGAAAAUGGGCUGCAAGCCUAACCACGGGCCCAUGGUCAACAGAAUCAAGGCCCACUCAAGGGAGGAAAUUUGACCCAGAAACGCCAACCCCUUGCCCCUAAGGCCCCAAACUUCAAGAACAAAGGAAAAACUACCGUUUAAUCUGCUUCCACUGAAAUGGACAUGUGAUAUUGUUGUGAAUCAAAUGAUCAUUAAUCACGCGUAUACCGAGCUACCCCUGAGGCUAUUGCCAAGUAUCAUUCUUGUCGUGAGUCUAACUUUGCACAUGUGGAAGAUCUGAAAGUUGCUACUACAUCUAUGGAGAUAUCAGAUUUUCAAGAGGCAUAAACUCCUAUGUACAAAUAAAUUUUAGAUAUGUUUUUAGGGUGUUUUACCCUAGUGGCCGAACCCACUAGGAGAGGCUGAACCCCCCCCUAAAUUUUUAGGUUUAUGGUUUAAUUUUUGGACAAUUCUUCUAAGACUUUGGAAUUAUUUGUUUGGUUUUUGGUUUGUUUUGAAUUAUGGAUAAUUAUUUUGUGGAUAUUAUUUCUCGAAUUGAUUAAUUGAAUGAAUGGAUUUAUAGUUAUGCAUGUGACCAAUUCAAUCAAUUUACUUCUAGGUAUAUGUCUAGUGGGGAAGUUAGUUGUUUGGCUGAUAGUGCUACCACGCACACCAUAUUGCGUGAGCGGCACUAUUUUACUAACUUUGUACCUAAGAAAGCACCUCUGACAACUUUCUCAGGCUCAUCCAACCUAAUUGAAGGAUACGGAAAUGCCCGUAUCAUGUUGUCCAAUGGUACUGUCUUAACCAUUAAAGAGGCCCUCUAUUAUCCACGUUCCGGAAGAACGUUGCUAAGUUUUAGAGAUAUUCAAGAUAAUCAAUAUCAUAUUGAAACCACUGAAGAUAAUGGUUCUGAAUUUCUUUGUAUCACUUUGUACGAAUAUGGCCAAAAGCGUAUUCACGAGAAGUUGGAACGUCUUCUGAGUGGGUUGUACAUAACAACCAUUAGCGGCAUAGAAGCCCACCAUGUGGCUGGCCCUAUGCCUGAGUUCCAGAGCACUUUGUUGCUUUGGCAUGACCAUAUGGGAUAUCCCAGACAUGAUAUGUUGCGUCGUAUCCUCAAAUCAUCACAAGGGCAUCAUUUACCUCCCUACAUUGGAUUCCCACCAUGCAAAGUGUGUUCUUUGGGGAAGUUAAAUACUCAACCCUCGAUUACAAAGAUUAUUCACAACCCUCCUAAGUUUUUUCAGAAGAUUCAAAUGGAUAUUUGCGGACAUAUCCAACCAACAUACAGACCAUUAUUUUAUGGUGUUGGUUGACACAUGGACACAAUGGUCACAUAUUUUCUUGUUGUCCACAUGCAACGCUGCAUUUGCGAAACUCCUAGCAUAAAUUAUUAAGCUAAGGGCUCACCACCCUGAUUAUCCGAUCAAGUCGAUUCGAUUGGAGAACGUUGGAGAUUUUACGAAACGGACUUUUAACGAUUAUUGCAUGUCAGUAGGGAUUGAAGUGGAACAUCCUGUACCUCAUGUUCACACCCAAACCGGCAUGGCUGAAGCUUUCAUAAAGCACAUUCAAUUGAUAGCUCGAACUUUGGUUAUGCGAACCAAACUACCGGUAUCUGCCUAGGGUUAUGCAAUAUUGCACGUAGCUAUGCUGGUUCACCUAAGGCCCACCGUUACCCAACCUCAUUCACCGUUACAGUUGGUUACUGGAUACGAGCCUAACGUCUCGCAUUUAUGUGUGUUUGGGUGCCCAGUUUAUGUGCUAAUAGCGCCACCACUAUGUACCAAACUGGAUCCUCAGAGAAAAAUGGGAAUAUAUGUAUGUCGGUUAUGAUUCACCAUCAAUUGUUCCCUAUUUAAAACCCUUGAUAGGAGAUCUCUUUACCGCAUGUUUUGCGGAUUGUCAUUUUGAUGAGACAGUUUUCCCGUCGUUAAGGGGAGAUAAGUAUACUAGCAUUCCUAUAUAACGUCGUGGAUUACUCCCACUAUGUCUCAUUUAGAUCCCCGCACCCUUCAGUCUUAAUUGAAGUGCAACGUAUUCUAGAUUUUCAGAGCAUUGCUCAAAGCAUGCCAGAUGUUUUUACUGAUCUAGCAAAGGUGAUGAGAUCACAUAUACUCGCUGCAAACACACCUGCAAGGAUAAACGUACUUAAAGUACGCUGUAACACCGUCGUGGAAGGCUGGACCAUCCCCGAGGGUGUGGCGGCUGCACCUCCUACACGGCACGGUACACUGGCGGCUAACCAAUCACCUGCUCCUACCCUGAAGCGUGGCAGGUCCCUUAGUUCAAAGGAUUCACAACCUCAGAAAAGGAAAACAUCACAAACUAGUGAUCCUAGUCUGAAUCUAACCAUUGCUUACUCGUCUGUUUCAUGAGGUUAUUCUAGAUUACGGUGAUGUCUUAGAUGAGACAUACCAGCCUCCCAAGAAUCGUGAGAUUUCGAUCCAUUACGCAGUAUUGGAUGAGGUUUGGAAUUGGAAUGAAAUGAUUGUUGAUCAUACAUUUGCAUAUACCGUUGCUUCUGACAUCAUGCUUAGCAAUAACAUUGAACCACGUUCCGUUGAUAAAUGUCACGUCACAUUGAACCAUCAAUCCAGGUUAAAUUCAAUUCACUUGUGAAACGUAAAGUGUUUGAACCUGUAGCUCAUACUCCACCAUAUGUGAAGCCCGUGGGCUACAAAUUUCGUAAGGAAGCAUAAUGAGAAGAAUGAAAUAGUGCGAUAUAAAGCACGCCUCGUAGUGUAAGGAUUCUCUCAACGCCUAGGAUUGAUUACAAGGAUAAGUAUUCCCCUGUAAUGGACGUUAUAACGUUCUGUUACCUAAUCAGUUUGGUAGUUUCUGUAAAACUAAAUAUGCAGCUUAUGGACGUGGUAACCGCGUAUCUCUAUGAGGAUCUAGAUACAUAUAUCUACAUGAAAGUUCCAAAAGGACUUCCAUUGACUGGUUUAAAUAGUUCUAGACCAAGGAACACUCUUUCUAUUAGAUUAAUCACUCUACGAAUUGAAAUAAUUCGGACGGAUGUGGUAUUACCGUCAUUUGACAAGUCAGGGUUAUGUGAACAAUGAAUUAUGCCCAUGCAUGUUUAUAAAGAAGUCACAUUCUGGAUUUGAAAUCGUUGCAGUUUAUGUCGAUGACAUGAACCUUAUCAAGACUCCCGCAAAGCUUGAGGAAAUUGUUGUUCACUUGAAAUCAGAAUUUGAGAUGAAAGAAUUUGAGAUGAAAGAUCUUGGGAACACUCGAUACUGUCUCGGCUUGGAAAUCGAGCACUGUUCAGAUGGAAUCCUAGUACAUCAAUCAAACUACACCCAAAAUGUGUUAUGACGUUUUAAUGAGGAUAAAACGAAGUCGUCGAGUACACCUAUGGUCAUUUGGACUCUAAAUGCUAAACGAGAUCCCUUCCAUCCAAAGGAAGAUGAGGAAUAGAUUUUGGAGCCCGAAGUUCCAUACCUAAGUGCAAUUGGGGCUUUAUUGUACUUGGGUCAAUACAUUAGACCUGACAUCUCCUUCGCUAUUAAUCUUUUGGCUAAAUACAGCAAAAUGCCCACACGCAGACACUAGAAUGGUGUUAAAGACAUUUUCCGCUACCUCAAAGGUACUACGGAUUUGGGCUUGUUCUAUACCCGUGAAUCUUCGAGAAUUACCGCCACCUCAGUCUUUGGAUUGAUUCCCGCCUUGUUAGUUAUACAGAUGCUGGAUAUCUAUCUGACCCACAUAGGGCACGUUCUUAAACGGGCUAUGUCUUUACCGUUGGAGACACCGUUAUAUCUUGGAGGUCUACCAAGCAAACGCUAGUUGCGACUUCUUCGAACCAUGCUGAGAUUCUCGUCCUACAUGAAGCAUUGUGUGAGUGCUUUUGGUUGAAAACAGUCAUGGAACAUAUUCGAAGCACUAGUGGUCUUACUUUUGUCGUUGACCUUCCUACGACGAUCUUUGAAGACAAUGAGCAUGUAUCGAGUGGUUAAAUAGGGGAUACAUCAAAGGAGACAACACCAAGCACAUAGCGUCAAAGUUCUUUUGUUCUCACCAGCAACAACAGCAUCAGAAUAUUGAAGUCAAGCAAAUCCAUUCCUAGGAAAACCUGGCCGAUCUCUUUACUAAGUCAUUGCCCAAGUCUACUUUUCAGAAGCUCGUCCAAGAAAUCAGUAUGUGUAAAUUAUCUGAAUUAAAUUGCUUAUAGUUCUCUUAUUUGGAAGUUAUGUCUAACUCAGGAGGAGUAUCCUGAAGCAAACUCACUUGAUCUUAAUGUACUAUUUUUCCUACGAUUAAGAGCAUUUUUCCCAUUGAGUUUUUGCUACCUAACGAGGUUUUGAUGAGGCACCCAUCCUGAGAUGAUCAUACUCCGUUGAGUUCACUACUUUCGUCCCGCUUGAUGUUUGUUUUAGACAUUAUGCAUACUUCUCACUUUUUCUCCUUAGCCAAUGGGUUUUCACCUACCUUGGGUUUUACCAUAACGAGGUUUUGUGAAUUUUACUACCCAUGCAUACUUUCUUUAAAUUUGAGACUCACAUUUAUCCGUUGUGCUGCCGACUUCAUCAACUGUUCUACCUUAUCUGCUGAUGAUCUGAUGCGAUGUUUUGUUUGAGUAUUUACACACUCAAGGGGGAGUGUUGUAGUCAUAUUUGGAAUUGGAAUGUGAUUAUGUAAAUCCUAGUGUAUCUAGGGAUAUCUUUUAUAUUCCCUUUAGUAGUUUAAUUCAUAUUAAGAGUUGUAAUCCUAAAAGGAUAAGAAUUUAACUUAUCCUACUACUGUAAAUAAAGACACAAAGGGGUGAUGCAACACACACCUCACAAUUAAAUCUCUCUAUUCUCUCUCUCACUGCUGCUGGCCUUCCCUUCUCUAUUCCCUUGGAAUAGCUCAGUUAAAUAGACCUACAACAUCUUUAGAGUUUUAUUGGACUUUUGAUAUGUGUAUAUUUGUUAUUCAGCUAUAUUUUGACGUCACGAGUCUAUCCUCGAGACGUGACACCGUCAAUGUAAAAAAUUUAAAUAGACACGAAAUCUAUUAAUUUGUUUUGUUUUAAUAUCGCCUCUCUCGCAGUGGGGCAACACCUAUACACAAAAGGGUCGACCGCGUGAGAUAGAGACAGUAUAUACGUAGUCGUAUAUUUCUCAUGGUUUUCAAGUAUUGAAAGCCAAACAUUCGACUUGAACUUCUACCAAACAAAUUAACCACUCACUGCCAGAAUGUGCACCAUCUUUAUAUGCUAGCGAUGCAUCAUUCAUUCAUAAAAUUAUUUAUCACAUUUAUAUGCCACAUAUCUCCAGGUCUCGUUUUAAACUGGCAACUCCAAACUUAGCAAAGUGUUAUAUGCUUAUUGUACAUGCAUUGUGAUCCACCUAUCUGCCUCGGACAAUGGCCUUCGUUUUAUCUUCACGUAUUAGAACGCAUAUUAACCAUGCAAAUAUUCCAGUUAAAAAAGGUCGUACCCAGUACACAAGGCUCCCGCUUUACGCAGGGUCUGGGAGAGGUGAAUGUCGGCUAGCCUUACCCCCAUUUAUGGAGAGGCUGCUCCCAAAAAACUGAAAAAAUUAAUAUUCCAGUUAGCUCGAAUUUUUUAUUUUAUGAAAAGUAAAAUAAGAAUUCACUCAAUUUUAUCCUUCAACAAAGUUGAACUACUAAUUGUUGCGCCAAUUCAUUUUAUUAAUUAAAAAAAAAAAGCGCACUACAAGGCACUUCAACACAAAACAGUUUUCAUGAGACCCGAUAAACGUCAUACAUGCAUGGCUGUGAGUUUUCUAAAUAUAAUAAAGUUAUAGAAAGUAAGGUCAUCUCUAAUUUGGCAUUCGGCCCUUCUUAACCCAAACCUCCUUGAAUCGGUGCUGGCCCUUUAAACCCCAAAACUUGCAAAGGAAAAUCAAAUGGCAAGUUAAAAAGAAAAAAAUGGAAAAGAAAAGGAACGAUCAUUUCCAUUUCGCCACGAAGAAUCUGUGGAGCAAUUGAUGAAUCAGUAAGACUCGAACUUGGCCUUCUACGAUUUAAUUGUGUACAAAAACCAAAGUCUUGAUUUGACUUGGACAAAAAUAUAUGAAAGUAUUGCAAUAAAGUCCUAAUCGAUGAUGGAUCAAAGUUUGGAAAAAGUAGGACAUAUUUGAGAAAUGAUAUUGGAAGUAGACUUUGUAUAAAGGAGAGUAGAAAACAAUGAUGGAAAAUUAGAUCAAAUCACUAUAAGAGAAAUCAUCAGAAUGGAAUAUUAUUCAUUUGAAACAAGACACUAAACGAAAAGGAAAAUAAAAAGAUGGCUUUUUAGCCAAAAUGGUCCAUGAGAUUUUCAUAACAUAUAACUUUGGUCCCUGAGAGUCCUUGAGAUUGUCCAUCAACUAUUAUUUUGGUCAUUCCAUUAAAAAACUCCGUUAAGUGGUCCCUGAGCUUUUUAACAAAAGGACCAAAAUGAUGGAUGAUGGACAAUCUCAGGGACCAAAGUUAUGUAUUAUGCAAAUUUCAGGGACCAAAAUUAUGUGUUUUACAAAUCUCAGGGACCAAAGUUAUGUGUUAUACCCUCAAAUUAACGGAGUUUUUUAACGGAAUGACCAAAAUAAUGGAAGGUGAACAACUCAAGGACCACUUCUAUUGAUUUUAAAUCUCAGUAUGUGUUAUGCAAAUCUCAUGGACCAUUUUGACUAAAAAGCCUAAAAAGAUUAUGAGAGGAGGGGAUGAAGUAGAAGCUCUCUACCUCCUACCCUUCCACUAGUGGCUAGGGUUUUUCCUAUUCCCCAAGGAGAGUUUCUUUUUUGCGUCUAACAAGAAGAAUUAUGCCACUUAGUACUACAGUCUAGUGGUAUUCCUCUUCACUUGUAAGUCAGAUGUCUUAAAUUCGAUUCUCGCUAAAGACGAAUUUGAACCAUAUUAUUACUCACCCAUUGUGAGACUUAGCUCACUCUCCCACCCCUUAGCUUUAAUGUAAAUAUUACCAUUUUUUUUUUUAAAGAAUUCUAAACUACUCUUAUUUACAUCAAAAAACUGAAUGCUUACACAAUGACUUAGAUAGCCUAAUCCAUAUAUGCUUGAAACUAUUAUAAAAAAAAUGUGGUAUAUAUUCCCAUACAAAAAAUAAUAGUUUUACUAUGUCUAAAGUUCACCAUUUAAAGUUUAAAGUUCAGAAUUAAUCAUUGUAGGUACGUUAUAAAUAAGGUAAACAAAUAACACUGGAAAAUUUCUCAUCAGAAGUAUGAGUAUAUAGGAUAAUAGGUCCGACCUAACCAAAGAAAUUGAAUCCAAAUUUCAGCUUCUUCUGUUUUUCUAAAAGCAACCUUUCUAGAGACAACACUAAUAAAGUUCAGGUUUGGUGACUUAUUUUUCUGCGCUCCCAAACCAAACAUGCAUGUGGUGGUGGCUUGUACAAAGCAGCUGGUAGGGCACACGUGCAUGCAUGCCCAUAUGCCCCAUGAAAGAACCAUUCCUCUAACUAUGACCAAAAAAAAAAUCCAUGAUUAGUUUGCAUCUUUGAAAAGAAAACACAAAGCAAUUUGACCUAAAUUAGGAACAAUUUCUCAAGGAAUCAUGUGUUAGCUAGUUUGGACCCACUAUUAGGGUAGUGCCCUCAAUUUAACUACUUCUCCAGGUCAUUGGAAAGAGACCCAUCACCCCCUAAAACUUGUACAAUUAAACUAAUAUAGAAGUUUCUUGUCCUACCCAAGGGGAGGCCUCUAUAAGUCACCCACAUUUUGGUUAUAUAUCACACAUAAAUGUUAGGAAUAUAGGCUUCUCUAUGUAUCCUUUGUUUUAUAACCUAAUUCAUAGAUUGAAGUUUGGAAAAUUGAAUAAUUUGUCACACGUGGAGAGAAUGUGAUGCCUUAAUUAGAUUCUUUGUGGAUGAAAUGAUUAGUAUCCAACAACUAAUUAUAUGAGAAGGGGGUAGGUUUAGGCACAUCUAAUGGGGGCAUGAUUGACACUAAUAAUAUAAAGAAUAAUGUUUUUUUAUUAAAACAAAUCAACAGAAAGAUCUUCAACUAAAAAUGUCAUAAGAAUGAUGCAAAGCCAAUAAUGAUAGAUUAAUCAACAAUUAAGACAUGGUGCUCCCGCGCGCUUAUGCAAUGUGAUAAUAUAAAAUUUGAGAGAGAGAAGGGGGGGAGUUAAUUUAAAGUAAAAAUAUCGCUUGUGAUCCAACAAAAUAAAUUCUAAAAUGACUAUUUAAAUGUUACAUCCAAAGUAUGGUCAAACGAGACGCCAGGUGAACUAUGGACAUAUGAACAAUCCCUAAAAGUCCCAAAAACCCUAGAUUUGAAGCACAUAAUUCAAACUCUGGUUAGUUCAAAUCUAAUGUUUUUUAGGAGAUAACUAGAACUUAGAAUACAAAUUUCUUAAUACUGAUACUCUCCUUUAUCUAUGUGCUUAAUUAGAAGAUGUGCUGCUUAAUUAAUUACAAUCACGAUUCAAAAUUCUCCGGCUUGCCACUAAUACUUUACCUACUUUAAAGAAAACAAACAAACAAAAGUGCUUAAUUAAGUGACAUACGUUAUAACCACCGGAAAAGAAAAAAAAAUAACCUACUAAUUGGGCUUUUGCAUAUGCGACAUGAGAAAUGGUAAUGAGACUUUCUCAAAAAGUGGAAUACUCCAUAAACUCUCGACCAACUCAUUUUUUAGUACAAUAUUUUAUAAUAGUUGUACAAAAAUUGACGUUAGACUGUAGGUGUUAGAGAGUCCAUCUAAUAUUCAUGCAUGUGACAUAUGUUAUAACCACCAAAGCUAUAAAGAAAAUUAAAACCAACGCCAGCAAUAAGACCUAUAACUAAUCAAAGGCUUAUACUAAACAUUGACAAUUAGCGUCAGCCACGUUUGUUUUUUGUAAAACAAUUUUCAACAGUUAUUUAUGUUGUUUCUUCUGGUUGAGUCAACUUGAUACAUCAUUCUAUCCACCUAUCCACUGAUGGCAGAGUUUUCAACGGCCGACUUGAGGAAAAAAGGAGUUCAAAUCCAACAUGGUGACCAAAUACAUUGCUCUCUCUUUUCUUCUCGUGAUAUCCAGUAACCUGCAAAGUUGUUAUUGUCUUGGUACCCAAUUACAUACCCACCUUAGUCGACAAUGAUCCUAUGCAAAUUAUUAGUAUGAAUGAUUGGAAAUAUUUCUUUUUCUUUCUUUUCAUUAUUGGAGGGAAUAAACGAUUUAAGUGCUACUCAGUUGAGCUGAUCGAUUCAUUUUAAAUCUAAUAAUUUUUUUUUAUUUAACAACUACUCAUAUUAUAUCUAAUAAAAAAACUCAUUUUAAAAAAGCAUAAAUUUUAGAUGGGAAUGUUAUCUUCUAGUUUCUCAUUUUACGUUCUCAGAUUCCCUUCUCAUCAUGUAAUUUUGUAUGAUGAUCUAAACCUUCUACGUUUUAUUUGAGAAAUUUGGAAAAAUAACCAGAAUUUAGAUCCCAUAUAGAAUUAUAGCCACAAUGUUAAAUUUAUGAUAAUUAUAACCAAAAGUUGAUAUAAAAGUACUAAAAUACCCAUAAUGGCUAAAACCUUCCUCAUUUGCUGCUCUUAACCAUGAAAAAACCGACCUUCAAGAUAAAAAAAGAUUUGAAAACAAACCAGAGGGGCUACAAACUUCCUAGUCCCCAGGUCGCUGAUUUGGGUUCAACUUUAUUCCUUUUGGCACCAUUUGUGAAUCCCCAAAUUAUUUUCCAUAUUGAAAUCUGACGAAACAAAUAGAAUUUGUUAAUUUUGAUUUAUUCCAUCAUAAACUUGGAAGAAAGCCGAUAAAAAGACCCACUUCUAACAAUUGUUUUUGUUCAGAACGUUGUUAAGUUUUGGAAGACAUAAGUAAAAGAAUGGGGAGUAGAAAAAGAAAAAACAGAAGACUAAAAUCGUCAAUUGGAUUCAUAUAGGAUUGAAGAAGAACUAAAAGAGCUUGAAAUGUGAUAGCUUAAAGGAUUUAGGAAUUUUGUGUUCAAAGGCUCUGACUUCGAAUCCAAUUGAAGGGGAAGGGGAAUCUGUUGAACCGUCUACGGUGGUUUGCAUAUUUUAAUUUUGCAUUUUGGUAAUUUUAAGGGUAUAUUAGUAUUUUUAUGUCAACUUUUGGUUAUAAUUAUCAUAAAUUUAAAAGGGUGGCUAUAAUUCUAUAUGAGGUCCAAAUUGUGGUUAUUUUUCCAAAUUUCCCGUUUUAUUUCACCCCUUAUAGGUAAACUCUAUAAAAAAUAACCAAACUAGAAAUCAUUUAUCUGUUUGAUUAAUUUUGUCAAAAUUUUAUGAUUAAUUGAACAACAUGGUUUGUUUAACUUAGAAUUUGUGAAUUCUUCAAUAUUAUUCUUCUCACGAGAGGAAAUAUAUGUAGUUGUACAACCCUAAUCACAAUUAAUCUAGGAAACCUAUUAAGGAAAUGAAUCCUCAAUAUAAUCAAUUACAAUAUUUGCAUUCCUAUCUAACAAUCCGCCUCAAGUUGGUGCAUAAUAUCGAACAUGCCCAACUUGCCCAUAAGUUUUGCAAAUAUCCUCUUCGAUACUGUGUUUGUUAAGUCAUCUGCAAGUUGAUCUUCCGACUUGACUCUUGGUAUUUCAAAAAUCUCUAGAUCUAGCUUCUUCUUGAUGAAGAACCAAUGUACUUCCACAUGCUUUGUUCGAUCACGAUGAACUGUUUUAGUUGCGAUCUCACACGCAAUUUUAUUGUCACAAUAUAACUUCAUAAAUUUUUUCGAAUCAUAUCCCAAAUCCCUCAAGAUAUUUCGUGACCAAAGCAUUUCAAUAGUUCUCAAAGCAACGCCUUUGUACUCUACUUUGGCACUCGAGCGAGUAACAACAUUAUGUUUCUUACUUCUCCAAGCGACGAAAUUACCUCCUACAAAAGUGAGGUAACCUGAUGUUAAUCUCCUAUAAUCAAUCGAUCCUGCCCACUCGACAUCUGUAAACACUUCAACCUCCAAAUGACCUAUCAUGCCCACUCGACAUCUGUAAACACUUCAACCUCCAAAUGACCUUUCUUAGAUAACAAGAACCCUUUACUUGGAGCUGAUGUGAAAUCUCGUCCCCGGAUAUCACUAUUUCUUUUUCGUAUUUCGUAUUUUUCCAACUUAAUUUUAUUUUCGUUAAUUUUGUAGUUUUACUUUGGUUACAAAGUUUGGUUUUUUGUAAUUAGUCGUUCAAAAUCCGUAGACCUUUUGGGGUCACUCGUAGAAUUUUCAAAUAGGGCUCGAUCCUACAAACACAUAGACAAAAAUCGUUCCUGAAACAGAGUUUUAAUGAGGGAGAUAAGCAAUCAAAGUCAAAUGUAAUUUGGCAUAUUGUCGCUUUCUAUUUAUAGCUUCCCUAAGAAGUCAUUCCCAUUUUGGAAACCCAACCUAGAUAGCUGACCAGUUUACUCGUUUGACCCACGAUCUACCCAGGUUCGCUGGGCAAAUUUUUUACGAUGAUUUCGACAUUUUUUUGUUGUUUAACCAUUGUAGAGGGCUAUUCGAAGGCCACCGAUUUUUGGGUUAUUCUUCGUCGUCGAUCACUCAUCUCUAGUCACCCCGACAUCAACAAUCACAACCAAUCAACUGAUCUCGACCUUGGCAACAAAACCCAACAAAGAUCCAAGUCAUGAACCCCUAGUGACAGCAGAUCAAAGUUCGAAAGUUUUAGAGUUUUUUUUUUUCAGUUCCUCUCACCGUCUUCUGGCAUUUUUCGAUGGAGUAAGCCUUCAUGGAAUGUAUAAACAUUGCUCCACUCUUCACGAUCUUCGUUUUGCUAUAUUUUGGUAUCAAUAAUGUUAGUGUUGGCCGGAUUUUAGCAAAGGUUUGGUCGUCCACCGCUGUGUACAGCGGCGUAUGGCCAAUGACCUAAUUUUGUGUUCAUAAGCUAAAUUCAAUGCCUUGAAUUCAUUUCUAAUGUUUAUUUGACGAGAUUUCUUCAUUUGAACAUAGUUCCCAAAUUGACUACCAUAUGAAUUUUGUGAUUGACGGAUAUCUAACUAUUGGAUUGUCAUGAUACUUCUUGAACAUGCCUUUUUUUUGUCGAACUUCUUUAACAUGCUAUCAGUAUUAUUGGAGACAUGAUAGAACUUAGUGAAGUUGUGGUGUGUGACACACCCCAACCUAAAUCAGGGCAUGUUGGCUAUCACGUGAAAGUGACAUAACCAUGUGCACAGUGCGGAAGCAAAAAUUGAUAUAGAGAAAUAUGAGUAAAUAAAAAUCCAACUACUAGCAGUACUAAUUAUGAUAAGGUGCAAGUGCGAGAUUAAGUGUGAAAUUCACCAUUAGAGCAUAAAUAGCCUAAGUGCAAUCCGACUGAACAAGUACUAAUUAUACUACACCCAAAGGUGAUCCUACAUUUGAGAUGUUCUGUUAGAACCACCAUCAAAAUCCCCGUGAGCCACCAAAGCACUUCUACCUAAAAUCUGGAAGGACACAAAACAGAAAGUGUGAGUGGGCAAAAACAAAGCUUUUCAAAAUCAUUUCAUUUUUCAAAAGUUCUAAACCCUCGCCGUAAAACCUGUAUAAUUUCCUAGAAAAUAAUAUAUGUUAUAACAUAAAUUAUGCUCAGGAUGAAAAUCCAUAGAAAUAUACCAUGCCAAAGUAUCUCAAUGAAAUGCUAUAAGUAAUCCAAUUAAAAUGUAUCAAUGUCAGAUAUCAUAUCAGCCAAAUCCACAUACGUGACCUGCACGACUGAGUCUAUAGCUCAUAACCAAUCUCAACCAUAUCAAAUCCUGCACAUGAGUCGGAACCACCAAAAGUGGUCUGUACGACAAGACUAGGUGUAAAAUAAAUAUGCUCUAGUGCUACGAUCACGUGAAGACUGUACAAAUGAUCGCGGGUCACCUACAAGUUGGAACCACCUAAAGUGGUCUGUACGACAAGCCUGUGCACCUAACUUGGAUCCAAGGUGAACAUAUGGUGCGGGAGGUGAACAUCACGUGAAGGAUUGUGCCCUAACUCUGGGCGGGAGCACUAACACCAGGGUGCAAGUUUAUGAGCUCUCAAUGCAUCACAUCAUCUCUCGCAUAACUAAAGCAAUCUCAUAUCUUUAAUUUAUGAACUUACCUAACGCUUACUUGUGCGUUUGCAACACCAAUCAUAAAUAUAUGCAACUACUAAUGCAUAAAUAAAAUAGGCAGAUACUUUGCAUGGCAUUUCAAAACGUAUAAUCAUUCAAAUUCAUUUUCUGGGAAAAAUCUCAAGUAUAUAGGUAUAUACGGAAAACCAAAAGCCCACUCACUGAUAUGUGGAAGGGUCGUAGCCCCCAAGCCUCGAUUGAUGCUCGUCCUCCGGAUAGGUCUCACCUAUAUGCAAAAUAACUAAACAAACGUUAUUUAAAGCACAUAUACAAAACUAGGAAAUAACUUCUCAUACAAUGCUCAAAUGGGGUAUUUGAAUAUACCACCAUGACCUACUCAACCUCAGGAACAUCCUUAUAUUUUUAGAAAAAUUUUCCGACCACCCACAUGCCUUCACUCGCAGGCACGUGCCUAACACACCAAACAGAUUCCCUAACUGCGUUCGGGAAUAUUCCGUUAAAUAUAAGCAUAUACCGUUAAAUAUACCUGACAUUAUUAAUCACCAUUAGGAAUAUUCCGUCAAAGUUGACGAAAUAUUCGUCUUCUUCUCCGGCAAGUCACCGGAUUCCGUCGUCGUCGUCGGAAACUGGGAAAAUUUUCUAAACUUCAUAUCUUCUUCAUUUCUCAACCAAAAUUCAUGAAAUUUGUACCAAAAUGAAGCUUACAACGAGUAGAACAAAACCUUACCAACUUUAAGCCCUAAAAUCCACGGGAUCUCGCUGGAGAAACCUCAAUAAUCCGACCAAAACUUGAAACCCACGAAGUGGGACUUCCCGACGUCCAAAACACUCCAACUUUCUUCCCCAAGCUUCGUGAAGAUGUUUUAAGGCUUCCUAUGACCUUAAAACUCACUGAAAAGUCCACAUUUACAACUGCAUGAACAGUAACCCCAAUCGAGGAUCUUGGUUUCACGGGUUUUUGAGGUUUUCACGUCUGACUAAGGGUAUGGAUGAGCUCCUGAGUUCACAAGGAACACAAAAGCAACCUCCUCGACGUCGAUCCGAGUAAGAUAAAGCUAGUUUGAAGAGUGAUCGUACAACUUGUAUGAAAAAUGGAUAAAAUCUGAGAGAAUGAAAGAGAGAAGGGUCAACGGGUUGUUUGGGUGUGUGUGAGUGGUCCUAGUUUGGGUUACCAACCAAAACAAAUAAAAGCUUAAGUUCUAGUUGGGUCCAAAAAUUUAGAAACUUAACAUAUUGGUCCACCUCUAAAAGCAUGUCACACACAACAGACCUCAACGUCCAAGAGCAAAAUAAACAUUUCACACUGACGAUAAAAUAAUUCGGGACGGGCUGUGACAGUGUGUCAUCUUGGGUGAUGUACACCUUAGUAUGUGUGCAAGUGGCUCGUUAUCUAUAUUAAGAAUUAUUUAUCUAUAGAUUUCUAAGAUGACACCUGUUGUUUGUCUUAGGCGCUAGUCGUGUGUGAGCUCUUCUAUCCUUGUGCUAGGCUACUAUUGCACAAACUCCAAGUGAGUAACUUUAAUAUAUGUGACAUGGUUAUUACCCAUGAAAUUGUCAUGCUGAUAUACUUUGUGGUUAUGGUAUGCAUUUUUAAAUGUGUUUCUAUUGAAAUGUUGCUCUUAAAUUCAAUCAUCAAUCUACUUUUAUGAAGAAAAAAAAUUGUUAUAGUUAUUUGAGAUGAUUGAAAUGUGACGGCGAUUAGAAGACUGCUACCUUAUUGUCAUGGGGUUAUGUGACAUGGGAGUCUGCACCAUGUAACACUGGUACAUAGAUUGUCCUGUUUAGUUUAUCUGCAUUUGGGGACCAUACUAUUUAAGGGUUGUGUUUGGUUAAUCUGCAUUGGGCAAUCCUAGGAUCAUUCUUGGUUUAUCUGUUAUGGGUGAUCCUUAUUACUUAGGUGUGGCCUUACAUACUUUAAGGGGUGAUCAUACUUGGUUAAUUCGCAUUGAGCGAUCACUGCCUACCAAUGUUCUUAUGAGUGGUUCUGCUUGGUUAAUCCGCAUUGGAGGGCUACUUCCUACUUGGUUAUAUAUUGUAGGUUUUGGUCAAACUAUGUCACUCUAGCCCUAAUUUUUAGUAUGUUUAUGGAAGCGAGAAUUGAGAACCUGUGUGGUUCAAUAUAAAAAAAUUAAAAAAAACGAUGGUUGUCUGUGUGACUCAUUUGAGAUUUUCCAACGAGAUUUGUCUAUGAGUUUAUAAAUGGUUUUAUGAACUGAUGUUUCUAAACUGGGACCUUGCUAUGAUCCCACGAUCCCGGAUCCUAUAAUCUCAUAGUAGCAAGAUUUAGAGUGACUAGGUUGACCACAUUGCUCACAGAUUCUAUCUGACGGAGGGCGACUGGAACCACCAGUCAAAUGGCAGUAUAAGGGCUGGAUUGGUCCAGUUGGUUGGUGCGGUCAUGGUUACGAGACUAGUUUGACGUGGGAUGGUUUCGAGCGGUUAGUAUAGCAGUGUCGACAGCUUCAGACUUACCAUUCAUCUUUUCUUAGUGAAGAGCAUCGCGACGAAUAUACGCAUAGGCUUCUUCCAAAGGGGAAUAUGAUCUUUGCGUAGGAUUUCACCUCGAACUUGUUCAAAUUCGGAGUUGAGACUUGCAAAAAAAUUGCACUCUCUGAUGUUCAAUAGAUUUUCUGUAUGUUUUCACAUCAUCUUUAUCCUUCAUGGCCACCUGUUCACAGUGGUGCAGUUCUUGAAAAAUCUCCGUUAACUCUCCAUAGUAUCGUACAAAGUCUUCGGGUGACUAAAUAAGUGACGCAUUCAAGAAAAUGGGUGGAAAGGCAAGUCCACCCCUAGAAUUAAUCUUUGGCAAAUAUAGUCUUACACCACAAGGGUCCAACCCUCUCUCUGGCAGUUGCUGUAGCCAAAUUUUGCUCCUACUCCCUUAAGGUGUCCCCACAUUAUCAAGAAUAUUGAUCAGGUUAUUAUUUUCUUAAUCCCAAUAUUCUCUUUCUUCUCUACUAUACCUGCUCUCCUCUGGACGUCUUUUCUUCACUUUCCGACAGUUUACUACCAACACCAUAUACCUAUAUUUCCUUGUUCUAUUUUCAUCAUCUUAUUAAUUCAAAAAGCACUACUGCACAGAUGGAAGAUCGCUCCAGAAACUCUAUGAUGGGAAGAGGUAAUUCUUCUGAUACAAGAACCACUACUCAAGAGUCCCCUGAGGAGAGUAGUUGGACUAUGUACUUGCAAGAUUUCAUGAUAACCAAUAGUCAAGACGAUGACGAUGACGAUGACGACCGCAGUUCUUUCUCCUCAUACGGUUAUGAGAAUUGUUCCAUAAUCUCCGACGCCGCUUCUUCAGUCACCCGAAAGUUUACUAUUAAUGGAGAAGUUUUAGGGUUUGGCGUGGUUGGAGGUUAUAAUAGAUCUGACGUCAUGAUUAAGAGAAAACCCAAGGAAGCUUUUCUUGAUGAUGCUUUGGAGGACACAGCUAGUUCUCCAGUAAAUAGUCCCAAGGUGACUAUCCUAUUCCUAAUUGUUUUUUUGUCGGUCCAAUAUUUUUUUAAUCAUGCUAACUUUUUACAAGUAAAAUGUUUAACAUAUGCUUCCCAGAUUGAAUUAAUUUCAUUUGUACUUUCAUUAGGUUUGUAAUCUAAGCCAGUCAACUGUGGAACCAACAAUCCAAAAAGAUUAUAAAGACAUACCUAAUGCGGUAAAAAAGAAAUUUACCACACUAUUUUUUCAUCGGUUUUCUUUUUAUUGUAGCAUUGUCUUUUAUUAUUCUGGUGCUUAUUUUUGCAAACAAUGAGUCCUUAAACCGAUGGUGUGCUUUGAAUUUUUGCUCUUACAGGAGAAAGGAAGUGCUUCUGGCCGGGUGGAUGAGAGAAAUGAAUCGGGAUUUAUUGGGAGAGAGAGUGACUGCACAGAAUUGAAGAAAAGGGGACUUUGCUUGGUUCCAUUUUCUAUGGUAGCAAACUAUUUUGGAUGAAUCAUUGCUAUCAUAGUCCAUAUAUACUAGUACCUCAGUGAAUACGUAUAUCUCCUCUCUCUCUCUCUCUCUCUCUCUCUCUCAUAAUAAUUGAUUCUGUACAUAAUGUGAUCGAUUGCUUUUAUCAUAUGCUAUUGAGGAAGUACACUUCAUGUAUCAUCAAUUUCAGCAAGAACAAAAUCAAAACCAGUUGUCCAGUAGCUGUAGACGAUAUAUAUAGUCUUUUCCCGUUAGGUUUAUAAUAUGAUCACAAUCAUAUAAAGUCAUAGUAUCAACAGUAUCAAUAUUAUAAACGACGUAUCGAUGGCAUAUGUACACUAGCAUCUCUUAAAAGUGCGUAGUUAACCACGCUAGAUAAAAUUUGCAUAUACAAUAGCAGGCAGAAUUAGUGUUAGAUGAGGUAAGUGACAUUAAUUUAUUGGGCCAAAACUGCACAAACUUGAUUAUUUCCGUCGAUACUGUCUUUCAGUGAGGAAAUCAAUUAAGUUCAUUGAUGAAGAUCUCCACUAAAGGACCAUUUUGUUGUAAUAUAUCCCCCUUUCCAAUUUAUCUUUAUCUUAAAAAAUAAACAUUAACUACUAGACGCAUCAAAGAAAAACACUUGCCACUUAGUACUACGAUCUAGUGGUAUUUUUCUUCACUUGCAAGUAAGAGGUCGGUUCGAUUCUCGCCAAAGGCAAAUUUGAAUCAUAUUAUUGCUGGCUCAUUGUGAGGUCAAGCUCAUAUUCCUCCCCCUUAUUGUAAAUAAUAUCGUUUGUUUAAAAAAAUUGGAUUAGAUUGCUUGUUUUAAAAUAUCAGAUAUACAUUCACACCAAAGAAACAGACAUACUCACACAUAUGUGUACUGAAGAAACAUCCUUUGUUAGUAGUCUUUCAUUUGGAUACCCAGCACAUGCAGUUCCCACACCGUAAAAUUUUUGGUUUAUAUAUGUGUUUGGACUUGAAAUUACAUCUUCGUCCUGUACAAUCAAGGCCGUUGAAUGGGCGUAGCUCAUAAUCGUUGGAUGAAAAUAAGUGAAGAUAAUUUUGUGGUUAUUGAAGGAUAAUAUUGUGAUUUUUAUCAUAAUUAUCUUUUAAUAAUGAUUUAUCUUGUCUUUUUCUUAUGAAAGAUGGAAAAUAUAUCUCAUGCUGGAAACAAGCGGCAUGAUUCAAAUUGGUUUGAAUGUGUGGUUUGGAUAAAUUUUGGUUGACGGAUCGGCAUGCAUACGAUGAGGUUGAGGGAAAAAAUGGUGAUAUGCUUGGGAAAUAAUUCUACACGUGGUGGCGAUAAGAUGGCAAAACAAUUGUUGGGACACAUGGUCUUCAUGCAUGCAUAGGAAACUUGCGGAUUGGGUGAAUCCCAAUAGGUAAUUAGAUAGACAUCUGGAACGUGUAGGUGUUUGGGCCCAAAAUAUCAGUUUGGGCCGAGUAUAGAAUUAUUCUCGGCCCAGAAGGCCUUACGACAGGGUUAUCAGGGAUCGUUUAGUUCUGGAUCGGUUAGGUCGUGGGCUUCCAAACCUGGGUCGGUUAAGUCAUGCUGCAAGACGAGUCGAAUCCUGGUGCAAUGAGGAGUCUCGGCAAGACUAAUAACCUGGAAGUGAAUCCGGCUCAAUAAAGGACUAGGUUCACAAUUAUAGUGAAAAUAGGAUUGGUCGAGUUGGUGUUUGAUCAGGAGAAGAAGUCCUAAUCCGGGUAGGUUUUUAACUCGACCUUGAAGGUAUCCGGUGCUAUAAAUAGAAGAGGUUGUAUAUCGUUCGAAGCCCCCUCCAAUUCAACACACAACUGCCCUGCGCAAACUCUCUCAAUAAUUUUGAGAUUUUUAUUUUCUCUUUUCGCCGACACAUCUUCCGUUGGCAUCAACAGCACUGUGAAAGCAACCGAUGAUAUCUUAAGUCGGAAUAGAUAGCUCUGUCGCCGUAGAAUCAGCCAAUCUCGCAGCAUCUUCCGUUGGUAUCAACAGCACUGCGGUGAGGACGGUUGGUUACUUAUCCAAGUCUCGGUCGAGAAAGAUUUCCGAAUCCUUAUUGAUUGAGGCCAUCUCAUUAGCCUUCUCGGCGAAGUGAGGUGUUACAGUUUACGGAGCUCAGCGCAUUGCACGCCGAGUUAUUUUAUGAUUGGAUACUCUCAAGUGGGAUUUAGAGUUCGGCAUUCAGAUGGUCGAACCACGUUCACUAUUAAGACGUAUAUUUGUUUUGAGUAUUUGUGCCCUUACACUUUGGUGUCGAUUCGGCGUGAAUUUACUCUGACGAAUAACAUCACUGUGACCGAAUCCGACGACGGCGAUUCGUGAACUUCGUAAGAAUAGUAGCCUUGUCUUCAGGUUCGAGAACCUAAGAGGCCGAGACGUGUUCCUUCCUCGGUCGCAAUCGCAAGACGCAGAAGUCAGCCGCGCACCCAACGCAACAUCAAUAAAUUUACUCCUCGGCCGAGCUCGGCCGACGAGUUGGCACGUCCUGCAUUCACUGAAGGACGUAGUUAGCUUAUAGAUUACUCGGCCUGCGUGCCACGUAGGCUUGGUAGUUUUUAGGGUCAACAAUAUGCUACAUGUAUAUUCGCAUUCUCUCACUACAAAGUGAUUGAGCAUUUGUCCAAUUUUCAUGAUCGAUCACUUACUCUUAUCAUCAUUAGUGUAUUUUCCUGGCGGAGAUGGUUUCACCCCUAACCAUUGCAAAAUUGAACUUAAAAGCGAGUUCGCUUUCUGUUUUGUCAUUGUUAUCUUAUGUGGUAUUGCCGGCUCGCCGGGUUUUUCCCAUUAGAUAUACUUUGUCUGAGCAAGGUUUAAGGCUUAAGGUUUAACAAAGGCCGUCUAUAGUCUUCCGUUUUGUAAUUCCUUUCUUUUUUAAUUCAGUUGCCAAUGUUUAAGAGAGAGGGGGAGAGAGAGAAUGAGAUGAAGUUGAAUGUUUUAAAUGUUUUUAAAAAAAAAAGAAUUGGUGUGCGCAUCCAGGGAAUCGAACCCUGGUCAGUACCGUGGGAGGGUACUAUGAUACCACUACACCAGAUGCGCUUGCUUGUUCUACUGAUUUACUAUAGUUACAACAUUUUUCCAAUUUGUUAUUUCUAACUUCUGAUUUAUGAAGUAACUUUAAAUUCACUAAGCCAAAUAGAAGCUCGUUCCAAUCCGAAAUUCUACUAUGCUUUUGUAUGAAUAAGGACAUCCUCAAACAACAAAGUUACAAUUAAAAAGCUAAAAAAUUUACUAAACAAGCAUUAAUAUAUUAAUCUAUUAAGUUUUUCAUACAAAACACUUAUAAUCAUUGUUGGCAAAGUCAAUCAUAUUGAUACUAAGAGAAAUGCUAAGGAGAUUCUCUUAAAGUAGGACUCUCUAUAGACUCUCCGUCACCUUAUGUUUUUUGCGCAAUGUUCAAUAAUGUUGGUACGGAAAUUGUGCUAAAAACAUGAGAUGACGGAAAGUCCAUGGAAAAAUCCACUUUUGGAAGAGUCUCUUAGCAUUUCCCUUGAUACCAAUUAACAUAUAGGUUUAAUUUUUAUUUUAAUUAGGGUUGGUCAUUGAGAUGCAAAAUUGAACCGUCCCCGUGUGGCAUGCACCCGACUGGAGAAAUGUAGAGCUGGAUGUGUUGUCAAGGAUUUAAUUAUAAAAAAUUAAACAGUCGAAGAUCUCAAUGUAUACUAUACAGUGGUGCAUACCAAAAAAACCCGAUAAACAAUUACUAAUAAAAAAACAAAAACUAACAGAAGGAAUCGCCUCUACCACUUCUAUUUUAAAAUAUCUACAUACUAAUGCAUAUGACUGAUUGAGAUGGGAAAUCCACAGACGCCUUUGGCCUUCUUUUUUGUUUCCAAUAAGUAACUCUUUUGUUCAGAAAAAAGAAGAAGAACAGAGAGGAUUCACCAAAAGAAUUAUCAAUUUGGUGUUAUUCAAAUUUCCACCAUCGGUUUUGAAUAUUGUUACAAUUAUUCAAACUGUUCAGCUAUUUUGCAGCACGUUUUGGAUCCUUGAAACGAGCAGGUUUCGGGUUUAUUUUUUCUCAGGAAGCUUCUCUAGCAACUCCGGAAUAACUUCAAAUAUAUCGCCUACGAGUCCAUAGUCAGCAACCUGGGAUGAUUAAAGUUUAUUUUACUAUUGGAAUGGCAAAAUCAGCAGCAUGUAAUUGCAUCCAUGUCAUAUCAUUCCAAAAGGUCUUGGAACUACGAAAACCACAUGCAAAGCAAGUUUUGCGGAAUGUAAAUUCCUUAAACCUAAAACACAAUCUGAUUCAUAUUUCAAGAACGCUUCUCCCUUUUUCUUUUCAGCAGCGGAGGAAGUAAAAAUGGCUUGGACUUUUGGAUCUUUGAGAAAAUACUAAAUUCUUUAAGAAAUGAAUGCAUCUUGUAUAGGAUGCACCUUCACAAAACUUCGAGAGAGUUCAAAUCAUCACCUGAAAUAUUGGGGCAUCUGCAUCUUUGUUCACAGCAACAAUGUACUUGGAAUCUCUCAUGCCUGCUAAAUGUUGAAUGGCUCCUGAAACACCAAAAGCCAGGUACAACUCCGGGGCAACUAUCUUUCCAGUUUGGCCAACCUAACGGACAAAGCAAUCACAUUCUAAGAGAAGUUAGAACAAAAAUACAGGACAAACAGAACAUAAGACUAACUAUAACAGGAUCAAGGAUGUGAGACAUCAUAUCCUCGAGAUAGUGCAAAUGGUUAAGAUUCAUGAUAUCUUUAUGGCGAACCAUUUUGAAAUCAGAACAUUCAAUUCCAGGAGAUAUUUUGCCUGUUGAAGAAGUAUAAACUAAAGAGGAAAAAGCAUACUAGCUUUGACUAGAACAGGUACUCCAAUAGUCCAAUGAAGCAUCCGCACUACAAACUACUUAAUUGGACUACAAACUACUCCAAUAAUCCAAUAGUCCAAUGGUCCAAUGAAGCAUCUGCACUACUAACUACUCCAAAAGUCCAAUGACUAGAACCGAAGAUGUUUUUGGAUCCCAGAAAGGAUUCUCAAUUGGGACUCAACAAGCCCUUCUAUAUGGGAUGAAUUAUUCACUUGUUGCAUAAUGUUGACUUAUAACAGAUGAGUUUUGAGAGUAUCAUGUCAUUACAUUAAACACAAAAUAUUCUUCAAGGUUGGGAAGAACAUUUAUAAAUGUUACCUGCAGCUCAUUAGGAACAUAUCCGGCAUCAACAGCAGCACGGGUAGCUCCAACUAAUGAAAAGAGAGGAAAGAAACGUCAAAUUAUUCUUAUCCACAUUGCAAAAACAGAACAUGCCUAUAAGUUCCAAGUAUGGAAGGCUAAAAUUCAUCUAAACUGUGAAUUUAAUGUAUGUUGUUGAUAUAACUCAACAACAUAUCACAUUGCUAGAACAGAAUAUGCGUAUAGACUCAAAUAUGGAAGGUUAAAAAUUUUCUAAAUUGUGAAUAAAUGUUUAUACAACUCAACUAAAUUCUGUAUAUCAUAUUAAGUCGUAAGAAAGCACGGCAAGUAAUCAACAAGAAACAUUACAGGUUAUCAGCAACAAGAAAAAUUACAGGUUAUCAGCAUACACAAGCACAGCCACAACGCACACGUGACAAAGUAACAAGAAUAAGAAGCUCAAAGAGCAACACUAAUAAGAUUACAGAUGCUAGAAAGAAAGAAAAAAAGAAUGGAGUUCUGAGCACAAAAAGGAUCAGUGGAAUUACCAGCUGCACCAAGUUUCUCUGCGAGUUUUUCUAUCAUUUUGAAGUUUUCAGCACUUUUCAACGCACGGCCCCCAGUAACCACAACACGAGCAUUCCCAAGAUCAGGCCGGUCUGUAUCCUGUGAUGUGUGCUUUACAUAUCGAGAUUUACAAACAGAAUCUGCAAAUGAGAUAAAAGCUAUGUAAAAAUAUGGCCUAUGUUUUAAUAGUCAAUGAGGUAAAAAAUUUAACAGCUCCAUUUAUGAUCAAAAGGAUGUUUUCUAGGGUUACACCAUGGACACUUGUAGCAUUACCGUUGACCAGCGAAAAUGAAUUCACAGGUGGGCAUAGAAGCAGUCACAUAACUUCUUGUUAAUUAAAUUAGAUUUAAACGUAUAUUUGACUAGUAGAUAUUAUGCAUUCAAAAAUGACAAUCUGACCUUCACCAAAGGUGGAGAGGUCAACCUGGGAGAUAGGAGCUUCAUUUGAUUUCGAAUCAGCCGAGAUGGGGGAUACUGGAAAAGAUGUUGAUCUAAUGCUCAGCAGACAAGGGCCAGCACCAGUGUAUCGAACAGUACAAAGGGCAUUUCCGGCAUAUAUUGGCCUGCAAUAUGAAAAGAUAAUCUUACAUUCUUACUGGUAGCCUGAUGAAACCGACAUGUACCACAGAUACAGAGUCCAAAGUCAACCAAGACAUGCUUACACAGGAACGUGAAACUAACCCCUCUAGACCUUUCCAUAAGUGAAACAAGAUACAAGAAUAAAGAUGUAUUUCAUGUUGGCAUGCAUCUGAGUUAUAGUAAGCGGAUAGUUCUAGUUUGAAGAGCAGGGUAUUUCCUGAUGCAUGAGGAUAUGAUUUUGUAAACACGGUUGUAGUGGCUUUGAUUGAUUAUACUUCAGUGAAUUGCUAUUUCACCGUGUUGUACUGUUGUUUAGUUAAUUUCAUUUUACUGAAGUCGUUAUGUACAAAAUCACCAAACAAUAAUUUACAUAAUACGAGAAGUGAUCACAACAACAACCUAACAACAGAGUUACCUGACAAAUAGAUGAGAAUCAGAAAUUUCAAUCACAUCCGUGAUUGGAGAAACAUCUAAAAGCGCAGCAGCCCGUGGCAGUAUGUUCUUCCCAAAUGAACCCGAAGCAGUGAUUACAUGUGAGUACCCACCUUUCUGCUGAACCAAAUGGAUCAGUCUAGCCCAAGGUUCUGCUAGAGGAUGACUAAAUUUCUCAGAAUCAGCCACAAGCACCUACACAACAGUUAGCAAUCAAACACCAUAACACUCUACAUAUUUCAAAAUCCCAUAUCAUCAUAUGGGUCAGUAGCCCAUUUGGAAAUAUAAAGGGCCGUUUGAUAACCAUUUCGUCUUCAAUUUUCAAUUUUUUUUAAAACCGAAAACUCGUUUGGUAACUAUAUCCUAUAUGCUAAAAGCUAAAAACUGAAAUGGUUAUCAAACGGGCCCUAAAACAACCUCAAAUGCAAGAUUUUUAAUUACAGCUUGAAGAACAUGCGGGGUGCCAUUUGAGAUACCUGAGAAACUGACGGGUCACACAAAGCAGCAUUCGCAGCCGCGUCGUGGAGGGCAGGGCCGGAGCCUGCUAAUAGCAACGAAAUCGAGUUUUCGUCGCUCAAAGAACUUGCAGCCUUCACUGCGCUGACUGAUUGGGGUUUGAUAGCACCACCUUCGUGUUCGGCUAAAACCAAUGUGCUAAUCUACUCCAUUAUUCGAAAUAAAUCAGAAAAUAAUGACAAACUGGUAAUGAAUUUUCAGUAAAUUAGUCGAAGCGAAAAUUUGAAAAUUUUGAAAAUUCUGAGGUGACUGGAGGAAAGUGAGACUUACGGAUCUUGAAUUGAAGGAUGAAGCGAAAAUUCGUGACUUGAAGGAAGGAACGAUUCGUUUCCUCAAGGCUCUGAAAGCUGCCAUUUCUGAAGCUCUCUCCCUCUGUGUGUGUGUGUAGCUUUUGGGGUCGAUGACGAUGGACGAAGAAUGACAUAGGCAAACGAUCGAACCGGCUGAGCUCCAAACUUCCUAACAAACGUGGCAUUCUUAUCAGUUAUCACAACGGUUUUUAAGAAAAAACGGUGCGUUUCACGUGGGUCUUCACUUUUACCUUCUCCCUUAAACUUAAAACAUGGUGAUAUGUGUGAAUAACGAAAUCACAAUCCUGAUUGGCAUAUGGUUUUGUAACUAAGAGUUACCAUGGUAACUCUAUCUCCACUUGAAAUUCAAAUAUUCAACAUGGUAACUCUAAGUUACAAUCGUAAGCAUGAACCUGAGUAAAUUAUGUGCAUAAGAAUUUAAGGUUCCGGACCAACUUAACGGAAUAGAAUAGAAAAAAGGAUUCUGGAUCAUUGAACACCAUCCAACAAAGAUAGGGUUCCCCAAUGCGGAUUAACCAGGCGGACUCUAGGUAUCAAUCUGAUAGCAUGGUUCCUUAAUGUAGAUUAACCAGGUAGGACCACCUAUGAUCUAGUGACCAAGUAGGCAGUAACCUCCCAAUGCGGAUUAAGUACGCAAACUACCCUUAGAAUGCAUAUGAUCCCCCAAUGCGGAUUAACCAUGCAGAGUCACCCCUAGAAUGCUCAUAGUCCUCAAUGUAGAUUAACCAGGCGAGACCAUCCAUGUACGACACUACUACAUGGUGAUGUCAUUUCAUCGCACAUGAUAUAACAUACAAUAUAGACUCCACAUAAAUGACGAUUGUAAGCACAUACACUAUAGACUCUGCACGAUCAACAAUUAUGUAAUCACAGAGACGUACAAGUUUUACGGAAUAAUUAUAAUAUGGUCCUCGACAUAUCUCUUCAUACUAGUAAUCGCACAUUAUCAUUAUUGUUAUCUAGAAGCUCAAUACACACGUAAAUCCCAAUAAAGUGCCACUUGCAUGCAAACCGAGACAUACAUCCCUAAGGUGGCUCACUAACUAAGGUAGACCCACUAGAUUCUAUCGGGUCUCUAGUAAUGCUAACUUCCGCUCCUAAGAAUGAUUCAAAAUAUGUUGACCAAAAGUCAACCUUCAGUCAACGUGGUUAUCAGUAAAGUCAACAACCCUAUGUAAUUCAAUACGAAAGAUCCACACAUUGAAUUUUUGAUCUGUAAAUUCCUAAGAUUCUUACAUAAAAUGAAUAACAACAUACUAUAUUUCGUGACGAUCCAAUGGUCAGAUCUUUGUUUACUAUAAGAGUUAAGUGGAGGUUCUUUGUGAAUUUAGGUUCAAACGAUGAAAUCUCAUCAAAUGGACAUCGAAAAUGAAAUCAGGGCAUUGAAAUUAGUCUAAGGAGACAAAAUAGGGUCAUUGGCAAUGCGCCACCUCCACAUGCCGCCACACAUAACAGGCGACGGUUCUGACUCGUUGGAGUUUUUAACGAUCACCUAAAUGAUUCAAAUUAUACUAGCAUUAAGAUAGUGAGGAGAAAAAUAUUUUUCAUAUCUUCACCACAAUGCAAAUUUGGCCAGAAGACAGUGAAAAUUGUCAUGGAAGUCACAUAUUUGCUGUAAUUUUGUGGCGUCACCGUGGAUGCUUCGAUGGGUGAUCAGAACCCAUGGAUCUCGUCCUAGGGUCCUAGGCUGUCGACUGGUGGUGAUGGUAGACCUCAGGGUUGGACGGAAGGGUAGUUUUGUUGUUGGUAAGGCUCGGAGCUGUCGAUCUCGGUACGCCAUGGCCAAAUAGGCACAAGGUUGGGUGGGUUGUGUUCGUGAGGAUGAGGAGUUUAAUGGUGGUGGUGGCAACAAGCCUUGCCGUUAGGGCUCGCUGAAAAAAGCCUUGAGAAGUCUGGAUUGAACACAGGUCACUAAGCCGUGUACUCGGGUCAAUGCUAGCCAACACCCAAAUGGGAAGGCUUCUUUAGUACUUCUUGAGCCUUCCACUUAUAAAGGUCUUAAUGAUGAAAAUCUGCCCGCCUUUGCUUGUUUAUUUCUCCUUCGUUAAAAUUCCAUUUCGCGAACGGUUUUCGCCUAUGCGUUCGUAGGGUUGAGCUUUAUCCAAAAACACUAAGAGUGACCUCGAAGGGCCUACAACCUUUUAAUGGCCAUUUACGAAAAUCAAACUUUAUAACUAAGUAAUCAAAACUCUAAAUUUGAUGGAAAAUAAUAAUAAUUUUCUGAAAAUAUGAUAUACGAAUAAUUGAAUAGUGGAAUCCAGUGAUGAGAUUUCACAUGGACAAGUGAGUCGAAGAAUGUUGGCCGAGAUUUGUAAGGUGACGAAGCCAUAAAGUGAUAGUGAAGUGGAAAGUUAAGAAUAAAUCAAAAGAUAAAUUAAAUGGAUAAGAGUGUGUAUGUGAGCGAGGUUAAAUCUUUAUUACAAAAAUAAAUGUCAGAGCAUAAGUAUCAUGGUGCAACAUAAAGUAUAAAUACACUUACAAUUUCCCUAAGCUCAUUAGUUAACUUAUUUAGUAAAUUAAAAAAUUUAAUUUUAAAUUUUAAAUAUGUAAUCUAAACUACAUAUUAAUAGUAUCACUUACAUGUGAUUUUAAGAACUAUAAUAUUUAAAAUUAAAAAAAAAUUAAAAGUAAACUUCUCCCCUCUCUCCACUCCCAUGUUAUCUCUUGCUCUCUUUCUCUCGCUCUCAUCCUCUCUUCACUCUCUACUCCCACGAUCUUUUGUAAUUAUAAUAAUUUUUUUAAAAGGAAAACUAAUGAAAAAUACUUGAAAACUUUGAGUUUUAACGAUAAGGACAAAAUAAAGAGUAAAAUGAAUAUUAGUAUGAUUGAUUUUUUAGUGUACAAAUAUGAUUUUUCGUUAAAUUUUUUUUUUUUGAAUUCCAUUAAAUUUUAAAAUAAACUCAUAAAAUUCAAGUGAUAUUACUAUAACAUCAAGUCAAGUUCCUCCACUCGAUCUGACUCUCUUGCUGCCCUAUUGGCCACAACAUCCUCAGGGGACCUUGGCUUAUCACCGUCGCACGUGACCGAUACGUAGGAGCGAAAAACAAAUAGAGAAAGCAAAAGGCGAGAGACUAACGCAGCAGCUCUCUCUCCCAUUUCAUUCUCUCUGUGAUUUUGCUCGGGAAAUCGGGAUUUGAGCUCUCCGUUGCUCUGGAAUCAAAUCCAGUCCGCUCAUCUCAGCCAUGAUUUCCACCGGCAAGAUCAAGUCCGUCGAUUUUUAUAGGUCAGAUCUCUCGCAUUUCCUUCACUCCCUCUCACCGUUCAUCAGCUCUGUGUGUGUGGUUUGGAUCUGAUCGUGGGAAAUUCAGUUGGUUUUGGUGUAUGUGAUCUGUGAAUUUUAUAUGGACAAGGGAAUGAAUGGCUUGGAAUUAUAAAUGGAAUUGAAGUGAUUAUAGUCAAGAUUAAUAAUUUAAUCAAUACUAAUGAAAGAGAUUGGUGAUUUGAUUAGUUUGGUUGCUUAGAAUUACUAUAGUAAUUUUUUUCUUUUCAGAUUUAGGUUGAUUGUUUUUUUGGAGGAGUUGGAAUAGUGUUUGAUUGCUUGAAUGAACAUUGGAAAGUAAUGAAAUUGGUAUUAUCCAUAAUUUUUCGAAAUCGAACUUUCUAUGGAAUACCUAUUUAGCUGUUACACAAAAGAUGAAUUAGGCAUUCCAUCCAUACGUUGGUGCCAUUGAAAGGUCCAUUUCAACCACACCACCGAAGAGCGAGGAAGCAUUACUAGAUUAUUUGGAUGUGCUUAGUGGAAGCAUUAAUAGCAAAAGAUUAAAAGGUUUUAGCUGCUGGGUAUCUGGCCUUUAUUGUUAUUGUUUUGGGGGACAAAAGUUAUAGAAACAAAAAGUUAAACGGAAAGAAAACCCGAGGCAAAAGAUAAUAAAUAAUGAUACAAAACAAGUAUUGGAAAGCAAAUGUGCUUUCAGAGUCGUAGUGCAUAGCAUUGACAUAAAAUUUUUUAACUACAUGUGCUAGGAAUUGGGUAAACUUUCUUCAUGCAUGUAUGAAACUAAAGUUAUAUUGUGCCGCAUUGCAUCUCUUCUAACCCUGUGAAAUAGAAGGAAAAGGAAAUUUUCACAAACACCACCUGGACUAUUAGGGGUGUGUGCAAAAUACCACCCAAACAAAAAAUCUUGCCAAUUUACCACCCGUACUCCACUUUUAGUGUGGAUAUGCCUACUCUGUCAAUUUCCGUUAGAAAUUCCAUCAAAUCUCAUUAUGAGAUGAGCACGUGAGCACUUUUCCUGCAUAUUUUGGGGUAAGAAUUUCGUUGACUAUAGCUUGUCUUCGAGGAAGCAGAAGAUAUGUCAUGUGAGCUUUUAGUCAACUGAAUUCUUACCCUAAGUCAUCUAGGGGCCUUUAAGUGUAAAAAAUAUACUUGUAAAGGGCUCACAUGUUUUGCAGUCUUUGCAGAUGAUACAACAACAACAAAGCCUUUUCCCACUAAGUGGGUCGGCUAUAUGAAUCCUAGAACGCCGUUGUGCUCGGUUUUGUGUCACGUCUUCCGUUAGAUCCAAGUACUCUAAGUCUUUUCUUAGAGUCUCUUCCGAAGUCUUCCUAGGUCUUCCUCUACCCCUUCGUUUCACAUGUCCAAAAGUCUUUGCAGAUGAUACAUUUUGACUAAAUGUUCAAAAAUUAAUGGAGGUGGUACAUUCACGCUGAAACAUGAAUCUAGGUGGUACUUUUGUUUGGGUGGUAUUUGCACACACCCCUAAUGGUGCUGGUGGAUUUUAUCAGUUUUUUCUAUAUAAAAUAUAUAAUCUGUGCUGUAAUUUCGGUGCAAUAGUUUCACCUAUAGGGGUUGUCCUGAUAUUUUUAUAAAUAUGUAUUUAAGCUACAAAUGCUUUACCUAUGUACAGGAAAAUUCCUAGAGAUUUGACAGAAGCAUCAUUAUCCGGUGCAGGAUUAUCUAUAAUAGCAGCUCUUGCCAUGAUGUUUUUAUUUGGAAUGGUAAGCAGCUCAUAUCUCUAUUGGUUACUAAUGCGCUCGAAUAUUCAAAUUUGACCCAAUUGACAUGGAUGGAGUGAUGAUUCUUUUUUAAGUUUUAUCUCCAAUGAUGUUUUUUUUGGGAUGCUUAACCUUUUUUCUAUUUUAUAAUAUCUAUGAGAAUUUCCAGUACUUCUGUUUCGUUUUCCAAGUUCGUUUCAUAAUUCUAUUUUGUUGAGAUAUUCUUGUGGUUAAUGUACAUCAUCAUAUCUACAUUUACCUUUCUAUUUUUCUUUUUCAGUAAUCUGUUUCAGCACUUUGUUACUUUAAUUUAAUGAUCAUGACAUUCCUUUACAUCCUGGUGGAACUUAUUGUGCUCAUUUUACAGGAACUGAAUAAUUAUUUGACUGUCAGCACCUCUACAUCUGUUAUUGUUGACAAGAGUUCUGAUGGGGACUUCUUACGCAUUGAAUUUAAUGUCAGGUAAACUUUCAUAGCGGCAUUGACGUUCAUGAAGUUAUUAAGUCAGUUUGUUCAAAGAUAACUAUUUUAACCAUCAUUUUGUAAGUCUACAUUAUCUUCUUAGUGGUGGUACACAUGUAGAUCCUAUAUAUGAAGUUAUGAACGAAUAGUUAUUACUAUUAUAAAUUAUUAAGAGGGGCAUAAGUGUCAUGGUUGAGAGUGGUGGGACUUAUGAAGUGUUGACAAAGUGAUGCCUAGUUAGGUUCAUGGCUUCACGUGCAUUUAAAUUGAUUAGGUUAAAAUGAUUCUUAGGUGCACUGCAUGCGAAUUAGUAGGCAAUGCUUUAAUCGGCCCGAAAGGGGCAAUUAUAUUGUGCGAGCAUUAGGCUAUCAGGGUGCCCCCUUUCUUACUCCUGGAAAAUUUGGUGAUAUCACAUCUCUGAUGCAAACUUUACUAAAAAAAAAACUCUUGGCUUUUCACUUUCGAUAAUUAUUUAUGCAGUAUUUCUUCCCCUGCCUUUGUCUCAGUUCCUUGGCUCCCUGACUAAUUUUAUCUCCUUUUUCAUGUAGUUUUCCCGCACUCUCAUGUGAAUUUGCAUCCGUUGACGUGAGUGAUGUGUUGGGAACAGUAAGCUUCUCUAUCUACUCUGUUGCUGAUUUUUUCUGCCUAAUCCUAUUUAUCCUUUGUUAGUUAUUUUUAUAUUCUUUAUGUGGUAUCCAUCUGUCCUGAAUCAGUUCCCUUUUAUUCUCAGAACAGAUUGAAUAUAACAAAAACAAUUCGCAAGUUCUCUAUAGGGACGGAUUUAAGACCAACUGGCUCCGAGUUCCGCUCCGGACCCGUUUUACAUAACAUUAAGCAUGGGGAUGGAGAUGAGUAUUCUGGUGAUGGUUCUAUUUCGCUAACUGCCCAGAAUUUUGAAAAGUUUACUCACCAGUAAGUGGAGCAAAGUUUAGGUCCAUACUUAUGAUAUUUAAUGCCCCUGAUGUGGGACACUUAUGUUGUUAUGUUGCAAAGUGAUACCUUUCCUAAUUUUGUUUAAACAAUUCUUUUGCAGGCACCCAAUUUUGAUUGUUAAUUUUUAUGCUCCUUGGUGCUACUGGAGCAAUCGCCUGGUAAAUAAAAUAGCUUCACAUAUUUUUCAAAUGUCUUUUGAUGAAAGUUUUAGCUUUCUUAAUCAAUCAAUUUCUACAAAUCUUGUUUUAUAAUUGCGUAUGCAUAUGCGUACUAUAUAUUUUUGGCAUGAUUGCAGAGAAAUUAAUCUCAUAUUUUGGCCAGAAAUUAAACGUUAGAUCAUGUAUGCCAAGAAUGAGAUCGUUCAAUCAUGGGAAAACUUGUCAAUUUCAGUUUUCAUUGGGAAUAGCACUAGCUGAGGAUUUGAAAUCUUUAAGUUUUGCCAAAAGAAAGAAAUUUAAGAGGUUGUAAUUUAUGUAUUUUGUUUCAUCUGACUUCUUUCUUACAUACAAUUUUUUUGGGUUUUGGAGACGUGUUUUACUAUCAUUUACUGCCUUGAUUGUUUCCCUUCAUUUCACUCUUGAUCAUGUAUGUGCUUGUGUGUGUGCAUUAUCUUUUGAUGAGUCACAAGAUCCUUGGGUUAAUUCAUGUUGCCCUCUCUUCAUUUUAGAUGGAACUGUUCUAUAUUUAGAAGAUACUUUGUGUGCAUUAAUUGUUUGGUUGAUGUAAUUGAACUAUUUAGUUGAAUCCAUUCAAAAGCACAUCUUUCUUGCUGCAUUUGGUUCUUCCUCUUUUAUUACUUACUUCACGUUAUCACUUUCUUUUCAGAAACCUUCAUGGGAAAAGGCUGCCAAAAUAAUAAGAGAAAGGUGCUUCACUCUGAAAAUUGUGCUGAUUUCUUCCACAUAAUAUGAUUUUCUAAGGGAGCUGUUAUUGGCACUCCUAAAUGGUCAUCCUGGACUCAUUCCUUACAAUUUGAAGUUCACAGUUCUUCUCUCUCUUUCGCUCUCUCUCACUCUCUCUCUGUGUUUCGCUCUCAUGCUCCCAUGGUUAACAGGUAUGAUCCAGAAAUAGAUGGCCGUAUUCUUAUGGCGAAGGUGGAUUGUACUGAAGAGGUUGACUUGUGUAGGAGGUAUAUUUUUAAAUGGCUUAGUCCUACUUUUCACUUGAUUUUCUAGGGAAUACAAAUUGUUUUUUUUAUACAUUCCAUUGUGAGCAUAUACAUUUUCAGUUCUUAUUAGCUGUAAAACCACUCUACAGUUGUAUUCGCAUUUUUCUUAAGGAAAACUAAUGAAAAGGGCUUGAAAACUUUGAGUUUUAAUGAUAAGGACAAAAUAAAGGGUAAAGUGAAUAGUACCAGGAUUGACUUUUUAGUGUAAAAAUGUGGUUUUUCGUUAAAGUGAACGGUACCGGGUGCUUUUCGUUAAAGUUCCCUUUUUCUUAUUGUAAAAGAGAGCUACACAUGCUAUAUAUAAUAGCUGACUUACGGCGGACAAGAAAACUGAAGGCAAAACUCCACUUAAUGUGCUGCAAUUGUAAUUUUGUAAAUAGCAGGUUUUUUUUUUUUUUUUUUUCAUUAAUGAAUAUUUUAAAUAAUAAAUUGAACUCGAAAUGAUCAGGGUGGUUUUUAAUUUUGCUUGAAAAUGUGGUCAAGACUUAAAAAGUGGAAGAGAAACCUAUUUACCUUUUAAGAAGAUUUUGGAACGAGUACUCUGAGCUGCCUACCAGUACCUAACUGGGGUGGUUUACGAAUCAGUACUAGAAUUUAGUUUUCUGAAGGGUGGUGCUAUCCACACACCUAUUUUUACUUCUCACACACCCUCUUAAUUUCUGACCGUCGGAUCAAAUGAAUUGAAGAAGAUCAGUGGACAAAAAUUAAAGGGUGUGUGGGGGGGGGGGGUAAAAAGGGGUGUGUGAAUAGCACUACCCUUUCUGAAAUGCCCUGUUAGAGCUCUAGAUUUUAUCUUAAGUGCAGUAUUCUUACCAACAUAGCAUUUUGCUAGCACAUUAGUAUGUUUGACUGUCUUUCUGCAUGAACAGAGAACUGUUAACCUCAGGUUGGGAACAUGGAUGAGCUCAUUUUAGACUGUCUGUAUCUUCUACAUUUUCACAUCAUAUUCUUGAAUGUUGCCCAGUUAAGCCAUCACUCUUUAGUAUCCCAGAAUUGAACCACCGUUUUGAAUUUUUUUUCAUAUCCACCAAGUUAAGCUUUUAUGUGCUAUCUUGUUACUUCAAUCCUUUACAUCACUCUAGAUACAACGUUGUUGUUCUCUUCUUUACUUAUCUCUCAAGUUUGCUGCAUGUACCACUGUCUCCCUGUUUUUUUGCUAUUAUUAACUAUGCUUCCCCAUAAUGUUCAGGAAUCACAUUCAAGGAUAUCCAUCAAUUCGUAUUUUUCGUAAAGGAAGUGAUGUGAGGUAAAUGCUACAAAAUUCUACGAACUUUUUCUUUUCGAACAGAUUUCUAAUCAUUCAUUUAUUAUCGAAAUGAUUUCAGCCCUUGGAGUCUUAACAUUACAUUUUAGAUCGCAUUAUUUAUGCUUUGUACUUUUUUUUUGUGUUCCAUCUUCAUCUAAUUUGUAUGUGCAUCUUAUCUGCAUCUAUUGCAUAGCGCCUGUGGUUUGUAAUAUUCUCUUAGGCUCCAUUUCAACAUGUGGAUUUUAAUGCAAGAUUUGAAUUUGAGUUUUUUUUAAUAUUGUGUGUGAAGUGUCAAAAAAAGGGAUAAAGUGGGAAAAUUAUGUAGACUAAAUUAGGAAGUUAACUUGAAAUAACAUUUUGUUCUCAAAUAUUUAAUCUAAUAUUCAAUUACAUGUUAAUUCGAUUAGCAUAGAAUUUUAAUGUCUAAUAUCUCAUACAAUUUAUAAUAAAAAUGCAAAUUCAAAUCCUUAAUAUCAAGUCAUCUAUCUAAAUACAACCUUAGGGCCAAUUAGGUCUUAUCUAGGUUUUUAUGAUAACAGUCCAGGCUCUUUCCUCCAGGGGUGUGUGUCCAUUUUGAAGUGAAUGUCCUGGGUUAUAAAAAGGUUAACUGUUUCAGUGUCCGUUCUUUAUAUAGAACCGGAUUAUUUUGAUUUAUACCUCCGAUUCUCAAUUUCAUCCCCAUGGCAUGCCUGUCUUGUACACAUGAGGCUUAACUUAAGCAACCUCUUUAUCUGGCAUUUUUUCACAGGGAUGAGCAUGGACACCAUGAGCAUGAAUCUUAUUAUGGAGAUCGAGAUACAGAUAGCCUGGUUAAGGUACAAGCAUUCAUAAGUUUCAGUUAGCCUCACUGCAUCACAUGUUUAACUUUGUCUGUGAACUUUCUAGUACUUGAUAUUGAAUGCCCCAAAUGAAAUUGUAAAUCUGAUCUGAAGCUUCCAUCCUUGCAGACAAUGGAAGCUUUGGUUGCACCUAUCCCUGUGGAGUCUGACAAACACUCUUUGGAGGAUAAAUCUGACAACAGGGGUGAGAAUGCAAAAAGACCAGCACCAUUGACAGGAGGGUGUAGAAUUGAAGGAUAUGUGCGUGUAAAGAAGGUGAUCUUUCAGUUGAAAUUGAAAUUACUAGAAUCAUUGGACACAUUAGACCUAAUCGUAUGGCAAUUGUUAUUCCCAUAGAAUUCUUUGCUUUAUUCUUCUUGAUCCCAAAGCAUGGAUUGAGGUGCUUCACAUGCUUGGAAAUGCGAUGAAAGUAGAGAAGUGAUAAGGAUUGAACAACUCAUAUCUAUCUUUUCCUGAAGCAUGCCUUCAGGUGUUUCACAUGCUUAAAAUUGGUAUGAAUAAAGAGAAAUGCUAAGGUCAGUCAUGACUACUCAAUUUGGUUACCAGACCCGUGCACACAAGUCACCCUCACACCCUGAGAACCACAUGUGCAGUCAUGGUAGCCAUGGCUGGCCUUGGCUUCUUCAUGAAUAAAUUUUUUGCCUCAUUAGCAACUAAACUAUGGCUUUGUGUAGUUGGUACCUCCUUAAGUUUUUAAGUUCUUGUACUUGAUGGUUAACAUGAAUAAACAAAAGAGAGAAUAUUGUACCAGUAAUAUGCAUUUACUCAUUUUCACAAUUCUGACCUUCUUUGACCUGUCAAUUGACCCUACAAUGAAACUCCUAGUUGUUAUUGAGUUGGAAUAUAGUAUGAUUUGUCCUGUACCGUGCAGGUUCCAGGAAACCUUGUCAUUUCUGCACAUUCAGGAGCCCAUUCGUUCGAUGCUUCUCAAAUGAACAUGUCUCACGUCAUAUCACAUUUUUCAUUCGGUAGGAUGAUUGCUCCUAAGGUGAUGAGUGAUGUCAAGCGAUUGGUACCUUAUCUUGGUGGAAGCCAUGAUAGGUUGAAUGGUCGGUCUUUCAUAAAUCACCGGGAGUUAGGUGCUAAUGUUACAGUAAGUUUGUCACUAUCCAUGAUUCUUCCUAUCUUAUUGUGUUUGCUGCUCCAUUUUUUUACUAAAUAGUGUUUAUUCCUCUUCUAGAUUAGCGAUAUUCCUUCAUCUUUAUUCAUUAUUCCUCUGUCCUUAACAUAUGAUCUAUUCAGUAGUGAAGAGAUCAUGAAUGAAGUUUAUUUUGCUUCGAAGGAAUAGCUAAUGCUUAAGCUGGUUAUAAAUACGUUUUCUGGUAAUUGUAUGUGCAGAUAGAGCAUUACCUUCAAAUAGUAAAAUCGGAAGUUAUAACAGGGAGAUCUCACAAAUUAAUUGAGGAAUACGAGUAUACGGCCCACAGCAGCUUGGUGCAAAGUCUCCAAGUACCAGUUGCGAAGUUCCAUUUCGAGCUCUCCCCCAUGCAGGUUUAAUUUUUGUUUAAAAAGGAAAACCAACACCGUAAAUGCCUUUUAGCUUUUAAUAUUUUCGCUUCUCAUUUCUCUUUCGUUGUCUUCCAUAACCAGGUUUAAUAACAGAAAACCGGAAAUCCUUUUCACAUUUUAUCACCAAUGUUUGCGCUAUUAUCGGAGGCGUUUUCACGGUUGGUAUCUUCGUGCCGUCGUUCUUUACUUCUCUCAAGAAAGCAAACUGAUUUUUUUCUUUCCUUUGGGUUGCAGGUAGCGGGGAUAAUGGAUUCAAUUCUGCACAACACAAUUAGAAUGAUGAGGAAGAUUGAACUAGGCAAAAACUUUUGAUAGAUAGGCGAAGCUUUCGUUAGUGUACAAGAAGAAUUCUUUUAGAAAGAUAAAAGUGGAAUGAAGCAUCUCAAGUGCCAAUUUUUCGGUUCGAGUUUUCAGUGCAAGAAACGAUUUUAUAAACGUUAUACAUGCCUGUAUGGUUCGUAACUCCUGUAAUAUUUGUUUAGCUUCUAUUUUAUUUUUUUCGAAAAUAAUUUGAUGAUGGGAGCGGAUUCAUGACACUACUUUUUGUACAUUAUUUUUUAUAUGUUUUUAUGGGGUUUAUUUUGUAAUGUAUUUUAACAAUCCAAACUGUAUCUUUUAGAAUAUUAUUCAUAGAUAAAAAAAAAUUCAAAACCACUAGGACAUUCGCUUGUAGGAAGCAAAAAGAUGGUUACGAUUUUACAAAAAAACUCUAAACUUUUAAUUCAACGAUCAUAUUGUUUCAGAUUUAGGUGAUUUUUGGUCAAUAUAUCUUUAUCAAAAGUUGUGUAAAAAAAUAGGGAAUUGGAUCCCCUCCUGAGCAAAAUGGUGGGGAUCAUCAUGACCACACAACACGGGCCGUUGAAUUUUGAUCAAACAACUACAAUUAUUAUAAUUUUGGAGGGACUUCUUUGUUUGUAGCCGUUUGAUUAAAAUUCAACAGUCCGUGUUAUGUGGUCAUGAGGAUCCCCACCAUUUGCUCAGGAGGGGAUCCAAUUCCAAAAAAAUAGUGCAACCUAUCUGUCCCCAUGAUAUUGUAAUUAUUAGUGAGGUAACUUUAUACUAAAAAGGAAAACACAAACUAGAUACUCUCGCCUUUUGUUCUGGAACAUGUCCACGAGGGAUAAGUCGAAGGAGCAAUUAUACUUCUGCUUUGUUUUUCUGCCUUCCAGAAUAUAUCUUUCGCUUUCUGUUCUUUGAUGUUUUUUGCUGCAAAGGAGAGCAGAAAGUAGGGAUAAAUGUGAGGCGUUGAUAUAAAAAUCAAAUUCGCUGUCCAAUUUUAAUUCUCAUUAUUUAACGGUCAAAUAUGCAACUAAAAAGAAAAAAAAAAUAUUAUAUCUGAUUGUUAGUUAAUGAUAUUAAGUAAAUGCGCAUGUACUGUAGCUAGUCCCUUCAAUUUCAUUGGUUUCAAUUACUUAGCCAGUUGGAUUGUAUUCCUAUAUUCAUUGAUGGACAUCAAUAGAUUAAAUUUAUGUGAUUAGUUUCUUUGCAAAAAUCCACUUAUACAAUUCAAUCUAGCACGCUAUUUUUCUGGCAUAGGUAAGGAUUUUCAAUUUUUUUUUGAAAUUAUGUUUACUAUACUAUUAAGCCAAAUAUAUAUAUAUAUAUAUAUAUAUUUUAGUAAUGCUAUGGAAACCAAAUUGCAAACCAAAUGAUCUGUCACCAAUAAGAAACAAACACGUUAAUUGAUACUUAAUUAAUAAUCCAAUCAUUUACAACCACAUCAUUUAGUUUGCAAAUUUUUUUUAAAAAAAUUUGGUCUAUCUAGUGUUACUUUUUUUCUUUAGCAUUCAGUUUUUGUUCUACACAGGACAACAAAAUCCAGGAUGAAAACUUCAGAACUACAAAAUCUACAAACAAAGACCACAAUGAAAAUUUCACAGAACUAUAACAAAGCAUAAGAUUUAGAGAUUUUUGGCUUGUGGGUAUAACUAGGUUUUAGCUUUGAAGGUUUUUGGGUCUAUAUGUUCAAGUGAGAUUUUUGUUAUAUUUGAAAGUUUUAUAAAAAAUUAAAAUUGUGGAAUUAGGGGCUAAAUUUUGGUUAUAAACGAUAAAAACUUAAAUUCACAAUAAAUUUUAUAUUGGAUCAAAUAUGGAUUAGCUAGCUAAGUUUAACGUCUUUGGAUAGACGAACACCUCAAAUAUCUUAUUGCUUCCAUAAUCGCGAGUCAUGGAAGAAGGAUAAUACUUGCAUCUCCAUGGGGAAUGCACAUAUACAUUUGCAUGCACCGUGUAAAAUCAACCAAUUUAUUUAUUUGUACAUAUAUCUACAAUAUUGGCCUUUAUUUUGGAGUCUCACGAGCACACUACAAAUGAGUAUGAAACAAAUAUCAAGCACCGGUACAAACAUAUACACUGAGCUUUUAAGGAAAAAAAGCAAGUAAUAAAAAGAAAGGAAACUCUCAAAAGGAAAAGAAGCUUUAUACUUAAGGGAUCCAAUCCAGUUAGAGUAGUAAAAGUGUUGAGGAUGCAGCAAAUGCCCCGACGGACCCAAUAAAACUCAUGAAAAUUGAAGAAGCCGCAUUCGGAGGUGGAGGAGGUGUUUCAGGAGCUGGAGUUGGAGGUGGAGACGCUUCACCAGAGGGAGCUGGAGAUGGGGUCAUAUCUGUUGAGUUUGAAGGUGAAGGUGAAGGAGGAGUUGCAUUUCUGUUGCUUCUGUCUGCCAAGACAAUCACUAGCACCUUCUCAUUUUUGAGACAGUUGUCUUUGUUCCCACUGAUGAAAUAGAACGGUCCAGAUUGGUUAAACUGGAAGGCAGUGUGGCCAUCAGAGUAUUUCGGCCGAAGGCGAAUCAGUGUUGCAGUUGUUGUAGUCAUCCUGGGUUACUCGAAGCACUGAGUCUUGUCCAGGAGGGUAGUUGAACACUGCAGUUGAAGUAUAUCUCAAGUAAAUUAACAAGGGCAAGCAUGGCUAUGUGGCAGUCACAAACCUUUUAUUUUUAUUUUUACUUUUUACAAUUUUAUUGUGCUUUUUUAUACGGAGAGGGGAAGGAGGGGAAUUUGAACUCUAUUUUUUUAGUAUGGACGUAAUUCAUUAUGAUUAUUUAACGUGUUAUGUUGUCGUGACUCGUGAGAGACUAUAAAUUAAAAUCACCCAUAUACACAUAAUUCCACGAAAUCAGCAAUCCUAAUUACAGUUAGUCAAUAAAUUUCAAAUUGUCUAGCGACCUAUAUAUACAACAUACCAGACUGUGUAGUAAGGUCGAAGAAAUUUACUUUUAUAUUUAUUCUAAUCACAUAACUUCGAUUUUUAUCAUCGUUGAUCAAUUUAUGAACAUGAAUAAUGACAAGUAUAUCCAUUGAAAAGUAAUAUAAUUCUGUCCUCAAAGUUUGACAUACUGAAAGCUGAGAUGAAUAUGUAGAGCCUCAAAAUAUAGAGCAUAAAAAAACUUACCAAUGGAGUCUCCGAUUUGAAACCUGUUUCCUUCUGCCCAUUGACUAUAGUGAGUAGAAGAAUCUGGAACACUCCAACCCUUUGAACCUCCAAUUGCAAAGUCAGUUGCACCACUCUUCUGUAUCAACAGCAUCACACAUACGAUCCCCAGAACAAAAACUGCAUUAAUAUUAUUUUUGUGAAUGGGGUUGGCCAUUGUUGAAAAAUUAAUUCAAGAUUUGGUAUAAUAUAUAUUUUGAACCAAAUAUUGCUUGUAUUUCCCAGUUAAAUUUGGAAGACGAAGAAAAAUGGGGUGGAAUGAAUGGUGUUCGAGAGGGGUUUUUAUAGAGGGCAAGUUGCAUGAAAUACUUUUAACAAGCUAUGGAGUCAGUGAAGCUUUUGCUACUUUUCUAUUUCUUUUUCUUUACCUUUUAGGUUUCUUGGCUCUCAGAGCAAAGCAUACGUGCACUUUCAAAUUGCUAAAGGGUUGUUCUUUGGGACUUUAUGUUUGGGAACUUUUAAAUAACUUGUUGUGUGGGUUUAUUCUUUGCUUAUACAUUAUCAAGAAUAUUCAUGGCUUGUGUUCUGGGUUAGACUAAUUAAUUAUUCAACGUGAUCAGUCAUUCACACAAAACCUAUGUGCCAUUCAUUUCCCACUUUCGAAUGCAAAUAUAAUUGAAGAUCUCUGUCUGUCUUGUUAAGCAAUAUGCAGAAGGAGAAACAGAGAGAUCACAGAGGAAAAAGAAGAAGGAAUCAGAGAGAAUUUAGAGAGGAAGAAAGAAAGAAUUGCACUGAUAUUUUCUUGAUUAAUUCAAUGGUUACAAUGAUAUGCGUACUAUAUAGAUGAGUGCUAGGCUAACCACCUUAACCGACUCACUCCCUUACCAACAAUCCUAACUAAUUAUUCUAACAGUCACAUUCCUAACUGCCUUAUAUACUCUAACAUGUCUGUCUAUCUCUCUCUCUCUCUCUCUCUCUCUCUCUCUCCUGGCAUUUGCCUAUGUCAAUUUGCAGUGGAGUUCAGGAACUUAGUAAUAAGAGUCUUGCAGAAUGAUAAUUUGCAUUGAAGAACUGACUUAUACUGACUAGUGACCGAGCACAUGUUCCAACUCCAAAUUGCAGAACUCAAGUUUAAGUUUAACUUUGUUUUUCCGUCAGACGUACGGAUGCAAUCUCUUUUAAAAAAUAUACAAAUUAAUCAAAUCAUUGUGAGAAGGUAAUGAAGUACCCUUUUGGAUUAGAGUUGGUCUUGUGGCUGUUGCAAAUUCGUUGAAUGAUUCUGUUCAAGGGGAUCAUUAUAUAUAUGCAUCACAAUUAAUGAGGAUGUUAUUCCACUAAUGCUACAGUUUAAUGGUAAUUUUAUCAAAUUUUUAAGGGUGGGUUUGACACUAAAAUAUUAUGGCUAACUCAAUGUAUGACUUAACCCAUCAUCCCUUAGUGUAAAUGUUGAGUGUAUAUAAGAGACCUACCAUAUGCUUACAAGGAGUUUUGCUACUCUCCAUGUUGCCAUUUGAUUUUUUGGUGAAACCUCAAUUUCCUUCAUAUAUUAGAGCAUGUUAGACCGUGUUAAGCAUAAGAAUUUGUGACACGUGAAAUUUUAUGAAGAAACCUAACUUCCUUAUGUAAAACCGAUUCUCCAAGCAUAAUAUUGUGCUGAGCUAGCUUUGCCAAAAUCCACUUUGAAGAAGAUGCUAUAUCGUAUUUGUUUGCAUCGAGUUUGUAGUUUAUAUAUGUAAUAAUAUGAAGGACACAAUUUUUUCUCUAGAUGGCUAGAUUUUAUCCCCUUCCUCUUACUUUUGUUUUUGGUGUAAAAUUGUCACCUUGAAACAUUGAAGUCGCCGAGAUAUUCACCAUCAUUUUGCCUAUCCACACAACUACCUCAAGGUUUUGAAUCCAGUUGUCACCUUCAAUAUGAGUUUGGAGCUGCAAAGCGUGAAAGCUAUCAAAUUGCAUUGUAUAAGCUAUGAUUGACUUAUUUCCUUAAAGAUAAAAACCUCCGACUUUGUGUUGUGGUCAAAGUAGAGUUUAGGGUUAUUGUCACUUGAUGAGCUUGGAUUGAAGAAUGCCCUGAAGAAUUGAAAGCUUCGUACUGAAGAAUAUCUUAGACGCUCUACUAAGGUAGAGACAUUUCAUGCAUUGCAUAUUGCUAGUGUCACGCCCCAGACCUGGGGUUGGUGAAGAAAUUUUUUUAAGCAGUAUCGGAUAAAAAAUUAAUAUUGCCGCUUAUAGCAGACAUAACCUAUAUAUAUCGUAUAUAACCAACAUAAACUCAUUAUUAUCCGAGAGGAAUAAUGAAGUGGCAAAAUUUUCGCCCUUAGCUUGUACUCUUGGUGGAUAGUUUUUAUUUUUUUAAAUAUUUUUAACCUAUCUUAGCGGAUAUAAGUUAAUAAUGGCGUAAGUUGUUUCAUUUCUUCUUCACUGUAAGUUGUUCAGUUCUUGUUCUUAUUUUUCUUCUUUUUCCUUCUAUUCUUUUCAUCUUUUCUUCUCAUCUUCUAUUUCUUCUUUCGUUCAACGCCUCUUGUAUCUAAUUCUUGUUUCCGAUUUUGUUUUGUAGGGGUAUUAUUUGAGUUGGCUGAGUCCAAGAUGUAUAAAUCGACGACGAAAUUCUUCAAUUAAUUAGAUAAAUUAGUAAUAUUGAUGUUAAAUUAAUAAAUAUUUAAUAAAAUUUAUUUAUUUUUUCACUUAAAUUGUUAUGAGAAAAUUUAAAUGAACAAUAUUUAGAAAUAUUUAUGUUAAAUUAUUUAAUAUAGCAUAAAUUAGUAUAUUAAUGUUUAUGUUAAAUUAAUUUAUUUUUUCACUUGUAAGUGAGAGGUCUUUGGCCAUAGAUGGUGAAGUCAAUACCAAAUUAGGUUGCCCAUUGUGUGACUUAGUGAAACUGCCCCUCCUCUUAUUGUAAAAUAUAUCGUGGUACUAAAAAAAAAUUAUUUUUUCACUCUAAUUGUUACGAGGAUGUACAAUACUUGAAUUUAAUGAAUAAUCAAGAUUAGAUAAGCAUAAUUUUGAUUACCUUUUGUUGUUUUAAAUCUUUUUCUAUUAUAGGCAUUGGAAAUUAAAAGAUUGCAAGUGUGAUAGAGUUCGAGGGUUAAAAGAUAGGGAUUGAAAAUUGUAAAGUUAUGCCUACAUGAUAAGGAUUGAAAGAUUGUACGGAUCUUAAUAUCAACGUAAUAUUUUGCCCUCGUAAAGUGGUAAAACAUGGACAUGAGUUGGUUGAUCAACCACGAAAUUUGGAAGCGUAUACAGAUGGAAUUAAGUUGUGUUAAUGUCAUAAGACAUUUACUUGAACUUUGAUUUUUCACUUUGGUUUGUACUAACGCAAAUACAUGAACUUUGAUGUUAGAUUGAAUUUGUUGAUGCUUAAUGUUGUUAGAUUGGAUUUGUUGAUGUUUGAUGUUGUUGGAUUGAAAGAAAAAAAAAAAGAUUUUGGCACUAGUAUGUGUCGUGAAAUUAGAUGCUUGAACUUUGAUGUUUGUUGAAUUGAAAAAAAAGGACCUAUUUACAUUAAAAUAAAACUAGCAACAAAUUAAAGCCUAAAAUUGAUUUGGGCCUAUUUCUUAAAAAAAAAAAAAAGGCUUCGUAAAUAAAAGGCCUAAAACCGAAUUGGACUUGUUUUGGACCGAACUGAACUGAACUCAUUAGGUUCGGUACUAAUUCAGUACACCCAGGCAUACAUAACCGAGUUGUAUCGAAGUUUUGCUACGAGUUUGGUUUCGGUACCAUCUUUAUACUGAACCAUGCCCAUGCCUAGUUCUUAUUGACAUGAGUAUGUAUUUAGUAUACAUACAUAGAUCUCUAGGCAAUCACAUUCAGUGAACUUAGUCUUUAUUAAACACUUAUACACUUGUCUUAGCGACUUUUGCUACUGACGUGAGACUAGCCAUGCAUCUCAUCCUACAAUUGCGCAAACGUUAUGUGUUCCACUCUUACCAUAUUAUAAGAUAUCAAAUCAAAUAAUCCAACAAUUAGAAAGGGAGAGGGGCCGGUGGCACAGGAGAGAGGGAAGAGAGAUGUGUGUUUGUAGAAUUGUAGGGGAAUGUGUGUUGUUAUCCCUCCUACAUUGUGCCUUUAUUUAUAGUAGUAAAGGGAGAUAAGAUAUUCCUUCUUCUCCAAGUAAUACAAGUUGUAAUAGGAAAGGAUAACUAGAAUCAAAUCUAAUAAAGGAUUUACACAAUCAUAUUUAAACUAGGAAUGUUCACAACGCUCCCCUUUGAGUGUGUAAAUACUAAAGGUAGAUUCAGCAUCAUGUAGAAGUUGAGGAAGUCGACUCGUCGGCACUGAUUCCAAGGAAUAACGCUUAUUCUCAAUAAGGUAGGAACUUGCAUAAGUAGUAACUCUCACUAAAAAACCCAAAGGCUAUGGCAAAAACUCGAGUAGGGACAAAAUCCAUAGUCUAAGGAAAAAUGUAUGAGAAAUGCAAAGUUAAAAGAAACGUUUACAGGACGUCAUCAGGGAUAUGACCAGCCCAAGGUGGGUCCUCAUUAAAACCUAGUUAGGUAGCAAAAACCCAUUGGAAAAAAUGCUCCUAAUCGUAGGGAAAAAGAGUACAUUAAGAUCAAGCAAGUAUCUACAUGAUACUCCCCCUGAGUUUGACAUAAUUCCAAAGAGAAAUAGCAAAGUUACAACUUAGAAAGUUUACGCAUACCAAUUCCAUGAACAAGCUUCUGAAACGUCGCAUUCGGCAGUGAUUUGGUGAAGAGGUCGGCCAGAUUAUCUUGCGAACGGAUUUGCGUGACUUCAAUCUUCUGAUGCUCUUGUUGUUAAUGUGUAAAGAAAAACUUCUGCACAAUGUGCUUGGUGUUGUCUCCUUUGAUGUAACCCUUAUUGAGCUGUUCGAUGCAACCUGCGUUGUCCUAAAAAAUUGUCGUCGGGGCAUUAACGGCGGGAUGAAGAUCGCAAGAGCUUCAAAUAUGGCCCACUACUGCUCUUAACCAAAAGCAUUCUUGAGUUGCUUCAUGUAAGGCGAGAAUUUCAGCAUGGUUAGACGAAGUGGCAACUAAGGACUGUUUAGUUGACUACCAAGAGAUUGCAGUGCCUUCAACGGUAAAGACAUAACCCGUUUGAGAACGCGCCUUGUGCUGAUCGGAUAAGUAUCUAGCGUCGGCAUAACCAAUAAGGUGAGAAUCAACCCGAUGAGCAUAGGGUGCGGCAUCACUUGAGGAUUCGUAGGGAUAGAACAAGCCCAAAUCCGUAGUACCCUUAAGGUAAUAGAAGAUGUCUUUCACGCCAGUCUAAUGUCUGUGUGUUGGUGCAUUGCUGUAUCUUGCCAAAAGAUUAACAGCGAAGGUGUCGGGUCUAGUGCAUUGAGCUAAGUACAAUAAAGUGCCUAUCACACUUAGAUAAGGAACUUCAGGCUCCAAAAUCUCUUCAUCAUCCUCUUUUGGACGGAAGGGAUCUCGUUUUACAUCUAGUGUACGAACGACCAUAGGAGUACUGGAAGACUUCGCUUUAUCUUCAUUCAAACGGCACAACUUUUUGGGUGUAGUUCGAUUGAUGUACUAGGAUUCCAUCCGAACAAUGCUCUAUAUCGAGACUGAGACAGUAUUGAGUCUUACCUAGAACUUUCAUCUCAAAUUCUGACUUCAGGUGCGAAGCAGUUCUCGUGAGCUCUUCACGAGUUCCGAUGAGAUUCAUGUCAUUGACAUAUACUGCAACAAUCGUAAAUCCGGAAUGUGACUUUUUAAUGAACACACAAGGGCAUAGUUCGUUGUUCACAUAUCCCUGACUAGUCAAAUACUCACUUAGACAGUUAUACCACAUUAUUCCAGAUAGUUUCAAAUCGUAGAGUGAACGCCUCAACCAAAUUGAGAGCGUGUUCUGAGGUUUGGAAAUAUUUGAACCAGUCAAUGUAAGUCAUUCGGGAACUUUCAUAUAAAUUUCCGUAUCAAGAUCCCCAUAGAGAUACGUGGUUACUACGUCCAUCAGCUGCAUAUCCAGUUUUUCAGAAACUACCAGACUGAUAAGGUAGCGAAAAGUAAUCACAUCCAUAACGAGUGAGUAAGUUUCAUCAUAGUCAAUCCCGGGACGUUGCGAGAAACCUUGUGCUACAAGACAAGUUUUGUAACGCACAAUCUCGUUUUUCUCAUUAUGCUUCCGAACGAAAACCCACUUGUAGCCAAUGGGCUUCAUAUGUGGAGGAGUAGGAACUACAGGUCCAAACACCUUACGUUUCGCAAGUGAAUCGAGUUCGACUUGGAUUGCUUGUUUCCAAUUUGACCAAUCAACUAUACGUUGACAUUUAUCAACGGAACACGGUUCAAUGUCCUUACUUAAUAUGAUCUCAGUAGUUACUGUAAAUGCUAAUGCAUCAUCGAUAAUCAUCUCAUUUCUACGCUACAUCAUCUAAGCUAGUAUAAGAGACCAAAAUCUCAUGAUUCUCAGGAGGAGGAUUCGUCUCUUCAAGAACGCUUCCGUAAUCUAGAAUUUCCUCAUGAGUUGGGUAGAAUGAGUAAGCGAUAUUCAGAUUCACGGUAGGCUCUUCAGGACCUUAUGCCGUGGUUUUCCUCUUCCAGGGGUGUGAAUCCUUUGAACCAAGGGGUCUGCCACGUUUUUGUGUAGGGGCAGAUGAUUGGCUAGCCGCUAAUGUACGUGGAUCACCAGAAUUGACAUCCCGGGCUUCCAGAAGGGCAGUCCGUCGUACAUUUGGUACAUCCAUCUUUGCAGGCGUAUUCGCAGCUGGAAUAUGUGAUCUUGUCACGCGCGCUAGAUUGGUGAAAGCAUCUGGCAUGCUCUAAGCUAUGCUCUGGAGAUCUAAUAUGUGCUGCACUUCAGCUUCGAACUGAGGAGUGCGGGGAUCUAAAUGAGACAAAGUGGAAGUCAUCCACAAUAAUUUGUGUCGUUCAUUAGGAACAUUGAUGUUCUUAUCUCUCCAUAACGGCGGGAAGACUGUCUCAUAGAAGUGACAAUCAGCAAAACGAGCGGUAAACAGAUCGUCUGUCAAAGGUUCUAAGUAACGAAUAAUUGAAAGAGAAUCAUAUCCGACAUAGAUUCCCAUCCUUCGCUGAAGCCUUAUUUUUGUACGUAAGGGCGGCGAGAUCAGCACAUAUACCGCACAACAAAAAACGCACAGAUGCGAUAUAUCGGGUUCGCAUCCAGUGACCAACUGAAGGGCACUAAAUGGUUGUGUCGCAAUAAGCCUUAGGCGGACUAACUUUGCUGCGUGCAAUAUUGCAUGGUCCCAAGCAGCGAUCGGGAACUUGGUACGUAUGACCAAUGAUCGAGCAAUCAUUUGUAAGCAUUUAACGAAAGCCUCUGCCAGGCCGUUCUUGGUGUGAACAUGGGGUACAUGAUGUUCAUCUUCAAUCCCAACUGACAUGCAAUAGUCAACAAAAGUUUUAGAUGUGAAUUCUCCAACAUUAUCCAAUCGAAUAGAUUUGAUCGGAUAAUCAGAGUGGUGAGCCCUGAGCUUGAUAACCUGAGCCAACAGUUUGGAGAAUGCAACGUUCCUUAUGGAAAACAAGCACACAUGUGCCCAACGUGUGGAAGCGUCAACCAAAAACAUAAAAUAUCUAAAUGGUCCGCAGGGAAGUUGAAUCGGUCCACAAAUGUCCCUCUGAAUCCGUUGUAGAAAAAAUGGGAGGAUUUGAACGAAUCUUGUCAUAAGAAGGCUUAGUAAUAAGCUUUCCCAUAGAACAUGUUUGACAUGCGAUUUCAUGGAUCAAACCUAAGCUUCGGGUUAGUGGAUGCCCGUGUAAAGAUUUGAGGAUACGGCACAUCGCUAUUCGUCCUGGAUGUCCCAAACGAUCAUGCCAAAGCGUAAUUUCGUGCACGGUCCCUGUGGUAGGGCCGGCCACAUAGUGGCAUUCUAUGGGGCGUAUGGUCGUAGUAUAUAGACCACUCGGGAUACGCUCUAUCUUCUUGAGAAUACGCUUCUGGCCAUAUUUGUAGGAAGUUAUGCACAUAAAUUCAACUCCGUUUUCUACGUGGUAAUUGUUAUCUUUAAUGUCCUUGAAACUGAGUAACGUUCUUCUGGAACGUGGAGAAUAGAGUGCCUCAGCAAUGGUCAAGAUUGUACCAUUAAACAACAUUAUACGUGCCUUACCGUAUCCUUCUAUCAGGUUGGAUGGGCUUGAGAGGGUUGUCAGAGAUGCAUUCUUAGGUAUGAAGUUAGUGAAAUAGAUGCGUUCACGCAAAACAGUGUGCGUGGUUGCAUUAUCUGCCAGACAACUAACUUUCCCACUAGUCAUACCUAGAAUGAAAAAUUAAUUUGAAUCGGUCACAUGCAUAAAAGUUUAUAAAAACAAAUAUCAAUUCAAAAAUAAUUUCAUUUAUUCAAGGAUUAAAACUUAAUAUCCAAAACAAAUCGCCAACGAAUAAUCCAAAAACAUAAAGGAAAAUUGUUCAAAAUCAACAAAAAACAAGGGGGGGUUCGGCCACUAGGUAGAAUUCGGCCCCAAUGGUCUUAUUUUAACUAAAAAUAAGUCUAUGUCUAAGAUUCUAAUCUUCCAUAGGGGUGGUAUCCUCCUGAAAGUCAGAAACCUCCAUUUUUGUAGUCUCCAGUUCGUCCACUUGCAUGAAGUUUGAUUCAAAGCUUAAAUUUUUAUUGAAAAAUUAAACCUUAAAAUUUUUUGACAAAUAUUUCGUCAGGCAAGAUUUAUAAUUUAAAAAAAAAAUCUGAAAUUUAAAAGAUAAAUUUUAUUUAAAUCCAUAUAACUUCUUUUUACACCCAACUUAAAUUUUAAAUGUUAAUUGUCAUUUUUAUCCUAUUGCAUAAUUACUAUUAAGUACAAAAUAAAAUUAAUAAUAAAACUCAAAUUUAUCAAUAAACUCACACACUAUAAUUAAACUCUACCAUCACUCUGUGUUUAUCCUACAUUUAUUCCGGCUAAAACCUAAUAGCUCUUAUAGAGAAAAACAAGUUUUUUUAUUGGUGGAUGGUGAUUUUGAACUUUUGAAUCCUCCAUGACUCGAUUUAUGAAUUAUUCAAGACAAAUAAUUAUUUCUUUCAAUUAAUUUACAUCCAAACAUGACAUAACAUGCUAAUGAACCCUAAAAGGGGCUCAUAUUUUAGCACAUUAGAAGGUGAAAUAUCAACCAAGGCAUCUUAGGUAAAGCAUGAUAAGCUGAAAGUGAUUUUUGCAGGUGUGAACGUCACAUCCCGGUCACAACUCCGUCGUAGCACGAUAUUGUCCACUUUGGGCCCCGUUCACUCCCUCACGGUUUUGUUUCUGAGAACUCACACGAGAACUUCCCGAUGUCACCCAUCUUGGGAAUGCUCUCUCUCGAACUCGCUUAACUUCGGAGUUCCAAUGGAAUCCAAAGUCAGUGAGUUCCCAAAAGGCCUCGUGCUAUAAGAGGUGGGCAUGUAUGUAUAAAGCACAUCACCCACUCUUCGUUGGUCGAUGUGAGAUGUUACAAUCCACCCCACUUAAAGGGAACUCGGCGUCCUUGCCGACACAUCCGCACCGAACGGUAGAGUGGCUCUGAUACCAUUCUGUCACAUCCCAGUCUCGGCUCCACCGUAGCACAAUAUUGUCCUCUUUGGGGCCCGGCAACGCCCUCACGGUUUUGUUUCUGGGAACUCACACGAGAACUUCCCAGUGGGUCACCCAUCCUAGGAAUGCUCUCGCCCGAACUCACUUAACUUCGGAGUUCUAAUGGAAUUCGAAACCAGUGAGUUCCCAAAAGGCCUCGUGCUAUAAGAGGUGGGCAUGUACAUAUAAGGCACAUCACCCCCUCUCCGUUGGUCUAUGUGGAAUGUUACACUGAAUAACUAUAAGAAUAUGGGAAAUCAGAAAAAGAUGAACACGCAAAAAUUUAUAAAGUUGGUAGAGAUAUUUAUGAACAAGACAAAUGGGUGUAAAGAUAAAUUUACAUAUUGAAUUGAGUUUGUGAGGUAUUUAAGGUAGUAAAUUUGGGUUUAAAGAGAUAUUGAUAGUUUAGUUAAAAACCAAAUGGGUGUAAAGAGUAAGUUGGGUGUCGAAAGAGGUUACAUGAGUUUAAAUAAAAUUUCCCAAAUCUUAACCCAACGAAUGAUUUCGUGGUAAAAUUUAAUUAAAAAUAACGAUUUAUUUAAUAUUAAAAAAAAUCAAAGGUAUAUUUAAACUUAAUAAACUAAAUCCUAUAAUAUUAAAAUCAUAAUAUUAAACAAAUUUAUUUCAUUAACAAAAACAUAAUGUUUGCACAAUUAUAUUGUAAAUUAAAAAAUAAAUUUAUUCUGAAUGGAAAAUUUGUUCAGUCGUCCAUUAACCCGAAAGACAUCAAUUUUCAAAAUUUAUAAAUCCUGAAAAUUACCACUGAGCCAUUGCCAUUCGUCCAUCCUAUGCUCAAAUUCAAGAGACGAAUGGGUAAGAGCUUCCUCAUGACCUUCAAAAGUUUUGUAGUGGUUGCGUGGCUCAUACUUCCACUCCAUGAACCAAUCAUUCCACAAACGGUUUGUGUAGGCCGUCGUACCUGGUCUUCCACGCCAAUCUCAAAAUUGAUCUAAACUAGAAAAAAAUGAAGUAUUACGCAUAAAAAUACAUUAAGUAAUUAUCUAGAGUAAUUAAAAAUAUUAAAUUAAAAAAAAAAAAAAUUUACCAAGAGAUAUGCCAUCAGCCCUACUUCGUUUCAGGGGAGAUGUUCUUCCAUCUAUCAAUAGUCAUAGGGCACCUUGCUCGGAUGAUGACUCCUAUCUCGUGAGCCAAUAUUGAAUGAACACAGAGGUCCGCCGCAUGCAUAUAUCUUGGGUCAUGUUCUACCCUCACUCUUAGGCCUGGUUUGGUACUGAGGUGAUUCUGAAAAAAGUCCCAGCUUUUUUAUGUUUGGUAAACAUUCAGCUUCAAUUUUUUUUCACAGUUUUGGGUGAAAAAAAACCAAAAACACAAAGCUGCAAAACCCAGCUUUGAAAAACCAGCUUUUUUUCAUAUCUGUUUUAAAUAAAAGUUUAUCAAACACUAUAAUACUGCUUUUUUUUUUCAAAAACAUUUUUACAGAAAAGUUUACUAAACACUCUGCUGCUUUAUUUCACAGCUGCUUAUUUUCACAACACAGCAGAAGCAAUUUUUUUUCAAAACACAGUAAUACCAAAUCAGCCAUUAAGCCAAGAUUCUUCUAGACGCCCCGCUCACGGGGCGUCUUCCAAAACAAACUGUACCCAUUCUCAUAUCACCCAUCCCUAAACCGGACCGCCCUCUUUCUUGAUCCCCACAACAUCAAAUCAUUCCCCCACCUCCCAAACCCUUCCCUCACCAACUCUCCAAUUUUUUCCAACCCAAAUUCUCAUAAUUACAAAUUCAAAAUAAUUGAGGAUAGAUAUCAGACCUUUAAAUUUGUGAGAGUUUGAGAGUUGAAUAGAUGGCAAGUGUGAGAGUUUGAGAGAGGGGAAACGAUUUUGAGUGGGGUAGGGGGCAUUUUGGAGAGAAAAGAGAGAAUAAUCUACGACCUAAUAUAAAACGUCAGGAUUUUGCUCGACGAACCAUUUUAUCGGACAAAUGUCUUAAAUUAAAUAAAAACACACGGUAGAAUGUUAAUUUUUCCGACGAACACAUCCAUCGGCAAGUGUUCUAUAAAAAAAAAAUAGGGCCAAAAUUUUGGCCAAAUAAAUUGUUGAAAAAGCACUUCGGCCGAUGAGUUUUUGGUCAGUCAAUUGGGCAAACCCAAAAUUUGGAGGGAAAUUCGAUUUUUAAGAAAAAAAAUCGGGGGAUAUUUUUCACAUUGCUCGACGAAUUUUAGGUUUGGCGUAACGAAAUUUUAUACUUUGCCCUAUGAAAUUACCUUUUUCCAUCGGGUAAGUAAUAAAAUUAAAAAAUAUCUCCAAAGUUUGAAAUUUUUUUUGGGAACAAUUCAAUGAUAACCGAAUUUGAUGAUCAGGUGUAUUCAAUAUGGGUUUGAACUCUCAAGUAGCAUCUUUAGAAAAAAUAACAUAAAUCAAAAGUGAUAUAGCCGUUAUAUCGUUAUGCUAAGUUUGUAAAUUUCCAACCUUUUGAACCAAUCCCUACUCCCUCCACCUUAGUUUUGAUAGUGUUUUAUGUAUGCAUUCUCGUACUAUACCGAAACAAUUUUGACAAUUGGAUCAUGGAAAAUAAUUUUGUAGAAUUCGUAUCCCCACAAUGCAAUCAUUUUGUGAUAACCACUAUUGUAAGCUUUUUAAUUCAUGAUCCAUUCGAUUCACAUGACAACCAGCAUUUGAAGUUUCGCACAAUGAGUCUUUUAACCCUUAAUCUAUAAAUCGAGAUUUACAAAAUAAACGGUUCGAAUCGUUGAAAUUCGAUUUAAAGUGGAUUCCACAACUUUUAUACAAUUCUAAAUUUUGUAUAAAAUGAUAUAGUAUUUGAGUCAAUUCAUGUAAAUUAUAUUUAACCGUUCCAAUGCCAACAAAGUUGACCCACUUCACUUAUUGCAUUGACUUGACUCAAUACUGGUUUGUUACUAACGUGCUUUUAUAAAAAGUGAGUAUAAAAAAAAACUGAGCUCAAAAAUGUGUUUGGUAAACACUUAAAAACAUCUUAUUUUCACAGUUUUGGGUGAAAAAAAAGCUGAAAACGUGAAGCAACAUAAAUGUCGAAUUAUGAUUUCUUGUUAAACGUUGAAUUAUGAUUUUUUGUUAAACGUUGAAUUAUGUGUUUAAGAUAAAGUUUAUAAAUAUUUUUCUUUUAAAAAAAUUAUUUUUAGUAAUUCACCUUUAUUUGUUAAGAAAAUUAAAUUAAUGGCACAUCUAGUAUUAUACAAUUUUUUGUCAUUUCACAUAGUUACAACUGUUUUACAUAAAAAUUUACCAAACAAUAUAAUACUACUUUUUUUUUCCAAAAGCACUUUUACAAAAAGGUUUACCAAACACAGCUACUUUAUUUCACAACUGCUUAUUCUCACAUGACUUUCUCUGUUCCCGCGAAAGUGUGGAAAUCUAUCAACUUCUCAACCAUCCACAAAAAAAAAAACCCAAUAAAAAAUAGGGAACUUUAAAGAAAAGCUCCCGAUACUGUUCACUUUAACGAAAAACCACAUUUUUACACUAAAAAGUCAAUCUUGGUACUAUUUACUUUACCCUUUAUUUUUUCCUUAUCGUUAAAACUCAAAGUUUUCAAACCCUUUUCAUUAGUUUUGCUUAAAAAAUAUCCCACAAAACAGUAAAUUUAUUAACCGUAGAGAAAAAGGAGACCCACGUACAGGUAAUUUAUUUCAGGAUAAAAAUGUAAGGUAUUUACGUGCGUAAUAAAUAGAUGUCAUAAAAUUGAGACAGUGAAAGUGAGUGCAAAACAAAGGAAAACAGAGGAGGUUAAAAACAAAACUAAAAAAGUUAAUAAAUAUUUGUGUGGGGUUUUCUCAGGUGUGGUGUGCAGUGGCAGCCGUCCCGUCACGACUUUGACAGAAUAUUUACCGCGACAAUCAUCAUCGUCGUCAACAACCACACCCCCACACCAGCUAAUUUUACACAGAAAAAAAGAUAAAAUAGUACCCAAUAAGGCAAUAAAGAAAAACAGAGCGUUUUUUGGUCGGGUUUUGAACUUUUUAUUGUAGCUGGAGCUUCAUUUGCCACUUCAACCGCCUCAUCUGGGUCCCCUUAAACCUUGAUCCAAAAGGGUGUGCAGAAGUUUAAUUUAUCUGGGGUUUGAUAGAUUUUUUCUGGGUUUUGGUUUAUUUUUUUUAGAAGGGGUGGGUGUUCUGAGUGCUGGUUGAGGGCCAUUUUUGUUGGUUUGGGGCAAUUGCUUUUGUGUUUUUGUGAAAGUGCUUUUGGGGAUUGGAAUGUGGAGGGACGCCGGAAUUCCUGCUGAUUCUUUCUAUGAAGUCCGCCCUGAGUGUACAGAUGUGCCCAAAACCCGCUUCAAGAUCAAGGUUUCUCCUUCUGUUCUUUGUUUGAUUGUUGGAAUUAGAUAUAAAGAUUGAUUUUUUGGGUAUCCAUUAUCUUAAUUUUGAUCUGUUUCCCAUUUGAAAACUAAGAUAUUGCCUAAUGCAUCAGAUUUGAUAAUUGGUGGUGAUUAAUUUUGGUUAAGAUCAUGAAUUGUGUUCAUAUGGAUCACAAAAUGUUGUGCAUUUUCCAAUUUUAUAGAAUUUUUGGAAGGAAGAAUGUUGGGGACUGCGUUAAUGUUAACAUUAAUUGGUCAGCUUGUUGAAUUUUGUAAGGAGAAUGUAGGAUAGAUAUAGGGAUUAUUCGGGCGAUAAAAAUCUGAGUUAUCAGGAUCUUGUUGGUUCUCAAUAUGGAUCCGAGAGUCAAUAUGCUCCUACUCGGUAACGCCCACCCAAUAUGUUGGGAAUGGUCUGGUGUUGGUUAUGCACAACUUUAAAUAAAUUCUGAAUGCAUAAACGCUUACGUACACGAACAUGAAAAAGAUAAAUUGUGAGCAUUUAAGGGAAAUAUACCUAUAUCUGCACAAAAAUUUUCCUCAAACUCCAUCAUGUCAGGAUCUUUUAUUUGAAAGUUUUCUGAAGUUUGGACAUUUUUAUCUCUUUCUCCUUCUCCAUUUAUCAAGAUAUGUUUGUAAUGCCAAUUUUUGCUGGAUACCAAAGUACUAUGGAUCUGAACAUUGAUCUAGAUUAUGGUUCAUAGGGGUUAGCUCUUAUAAGAAUCUGAUUUGAUUAUAUUAAGGCUUGUAAACAUUGAGAAACUGAUAAAGACUCAUUGUGUAUUCUAUAAAAUGUGUUUGCAAUUAUCUUAUUACUUCAUAAUGAUUUCAAUGUCUCAUUACCGUGAUGUGCUUCUUCCAAUUUCAACGCCUUAUUUCUAUUUGCUCAUGCAGGCAGGUAAAACUCUUAGUGUAAGGAAAUGGCAGGCUGCAUUUAGUCCUGAAGGCCAACUGGAUAUAGGCAAGACUUUAAGUCGAAUUUAUCGUGGGGUGAGUGAAUCUUCAUAAUUCAUAGCUGCGCCCCUUAGUAUGUUAGAAUUUUCGUUAUAUUUAUAAAAAUCAGUUUUUCAUCCUGUGUAGCUAUCAGAGUGUCUCGACAAUCCUAUCAAUACUCGUCUUUAUGGAAUCACUUUUUUCUGUUUUUGUUGUUGUUGUUUUUUUAUUGUAAAAUCAAAUGAAAAGCCUACCCUUAGCCUGCUUACAUGAUGGGAAAUAUCUACGAAAUCAGAGCCAUCGGUUUAGUGAAAAAAUCAGAUUAACUAUUACUUAAUUUUAUUUAAGUAGUAUUUGCGCAUGAAAUAACAUAGAUGCUUCAUUGUUUGACCUUCCAGCUGUUGUUAGCCUGGUACUAGUUCUUCAUUUUGUGGAUAUCUUUAACUUAUUCUUUUAAAUAGUUUUCCUCAUGAAAUAAUCAAUUUACAAGGCUAGUAGUCAGCUUCAAUCCAUAAUUAUAUUAUAUUUGGCAAUCAGGGAAUUCAUCCAUCAAUUAGAGGAGAAGUUUGGGAAUUUCUACUAGGUUGUUAUGAUCCUAAGAGCACAUUUGACGAAAGAGAGCAGAUUCGGCAAAGUCGAAGGUAUAUCUUGUUUCCUGCCUUACUUGGGUUACUUGAAAUUUAUUUAUUCACUUGCCUUUUUUCUUUCUCUUUAUCUAAUGAAGUUUCCUAGUGGUAGUACACUUGCAAAUGAUGAUAACAGUCUAAGGAGAAAUUUAUUUCUGGUUCAUGUAUCUUUUAGUACUGCAGUCCAAUAUGUUUUGUAAUUCAAAGAUGAUCUUUUGGGAAAUGAAUGGUCAAUACCAUGAGUUGAGUUUUAUAACUUGCAAUGUACCCGAGUAAAUAAAUUUAGUUGACAGCAAUGUUGAAACUUGCUAGCAAAAGACUAAGGGUUUCCUCUUCAUACGAUAGUGAUCCAGACUCCAGCAUCUCUAUUUUGUGUGGGCUGUGUAAAUUCCCAAACUUACAGGCUCUACAUAAUGUUAUCUUGUCAGAUUCCAACAUGUUAUGCUUCACCUGUCCCGUUAUUCGGUUUUAUUUAUGAAGUAUCAUGUUUUGCCAUUUUCAGAGUGCAAUAUGCUAGGUGGAAGGAAGAUUGCUGCCAAAUGUUUCCUGUUGUUGGGAGUGGUAGGUUUAUCACUGCCCCCGUAAUCACUGAAAAUGGUCAACCCAUUCAGGAUCCCAUAGUACUUUCACAAAUAAAUCCAGACAAGGGUUCUCAGGAUAAUGGUUCAAGCACAAACCGUAAUAAUGCUAUGGAACCAGUAAUGGACAAAAAAGUAAUCCAGUGGAUGCUUACUCUACACCAAAUAGGUUUGUGAUAUAUUUAUGUGUUCAUAUUUUAAUAUGCAUCCUAUGGUUAUUUUGGAGGAAUAUGUUUUUCUUAUGGUCCGGCAUUUUUUCUUUUUGUUGUUGGAUGUACAACUCAGACUUUUUUAUUGUUCAAUUCUCUGUUUUCGUCACGUCUUUACAUAACCUACCUGCAAGAUGUGAAAAGUACUGAACAUGAUGGAUUGCAGAAUUUUUCAUGUUUUAUCUUGAUAGGGUAGAUAACUUUUCUGUUUGUCUUUAUUUGUAUGCCAGGUCUUGACGUGAUUCGUACUGACAGGACACUAGUAUUUUAUGAGAAGCAAGAGAACUUAUCAAAACUUUGGGAUAUUCUAGCUGUUUAUGCCUGGAUAGAUACAGAUGUUGGCUAUUGUCAAGGUUGGUAACAUAAGAGUGAUCAUUUUAGUACUGAUUGCAUCCCUUCCCUACACUUUGGGAAGGGACAAUAUUUUCAUAUUUGAUUUUUUCAAACGAAAAGAAAAUUAUGUUUCUAAACUCCACAAUUCAUGACGUGAUGAUCAGGAAUGAGUGAUCUUUGCUCCCCCAUGAUUAUCCUUCUAGAUGAUGAAGCAGAUGCAUUUUGGUGCUUUGAACGAUUGAUGCGCAGACUGGUAAAACUUUGAGCUAAAUCUUCGACUUUGUUUUUCAUUCUGGUGUUGCAUCAAAUCAAUGCCUAUCAUGUGUGUCUAAAAACUAGGGUUGCUAAGCUCUUCUUUCCAGAAAUUAACAGAGGAGAUGUGCAAUCUUAAAUCCAUGUAUUAAUGAGAUUCUUUAGAAGUUUUUGUUGAUAUCCUUCUGUUUUUGAAAAAUUGCUACAAUAUUUUUUUUUUCAUUUGAAGUUACAUGCUGUUUCUUUAAAGCUACAAAGUUAUUUGGUGACGGUUAAUUUGGAUUCCAGUUUCUUAUGACUUGUUCUUAUUUGAAAUUUAAAGCGAGGAAAUUUCAGAUGUACCGAUAGCUCUGUUGGGGUGGAGGUGCAACUAAGUAAUCUGGCUUCAAUUACUCAAGUCAUUGAUCCAAAACUUCAUGAGCACUUAGGUAUUGUCUUUUUAAUUUGUUGUUUACAAUUUAUGUCCAUUUACUUGUCAAACAUAGAGAAAAUAUAUGUUUCUUUAUCAAAAAAUUUGGAGACAUCAUAUGCGAUUUUCAUCAUAUUUAAUUAUUCAUAAUCUUCUUCUCAGAAAUGAUCAUGAAAAUACAUGUUCGCCAACCGUUUGGAAGAUAUUCGAUACAUUUAUUUAAGGAAAAAAAAUGUACCGUUUAUUAGGAUUUAAAUAUCAAAUUGGCUAUGUUUGUGUCAUGUUUCUCUUACAUCGCUCAACAUAUUGCUCAAAAAUGAGGGAGAUAGUAACAGAUAUGCUUAAUUCGGAGUGCAGAGACACUAGGUGGAGGUGACUAUUUAUUUGCUUUCCGGAUGCUUAUGGUUUUGUUCCGUCGAGAAUUCUCUUUUUGUGAUUCUUUAUACCUUUGGGAGGUGAGAAUAAGUUACUGUUAGUAACUUUCUGAUAUUUUUCUGUUCUCCCUUUUGGAUUUUUUUUAUUAUAUCUAAUUAUUGCAUGUAUAAAUACUUUUACAGAAUCCUUGAAAUUAUUUCUGGGAACCCACUUCAUUCUUUCCUAAGUAAUCAAAAUUUUCUCCAUAAUUCCACUUAUAUAUAGUUCCUUGAAUUUUAAUACAUGCAGAAAUUUUUGUAUUAGACCUUAUUUCUUCCGACUAAAAGUUGGCAAGCUAAUACUUACUUGACAAGUACUUUUUGAACAUAGGUUUUAAGAACUAUUGCACGCAUUUGAUAUUAAAGACCAAUACCCCAGAGCAUUUGUUUGUGUGAUUGGGAUAUAUGUGUUCCUGAUUGAAUAGUAUCUAUGCACUUCUGCUCUAUAAUGAAGAAAGGGCGUCGUGCGCAGUAAAUUUCUGUAGCUAUAUAGAUAUUGCUUUUUCUUUUUUCGUUUUUUGCCCAAAUAUAUCCUUGUUAUUUGUGUGUAAGUAUAUAUGGUUAUGUAUAUUUUUAUAAUAACUAUUGCACAUUUCUUAUGGUGCAUCCCGAACUUAAAAGAACUUAUUUAUAUUGGUAAGAAUUGAUCUCAUUUAAACUUUGACAGAUGAUGUGGGCCCUUGAAUACGACCCUGACUUGUUCAAUGUGUACAAAGAAUCUGAUCCUGAUACUGAGAAGGCUGAGGGGCCUAAAGGGAAACCAAAGUCAACACGUCAGUGUGGGAAGUAUGAGAGGGAAAACAUGAAAAGUGGAGCAAAGAAUUCAGAAGCACCGCUCCCAAUUUCAGUUUUCCUUGUUGCCAGUGUCCUGAAAGAUAAGAGCUCAAAGCUACUUACAGAAGCUCGGGGUCUCGAUGAUGUUGUUAAGGUUAGCAUUAUCAGUUGACAAUUUGCAAUUCUUAGAACCGAUUGACUUUCGGAUUAUAUUGAGAAUGAUAUUACAUGACUUAAGCAGAAAACAUGUCCAUGUGGGGACAGCCUAGUGAUAAAUUCAUCUAAAACAAUAAACAAGAAUUACUCAUAGUAAGAAUCCGCUGGCCUUGGCCAAACUAGGGUCCAGGAUGUUGCGUGGAUUUGGGAUAUAUAGUAAUUUACUCUGAAAUGUGAAAUGAAGUAUGAAAAAAAUAGGAAUAGGAGACUGGAGCGGCGACAUUUAUCAGCCAACCCUAUUAAAUCUUUCCUUGAAAAAGUGGAUUCAGCUAUGGUAGUCAAACAUGGUUCGGAGAAGAAUAUGUUGCUAUCGUUUUGUUCUUUCACAAAUGAUUACAUAUAAAUUCUAAAAGCCAAAUGAAACUGUUCCAAUGUUAUUAUCUUGGGUUUCCAAUUUUUUCUGUGUAGUUUUACAGCUUACAUUAGGUUGCAAUCAAGAUCAAAACCCUAAAAAAUGAUCACAUCUUCAUGUUGUUUUGUAAGGGAUUGGACCAUGAAUUUGACAUGGUUUUACCUCAACGGUUCUUAAAAAUUUCAAAUGCGUUGUCUAAUCCCUAAAAGAAAACAUUAAAAGUGAUCAUUUUAAGGAUUUUUGGCUUGAUUGCAACCUAAUGUUAACUACGAGGAUGUAGUUAGGAGUUUUUCAGGACGAAAUUGGAAGCCCUAGCAAACUGCAUGGACUAAAAUUGUCUUUAGGCCAUUUCUAACGCCCUAAGGGAGAAGUUCAAAAUAAUUCUCUAGAGUCGUUAGGGACUGGUGAAGAAUCUUUGAUCCGUUUGAUAAACAAAUACUCGAGCUAUCAAUUUUUCAUUUAAAUGAGUUGGAUCUUAAUUUUUGUACAACUUUUACCCGUUUACCUCACUCAUUCUCUCUGCCAGAUAUUGAAUGACAUAACUGGAAAUUUAGAUGCCAAAAAAGCUUGCACUGGGGCAUUGAAACUCCACAAGAAAUAUCUGAAAAAGGUACUUCAAUUUAUUUUUUAGCAGUGUAGAAUGUUGCUAUUCAAUUUUCAUGUCUAUAUUUGUGCAUUUCUUGUGCGUGUGCGUGCGCUCAUUUCAAAUGUUCUUAUAUUAAUCACUCAAAGUUGCAACAUCAUUCGUUGAUUUGUUACUGCAGGCGCCCAAGAAGACAUAGCAUCACUUUACACACGAUUUUUUAGCCACCCGAAAAAAGUAAGACGAUGUUGCUUACAUUGUUUUUUACCUGAUUUGGCAAGAGAUUAUAAUUUACUUGCACAUGAUCUUGGCUUAGAGUUGAGAGAGCUGCACAGUUGGUCCACUGUGCAAAAUAUUCCCAAUAGAAAUUGUUGUUUGUGAGAUUAGUCCAAAUUAAUUGUACAUUACAAACAUUCUUUAUAGGCCUAUAUUUUGUACAACCAUAACCGAACCGAGGCCUAUAUUUUGUAUAACGAUACGUUGUUCGUAAUGAUAUUAUGAGGGCUGGAAAAUGCUGAAGCUUAUGCAGUGCUCCAACCCUAAGACAUGAAAUUAACUUGCAGUUUUCUUUCUGAAAAUGUCUUCUUGUAUUUCCUUCCUCUCAUAACCAUAUGCAGUUAGUGCAGGCACUUAAUUUUUUUCAUUCAGUAAUUAUAUGGGAACUUUAACGAAAAGCACCCGGUAUUGUUCACUUUAACGAAAAACCAUAUUUUUACACUAAAAAGUCAAUCCUGGUACUAUUCACUUUACCCUUUAUUUUGUCCUUAUCAUUAAAACUCAAAGUUUUCAAGCUUUUUUUAUUAGUUUUCCUUAAUUAUAUUGGGAAAAGAUGUGGGUAGUUCUCCUAGUGUGUCUGUGUUUAGAAAGAAGUGAAAAUGCAAUAGGUAUAACCUACACAAAAGUUCAUUGCAACAUAAACACAACAAAAGAAUUAGAAAUGAAAAGAUUGGCCACAAGUUGGCAAAUUUAGGGCUCGUUUAUAGGAAAUAAUUACGUUUGUAAGCGCUUUUGUUCGAAAUACUUUUAUUAUAAAUAUGUAGAAGUUUUCUUUAUGUCGAAAAUCCAAGUGCUUUCUGGAAGCAUGUCUACAAUCUAGAAAAGCACGUUUAAAUUUUUCGGCCAAAGAUAGUUGAAAUCAUUUUUUAUUGUCAUAACGUAUUCUAGUCUUUUCAGAAGCAAUCCCAAUACAUGCCUUUUCAAGAGUGCAAGAUAUGACUUUUAUUUUUUAAUUUUUUAUAAUAAGUGAGCAUUUAACAAGUUAAAUAAUAGGCCAGGCACUUAUUCAAACUGAGUCUUGUCACGUAUCUUCUAUCGUUGUAUAAAGAGUCAUUCAUUACAUAACCAUGUAAUAUUAUUUUAUUAUUCCCAAAUUAUAUAAAGAUCAUUUCUAAAAACCUUUUUAACUUGGAAAUUGUUUAGCCAUGAUGAAUGAAUUGAUGAUUCGUUGUAUAAAGAGUCAUUCAUUACAUAAUCACGUUAUAUAUAAAUGACCAAACGGUCUCCAAGCUUAAUGAAUUUUGUAGAUAUAAGAUUUAAAUGAUAAAGAAAAUGAAAAUUUUAAAUUAUAAUGUUUGUACUCUAAAAUGUUGUCAUGUCGUCAUAUAAGAGAAAUGGUUUCUUACAUGGGAAAUAGAUCUUUUUCACCAAGACCACCGGAUCAAGUGAUCUGGAUCCUUAAAAUUUAAUCCAACGGCUAAAGUUAUUAUAACUUUUCAAGGAAACCUUUGUUUUUAGCCGUUGGAUUAAAUUUCAAAGAUAACGAUCACUUAAUCCAAUGAUCUUGGUGAAAGAGAUCAGGAGAGAAUCUCUUUCCUCUUGCAUGAAUGAUCCACACUGACUGAACCUACUCUAGUGUAGGCAAUAUGAACCAUGCUGACUGACUAAACCUACUUUCAAAAGUCAGGAUAGUUUGCGUCGGUAAAGGUUGUGCUCUUUCUUUUUCAUUUCUUAUCCUCACUCAUCAUCCUUCUUCAUCCCUCAUUUCCCGAAUAUACGUUUUUCAUUUUACAAGCAUAAAAAAUAAAAAUAAAGGAACGUAAUAGUUAUCAAACAGACUCUUAGAUUGUUGUAUAUUGAGAGGAGGCAUGGAUAUAAAUGUCAGUUCUGGUAUAGUCCCGUAUUAACUUAUCAUAAACAAGGAAAGAAUGACCACUGGAGAAUUUGACGUUAGCUUAAAUGUGUAGUAUAGUCUUCACUAGUACUGCGGUUUAGUGUAAAGUUUUAUGUACAACUCCAAGGAAUGACAAGUUCGAUAUUUAUUUAUGGUUGACCCGUUAUUUGACUAGCCCACAUCUCUUCCUCCAAUAUAGUUGUAUUAAAAAAGAAAGUAAAAAAAUGGUAUAUAGUUAUUUCUAGUUAUACACAACAUUCAAUAAGGAAUUCUAGGAGGAGCUCCUCACCCCAGGUAACAACAUCAUAAUAGUUUAGAGAAUGUUUUGCUUAUGUAUGGGCCACAUUAUUACAACUUCUAGGAAAUUAUAAAUUGAAAUCUUACGAAACAGAUCCAUGCACCCCUUAAUUAACUUCCUCAAAGAGGUUACCAUCAGAGGCAGGAUCUUUCUGCUCUCACAGAUAGAGCAUCUGGUUAGGAAAAACCAGCAUCUAAGGACAGUUUCAAUUCGAAGUAAAAUGCUCGAAAUCUGCAUGUUUCGGGGAAGUGGUAUUGCAGAGGGAAACUUGCCGCCACCAAUAUCGAGUUUGAAAAUGCCACGAUGAGGGGGAGACCAACCCGAAAGAACCCCUCAAACAAGCUGCCAUCUUAAUUUCUCUACCAGGACAUUAACAAGUAUUUUCAUGAACUAAUUAGAUUAGUGCCAAAUCCUUAAAAGUGGAUUUGUACUAUACUAAUUAAUGACCAUAGUCCUAUGAUACAAAUUUAGGUUCAUCAUCCUUUCCACAGACCAGCUAAUAGAGAUGAUCAUUUAGCGAUUGAAUUAUUAUUAUGAUUAUUUCAGUGUUCAUUGGAAAUUAACACACAUGUUCAUCUAUAUGUGUGCGUAUGUAUCAAUCUGGCUUGUCUUAAAAAUCGAUGUUUGUAUUGUAAUAUGUUAUCUUGAAUUUUCUAGUUACCCUGUUCCAACAUUUGGAACUGCUACAAACAUUAGAGACUGCAUCGAUCCUAGAUACACACAAAAAAAUGCUAGGAAAACAAAAAGACCACGCGAAUCCAUCCUCAUGAUUUGUAUAUAAUAGCUACGCACAUAAAAUCUUAUUCAAAUUAUCAUAACGUUUGUUUUGUGACUCGUUACAAUCUCUUCAUCAUCUGCUUUAUGUGUCUCGAGUUCGAGUAUGCAUGGACGGGCCUCGAAAUCAUGGUAGCAUCGUCACUCAUACAUAGUUCUUUAUCAGCCUUGAGUGCAUAAACACCGGUCUUCUUGCAGCUGACGUCAGACAACACCCAUCACAUGAGGAUGACAAAACAAAUAAAUCCGUCAUUAAUCAUGAAUUCUCAGAAAUAUUAAAACUAAUUAAUUAAUUUUCUAGCUAGUGAAAGCUAGAUAUAUCAAUAAUCUUUAACUAGCUACUGAAACUAACUCAAAAAUACUAUCUUUUGUAACUGGUGGUCAUCACUGUUUGGUGUAGCGUCACUCAGUCUUUACUUUAUUUGAAAAGCGACAUAGGGUUCAAAUCUACGUAGGGCCUAAAUAGAAAAACAAAAGCUAGCCCUAAUUGACGUUAUAAUUAACAUUUCAUUUUGUUUAUAUUUCCACUUUGAACCUCAUUUAUUCAUAUAAUCCAAUGACAAUUGCGAUUGAUGAACAUAAUUAAUUAGAUAUUUAUAUACAAUUAACUACUAAUUACCUGCAGAUAGAACUAGCCUUGCUGAUGGUUAGUGGAAGCGAUUUGUCAUGAAAAGGAAAGACAUGAUGGCUAAACAUAGGACCAAAAGAGCAUUAGACUUGAGAUGCCCUGCAUUGUUCUUGGGGAACACUUUAGGAAGAGCACACUCUUCUCCAUUGAACAACACUCUCGUUGGGAACCCUUGACCCGCUUUGAUAUCGAUAUUAUGAUAGUGCUUCUUCUUGAACGAAAUCACCGAUUGCUGCUUCCCGGGGAUCAUCGGAUUCUUUUUCGGAUCCGUCCCGUUUUUUAUCGCCACCAAGUAGUUCAAACCCUUGAGCCCUGUGAACAAGAUUGUGUUGUUGACUUCCUUUUCCAUCCUCGUACCGUUGAAGGAGUAGACGUUUUCGUAGUCCUGGUAGGCCUUGUUCAUCUUCACCGCGGUGUACCAAUCUUGAAACUGGUCGGUUCCCCAGUUGAAGAGAGUGAGCCUGGCGGUCCACCCGUUGCUGUAAUCAGAGUCGAUGUGCCAGUUCAAGCUGACACCGCAGUUGUCAGGGCACGGAAGCUUUUUAGGCACGUCGUAGUGCUUGAUUUUGGCCCAUGCUUUUGCCUUCUCGGUUCUGUUUGCGAAUGGCACGAGGAGAGCUUCGGCAGGCAAAAGCAUGGCGGAAGCCUUAGGGUUACAUUUGUUCGUCUCAGAUGUUUUGCACCCGCACGCGCACGUGCUGCAUGGAAUCACAGAGGUGCUGUAAUAAGCCGAAAACGAGACGCAGCAUCUGGGGACCGGGGUUUUGGUGAUGUUGCACACCACUUGCCAGCUGGCAAUGGCGUCUGACGUGGCCUGGAGCCCACUUGGGUCGGGGAACUGAGUAGGGUCAACCCUAAUAGGGGGCCCGCAUCUGUAAGUAGGGUUCAGAACGCCACUGAUUUUCCACUGCUGAGGUGGAGUUAUGGCAGUUCUGUUGUCGUCGGGUGGGAUCUUAAACACUUGCAGCUGGAAAAUGGACUGGGACUGUGCAUUGUCCAUGAGGCUCGGCAAGAUGGUCCCGUUGCGGCAGCAGCUGGGCAGUUUGCCGACCUUGGGAUCAUCCUUUCGCUCGGCUGGGAGGUCGGUGAUGACGGGCUUCUUUUCACAGUUCAUGACCUGAGAGAAGUCCAAGUCCUUGUAGAAUUUUCCGGCUUGGCCGUAGAGGCAUGCACUUGUGUCCUUCUUGUGAGUGUAGGCUCCUCUCAUGGUGUUGAUGAACUCUCCCCUCAUCCAUUCCCAGGUUAAGUUCCAGUGGUCGAGGCGGCCGAGCGGGUGGACGUUGUCGAUGGUGACCUGAGCCAGGUAGUUCAUUGUGUAGGUUUGCAUUACAUCGUAUGUGAUUGAGAGAUCCCCGUUCUGACGUGGCAUGAAUUUGGUUUUCUCGACUUUCUUCGCCUUGAAUUUUGGGUCCUUUUUACAGCACACAGACAUUGCAGUCUUCCCUGCAUGAGGAAAACAAAAAGGAUAUGCGUCAAUGCAUGCAUUUGAACCCUUUCAAGGUUCGUAUAUUAGUAUGUUCUUUUUGCCAAAAUAUUUGAUUUGUUAUCUUGUCAGAUAGUGAAUUGGAAUAGUGUUAAUUCGACAUAUGAUAUUGACAUUAUUAUUCACAGGUAAAGCUCACAUGUAUUAGAGAGAGUGUUGAUGUCAGUUUUAUAUAUAUAGUUAGAAAGUUGACCGUAUACAAUAUGACAAAGAAAAUAGUAACUAACACAUAUUUACAUAAUACAAGUAUGAAGAGAUUUAUGGAAUUGAGAUCACGGUUUGACAACAGAGUCAUUGGAAGAAUUAGGAACUGAAUUGAUACUCUUUUCAAGUUUUAUAUGUCUACUUAAUAGCAUUAAUAUAUCUUGGACUAAAAACCAUAUACAUUUCUUGAUGUUCAAUCUAAUCGAUCGUCCUAAAAGAUGUAAAGCCCAGAAAUAAGAACACCAAUUUGAUCGAAAUCAAAAUAUUCAAUCUGAAUCUCAUAAAAUCUUAUGUUCUGCAAACAUAUUUCUCAAAACAUCACAUGUAAUGUAAUGCAUGUUAAACAUUAUCAUUAAUAACACAAACAACCUUAUAAUUAAUUAACUAAUUACCUUUAAAUUUAGCAGCAGGGCACUUGAAGCCAUCAUUGACAAUGGAGAUGGUCUUGGGCAUCGGAGUAGACUUCUCUCCCAUCCCAAACUGCGUCCCUUUGAACGCAAUCUUAGCCUGAAUCUGGGUAUAAUCUCCGGCGGUAUCAAUCAUAGUUUUCAAAUCUGUCAUUGGAUACCCGGCAAAGUAUGCCCCUUUGGUUCCAACAUCGACGGGCAAAUCACCACCGUCAACCAUCUGAGCUCCUUCCGCGGCCACCAAGAUCUCCCGAUGCUGAAACCCUAUGUACAUCUUCCACGCCUUGAGCUCGGUCGACCCGGCGUUCAAGAUCGUCGCCUCCGACUUGAACGCCCAAGCCUGUGCCGACACAUUUUUCGUGUGCGGCAACUCCUUCUCCCUGGAGGUAAACGUGUACGACAAGAAAAUGCCAUCACAGUCUUCUUGCUCGGGAGGAGGAGCUGCCACAACAGCAUCUUCGUCUUGUCCGUAACAAAUCUCAACCCUAAAACAUGAAAACACCAAAAACACCACGAGCAUUGCUUGAAGAAAGGACGCGCGGGACGUCCAGGGUAUUUUCAUGCCCAUAUUACUUGUUUCCAUCAUUGCUUUUUACAAUAAUGUGGAGCGAGCUUUGAGGUUUCAAAUCUUUUCUUUUUGUUUUUGUCUAUUUUUCGAGGUUGAGGGUUGUUUCGUGUGUCGCUUGGGAGAGAGACAGAGAGAAAGAGAGAGAGAGAGAUCUAUUGAACGGUAGGCGGCCGCGCGAGGACGCGGCGAGUGAGAGAUGCUAUGAGGCCCUGGGAGGUCUGUGUAAACCCCAGGGUAGAGAGAGAUGGCUAGGUAAAAGAAGAGGAGCGACAUUAAAAGACUGGGUCAAGCUCUAUUUUCUUCCGCUAGUUUUAGCGGCAGGUUCGGAACGUUGUCCAUGCAACCGAUACUGUUUGAUUUCUGGUAGACAUUGUACGGAAAUAUAUCUGAUACACACGCUGUAAAUAGAUUUCGGUAUCGAAAACUAUGCCGUUUCUGAGUUUUUCUUUUCUCUUCUUGUUUUCGGACCGAAACCACCGAAACGGUUGCUGUGAUAACCUUCUAAUUAACUGUUUUGAGCUGGCAAAAACUGCAUGUCACAUAACUUGCAUUGGACUAGUUUGCUCACCUCAGAUUGCCGACAUGGCACUUCGAACCAAUCAUUUUUUUUAUUUUUAGUAAUCACAAAGUUCAAGUACUAAAAUAAAUAUAAAUUGGCAUGAAAAUGUGAAAGAGUCGAAUCUGUGUUGGAUAUCACUAUGCGAUGUGCUGCACAAAAGGGAUUGGCAUGAAAAAUCAGUAGCUAUGGGGAUCCUAGCUAGGUUUAUUUUGUUCUAGAUUUUUAGCCAAAAUGUUUUCUGAGAUUAAGUGGUUCUUAAUUUUGUCUACUCUACAUCAUUUUGGUCAUUCAAUGAAAAAUACGUUCAAUAUUCUUGUUAAGUUGAGAUGUUGGUUUGACAAAAAUACUCUUUGGAAAGGUAAACACGUAGUUGUUUACGUGACAAUUUAACAAAGAUAUUGACAACUUUUAUCACAAAAUGACCAAAUUGAUUUACGAUGGACAAACUCAAAUACUGCUUUUAUCAAUUAUCAUUGUCAAAGACCAAAGUAAGGAGAUCCAAUCUCAGAGACAAUUUUUGCUAAAAAGUCGGUUCUAUCUUCUUUCUUACUUUUUCAGUAUUUUAAUUACCCUUUAUUAAUUCUAUAAUGGAUAUAAUUGCGUGAAUGACUUGUAGCUCAAGUAGUUUAAAGUGCUCACUUUCAAUAAAGAGUACCCCUAUAUUUUCAUAUAAUUUUAAUUGAAUUGCUUUCUUCCACGCCUAUCCGCAGCACAGUCAUUAUUUGUUCAAGAAGUUAGCUCCCCGCUAAUACUUGGGAACUAGGGUAUCCAGUUAGUACAAUAAACAAGGCAACACAGCUAUAACCGAAGAUAAUAUCAAAACGCUAAUUAAGAAACCUACCCCUACGAUCUCUUAUGGUUACAUAUCCUGUUAAUUCAGUGUGCACGAUUUUCAUUACUUUAACCAAAUCAAGCGACAGUUAUCUCCGUCCCGCCGCUGAUUUCUUCAACGAACUGCGCUUUUGGCUCCAAGUCUAUGAACUGGUUGGACUUGCUAGCAAGAUGCGAAAUGCUUACCCUUCCCUGACGCUUAAUGUAGUCUGCUACAGCUUGCAUCUCCUCUUGGGAGAUGUAUAUGUAUUUCCCUCUGUCAUCCAUGACGCCAGAAAGUCGCCCUAACACAGACAAAUACAACAUUUUCAUUCUCAACGAAAAGGUAUUUUACCUUCUGAAGCAAAGGAAUGAAUUAUUCAUUAGGUACCACAAGUCACUGAGGAAAUAGCUCUGCACAUACCCAUACUCUCGAGAUUGGUAAUUCGAUAGAUGCAUUCCUGCAUGAACCAUCAGUUGCAUUGAAAAAUUAGUAAGCCAAAUCUGGCAAAUUAAGUUGACUAAUCACUUUCAGAAAAUAUACUUCCAUAUGCCUUACUAAAUUUCAAAUUAAAACUUCAUCUAUUAAUGCACUUUGAGGCACGAAGAAGACAUGAAAAUUGCUGAUUUAUGUGUUACUUCAGGAUAAAUAUAAGUUACCUGAGUCCUUAACUUAGAUUCAGCAGCAAGAUCUUCCAGAGGAAUGCAUUUAUGUUUCUGCAAUGUCAAAAUUAACAGUAGUAUUAAUAACAAAAUCACAACUCAACUUGAAAGCCUCAUGUCUCGAAUAGAAACAAAACGACACAAACAGUUAAAAGAUUAAUAAACUCUAAACUGGAUUGGAUAAGUUAGAAACUACAACCCAACCUUAAACCCCCAAAACUUAGAAGCUCCAUUUCAUCCCUAGUUUUGUGCAACCCGAUGGCGAUGGAGAUAUUAGGGGGCUAGAGUAUGGAACAAUAUCUUUGAAUGAAUUAACUGAACUCUACCUUUAUGUAUUCCACAAAAUCAGAAAGCAAAUCCUGACAUCCAUCCUGCACUUCAUUCUCGGUCAUACCUUCAGCAUCUAUUGAAAACUCGCCUUUCCACUUCUCAAACUCUAAAGCAGCAGCUUCCUCCUCCCUAGCCUUUUGAGCUUUGGCUUCUUCCUCCUACAAAACCGUGGCCAAAUCUUUGGGCAGUAACUUAACAACACAAUAAUACACAUCCUCAUUUUCCAAAACAGAAACAAAAGAGAGACGUCAACGCACCAGCUGACGCUCCUGUGCUUCACGCUCCUCAUCUUUCCUCCUCCGCAUUUCAGCAUAGCGGUCUUGUUUUGUUACCCUUGAUUCACGUGCAGCUUGUUCAGCCUUCAAAUAAAGAACGGACUCAAGUAAAUAAUUACUUGUGCUUCGAUUGAAGGGAAAAGGGAAGAAAAUAAUAUAAAAGCAGUACAAGUAAACCAUAAUCAAGGAUCCUCCGAGAGCAUAAGCAUAAACGCAAUUGAAGGUUUCAGUUACUUCCACCAUUUCGGUAAUUUAAAUCGAUUGAAUGAUGUAGUAAUCAAACUUCUAACAUGUCCUACACCUCAGUGACUACAUAGAAGUGGUUUCUGUCUUUAUUACUCAAUGUAGAUAGUUGGAUAAUUAGAAACUCGCUAAAAUUUAAGGCCUGUUGGGUAUUCAGGACAGGACAGGACACAUUAACUAGAAAUUUUAAUCAGGACCGGAGAGGGGGAGAGAGAGUAUGUGCAAUCCUUCAAAUCAGGAAGUAAAAGAAAGAAAGAAUACUUGUCGUUGUGCUUCCCGCUCUUGGCGCUUCUUUUCCCUCUUCUUGGAUGCUUUAGCAUCAUACUCGCCCUCAACAUCUUCCCCAUCACUUCCCUCAACGGAUUCUGUAUUUAAAAAUACAUACUAUGAGUUCAUUUGACAGAAUAACACAUUUUUCAACUUAUUUAAUAUCAUUAGCACUUAAAGCUAGCUAGCUAGUGCAAAAGCUCAUAUACAAAAUGUGCAGCUAUACAAGUCCAAAUUUGCACUUCAUACGCCGCGUACAUUUUCCAUACAGAAUACCUAAUACAUCCUUUACUUCCUCAAUUUUUGUACCCUCCUCAUGAAUCCAUAAACCUUAUGACUCCUCUCUGGAAAUAAUCAUCGGUCUACCCCAACAGAUCAAACCAUGUAAACCAUCAUCACCCCAAAUCCUAAUUUGAUCAAACCUUUAUCUCUCACAGAUACGGUUGCUUAUAUUUUCGUUCCAGAUUAUCUCGCCACUGCUUACCAAUUUAUUCAAUCCCGCCGCUGAGAUGCUCAGUUGAUGAUAUCUAUUUCAAUCACAAUUCAAUCAAUUACAAUCGCUUCUCGAAUCAAAGAGAAACGAACAUCACAAAACAGCAGAGUCACAAUUACUCAUGAACUUAAUCCAAUCUCUUACUAAUAUAAAAUCAAAUUUAGUCACUUCAAAGUAAAACACAAACCUUCUACACCUGGUGCAGCAGCAGCUGAUGUGCUUGCUCCAGAAGCCGGCCUCCUACGGAUCCAGCGACCGCCAGGCGCACGCACCACCGCCUCCCUCUGAGCAACCUAGAUCAAUAUGAACAAUCCAGAAAAAAUCUAUAUAACUAAAAACAAUUACGCUGCCGCCGAAUUAGGGCUCAAAGAAUCAAACCUGAGGUUCUUCUUCGUGUUCAUGCGAAGAUCGAGAAUCUUGACGGCGUUUCCAUAGAAAUAGUGGAAUUAAUCCCAAAACAAGAAGCAUAGAAAGAAAAAUUGCCAACAUUUCCUCCAUAUUUUCUCAAUCUCAGGCCCCGUUGAUGUUCCUUUUCUUUCUCUCAAUUCUAUUUUCUUAGGAAUUCUCGGAAACCAAACAAAGAGUUAGGGUAAAGCGAAUACCUUGAGAGCGGUUAAGCUUCGUACAAUCAAUGGAGCCUGGAACGGUUUGAAUAGUGAUUAUAGGACCUAAAUGUAAUUAGCAUGAAUUGGGAAUCAUUAAACUUACAUGGAUAAAAAAAAUUAAGAUUAUUACCUUAUAUUUGGAUGAAGAAAUUUAAGAUAUUAAUAAAUUUUAAAAUAAGGUAAAUUGAAAUAACGGAGUUUUAUUUUCUAAAAUUUGUGAAUUUUCUUAUUUGGUUAAUCUAAAAGAAUAAUGGAAUUGAAUACAAAAUUUAAUAUUUUUAAACUCUCAAUAGUAGAAAUUUAGAAAUACACCUAUUUAAUUUACAUGGAAUUUAAACUUGGGAAAAUUAUAAAUUUCUAUUUAUGAAUUUAAACAAGGGAAUUGGUGCAUGUCAAUUUAUAAAUUCUGACUUUUAUCUAAAUCCCAAAUUUAUUUUCCUCGUCUUAACAUAGUGUUAGAGAUUAGAUUUCUUCUGUUGUAUAAAUCAUUUUAUUUCUAUAGAGAUUUUUCUGUGUUCGAAAUAAAGACGUGUCAUUAUAAUACAAGUAAUGAGAUGCUUGUAUUAAAAAUUAACAACUUAAACAAUAAAACAUCCCUCCACUUAUAUAAUGACAUAGAAUAUAUUGUUCGUGUUACGCGCACAACCGCACAAUGAAAGAUUCCCGUAUUUCUCUAUACAUAAAUAUUCACACAAUUAUCACUUUUUCAAAAUUUAAAUAUUUUAAAGUCAAAAUAUUUAUAAAAAUGAAUAUGAUUUUUAGUUUAAUUUUAUAUAAAUAUCCUUUAAUAAUAUGUGACUUGAAUUUCAAGGCAAAAGAAGGAAAAAAAUUGUUUCUGACAUAUGAAAAUUGUCUAGGUUAAAUUUUUAAAUUUUAACCCACACUAUUAGAUAUGAUCUAUCAUAAAAUAGCUGAAUGAAAACAAAGUUUCACGUUCAAUUUUGAAUUAAAGACGUUAAAAAUAAUGAAUCAACGACGUUAAAAAUAAUGAAUCAACGACGUUAAAAAUAAUGAAUCAACGUCGACUAUAACCCCUUACCUUCCAAGCUACCGAUGCGAAUUCGAAUCUCAAAACUAACGAGCUUGCAACCAUUAUAUCAAAUAUCCAUCUAUGUCCCCUAAUAUUCUAUUUAUACUCUUCGUUCAUCCACGAAAACUCGAUAAUUGCUUGGCACGCUGUCUGUCAUUAUCGUGCUUAGCAAAUAACACAUCUCGUGCGAAUUGAGAGCCUUUAGGAUCGCAACUACGUGCCUCUCUGCAACCGCGCAGCAGCACCCAUCAAUUCCCUCUCCCCUAUUUCCCACAAAUUGCCCACACCCCUCGAACCCACAACCUCGACUUACUCCCCUACCCCAAGACUUCUUCAGCGAAUACCCAAAAAAACCCAUAAAUUUUUUUUAAAACGGUAAUAACAGAGAGACUAAAUUUUUAAAUUAAAUUUGCAAAUACAUACCUAAGAAUCAAAUGAUGUGAUGCUACCAUUUCAUUUCCAACGAGUCCGAGCCAAACAUCCAACGCACACAGAGAAUCCAUCCAUCCACAUUAUUAUCAAAACUCACGUAUGUCCCAAAACACAUCAAAUAUCUACAACAGCCAUCACUUAGCCACCAUAAAAAAUCGCUCGCUCACUCAACCGCGCUAUUAUUUUCGGCUUGAAACUGGUUUUUCCCUUGUUUAUUAACAUAAAACGUCUGGAACUGGUUUUUCCCUUGUUUAUUAACAUAUAAGGUGACAAUUAAGCCUCGGCGAUCUCAGCGGAUUCUGCAGCAGCUAGGAUCAGCUCCGGCUGGAUGCCUCCGACGUAUGAUCCAUCCAAUGCGUUGGGGAGUCCCAGUGCCUUCAAUGCCAAGUGAGCUGCCUUUUGCCCUGAGAUCAUCAUGGCUCCGAAUGUAGGUCCCUGCAUCCCCAAUAAUGUUACAAAUUAUAUUAUUAGGACUACGUUGAUAUCGACGGAUACCAAACCCACAAUGUUUAUAUCAAGUGGGAAUCUUAUUAGGACCACAUAAAGAUCUAGUAAUGGUACUAUUCCAAACAUAAAAGAACAGGAAAAGAAUGGAAGAGCUUUUGGACCCACGUUCUUUCGAAAUCACUAUGCAUGGAUUGAGGCUUAAGUAAUUCUACGGUCCUAAGGUGUUUUUGUUUCGUAAUUAAACGCCGAGGGGAGAGGCCACUGUCUAUCUACGCUGUGCAUUUACAUGUCAAAAUUCGAAGCUUAAAACUAGGACGUUAUGCUUGAUAAAUCAAAUAUUCUAAUCCUUAAUGUUUUAUCUAAAUCGUCUAAGCCCACCACCGCGAUCACCAUUUUGACUAAAUGUGAUCGCGAUGGCUUGAAGCGGUUGGAUAAAAUCAGCCAAGCACAGUAAUGGCUAUACCAAAAAGUAAAACAGUAAAUAAAUCAAGAACAAAUGGAAUGAGUCAGAAAUGUACCAUUCUUGGGGAUCCAUCAAUCUCGGCAACUUCCAUGCCGGUGACGAUCAUUCCUGGCACAAUUUCCCUUGUGAGCUUCACGAUAGCAUCCUCAGCUGCGUUCAUGUCCAAGGCCUUCAUCCCGGGCACGCUCUCAAUCAUCCCAACGCUCCUCAGCCUCUUUACGCCGGUGGCUCCCAUGGGUCCGUCAUGACCACAUGAGCUCACCACAACCUUGGCCUCCAUGACGUUGGGGUCCAUGCACGACUGUGUGUCGUGGUUCAUUGAGACCAAGGCCCAGUUGGUGACCACCCCACCAACUCUGCCACCCUUAAUGAUCAAGUCCUCGGCGGCCACAGCGUUGAAGAGCUUCACGUUGGGCCGGGCAAGGAGCUUGCUCAUGAUGGUGGAGGUGAAUAGGGCGGCGUGCUUGAUGACAACGUAGUUGUCUUGCUCAUCGUAGUCAAUGCCGAGCUCGUUAAGGAAGAGAUGGGCGGGUUUGCGCACAACCUAUAUAUGUCAACAUAUAAAUUAAAUCUUAAGUACUACAAAAUAUAAGACAAAAUAUUUUCAAAAUUUUCAAGUUAGAACAUUGAAAUAUUUUCGAAAUUUAUGUUGCUUUCCAAAAUUGUACUUUUAAUUUUCAUAGCAUUCAUUUCUCACUAGAACAUUUAACCAAAUAUAAGGCCAACCCAUUUAACGGAAUAAGACUUGGUUGCAAUUGUUGUAAUGUUAACUAAAUAGCGGGAUUAUCUCGCUUCCAUAAAUUCACCAUAAUCAAGCAAUCUAAUUGUGAUUCAUUAGUGCAUAGAUGAAAUCUAUAUAUAUUGUAUAUUUGGAAUUAAUUAAUAAGGAAUUACUUUUCUACAAAAUAUACAAAAUUUGUUUGAUUUACGAAUGAAAAUACAACAAUAUCAAACUAUUUAAUUAAUUACAAAAAUGGAAAUAAAGAAAUAAAUUACAAAAAAUAAAUUAACGAAUAUUUAUGCAAAUAAAAACAGACAUGCAUAACGAUACAGGUCAAAUUAUCCAAACAAGAUGGGGCAUGCGCGACACGUGUCACAGUCAAACGUUUCAUUCAUUUUACCGACAAACAUGAAUUUCAAAUUAACAAACAAUUUCCCAGAAAAAAGGCCAAAAAUUAAGCACCCGGAAACCUUAAACGACCAAAAAUGAUAAUUAAACUACAACAAAUCAUUAAUUAAAAGUUUCAAUAACUUUCCAAAAAUAUUAAAAUUAAUCAUAAAUGACAGUAAUUACCAUGGCAGAGAAGAGCUGGCCACCGAGCCAUGCACCUCCACCGGGGCUGACGGACUGCUCGAUGAUGGCGACCUGAACGUCGGGGUUCUUGCUGAGUUCGUAGGCGCAGGAUAGCCCGGCGGAGCCAGCACCGACGACAACGACGUCGGUGUCGGCGUAGGUGAUCAUGUCAGUCAUGUAGCGCCUUGUCAUCUCCCGGGAGACGAUGGAUUCCUUGAUGGGGUCGAACUUGAAAGCGCUCAAGUCGUAGGAGGGGGUCAAGCCGUUGGCGGACAUGGAGACGGAGAGGCCGCCGUUGUUGGCGGGGGCCGCCUUGGCCAGCUGAAGGCGGACCAUGGGAGCGCCAUGGAAGGAGGAGUCGAGGAGGGAGGACUUCUGGAGCUUGGCGGUGAGGGAGGAGGAGGUGAGGGUGGAAGCCAUGGUUGCCAUUGAUUGAUGCGAGAGAAGGAGAGAGAGGGAGAGAGAGAGAAGAUGAUAAGAUGGGGUGAUUUGGGGGUUUAGCGUUUGCAAGUCAGAAGAUGGAAGUGAAGAGAGUGGUUAUUUAAGGAGGAGGGUGACGUAUAUGUAAAAUUGAAGAUGGACACGUGGGAAGAGGAUAGGAUAUGAAGGGUCUAGAACCUCUUGGGAGGUACAAGUGGCAAGCAUGAACCAGUCCACGGUGUGUGUUUGAGUGUGAGGAGAGUGAAUAGAGAGGGAAAUGUUAGAUGACAAAGUUUAUAAGGGAAUUGCUAAGGCUAUUAUCUUGAAUGUGAUUUUCUACGAAUUUUCUGUCAUUUUAUGUUUUUGAUACAAUUCUUAUGUUAAUGUUAUAAAAUUUUGUGCCAAGAAUAUGAGGUGAUAGAGAGUUCAUAGGAAGUCUUACUUUGAAACAGUCUCCUUAGUAUUUCUCAAUUUGUAAACCAAAUGAUUAGAUUGUUGAUGAUCAUUUUAUUACUCAAGUGUUGAUUAAUGUGUUUAAUUUCUACUGAAAAUAUGACUUUAGCUCUUGAAACUCAAGUUUCUUUACAUAAAACCCGACAUAGUCUUUUUAUCUAAAUAAAACCUAAUGACUACGCUCCACAUAAGCAAAGUCAUUAAUUCUAUUUGCCUUUACACAUUUUGCAUUUUUUUAGAUGCCUAAAACACCCCUAAUUAAAGUUUUAAUGUAUACAUUAAAUUCUAUGCAUAUUUGAAGGGAGGGGUUAAUGAAAAAAAAAUGCAUUAAUGUUUAAAAUCACUGCAUAUUAAUAUAUCAUAACAAAUUGUAUGUUAAUGCUUCUUGGAACAAAAAAAAAGCACUAAUGUUAUACUUUCCUUAAGAUUUUGUAAUUGUUUUUCAAAUUUGCCUAAAAUUUGACAGUUUUAAUUUGAUCUUGUCAUUAUCUUACCCAAAUUGUGACAUCCCACAUCGCCCAGGGGAGUAAUCCUUAAAUGUAUAUUCUCAUCCCUACUUAACACGAGGUCUUUUGGGAGCUCAUUGGCUUCGGGUUUCGUAGGAACUCCGAAGUUAAACACUCCCAGGAUGGGUGACCCACUAGGAAGUUGCUCGUGAGUUCCCAAAAACAAAACCGUGAGGGAAUGGUAAGCCCAAAGCGGACAAUAUCAUGCUACGGUGGUGGAACGGGCUUGGGAUGUGGUGGACCCGGGCCGGGAUGUGACAAAUGGUAUUAGAGCCAAUCCCUGGCCGGAAGUGUGAUGACGAGGACGUCGGGCCCCUAAGGGGGGUGGAUUGUGACAUCCCACAUCGCCCAUGAGAGUGAUCCUUAAAUGUAUAUUCUCAUCCCUACCUAGCACGAGGAAUUUUGGGAGCUCAUUGGCUUCUGGUUCCGUAGGAACUCCGAAGUUAAGCGAGAAGGAGGCCAGAGCACUCCCAGGAUGGGUGACCCACUGGGAAGUUGCUCGUGAGUUUCCAAAAACAAAACCGUGAGGGAAUGGUAAGCCCAAAACGGACAAUAUCGUGCUACGAUGGUGGAACGGGCCCGGGAUGUGGUGGACCCGGGCCAGGAUGUGACACAUAUGAAAAUCUGAAAGGGCACUAUAAAAUUUAUCCAGUAAUAAUACAUGCAAAAUAAUUUACUUAUAAAAUUAAAGAAAUGUUAUUUGAUUCAAAAGAAAUUUAUCUAUAUUUUAUAUAAUAAUAUAGGUGAAUCAUUGCACAAAUAUAUAUUAGGAAAAAAAUGUGCCCAAUAUAUAUAUAAUGCAUACAAAUAAUUCACCUACAAAUAAAGGAAAUUUGGUUAAAAAUAAUAUAUUUACUACUUUCAAUUUUCCUAUUUUUUUUUUUUUUACAAACAUAAUGUACCUACAAUAUAAUUUACCUAUUGUUUAAUCAAAUAAAAACAUAAGGUAUCUAUUGUUUCAUUUUAAUGGUGAUAAUUUGUCUUGGUUUAGUUUUUACGAAAUAAUUUAGGCACUGUUUAACUUGACCAAAAUAAUGUAACUACCAUUUUAAUUUACCUAGAAAAUAAAUGCUAUUUGAUUCUGUUUGGACCCAAUUUUACGCCAUCGGCCCAAGCAAUCGAGGCCGUUGAGUAAACAUGAUUCUUAAUCGUCGGAUAAGAAAGUUAAGAUAAUUUGCUAUUGUUAAGAGAUAAUAUGAUGGUUUUUAAUCAUAAUAAUUAUCUUUUAAUAAAUUAUCUUAGUUUUCUUAUACAAAAUAAAUUAGAGAGAUUCUUGGACUCUUAACUUGGCCUAACAUGGAUCUGCAAGCCGAAGAUAAUGGUGGAUAGGACCUAAGCGGGCUAGGAUGUUGUCAGAUGAUGGAAGACUUGCAUGCCGUGUGAAAAGCUACAAGUUGUAUAUAUAUGUAGGCUGUAUAGUUUGCAUGCCCAUCAACCUAUGUCGUGCAAAAAUCUCCCAGACUAUAUAGUUAUAUAUAUAUAGAUAAUGGUGGUUAUUUUGAUGGGAUUAAGCUUUGAUUGAUGUGAUAAGGUCUAAGGCGUGAAUGUAGGUGCAUAAAAGAUAAAGUGGUUAGAGUUUCAUUUAUUAUGAUUAUGCAUAGGAUAAAUGAGUGGUCAGCAGCAACAGUUAGAGAGUUGAAGUCACGAACUACAAUAUGAGGAUAUGCUUGUCUUUAGACGCGGAUCAACUUCAGGAAUUAGAGUUGCAAUUAAACUCUACAAUACUAUCAGACCUUGCCAAGCAGAAAAAUGAAUACUAUAAAUACAAGACUCGGUGCAACAUUCAAAGGACCUCCAAUUCAACACACAAAACUGCCCUGCGUAAACCCUCUCAACAACUUUGAGAUUUUUUAUUUUCUUUUUCACCGGCACAUCUUCAGUUGGCAUAAAUAGCAUUGUGGAGACAACCGGUGAUAUCUUCAGUUGGCAUAAACAGCACUGUUGCCGUAGAAUCAGCCGAUCUCGCAGCAUCUUCAGUUGGCAUAAAUAGCACUGUGUCGAGGCCGACUGGUUACCUAUCUAAGUCUCGGUCGAGAAGGAUUUUCGAAUCCUUGUUGGUCUAGGUCAUCUCAUCAGCCUUCUCGGCGAAGUGAGGUGUUACGAGUUACUACAUUCGGCACAUUGGAAGCCGAAUUUGAUAUUGAACUUCGUUAAGUUAGCAACCUUGUCUUCAGGCUCUAGAACCCGAAGGCCGAGACAAGUUCCUUCCUCGACCGCAAUCGCAAGAUGCAGAAGUCAACUGCGCACCCAACGCAACAUCAACAUAUUUUACUCUUCAACCGAGCUCGGCCGACGAGUUGGCACACCCCGUACACAACCAAAUGACGUAGUUAGCUUAUAGAUUACUCGGCAUGCGUGCCACGUAGGUUUGGUAGAUUUUAGGGUCAACAUUUUGGCACGCCCAGUGGGACCCAGUGCUAAAACUACAAAGUUCACAUGAUAUAUCAAGAUCACGAUCGGGAUGAGAUUUAGCGCCUAUUCAAGGAAAUUGUCGAGCAACAAAAACGCCUUGGCCAGAUCAUUGAAGCAAAUGAAGAAAGGCGAAAAUCUUUCUCUCAAAUGAUAAAGGUGAAGGUUCAUCACAGCUUACAAGAUCAAUGGUUAAAUGAAGAUAGAGCUCAAUAUUAUGAAUGGAUCGAUAAGAAAAUGCUUAUUGGGUUCAAAUCAAUUCCAUUUGAAGAAUGGUUGGAUCAAAAAGUCGGGGGGCAAAUUUCCGCUCCGGCCACAAUCAAAAUUUGGCCUCAGAACAUUGUCGAGACGGCCGAAGAAAAACCUAGGCCACCUGUUGUCUCGAUCGAGAUUGAAAGUGUGGUAGGCCUAGAAGAAAAAAUUUAAGUUUCUGAGCCACAAAUCUACUUAGAAAAUGAUUCGUCAAAUGAGUGCUCCAAUGACGAACAAGGCCGAGACAUAGGCUUAGCCAGAAAAACCGCGCCAAUUGAUAUGAUUAUUGGUGAUAAAGCCGAUAAGGAGAAAUCUCAUUCGGUCAAGUUAUUUGAAUUAAAAGCCGAAAUUAUGCCUGGGGGCAUAAUAAUUGUUCAACACAUUGGUGGCCAAAAAUGAAAAAUAUUUCACCAAGUUAGAAAUAUUUGGAGAUGAUCUUUUAUUCAGCUUUGGAAAAUGUCAAAGUGAAAAUUUUGAUGUAAAAAGAACUUGGCUUGGAAUAAAACAUCGUUGGCCUCCUCCUCUUGAUAGCUCGGCCACUUUUGUUUUCUUUUAUUAAGAAAAGGAAUAAAUUAUUUUCUUAAUCAUCUGGCUAAUUAAGCUGAUGCAUAAGAAAAUAAGGGGGCAAUGUCCAAAAGGAAUAGAUUUUGGCUGUCUAGGCCGAGGCAGUCUAGGCCGAGGCAGAUUCAGGUAAUCGGAUGUUUAGGCCGAGGUAAUCUUUUUUGCCGAGCUCGGCGAAAUUGGAUGCGUGCAUGCGAAUUUUUUCCUAAUGAUGGUAGACUUAUUCAACAAAAGUGGAUAUUUAAUUAGAUAUAGGCUUUAGCCUAUGGAUGUGGCUAAUGGGGAAUUGUCAGAAUACCAUUGGAAAGACAAAUAUAUAUAUUUUAUAUAAGUAAGACUCAGCCAUGAGGUUUUAUAGUCGAAGUUGGGUUGUCAAAUCCAAGAGUUAGGAUAUUUAAUGAGCUUCGGCCUUGGAUCAGUAUAUAUAUAUAUAGGCGCUGCCAAGAAAAAUUCUUCUAGACCUUGGUUUAGGUUUUCUCGGCCUCAGCCUGUUUUACCCUUUACCCCAAUUCUUUUCUACCCCUUCCCGAAUUCUUCUCGACCUUCUGGAGAGUUGCCGAGCCUGGUAUAGAGUUGCAGCAGUCGAGGAGGGCCGUGGCGUUGGCAGAACAUACAUGUUAUUUCCGAGGAACAAAAUUUGUUUCGGCAAUACAACGAAAUGUUGUCGGCUACGAACAGUUAAUUUCCUUAACCAUUCAGUUUACGAGCCGAAGCUCAAGGAAACUGGGAGGCAAUGUUUGGACCCGAUUUUACGCCAUCAGCCCAAGCAAUCGAGGUCGUUGAGUAAACAUGGUUCUUAAUCGUCGGAUAAGAAAGUUAAGAUAAUUUGCUAUUGUUAAGAGAUAAUAUGAUGGUUUUUAAUCAUAAUAAUUAUCUUUUAAUAAAUUAUCUUAGUUUUCUUGUACAAAAUAAAUUAUAGAGAUUCUUGGACUCUUCACUUAGCCUAACAUGGAUCUGCAAGCCGAAGAUAAUGGUGGAUAGGACCUAAGCGGGCUAGGAUGUUAUCAGAUGAUGGAAGACUUGCAUGCCGUGUGAAAAGCUAUAAGUUAUAUAUAUAUGUAGGCUGUAUAGUCUGCAUGCCAUCAGCCUAUGCCGUGCAAAAAUCUCCCAAACUAUAUAGUUAUAUAUAUAUAUAUAUAUAUAUAUAUAUAUAUAUAAUGGUGGUUAUUUUGAUAGGAUUAAGCUUUGAUUGAUGUGAUAAGGUCUAAGGCGUGACUGUAGGUGCAUAAAAGAUAAAGUGGUCAGAGUUUCAUUUAUUAUGAUUAUGCAUGGGAUAUAUGAGUGGUCAGUAGCAACAGUUAGAGAGUUGAAGUCACGAAUUACAAUAUGAGGAAAUGCUUGGCUUUUGACGCGGAUCAACUUCAGGAAUUAGAGUUGCAAUUAAACUCUACAAUAUUAUCAGACCUUGCCAAGCAGAAAAAUGAAUACUAUAAAUACAAGACUCGGUGCAACAUUCAAGGGACCUCCAAUUCAACACACAAAACUGCCAUGCGCAAACCCUCUCAACAACUUUGAGAUUUUUUAUUUUCUUUUUCGUCGACACAUCUUCAGUUGGCAUAAACAGCACUGUAAAGGCAACCGGUGAUAUCUUCAGUUGGCAUAAACAACACUGUCAUCGUAGAAUCAACUGAUCUCGCAACAUCUUCAGUUGGCAUAAACAACACUGCGUCGAGGCCGACUGGUUAUCUAUCCAAGUCUCGGUCGAGAAGGAUUUCCGAAUCCUUGUUGGUCGAGGUCAUCUCAUAAGCUUUCUCGGCGAAGUAAGGUGUUACGAGUUACUACAUUCGGCACAUUGGAAGCCGAAUUUGAUAUUGAACUUCGCUAAGUUAGCAGCCUUGUCUUCAGGCUCUAGAACCCGAAAGCUGAGACAAGUUCCUUCCUCUGCCGCAAUCGCAAGACGCAGAAGUCAGCCGCGCACCCAACGCAACAUCAACAUAUUUUACUCCUCGGUCGACGAGUUGGCACGCCCCGCACACAAUCGAAUGACGUAGUUAGCUCAUAGAUUACUCGGCAUGCGCGCCACAUAGGCUUGGUAGAUUUUAGGGUCAACAGAUUCAAAAUUAAUUUACUUAUAUUUUACUAUAAAUAUAGAUAAAUUAUUUUUAACAUGCAUAUAUAAUAACAAAUAAAAAAUGCCUAAUCUAUGUAAAAUAAUUUACCUACAACAUAAAGAACAUUAAUUGGUUUUAUUUUUUAUUUUUUAUCAAACAAUAUUAUUUGAUGCAAAAUAACUGAUUAUACAAAGGAUUUUCAUUUUUCAUACGAAAAAUGUGCCCAUAAUUGUUUAUGAAUAUGGAUAAAUUAGUGUAUAUAUAUACAUGUUACUAAUAUUUAUGAUACAAGAAAGGUAAAUUUCCAUAUGGGGUUAAUUGCUAAUCAUAAUUAGGGUGAGUAAUAAUAUUUAUUGACAUAAUUAGGGUUUUGUGGCAUAAGUUGUAAAUAUGUUGUAAUAAUUGGUUACAUAUUUGUCUACAUGGUAGUCUAUUUGAAUUUUGGGUUUUAUUUGAAUAUUUAUUACUGGGUGGGUUUUUGUUUGGAAAAUAGGAGUUUCAAGGGCCUUUAUCUAAAGAACUGACACACCCCGAUCCUAGAAUCAAGGUGUGCUGGCCGUCACGUGAGCGUGACGUAACCAAAAGAGCGAUACGGAAGUAAAAGAUAAAAGAAAUACGAAGGAAUAAAAACCAACUACUAGCAAUAAUAUCCAACUAACAUGCUAGAGUGAGUUUAAGUGUGAAACACACAUAUUCAGAGCAUAAGUACUAAGUGCAGUCAAGUAGAACCAUUACUAAAUUACAACACCCGAAAGUGAGUCCUACAUUUAAGUGGUCUAUCAUAACGCCAUGGGAAUCCUCGUGAGCCACCAACAUUGCUAACUAGAACCUGGAGGGGGCAAAACAAGAUUGAGUGGGUCAGUAAAACAAAUCUUUUUCAAAAACAUUAUCUUUUUUCAAAGGUUCUAACCCCUCGCCGUAAAACCUAUAACUUUCCCAGGAAUAUAAAAAUAUAAUUACUUAUCUCAAAACCAGCUCAGAAAUAGUGAUAUGUAAAGUAUAUGCCAUGUUAAAUAUAUUUCAUCAUAUCAUAAGUAUAUCAGUGAAGUUCAUCAUAAAUAAUAACAUGUCAACCGAGUGAUCAGCCCGGCUGAAACUAUAGCUCAUAAUCAAUCUCAUCAAUCAAUCUAGCCGGAGUCACCACAAGUGACCUGUACGGCACUACACUGCACAUAAAUCGGAACUACCUGAAGUAGUCUAUACGACAAGAAUGGUGUAAGAAUACGCUCUAGUGCUUCUCUCAUCAACAGCUGUAUAAUAAUUUAAAGUCACCUACAAGUCGAAACCACCUCUAAUGGUCUGUACGACAUGUCAGAACCACCUCUAAUGGUCUGUACGACAUGCCCCUACUUGGAUCCAAGGUGAGCGUGUGGUGCGGGGUGAAUAAUAUAAGCACUAACACCAGGGGUGCAGGUUAUGAGCUCUCAACAUAAUUUACAUCAUCAACAGUCUCAUAAUUUUAAUUUAUGAACUUACCUGGCACUUACCUGUGCGUCUGUAUCACCAAUCAUGCAUGUAUGCAAUUACUAAUGCAUAAAUAAAAUAGAUAUAUAUUUUGCAUGGCAUUUCAUAACGCAUUUCAUAUCACAUUUCACUUAAAUUGAUUUUCUGGGAAAAAUCUCAUUUAUAUAGGUAUAUACAGAAAAUAAAACUGCCCACUCACCUGGAGUUCACCCUACAACUCCCUAGCACAGCACAUCAAGGCGUCAUGACGAUCGGCGCCUAGAAUAAUCAUCAAGACAUGUCUCAGAAAUCAUAUCGAUAGAACAUAACUUAUAUAAAACACGUCACUAUGUAGAUCGAUCCGGAAAAUCUGCAACUCAGAUUUCUGAUCUGAAACUUCCAGAGAUCUACCUCUAGGACAACAUCCUAAAAUUUCAUUACCAUCCAACGAUCGGAUCUCCGUCAAUUGCCAAAACCAAGUAACGGUUAACAUAUUAUAAUAUGAACUUACAACUCCAAUUCCGAAAGAUCCGUAAAUCGGAUUCCCAAUCCGUAAGUUCCUAUAAUCCUCAAAUAUUACGUAUUACAAGGUAUCAAAGUUUGGUGACGAUCCAACAGUCAGAUCGUCAAUUCACAUUUUCACCUAACCACGAAUCGAAACGAACUUAGGUUCAAUUACUCAAUUUACGUCAAUCAAUUAUCAAAAUUGAACCUAGAACAUUAAACACAUGCUAAGAAUGACAUUGACAGGCCACUGGCCACGCGCCGCCGCACUGGCUCGCCGGUAAAUCCAACUAUCUCAAAAAAUUACCAAAAUUUAUAGAAAUGAAGAUCUCAAUGAGUAGAGUAAACUUUAUACCUGUGGCCAAGGCCAAUUUGGCCUGGAAAGGCUCCAAUUUCAUCAAACCCGUGAAGAACCCUAGAAAUGGGUGUUUUCAAUUCGACCUCCAAAACCACUCCGAUGCUCCAACUAAUGCUUGGGCUUUGUUCUAGGUCCUAAGGGAAUGCUAAUGGUGUUAGUAAUUGAAAGAAAACGCUUCAAGAUUUGAAGAAUUAGUAAACUAAGCCACCGCACACACCAUACGGUUUCAUCCAAUUUCAAGGCCAAAUUCUUUGAUUUUUUGGGUGUAAUAGGAAGAGGGAAGAUCAUAGACGGUUUUCCAAGUGAUGGUUUGAAGUAACUCACUGGAAAAAUGAAGAAAUUUUGACGGAAACGGGUGGAAAACCCACCGGGUCGCGCGGGUCAUGGGUUGAAAACCCAUUUCUGUCUUCUUCCUCCGUUUCUCGCCCUCUCUCCUUUCCUCCUUUUCCCUUCUCUGAUUGGCCAGAAACUUCUCUCUCCUUUCCCCAUUCGCCCAGCUUCUCUCCCGAAACUUUCCUGGAGCUGUCUUCUUCUUCCUUCUGGUUGGGCAGUUUUGCCCGACCCUCUUUCUUCUUUUCUCCACCAGUCACGCGCACACACACAUACACAAAACUUUCCUUCAUCUUUUUAUUUAUUUUUUAUUUCCUUUCCCUUACAUCCAAGCCAUCCAUUUCAGAUUUCCUUUAAUCUGGGCCAUCCAAAUGGCACACCAAAAUUUUAUAAUAAAAUUCAUAAAAUGCCCAAACUUCAAACUUUAAAAUCUUUUUCGUUAUAACUCCAAAUCACAAACCAUCUGCGCCCACGCUUCCAUAGUGACGAAUACUACAAGGAUAUGUCAAUAAAACAAAUCUUGGAUGGCAUGACACAACAAUUAACCUCGAAUAAUGUGCGUGCCUCAAAGGGCAUUUUGUAAAAUCCUUUAUUAAAACUUUAAAAACUCUUAAAAUCAGGGACGGGCUGUCACAAGAACCCUAUUUUCUAUUGAUUGUAAACUUGGUUUAAAAAUGGUCUCUCUGAACAGAUAUUCAUAUCAGAAAUGAAUAUAUUGGGGGAAAGGGAUCCUCUUCGGAUCCCUUCCACUUAAUCAUCCUCAUCAAACAAUUUAGGCCCUUGACAUUUGAUCAAACGACUAAAUGAUAGGAGAUACAAGUGGCAAGCAUGAACCAGUCCACAAUGUGUGUUUGUGUGUGAGGAGAGAGAAUAGAGAUGGAAAUGUUAGAGACCAAAUUUGUAAGGAAAAUGACAAGAAGAUUAUCUUAAAUGUGACUUUCUAUGAACUUUCCACUAUUUUAUGUUUUUGAUACAAUUUUUGUGUCAACGUUAUAAAAUUUUGUGCCAAGAAUAUGGAAUGACAAAGAGUCCAUGAAGAGUCUUACUUUGAGCAAGAUAGUCUCCUUAGCAUUUCUCAAUUUGUAAACUAAAUCUUGUAAACCAAAUGAUGAAAUUGUUGAUGAUUAGUUUAUUACUCAAGUGUUGAUUAACGUGAUUAUUUUCUAUUGAUUGUAAACUUAAUUUAAAAAUGGUUUAACUGAAUAGAUAUUCAUAUUCGAAAUGAAUAAAUUGGGCUCUCACGGUUGACUGUUUAGCCAAAUAAAGUUGGCAACAUUUAAAGAAAAUCAACAUUCUUACCUAAAGAGAGUGGUAUGAGAAAUAUUUGGUUGUCGCUGCUUGUGAGAUCUUUUUCACAUGUGGAUGGGGGGAGGGGGGGUGCAUUUGAUACUAUAAUGAAGUUUUUGUCAUUGUCAUUGAGACGGAAAGACGUAAUAUCUUUACCUUUCCUGUUUGGGCGAAACAACUUUUUUAAUUGCAUGUUUUUCUGGGACCAAGCCAACUGCAAAUAUCGUGAAAUAUCUAAAGUAAGCGUCUUGUUUGGACCUUUUGUUUUUGGAACUUUAACGAAAAACACCCGGUACUGUUCACUUUAACGAAAAAUCAUAUUUUUAUACUAAAAAGUCAAUCCUGGUACUAUUCACUCUACCCUUUAUUUUGUUCUUAUCAUUAAAACUCAAAGUUUUCAAACUCUUUUCAUUAGGUUUUUUUUUUUUUAGUGUUAUACUUUCUUAUUAGAGUGUUUAUUUCUAGGUUUAGGGUUUUGUUUGUGAAGAAAAUUGAGGUUCCAAUAUAGAAUUUAUUCUCAACAGUUUGGACUCGAAUUUCUUAUAUUAUUGGCUCGUAUGUUUGGAGCUGCUAAGUUGAAAGAAGAUCAAGAAAAUUUUCAAUCAUUUUUUUAGAUACUAUUGUGGUUUUAAUAGUCAUGGUAUUGUCUGAAAAUUAUUGGCAAUUAUCUUGAAAAUGCAAGGAUAUUUAAAGAGCCUGGGAGAUUGAAAUGUCAUGGGAUUUUAAGAAUAUGAGGGUCAAACUUGACUAGCCAUGGGGAAAUUAUCUUGAUAGUUUGAUAGCAAACUGUCAAGAUAAUGUGAUUAGCUUGUAGGCUUGUACGUCGAUGUCAUAGCAAAUUGCAUUAAGAUAAUUUUAAAAGUUGAAUUGGCUAAUCAAAGAUGUGAUAAAAGAUGGCAAAAUAAUGAUCACAUCACUUCCUUGGUGAUUUUACACGCUGCUUGUUCCAAUAGCAUCAAUUGCGUGCUGCUAGUAAUUGUUGGAUUUUUAGAUCGUCAGCUCUGUUUCACUCUAACGAUAUCGAUACUGUCCUCAUCUUUACCACCUGCCCAAUUGGUCAAGUGUGGGGUUGGAUUUUUAGAUCGUCGGCUCCGUUCCACUUUAACGACACCGAUAUUGUCCCCACUUGCCCAAUCCGUUGUUCCAAUAGCAUCAAUUGCAUGCUGCUUGUAAUUGUUGGAUUUUUAGAUCGUCAGCUCUGUUUCACUCUAACGAUAUCGAUACUGUCCUCAUCUUUACCACCUGCCCAAUUUGUCAAGUGUGGGGUUGGAUUUUUAGAUCGUCGGCUUCGUUCCACUUUAACGACACCGAUACUGUCCCCACUUGCCCAAUCCGUUGUUCCAAUAGCAUCAAUUGCAUGCUGCUUGUAAUUGUUGGAUUUUUGGAUCGUCGGAUUUGUUUCACUCUAACGACACCAAUACUGUCCCCAUCUUUACCACCUGCCCAAUCUGUCAGGUGUGCCAUCUUUAUCACAAAAUGCCUCUGUAUUAGUUAGAGUAGGGUAAUAAUACUAUUUAAACCUAUUGUGGAGAUCCAUAGCUUAUCUGAUGUGGGAUUCUUAAUACUUCUUCUCAUGUGUAACCUCAUUUAGUGGUUCACAUGUGGAGAUUCACGUCGGUAAUUGCAAGGGCCCGAAACCGUGGGCUCUGAUAUCAUGUUGGAAUUUUAGAUCGACAGGCCCGCCUCACUCUAACGACACCGAUAUUGUCCCCAUCUUUACCACAUGCCCAAUCCAUCAAGUGUGGGGUUGAAUUUUUAGAUCAUCGGCUCCGUUCCACUUUAACGACACUGAUAUUGUCCCCACUUGCCCAAUUCGUUGUUCCAAUAGCAUCAAUUGCAUGCUACUUGUAAUUGUUGAAUUUUUAGAUCGUCGGUUCCGUUCCACUCUAACGACACCGAUAUUGUCCCCAUCUUUACCAUCUGCCCAAUCCGUCAGGUAUGAGGUUGGAUUUUUAGAUCGUCGGAUCUGUUCCACUCUAAUGACACCGAUAUUGUCCCCAUCUUUACCACAUGCCCAAUCUGUUAGGUGUACCAUCUUUACCCUAUCUUUACCACCUGUCAAAUCUAUCAGAUGUGCCAUCUUUACCACAAAAUGUCUCUGUAUUAGUUAGAGUAGGGUAAUAAUACUAUUUAAACCCAUUGUGGAGAUCUACAGCUCAUCCGAUGUGGGAUUCUUAAUACUCCUCCUCAUGUGUAACCUCAUUUAAUGGUUCACAUGUGGAGAUUCACGUCAGUAAUUGCAAGGGCCCGAAACCGUGGGCUCUGAUACCAUGUUGGAUUUUUAGAUUGACAGGCCCGCCUCGCUCUAACGACACCGAUACUGUCCCCAUCUUUACCACAUGCUCAAUCGGUCAGGUGUGAGGUUUUACCACAAAAAACCUUGGUAUUAAUUAGAGUAGGGUAAUACUAUUUAAACCCAUUGUGGCACUUUAUCCCCACCGAUGUGGGAUUAUUAACAGUAAUUAUCAUGUGGUAUGAAGUUUUAGGAAGCAUGGUGCAGUCGAAAUUGCUUGUAUAGUUUAUCAUCCAAGGCAUACAUGUCUCUAUAAUAUACCGCACAACGUGAAAAGGACUUUCAAUUCAACCAUCAAUGCUCUGUGAAACCCUUCACAAUCCUGCGUGAAAAAUACAAACGGAUUUACUAUCAGUCAAACACAUAUAGCGUUUGGUUAAACAAAUUUGAGUUGGCAGCCGAUGCAAAUUCAGUUUGGUUAGAUAUGUUUGGGUUGGCAACCAGCAAAUAUGACAGUUUGGUUAAACAGCACCAGAGUUGUAGAAUUUAUCCAGUUUAGGAGUCUUGACAGUCUGAUUAAACAAAAAGUUUCCUAAGUUCGACUGGCUAUCUAACCCAAAUCUUUGCCGACGAACACAUUGGUCAUGGAGGAGGUGCUUCGUUGUAGAAACUGCGCUGAUUCGGGAAAGAGAGGAAUCCGUAGGAUGAGAACAGUGGCGGAUCCAGGAAAUAAUGUUUGGGGGGUCAAUAAGGAUAGCGCGCAGUGCGUAAAUUUUUUUUAACAGAAACGGCAUGCAUAUUGUCAUUUCAUCGAGUCUUGGUAGGAUAACGCGACCAGCUACUCCAAAAUCCUUGUUCAAAGGUCCUAAACGUUCAAACCUGGAGGAAGAGAUUGCUUCAACUUGUCGGCCUUCUCGGAAUCAAACACACAAAGUGUGUAAAGGUACUUGGAGCACCGAACCUUGAACUUGACAGCAUCCUUGGUCCUUUUGAUUUUGACAUUGCGGGCAUCCUUCCUUCUUGCAGUUAGAAGGAAAUCCUUGAUCUUAUGGAUCUGCUUCGGCAUUUUGCUUGUUGCUCGGUCGAGACCGGAGGCUGCGUGUUCUCUCUCAAAGUCCGCUUAUCUCUAUUUUGAUGUUUCCUGGUAUGAACUACCAGUACACUCUGAUUUCAAAUAGUUCUGAAAACAGAAGUACUUCUGGUGGAAGUGAUAAUUCCAAUCCCACAAGUUCCUUGAAUAUAAAGAGAUUUUGUUAUGUACUCUCAAGAGAAGUGCGAAAUCAUGCAUUUGAUCUCAAAUACUCAAGUCGUUGCUCUCCUGCCAAGAACUGCACUCAUUUGUUCGCAUCUGAUUUGGCUCGUGUUGUUUCGUUGAAGCCUAUCGAGUGUCUGAAAGAUGCGAAAAGGUUGAGAUUUCUGGUGGAAUUUGUAGACAGCAACAACGUCUGGUAUCGAAGGCCAUUCGAUCUCAAUACAACUUUGAUUGGAGAAGGCUCAUGGGAUGCAGAGACAAAUCAGCUGUCUUGUGUUGCAUGUCGAUUCUUGGAUGCAGCAGGUUCUUGGAACAAUACUCGUGUUGGUGAUUGUUCAACAAGAAUUACCUUGAGGUUUCCUGCUUAUGGACAAUCGGGAAGACAAGUAGCAUGGCAGGGGAGAUUUGGAGCAACAAAAAUGUCACAGAGUUGGGUUACUUUGAAAAGAUCAUGUUAAAAAGUCCUCAGGAUGACAUCGGAAAGGUUCUGAUUCCUGGUGUGAAGUAUGAGUACACCAAAACCUAACAAGUAAGCAAUUUGUCUUCAACCACCCCAGCCGAGGAGUUCUUUCAGACCUUUCGUCGAACACUUGAUGUGCAGCUAAGGGGUCUCACCAACAGCUCCAAGGGUCGCACCAGCAGCUCCAAGGGGUCUCUAAGGUUGUUUCCAUGGCUUCCAAGGGGUCGUGUGACCCCAUUGACCCCAUUGUGGAUCCGCCACUGGAUGAGAAGGAGGCAGAGGUUGAAGGGACCAAGGAGAGGAAAGGAGCGGAGAAAGGAUAUGCGGUGGAGAUGUAAGGCCCAAAUCGAUUUUUUAAUUUUAUAAUAUUUUUUAUUUGGUUUAAAAUAACUAACAAUUUUUUAUUAAUUUUUUGUCUAAGUGGUUAAAAUUUGGAUCCUCCUGACCAAGACCAAAUCCAACGGUUACAAACAAGAAGAUCGUUUUAAAAUUAUGAUAAUUAUAAUCUUUAGAUGAAAAUUCAACGGCCCUGUCUUGAUCAAGAGAAUCAUUUCCUUGGGCUCAGGGGAGGAUCCAAAUUUCUUCUAAUCCAAAUUUGACAUCCAUAUCAAAAUAUGACUCUACAUUUGCCACGUCAUCAUUUAACAAUCAAAUUAACAGAAAAUUUAACGAGGAUUGGACAAAAUGCUGUGUUUUGCCUGUUUCUAGAAUUGAUUUAAUUUUAUUUUGGCCCUCGAUAAAGAGUUUGCAAGUGAAAUCUAGGUAAAAGCGUAAUAUUUUCAUAGACAUCGAAAUUAAGACAGCCACAUCACACAGUUUAUAGAAACUUAAUAGACACCGGAAACACAAUCCACAUAGCAGACUGGCUUAUAGAUGACACAAUAUUCAGAUAACAAACUUCUCAACUGAGGGUUCAGAACUUCAGAGAGACGCAUUCUGCAGAGGUCGAUGUUGCUGCAGGUUGCAACGACUCAGAAACCGUGAAUUUUGAUAUUGUCUUUCUUCACAAUCCCAGCCUGUAUAAAACAAAAUUGUGAAUCAGGACCAGACUCCUCCAAAUUGGCUCUGUAAGACCAUCUAAUGGAAUAAUUAAGGAAGCAACUUUGACGGUUUUAUAAUACAUGUAGAACAUUUAACGUCAUCAAACCAUUCUGUGAACUACCUGGACUAGAAAGGUAGAUACGUUCUUUCGCUGAUCACCUUGAAGCUGAAUGACCUACGGACAAACAACAAUACAACAAUUAGGGGGUGUGUAUUAGAAACUAUAUUAUAGAUUUUACUGUUAAGCACGCACCUGUCCUAGUUCUGGGUCCUGGACAACGGUACCAUUGCAGCAAAAUUCCUUCUUAAGGUCUUUGAGUAUCUUGUUAUAGCUAAACUCUUUCUUCAAUCCCUGCACAGUAGUCAGGCUUUUCCUGCCAUUGCGUUGCUGUACACGGAUGUGUACAUACUCUUUUGUCCCAGCACCCGAGUCCUCAGCAGUUGCCUCGGCAAAGGGAUCUGAACCCAAGAAACAGCAAUUCAAUUAGAUAAAUGGAGGGACGCACAAGAAAGGAUGAAAGACAAGCAAGGCAACGAUAGAUGCUCACAUCUCAUAAGAUCAUAAAAAAUUUAAAGCACUAAUCCAAUGUUCAAAUAGUGAAAACAAAAACCUAAUGUGAGGAUGUCAUGAAAAAUAGCCUUUCAUACUCCAGCCCCCUCAUGCAAAAUUAGACUAACAAGCAGCAGAUAUUUUUUUCCACGGUCUUAACCAAAUAUUCUAUACUCUCGUUUCGCACUCUGAAGGAUCAAUAAAUCAGAUUUUUUUACUUGCCAACUAUGUAUAAGCACAGAAAAACUCAUCAGCAAUCAAGAGAACUGAGGGGAAAAUAAAGGGGGUAGCCUUCUACAAGCGUAUAAACUUAUCAUUUUUAUCACUUACGCACAAGGCGGUGAAAUUUUUUAGUUUUGAGCAUAACUCAGAUUCCUAAGAAUGGUAUGCUCUCCCACUUUACGUACAAUUAUUUAGAAAAUAUCAAACAACUAGACACAAAUCUAUAUACCUUACAGUAAAAGCCCACUAAAUUAUAAUGGAGUAGCCUAGCUCCAUCACUUUUCAUAAGUUUUUAGGAAAAGAGAUGUAAUCUAUCCUAGUGAAUGUGGAUUUGAUGCACAAGAUCGUCUCUGCUGUGCUUAUAUUAUAUAAAAGUGAAAAUGACUUCCGAUCGUCCCUGCUCUGCUGUGCUCAGUAGAUAAGAAGCUAAGAAGCAACAGUAACCCAUAACUUUAAUGCCUACAGUUCAAAUCCCCACACUCACAACCCUAUAUUUUGACCAGUACAUAUUAAAUCAGAUCGUAUAGACCACGUUCCAAACAAUUGAACCAAUGCCUUCAGAAAGAAUUGUAGCCAAAUCAAACCAUGUAGGUUAUCAAAAAUGUCCAGAUAAGCAGUUUAGCUUGGUUUCUUGAGUAAAUCAGGUUGUCAGAUUGCUGAAUUACUCUAGUUGACACUAUCUCUUGAUAAACAACAACAAACCAAUUUCUCAAACUCCACGUCUACUAAAUUGCAACAGUAUUGAAUGUCGGUGACUAAAAAUGCUCUCGAGCAUAUAGGUGCCCAGUUUUUCAACCAAUCAAACGUCCUGGAGCUAUUAUCCAACUUAUCCAAUUGGAUUCGAAUACAGGCGCACACAAGCAUGCGUUCAAGCACAUAAACACACACAAAUGAGUUACGAAUCAGCCCUAAACAUACCAAAGGCAGUGGGAAGCUGUACGUCGAUGUCAGACAUGAAACUUAGCUGAUUCAACUAAGCGACCCUGCUAACCGGAAUGCUCAGACCUGGAUCACAUUAAACAAAAAAUAUAAAUCUUCAUGUCCUCCAUCACAUAUAAUCAAGAUAAUAACACAAAAAGAACAGAUCACAUAAUCGAAAAGAAUUUUCGCAACUCUUCCGGAAUAAUCAACUGCGUAAUCACAAGGGAGUAAACAAAAUCUAUAUCGAAUCAAUUGCAAUCCCACCCUCGGAAAAAACUAAUUGACACCGAAAAACAAAGAGGGUUCGAAAAAAGCACCAAACUUUUCGGCUUCAUCUAAUCAAACAUGAAAAUAAUAUAUUUUUCAAGUACUUUACUGGAAAAAUUAAAAAUCAGAACACCAAAAAGAACUUAAUUCCCAGUUUUUUUUCCAGAGCGUCCUGUAAAUAAUAAAAAUUAAUGUAAUUCCACCUCUCAGAAUAAUAUCAAUUUAAAAAAAUUAAAAAAUUAAAAAAUUUCCAAUUUAUACAAAACCCCUAAAAUUCGGACCAGAUAUUAAACCAUCAAAAACCCUAGAACAAAGACGAACAGAAAUCGGUAAGGGGAUCGAAGAACGAAUUACCUGAUCUGAUAAUUAGGGUUUUGGAAUUGGCGAGUCGGAUCGAGAAAAAACCCUAACCCCAAAUAUCAGAUGAGCCUGAGCGAGCUCUCUCGACCGCGUUUAGUAGAUUGCUGUUUGGGAAGACGGAAAAAGUGAACAGAAAAUUGGGGCUUUGAGAUAGAUAUUUAUUGAAUAAACAAAUAAACAAAUAAUAAUUAAAUAAACUUAAAAAUAUGUGCAAGGGGGAGAGUGGUUUUGGUCAUUUGCACGCGCAGGGGUUUCAUUAGAUAGUCCACGCGCUGAUGAGAGCACUAGUUUUGGGUUUGGUUUAUUUGAGUGACAGCUGUGGGUAGCUGGGAGCGAGUAGAAGUUGAAACAGAAAAACAAUGUCUGGCUUUCUGAGUUGGUAAGUCGGUCUAAUGACCUUGUCCAUUCUGGGCAAUAAACCGCACCGUCUCUUGCCGAGUCCGCGUGAAGGGCAAAAUAGAUGAGUCUUCCUAAAAAUCUAACUCUGAUCUAAGUUAGUAUUACAGUUUUGUAAUAUUUCUGUUUACUUAAAAAUAGAAAGUCUCAUAUUUGACACAUCAAAAAUACAUAUAGAAGUUGAAUACCCAUUUCUUAGACUAGAAUAUCUCAAUUCUCGUAGAGUAAAAUAUCGUUAUAGAAAGAAAAAAUCACACUUGUAUUUAUUUUUUUAUUGUUUCCACCCCCUGAGAAUUUACAAUUUAAGGUAAACUCCUUCAAAGUCAAAACUAUCUUCAAAGCUACUUAAUAUAAUUUGGGUGCGGUUGUUGCACCAGACUGUCUCGGACUGAACUAGCUUCAGAGACUAAGCUGGACUGGCUUAAACUAGACUAAGCUAAACUAUAUUAAUGAAACAUUUGGUGCAGUGUCAGAUUAAAAAGAAGGAUAAUGAAAAUCAAUGAAAAAUAAACCUAUUUGAACAAUCACAACAAAAGAAUUCGAUAAUACGACAUCAUAAACUAACCAACCUAGAUUCAUUAUAGAAGGAAAAUUGAAAUUAACUAAAUCCACUUUUCUCUACCUACCCAAUUCAAACCAAAACAAAACAAUUUCUCAUAAUUAAAACAUAAUAAUAAAUUUCUCACAAAGCUACCCAAUAAAAUAAAAAAUUGGGUAAAAAAUUGUAUUUUAAUCCUUUUGUCCAUCGCUAUAUGAGGUUCUAAAAUGUGAGCCCAGAAAUUGUGUUGCUCCUUAAAUUGAACGACAUCGUCGCCACAACCACAAAUCAACAAAUCCAAUUGAUGGCACUACAGAUCCAUCUUCGUCACCUUCGUGCAGUUGUGGUCGACCCUAGCCUUAGGCUGUCGGUCUUCGAACUCAGUCUUCAAACCCAGCCUUCGAAUGUCUCAUCGUUCGGGCCACUGUUGUAGACCCCCAGCCCUCAAUCGAUCACGAUAAUCAAAUAAACAUUCCCUUUUCUAAUUGAUCCACCACCCAAGGAGUGUUCUGUCACCUCGGCGAAGAGGAGUGGGUGGUGCUGACAUCGAUCCGAGUCUAGGUUGUCGGUGCAAAGAGAUAGAGGAAGGGAGAGAGAGGAUGCAAAGUGCAGGAACAGACGUGAGAAGACGAAGGUCUUAGCAAUCCCAUGGUUUUGCGGGGGUCUCGCUAAGAACUUCUAGUGAGGCCCUUAGUCGACGCGUAUCCCGGCUAGUACCAUUAAAGUUAAUCUGCGCGAGUAACAAACACGGUACUGGACAAAUCUUUAAUCAUGUCUAGUCCAACAAAGGCUAACGAGUGCAAACAAACGCACCCUUUAGGGUAAACUCCACAUUAGUAAAACUGUUCGUCAACCAAAAACUAAUAAAAUUAUUACUAUACCCUUUAAUACAAAACUGAAAGAAGAUAUUAGAAAAUAAAACAAUUUGGGCAUUAAAGUAAUUUUGUACAAAUAAGUUUUUUCUAAGUACAUCGAUAUUUUUACACUAGGGGGAGGGGAAGUUCGGCUAAGCCACACAAUGGGCAACCUUAUUUGGUAUCGAAUUCGCCUAUUAGGGAGAAUGACAAGUCAUCAAAUGUAGUUACUGUUAAAUAGUUUGUUAAAGCUAAAUGUAAUCAGUUUUGUUAGUAACUGUAGUUAGUCAAGGUAGUUAAGGGUAUUCUUGUAAUUAGCCUAAGGCAGCUAAGGCUAUAUAUAUUCACAUCUGUACAACUGAAUUAUUGAUUCAAUACAAUCAAGAAAACUUACUGUUGAAGUUUUCUGUUUCUAUAUGGUAUCACGCCAUCCUGCUUUACAGCACCGACCUUCUCUUCCGCUCGACCUCUCGAUCGAUUCCUGAUCGAUUCUUGCUUUCUUCUUUCUGAUUCUUCAGCUUUUCAUUCCCGAUCUCUCUUGAAUCUUGAUCGCUGCAAGCUAUGGUUGCUCAAUCUGCAUCGCAACCUAUUAGGUAUUCUUCUCCGAUCAUCUCUCAUUCGGUCCAAAACCCUAAUUCCUCUUCUAAUCCGAGUCCUCUGAAUUCGUAUACUUCUCUUACGAUUCACAACAUCGGCAGUAUGGUUCCAAUCAAGCUGAAAAGUUCCAACUAUCUGCCAUGGCGAGCACUGUUUGCUCCAAAUUUCCGGCGAUACAAGCUUCUUGGUAUCAUUGAUGGCAUUGAGAUUUGUCCUUCACCAUUCUUGCCCGAUCGCUCAAUGAAUCCUGCCUUCGAGGAUUGGUAUGAAAAAGAUCAAAACCUAUUGAUCUGGCUCAAUUCUACCCUAUCAGAAGAACUCAUUCCGUUCACAGUUGGUGUUUCUUCUUCUCGAGAACUCUGGGUAAAGCUUGAACAAAGUUUUGGUGGAAUUUCAGAGGCUCAUAUUCACCAAUUACGAUCAAGACUUCAAUCAAUUCAGAAAGGAUCUCAGUCCAUUUCUGCGUAUCUUCAACAAAUCAAGGAAAUUGCUGAUUCCUUGCACAUUGCUGGUGCUUCGGUGUCUGAUCGUGACCUAAUUGCUGCCACUCUAUAUGGAUUACCUGAUGAAUUCGAGUCUUUUAUUGACUUCAUCAUGCUGCGGCUCUCUUCUACAUCUCUUGAUGAACUCCAUGGCCUCUUACUCACCAAGGAGUUGUCUAUGGCUCGUCGCAAGGCUGCUAUUUCCUCAUCUGCAACUGAACCUUUUCAGGCCUUCUCAGUGCAAUCUCAGCCUCCCUUGCUUUCUACUCCAUCUGUUUUUUCUACUCAGUAUCAACCAUUUCACUCUGCUUUCCGAUUUAACUCAAAUCGUGGUAAGCCAGCUCGAGGUAAUUUCUCAUCCAAUCGCAGCAAUCGCUAUUUUCAUAAUAAUAGGGGCACUUUCACCAACAAUCGUGGCAAUCGAAAUUAUCAAGGUUCUUCCACUUUCAAAGUUCCUUGUCAAAUUUGUGGUUCUACCAGUCAUGAGGCAAUUGACUGCUUUGAUCGUAUGAAUCCGGAUAUCUGCGGUCGAAUUCCUUCAGCCAAACUUGCUGCAAUGUGUGUGCAUCAUUCAGCAAAAUCUGCUCAGCCUUGGUUAAUUGAUUCUGGCACCACCUCCCACAUCACCAAUGAUGUAGCCAAUAUUUCUUCUCUAACUCCUUACACUGGAGAGGACAAAGUGUACAUUGGAGAUGGUAAAGGAUUAUCUAUCCAUCAUAUUGGUUCCUUAUCUCUGCACACUCCUCAUUAUUCCUUUAAACUGAGCAAUGUUUUACAUGUUCUUUUCAUGAAACAUAAUCUCUUAUCUGUUUAUCAGUUUCUUAAGGAUAAUAACUGUUCAUUGACUCUUGACCCUUAUGGAUCCACUGUCAAGGAUCGCAUUUCGGGGAAGAUGCUUUUGCAAUGACCUGUUAGGGAUGGUUUCUAUCCUCUCAACAAUUCCACCAGUUCUUCUUCUUCACCUUCAGCGUUUUUCAGCAUUCAAGCACCAGUCACUGUAUGGCACAAGUGCCUCGGACAUCCUUCCUCCUCAAUUUUUCGAAGAGUCAUAUCUACCAAUAAUCUUGCACUGCAAGGCAAGAAAAUUGUUGAUUUUUUCUGCUCAGAUUGUGCACUUGCUAAGAACCACAAGCUUCCUUUUGGAGUGGCUUCUUCAUCAACAACUCACAGUCUCUAACUUCUGCAUUGUGAUCUGUGGGGACCUGCCUCUAUAACAUCUAAUAAUGGCUUCAAGUAUUAUUUACUUCUUGUUGAUGAUUUUAGCAAGUACAGUUGGUUUUUUCCAUUGAAGUCUAAGUCCGAUGUAUUUUCUACAUUUGUUACUUUCAAAACCUAUGUAGAAAACUUCACUGGCAAUAAAAUCAAGAUUCUGCGUUCAGAUUCAGGGGGUGAAUUUACUAGUCACUCUCUUACUUCAUUUCUUCGUGAUCAUGGUAUAUUGCAUCAAUUUAGUUGUCCACAUACGCCUGAACAAAAUGGCUGUGCAAAGAGAAAGCACAGACAUCUUGUUGAGACAGCUCACACAUUACUUGUAGCUUUUCAAGUUCCUCAGGUUUUUGGGUUAAAGCCUUCUCCACUGUAAUAUAUCUUAUAAAUCGACUUCGUAUUUCUGGUCUUACAAAGUCACCGUGGGAACUUCUUUUCCACCAUCAUCCAGAUUACUCUAAACUGAAAGUAUUUGACUGUCAAUGCUAUCCCUGGCUUAAACCGUACAUUCACAGCAAAUUGGAUGCUAAGAGUAAAAGUUGUGUGUUUUUGGGCUAUAGUCUUCAACAUAAAGGCUAUAGAUGUCUUGAUCCUGUCACUAAUAGAAUCUACAUAUCAAGACAUGUUGUCUUUGAUGAAACAACUUAUCCUUUUACAUCAUCGCCGCCCAAUAGUCCCACUUCAGAGAUUUCAUUUUCUACACCUUCUCCAUCCUUUGACCUUAAAUUCAGCAAACAUUUUUCCAGUUCUCCUCCAGUCAGUACCUCUUCAGCACCACAGUGUUCUUCUGUACCAUCCUAUCAAUCGGAUUACAUCUUCCAAUGAAACUUCUUUCUGUAAUCAGUCAGUGGAUAAUUCUCACACUUCUUCCAGCUCUGCCUCUUUCAAUGACUCAUCUUUCUUACCUAUUCAGCCUAGUAAUCCACCUAUUUAUGGGAAUACACAUCCUAUGAUUACAAGAUCUAAGGCUGGAAUAUACAAGUCUAGAGCUUAUGCAGCAAUAAAACAUCAACUUCCAGUUGAUCUUGACUUUGUUCCUAGUACUUAUUUACAAGCAUCAAAGCAUGCUCACUGGCGAGCUGCAAUGCAGGCUCACUGGCGAGCUGCAAUGCAGGCUGAAUAUAAUGCCUUAAUAACCACAGGCACUUGGUCUUUUAUUCCCUCUCAUCCUUCUCAGAAUGUUGUUGGAUGUAAAUGGGUGUUCCGGGUCAAGAAAAAUCCUGAUGGAACCAUUGACAGAUACAAAGCACGCUUGGUGGCAAAGGGCUUUCAUCAGCAAGAAUGAGUUGACUUUCAAGAAACCUUCAAUCCUGUUGCUAAACCAGUCACCAUUCAGAUUCUUCGUACACUUGCUGUCCAAGAUAAUUGGUUCUUGAAUCAAUUAGACAUUAGUAAUGCAUUCCUCCAUGGUGAUUUAAAGGAUGAUGUUUACAUGCAACAACCUCCUGGUUUUAUUGAUCCUAACUCUCCCCAUUCUGUUUGCAAGCUGGAGAAAUCCUUAUAUGGCCUCAAACAAGCUCAUCGAGCUUGGUUUGAUAAAUUGUUUCAAGCUCUUCGAACACUCGGCUUUCAUCAAUCUCAAUCUGAUGCCUCUUUGUGUUGUCUUUAAUGGACCUUAGUUGGUUAUUGUCCUUGUUUAUGUAAAUGACAUCUUAGUUACUGGACCCAACUCUCAACUCUGUCAAUAGUUUAUCCAACAACUUAGUACUCAAUUUCCAGUAAAAGAUCUUGGUCCUUUACACUAUUUCUUAGGGUUGGAAGUCCACAGAUCCAACAAAGGCAUAUUUCUUCAUCAGACCAAGUAUUUACUUGAUCUUCUUAAGAAAACAAAUAUGGAGGGUGCCAAACCUUGUUCGACUCCUCUUGGUUCUUAGAAACUGGAUCACAGUGGGCCUCUCUUGUCAAAUCCCACUGAAUAUCGCUCUAUAGUUGGUGGUUUACAAUAUCUCACUUGGACUCGACCUGAACUUGCCUUUGCUAUUAAUCAGAUAUGUCAAUUUAUGCAUGCUCCCCGAGAACAACAUCUUCAAGCAGCAAAACGGGUUCUCAGAUUUCUUAAAUGCUCUAUUUCUCAUGGUUUAUGGUUCACCACAGGUCCUAUUAACCUUUCAGCAUACUCUGAUGUUGAUUGGGCUGGCUGCACCUUUGAUAAGCCGUCCACCAGUGGAUAUUGUGUAUUUCUUGGUCCAAAUCUUAUCAGUUGGAGUGCAAAGAAACAAAGUACUGUUGCUCGUUCCUCCACAUAAGCUGAAUAUCGUUCCUUAGCACAUUCUGCUGCAAAACUAACUUGGGUUUGCAAAAUCCUCAAAGAUCUUCAUUCUCCUCUCCCUACACUGCCUACCCUAUGGUGUGAUAAUAUUUCAGCAAUCUCUUUGGCAUCUAAUCCUAUUUUUCGUGCUCGCACCAAGCAUAUUGAGAUUGACUAUCACUACAUCCGGGAGUUGGUUCUCGCAAAUCUCAUCAAAGUCUACUAUGUUUGCAGUGAAGACCAAUUGGCUGAUCUUCACACCAAAUCUUUGUUUAAAAGCAGAUUAUCUUAUUUGUGUUCCAAGCUUCCAAUUGGAAUCCUAUCUGAUUCCUCUUUUAGCUUGAGGGGUGUAUUAGGGAGAAUGACAAGUCAUCAAAUAUAGUUACUGUUAAAUAGUUUGUUAAAGCUAAAUGUAAUCAGUUUUGUUGGUAACUGUAGUUAGUCAAGGUAGUUGAGGGUAUUCUUGUAAGGCAACUAAGGCUAUAUAUAUUCAUAUCUGUACAACUAAAUUAUUGAUUCAAUACAAUCAAGAAAACUUACUGUUGAAGUUUUCUGUUUCUAUAUCGCCAUCCACGAAAUUCGAACCUAAGACCUCUCACUUCUAAGUGAAGAUGAAUACUACCAGACCGUAGUACUAAGUGGUUAUACAAACAAGUUUUUACUGUUUUUUUUUCUAAACUCCACAACUAUGUCACUUUACUAAGGAGCAGGGGAGUGGGCUUAGUCUCACAACGGGCUAGCAAUAAUGUGAUUCAAAUUCACAUUUGACGAGAAUCGAACCUGAGACCUCUCAUUUAUAAGUAAAGAUUAAUAACAUUAGAUCAUAGUACUAAAUGACCUAAAUGAGGCAUCUAACAUGUGUGUUUCAAAAGUUCUUUUCUUUCUUUUUCUAUAUGACUGUACGUCUUGUAACUAUGCAGCCAGUCAGAAAUACAUUUUAUUGUAAAAAAAAUUAAAAAAAAAAGAGUAAUUUUAGCCAAUUUCAGAAACAGUUGGUAUCCUAAAAACUCAAAAGUAUGGUUCAACCAGUCUUCUAUCUCUUUCCAAGAUUCAAAAUCUUCCAAACAAAUUGUUUGUAAAUUUGAAAUCUAGCAUCCGUGAUUUUCUAAAAUUUGGAUUCUAUUUUUUGAUAAGUGCUAAUAAUAUCCUAUUAAAACUUGGCGUGCAUGCCAAGGAAAAUAAUUAAUCCUUAUGCGUGGCAUAGACUUGUGGCUUUUAAUGCAUUAAGUCGGCAUUCGAUCCUAUAAAUUAAGGCUCUUCGAUGCCAAAUCAUUCAUCGUUGAAAGCAAAGGCAUAUAGAAGUUCUGUGUAGCUGGCUCUCGUUCUCUCUCAAGGUUUGUACAUAUUUUCCAUCAUAUUCUGCAGUUAACGUUCUUCAGUAUGUUUUUAGGGUUUGAUUAAUUGUUUGAUUCAAUCAGUUAUUUCCUAGAAUUAUUUUUUAUCUUUCAUUUUUUUAUGAACGCCUGAGAACAUUGGAAAUUUAGAACACAAAUUUGAUUAAAAUUUUAUAUAUUCGUUUGAUUUGAUUAGUUACUUUGCUACAAUAAAUUUUGUAUAAAUUACAGGAAAAUAUUGGAGGUUGUUUUGUAUUCAAUUUGAAAAAUAAAUUUUAGUUUUAACAAAAUUUUAGUUUUAACAAGUGAUGAAUGUAAGGAGUCUUUUGUUUCGAAAACAAAGAAACUGAUACCAAACGGGAUCUUAAGUAAUUAAGGGCAUUGAUUUACGAUUUUUUUCUUCUCUAAACAGAUGCAGAUCUUUGUGAAAACCCUAACCGGAAAGACCAUCACCCUCGAGGUUGAAAGCUCCGACACCAUUGACAAUGUCAAAGCCAAGAUCCAAGACAAGGAAGGUAUUCCCCCAGACCAGCAAAGGCUGAUAUUUGCCGGCAAGCAGCUCGAGGACGGCCGCACCCUCGCCGACUACAACAUCCAGAAGGAGUCCACCCUCCACCUAGUUCUCCGUCUCCGUGGUGGUAUGCAAAUCUUCGUCAAGACCCUUACCGGGAAGACCAUUACUUUGGAAGUGGAAAGCUCCGACACUAUUGACAAUGUUAAGGCUAAAAUCCAGGACAAGGAGGGCAUCCCUCCGGACCAGCAGAGGUUGAUCUUUGCAGGCAAGCAGCUCGAGGACGGAAGGACCCUUGCCGACUACAACAUCCAGAAGGAGUCCACCCUUCAUCUUGUACUCCGCCUCCGCGGUGGUUUUUGAAUUCGAGCUCAUUGAUGCUUGUCCCAGCCUCCUGGUCUGAGGAGUAGAAGUGAAUCUAAUGUAUUCUUUUGUGGCUGUGUAUUGCCAGUAAUUUGGGUUAUUAAUACUGCUUUCGUAUGUGCUUUAUGCUGUUGCAAUUUCUAUUAUUUUGGUACUCCUGCAUUCAUUUGUUUAAAUUGUGUGUUGAGAAUAUUUAAACUAGCAUUUGUAUGUUGAGGGAUAACUUAUACCUUACGUGCAUGUAUGUAUAUUGGUGUGUUACGAAAAAUUCUGUUAACAAUGUCACUAAUUCAUUAUCUAGAAAAAUGUACUGAAUUUGCAUGUGCAUCAGUAUUGUAUUGAUUUUGUUGAAAAUAUAUCGAUACUUUGUCGGUACAUUCUGUUGGUCACAGUAAAUAUUGGUGAAAUAUAUCAUGUACUCAUGGUCUAGCCUAACUGUUCAUUUGCAAUGCAAAUAACACCUCAUAGCAAAAUUGGUAGCCUACUUUUCCAAUGACCAGUGUAACUCUAAAAGUGACUCCCCCAACUUCAUGAUCUGUGCAUGACCAGUUUUGGGUUGGAAGUCACAAAUAAGCGAAGUACAUACACUACAAGAAAAAAGGCUAAUUGUCACAGAGCAAGUGCGGUCGUUGCUAGGAAAAAGGCCAAUUGCCACAGAGCAAAUGCGGUUGUUGCUAGGGUUGUUAUUGCUAAAAGUGUGACAAUUGCUAUGCUAACAACGCCCCCCCCUCUCUCUUGCUGCUUCUCGCAGUGAUAACUACAUAUGAUAUGAGUCAACUAUGAAGUACCUCAUCAGCGAUGUAAACUAGCUAUGAUUGACUUACAUUGCUAGCUAGACCUAACUGUGCAACACCAUUUUAAUUCCAAAAUUGAUCUUGGGAGUUUCUUCAAGAUCUAUCCAUGACCAGUUGCUAGGAGUGUAGUUACCAAUGGCAAGUACUCGUCCAUGUUCUUUCCAGCUGACGGUUGUAUAAUUAGUUGAAUAGUUAUUCAACUUCUAAUCAUGAGAUUGUGCUAAAAGUGGGAAUGGCGUUUUUGAAUGGGCAAUGCUAGGAAUAUCAAAUAUUAGAUAAAUUUUGUAGACAAUAUAAUGUGAUUGUUGAUUAACGUGUUUAUUGUUUAUGAUGACACAUCACAUGAUUUGCAAAUAUGGUCUAAAAAUUUGGUCUACGCAUUGCUCAUUUUGCAUUGAGGAGUUCUUACUGUUCUUCUGUUGUAUAAUUUAGACCCAUUGGGCCAACACUGAAAGGCCCAGUACCAUCACGACCUCACCCCGCUCAUACCCCCCCCCCCCUUCCCUCUCUCUCUCUGAUCUCACCCUCCUCUCCUUCCUCACGCGGGAAUUGUGGACUCUCACUGUAAUUGCAAUUUGUCGUUUAAAAGGUACGAAAAAUUUCUGUAUACAAUUGAAUUUUAAAAGUGAUUUGAUAUAUUUGUUUGGGUUUCUUUAGGGGUCUGUCACUGUCAGUAAACUGGUUUUGCUUGUGAUUUCUCGAUAAUUUGCUGAGAUUUGCACUGAGAUUUGGUUGUUAAUGAUAUUUUUUGUAUGGGAUUUGGUUAUGUGCACUGAUUCCUCAUGGCAUUAAUGAAUUUUGUUUCAAUUUUUUUGGGAAUUGGGAUAUUUUCGUAGUAGGUCGAUGUAUGGAGAGAAUUUGGCGAUUAGGGUUUAGAAAAAUGUUUGAUGACUGAAGCUCUUGGUGUCUGCUUCUAAUCAACACGGCUAUGGCCGAAAGGAUCUUGGGUAAUUUGAUUUAUGUUGAGAGGGGUUGAAAGUUGACACAUUUGGAUGUGUUGACUAUGGCCAUAAGGAGCUUACUGACCUGCACUCAAGCUCUGUACCUUGAGUCCUUCACCUGUGUGAGCUCCCUUGAUUUAUCACCGUUGGCAAACAUUAAACGUCUAGAUAUCCGUUAAUAUUUGUUGUGCUAAAGGAGUUAUAGUUUGUUUUUCCGUAUUGUACUGUGUGCGCGUUUGGAUGGGGGACUUUGAAAGUUUUAUAGAACUUAGGCUAAAUAGUUAUGAAGGCACUACAAAAAUCAUGUGGAUCGACUGUGAAAUUGACGUGAUGCUAUACAUUUGCAGUGCAUUUGUAGUGUUCUAGUGUAGGUGCUAUACAUUUGUAGAUUUUAGUGUUCUAGAGUAGCGUUGAAGCGUUUGAGUAGUUCAGUAGUCUCUUGUAGUGCUGUUUUAAGAAUAGAGUUCGAUGUUCUUUGGGACUUUGAAAGUCCCUCAUCUAAACAUUGCAUAAGGAAUCGAUAAAUGCAUUUGGUCAGAUCCAUCUUCAAAAAGAAAACUUAUAUAAGAAAGCUCUUCCUUUAAGAAACAAGACCUUAGACUACUCUGUACACAAAGUGGAGUGAUAAACUACUAUCCAUGGUAUCUAAUCUACAUGUCCUAUAUUCAAAAUAACAAUAAGGUAUGUCAAUAUGUCAUGGAGUUACCAUAACAUUGAUAGUUACUUGAAGGUAAUUAAAAGUGUGUAAAAGCUGCUUUUGAAAAACAAUGUCCAGAGAGAAUGGCUUGUUGGCUUAUAAGAUUGGUGGAUUGAGUUUUUAUGGGAAAAUGAUCGGGGUUCUGUUCACUCUUGGGGUGUUUUGCUUUUAUGUUAUUGGAAUGUUAUAGCGAAGGUGUAUGGAUUUAUAUUGAUUUGUGUUAUUUGUUCUUACUAUAGAAAUUGAUGUAUGUUGUUAUAUUAAAAUUCUACUGUGUUUUCUUUCUUUUUAAUUUGUUCUUACGUUUAUAGUUGUGUAUAGUUUGUUUAGUUGUGUGAAAAACAUAUAUUACUAAUUUACUAGCCACGUAAAACAAUUACGAGAAAAGAAAUCAUCUUUAGUGGGUAUUUAGUUUCUUUUUGAUAAUAACCAAAAGAAAAAACUGUAACAGUUGCCAAACAAGCUUUAUGUUAUUAGUGUUUUUCAAAUGAAAACUAAAAUCUAAUAUUCAAAAACAGUGAACUGAAAACAAAAUGGUUAUCAAACAAGGCCUAAAAGUUGAGUAUUUUUUUGUAAUUUUGUAGAGAAACCUUCAAACCUCUCGCUCUUAUCUUAGAUCACCAUGCCUCCAGUUGGCCCUCGAUCUGGUGAUGCAAUCUUCGCCAACGUGGAACGUGUGGUAAGUGAAACCCCAAGUCGCCUUAAUGUUUUCUUUAUCCUCAUAAUUUGGAAAUUGAAUUGGUUUCAGAAUGCGGAGUUGUUUACAUUGACGUACGGUGCGAUUGUGCGCCAGCUGCUUACGGAUCUUGAGGAAGUUGAAGAGGUUAACAAGCAGCUUGAUCAAAUGUAAUUUUUUUUGCUUUACUUUAAUUCUCUAUACUCAAGUUUGAUGUUGCAUUUCUUUCUUUUUUCUCUGAGAAUUAUGCCUUUCUUAGAAGUUUAGUUCUAGCUUUUACAUUAUAUGGAAGUGUGUGCUUGCAUGCAUCGACAAUUAUCUUGUUUUCUUCAUUUUUUUGUUGUUGUAGGAUUCUGUUUAUGGCUGUUAAUUUAUGUCAAUCUUUGUUUUGAGCUAUAAAUGUGUUGCAAGGAGGACAACUUUUAUUUCGUGACAUGCAAUGUUUGAUGACCAGUAACCGUAACUUUGAUAAAAAUAUAGUUAAUUUUCAGUUUAGCUGAUUACGUGACAAUUUAAUUGCAUCUCAGGGGCUAUAAUAUUGGCAUUCGAUUAAUUGAUGAGUUUCUAGCAAAGUCUAAUGUAUCUAGAUGUGUUGACUUCAAAGAGACAGCUGAAGUAAUUGCAAAGGUUUGUUGCCACCAUCCGUUUCCUUUCAAAUUUGAAUAUUCUGUGGAUCUUAAUUGUUCUGAAACCUGGUAAACUGUUUCUUCUGUGCUGAACUUUGGUACCUGUUGCAUGGAAGUUAUUGAAUCUUCUAUUACUUCCCAUGGUCUUUUCAACUGUUUGGUACAAAUAUCUUUCAGUAAAUGUUGGUGGAAAUUUAAUUCACUUGUCCAAUCUUUGCCUUUCUUGAGGAUGACAGCGGAGGUUUGUUAGUGAAAACCAAGAUUUGAAUCAUGGUUAAUGGCUAAUAUAUCUGAUUGAUACAUGUCAAAAUGCUAAAUGCUGAAUCCUGUCCACUGACUGUGCAACAAAGCAUAUUAGUAGGCCUAAACAUAUUGAAUUUAGAAUCAUUAAGUGGAAUUACGGUUAGUCUAUCAGUUUGUUUGGGUUUGAGGCUCUAUCUUGCGAUGGAAAAAUGGUAAUGGGCCAGGAUUGUAAUAUCUGUAAGACAGUUCCUCUAGUGUUUGGUGCAAUCUUUUCAUGCGUCGCUAGAUCUAAACUGUUCAUUUUUUGCUGUGUUUUUAUUUUUUCAAUUUCCACAAGCUUCCAGGUGAAGAUAUGAAGUAGUUUUUUGUUUGUCAUAAUGGCUCCAUCAAUAUUUUUUUCUACAGGUUGGUUUCAAAAUGUUCUUGGGGGUCACUGCAUCUGUUACAAAUUGGGAUGCUGAUGGAACAUGUUGCAGUAUUGUUCUGGAGGACAAUCCUCUGGUAGACUUUGUUGAGCUUCCAGAUACGUGCCAAGGUCUUUACUAUUGCAAUAUCUUAAGUGGAGUUGUAAGAGGCGCCUUAGAAAUGGUGAGUUGUACUUGUGAUCUCAUGUACUGCACUUGCCUUGACAUGUGCCCCCUCUAUGUGAUGUAUGGUUUUCCCUUUUUGCACUGGUCGCUAUAUAACAGAAUACAACUUCUUACUCUUAUACACGUCUCAUUGGUAUUGGCUUUUAUUUUGACUUACAUAGAGAACACCGUAACUUUCUACUUGUAGUUUCAAUUUUAUUCUUCCAUUUAAAAUAUUAGUUACGGAAGUUGUAGCUAAAAAAGCCAGCUCGCUGCUAGUAACAUCAUUAUCUAUCUAUUUAUAUAUAUUUUUUCAAACUUGGGGGAGUUUUAUUCCUUACAUAAUUCUAUUGUGCUUUGACUCAGCUUCAGUCGUAGUUUAGUUUUAUUGAUUCCUUUCUAAUAUGUAUUGGUAGAAAGUUUUCCAUUUUUUCUCCUACCGAAUGAUUUCGAUUUUCUAUUCCCCAUGCACUUUUACUUAUAGUAUCUAAGAAAACUUGUAUUACCUGCUUGAGGGGAUUCAGCUGAUUCGCAAGGCUAAAAGCACUUUCUGAUGGGAAUAUGGGUCUUGAAGGUUCUAUUAAAACCUAAAAAAAUGAAGGGUGGUAGAGAUUCUGUUUUGACGUCAUAUAUGAGUUUUCUCCGUCUCUUUAUUUUCUCUCUUGCCUCACAGUUACGUUGUUUCCAUGGUCAGGUAUCAAUGAAGACUGAAAUUAGUUGGAUCCGUGAUAUGCUUCGAGGUGAUGAUGCAUUCGAGUUGCAAGUUAAACUCCUGAAGCAAAUUCCAGAAGAGUACCCGUACAAAGAUGAUGAGUAAAAUGCUUGCACUAGCCUGAUACAUAAACAGUUUUAUUUCUGCUUCCACCUUUUCCUUGAAGUCAAAUGUUAGCAGCAGCUUGUUAUGUCUUUAGCACGCGUUCGCGGACACAAUGGAUAACGGUGUUUUUAUUUACUCGCCGUUUAGUUUUUGCCAUUCCGAUGAAUCAUUUUAACGGCUUAAAUGUGCAAUUUGCAUGUUCUGCGACUCUCAUCUUAUUUUUCAUGGAACGGUUUAGUACAAAUUUCAAGAAGAAAGUUAGUUAUUUAAUUGGAAUUUAUUAUUGUUCUAAAAUUAUUAAUGUUUUAUAUAUAUAAUUGUUGUGGGUUGUAAAGAGAAGCUAUCCUUUUUUUCUUCUCUUUUUAAUACAUUCGAUAUUAUCUGUACUAAAGCCAACUUCAAUAGUUGCACUAAAACCAACUUCAAUAGUUGGAUUAAAACUAAGAACAGUUUAAGUUUUAAACUCUCCCAAAAUUGCUCCAAUCAUUGGGCAUAAAAGCAAAUUUGGGUUAAAACCUAUUCUUGGGCCAUAUUCUGCCCAAAAUGCCAGUUAAUCCUAAAAUUCUGGCCACCGUUGGGGGUGCGCGCACAUGAAAAAGAAACACUCGGUGCACUGACGUGCCCUUUGUCCCACGCUCGACAAAGCAGUUAGUGGUUAGUCGUGAAUAAUCUUCCAAUGAGAGUUGAGUACUCAAGGAAAGAGCGAGAUUGACAUUACAAGUCACUGAAUCCUUUCAACACUUAUGGGUAAAGACCACGAAACCGGCUCCCCAGUGGAAGAAGCGACACUCGAAUGGGUAAAACGCCAAUGGAGUGCGCUUCCAUAAUUGUAUAUCGAUUUCAUCAAAUGCUAUAUUGGUGAAUACAUACAAUGUCUCUGUUAAACGAUGCAAAGCCAAUGAGAAUCACUGAAUGAUGGAGCGAGUGGGCAAAAUGUUUGUGUAUCAUCAAUGGGUGAAGCACAAUACUUCUGAUCCCGAUAAACUGAGCACCGUCAAUCUAAUUUUGUCAAGGAGCUCAGAAACAGUUUCCAUACAAACCCUACGGGCACCGGCAGUAUCUAUACCGUGCAAGGCAGAAAGCUUAGUGAACAUAUAACGCCAUGUUCGAAAUCAGAAGCGCAUCACGCUAAUAUCAGAAAAGACAGCCCAAAUAAAUAGAAGUCAAUAGAACUCUCUCUUCCAGAUUGUCAUCACAUUACUGGUUUUCCAUAAUUGUCAAUUGAUAAAUUCUAGCUAAUGUUCAAGGAUCAUUCUAAAGUGAGUCCUAUGUCAUUUUGUGACUUCAUUCAAUUGUACUCUCGCUAAGUAAAUCAGGAGACUUGGAAUCAUACAUUGGUAAGCCCACACAUAUUAAGUGAGAACUUCCUGUUGACCUUCUUCCUGUACUCUACCAAACUAACCAUCAUGAUACCAGUACCAAGACAAACGAAACUUAAAGACUGUUAUUCCAACAACUUUCAGCUGAUUUGAUAAUCUACCGAUCAAACCGUUCCACCCCCUUUUGACGAUCUUUACACAUGAUUCUUUUGGACCUGCAAACAGGAAAGAACCACAAAGAUGGAAUAUAAUUGGCUUUGAGUCAGAACAAGUGAAGAAUUUACAAAAGCUAUAGACACUCAUCACCCCAAGCAAGAAAAGUGCAACCAAGAACUGGGUGAAAGGAAAUAGAGGACGAUUCGUGUUUCUAAGGAGCGAGCUACUCAUCGAAAUGGGCAUACUUAUGGCUUCAACCGGAAGUAGGAGGGUUGGAAGAUUUUGUGUCGAAAGUCUCUUUCGCAAUGUUUGAGACUCCUAAAACAAAGUCCAGACAAUCCCAUCCAUGUAAGCUCGAAGAUCAAUGACCCAAAGGUCUCUGAAAGACUCGUCCCCUCCCAUGUCCCAAAGCGUACCAAUUUGGGAAACCGUGGUCAGUUCGAAGUGUAAGAGAUCAAGACAUGUCCGACCAAUACACUGAGAAUUUGAUAGGAUAAUUCAUUUGUGCGAGUCCAGGAGGAAAAUUAACAUGCUUUUGAUCAAACCUUCCUACUUCCAAGAGGAGAUGGAGAUUUACGAAAGAAAGCUCCUGUGGUAUUGACUCCACUCAGGACCCUCUUGUCUACAGCUCCUUAAGGAAGUAAACAAGUUUGAAGGCCAACGCAAGCUGACUGACCUAAUUGGAAACCACAACAGGCCUGACCCCUCAUUACAAGGAAUCCUCGUACACCCCAUCCAAGCAAGGAAAGCAAGAAAUUUGGCUUGCAACUCUACUACUGAAAUGACCCUGAUGAACACACUAACCUCUGAGUCCAACAUGGCAUACGCCACAAAAUGAUGCCUUCAAAGCUUAACGAAUCUGACUGGGUCUUCGUCCUAACAUCUGAAGAUUAGACUCAUUUGAGGAAUGUGGGAACAGUUUGAUUUCUCAACACAUUUUUCCAGACCGAAUCGCUUGCAUUCUGCGGAUGACUUUGUAAGAUAUUCGCAGAAGUUAUCGUUGUACGUCCAGUAUGCUGGACGCUUCAGUGACAUCUCCGUGUGUGCCCCAGUGACGACAAAGACUGCCCCGCUCAAAGCCUUCAACGGCAAUGCCUACGUGAUUGUUAUUCAAGUAAAAUGAUCAACCACAACUGGAGGACUUACUCUGCAAGGUGAUGUCACAUGCUUACAACUAUGCCUCAGCCGAGGCAAGGGACAUGCCAAAGGAGAAACCCCCCACAACCAAUCCCCUUAGCAAGCCUAGCAGGAGUUGGAAGCCAAACUCCAACUAAAUGAAAAAGACAAUCACAUUCCAAACGGCAACGGUGCAUGCCCUGCUUCCUUAAAAUACUUCGCCAAGUCAACAGACAUAUCAACUCUUAAGGGCAAACGAAAGAUCCCAUCUUCCUUCAGAUAUUAGUAAAAGGAGUAAAGGACACUAUUGCGAUAACCAAGGAUCUGCCUACCCAUCGAUAUCGCCUCCCCCAAGUCCACACAGUGGCAAUACGUGUCAGGAAGGCCCUACACUCGAGUAUGAGACUACAACCUUUGAAUGCCAAUGCCCCGGGCCAUUUCCCGAGGUGAUAGCACCACAUAAUACAUGCCAAUGCCUGGGGGGCAAGGGGGGGGGGGGCCCAAGAACAUGGCAUGUUUUUGCUGAUACCAUGAGCAUAACGGCCAUGACAGCGAAAAGUGUAUCACCAUUCGUGAUCAUAUUGAAACUUUGGUGCGUGAAGGAAAAAUUGAUCAAUUCAUCCUUCAUUCAAAUUGGCAAUAACUAUAACCAACAGCCAAGUGAAUGUGAUUUAUUCCAUAUCAGCCGGUGGGCACACCCAUAUCUGAUCUUCCAACAAAGCAGAAAAAACGCUAAACGGACGAGCUUUAAUGCCUGGUCACCAAGUGUUUGGAAGGACAUUUAGGGGGGGCAAGUAUCAAAAAGCCUAAAUGGGAUCCAAUAUGUUUCUACCCUGAGGAAGAAAGAGGUAUCAUCUACCCUUACAAUGACCCACUGAUCGUGGAAGCUCACAUAGCCAACUUUGAAGUACUACGAAUCCUGGUAAACACGGGGGCUUCAGUCAAUAUUCAUGUUUGCUGAAGCUUUCAGGGCACUUAAUAUAGCUGAACACUUGCUCGAUUCGCUCGAUUUUCCUCUCCUCUAUAGUUUCUCCGAUGAUGAUCGUGCAUUAGGGAGCAUUACUUUACCUUUUCACCAUUGGUAUAAUGCCCUUACAUAACUACCAUGUACCACUAACUUCUUGGUGGUUGAUUGCCCAACGGCAUACAAUGUCAUCUUUGGACGCACAGGCAUCAAUGAUCUCAAGGCCAUGGUAUCUACACAUAUGUUGUUGAUGAAAUUUCCAAUCCUCUAUGGCAAUGGUUACAUCAGAGAAGAUCAACUUAGUGCACGGUCAUGUUUCACACUUUAGUCAAACAACAUCACCUACCUAUGCCCAAGGAAACCCUUUCUAUACAUGACCAAGUCAUAAAUACUAGCCCGAACGAAGCCAACUUAGAUAUUCACGAUGACAACAGUCAACCUGACGAUCCUCAAGACGACUAUUUCACCCAACAAGCAAAACCCGCUGAAGAGUUAGAGAAGGUUUCUAUCUCAAAAGAUUAUUCAGAUCGCAUGGUGAAGAUUGGCACCACCUUGUCACCAUCUAUUUGGUUGUCAUUGAUUUCUUUUUUGCAAGAGAACACUGAGGUCUUCACCUGGUCAUACGAAGACAUACCAGACAUCUCUCCCAAUAUCAUAUGUCAUCACUUGAGUAUUGACCCCAAGACCAAGCCGGUGAGACAGAAGCGAAUAUCUUAUGACGCUGAACGAUACGAAGCAAUGAAGGCAGAAGUUGAAAAACUCAAAGGUAUAGGCUUCGUCCGCGAAGUCAAUUGCCCAACAUAGGUAGAAAAUGUGGUCCUUGUUAAGAAAAAUCAAACCAAAGAAAAGUCUCCUGCUCCAAAAGGUCUUGUGGAGAAUGUGUGUUGAUUACACCGACCUAGACAAAGGAUGUCCGAAGGAUAACUUUCCUCUUCCUCUCAUAGACAGACCUAUAGACUCUAUGGUAGGGUGUGAACUCCUCAGCUUCAUAGAUGUUUACUCAAGAUACAACCAAAUCCUCAUGAACCCUCCGGACCAAGAACACACAGCCUUCAUUAUUGACAUGGGACUAUAUUGCUAUAAAGUCAUGCCCUUCGGCCUAAAGAAUGCAGGGGCGACUUAUCAGAGACUGGUCAAUUCAAUGUUCGUCGAACAGAUUGGGAAGAGCAUGGAAGUUUACGUUGAUGAUAUGCUAGUCAAGAGGAAACAUGCUGACCAACACAUCACCAACCUAUCUGAAACUUUCACCAUUCUGAAGAGGUAUCGAAUGAGGUUGAACCCCAACAAAUGUGCCUUCGGCGUAGACUCUGGCAAAGUCUUAGGCUUCAUGAUAAGCCAACAAGGUAUUGAGGCUAAUCUCGAGAAGAUCAAAGCAAUCAUCGACAUGAAGGAACUGGUAACUUCAAAAGACAUUCAGAGCCUUACUGGCAAUGUGGCAGCCUUAACUAGGUUCAUCUCUAAGGCCACAGACAGAUGUGCUCCUUUCUUCAAAGCACUUAAGGGAAGUAAGAAGUACAUUGCAUGGACUGAUGAAUGUGUCGAGGCAUUCAAGAACCUCAAAGACUACAUGAGUAAAGCCCUUUUGCUUUCCAAACCUGAGGUUAGUGACACUCUCAUUAUCUAUCUGUCGGUAUCAGCUUCAGCAGUAUGUUCUGUUCUCAUUCGAAAAGAUGGUAAUGUCGAACGGCAUGUCUAUUACGCUAGCAAGGCCUUACAAGAUGCGGAGACACGAUACUCCAACAUUGAGAAAUUGGCUCUAGCAUUGGUCAUGUCUGCUUAAAAACUUCGCCCUUACUUCAAAGCACACUUCAUCAUCGUGUUUACUAAUCAUCCUCUUCGACAGAUACUCCAAAGUCUUGACACUUCUAGGCGAAUGAUCAAAUGGGCGAUAUCAUUGGGUUAGUUUGACAUCUCCUACCAACCAAAGCCAGCUGAGAAGGGCCAAGCAAUGGAAAACUUCAUCGCUGACUUCACAUAUCCUGUUGACAUUGUUUCUACGCCUAAAGAAAUGGUUUCAUUACCCUCAGAAGCUCAGAAAAUAGAACCAACAGCCCCAACAUGGAGUCUAUAUGUUGAUGGCUCGUCUAACCAACAGGGUUGUGGAGCAAGACUAGUCUUUACGACCCCUAACAAAGUGGCGAUGGAGUAUGCUCUUCGUUUCAAAUUCAAGGCGUCGAACAAUAAGGCCAAAUAUGAAGCUCUCAUAGCAGGCUUACAUUUGGCCAAACACCUUGGGUUAAACGAAUUGAUAUCUUCAGUGACUCCCAAUUGGUGGUUAAUUAGGUCACCAACAACUUUGACGCUAAGGAUAGCUCCAUGGCAGCAUAUUUAGCACAAACACAAUUGUUGCUCAAGCACUUCUACUACCAGAUCACCAAAUUCCUCGAGCGGUAAAUAGUUAUGCAGAUGCUUUGGCUCGCCUCGCCUCAGCGAUGGAAGACAAGAUUGGGAGAAAAAUUCAGGUUGAAUUAUUGGCAGCACCAAGCACCAUGGCUACGAAAGUGUGCAACUUACAACAUGAGGAUAGUUGGAUUACCCCAAUUUAUAGAUUCCUGGCUCAUGACACCCUUCUAAAUGACAAAGUCCAAGCUAAGCAGAUUUGAUACAACGCUACCUGUUACUUGAUCAUUAAUGACCAACUCUAUAAGCGGGGUUUUAACCUACCAUACCUAAGAUGCCCUACGCCCGCAGAGGUGGAAAUUGUUCGUCAGGAAAUAUAUGAAGGAGUCUGCGGAGAUCAUGCUGGAUCUCGAUCCUUAGCACACAAGGCUUUUCGCCAAAGAUAUUACGGGCCAACACUCUACCAAGAUGCUAUCAGAAUAUUUCGCUCAUGUGAUAAGUGUCAAUGCUACGCAACUAUUCCUCACUCCCCUCCCGAGCCGCCCACUCCUAUGAUCAGCCCUUGGCCCUUGGCCCAAUGGGGACUUUAUUUGAUCGGCCCAAUGCUUGCAGGGAAGGGUAAGGUCUGCUAUGCAAUCGUUGCAGUUGACUACUUCACAAAAUGGGCUGAAGUAGAAUCCUUGGCAACCAUUACUGAGGCAAAAAUAGAAGAUUUCGUAUGGAAGAACAUCCUUUGUAGAUUCGGCAUUCCCAAUGCUAUAGUCACUGACAACGGGUGACAGUUCGAUAACAAUAAGUUCAGGAUGUUCUGCUAUAAGUUAAACAUUAACUUAUAUUUUGCCUCCCUAGCUCAUCCCCAGUCUAAUGGACAAGUUGAAGCCAUCAACAAAAUAAUCAAGCGAACUUUGAAAACCAGCUUGGAUAAGGCUAAAGGUUGUUGGCCAGAAUUUGUACCCCAAAUUCUUUGGUUAUAUCGCAGUUUGUAUCAACAUCAACAGGAGAAACCCCAUUCUCACUUGCCUUUGGUACGGAGGCAGUUGUUCCAGUUGAGCUUGAGCAAGCAACGUUCUGAGUCCAGAACUACGUGCAAAGCAAAAAUGACAAACAACUUACCCUCAACUUAGAUCUAGUCGAGGAACACAUAAACCAGGCUCACUUGAGGAAUGUCGCCUACAAGCAGCGCAUCUCCAACUACUAUGACUCAAGGGUCAAACCUUGUUCUUUCAAAGUAGGGGACUGGGUAUUGAAGAAAAGAUUACUCUACGACAGAGUCUCGAGUAAAGGAACACUUAGUCCAAACUGGGAUAGAUUGUUUGAAGUUGUUGACAUUUGUCGCCCUGGGUCCUACAAGCUUAUAAGCUCCGAUGACAAAACCCUUGGCCAUCCAUGGAACGCUGAUCACUUGAAGUACUAUUUCAAGUAAACUCACAUUGUACAAGUGUUAAGCUUUAGCCGUUCGGUAUCCUAUGUAACGAAGACUAUUUGGCAUGAAUUCAAUAAAGAUGUGAUUUAGACAACUCGGUCCUAAUCCUCUUACAUUCUUUGCAAUGAAACACUCAGGUUCAAAGCUUCAACAUGAAUGCUUCCAACAUGAAACAAAGUCUAUGUCAACAAGACUAUGCAAAUAAACGAACAGCUUCACAGUAUAUUCGUUCAAUCAUACAUUCCAACACAUUCAUACAUAAGCCAACUGUGCUUCGAAAGGGUUCAACUUACUUUGUGUCAUUCGACACUUGCUACAAUGUGCCUCGACACCUUGCCCUUAUUCUCACCAACCAGGUGAUGAAAUGUAAAGAAUGAACUCAUCUUCAUGCCACCAACCAGGUGAUGAAAUGUACAACAUGUACUCUCUUCAUGCCACACCAGGUGAUGAAAUGUACAACCGUACUCUCAUUCAUGCCACCAACCAGGUGAUGAAAUGUACAACCCGUACUUUAAUAUCAUUAGGCAAUUUGCCACUCAUGCCACCAACCAGGUGAAGAAUGAACUUAUCUUCAUGCCACCAACUAGGUGAUGAAAUGUACAACCCAUACUCUCCUUCAUGCCACCAACCAGGUGAUGAAAUGUACAACCCGUACUCUAAUAUCAUUUGGUAACUUGCCAUUCAUGCCACCAACCAGGUGAAGAAGGAAUUCAUUCUCGUGCCACCAACCAGGUGAUGAAAUGUGAUGAAAGGUGAUGAAGGAACUCACCUUCGUACCACCAACCAAGUGAUGAAAGCAACUCACCAUUCAUUCCACCUACCAGAAGAUGAGUGGUACAACUUGUACAUGUGAACUCCUAGCAUUCACAAAUAAUAAAAAACCCUCAAGCUUAACAACUCAACUAGGGGAGUACUUAUGCCCAUUAAGAGUUAUAGUCACCAACAAAGUCUUAUUGCAAGCCAACAACAAUUUCAGUGUAUGGCAUGCGAAGAUCAAGCUAUUCAGCUCUCUUGCAUUUGUUUCAGACAUUUCCCCUCUGUAACAAUGCAAACACUACAACUCGUAGAAAGCUUCACACACUUUUGAUCAAGACAACAAAACCAAUUUAUGGUGCCAACAAGAGCUUCAUCAAUUGAGGGCAACCACAAUUCUCAAAAGCUUCACACAUUCUUGAUCAAGACAAUGUGAAGUAAAACCAAUUUAUGAUGUCAACAAGAGCUUCAUCAAUGGAGGGCAACCACAAUUCUCAAAAGCUUCACACACUCUUGAUGAAGAUAGUGUGAAGCAAAACCAAUUUAUGGUGCCAACAAGAGCUUCAUCAAAGGAGGGCAACCACAAUUCUCAAAAGCUUCACACACUCUUGAUCAAGACAGUGUGAAGCAAAACCAAUUUAUGGUGCCAACAAAAGCUUCAUCAAUGAAGGGCAACUACAACUCGUAGAAAGCUUCACACACUCUUGAUCAAGACUGUUCGAAGCAAAUUCAAUUUAUAUGGUUCAUCCAAACCUUUGACUACUACAAGGUGUGGCUUUCAUCACAAUCUCUUGCUUAACAGUGUGGAAGCAAAAUUUGUAUAUGUUGUCUCUCCCAUAUUUUCAAAUUUCUAGUUUCCCAAAAAAAACAAAAAGGGAAAUUCAACAAAGCUUCAUCAAUGGAGGACAACUACAAAUUAUCAAAAGCUUCACACUAUCUUGAUUAAGAUAGUGUGAAGCAAAAUCAAUUCAUGGUACCCAACAAAGCUUUACCACAAAAGCUUCACCAACAAAAGCUUCAUCAAUGGAGGACAACUACAAAUUCUCAAAAGCUUCACACUAUCUUGAUCAAGAUAGUGUGAAGCAAAAUCAAUUCAUGGUACCCAACAAAAGCUUCAACUCCAAAGCUUCACUUACAAAGCUUUAAAUCCAAAGCUUCACCUACAAAAGCUUCAACACAAAAGCUUCACCUACAAAGCUUCAACUCCAAAGCUUCACCUAUAAAGCUUCAACCCAAAAGCUUCACCCACAAAAGCUUCACCUACAAAGCUUCAACUCCAAAGCUUCAUCUACAAAGCUUCAACACAAAAGCUUCACCCACAAAAGCUUCACCAACAAAAGCUUCACCCGCAAAAGCUUCAUCACCCACAAAAGCUUCACCCACAAAAGCUUCACCCACUACAAAAGCUUCACCUACAAAAGCUUCACACUAUCAUGAUCAAGAUAGUGUGAAGCAAAAUCAAUUCAUGGUACCCAACAAAGCUUUAACCUUAAAACUUCACCUAUAAAGCUUCAACACCAAAGCUUCACCUACAAAGCUUAUUUUUUUUCUUUCGGAAAUUCGAAAAUUUGAAAGAAAAAAAAAAUUCAAAAUUCAAAAAAAAAAAUUUGCAUAGGCCUCAUCUUUUUUGGGCCUAACAACUUUCAUAAGGAGUUUUGGGCUACCAUUUAGAAAGGAAAUGCCUCAUUCGUCAACUCCCUCGACCAGAGACUUGGGGGACUCCUACCAUAUGCUACUGCACCUUGAUACUCGGAAGUCUCACGACCACUCAGUGACUUGGAUUUUUCAAGUCUCCAGCCAAGAAGUUUUCCUCACUCAGGAAAUUAAGGGAGAACUACUUCAACAUGCAAGCUUCAACAAAAGAAAAAACUCAAAGAACUUAGUGAAGAAGGCCUUGGUGUAUUUAACACAAUAUGUUGAAAUGAAGCAAAGCUUGUUUAUUGAUAUCUCCGCUAAGUUACAAAUAUGUACAUAUACAUGAAUCAAAAUAAACAAACAAGAGGGAGCCUUCACAAAGGUUGCUCAGAAAAAGUCUCAGCAGUCUGCAGAGCCCUAGAAAGAGGAGGCACCAGAGGAUGAUUAUUCGGAGCCUCAGUACUAGGCAGAACCCUAGAAGGAGGAGGCACCGAAGGUUAAUCAUUUGGAGCUUCAUUACGUGGUACAGGCCCAAAAGACGAAGGCAAUAAAUGCUUUUGGAACAAACCCACAAACCUCUGAUGAUCAAGUAAAAUCUGACCAUCAGAUUCCUGCAGUUAGUCGAGCUUCCUCUUCAUGUUUGUAGCAUAGUCAUGUGCGAGCCUGUGCAACUGUGUAUUCUCAUGCUUGAGCCCUUUGAUCUCCUGUUUGAGACUUAUCACUUCAGCCGCCAAUGAUUCAACUUGGCGGGUUCAAGCAAAUAGGCAUUGGGCCAUAUUAGACACAGAACCUGCUGAACAUUGAGAGCCAGAGAAUCCUUAACAGCUAACUCAUCAGACCGUUUGGAAAGUAGUCUGUUAUCUUUGGGAGUGAGAAGGUUCUUGGCCACCAUCGCAACUGUCAUAUCAUUCUUCAUCACAGAGUCCCCAAUGAUAAGAGGACCAGUAGGGGAUAAGAAGGAUGGGCGCCAUAUGUUGUCUUGAGAGGGCAUGGCUGCCUCUUCACCAAAGUUCAAGUCAAAACGAUGGUUGGAUGGGCCAUACAUUCUCAGAAAUGAUGAAGGAGAAAUAAGGUGCAAUAAAUCUCUGAAGUACAAAAAUAAGGGGAAAAUUCCUACAAGUAAUAACUCUCUGAACGUACUUCUUGCACACAAUUGGUGCCUCUAUAAAAGAAAGGGCAACAAGGCCGUUGGUUCCAAAAUCGAAGAUGCACCACUCUUCGGAUUUCGAGAAGCAGAUUUUCCUGAGUAAAAUAUGUCGACAAUCCCCACACGCAACAUCAGCUUCUUAGGUACCACAGAUAACUUUGCCAAAGAUCUCUGACAAAGUUUAGACACAUAAAUUUUGAAGGUACAGCUACCCUACUAUUACCCACAAGGGUAAAAGAACAACACCACUACUUGAUAACUGGAAAGUCCCUAUGUGUGUCAACCUCCGUGCUCCGUGGCAAGGCAGACUGGCAAAAAUGCCCAACCUUUACUCACAUUCGAGAAAACACUCCCAACAAGAUUGCUUGCUCAAAAAUCGAAAAGGCACAGCUCUCCGAAUUUCGAGAGUCAGACUCCCACCAGGAUUACUUGCUCAAAAAUCGAAGAGGCACCGCCUUCCAAAUCUCGAGAGCCAGACUCCCAAUAGGAUUACUUGCUAAAAAAUCGAAGAGGCACAUCUCUCUGAAUCUCGAGAGCCAGACUUCCAACAGGAUUACUUGCUCAAAAAUCGAAGAAGCACUGCUCUCCGAAUCUCAAGAGCUAAACUCCCAACAGGAUUGCUUUCUCAAAAAUCGAAGAGGCACCGUUCUCCGAAUCUCGAGAGCUAGAUCCCCGACAGGAUUACUUGUUCGAAAACCAAAGAGGCACCGCUCUUUGAACUUCGAGAGCUAGAUUUCCUUGGAUAAAUCUUGUCUGCAAUCUUCACACACAACAUCAGCUUUCCAGAUACCACAUACCACUUUUUCAAAGUGCUCUGACAAAGUUAUAACACAUGAAUCUUGCAACUUCCACUACAUUGCUAUGACCGAUAAGGGUAAAGGAAGAGCAUUACCACUUGCUGUUGGGACAAUUCCUAUAUAUGCCGACCUUCAUCCUCCACAACUAGGCAGACCUGCAAAUAAAAAAAAAUGCUCAACUUUUCUUCACAUCCGAGAGGGCACUCUUAGUAGAGUCUCUCGAAAUACUCAGCUUCUUUUCCCCCCGAUAAUACCUCUGCAAACAAGCCACACCAGAGUAAGAGUAUCUCAUAUCAUUAGGGUUCAAAACAAGAGAAUCCCAUAUCAUGCUUUUUCCCUGUCUUUUCCUUUGACCUUGUUUUUACCUGCAAGACAAGGAAAAAGAGAGCAAUCAGUCAGCACUUGGAAUCAAGCUUCCAGUCAGGAACUAACUACCUGGAACCCCUUGCCUGAUUACUUACCUGGCAUUGCUUUUGAGUACUCAUCUUUAACAUCUUAUGCUUCUAGAGAAGAUACCACACCUGCCUGAGGAACAGAUAGGGUACGUGAGAAUGAUAUAACACGUAAUAGAACAGAUAGGGUAUGUGGAGACAAGCGUAAUAGAACACGUGCCGAUACAUCCACUACUUUGUUAACAGCAAAAGUAUCCCAUAUCAUAGGGUCGAAUGUACUCUAGAUUUGAUGGACUUGUUUUGACCCUCAAAUUCUUAAGUCGGUCUUAUACUCUGGAGGAAACCAGAAAACCCUCCAGCCCAGUUCAAGAAUAAGCCUGUGGAAAGUUACUUCUUUAAAAGUAAAAGUAUCUUAUAUCAUCUAUUCUCCAUUUGCUUCUCAUUGUCCUUGUUGCUGUUUAUGACACAAAGAGAAGAAGAACAAUCAACCGAAAACCGAAGUCGAACCUCUGAUCCAGGUUGCUUGCUUGGAAGUCUGAUUGCUUACCUUGUCUGUUACCUCUUUCGGCAAAUCUCCUAGCUCGGCGACUUGGGGGACUCCUACUAUAGGGUUUGUAUCGCACUUGACCAAGCCUGAAACUACAAGUAAGCUUCAAGUGAAAUUGAUACAUUUCCUUGUACAUCUUCAUCGGUUAAAGAUACCACCCCUGGAUAGAGGAAAAGUACUUCCAGAGAAGAUGCCACAUCUACAUAUGAGACAGAUAAGGCAAGUGAAAAUGAUACCACACUUCGGUACUUAAAAGUUUCGUGAUUACUCAAUGGCUUGGAUCUUGCAAGUCCCCAACCGAGGAGCUUCCUUUACUCGGGAACUUAGAGGAGCACUGUUUGUACCAUACUUGACCAAUCCUGAAACUACUGAGCACCGGUCAACGUUAUACUGUAAAGGACCCAGAAGAGUUUCCCUCCAACCAGGAGGCUAAUCACAGUGCGACACAUGUCGACAUCAGAAGCCAAUCAUAGUGCGACACGUGUCAACAUCAGAAGUCAAUCACAACACGACACGUGUCAAUGUCAGAAUGAAACUAGAAACUCUCUUCUAUAAAUAGAGAUCAUUCUCUUACAAUAUUUCCUAAUGUCAUUUGUACUAAAUCAUUCACUAGUACUCACUAAAGGAGAGCUUGAACCUAUAUACUUGUGUAAACCCUUCACAAUUAAUAAGAACUCCUUUACUUCGUAAACGUAGCCAUUAUGGGUGAACCACGUACAUCUUGUGUUUGCUUCCCUAUCUCUAUCUAUUUACAUACUUAUCCACACUAGUGGCCGGAGCAAUCUAGCGAAUGACACAAACUUAACAAUUUCUGUUGUACCAAAGUCCUUGCUGAUUUUGUGCAUCAAUAGGUUCAAAUAUAAGAGAAAUUCUCUAUCAACAAUAUCUUUAUUCGCACUUCAAAUAUGAAUAUUACUGCCAGAGUUUUAUGAUGUAUCAAAAAAAUCAAAGCUCCUUAUCAAAUUUGAACCAAUGACUUACGCAUUACCAUGACGUUACUCUACCACUGAGUUAAAAGAGCUUGUUUGAUCCAAUUCCUAAUCACUUUGAUAUUGAUAAUGACUCCUUAACCAAUUUUUCCAUUUGAUUCAUUCUAGAAUUGCGAAGAUUCUUAGGUCUUUAAUUCGGAAUCAAAUAGUUCUUGUCUUACAACAACCAAAAAAAAAAAAAAAAAUCCUUUAUUUCAUUUUUAAGAAAAAAGGGUUCCACAUUAUAUUGAAGUACGGAUUUCAAUUCCUAUAAAAGGUACUUCAAAUUGUGAAUUCAUUGCCAAAGAUGGCUUAGAAUCAAUAGUUUAUUAUCUAAUGAAUUUUUUUGUUGAAUCCUGAUUGGUUUGAGCUUUGUCCUUAGUCUUGAAGUUAAAAGCCUUAGGAGUCAGGGAAUCACGCUCCAGGGCUGAAUUUUUCCCUUUGAUGGGCCUCUACUCUGUUAACCUUAGGCCUGUGGCUGGGGGGCCUUUUGCCACGGCCAUGACCCCUCUUGCGUCCUUUGUAUCCUCGAGAAGUGGUAGAAUGCGUUUCAGGUACAGCGUUCGAGCUAGUAAGUCUAGCUUGAUAUAUCUUCAUCAAAAGUUAAUUGUGCUUUUCAGCAAGUAGUAAGAGAGAUAUAUCAAAUUCAAAAACUUAAUGAAUUCUAUGCCCUAUUGGAUGACAAUAUUGCUGGCAUGAAAAGUUGAAUACGUCUUCUUUAGGAGAUCCUGUUUAGUCAAGCCCUCAUUACAAAACUUGAGAAGUGAUUGGAUUCGACAAAUUUCAGAAUUGUACUCAUUUACAAACUUGAAGUCUUGGAGGCAUAAGUGCUACUAGUCAUGUCUUGCUUCAAGUAAUAAGAUAUUAUUCUGGCGAUUAAAACGAUCUGCAAGAGCUAGCUAGAGAGUGCAUGGAUCCUCUUUUGUGUGGUAUUUGGUUUGCAGUACAUCAUGCAUAUGUCUUCAGAUGAAUUGUUAAUUUACGAAAUUGGGUUGCUGGCCAUAAAUUUGUGCAGGAAAAUAGAAAGUGGCCUAGCAGCAGGGCGGGUCGAGAAAUAGGGACCCAUCAAGGUAGCUGCAGGCUAUAGAGAGAAGCACAGAAACCUUUGGGCUUGAGCUCGGUGUGCGACAAGAGGCCCAACACAUGAGCCGCAAACAAAUGCCAAAACGCAGUCGUUUGGAGCAGGGGCUGCAAGCUUGGCUCGAAUUCGCCAAGUGGCGCAGUGCAGCUUAGCUUCUAGCCAUGCCAGGCUCGGCUUUCGGCACAGCUAAGCCGCGCUGUAUCAUUUUUACCAUCGGUUUUAGGGUUUUCAAAAUCCUAGUUCGUGAUUCUAUUUUCUUGUUUUUUUUUUUUUUUUUUUUUUUUAACUCACAUAUCAACAUAGCAAUGUAGCAUAAUAUAUGGUAAUUUGCAUGAUGGAAAUAUUAAUUGUUUAUGCAUGAACAUGCUAUAUAUAUAUUGAACAAUGUAUGCAAUAUACAAUUAUAAAAUAUAAGCAAAACGGGGGAUUCAUGCAUCAUGGUGAAUGUUUUCAUGCUAACAGUGGCAUAUAAAAUAUGUAUUAAUUGAAAGGCAAGGAUUUUCUCUUCCUUACUACUAUAAAUAAAAGCAAAAUGUUAACACACACAUUAGAAUUCACCAAUUCUUAUAAAAGAUACUAUAGAAACUCAUAAGGAGUUACAUAAUCACAUUUCUAACUAAAUUGGAACUGCAACACAGAAUUUUUUUUUUUUUAUACAAAGUAAUAGAAAUGCUGUAAAAUCAAAGUAAUAGAAAUGCUGUAAAAUCACUAGAUGUUCAAGUCUUGAACUUUUUAAGGACGAUCAUAAUAUCUCUCUCUACUUUUGUAUGUUGACAUAUCCAAACGCGUGUUCUCCCUUUCAGCCAUAGAUUUCUAAUCAACGCAUUACUAUUACCGAUCACUCCACUGCCGAAGCUGUUAUAAAUUCUAUUUCACACUUCCAUGGCGUAGAUCCCUCUAUAUUUAUCUUCGUAAUGUCCUGGAAUCCUAGAAUUUUCUGUUAUAUUUAAGUCAUUUCGAAGUAUUGAUUGGCAAGAAUGACAUAACUUGGAGCUCUGAGGAUGGUUACAGGUAAUCGAUCGGGUGCACUUAUUGAUCAUCAUAGUUCAUUUAGUUAUUGCACCAAGAGUGAUCACAAUAAGGGAAUGAUUUCCGCACACUCGUUUUCAUUUUUUAUGCAUUUCUGUUUAUGUCUCUUGAUUCUCAUUUGAUUUAUUCAAGUUAAAGAUAAAAAAAAAAUGUGAAGAUCACUUGCUAAAACGAAAACUACUUGCUGCGUGUUGUAUAAUUUUCUUUAAGUAUAUUGGAAGUUUUCAAGUUGGAAAUAAUCUUAAUUUCUUGUACACAAAUUUGUUUUCUGUUAGCAAAAUAUUUUGUUCAUCAACCUUUACAUCUGUUUGACUGUUUCUGCAUAAACAAAGAGAUCAGUGUAAGUAUUUGCCAUUUCUAGUCUUAGGGUUUUAUCAUCCUUCUUCCUAAAAUGGUAUGCAAGAGAAAUGGAAACGUGAUUACCAUAAUUAUGUGUAGUUAAAAAUUGAAGCGAAUAAAUUUGUUAGCUUCGCUGGUUAAGCUGGUGGAUGGAGAAGGUCAAUAGACCCUAUAACACUAUUUUAAACACACACACGUAUAAAUUUAGGUAUUCUUUCAAUGAUCAGUGUUGUAAAAACCCAGUCAAGUUUGAAACCACAAAAUCACUCAAUUAAAUUGUUGUCGUUUUAGUGUUUUCUCAAACUACUGUGUUCGUAAAUUUGUUGUUGCUAAAUAUAUAUGUAUGUAUGUAUGUAUAUCCAACAAUGGCAAUGUACAUGAGACUGGUGUUUAACAGCUUUUCAGGUAUUUGAUGAACUAGGUUCAACCAGUAUGAGAUUAAUAUUAAACUAGCCAACAUAAAAAGUACCUUCCUUUUUGUCAAAAUACAGCACAGUACUUUAUUCUCUAAACAAAACUCUCUUCAAAAUCAUUUUCAUUCUAAAAAUCAGCUCAUUAAAACUAUCAAUCAUUACUAUGUCAUUUGAUAUGAAAAUUGGUGCUUAUAGGCAUAAGUUAUCAGACCAAACAAUUUUCUAAUCUAGCUUGAUGAUUUUACAAGGAAAAUCCUUGAAAGAACUAAAUGCACUUUAACAUUUCAGAUCAUUAAUAUAUAGUUGAGCGACAUCGAGAGUUUGAGAGCGAUAUCGAGAGACAGUGAAUCCAAAACAAAUGGAAAUCUUAGGUACAAGAGUGUAUGCUCUUAAUAUAUAAUUGAGUCAUUUGCUUGUGUUUCAUAUUAAAUAUUAAAUUUGUGCAUGGCUUAAUUUCGGAAUGUCUAAUUUCGUGGGAUGCAUUCAGUUAAUUACAUCCCUCAUUUCUUAGGGUUCAAAUCUUGCAAAUUCUGAGGGUUUGAAAGCUUGUUUCAGAUUCGAAGGCAGUCCUAAUGGAUUUCAAACCUCCCUUCCAACAAAUCUGCAAGGCAAUACUCUUACAGAAUUCCACCCAUGAAGCAUUAUCAAGUCAUGAUGAUGACAAGGUUUCUCUUGUUGAGGAAUGUGAACUGCCGCUGAUAGAUCUUAGUCAUCUAAAUUUGGGUCACUUUGAGGGAGACAAGUGUAUGAAUGAGAUCGCUCAAGCAGCCAGCCAAUGGGGUUUCUUCCAAGUUGUGAAUCAUGGAGUUUCACAAGAAAUUAUAAAGAGUAUGCAAAAUGAGCAAAGGAGGCUAUUUCAUAAGCCUUUUGCAGAAAAGGUUGAAAAGAAUUUCUUGAAUUCAUCCAGCAAUUGUUACCGCUGGGGGAAUCCACAAGCUACUUGUUUGAGGCAGUUCUCAUGGUCAGAAGCAUUUCAUAUAUCUGUCACCGAAAUUCCAACGAUGAAUGAUCAUCACAACAGUCUCAGGUACGUAUAUGAUUAUAUAUUUGUUAAUUAACUAGGCUUAUGACUACAAAAAAAAAAAAGACAAUAUAUAGCAGUGGAGAUGCUAUACUUAAAUUUCUGAGAAUGAAAAUGACAUGGAUAAUUUAAGAACGAUACUUUAUAAAUUGUUUAGGUAUAAGAUAAGCAUACCUUGAUAAUGAUAUCUUGCUGAAAUUAAUUAGAAUGUAAUAUAUAUUUUUAAAAUUUGUGACUAAUAUGCAUUUAGAUACAAGAAGUUUCAUAUUGUGAUUAAUGUGUUGUGACUAAAUAGUCACUUUCUUGUGGUGCAAUAGUCUGAAUACUAAAUCAUCAUAAACUUUGAAGCUUUAACUGUAAAUCUUGAUUAAGGUUAUUUCGGAUGUGGGAUUUUUAUCAAGUCCCAAGAGAUUGUGGCCGAGCUAGUAAGGAAUAGAUCACAAAAUAUUAAUAGGAGAAAUUACAAUGCACCAUAUGAAUGUUGCAAAAGUAUACAAGAGUGAUCUACAAAUGACUACUUUUAAAGGAGUCAUUUACAAAUACCUCUUACAUACAUUUGUAAUAAUUAAUCAAGUAGCGCAUUUCUUAUCCCUCGUAUCUAACAUUUUGUAGUACAUAUUUUUCUCGUUUGCCCUAUAUCCCUUGAAAUAAGAAAUCCCUCCCUCAAAAAUAGUUUAAACUAUUUAAUAUAUAUAAUGUACGUAUAUAUAUAUAUAUAAAUUCUUUAUAAAAACAAGUAGACGUUGAUCAUAUAUGUUUAGAUGGGAAGUGAUUUUUUACACUCUUUAUAGUUUCUCACAAAUCUUUUUUUAUUUAUGACCAUCAGAUUAAGUCCAACAAAAUCAACAACCAAGAUUAAACAGAAGUGUGCAAGAGGCUAAAAAAUGUGUCAAACUCACUUCCCUAUUUAAAUUCAUCUGCUUUUGGUAGGUGUAUUUAUAUUCAUCUUUACAACGCUAACAAUUAACAUGGGAAGCUUUGGAUUAAACUACAGAGAAAUAGGACAGAUGAUCUUCUUGGAUCUCUUUAUUUAUUUAUUUUUUAACAAACGAUAUUAUUUAUAAAGAGAAAAGGGGUGAGCUUAGCCUCAGAAUAGGCUAACAGUAAUGUGAUUCAAAUUCGUCUUUGACGAGAAUCGUCUUGGUUCUUUUUAUUAACAAGUAACAACCAUCCCAAUUUUGAAUUAAAUUUUAAUGCGACAGUAUCGCCAUGUACUAUUUAUUGAUGUAUCAUAAUAUGCAUGAAUGACAUAAUUGAUGUACCACAAAUAUAGAGUAUAAAAUCAAUAAAUUACUUAUACGAUUUCAUAAUAUCUACAUUUGCAAGACAACUGACCAGUGACCAAGGAAAGGGAGAAAAAUUCAUGGACUAAUUCCUUCAGCCCUUUUUCUACCCCUACUAUAACAAAUUCCACUGAUGUGUUUGCCAUCUUUGUACUGGAGUGCUUGUACUAAUACGAAAGUGUUUGUGCUUGUUUUAGUUGUUAAGAGUUUACUUUUAUGUAGUUUUAAGCGAAUUAUCUCCAGAUCAAUAUAUUGAACAUUGAAGAAUGUACCCGUACAACAACUCUUAUAAUUGUGUUAUGGGAUGUAAUAUUCACACAUCUCAUUUUACUUCUCACACACCUUUUUAAUUUUCGACUGUCGGAUCGGAUGAAUUGAAGAAGAUCAACGGACAAAAAUUAUCAAAAGGUGUGUGAGAAGUAAAAUGAAAUGUGUGGAUAAUGCACCCCUUGUGUUAUUAUAUGAGGAUGUAUAGACAGAGUACCUUUAUUUUUAGAAUCCAUCUAUAGUAAUAUAGAUUGGCAUUCUAUGGUAAAGAGCACCUAAGUAUGUCGCAUGUCGUACUGAAAGUGAAGGACCUCUUGUCAUUUGACAAGCCAACACUCCGCACUUUUGCAGGCGUCAUGCAUAAUUUGGGGUUUUAGGCUUUGGGUAGUUUCGAUAUGGUUAGUGUUAUCUUCUUUGAAAAGGGAUCCUCUCCGGAUCUCUUCCAUCAAAUCUAAUAAUUUUGAUCUUUGAAAUUUAAUCUAACGGUUAAAAAUAUGGGUUCCUUUAAAAGUUAUAAUAAUUUUAGCUGUUGAAUCAAAUUUUAAGGACCCAGAUUGAUGGAUUUGGUGGAAUUGGUGGAAUUGAUACGGAGACGAUCCCCUUCCAUCUUCUUUUAACUUCUAUAUAUAUAUCUGAUUAUUUUUGUUCAUUGAUCUUUUUUAAUUCGUUUAAUUUGAUGAUUAAAAACUAAUAAGAGCGUGUGAAAAGUAAAAAUGAGUGUAUGAACAGCACCAUAAUCACCCUUUCAGUAGAGGUCAUUCACAAACUUGAAUAUUCGUAGUCUAUGUCCCUUGGUAUAUACGUUGUACAGAAGACACAUUGCCAUAACUGUAUAACCUCUCUAGUCCCUAGGGAUGUUAUACCACUUUUGAGUUAACUAAGAUGGAUUAUUAGUAGCGUUUCUUAAUUAUUAUUAGUAGGUCUUGUGUUCUCGUAAAUUGCAAGUUUGAUACUAAUUUAUUGUAGUUAUUUCAUUGUGUUACUCACUCAACCCUUAAUGUAAUUAUAUAAUUGUAUAUACAGAAAAUAUUAUGAAAAGUGACAGUUGUUUUGGUAAGCAAGUCCAAAUUCUGGCUACAUAUUUGUUGGCUUUGCCUAAUCCUAAUUUAAUUGGUUCUAACAAUAAGUGAGAAAAUAAAAAUUCCUACGUUUUCUUUAGUCGAAUGAUAGCAUCAGUGAGGAUCAAACUUGCACCAAGGUGCAUAUGCAUAAUUAUUUGUUGUCAUUGUAUAGUAAAGCGUCAUCUGCUAAAAAAAAACUCGUAUGUUGCUCAACCAUAAUUAUAUCACAUAAGCUAACAACACCAAGUGAAAAUGUUAUGCUCCUGCCCCAAGUAUUUUGUCACUACAAUAUGCUUCUAGUCAUAGACUAGUAAAUUAUCUAUGGUCAGUUUGAUUGUCAUUUUAGUUUUCAUCUGAAAACUUGUUUGAUAAUUGCUUUCAAUUUAAAAAACAAUUGAAAAUUUAAAAGAAAAACCAAGCCAAAAUUUGAAAACUUACAAAAGUAGCUUUCAAAUUUUAGUUUUCUGUUCAUUGGAAUAAAAACUAAAAACAAUAACCAAAAAUUUUUUGUUUUGAACAAAAUGGUUAUCAAAACCACCUUAGUUUGGUUUUUAUUUUCCCAAUUUUUGUCCGAUGUUUGGUUAAUCACCGUCUUACAGAUCAACAAUUGAAGCAUUCGUGAAGACGGUGUCUGGUUUGGCUAAACGCUUAGCUGAAAUACUGGCACAGCCUUUGGGUGUCAAACCGAAUUACUUUGAAGAGAAUUGUCCACCAAGAACUAGUUAUCUUCGACUGAAUAGAUAUGCUCCAUGUCCAUUUCCUUCGCAAGUGUUUGGCCUCAUCUCGCACACCGAUACCGAUUUCCUAACUAUAGUUCACCAGGACCAAGUAGGAGGCCUGGAAAUAUUUAAAGAUGGAAGAUGGUUGGCUGUUAAACCUAAUCCUGAAGCUCUUGUUGUCAACAUUGGGGACUUCUUUGAGGUAAUACUCGUAUAUUUUUUAAUUAAUUGUUCAAAUUUACUUCGUAUAACUAGUGAGGGAAAUGGGUUCCUAUUGACCAAAAAAAAAAAAACUAACCAAAAGUGAUUUUAGUUUUAAUCAAAAAGACAAAAUAAAGGUAGUACCAGGAGUGAUUUUUCAAAGUAAAAAUGUCAACGUUAAAAAUGAAUUGUACAAAGAGUGUUUCAUUAAGAUUCCAAAAAAAAAAAAAAGGGAAAAGGGUUUCAGUUUUACUAUGGUUUUUGUAAAGUUGAUUUUUUAAGGGUAUUAAAAACUACUCAAACGUUGCAUCGUGAGAUCACACACACAUAUAUAUAUAUAUAUAUAUAUAUAUAUAUAUAUAUAUAUAUAUAUAUAUAUAUAUAUAUAUAUGUGUGUGUGUGUGUGUUUUGCAGGUUGUCUUGCAUUCUAGUCCUUACUUUUAUUUAAAAUAAAAAAAAAGGAAUGUAUAAUUAAGUAUAACCGGAUUUUAGAUAUUGGGAUUAGGGUUUAACUCAAAUUAAGAUCUUUUUAAGUUAGAUAGGAACUUUGAUAUAUAUUAAAAUUCUAUUAACUACAUUGUAAAAGAUGAAGAAUUGGUACAAAGGAAGAUGAAGAUGAUAGAGAGAACCAGAAAGAUUGUAUUGAUUAAAAUGGAUAAAAUGUAUACAAAAGAACUUAAGGAAAUGAUAGCUAUACAAUCCCUUAUAUAGCCAUAUAACCUAAUUACAAUAAUACCUUCUAACUAUACUAACCAAUCUUAUCCUUAUGACAACCUACCAACACAUUUCAACUAACUAUAUUCUUCAUUACUAAGUAACCAUGUCAUCACUAAUGACUAUGGUUAAUACUCCCCCCUCAAACUGAACUUGGUGUAGCCAAGUGAUGGUUGAACGAGCUAGAUCGCUAAAACUGAUCUGGAACUGCAAGACCAAGAUGUAUGCAGGGGCUGUUGUCGUUCAUCAAUUCUGCCAUGUUGGCUAUUUCUCAUUUAUUGGUGGUGGUUCUGUGAUGGCACAGGAUGUUCCAAAGUACAUGAUGGUUGCGGGAGAAAGAGCUGUGCUUCGUGGUCUUGGUCUGAACAUACCCAACAAAUUUUUUACUGUGAACUGAGAAGCCAUAGUUGACACUGCCAAGAAACUAAAUCUACCAAGGAGAAUGACAAUCCCAAGAAACUAAACUACCAUGGAGAAUGACACUCCAAGAAACUAAAUCUACCAAUGAGAAUGACACUCCAAGAAACCUAAUCAGCCAAGGAGAAUGACACUCCAAAGCACAACACAAAUCUCAAACUUCUACUAAAAAAUACCAAAUAAGGAGACUGACACUCCAUGAACACAAAUCAUACUGCAACUGAGGAGAAUGAAACUCCAAAUCAUACUGCAACUUAGGAGAAUGAAACUCCAAGAUUCAUAGAAAGAAUGACACUUUCUUCUUUAAAUCGACAAGAAAACUAAUAUUUACAGAGAUCAACACAUCAAGACCACAGCUUCACUUCAAUUAAACCUCGAAAGUACAUCAAAGACCACAACUUCAAGAAAUAAGCGUUGCAGAUCACCAAACAAUUCCAAAUGACUGCUAUCAACACUUCGAUGAUCUAUUGCACAACCCAUAUACCAUAAUGCAUUUACCAAUUCAGAAGAACACAUAACCAAAAUCCCAAAUCAAAUUCGAGAAAAGAACCCAGAUGAAGAAAAUAUGGGCAAUUCGUCAAACACUUAGGCUGCACAUAGUCUAAACGUUCUGCCAUACCAGAAAACAGAGCACGGAUCAAAAUCACAGAAAAUCGAAUUCAGAAAACUGCUCUGAAAACACCACCAAGAUGAAUGAAGAAGUAGAUAAUCAACAGUGCAAAGAAAGAAAACUCUGCUCUCAGUCACACAGAGUCUCAUGCAUCGUCGUCUUCCGCCAAGACCGAGUGACUCGACGGCAAGGCUGUCGUCAACAAGGCGGCUACACGACUUUCCCAAGAACGAUCAACCCAACAAGAAUACGCAACCAGAACAAUCGCAGAAAACCAAUGAACAUGAAACCCAGAAAAUUCUCACCGAGACAUUAUCACAAACAGUUGAUAUGCUGGAAAGAAAACCAGUAAUCGAAAAACAAAAUCUGAGAACUUGAAUCUUGAAAACCCAGGAAACCCAGAAAAAUCCAACACUCUGAUUUCGGAGACAUCCAACAGCAAUUCACGAAGACUGCCACUCCGUCGUUCCAACUGUGCACCUCUGCAACAACCCUUGAAGACGAUAACAGCGGAAGAAUCAAGAUCGAAGAGGUAGUAAACCUGACAGAGUCCAAGAUCCCAUUUUCCAAUCAGCAACGCAGAAGAGAAAUUCCCAGAUGAAAAACAGAAAUAAUCACCACCGAAUCGAGAUUUGCAUAGCAGAAAGAAGAUGAAUCUCGGCACCAUAAUCUUUUGACGAUCCAGAUUUUGACCGACACUCUGUUCAUAGCCAAAAUCUCUCACAAAUCCCUAAUUUCUUUUGAAUUUCAUAUCCCCAAUUUCUGAAACUAUGUAGAUCUUCAUGAAAACCCAGGCGAAUUAGUCACCAUAUACUGACAACCAUAGCUUCUUUUUGGUAAAGAUUACGCAGAAUCAUGGGUGAACUUCGAUUUUGCUCCCCGCCAAAAUUUCAGCUCUAAAGAACGGUGUGCUGAAGGGAGAAGACCGACGUCUUCCAUGUGAAGGUCAAGUAGUGGUGCCGUGAUGGUCUCGCCAGCUUCAUCUUGAAACCCCGAGGAAAAACCCCAAAACUAAACACAACCCUCGGCGGAAAAAAAAAAUCCAGAUCCAAAGCUAAACACUUAACACUAAUCAAAUAAGCGAAAACAAAAGAAAAUAAUGAAGAAAGAUAGAAAGUAAUGAGAGAAGAGGAAUCGACCACCAAGAUCCAUGGCGUGAGCCUUGGUGGCUCUGAUACCAUAUUAACUACAUUGUAAAAGAUGAAGAAUUGGUACAAAGGAAGAGGAAGAUGAUAGAGAGAACCAGAAAGAUUGUAUUGAUUAAAAUGGAUAAAAUGUAUACAAAAGAACUUAAGGAAAUGAUAGCUAUACAAUCCCUUAUAUAGCCAUAUAACCUAAUUACAAUAAUACCCUUCUAACUAUACUAACCAAUCUUAUCCUUAUGACAACCUACCAACACAUUUCAACUAACUAUAUUCUUCAUUACUAAGUAACCAUGUCAUCACUAAUGACUAUGGUUAAUAAAUUUAACAUAUCAAGAUCUUUCUUUGCGCAAAAUAGAAUGUUUUUGGGUAGAAAUAUAUGAUGAAAUAUGUAUUAUCUUUUUGUAUAAUUUCUCAUACAUCUUGGUGAAAUAGUACCAUGGAAAUUAAGGUUCCACCCUGAAUCCAAUUAGAAGUUGGGUAAGUGCCCCAACUGCGCUUAAACCCUUGUAAGGUUUCUUAAUUCUCCGAAGUGAAACUCAACUUCAUGCCUUCAUGUAUAUACCUACUAUUUUAUGUUCCAAUUCCAGCUUUCAAAAUAGUCUCUUGGAAAACAUGUACCCUUAUAUAUAUUCGUGUGUGUGAUAUAACGCAGGCCUUGAGCAAUGGCGCAUACAAAAGCAUCAAACACCGAGUGGUUAGCACACAAGAAGUUGAGAGAUUAUCUGUGGCAUAUUUCUACUGCCCCUCCUACGAUGCUGUGGUCCAAAACUGCGGUAAUGAACCAUCAACUUAUAGGCAGUUCACUUUGAGGGAGUAUAAACUCCAAACUCAAAUUGAUGUUCAGGAAACUGGUGAGAAAGUAGGGCUCUCAAGAUUUCUCCUUUGAAAAACGUCUCAAAACUGAUGGCAAGCAAACUAUAUAUGUACCUGAUAUAUGUAAAAGAGGACAAUAAUCGUGAAAUAACAAAGUAUGGUAUGUGAACCAUUGUUUUCUUUCUUUUAUUCAUUAAGUGUCAGCUGUCUUCCUAUUGAAUUUGAAGGAUCGUGACCUUCUGGUCCUUCUCUAACAAAAUGAAGAGUUGUCAUGCAUUUAUACCAUCCCUUUCUAGUCUCUUUGUGAUGUUUUUGAGUAAAAAUGGUUGCAUUUUACCCUAUUUUGUGUUAGUGUGCAGUUACAUGUACUCUAGGAUCAAUUUGAGGGCAAAAGAAGUGAAAACAUGCCAUUUUUGGAGCCGAUCCUUAUUCAAACGUGGAGAGAAGUUUAGUGGCCUGUUUUGGAGCCCAAAUAAAGUUGUUACUUGUUUUGAAGUCCAAAUAAAGAAUCCAAGACGAAUCUGGAUUGUUAGAAGAUCAGGAACAGAAUGGGAAAGGAAUUAGGAUAUCUAGCCUGAUUUGGAGGUGCCAAAUAAGGCAAAAAUGUGCAAAAUAAAGGCUAAGUUGUUGGGAUCACUUUGGAAUAUCUUACAACCUUUUUUACCCCAUAAAAACUUGCAUCUUAGCCACUUUUACAUGCCCUUUUUAUUCUAGGCGAAUUACACAAUUCUGAUUACCUAUUUAUCCUCUCUUUUUCGUUCACUCUUAAAAUACCCUAGCUGUUCCAUACACUUUCACCAUUAUUGAAGACUCAUUGCAGAAGGCUGUUCUUUGAGAAUUUCUACAUCAGAAAUGCUUUAAGGGUUUCCUCUCCUAAAUUUAUUUUCACUUAUGUUGUGUAUUUUCGUUUUAAUUUUUGUGAACAUGAUGUGUAACUAAGUUCAUAACUAGGGAUUUCGAUGUAGCCUUGCAAAAUUGAUCCAUGUUUUUAAGUUGAAGUAUGCAGUUCAUCAAUCUGCUUCUUGUUUCAUUCACUGAAUCUAUUGUUAAAUUUGUUUGUUGAUUUUAAUGUUUGAUCACCAUUAGGGUUAACUACAAAUCAUUUAAUCAAGAUUAUAGUAAACAUCAUGCUUAAUCUUGGUGGACAUGUGAAUGAAUGAAGAGAAUGUUAUGCAAACAUCAUGUCAUGUAUUUUCUUUGGUUAUUUAAUGUUUUCUUGCAUGGUAAAGACUCUUAAUUAGGAACCGAAGUUGAACAUCCCGAUUAGGUUGCAAAUUAGGAGAAUUUGAUCAAAACCACACAUCAUAUGGCUGAUCAUAUAUAUGUAAAACGAACUCAGGAAACAGGUUGGUAGUUGAAUAUGAUAUAACUUUAUAAACAUGGAUUUGGUUUUGUAAUGGUGAAUUCGAAUCCUUGGCCUCAUUUCCAUUGCUUCUACAUCAAUAUAUUAUUCGCUACUACAUUCUUGCAUUUUAAUUUAAUUAAGUUUACAGCACAAAAACUACUCUCAAUUGGUUACUUUCAUACUUUAGUUAGGGUUCUAUCAAAGUUAGCAACUUAUAGAGGUCCAAUUAGUCCCUGUGGUUUGACACCCUUACUUGUGCCAUUAUACUAACCAUAUUUUUACACUAGGAAGGAACACAACAAGUUGCUGUCACUAGAUACUAUUAACUUGAAUGAAUUUUCCUAGCAAGAAUCUUUUAAUUCUCUUUAUUAUCAUCUCUAGAAAAAUUCAUUCAAGCUCGAUAUCAUUUGGGGGUGUGCUGUUGUAUCUAGAAUUUUGUUGUCGGUCACAUGUAGUUUUGAUUUGGAUAGUGGUUUUCUGACUUUUGAGAUUUACAACGGCUUUGUACCAUUUUUGGGUUUAAUUUUGAGUGGUUUUGUACCAGUUUGGGCUUUGAUGUGGAGAUUUGGGAAUUUGGAUUUUGAUCCCAUCAAUUUGAAAUGGCGUGAGUUCACUUAAAUUUGUGGAAGUUACAAGACCAUCGCCCCUCACUUAAAUUUGUGGAUGUUACAAGACCAUCGGCCUCGUCUUUGCCAAACUUGUCAUUUUAUUUUUCUGCCGAGAGGUUAACUUGGAUCCAGUGCCUUUGUCAAAGUAUUCCUUUGAUGCCUUCAUGUGUAACCACAUAUAUUGGUCCAGGAGCCCAUCAUGGUGAUGACAACGUGUAUAGCAUUGGGGCCUUGAAGCUUUCUCUUUCUCCCUUGUUAGUACUUCCUCCUCCAAGAUUGUGGACUUUCUGAAAGAUAUGUUUGUUACAGGACAUCUCUUAAGGUCACUUUGUUUUACUGCUUCUUUCUUUUCUUCUACUACUUUCCGGUAGUUUCCUGGCUGUUUCGGCAUAGAAUUUUGGUUGUGCGCUCAAAUUGCUUCCUGGUCUCCUUUUACAAGGACAAGGUUUGCAACCUAUUUGACACACUAAAAGAAACUUCUAACUGCGGUGCUUGACAAGAAUGGAGAAGGCAGUCUCUUGACUCUCUUCUCAAAACUUAUGCGCAUAGGGUAUUCACACCCUAUCUCUCUUUGUAGAAUCCAAGUUAUGGAAAUGAAUAGAGCAGAUGUUUCCUUUCUUGGCACGAAGGAGCAAAAGAGAGUAAUUUGGUUCAAUUUUGGCAGGGGACCAUCCCCUAGAAAUUCAUGGGGUUAGACAACAUCUGUCAUAUGAGUCAUGAGUAUUUGUUAGGAUACCAUACCAGAUGGCACAAUAUAAUGGUGACAAGUGUACAAUAGGUUGUUAUUAGUUAGUUGGUAAUAGGAGUUUGGCUAUUAAAUAGUGGUUUGUUAGAGAAAGUAAGAUAAUUAUGAAAUAAUAUGAGUAUUUGUUAGUAUUCUCUCUAUACAAUCAAGGAAGAAGUAGAGCAAGGUUCUAAUAUUGGUAUCAGCCAGUUCGAUCCUGUCAAUCCUUCCCUAUUGUAUGACGCGGCAAGCUUCACAGAAGAACAUGGAAUCAAUAGUUUCUAGUUUGGAGAGCAAAUUCAAUGAUUUCAAGACUUCGCAUGAUGAACUCAAAUCAACACAGGAUUUGCUUCUUCAUCAAAUGCAGUCGAUCAUGGCACAUUUUAAUAGCGGUUCUAUGGGUGACACUUUAGAAGCCACGAUCGGUGAUCCCCAAUUUCAAGAAAGAAUGUACCCAAAUUUCAACUGUCAAGAAAAUGGGUAGAAUUUCAAUUAUCAAUCGCGACCACCGUUCUUGAAGAUGGAUUUUCCUAGGUUCAAUGACAGGGAUGAUCCAUUGGGUUGGAUCUAUAAGGCUGAACAUUACUUCGAAUUCUUUAAUAUCGAAGAAUCGAAGAAAGUAAGGUUAGCUUCUUUCCACAUGGAAGUGGAAGCUCUCUAAUGAUUUCAAUAGGCAAAGUGUUUGGUUAAUUACCCAACAUGGGAUGAAUUUUCCAAGAUUUUGUGUCAGGAAUUUGGGCAUUCAGAGUUGGAGGAUUUAGCAGAGAAUUUGGUGAAGCUAAGACAUAAUGUUACACUACGAGAAUAUGUGAUGGAAUUCAGGAGAUUAGUUAAUCGAACAAGGGAAAUCAGCCCCUCACUUCUCAAGUUUUGCUUCAUUGGAGGCUUGAAACUUGAAUUGUGACAUGAUAUGAAGAUUUUGAAGCCCAAAGAUGUCAUGGAAGCAUUAGCUUUUGCACAGCAACUCGAUGCUAAAUUGGCAGACCUCAAGGUGAAAAUUUUCCCUAAAGCUUCUACAGUUCAAUCAACCUUUCGAUCUCCUUUGCAGAACACAAAUUCCAAUUCUUUACUUGAAAAUAGACCUAAAAUGCCUAAUGUGAGAAGACUUACUUUUGAAGAAGUAUAUUUUUAUAGGAAGACUGGGUUAUGCUUUCAUUGUAAGGAGAGAUACUAUAAGGGUCAUAGUUGUGAAAAGAAGCAUUUACUGUUGAUUGAUGUGCAAGAAGAUGAAAAUGGUGAUCAUGCAGUGUUAGAAACUGAAGAUUUGGAGAUUACAACUUAUGCUUUGUUUCGUACCCCUACACCAUCAUCUAUCAAAACUAUAAGAGUUAUUGGUUUUGUUAAACAAUGUCUUGUGACUAUCUUGGUUGAUUCAGGCAGUUCCCAUAACUUUGUGGAUUUUGGGUUGGUUAAAAGAGUGAAAGGAAACUUGGAUACAGGACAUACUUUUAAUGUCAAAAUAGAUGAUGGGGGCAAAAUGUUUACUUAAGGCACAUUGGCUUAAGUACCUCUUAAGAUUUAAGAUUAUGAGUGCGUAACAAAUUUAUAUGCAAUUUCAUUGGGAGGGUGUGGUGUAGUGAUCUGAGUGCAAUGACUCAGAACCUUAGGACCAAUCUUGUGAGAUUUCGAGAAGCUAUAUAUGAAGUUCCAAAAAGGCUCUUCAACAUACUGCAUUGCUAGUCCAGAGUCACCUUUGGAACAAUUAGAGGAUAUCUCAGCCUUGCAGAUGUCCAAACUUGUGCAGCAAGAAACAACUGUGGGGCUAUUUUAUGUCAUAUUUAGUCAGUGGAUGUGUUUAUUCAACAUAUGGAGCCUGGAACAGUGGAUCAACAAAGAGACCACAUUUCUGAAGAUCAACAACAGCAAUUAAAGCAGUUAUCGGAAGAUUAUGAAAUGGUUUUCAUCACUCCUACUACACUACCUCCUCAUAGAUCUCAAGAUCAUCAAAUUGCAUUGUUGGAAGGUAGCAAACCACUUAAUAGUAGACCAUAUAGGUAUGGUCCAGUACAUAAAUCAGAAAUUGAGAAAUGUGUGAAGGGAUUAUUGCAAUCUGGUUUCAUUAGAACCAGUAACAGUCCAUAUUCUUCUCCAGUGAUCUUAGUAAUGAAAAAAAAGUGGACUUGGUGCAUGUGCAUGGAUUACAGAGGCUUAAAUGACAUUACCAUCAAAGAUAAGUUCCUUGUUCCUCUCAUUGAUGAGCUACUCGAUGAAUUAUUUGGUGCACAAUUCUUUUCUAAACUGGAUCUGUAACACCCCGGUCCCAAAAUAUUUGUAUAUUUUGGAAAAAUAAUUAUGGUAGGCCCAACCUAAAAACAUAGCUAAUUUAUUUUCUUCUCUUGGAUCAAUUUCCAUCUAUAUACUAAUUCUUGAAUAUUUAAACACAUUUAUUUUAUGGCUACAUCUAACGUCUCGUUAGAUUGCCUACGUACCCUCAACAGGGAUCAAGCCUUUCGUAGUUCAAAACUUCAAAAUUUAAACCAAAUCCGAAAUAUUCCUUUAAUCCAGCAUAUACCAAAAUCGUAAUAAUAUUCAAACCACAGCAAUUUUGAUCUUGAAGACAUAAUUUGAUAACGAAAUUCGCAUAAAGAGCAAUAGUCGACUUCUUGGCCGUGCGUCGCCGCACCCGCCGAAGCGGUUGGCGGUCGGCCGCCUCGAUUCGUCGGAAACUCAACUAUUUCUAAAAAUUACCAAAAAUUACAGGAAUGAAGAUCUCAAUGUGUAGCGUAACUUUCAUACCUGUGACCAAGGGCAAUUUAACUCGGAAAUGCUCCAAUUUGCCUCGAAUCCGUCGGGAACCCUAGAAAUGGGUGUUCUUGAUUCGACUCCAUAGCAGCUCCGACGCCCCAAAACUUGUUUGGGCUUUAUUCCUGGGUUCUUAAGGAACAUAUGGGUGGUGGAAAUGGGAGAGUUUGCUUCAGAUUUGAUGGAUCGCAACAAUGAACUCGCGCACCCCCUGGGGUUUUGCACAUUUUCAGAGCCAAUACCUAUCUAAUUUGUGAUAGAAUCAGUCAAGUGGAGGUCAUGGAACCUUUUUAAGAUGGUUUGGUAGUAUAAUUCGUCGAAAAAACCGAUGAAAAGCCACCGGAGGAGGUGGAGGAAGCCGGGUCGGGUUGAUGACAUAGAACCGGGUCGAAGGAUCCGGUGUACUUCCUUCCCCUCAUUUCCCCUCCUUUCUCUCUUCUCUCAUUGGUUACUCUCUCUCUCUCCCCCUUUUCUGAUUGGCCCUUCUCUCCCUCAUUUCCCUCCUUUAUCUUCCAUCUCCACCGCCUAACCUUUCUUACUUUUAAUCUGGGCCACACACAUGGCCUUCCAGAUUUGGCUCCAAAAAUCUUGAGCAUUAUAGAAAUGAUAAAUUUACCAUUUUAUCCCCGACUUUAAACGUUAAUAACUUCUUCGUUCUAACUCCGUUUCACGAACGGUUUGCGCCUACACGUUCGUGAGGUCGAGCUCUAUUUAAAAAUAUAAAUUUUGACUUCGAAAGGUCUAUGUAUUUUAAAUAAUUAAGGUCCAAACCUUAAACCUCGUAACUAGUUUAAUUUAAAACUAAACUUACACAAAUUAUUAUAAAUUCUUGAAAAAUCAUAUAAAAGCUCAAUAAUACAAAUACGUUGAUUAAUAUAAUUUCCGGAAACAAAACUGUAAAACUUCUCGAUUAAAUUCUUCAUAAUCAUAAAUCGAUUUAUUUCGAUUUUCUCCACAUAUGCAUAAUUAUGAAUAUAUAAUUCAUAUAUUUAAAUUUUUAGGGUAUUACAGGAUCUGAGAGUUGGUUACCAUCAAAUGUAUGCAUCCUAGUGAUGUAGAAAAGAUAGCAUUUAGAACUCAUGAUGGCCAUGAUGAAUUUCUAGUUAUGCCAUUUGGUUUAACUAAUGCACCAGCUAUAUUUCAGUGUCUUAUAAAUGAUAUUUUCAGGCCACAUUUAAGAAAAUUCAUCUUGGUUUUCUUUGAUGACAUCUUGGUUUAUAGCUUUUCUUGGAGUUCACAUUUAUAACAUUUGAAAAUGGUAUUUGAUACAUUAAAAGUGCAUAGUUUAUUUGUGAAGAAAUCAAAGUGUGUUGAAAAUCUCAAGUCGAAUACCCAGGACAUAUUGUAUCGAAACAUGGAACACAUAAGCAACUCAAGCAUUUCAGACUUUAAAACAGGCAAUGUUGUCCCCUCAAGUGCUUUCUCUACCUAAUUUCAGCAAGCCUUAUAUCAUAGACAGUGAUGCUUCAGGUAUAAGAAUUUGUGUAGUUCUCCAACAAGAGGGCAAGCCUAUUACUUUCACUAGUAAGGCCUUAUUUCCUCGAAAUCAAGUUUUAUCAACUUAUGAGAGAGAUGCUAGCUAUUAUACAUGCAAUACAUAAGUGGCAAUCUUACUUGGUGGGAAACCAUUUCAUCAUACAAACAGAUCAUCAUGGCUUAAAAUAUUUCCUUCAAGGCCAAGCUCACACUCCAUUUAAGCAAAAAUGGGUCGCCAAAUUGUUGGAAUUUGACUAUGAAAUUCAAUUUAAGCAAUGGAAGGAUAACCAGGCUACUGAUGCCUUAUCUAGAUCUCAUCUCAACACUAUUUCACCAUCACUGUAAUCCUUAGAUGAAGUUCAAUUGGAUGUUAUCUUAUCCCUAUUCUAGUUGGAUGAAUGAUCUUCAGAGACACAUUGAGAAAGAUCUUUGGAUAAUUUCAAAAAGACAACCAGUGCUUGCUAUGGAGGGUGAUUCAGCACCUAUUGCCAAUCUAAAAUUUCAGUGUGAUAAUGGUUUUUUAAAAUACAAAGGAUGGAUUAUGAUUAGUCCUACCAAUGAAUAGAGAGAUAAAAUCUUCAAUGAACACCAUUCUAGCCCCACUGCAGGUCAUGAAGGAUUCUUGAAAACAUAUAAGAGAGUGUCAAGAUCUUUCUAUUGGGAAGGGAUGAAAAAAGAAAUUUAAGGAAGAGUUACAGCUUAUGCAACCUAUCAAAUGCACAAAUAUGAGAUCUUAUCUUCUCCAGGCUUGUUACAACCUUUACCAAUUCCAACCAAGGUUUGGGCUGAUAUUUCAAUAGAUUUCAUUGUGGGAUUACCUCAUUGUAAGGGAAAAUCUGUGAUUUGGGUGGUGGUAGACAACUUGUCCAAAUAUGCACACUUUGUGGCAUUAUCACACAUAUAUUAUGCUGUAUUAAUAGCUCAGUUAUUCAUUGAUCAUUUUUUAAGUUGCAUGGUAUGCCACAAUCAAUAGUGAGUGACAGAGAUCUAGUCUUCAUGAGUAAAUUUUGGAAAAAGUUUUUCAAUCUUCAGGGAUUAGCCUUAUGUUUUAGUUCAGGCUACCAUCCACAAACUGAUGGCCAAACUGAGGUCCUCAAUAGGUGUUUGGAAACCUAUCUUCGAUGCUUUUGUAGCUUGCAACCUAAGAAAUGGGCAAAUUGGCUCUCUUAGGCUGAAUAUAGCUAUAACACUAGCUAGCACAGUUCUACCAAAAUAACUCCAUACGAAAUGUUAUAUGGAUAGCUUCCUCCAAUCAUUACUGCAUAUGAAAGUGGUACAACAAAGGUUGACUCUUUGGACCAGGCUUUACAUGAAAGAAACAGAAUGUUAGCUCUUCUAAAAACUAAUUUGGAAGCAGCUCAGUGCAGGAUGCGAGUUCAAGCAGAUAAACAUAGGAUUGAGAGAGUGUUUGCAGAAGGAGAUUGGGUUUAUUUGAGAUUGAUACCAUAUCAACUCAAGUCUUUGGCUUCACAUUAUUUUCACAAACUGCAACCCAGGUUAUAUGGUCAUUUUUCAAAUUUUGUCUAAGGUUGGUGUAAUUGCUUAUAAGUUGAAAUUGCCUAAACACUCGAAAUUACACCAUGUGUUUCGUUUCUCAUGUCUGAAGAAACACUUGGGAUCACAAGUGCAAAACACAGUCCAUUUACCUGUGAUUACAGAAAAUGGAAUACUGCAAGAUGUACCUAUUGCAAUUUUGGAAAGAAUUAUGACUAAAAAGGGUAAUGUUGCUGCCACAAAAGUCUUAGUUCAAUGGCAGAACCAUACUCAAGAAGAUGCUACAUGGGAGUUGUGCCAUGAACUAAAGUUCAAAUUUCCAAAAAUUGUUAAUCAUUGAAGUUCAAAUUAUUGUUUUUCUUGUUUCUGAACUUUGUAAUUCUAGGUUGUUGUUGUUGUUCUGUGUUUUUCAAUUGUAAGUUUGGUUUUAAAGGGGGGUAUUGUUAGGAUACCAUAUCAGAUUGCAUAAUAUGAUGGUGACAAGUGUACAAAAGGUUGUUAUUAGUUAGUUGGUAAUAGGAGUUUGGCUAUUAAAUAGUGGUUUGUAAGAGAAAGUAAGACAUUUAUGAAAUAAUAUGAGUACUUGUUAGUAUUCUCUCUAUACAAUCAAGGAAGAAGUAGAGCAAGGUUCUAAUACUCUUUACUUGCAAGACAAGACAAUUUACCUUGCGGGCUAGCCGAUAUUGCAUAUUUUUGCAGAGGUUAUUUAGUCCAUAUUAGGACUUUCUUUGACUUGGAUGCCAAGGAAAAACUCUCCAAAUAUUUUUCCACGUAUUUUAUCGCCUCUUUCUUUUUACUGAAUUUUUUUUAUGCCAAACAACCAUACAAUAGAAAACCAAACGAUCUAAACAAGAACAGUAGAAAGACAAUCUCAUUGCCUCUCUCUCCAUCUUGGUCGAUCUUACGUUCAGGUAUGCUAUCUCUCUUAAUUACUGGAAAGUCUACUACUGUUGAUUUCAAAGGGUUUAAGGCUUAGGAUUUAGAAUUUAGGGUUUUGAAAAUGGUAAGCAAAUAUUCUUAGAAAUAUUUCCCCUUUUUGUUAGAAAGUUUGGAACUUUGGCAUCCAAAGUGAAGGUUCCAAUCCUGAUUUCCAAAAUUUGAUGAUUGAUUUCAACUGAAAGUAACUGUAAUCAUAAUUUUGAUGGAGUUGUAGUUAAGGAAGGUAGAAAAAACUGAAACAUACUAUUAACUGACACUUGUCACUCAGUACUACCGUCUGAUAAUAUUUCUCUUCGUUUAGAAGUGAGAGGUCUUAGGUUUGAAUCUCAUGGAUGGCGAAUUUGAUACCAAAUUAGGUUGUUCAUUGUGACUUAGCCGAACUAUCCCUUCCCCUCUAGUGUAAAAAUAUCAAACCAACUAAUUAUCGUUGUAUAAAAAAAAUAAACAAACGCACUAAUGCGCACUCAUACAAUCUAGUCCACCUUUUUGGUUAAUUUAUAUAUAUCAAACCAACUAAUUAUCGAAACCAACCGUUUAUAAGACCAAACCCUAACUUGCUUGCGAAUUAAGCAACUGCCAAAGAUUCUUAACUCUAUUAACUAAUCAAGGCAAAACAUAGUGUAAAAAGUACGAAACAACUCUUUAAGUAUUAUUCCACGCAAAGGGAUAAAAUAAAAAAAAUUAAAAAAAAAAAAAAAGAUAUAAAACUCUUUACUUAUUGAGUCCAAAUUUGACAUCUUCUUGUCGAUGCCUCAUGGCCAAAAUAGAAAUCUUCCGACAUCCGUAAAACUAAAGUGCUAAGAAACAAACAUUAAUGAAAAAUGGGAAAAUGCGGUGGCGGCUUUAACGGGAUCUUUCUAAUUUUAACCUCUAAAAUACAUCGACAACAUCGUUUUAAUUUUAACCGUUAAAAAAAGGAAAAAAAGUAAUGUUAGGUAGGUUAAAUUUUAAAUCAAAUUUGCAAACUAAAAUGUUGUGUCACCAAUAAGAAAUAAACAAGUUAAUCAACACUUAAGUAAUAAUCUAAUCAUCUACUUCCAUGUCAUUUAGUUUACAAAAUUUAGCUUACAAAUUUAGUGUAUGUAAACAGGACAAGGAUUGUCUGCCCUCCGCUUCCGGUGCCCUCCCCAUGCCCUCCUGUUUUGUGUGGUCACGGUUAAGCCAUGUCAGCAUUUUAUAUUGUUUUUUUUAUAGAUAUAAUAAGACAAAAAUGAAUAGUAAUAUAGAUAUUGACGUGGCUUAACCGUGACCACACAAACAGAAGGGCACGAGGAGGGCACCGAAAGUGGAGGGCAGACAAUCCUUGUACAUGUAAACAUUACCCAAAAGAAAAAAAGGUUGUUAUGCUGCUUUUGGUUGUGAAAAAGUGAAAACUUUUGUAAUCAUGUAGUACUAUGUCAUAGUGUUUUGGGAACCUAAAUAAAAAGCUUAUAAUAUUGUUUACUUUAACGAAAAAUCAUAUUUGUAUACUAAAAAGUCAAUCAUGGUACUACUCACUUUAUCUUUUAUUUUGUCCUUAUCGUUAAACUCAAAGUUUUCAAGUCAUUUUCAUUAGUUUUCGUUUUUUUUCUUUCUAGUUUUUGUUGUGGGAAUUUUCUUUUUCUUGACAAAGCUUUAGUUAGAGCAACUCCACCAUUAGAGCCCUUCCCCCAGGCAAUCCAUUAUUCAAUCCACCAUGUGAACAGUAACUACCAUAAUGAACAGUAACUGUCUUUUGCAUCUCCCCCCUUUCACUUGAAUAGCCCUGGCACUAGGCAAUAAAAUAUUUAUUAAUUUUUUUUUUACAAAAUAAUACUAAAUAAUUUUUUUUGUAAUUUCGUAUAAGAUAUUUUAAAUCGUUCUCGUUAUGCCACGUGUCAUUUACCCAAAACGACUAUUAUUGGUCAUAGAUUUCGAUAAUUUUUAUCCAAUGUCAUCGUGCCACGUGUCGUUAUCUUUUCAGAAUCUUUGAGGAUAGAUUUCGAUCAGAUUUUAAAUCAUUCUCGUUGCACCACGUGUCAUUAUUCGAAAAGAUAAUUAUUGGUGAUGGAUUUCGAUAAAUUUUUUAUCCAAUGCCGUCGUGCCACGUGUCGUUAUCUUUUCAGAAUCUUUUAGGAUAGAUUUCGAUUAGAUUUUUAACGAAUGGCGGCAUGUCACGUGGCACUAUCUACAACAUAAUCAUUUCAGAAUCCUCCAUAUAAUCCAUCAUCCAUCCUUUUAAAUCUUACACCAAUUUUCUCAAUAUCUCUAUCAUUAUUCAUAGUUUCUGUUUCCUUCUUCACCAAAUCAAAAUCUGUAUCAUUAUUCAUAGUUUCUACUUACAAUGUCUUCUUCUUCAAGCAUGAUGUGGAAAAUCGAUCAAGAAGAGGAAGAAUUGUUUAACCAAUCUGAAGGAAUGUUCAAUCUCCAUAUAGCUCAAAAUGAGAAGGAAGAGGGUGAGGAGCGGAGAAGGAGAGAUGACGAAGCAAGAAUGGCCAGAGACUCACAUUCUCGUCGAGUCAUUCAAGCUAUGGCUCAUAUAUGCAGGCCCACCUGUUCCAGAAACCUUGAUAGAAGCAGGCAACAACGAGGUGAUGAGUUGUUGGACAAUUAUUUUGUCCAUAAUAGUGCAUUUCCUAAUACGUACUUCAGACGUCAUUUUAGAAUGGAACGACAUUUGUUCAACAAAAUCAUGAUUGUUGUUUGCAACCAUGAUUCUUACUUUGUGCAAAAGAAGGAUGCUUGUGGUGCUAUAGGUCUCAUUCUCGAGUAAAAAAUUACUGCUACACUGCGGAUGCUUGCGUAUGGAGCAGCUGCAGACCAAGUGGAUGAGAUAGCGAGGGUGGGGAAAUCAACCAUUCUUGAGUCCUUGAUGAGGUUUUGCGAAGUAAUCGAAUCUAUCUACACCGCAGAGUACCUUCGGAAACUUACUCACAUGGACUUGGAAAGGCUUUUGAAGAAGGCUGAGAUGCGAGGUUUUCCUGGGAUGAUUGGGAGCAUUGAUUGUAUGCAUUGGACGUGAAAAAACUGUCCAAGUGCAUGGCAAGGCGCUUAUGGAGACAGAAAAUGAGCAAAAAGUAUCAUUUUGGAAGCAGUGACAUAUUUUGAUACAUGGAUUUGGCACGCCUUUUUCGGGGUUCUGGGAGCUCAAAAUGACCUUAACGUCCUUGCCCAAUCCCCAGUAUUCAAUGAUGUCCUGCAAGGAAAGGCACCAAAAGUCACGUAUGAGGUCAACGGACGUAUGUAUGACAGGUCAUACUACCUAGCUGACGGCAUUUACCCAAGGUGGUCAACAUUUGUCAAAACAGUGCUACGUCUGCGAAGUGUAAAGGAAAAACACUUUGCAAGAUGUCAAUAGGGGUGCAGGAAGGAUGUGGAUCAUUGUUUCAGUAUCCUCCAAGCUCGUUGGGCGAUCGUCAGGGGUGCUGCCAGAUUGUUUGAUGUAUAGUCACUUCGAUCCAUCAUGAUGACGUGCAUCAUUCUUCACAACAUGAUUGUGGAAGAUGAGUACGAUUAUGAAGCCGUUGAUGAAUAUGAGGCGGACAUGAUGAACAAUUCAAGAACACGUAUAUAUUGUGCUCAUGACGCCACCGAUGAGCCCGUGCAACAUGAGCCAUUAAAAAGGGAUGAACGUUACAAUGAAAGGGUCAUUCAACGAUAUACUGCAUUUCAAAGGCCAGACAUGCACAAUGCCCGGCAAAAUGACUUGAUAGAGCAUCAGUGGGUAUUGAAACAAGCUGAAGAUAAUUAAGUUCAUUUAGUGUGUUUUUUAUUAUUUGGUAUGUUUAUGUAAUUUUAUUUGGUGUGUUUUAUUUUAGUUCAUUUAGUGAGGUUUUUAUUAUUUGGUGUGUUUAUGUAAUUUUAUUUGGUGUGUUUUAUUUUAGUUCAUUUAGUGAGGUUUUUAUUAUUUUUUAUUUUAGUUCAUUUAGUGAGGUUUUUAUUAUUUGGUGUGUUUUAUUUUAGUUCAUUUUAGUGAGGUUUUUAUUAUUUGGUGUGUUUAUGUAAUUUUAUUUGGUGUGUUUAUGUCAUUUGAAUAAAGAUUCUCUUAUAGUAUAAAUAUAUUACCAUAUUAAAUAAAUUUAUUCUCACUUUAAAUAAAGUACUAAAUUCAAUAAAUUCAAAACAAUAUAAAAUACUCAAUUCAAUAAAUAAUAAAUUACAACCCAAGGUGAUUGGAAAACUAUGGGUUCUGAUUACAAAAAAAUACUUUAAUCAUCAUCACUUAACCAAUUUGUGGUGCUAGGAUGAUCUUCUCUUGUCGUGCUAGGACCAUCUUCUUUUGCUAUCGCUUCUCUUGCACGCCUCCUAUGCACCACAUCCUCUUUCUCCGACUUCCAAAAAUAUUUAGAAUUUGGAGACUUCCCUUCUAAAGGCAUGUUCAUAAUCUCACGAUCUCAUUGAGCCAUUCUUUCUUCUCUAACCAGUUCCCUUUCUUGCCUAAGUAGCUCUCUUUCUCUCUGAUUAGCUUGAAAUUCUCUCUCAACAACUGCAGCUUUUGCCUCCUCUUUAGCCUUAUCAGCCUUAAAUUUCGCCAUUUCCCGUGCCAAAGUCAAUUCACUAUGGCUAGUAAGUUCUUCCAUGUACUUUGCAUAAUCAUGCUUGGAAGCACUUCCUUUUCUUUUUGAAGCCUUCUUACCUUGAGGCCUAAUUGGAUAAUGGGUCGAACCCGACGCUUGUUCAGGGAUGGGUGUUUCGGGCACUUCUUCUGCAUCAUCUUCAUGCGAGCCAUUAUCAGGUGUAGAGUAUAGCGGGGUGUUGUUCAUGACAAUUUCUGGACCGACAGGCACAACUCUGAAUUUAGGACAAUCUUUGACAAUAUUCCAACAUUCCCACUGGUUGAAUGAUUUAUUUUUAGUUUUGGUUUUGGCACCAUACCAAGCUUGUGCUUGAAUUAGCUACACAAUGGGGGAGAAGAAAUAGUUAUAAUCAAAGUAGGUAACAAAUAAAUAAUACAAACAAAUAAUUAUAAUUAAAGUAGGUAACAAAUUAUUGGUAACAAAUAAAUAAUACAAACAAAUAAUUAUAAUUAAAGUAGGUAACAAAUGACACAUCCGACCGAGGUCAAGGCAUGUUGGCCGUCACAUGGGGGUGACGUAGCCAUGUGCACAGUGCGGAAGCGAUAAAGAUAGCAACUAUACGAAUAAUUAAAAACCAUAUUACUAGAGUGCAUUACUAAACAGAAAGUAAUAGGAGUUAGUUACAACAGUAAACACUCCUAAUCAGAGCAUAAAUUCUAGGUGCAGUCCAGUAGAACAAGUACUAGUUAUACAGUACCAGGAAUGUCCUACUAUUAUUUAGAUAAGUCUCUUACAGCUGACAAUCCCGAGCCACCAACAGCAAGCUUACUUAGAACCUGGAGGGGCGCAAAACAGAAAACGUGAGUGGGCAAAAACAAAUGUUUUACAAAAUCAUUUCAUUUAUCAAUAUACUAACCCCUCGCUGUAAAACAUGUAUAAUUUUCCCAGAAUCAAGAUAUAAGUAUGUGUGUAUAUAUAUAUAUAUAUAUAUAUAUAUAUAUAUAUAUGAAAUCAUAUCAAUUCAAUUCAUGCUUCACAUAAUUAUAUUCAUAUGUAUGCCAUGCCAAAAUAUAACAAAGUAAACAAUCCAGGUAAGAAUGAUUUCAUAGAAACAUGAUAUGUUAACCAAAACCCUUGAGGUAGUCUGUACGGCUGAAUUCAUAGCUCAAAAGUCAAUCAGGCCGGAGUCACUACAAUGACCUAUACGGCAAUAUACUGCACAUAAGUCGGAACCACUAAAGAGGGUCUGUACGACAAGAUUAGGUGAAAUAUAAUUAUGCUCAACUUUAUUCUCUCAUAAUAACCGGGCGAUGAAUCACUAGUCACCUACGAGUCAGAACCAUGAAUAAGGUCUGUACGAUAAGACUGUGCACUUAAGUUGGAUCCAAUAUGAGCAUAUAGUGCGGGAGGUGACGUAAAUAAACAGGCAUGUACCUCAUAUCUCUGGCUAAUUCACAAUCACCCUAGGUGCAGCUUUAUGAGCUCAACAUUACUUAAUCACAUAUCACAUAUCACAUCAUCGAUGAUUCACACAACCAAACAUAACUUACCUGAACUCACAUGUGCCUCCACAUCACCACAUAUAUAUAUAUAUGCAACCAUGCAAUGCAUAUUCUAAAUAUAGAAGCAUUUGGCAUAUUAUUUCAAAGCAUACUUUCCUUAAAAAUGCAUUUCUGGGAAAUAUAUCAAGUAUAUAAAUAUAUACUGAAAACAAAAGCCCACUCACUGGUAUGUCGAAGGGUCGUAGCACUCGAGUCGCCCGUGGAUACGCUCGUCCUCGGGAUAAGUCUUAUCUAUAUGCGAAUUAACUAAAAAACGUUAUUUUAAAGCACAUAAGCAAAAACUAGCUAAUAACUUCUCAUACAUUGCUCAAUUUUGGUAGUUAAAUAUACCAACAUGACCUACACAACCUCACGAACAUCGUGAUAUUUUUAGAUAAAUUUUUAGGUGGCUCACGCGCCCCCACGCGCCGGGGAGGGCACAACACGCUCAUCAUCUUCAACCUCCAAACGCUAGAAUAGUGUCGCCGACGCUGGAUUCUAGGUAGACCUGCAACUGCCUUUUUCUCACUCGUUUUUGCACUAUUUUUCACGCAAUUUAUACCAAAAUGAAGCUCUUAACUUGAAGAACACGAUCAUACUAAUUUAAAGCUCUAAAAGUCACGGGAUCUCACUGGAGAAUUCUAAGAAAAUCGGCCAAACUUCGUCCACACGAUCCCGACGUCCAAAACCUUCAAACGAAGCACUCCGAGCUUCCUUAGGACCUCACUAAGCUCGUAUGAGCUUGGAUUGUCCUAAAACAUAACCAUUUAAAAGUUUGUGAAUAGUGCUCAACUCGGAGCUUGAAUUUUUAACGUGAUAUCGAACGAGUUCUUACCUGAAAUGGGUACCUUUGAACUCAUACGGUCCUCACGAACACAAUGGUACUAAUUUUGUCCACGAUCUGUGAAGUUUCAAGGGUCUUGGGUGCUUGUCCAUACCAUUUUGAAGGAGAGAGAGUGAAACCAAGAGAGAGAGAAGAGAGAGCACGGGGGAGUGAGAGAGAGACAGGAUGUGUGGUCCAGAUUUUUGGGUUACCAAUCAAAACAACCCAUUUUCCUUACUUCCAAUUGGUUCCAAAAUAAUAGGAACUUAACACAUUGGUCCUCAACCAUACAUAGUCCCACAAUGCCACAAACGCUCAAGGGCAUUUUAGUCUUUUCACAUCAAUGAUAACAAAAUAAUGUACAUUUCCUGGACAGGUUGUGACAACAAAUUAUUGGUAACAAACAAAUAAUACAAACAAAUAAUUAUAAUUAAAGUUGGUAACAAAUAAAUAAUACAAACAAAUAAUUACAAUUUAAAUUUGGGUAUAGUACAAACAAAUAAAUAAUAUAUUGUUACCUGAUCCGUGUAAUUUUCCCCACUGCGAAUAUUACUACUAGCUUGUGCCAAUGCGUCUCUCCAAAUAGUAAACGAUUGGCUAAGUAAUUUCCAAUGACUAGACAUCAAUUCUUUGGUUCUACUCCCACCCAUUUUCUCAAGAUAAUUGAUAUGAAUAAGACUCCACAUUUCUUGAAACUGCAUCUCAUUACCCGUACGCGAACUAUGAGUAGCUUCAACCCAGCUAGUACACAAUGCAACAUCUUCAAGAGACGUCCAAUUCGUACCUGCAUCAGUAGUCAUUUUGUUGAAAAAAAUUGGAUUGAAACUUUAAGAGAAAGAUAGGAAUGUGAUUGAAAGUAGUUGAGAACAUAUGAAAUUGUGGUGUAAGGUAGAUGAUAAUAAAAAGGUAUUUAUAGAAAAGUAGAAACAUUUUUUUUUAAAAUUUCAGGUAUUUUUUCGGUUUUUUUUACAAUUUUUUUAUUCAAAUAACUAAUCUCUGCCGUUAGAUUUAAAAAAAAUUGAAUUCCAACACUUCAGAUUGUGCCACGUGUCACAACGGUAACUUUUCUUAAUUUUAAAACUAUUUUUUCGUUUUAUUUAUUUAUUUAUAAAGAAUAUUAAUUUCGAUCGUUGAUCUCAGAUCGAACGGUUGAUAUUUGUUGAUGCACAAAACUGGAAGGUCUUGGAACAACGUAAAUUCGACUGUGAAUCUGCAAGAAUGUAAAUAACACAAGAUGUAUCGUGAUUUACCCCAAUGUUUGGGCUACGUCCACACUGAUAUUGUAUUUCUCUAAGAGGAUUGUGAGGGAGAGAGAGAGCCUGUAUGUGAGAGUAAGGCUCUGGGGAUCUCAGGCCUAAGAAUUGGCCUCCCUUAAUGAGGAGAGUGAGGUGUCCUUUUAUAGAAUAAGGGCUCCUCACUUAUUACAUAUUUGCCCCUUCAUUUAUUACAUAAUUAUAUUUGAGUCCCCCGAGUAUUUAUACGAGAUCUAAAUACGAAGGCCCUAAGUAUGGUACAAACAAUAUUAAAUAAGAUUUUUAUUUUUUUUUACUGUUGAGAUCGAACGGUCCAAGUUAAAUAACCGUUGAGAUCGAACGGACCGUGGGAAGCCACGUGGCUCCCCAACAGUAACAUUGAAGUCUGAAAAGGCUUCUGUUUUUUCUAAAAAGUUGUGGGCCGACGUGCCCCCACGCUCAAGUGGGGUGCACGCGCCUGAUAGAAAAAAAAUUAAAAAAAGGCUCGCAACUCGGGCUGUCAACUCUUAAUAGGCCCGGAGCUCAGGCCUCCACCUCUGCUCGGGCUCCUUCACGCUAGAGUAAAUCCAUAGGGCCUCGGGCCCUUCUUCUCUCGCCUGUCCCCUAAGCAAUCCACAAGGGUGGAGUUGCUCUUAAGGAACUGAAACGGGCCGAAAUAGGAAUGGAAGAUCAAAAGCCCAAAUUCGGAAUGGAAAUACCAUACUGCCCUAACGAAACAGCCUAAAACAAGAACACGGUAGAUAGACUCUCUGAUUACCUCUCUCUCCAUCUCGGUCGAUUUUACCUUCAGGUACUCUCUCUCUCUCUCUCUCUCUCUAUUUGUGUUGAUUUCAAAUUUUGGGUUUGAAUCAUGUUGAAAAUGGUGAUCAAUAUUGUUAGAAAUAUUUGCCCUGUUUGUUUGAAAAUUUGGAACGUUGGCAUGGAGGUUCGAAUCCUGAAUCCCAAAAUUUGAUUGCUUUUUACCGAAAGUUAAUGUAAUCAGGGGCAAGUUGAAUUCUUGGUGUUGUCAUUAACCUUUAGAUUAUUGGGAAUUUAUAGAAGUUGGGAUUGAAUUGUUCUUCAAACUGGAUUUUAUAGAUUAGAAACUCAUACAGGGUUUAAGGUUAAAGUUGUUCCUGCAGAUGAAAGGUAGGUGUUCUUUUUCUUGUUAUAUAAAUAAAAAAAAUCCAUUUACUCUUUUCACAAAAAACCAGAGUCAGGAAAAUUGCAACAAGGUAGUAGAAUUUGAAAAUUUAGGUGUUCCUUUUCGUUUUGUAAAUAAGAAUGCCUUUAGGUGUUAUUGUUUACACUAAAAUCCAAGUUGGGAAAUCGCAAGAAGGUUGUGGAGUUUGAAAGUUUAGGUGUUCUUGAUAGUUUUUUUCGCGAACUACCAUCCUUGAGCUUGUACAAACUGAAAGAAACGGAGUAGUGGUAGUCAUAUCCAUGCAAAGUUUCAAUCUUGAUUAAGCUUAUGCUAUAAGGAUACCAUAUACUGUUCUUAAACACUGUAAAUGCAAUAACGGACUCCGGUAGAGAAAGUCUAGUUGAUAUUGACAAGGCUAUAUUUUGUGUGUUUUUAAGUUUUGGUAUGAAUUUUACCUGCUACAGCAUGAAAACUAAUAGUUAAGCUAGAUUCCAUGCUUCGUUAUGUGGUCUAAAGCUUCAAAAGAACGUUAUUAUUAGUGGAGGAGGAAGUGACAUGACUUUCACUGGGACAACUCCCUGCUGUUUGCCUACUUGCGUUCAUUUUGUCUCAUCAAUAGAUAAAAUAGGAGAUUUCCCUCAUGAGAGCUUUUGCACCUCUGUCCAAGAGUGACAGAUUAUCAUUCUAUAAUCCCAGGUUUUUUUUUUAACACGUCUUUGCCAAAGAGUCUGUCUUUCUUAAUUCAAGUAAGAUGCUAACUCACUCGCCUACUAUACCCUACUAUACAGUAGAUUAGUAGGGUAGGAGUUGAUCGUUAUGUUGUCGACCUUAUCUAUUCUUUGUUCCUUAUAGCAAGUGCUAAGUAAGCACGGCAAGAAGGCCAUAGAAGCCUUUGGGGCAGUUAAAUGGUUGUUCAUCCUUCCCUGCAGCCUCUUUUUCUAGUGGUAUAGAAAGUUAAACAUUUUUUCGGGAAUUCAUUUAGUGACUUUGCGGUUGCCUAUUACCCUCCAUGAUCAGAGUCCAUGAUCUUGGGGAAGAGAAGUAGGGCCUUCAGUCAACCAAGAGAGGUCCAGCCCUUCUCCAACCAGUUUCCUGAAGCGUUGGAAAACUGUGGAAGUCUUGGUUGAAAGUUGUUUAACUUCUUGAGCUAAAGGAUACUUCAAAAGUUUUUUCACUACUCUAUCCCGUCUUUUGGGAACUUGUGUAUGUAGUGGAAAAGGGUUUUUGGACUAUUGAGCAUUGUGUUCAUAAAAUCACUUUUCAAAGAUUACUCUCCUGCAUCAAUCUUAUGCCUCAUUAUAGUUUGUUUUGAAUGUAAAACUCAAUUUGCAAAUAUUACAUUGACUAUCUAACAUAGGCCGGGAAAGUGCAUUACAUAUCCAUUAGAUCCUUUAUUAUGUUUUUUCCUUGAAAUUAACUCACCUUGUAAAUAUUGAAGUAACGCAAAGUUUGGCUGUAAAUUACAUUUUCCUUGUAUUAGUCAUUCGAAAAUGUAUUUUCAGUGUGCUUGAUAUUGAUUUUGCACCCCCUUAAUCUUAAUUUAUCGUUUUGGAUCCCUAAUUGGCAAUUGGUUAUAAGGGAAAAAUUUUGGCUCCUGUUUUAAUGUUCCCCUACUGUUUGAUAUUUGAUGUACAUAUAUUUUCUCUGCCCUUUAAAUUGCUUGGCGGAAUCAUCUUUCCAUACAAAACCGAAAAAGAAGAGAGAGCACUACGCUAUGGUGUCUUCUUUAGCCUGAACUUGCUAAUUAGGGAUUUGCAGAUUGGCAGCAUAAAGCUGAACUUGCUGUAGUUUAUUCUUUUCUUUUUCUUUUCGGAUUUGCAGAUUGGAAGCAUAAAGCUGAACUUGCUGUAGAGUUUUGCUAUUAGAUGGCUGGGAUGUCAGGAUUUAGGAGCCUUGCACCUAAAACAAAGAAUGCUAUAGUUGCUGGGGGACUUUCAGCUUUUGUUUUUGGAGUAUAUUUCUACACCAUGAGAGCUGUUGGAGGUACCGAUGAAUUACAAGUGGCUAUAAACAAGUUUGAGGAGGAAAAAGGUCAGAAAGAGGCUGAAGCAAGCUUGUCAUCAAAGGUUUGAUCUUUUAAUAGUAACUCAGUUAUGCUGAUAAUGUAGUCGGGGAAAAAAGGUAACCCUUACUGUGAAAGACACCAGCCCUUUAUAUAUUUAUUUGCUUUUCGAAUAAAUAAAUUCAGUAUUUUUCAGUAUUUAGUGCGUUUUUCAAUAUUGGUCUUUCAAGAUUCUAUUAGUCACUACUCAUCUGGAUUCUCUUGGUAGAAACUAAAGUCUAUGCUUUAAGUCUCCAACCAAUUAGACGGUCCAUGUGAAAUCUUAGAGAAGCUUCACAAAAAAUGUUCAGCACGCGACUCACACCUUGCUAGUCUUUACAAGAAUUUAUCCUCUCUUCCUCUUAGCUCAUUGGAAAUCUGGAGGUUUUUGGUUGUUAUUUCAUAUAAGAUAGUCCUAAUAUGUUAUACAAGUUCUAGGAAAGAUACAACAACAACAAAGCAUUUUCCCAUUAAGUGGGGUCGGCUAUAUGAAUUCUAGAAUGUCAUUGCGCUCGGUUACGUAAUAAGCAUAUAUGUAGACAUUUGUUAGGGUCGAAUGUACAAAAGGAAUAUUCAUGUGGUGAUUGAACUAUGGGUUAUCUGGAUUAAUGUUUGCAUCAAUCCUGGCUUCGACCGUGAUGUAGAUCUCACGCCAAUUUCGUGGUCGGGUAUGGGUAUGACAUAAUUCUUCGUCCUAUUUCCGCUUUCGCUUCUUUUGCUUAUUUGAACUUUAGGGUUUCUACAAUUAGGAUGACAAGUAGUUUAGUUAAGGGGACACUUCGGAUGCGGUUCUUAAAUAUCAAUAUUUUUUUACUAAAACCUUGUUUGCUUUCAAUUUUUUAUCGAAGUCUCUGAAAUUAAUAUGAUAAUGUAUUUAUUUGUAGGUUACGAUAUUUUUUAAAUUAAAAAUUAAAAUUUAUAGUUGUUUGUAUUAAUGAGAUUUUAAAUAAAUAAAUAAAUUGUUUAUACCAUAUUUAUGGCUUCGUAUUUAGACUUCGUAUAAAUACUCGGAGGACUUAAAUGUAAUUAUGUAAUAAAGGGGCAAAUAUGUAAUUAGGGGAGGAGCCCUUAUUCUAUAAAAGGGUCUCCUCACCCUCACAAACCCAAAGCCUCUCCUAUCUAGAGCAAAGUUCUCACAUUCUCUCCCUCACAAAUGCUCUUAGAUAAAUACAAUCAGUGUGCAUAUAUAUGUAUGUAUUGUGUGCAUAUAAAAACUAUAAUUUGUGGGAUUAAAAAUAUUAAAAUAUAAAAUAACUCUCCAAUAUAUUGUGUGCAUAUAUAUAUAUGUAUGUAUAUAAACAUGCCUACAUUCAUCAAAAUUAACAAAAAAAAUUAUUGUACCAAAAUAUGGGUACAUUCUUCAAAGCCACACAAAAAAUAGUAGAUAUUAGGCUUAAUAAUAUUUGUAAAUUUCUUCGGUUAAACUUGACAUGGAUACAUUCUCAAAUCAAGAAAAAAAAUGUACCCGUAUAAGUUUAAAAAUGGAUUAAAAAAAAUUGAAAAGAUUUUAUAUAAAUAAAAUGGUACAUUUUACAUACAACAAAUUGGUAUAUUUAAGAAUGGAUACAUUUUAAGAUUAAAAAAUUGAAAAAUUACAUGAAUGGGUACAUAUAAGAUUAAAAGUUUCAAAACCUUUUUAUAAAAAAUUCAGGGGUACAAACUUUUUUUUAAUUUUUUAAUUUUUUUUUAGAAAUGUUUUGAAUUGAAAAUUAGUUAGGAAUUUAUAAAGAUGUAAGUAAUAAAAUACUAAAUCAAUUAUUCAUUUUUAUUUUAAAAAUUAUGUAACUGACAUGUAAAUUCAUUAUUGCAUUAAUCCUAGGGACUUCGAUCAAAAUCUGAAAACUAAUAAGGUUUCAGUCAAUGAACAUUAGUAAGUGAAGAUCGGAUACUAAUUUUUCCUUAGUUCAGACUCCAAGAGCCUUAUUGAAACGUUGUGUAUGCAUAUUUGUUUCUCUGCGUAAUACUCGACCAUGCGACAAGUGAGAUUGUUACAAGAGCGUAUACAUCAUAAUAUCACCACACUAGGAGAACAUAAAUAAAGGAAAACUAAUGAAAAUAGCUUGAAAACUUUGAGUUUAAUGAUAAAGACAAAAUAAAAGGUAAAGUAAAUAGUACCAGGAUUGACUUUUUAAUGUAAAAAUAUAAUUUUUUAUUAAAAUGAAAAUUACCGGAAAUUUUCGUUAAAGUUCUGUAAAUAAACACGAAUAGUGCCAAAGACUUUGUAAAGAUUAAAUAAAGACCAAAGACUUUGAUGAAGACCAAAAUCAACACCAAGUGAAGUUACCAAGAGUAUCAAUAAUAGUUUUUCCAAUCCUUUCUCUCUCUCCCACUCUUCCUCUCAUAACCCUCUUCGCAUUUCUCUCUCUAACAACAAACAUGGCGGAUCCAUCAGGCGGGUUCUGCGGCUGCUGCUUCAGCUUCAUAUUCACCCUCGGCCUCACAGCCCUCUCCAUGUGGCUGAGCCUGCGCACCUCCAACCCCAAGUGCACCAUCCACUCAUUUUACCUUCCUGCCCUCAAUCGGACACUAAACGACACCAAAAACACCACCCUCUUCGUCGCUCUCCGGCUCAAAAACACCAACAGUGACAAGGGAGUUUACUAUGACGCCGUCAACCUCACCUUCCGGCUGCUGCCCAAUGCCACCAGCAUGCCCGUAGCAACUUCUGCUGUGCCCCGGUUCUACCAGGGCCGCAAGAAGACGGCCACCAAGAAGGUGAUCGUGGGCCCCCAAGAGGGGCUCAACUGGACGGCGGUGUCCAGUGGGGUCCAUCCCAAUGGGAGUGUGAGUUUCAGGGUGGAUUUGGCCACUGCUGUGAGGUUCAAGAUCAUAUUUUGGAAGACCAAGAGGCACAGGCUGAAUGUUGGGGCUGACGUGCUGGUCAAUGACUCCGGUGCGAAAGUCAGCGAGAAGGAUAUCAAGCUCUCUGCUGCACCAGACCAUCACCUGAUUGGUUUCUUUUCUGGGCAGGUGGGGGUUUUGUCCAAUUUCCUGGUUUUGAUUUUGCUCAAAUUUUUGUGAUUUAUUUUUAUUUUGUUGAUUUGCAUUCAGUGCUAUUUUUUAAAUAAGGAAGGAAGAUAUUAGUCCCAGCUUUUUGUACCAAAAAUAUUUUCUAUUCAAUUUUUGGUGAUCGACUGUAGACAAUGUAAUAUUAGUCAAUUCACAAUCCUGCUCACCCAAGGACCGAGAUUUAUAACACCGCAAUGUUGUUUAUUUUCCAAACGCACUGACCUGGUCAAUUGGUCCAACCCAAGUCCACAGCACUGUCGAAUAUGUUUCUAUUUAUAUACCAUUUAUUCUAAAAACCUGGAGUUAAGGAGUUGUGUGUGUGAGUGGGUAAAUAAAUGGGUUGGAAAUAAAUAAUAAUGAAGCUCAGGAAGAAAAAUAAAUAAUAGAGAUGAGAUCAAUAUGUGUUGGUAGCAGUGCUGAAGCCAGGAAUUGCCGAGGAGAGGGGCGAACUUAAAAAGUGCAAAGUUAAAAAAAAAAAAAGGGCAACAACCAAAUUACAAUUGUUGUUAACGAGGUUUUCAUGUCAUAAAAAUGUGCAUAAUAGAUUAUUGUCAAUAAAAGCAAAUACAUGUAUCUCAAUGUAAACAAUCAUAUUAUCAUUUAACCAUUGAUCCUGACCGUAAUAAAACAUUGUUGCUAGCUUUUCUUGGCAAUGAUGUGGUCUUUAGGUUAACAAUAAUCAUUUUGAAGAGUGUCUAUGAAUUGCUUUGCGAUCAAUAAUCAUAGAAUUCAUAUCAAUAAUCAAUAACCAUAUUAAUGUAUUAUCAUAUGAUUCUACACUAAUUAAAGAAAAAAUUGUAUUGAAUAAUUAAUUAGGGUUUGAAAUAAUAUAUAAAUUUAGAAAAUAAAAAAUUUACAUAAAAUUGGGAAGGAUGGCGUGACGGUUGGUGAUUGAAAUGGAAGCUAGGAAUUGCGGGAUUUGUUUUGUUUGGUAAAGUGUGAGUGAGAGAUGGGAAAUUGAAAGGGGUGAUGGCUAAUGGGAACCAGGGGUCCACACAAUAUUUUAUUAUUGUUUUUUAAUGAAGCUGUAAAACUGUGUCGUUUUAGUUAAUAAUUUAUUUUUAUAUAAAAGCAAAUCCUGCAGCACGCAGGGGCGUUGCACAGCAACAAACGCCAGAAAACCACCAUACUUUCCAGUUUCCGACCAAACCAAAGAGGCGCUCCCAGGCUUGUUUUCCGGCGAGCUGAGGGGCAACAGCCACCCCUCGCCCCUAUGUAGCUUCGCCACUGGUUGGUAGACCUUACUUUUAUUAGAGAGAUAAUACAAGUGAUGGUGCAAGCAAAUGAUAAGUGUAACACUACUUUACUUAAAAUAGUACUAUGAACAUUAGGUUGGUAUUUGACCAUGAAUUGAUGUGCUUGUUAGUAGACCUGCAAAAUUAUAUACGAUGAGUUAAUUAAAUUAUAUGAUGCAAAUAUACCCGGAAAAUGGUUUUGGGUUAAACCUUACAGAGUCGAGUUCGUAAUGAGUUGACACGGUUUCGCACGAUAGUGACAUAUGAUAUGUUUGGAGAUUUGGUUAUGUAAUGUGUUACACUUGAAAUUUUUGUAGUUUUAGAAGAUUUUUAUUUUUAUUUAUACAAAAUUUGAUAUUAUUUUGUUGAUUAGUUGACUUGACGAGGGAGAAAAAAGUGGGUAAGCAUGACACGACACUUUAAAUUUGUAAAUGAGUUUGAGUUUAUUUAUUUUGACAUGAUAAGUUAAUAGGUCGGGUUUGAGUUUAAAAUAAUUUCUCAUAACACGGAUACAAAUUGCAAUGGGAUUUCUUAUAUCAAGCCUAUGUGUAUAAUAUUAUCUUCUUAUGCUAUGUAAAAGUACAACCUACGUUCAAAUUCCUUCUCAUAUUUAAUAAAAUUUGAGGUAACUAUACAAAGGCAAUCUACAUAUCACAAUGCAACAUGCUCAAAUACUUUGUUAGCAUUUCUCUGGUUCACCUUGGAGGUGAGCUUCCAGUUUGUAGUUUUAUCAGAUUGUAGUACACUCCAUUGCACCCUAACGAAACCAAUUCGUUUAAGUGAACCCUGUACCGCUACCUUCCCGUUUUGGAUCACAACAAUGAAGUUGGCCUUCUGUACUGUAGAGGGAGAGAAGUUUCAGUUCGACACGGUCUAUGACGUGGUCUUUUGGCCAUUUUUUUUUACCAAGUUUUAGGCUGAUUCCGGCAGUUUAAGGCUAUGCACCACUUAGGUUCAACUCUCUUCACGCCAAGCAUAACCCACCCAAGUUUCGCCCCGAUCGACCGCUAUAGAAGGCGGUACUAAGCCAUGAAAAUCUCUCGUUUCCAACGCCGGUGAUCUCGCCGUUUGUCCACAUGGAAAAAUUUGACAAGCACAUUAGCAAAAAUAUGAGAUCCGCAGUAGGCAUACCAUUAGUUAACAGUCAAAUUGACAAUUUAACUAAUGGAUAUAUGAAAUUACAACUACAAUAAGAGUUUGUGUAAGGGAUUGAGGUUACAAUUACACAAAAAAACUUGAGGAUGCAAAAUGUCAGGGCCGGUUUGGUAUUCUAUUUAAAAAAAUUCAUUAUUUCUCAAAACAUAUAUCAGAAACAUAUCUUGAAUUUUUUUUAAGACCAAACAACUUGUUUGGUAUGAGAUUUAAAAAUUUUAAAUCUUAAAACUUAAACCGGAGAAAUAAAUCAAAGAGAGAGAGAAGAAAGAGGGUCAGAUGAGAUAAAGUGGACGAGUGAGAGAGAGAGUGAAAAGAGCGGAUUAGAGGAGAGGGAAAGAGAAAGAAAGAAGAAAAGAGAGAGAGAUUCAAAAUAAGAAGGGAGGUGAGAGAAAAUAAAUAAGUGAGUUUUAAGUUUAAAAAACCCUAAAAAUCUCAUUUUUGAUGUUUUUAGAGAAUAUACAUUUUUUUAAGUUAAGUUUGAGUUCAGUUUUUUAAAAAAGUCAUACCAAAUAAGUUUUUAAAGCUUAAAACUUAAAAAAAGUGUUUUUGAGUUAAAAAAACUGAAUUCAAAUAUAAUACCAAACAUUUACCCUAAGUUAUCCAAGAUUUAAUUAUCACUUUAUUGAAGUUUCAUAUAAAAUAUAAAAAAUGUAGUUGGAUGUUUUUGAGUGAUUUAAAAAUAGGAUUGAAGGAAGGUUCCAAGAAGUCUGGUAGAAGAAGACCAAUCCCUUUAAAUAAUGAAGCAAAAAACCCUUACACACAACUCCAAGGAAAUUGCUAAGUUUUUACCAUCAACGACUCAAGAAUACAAGUCCAUGCGUAAAUUGAUUGCUCAAAUUUUUGUGAUUUAUUUUUAUUUUGUUGAUUUGCAUUCAGUGCUAUUUUUUAAAUUAGGAAGGAAGAUAUUAGUCCCAGCUUUUUGUACCAAAAAUAUUUUCUAUUCAAUUUUUGGUGAUCGACUGUAGACAAUGUAAUAUUAGUCAAUUCACAAUCCUGCUCACCCAAGGACCGAGAUUUGUAACACCGCAAUGUUGUUUAUUUUUCCAAACGCACUGACCUGGUCAAUUGGUCCAACCCAAGUCCACAGCACUGUCGAAUAUGUUUCUAUUUAUAUACCAUUUAUUUUUAAAACCUUGUGUGUGUGUGUGUGUGUGUGUGUGUGUGAGUGGGUAAAUAAAUGGGUUGGAAAUAAAUAAUAAUGAAGCUCAGGAAGAAAAAUAAAUAAUAGAGAUGAGAUCAAUAUGCGUUGGUAGACCUUACUUUUAAUAGAAAGAUAAUACAAGUGAUGGUGCAAGCAAAUGAUAAGUGUAACACUACUUUACUUAAAAUAGUACUAUGAACAUUAGGUUGGUAUUUGACCAUGAAUUUAUGUGCUUGUUAGUAGACCUGGCAAAAUUAUAUACGAUGAGUUAAUUAAAUUAUAUGAUGCAAAUAUACCCGGAAAAUGGUUUUGGGUUAAACCUUACAGAGUCGAGUUCAUAAUAAGUUGACACAGUUUCGCACGAUAGUGACAUAUGAUAUGUUUGGAGAUUUGGUUAUGUAAUGUGUUACACUUGAAGUUUUUGUAGUUUUAGAAGAUUUUUAUUUUUAUUUAUACAAAACUCGAUAUUAUUUUGUUGAUUAGUUGACUUGACGAGAGAGAGAACAGUGAGUAAGCAUGACACGACACUUUAAAUUUGUAAAUGAGUUUGAGUUUAUCUAUUUUGACACGAUAAGUUAAUGGGUUGGAUUUAAGUAUAAAAUAAUUUCUCAUAACACGGAUACAAAUUGCAAUGGGAUUUCUUAUAUCAAGCCUAUGUGUAUAAUAUUAUCUUCAUAUGCUAUGUAAAGUACAACCUACAUUCAAAUUCCUUCUCAUAUUUAAUAAAAUUUGAGGUAACUAUACAAAGGCAAUCUACAUAUCACAAUGCAACAUGCUCAAAUACUUUGUUAGCAUUUCUCUGGUUCACCUUGGAGGUGAGCUUCCAGUUUGUAGUUUUAUCAGAUUGUAGUACGCUCCAUUGCACCCUAACGAAACCAAUUCGUUUAUGUGAACCCUGUUCCGCUAUCUUCUCGUUCUGGAUCACAACAAUGAAGUUGGCCUUUUGUACUGUAGAAGAAGAGAAGUUUCAAGUUGACACGGUCUAUGACCCCGGUCUUUUGGGAGUUUUUUUGACCAAUUUUUAGGCCGAUUACGACAGUUUAAGGCGAUGCCACCACUUAGGUUCAACUCUCUUCAAGCCAAGCAUAACCCACCCAAGUUUCGCCCCAAUCGACCACUAUAGAAGGCGGUACUAAGCCAUGAAAAUAUCUCAUUUCCAACGCCGGUGAUCUCGCCGUUUGUCCACAUGGAAAAAUUUGACAAGCACAUUAGCAAAAAUAUGAGAUCCGCAGUAGGCAUACCAUUAGUUAACAGUCAAAUUGACAAUUAACUAAUGGAUAUAUGAAAUUACAACUACAAUAAGAGUUUGUGUAAGGGAUUGAGGUUACAAUUACACAAAAAACUUGAGGAUGCAGAAUGUCAGGGCCGGUUUGGUAUUCUAUUUAAAAAAAUUCAUUAUUUCUAAAAACAUAUCUCAUAAUCAUAUCUUGAAUUUUUUUUUUAAGACCAAACAACUUGUUUGGUAUGAGAUUUAAAAAAUUUUAAAUCUUAAAACUUAAACCGGAGAAAUAAAUCAAAGAGAGAGAGAAGAAAAAGGGUCAGAUGAGAUAAAGUGGAAGAGUGAGAGAGAGAGAGUGAAAAGAGCGGAUUAGAGGAGAGGUAAAGAGAAAGAAAGAAGAAAAGAGAGAGAGAGAUUCAAAAUAAGAAGGGAUGUGAGAGAAAAUAAAUAAGUGAGUUUUAAGUUUAAAAGACCCUAAAAAUCUCAUUUUUGAUGUUUUUAGAGAAUAUGAAGUUUUUUUAAGUUAAGUUUGAGUUCAAUUUUUUAAAAUAGUGAUACCAAAUAAGUUUUUAAAGCUUAAAACUUAAAAAAAGUGUUUUUGAGUUAAAAAAAAAACUGAAUUCAAAUAUAAUACCAAACAUUUACCCUGAGUUAUCCAAGAUUUAAUUAUCACUUUAUUGAAGUUUCAUAUAAAAUAUAAAAAAUGUAGUUGUGUUAUAAAUAUAUCAAAGUUAGAGAGAUAACCUUUUAGGUAGAUGCGAAGCAGAUAUAAAAUAUCACACUGUAAUGAAAACACAAGGGGAUGGAAAAUUAAAGAGGGAGGAAUAGAUAAUCUUAUUGAACUUUCCUUCUUUCUUCUGUUUUCUCUCUGUAUGUUAUUGCAGGCAUACGGAGCGCUCUAUUUAUAGAGCAGCUCCGAUCAAACCCAUUUAUUAUACAUUCACAAUUUACAACAUAUAUUUGAAAAUGUGAUUCCUACAAUUCCAAAGUCUACUGCCAAUAUUUUCAUUAGUCUGUAAUGUUGAAAAUCCAUUUGUGGGCAUUCAAUUAUCAGCCAACGUUGUCAACAAUGUUGAUAUUUUCAACACUCCCCCUUGAAUGCCCACAUAUCAACAUUAGUUACCUCAUUAAAACCUUGCUUGGAAAAACCCAGUGGGAAAAAACCAUUGCGAAGGAAAAAGAGUACAACUUUACCUGGAUUGUUGAUAUAGUGUUAAGUAUGCUUAUGUUGCCUCGUUAAAACCUUGAUAGGAAAAACCCAGUGGGAAAAAUCCUAAUCAAAGGAAAAAGAGUACAACAAGCAUGUAUCAUGGAUGCUCCCCCUGAGAUGUAUCUCCCCCUGAUUCCGCAUUUUCCAAACUUAGUUGUUUGGUAAGUCGACGUAAUCCGAUACUUUGCACUAACUUCUGAAACGUGCACUUUGGUAGAGACUUGGUGAACAAGUCUGCCAGAUUUUCAUUAGAACGGAUUUGUCUUACUUCAAUAACUUUAGCCUUCUGAAGCUCAUGUGCGCUGAAAAACUUUGGAGAUAUGUGUUUAGUUUUAUCGCCUUUGAUGAAUCCUUCCUUCAUUUGGGCAACACAAGCUGCAUUAUCUUCAUGAAUGAUAGUUGGAUUAUCUGUCUUCGAAGUUAGACCAUAUGAAUUCCGAAUAAUUCCGAAUAUGAUGGAUCAUUGAUCUUAACCAAGAACAUUCACGACUUGCUUCAUGUAAAGCAAGUAUUUCUGAAUGAUUUGAAGAUGUAGCAACUAAGGUUUGCUUUGUUGAGCGCCAUGAGAUUGCUGUAUCUCCAUUCUUGAACACAUAUCCAGUCUGUGAGCAGGCUUUAUGCAGAUCAGAGAGGAAACCAACAUCUGCAUAUCCAACAAGGAGUGGUCAUUUGUGGAGUUCUUUGAGUAGAAGAGACCCAUGUCUGUUGUCCCACGAAGGUAUCGCAAUACAUCUUUGACACCCUUCCAAUGACGGAUUGUUGAAGCAAAGCUAUACUUGGCUAACAAGUUAACUGAAAAAGCUAUAUCUGGUCUAGUACAUUGUGCUAAAUACAACAAAGCACCUAUUGCACUCAGAUAUGGUACUUCUGGACCAAGGAUUAUUUCAUCAUCUUCUUUUGGACGGAAUGGAUCUUUCUUAAUGUCCAGAGAACGAACGACCAUUGGUGUGCUGAGUGGAUAAGCCUUAUCCAUGCCAAAUCGCUUUAGAAUUUUUUCCAUGUAAGCUGAUUGGUGGACCAAAAUUCCACUAGCAUAAUGCUCGAUCUGCAGGCCGAGACAAUAUUUUGUUUUUCCAAUGUCUUUCAUUUCAAAUUCACUUUUCAGAUAUUCAACAGUUUUAUGUAACUCUUCAGGAGUUCCAACUAGGUUCAUAUCAUCGACAUAUACUACCACUAUAGCAAAUCCAGAGUUGGAUUUCUUAAUGAACACACAAGGGCAAAUGACAUUGUUGAUAUACCCUUCUUUGAUCAAAUACUCACUGAGACGAUUAUACCACAUUCGUCCAGAUUGUUUCAGCCCAUCAGUAUCUAAUUCUCCAUAUAGAUACACAGUGAUGACAUCCAUAAGUCGCAUGUCAAGUUUUUUUGAAACCACUAAACUUAUUAAGUAACGGAACGUAAUUGCGUCCAUUACAGAAGAGUAUGUCUCCUCAUAAUCAAUUCCAGGUCUUUGUGAAAAACCUUGUGCAACGACUCGUGUUUUAUAUCUAGCAAUCUCGUUUUUCUCAUUGCGUUUCCUUGUGAAUACCCAUUUGUAACCCACGGGGUUUACAUCAGGCGGGGUUUGGACUACUGGUCUAAAACACUUCGCCUUUCCAAGGAAUUUAAUUCUGCCUGGAUUGCAUCUUUCCACUUAGGCCAAUCUUGUCUCUGUUUGCACUCAUUAACAGAUCGGGGCUCAAUAUCAUCACUUAAUAUGAUUUUAGUGGCUACUGUGAAUGCGAACAUAUCGUCAAUGAUUAUUUCAUUCCGAUCCCACAAUUCAUUAGUACAUGCAUAAUUUAUGGAGAUUUCUUUGCUUUCAUGUACUUCUGUCUCUUUAGGGACAUAUGUCUCAUCAAUGACAUUUUCUUUUUCUGGAAGUCCAGAAUCAUGAAUUGUGGAUUUGUCAUUCAUUCUUUCUUCCUGAAUGAUUUCAUUUGGAUUCAGCUGUGCCCUUGUCUUUCUCUUUCGAGGGGCUGAAUCUUUUGAACCUGGUGGUCUACCACGCUUCAGGCGUGCACUAGAUGAAUCAUUCACUGCCACUUUAUUUUGUCCAAUAGGGACAUCAAUUCUUGCAGGUGCAUUUGCAGCUGGUAUAUGUGAUUUUGUCACUUUCAUAGCAUCAUUAAAUGCAUCUGGCAUUUGAUUGACAAUGCUUUGAAGAUGAACGAUCAUUUUUACUUCAUUUUCACAUUGAAUGCUUCGAGGAUCAAAAUGAGACAAGGUGGGAACAACCCAUGUCAGCUCUUUCCGUUCUUCUGGAACGGUUUUUUCUCCCCCUAACGACGGGAAGACUGUCUCAUUAAAGUGACAAUUAGCAAAACGUGCUGUAAACAUAUCACCUGUCAGGGGUUCCAAAUAUCUAAUGAUAGAUGGUGAAUCAAACCCCACAUAAAUUCCCAGUCUACGUUGAGGUCCCAUUUUAGUGCGUUGCGGCGGUGCAAUAGGCACAUAAACAACACAACCAAAAACUUGUAAAUGUGAAAUGUUUGACUGAUGUCCAAACACAAGUUGUAUUGAGGAGUAUUGGUGGUUGGCUAUAGGUCUUAAUCGAACCAAUGAUGCAGCAUGUAGGAUGACAUGUCCCUAUGCAGAGUGCAUGCUAUUAUCUGAAACCACUUGAUCAAUGCUUCUGCUAAACCAUUUUGAGUAUGGACAUAAGGAACAGGGUGUUCAACAUCAAUGCCCAAUGUCAUGCAGUAAUCAUCAAAAGUUUGAGAUGUAAAUUCACCAGCGUUAUCAAGUCGGAUUAACUUAAUGGGAUAAUUUGGGAACUGUGCUCGUAACUUAGUUAUAUGAGCAAGAAGUCUUGCAAAAGCUACAUUCCGAGUAGAUAAGAGACAAACAUGUGACCAUCUGGUGGAUGCAUCAACCAAAACCAUAAAAUAUCGAAAUGGUCCACAAGAUGGUUGAAUAGGUCCACAAAUAUCCCCUUGAAUUCUUUGCAGAAAUGAUGGGGAUUCAGCAUCAACCUUUAGUUGUGAUGGUCUAAUUACCAACUUCCCUUGAGAACAAGCCUUGCAAGGGUUAUCAUUUGAGAUAGCAAUGUUUCUGCUCAAUAAUGGAUGUCCAUUAGAGUUGGUAAUGAUCCUACGCAUCAUGAUGGAUCCUGGAUGACCCAGACGGUCAUGCCAAAGCAUGUAAACCUUUGAAUCAAUGAACUUCUGGUUCAUGACAGUAUGUGAUUCAAUUGUCCUUAUGUAUGUAUAAUAUAAUCCACUCGAAAAACCACGCAACUUCUCCAAUAUACGCUUCUGGGUAUCAUUAGAGGUAAUGCAUAGAUACUCCACAUUUUCUGCACUUUUCGUUUCAAUGUGGUAUCCAUUUAGACGUAUGUCUUUGAAACUCAACAAAUUUCAAGUAGAUCGAGUAGCAUACAAUGCAUUUUGUAUGGACAAUAUUGUUCCAUUUGGUAACAUAAUCUGGGAUUUCCCUGAGCCUUCAAUUACAUCUGAAGGUCCUGAUAUUGUUGUUACCCCUACUCUUGUAAGCAUUAAGCUUGAGAAAUACUUUCGAUCACGAAAUAUUGUAUGUGUGGUUACACUAUCUGCAAGACAAAUAUCUCUGCCAUUUCUCAUGUUCUGAAAUAACCACAGUUUUUAUCCAUGCUUUAUGAGUAAAUGGAAUCACAGUUAACAAACAAUUUAUAAUAGGAAAUUUACAUGCCACUUUUAUUGAAUCUGAAAAACUAGUUUUAGACAACAAGUUCAGCAUAAUAAAAGUACAUCAAACAUAAACGAUUUAGUCGGACCGGUAUAUUUCAUUCCCCCUUUCCAUAAUGAAGUCUGAAACAUCUAGGUGAGUUGUGUCCAAUUGCCCUGAUAAAUCAAACACUGGAUCAGGUAUAUCUAUUGGUUUAGCCUGGUCGAGAAAAUUGGUCUCGACACCCUUCUCCUUGAGGGAGGCUUGAUACAACUCCACCAGAUGUUUUGGGGUACGACAAGUUCGCGCCCAAUGCCCAUUGCCACCACACCUAUGGCAGGCUCUUUCAGAGUUCCUGGGAGCAUUGUUCAUGUGAGCUUUGCCUUUGUGAUGAUUCACAUUUUUAAAGCUCGAGCCUAAAUUAUGCCUCGGAACCUGGUUGUGAAACUGACCACCAUGGUUCUUGCCUUUCCUAUUCCAUCGACCUCGCUUGUGGCUACGUCCUCAUUUAUGAUUAUUGCCACCAGAGGAUGUGGCGUUCACUUCGAGGGAAGCAGCAUUCACUUCUAGGAAUGGUGCAGAUCCAGUAGGUCGAGAAUUAUGGUUUUUCAUCAAGAGCUCAUUGUUCUGUUCAGCUACCAGGAGCACAGAUAUCAGCUGGUUGUAUUCAGUGUAGCCUCGCGCUCUAUACUGCUGCUGCAGGAGCACAUUAUUGGCAUGAAAUGUUCUGUAAGUCUUUUCCAGCAACAUUUCCUCAGUAAUGGUAUCCCCACAGAGUUUCAUCUGAGAGGUAAUCAUGAACAACGCAUAAUUGUACUCUGCCACUAAUUUGAAAUCCUGGAUUCUCAGGUGAGACCACUCAUAGCGAGCUUUUGGAAGAAUCACCGUUGUCUGGUGAUUGUAUCUGCUUCUCAAGGCCUCCCAGAGAGCUAACGGAUUUUCAACCGUUAAGUACUCGCUUUUUAGUGCCUCAUCAAGAUGGCGGCGAAUAAAGAUCAUGGCCUUCGCCCGAUCUUGAGAGGAUGAGCUGCUUUCUUCCCUGAUGGUAUCUCCAAGAUUCCCUGCUUCCAGAUGGAUCUUGGUAUCCAGUACCCAGGUAAGGUAAUUCUUCCCGGUAAUGUCCAGGGCAGCAUAUUCAAGCUUCGCCAAGUUCGCCAUUUUCUUUUCUAAAAGAAAAUGAGAUGUGUAAGAACUUGCAAUAAUAUGUAUUCCUGGAGGAAUAUAAUGUUAGAACUUCUGGUUCUUACAAUUUUUUCAUUUUGAUCUUCAGGCCAAAAUGAUAAACACUCGAAACUUCUGGCUCGAGAUUUUCAGUGUGAAUGAGGAGGGCAAUUGUACCGCACCAUUCUCAUUGAAAUAAUGUAACAUAGAAUGAGCGAUUAUUCCGCACCACUCAAGUAGGAAGAAAAUUGAAAUACGCAGAGCAGGGUGGGCGAUUAUACCGCUCCACCUAAAAUUGCAAUGAAAAUAAACAGCAAGUAAAUUUAAAUUUGCAAAGCAAGGUGGGCGAUUAUACCGCUCCACCUGAAAUUUGCAGUAAAAGUAGAUCUGCAGUCCAAGAUAGGCGAUGAUACCGCACCAUCUUGGAUCGCAGUAAGAUGAAAUUUGCAGUUCAACAUGGGCGAUUGUACCGCACCAUCUUGGAUCGCAGUAAAAUCAACAUAAAUAAAUACUGGGUUAGUAAUCAAUAUCUAAACCAAACAAGUAAUCAAAGAUGUAUGUAACCGCUAGUUGGAGAACUAUGAGCAGGCAUGGAGCAAACAGUUCGUCGCGAGGGUAUACCGCGCAGUUGAGGCAGAGGAAGAAGAUGAACAGGAAAAACCUUAGAGGAAACAUUUUUUUCGUUCGGCGGAGAGAAAAUGAGAGAAUGAUUUCUUUUGGUCAAUGUAAAUGAGACAUAGUUAUAUUUAAUGACUCGUGCUGAUAACGUGUUAUAAAUAUAUCAAAGUUAGAGAGAUAACCUUUUAGGUAGAUGCGAAGUAGAUGUAAAAUAUCACACUGUAAUGAAAACACAAGGGGAUGACAAAUUAAAGAGGGAGGAAUAGAUGAUCUUAUUGAACUUUCCUUCUUUCUGCUGUUUUCUCUCUGUAUGUUAUUGCAGGCAUACAGAGCGCUCUAUUUAUAGAGCAUCUCCUAUCAAACCCAUUAAUUGUACAUUCACAAUUUACAACAUAUACUUUGAAAAUGUGAUUCCUACAAUUCCAAAGUCUACUGCUAAUAUUUUCAUUAGUCUGUAAUGUUGAAAAUCCAUUUGUGGGCAUUCAAUUAUCAGCCAACGUUGUCAACAAUGGUGAUAUUUUCAACAAGUUGGAUGUUUUUGAGUGAUUUAAAAAUAGGAUUGAAGGAAGGUUCCAAGAAGUCUGGUAGAAGAAGACUAAUCCCUUUAAAUAAUGAAGCAAAAAACCCUUACACACAACUCCAAGGAAAUUGCUAAGUUUUUACCAUCAAAGACUCAAGAAUUCAAGUCCAUGCGUAAAUUGAUUAAGAAGGUAGGGCAUAAUGUGCCUCUUGAAACCGUAUGUAUACAUAUUUGUUUCUCUCAAUUAAGUCGUUUAUGCGACAGAGUGAGACUGAUACAAAAGUGUAUACAUUAUAAUAUCAUAAAUUCUAUCGCACUAGUCCCGUGAGAUUAACACAAAGUGUGUACACUCAGGGAAGCAACACACAAUGUAUUGGCGAGUAUAUGCCCGGCAACAAGAAUACAAAUAAAGACCAAGUGACUUUAAUAAAGAUUAAAUAAUACCAAAGACUUUUAUAAAGAUUAAAUUAAAGACCGAACAGUACCAAAGACUUUAACAGUACCUAAGAUUACAUAAACACUAAGUGAAGUGACCAAGAGUAUCAAUAAUAUUUUUUCCAAUCAUUUCUCUCUCUCUCUCUCUCUAACCCUCUUUUUAUUUCUCUCUCUCUAACCACAAACAUGGAGGAUCAAUCAGCCGGGUGCUGCAGGUGCUGCUUCAGCUUAAUAUUCACUCUCGGCCUCAUAGCCCUCUUCAUGUGGCUGAGCGUCGACACCAAAAGUUCCACCCUCUUCGUCACCCUCCGGCUCAAAAACACCAACAAUGACAAGAGAGUUUUAUACGACGCCGUCAACCACACCUUCCGGUGGCACAGAAUGGACAGGUGAGUAUAGGGAUUCUAGAUCAAAUGUCCAAGUAAUAAGCAUAUAUGUAGACGUUUGUUAGGGUCGAAUGCACAAAAGGAAUAUUCAUGUGGUGAUUGAACUAGGGAUCAUCUGGAUUAAUGUUUGAGUUAAUCCUAGCUUCGAUCAUGAAAGGAAAAUAUUUCCAUAUUUUCGUGGUCGGGUAGGGGUAUGAGUCGUAUGACAUUUUCUAUCCUUGUUUUCUUCGUCUUAUUUCCAUAUUUUGCUUCUUGUGCUUAGAAAGGAUUUUUGAACGUUAGGGUUUCUACAAUUAGCUGGUAGUUUAGUUAAGACUCCAAGAGCCUUAAUAUUGAAAUCCUGUGUAUACAUAUUUGUUGCUCUCGUCUUACUCGGCUAUGGAAUUAGUGAGAUUGGUAGAAAAGCGUAUUCAUCGGAAUAUCACAGAUUUCAUCACAUUACGAGAAUAUAAAUAAAGACCAAUUGGCUUUAAUAAAGAUUAAUACUACCAAAGACUUGUGUAAAGAUUAAAUAAAGACAAGAGACAUUAAUAAUUAAAGAUUUCGACAAAAAAAAAAAAAGACAUUCAUAAAGAUUAAAUAAACACCAAGUGAAGUUACUAAGAGCAUCAAUAAUCAUUUUUCCAAUCGUUUCUCUCUCUCCCUCUCUCUAUAAGACUAUAAUCCUCUUCCCAUUUCUCUCUCCAACCACAAACAUGGCGGAUCCAUCACCCGGGUGCUGCAGGCGCUGCUUCAGCAUCAUAUUCACCCUCGGCCUCACAGCCCUCUCCAUGUGGCUGAGCCUCCGCACCUCCAACCCCAAGUGCACCAUCCACUCAUUUUACCUUCCUGCCCUCAACCGGACCCUAAACGACACCAAAAACACGACCCUCUUCGUCGCCCUCCGGCUCAAAAACACCAACAGUGAAAAGGGAGUUUACUAUGAUGCCGUCAACCUCACCUUCCGGCUGCUGCCCAAUGCCACCAGCAUGCCCGUAGCAACUUCUGCUGUGCCCCGGUUCUACCAGGGCCACAAGAAGACGGCCACCAAGAUCUUGGUCGUGGGCCCCCAAGAGUGGCUCAACUGGACGGCAGUGUUCAGUGGGGUCCACCCCAAUGGGAGUGUGAAUUUCAGGGUGGAUUUGGCCACUGCUGUGAGGUUCAAGAUCAUGUUUUGGAAGACCAAGAGGCACAGGCUGAAUGUUGGUGCUGACGUGCUGGUCAAUGACUCCGGCGGGAAAGUCAACGAGAAGGAUAUCAAACUCUCUGCUGCACCAGAUCAUCACCUGAUUGGUUUCUUUUCUGGGCAGGUGGGGGUUUUGUCCAAUUUCUUGGUUUUGAUUUUGCUCAAUUUUUUGUGAUUUUUUUUUUUAUUUUUUAGAAUUUUUAUAGUGAAAGACUUUGUUAUUCUUGUUGCAUUUUUUUUAUUUUGUUGAUUUGUAAUCAGUGCUAUUUUUUAAGCAAGGAAGAAAUUAGUCCCAACUUUUUUACCUUAAAAUAUUUUUUAUUUAAUUUUUUGUGAUAUACUGUAGACAAUGUAACUUAGUCAAAUCAGAAUCCCGCUCACUAAGAACCGAGAUUUAUAACUGUCAAAUGUUGUUUAUUUGUCUAGACGCUCUGACUUGGCCAAUUGAAAUUGAUACUACAAGUAAGCUUCAAGUGAAAUUGAUACAUUACCUUGUGCAUCUCCACCAGUUAAAGAUACCACCCCUGGAUGGAGGAAGAGUACUUCCAGAGAAGAUGCCACAUCUACCUAUGAGACAGAUAAGGCAAGUCAAGACGACACCACACUCCGAUACUUAGAAGUUUCGUGAUUACGAGAUCAUUAUCCCACAAUAUUUCCUAAUGUCAUUUGUACUAAAUCAUUCACUCGUACUCACUAAAGGAGAGCUUGAACCUAUGUACUUGUGUAAACCCUUCACAAUUAAUGAGAACUCUUCUAUUCCGUGGGCGUAGCCAAUCUGGGUGAACCACGUACAUCUUGUGUUUGCUUUCCUAUCUCUAUCCAUUUAUAUACUUAUCCACACUAAUGACCGGAGCAAUCUAGCGAAGAUCACAAAAAGCGACCGUUUUUCGUUACCUAGGAUCUAUCUUGCAAGAGAACGGAGAAUUAGAUGGAGAUCUCAACCAUAGAAUACGAGCUGGAUGGAAAGAGUGCAUCCGGCGUGUUGUGUGACCGUCGUAGGCCACUGAAGCUCAAGGGAAAAUUUUAUAGGACGGCAAUAAGGCCAGCGAUGUUGUAUGGCAGAGAAUGUUGGGUGGUGAAGCAUCAACACGUACACAAAAUGGGUGUAGCGGAGAUGAGGAUGCUUCGUGGGAUGUGUGGGCACACGAGAAAGGAUAAGAUUGGGAAUGAGGAUAUCCGAGGUAAAGUAGGAGUAGCCGAAAUUGUAGGAAAGAUGAGAGAAAAUCGGCUCUGGUGAUUUGGACAUGUGCAAAGAAGGCCGACUGACGCUCCGGUUCGAAGAUGUGACUACGGGACAGAGGUUCAGGGCCGAAGGGGUAGAGGAAGACUUAGGAAAACUUUGGAAGAGACUCUAAGAAAAGACUUAGAGUACUUGGAUCUAACGGAGGGCAUGACACAAAACCGAGCGCAAUGGCGUUCUAGGAUUCAUAUAGCCGACCCCACUUAGUGGGAAAAGGCUUUGUUGUUGUUGUUGUUGUUGUUGUUGUUGUUGUACAAGAAACGAUAUCAUAGUCUUUUAUUAAUCAACACCAAACAAUUACAGAGUGUCAUUGGGUACAUAAUUUCAGUGACUAAAAAAUUGAUCUGGAAUGAAUUUGCACAAAACAGACAAAUAACAAUAAACCCCUAGUAGACACCCACAAGCUCAACCACACAGUCGCCAAGCACACAAAUCUACCACUACAGAUCUGUCACAAUAACGAUAGUCGUAACAUAGAGAUACCAGCAAACACAACGGUCAUCACUGAAUAAUGAGGCCACAAAAAGUUAUCGCGAAAAUGAAACCACGUCAAAUCCUAGAGUUAAGGAGCGCUCUCUAUGUGUGAGUAGGAAAAUAAAUUGGUUGGAAAUAAAUAAUAAUGAUGCCCAAGAAGAAAAUUUAAGCCUUGAGGGUUAUUUUUUUUGUUUUUUUUGUGUAAGUUUGCAAAAGUAGGUAGUCCCACAAAAGAACGUGGUCCGAUUUCAAUUGGCUACCAAUUCUGAUGUUUUCGGAAUCAGAUUUCCAUAGUCUGUAUGGGGUUAGACAUGGAGAUUUCCAAAGAUUUUCAACUAUUUGUACUAUUUUUUUAAUAGAUAUGAAACUUAUUGACAUGUCUUUCUUCUAUUAGAGAAAUGAUACAAAUAAUUGUAUAAAUAAAUGAUAAGUGUGGAGCAAAAAAUAAUCUCAAAAAUUCUAGUGGCGAUACGUAGACUUUUAUUCAAAAAGGACAAGAUUGCCCUUAAUAAAUGGACAGACUUCUCAGAUUCUCUCACGCGCAGCUCACAUCCUGAAGGACUCAGCAGCUGAACACCACUGCCCACAGCUCACAUGCCCAUGGCAAGGAAUUAAAGAUAAUGAUUAAUUACCAAAAUCCUAUCUUUAAUACAUUCCUAAUUAAAAAUUGACUUCAAUCAAGUAAAUAAUCCUAAUUUAAACCAAUUAAGGAUUAUUACCCUAUUAUCUCCUAAUAAAUAUCUAGGGAAUAUUUAGAGAUUAUUGUCUUCAUUUAACCCUAUAUGGCCAGCCCUAGCCCUAUAAAUACUCCAUAUUCUACCAUUUUCUUAGAGCUUUGGACAACCGUAAAAAGUAUCAAAACAUAUUACUCUCUCAGAGAAACUAACUUAGGCGUCGAAGAUCUGUUGACCUAACCCCCCCCCCACCUCGUGGGCGCGGUGGCUUAGGUCUCUGAUCAAAGGUGUUAAUUGUUUUGCAGGUGUAUUUUCGUCAAGAUUGAAGACGAUGAAAAUUUGCAUCCACAAAUUGGUGCUUUCAUUGAGAGUUGAUUCAAAAUACUCGAAGAAGCCUCUCGCAUUUGUUUCUUGAAUUUUCUAUUACGUUGAAUUUCUCACACGUCGUAUCAAUUAAUUUUUCCUAGAAAAGUUUCUUGAUCAAUCCCUGAAUAAAUGAUACAAUGGUAGAAAAUUCAGAAAUUACGACGAAUGGAACAUCGUACGUGCAAGGAUUUGGACCGAAGAGUGGAGAUGAGGACAUAACCCCACGACGGAGGUCAUCAAGGCUCAACACGACAGCAGAAGGAGCCCUACUGUCGUGAAGCCGCGUCACCACCGUUACCACCUUGACCCAGCAGCCACGGCAAAGCCACCAGGCCACGGCACCACUUCCACCUAACCCUAGGCAAGAGGCCCAGGUCUAUUUCCAAGCCCGUGGGCAGGAGGCCCAGAACUUGGCAGCUGCCACAGCGAGCCCUGGGCAGGAGAACCUACCCAAUGCAACAACUAGCCUUGUUACACAGUAAGCCCAAACUCGAGCCCAGAAUUCGACAGCUAUUGCCAGCCAAGCAGCUCAGCGGGCCCAAGCCCAAGACACUCAGCCAACAGGCCAAGAUGUGGCAACCUAACGACCAGGAGGGCCCGCCCGGGACCAUGUAGAUCCAAAGAUUACCUGCUAUGGGCUCAAGCUUUGUACUUGCAGUCUACUAUACUUUCACCACACAUGCACACGCCCAUUAUUCAGGCUUUUCCAAUCCAAAUGAAGAGCACCACCUGCCUCAGUAGGUCGCCAAUUUGACGAACGCCCUCGCGCAAAGACCACCUUGGUGAACCAACUCCUCGAGCGCAUUAAGAUGCAGUGUGCCCCAAACGAGGUGUCCCGAAGCAAGACAAAGGCGGAAGAACAUGACUCAUUCCAGCGAUGUCCCGAUAAAAAGCUGCUCAGCCAGCCACGAACCGAGCAUUUAGGCAGUGUACACUCUCGUUUGGGCCCUUGGGGAAACGUCUUCUCCCGCCUAGAUACGCAGAGAAACGUUCAUUCCCAACUCAGCUUACGAGUCAGUGUGCAUUCGAGGUUGGGUUCACACUCCAGCGAGCACUUAAGACCUUCCGGGAGAAGCAUCCACACGAGACUAGGCCCGCAAGGAGAUUCUCCUACGAGGCAACGAAAUAGGCAGCUGCAUGACGCCCAGAGAAGAGCACAUGGUCAGUCUAGCUCAAGUUCCACUGGCAGCCCCCGCCCAAAGAGACGGCGUACAGCACAAGGCGAACUUCAUGCACCGCAACCGCGGUACAGACAAGCAAGAGAGCCGAAGAGCAACAUAGACCAGCGGGUCAACACCGGGGGUAGCCGAAGGAUCCGCUGCCCCACCAGGUGCAAAUCCAGGAGGAAGUACAAAGGCUCGUAGCAGAGCAGUUGCGUGAAUUCCAGCACAUUGACACUACUGACAAUGCCCUCCGUAGAGACGUGGCCAACUUAAGCAGGUCACCAUUCACAGAUGAGAUCGAGUGGACGGAACCAUCGCGGAAGUUCAACCUGCCAUAUUUCACCCUUUUUAGGGGAUAUGAAGAUCCGGACAGACACUUGAUGCACUACUGAAGUGUCAUGACCCUCUACGCCAAUAAUGAUACUCUCAUGUGCAAGAUCUUUGCCACGACACUACAAGGUGAAGCGCAAGACUGGUUCCACACUCUGCCGCCACGUUCAAUCCAGAACUUCGAUGAACUUUCCUUGGUUUUCACUAAGUAGUAUUCAUUCUACCGUUCGAUCAAGAAAAGAUUUGACCACAUUUUCAGCAUGAAAAAAGACCGAAAGGAAUCACUAUGUACUUAUAUCAAGAUAUUCAAAGCAGAAAAGGAAAAAAUCGUCGGAAAACUCUUAUGCUUUGGCAGAAAAACACUCCCUCUAGGACGAGGAAAAACGCUCCCAGAAGCCGCGAAACCGACUGAGAAGAAGGCGAGUGAUAAACCGCUCAAUAUCAAAAAUAAGCCAAGAGACAAGCACAGGAACCGGUCACCAGUGAAGGAAGGCACGGCACCCAAGUCGUACACCAAGUUCUCAGUCCAGAUCAGCCAAAUCCUUCACGACCUCAAAGAUAAGCCAUGGUUCAAGCCACCGCCGCCUAUAAAGGGCGACACCUUAAAGAUGGACCAGACCAAGUAUUAUGCAUUCCACAGGGGUUAUGGGCACACAACCAAUGAGUGCACCAUAUAGAGGAGGUACCUCGAGCAAUUUGUAAAGAAAGGCAAGUGCGACUAGUAUAUCGAUAGACCGACUGCCAGGCCAAGGCGAGAAGCAGAUGCCGAUGCUGAACCCUUAACCAAGACAAUCCAAAUCAAUGGAAUCUUUUCCGAAUCUGAACAUCUGGGGGCCAUCAAUAACUCCAAGAAAAGGAAAAUCCAGCAUGCGAGAUCGGUCAAUCAAGUUUAAGCCAUAAAUGUUGGGCCUGGACCAAUCGUCGGCUUCACCGAGCAGGACACUGAAGGAGUAGACUUUCCCCACAACGAUGCCCUGGUGAUUUCUCUACAAUUGGCCCACACCAUCGUUGACAGAGUCAUGGUGGACAACGGUAGCUCAAUCAACCUCCUACAACUGUCGGUCAUCCAGAAGAUGAGCCUGGGAAGCACGGUCUAACGUAAAGUAGGGGUCUUGACCGGAUUCAACUGACCUAGCUCAACUGUCAUUAGCACUAUUACACUCGAUGUAACCAACCCGCCGAUCGUCUCGUCGCAAACCUUCAUGAUUAUCAGUGACCCAUCUCCUCACAGCAGGAUAUUGGGCCGACCCUGGCUAGUGAAGAUUGAAGCUGUGACCUCUGUCGAGUAUUAGAAAAUCUGAUUUCGCAUCCCGGGAAGAGCAGUCGGAGAAAUCAAAGUCGACCAGGCCAUGUCCAGGCGAUGCACUAUACCAGUUCUCAAAGAGUCGAAGAAGAAAUCUUUCACCCCAGUAGUAGCAGCUGAAGUACAGAAAGACGACUCUACCUCUGCCAAAUAGUAAUUACAACAGACAAGUAAAAAAGAUGGCGUUAAGGUCGACAAUGCCCUGGAAGAUGAGUCAGGAUGGAAACCCAAAGAAGACGCCGAAAGCAUCAUUCUUGACCCCCACCAGCCGAAAAAGAUGGCUAGAAUUGGCUCAUGUCUGAGCCCAACAGAGAAGGAAGAACUCACGGCUUUCCUUAAGGAAAAUCGUGACAUCUUCACAUGGUCACCCUCUGACAUGCUCGGUAUUGAUUCAGCGAUAGUUUGUCACAAGCUGCACAUCGACCCUGCUGCCAAACCUGUGAUCCAAAAAAGGCGACAUUUCGCACCCCAGCGAGUGGCGAUCAUUGAGGCAGAGAUCAACAAACUACUAGAGGCCGGAUUCAUUGAGGAAAUGGCACAUUUAGCAUGGUUGGCCAACGUCGUGCUAGUAAUGAAAAAAGAGAAGGGCAAAUGGAGAGUAUGCUUGGAUUACACCGACCUCAACAAGGCAUGCCUUAAAGACAACUACCGGUUCCCCAAAUCAACCUUCUCGUUGACUCAACAUCCGGGAAUCGGCUGCUCAGCUUCUUGGAUGCAUAUUCAGGCUACAAUCAGAUUGCCAUGCACAAGCCUGACAAAGAAAAAAUCGAAUUCAUGAUCGAGCGAGGUAGAUACUGCUACAAGGUUAUGCCUUUUGGCCUCAAGAACGCAGGAACAACCUACCAGCGACUCAUAAACACGAUGUUCAAGAAGCAAAUCGAGGUCACAAUGGAAGUCUACAUCGACGACAUCAUGGUGAAAGGCAAGCAACGGUCAGACCACAUUCGUAACUUGGCAGAAACUUUUGCCAUUCUUUGAGAGUACAACACGAAGCUCAACCCAGCCAAGUGCACAUUUGGCGUCUCCUCAGGCCGAUUCUUAGGGUACCUUGUAACCCAACGAGGAAUCGAUGCUCAUCUAAGGCAGAUCAAAACGAUCUUAGACAUGAAAUCGCCUUCAACUUUGAAGGAGAUCCAAAGUAUGACCGGACGAGGAGCCGCACUCAAUUGCUUCCUUUCAUGAUCUACUGACCGAUGUAAGUCUUUCUUCAAGGCAAUUAAAAAAGCGCAGAAGGAUAAAUCGGACGAUGAGUGCGAAAAAGCAUUUCAAGACCUGAAGCAAUACUUGACAUCACCUCUACUACUAUCCAAACCAGAAACAGCAGAGAACCUAUACAUCUAUCUGGCGGUAUCAAAAGUAGCAGUAAGCUCUGCCCUCAUACGAGAAAAGCUGAGGGCCCAACUGCCUGUAUUCUACACAUCUAAAGCUAUCCUCGAUGCGGAAACCAGAUACCCGAAGAUCGAAAAACUAAUUUUGGUGCUAGUUGUUGCAGCUCGGAAGCUCAGACCCUACUUCCAAGGGUAUUCGAUCAUCAUCAUGACCCAAUACCCACUGCAAUUAGUUUUGCAUAGUCCGAACACUUCUCAGCGAGUAAUGAAGUGGGCUUUGGAACUUGGUCAAUACGACUUAGCAAACCAACCCUGCAUGAUAAUACAAGCCCAAGCACUGGCAGACUUUAUAGCAAAAUUCACCCCGAGCCUGAAGGAUGCAGCAACACAGCCCGAAAAGGCCCUAGAGGUAGUCGAGCACACCAUAGCCAUAGCCCGAAAGGGCCCUAGAGGUAGUCGAGCACACCAUAGCCAUAGCUGCCCCACCUGAUGGAGUUUUCUGGCGUUUGCAAGUCGAUAGGUCAUCCAACCAUCAAGGAUCGAGAGCAGGCCUAGUUCUCACUACCUCAGACGGCUCAAUACUCAAGUAGGCGAUCAUUCUAAACUUCAAAGCAUCGAACAACAAAGUAGAGUAUGAAGCCCUACUAGCAGGUCUCCGAUUGGCAAAAAACCUAACGGUUAAGAAGCUUGCAAUCUAUUCUGAUUCCUAGCUGAUCACCAACUAAACUUUAGGGGAAUACGCAGCAAAAAAUACAAGAAUGGCCCAAUACCUCGAGAAGGUACGAGAGCAGCUAGCGAUGUUCUAAGCAUACACACUCACUCGGGUUCCACAGGCAGAAAAUGCCCAUGCAGAUGCACUGGCAAGCCUAGGCUCCGCAUUAGACCAUCAGCUCAAACGCUCAAUCCUGGUCGAGUACCUGGAGAAGCCAAGCAUAGAUGAGGAACCAGCAAGCGAAGUGGUGCAUAUCAGCACAACCUCGAGUUGGCAAGAUCACAUCAUCGACUCCAUAGUCAAUGGAACGCUCCCCGCAGACAGACUGGAAUCUAGGAAGCUCCAAAUAAAGGUAGCACGCUACUACAUGUGGAACGUCGUGCUCGUUCGAAGAUUCUUUUCAGGACCACAUCUUAACUGCCUAUCGCCUCCCGACGACCUGAAGAUUCUUAGCUCAAUCCACGAAGGUGUAUGUGGAAACCACUCCGGAGGUCGAUCAUUGGCGCAAAAAGCUCUCAACGCUGGUUAUUAUUAGCUGACCAUGCAUCAAGACGCCAAUGAGUAUGUACAAAGGGUGCAACAGCUGCCAGUGCUUCAAGCAUGUGCCCACACUACCUGCCAACGAACUUCAUUCGCAAACAAACCCAUGGCCAUUCAUGCAAUGGGCGAUCAACUUGGUAGGACCAAUGUCUCCUGCUACUGGGGGGUAGAGGCAUGAUGAUCGUAAUGACCGACUACUUCACAAAAUGGGUCGACGCCGAACCCAUGACCACAACUACCCAGACGGACAUAGAGUGCUUCAUAUGGAAGAACAUCAUCUGCCGCUUCAGCAUCCCACACUUUAUCGUCACCUACAAUGGCCCACAGUUCAUGGGCAAAGACUUGGUAAGAUUCUUCGAAAAAUAUGGCAUCAAUAACACAUGUCCACACCUCAAUACUCACAGGGCAACGAGCAGGCCUAAGCGUCCAACAAGACUAUCCUCGAUUGCCUUAAGAAGACCAUCUUAGACAAGAAGGGCAAGUGGCCAGACGAGCUCCCCGGUGUUCUAUGGGCAUAUCGCACCACUAAAAAGUGAGCAACCGGCGAGACUCCAUUCUCCUUUGCGUAUGGUUCUGAGGCGAUCAUUCCUCCUAACGUUGUAGUGCCAAGCAUCAGCACUAUACUGCCAAACCUCGAGUAGAACAAAAAGGAGAUCACUACCAACUUGGACCUGGCAGAGGAAGAGCGCGAGAAAGUUAUCACCUGCAUUGCGACCUAUCAACAGCAUUUCCUCUUCAACUACAACAAAAGGACAAAAAUCUGGCAGUUCCAAUAAGAAGACCUAGUUCUCAGGAAAGCCUUCAUCAUCACCCGACGAGAAGGCUCCAAAAAGAUGACACCCAUCUGGGAAGGUCCGUACAAAAUCAGCUGAGUAGGCAGAAAGGGAAGCUACACCCUCACCACCAUGAAUGACAAAGAAAUCGACAAGCAGUGAAAUGCCUACAACCUGAGAAAGUACUACGUGUGACCUCCCAUCAUCCCUUGGACCAUGUUUGAGAUGAAAAGUUCGAAGAUUUAAGCAGUUUGACGGACAGAGACCUCGCAUGCCGAGGAUGAUCAAUUGUUAUAACAUUAUUACCUAUGAGCAAAGUUAAUAAAAGCCUAUAUUUUCAAUGAAAAUUGAAGGAAUAAUUCACAAGCCUGGGCCAAAUGCAUAAACAAACUGAUUACCUCAUGCGAUAAGCAGAAACACCAUCUGCCGGAUGGACAUGGUGAAGACACCCGUCGUCCGGCAGACAUGGUGAAAGAUACCCUCUGCCCGGCAAACAUGGUGCAAGACACCUGCUGACCUGCAGACAUGGUAAAAAACACCAUCUACUCGGCAGACAUGGUACAAGAUUCCCGCUGCCCUGCAGACAUGGUGAAAGACACCAUUUGCCCGGCAGACAUGGUGCAAGACACCUGAUGCCCAGCAAACAUAAUGCAAGACACCCGCUGCCCUGUAGACAUGGUGAAAAACGCUCUCUGCCCUACAGACAUGGCGUAAGAUACCCUCUGCCCUGCAAACAUGGCAUAACCACCCUUGUGAUAAACAGAAUGCGCCUUCUACAUGUUCAAACAUGGCGUAUCCAGAAUAUCCAGACGUGGAUGGGUAAUACGACUGCUCAGUUUCCCCUAAUGUCAGCGAACACCUGAGCCGGAUAACUCUCAGAAUUGGCUAAAAUAGUCCUUCCACAUGAAUGGACUUAGCCAAUUAAAUGAUUCAAUUUCACGGGACCCGGGUCUCUAACCGGAAGAGACAGUUAAACGUAAGACAAUUGCCCAUGACAGAUCUCGCGUGAACAAUAUGGUUCAUCCUCGACUUGCAGAUCUUCAUGAAGUGGCUUGAUUUUAAAGUGUUGCAAUAUUAGUCAAGCAACCUAAGGGAUCAAAGCUGCGACUCAGAAGAAUAUGGCCUCUGAUAGGCGACUUCGCCUGCACCUCACACCAAAAAAUGUCUCCGAGAGCCAGGGAUGACGCAUGAAGUGGUUACACGGGUCGUCUGCUUCUGUAAGUAAGACACCGGGCUGACGACCCUACGGCUAUAAGCCCAAGGCAACCCAUAAGCCAGAACUUACGUCUGCCUUGACUACAUGGACUUGCCUGCUUACUUAUAAGCAGCGCUUCCAACCGACGAUUUAUGGUUUAAGUUUUGUUGGGACAAAGUCGAGUAUCACGACUAUACUAGCUGCGCGGACCUCCUCUACUUUCUACGAGAAACACGAGUCCUACCGACUGCUUUAUAAGUCAAAAAUCUCGCAAUAUGCCCCGGGAGGGUCAGGGCUCAAGAAGUCACUAAAGUCGAGUGUCAUGACUAUAGUAGCUGUGCGGACCUCAUCUGCUUCCUACAAGAAGCACGAGUCCGACCGACGACUCUAUAAGUAAAAAAUCUCGCAACAUGCCCCGGGAUGGCCAAUGAUCAAGAAGCCACUAACAUUAAGUGUCACGACUAUAAUAGUUGCGCAGACCUCAUCUGCUUCCUACGAGAAGCAUGAGUCCGGCCGACGACUCUAUAAAUAAAAAAUCUCGCAACAUGCCCCGGAAGGGCCAAGGCUCAAGAAGCCAUUAAAGUUGAGUGCCAUGACUACAGUAGUUGCGUGGACCUCAUCUGCUUCCUCCGAGAAACAUGAGCUCGGCUAACAGUUCUAUAAGUUAAAAAUAUCGCGUUUUUUUCCUCUUGCGGGUAAAGUUUACGAAGCUACCUAAAGCCUAAAGUGACCACGUGAGUCAACUACUCCAUCGUAGUAGACCACUCAACUUCCCGUCCUAAGGCAAAGUUUUGCAAGACGCCACAAGCAAGCAAGGCUCAUGAAGCCCACAAGCUGAAACUAAAACCUAAGUGACGACGUGGGAUCAAAUGCUUCGUUGAAGCAGCUCACCUAGCCGCCCAUCCUACGGUAAAGUUUCACAAAAGACAUGGCGAAAUAGAAGGAUGAAGGAAAAACAAGGAAAGUUGUUUAUUAAAUUUCUAGCAAAUUGAUAAACCACCUCGAAGGCCAACACAGCUCAAGCAAAGCAGAACAAAAAGGAAAAUAAGAAAAACUCCUAAGUCUAAGCAAAAGACUACUCCUUAGCAGCUUGCGCAACCACUGGUUCAUCGACUGUCGUGCCAUUCCCAGCAACUAAAGCUUCUAUCAGCUCAUCUUCAACCGCCCCUGCUUAGACUGCCUGACCUUCAGUUGCUCCACCAAAGGUAGCCUCAAAUGAGAAAUCAGGCAAAUAAACUGGAAAAAUGGAAAAAGUCUUGAAGUCAUUCUUGGAAAAUUCAUAAUCCAAUGGCCUGCCCUGAAGAUGGUCUACAUAGCUAAUAUUGUAUAAAUCGGUCUGACAAGAAGCAAGCGCCACUUCGUGACCAGCUUUCUCAUUCUUCAACUAGAUAUUCUCCUCAAUAAGCCCAGUGUGAACACCCUGCAGCUCAUCCAGUUCAUUUUUAAAGUUCUCGCUAGCAAACAGCACGCCUUGCAGAUCCAUUUCCUUGGACUCAAGCUUACUGGCAAUCUCCUUGAGACGAGACACUUUAGCAUGCAUGAAGAUAAACUCCUCGUCCUUGGAAAAACAAGCAGAUCGUAACUCCAAAUUGACACGCUCAAGGUCAUUGACAACCGGAGAAACACGAUUGAUUUCCUUCUCUGCAACUUCCAACAUCGCUUGAGUCGCACUAAGCCUAGCAUUCAAAUGAGUAGCCUCUUCAUGAGCGAUCUCCAACUGCAAAGAAAUAGGGGCAAAGACAUCAGAUCCCUUCAAAACAGCAAGUUCAGAUUCGAGCUUCUCGAUCUUUUUAACAACCGAGUGAAGUUGAGCCAUCAAUGUCACUUCGACCUCCUUAGCACACUUGACAGCAUUUUGAUCAACAUGCAUAGACUCAGCUGCCAGGAUCAAAGUCUUAUGCAGUGUAGCAAUCAGGGAAGAACUCAUCGAGUAAGCAGGACGCUUCGCAAAUGAGUCUGAGCAGAUGACAACUUUCCCAACAUUGUCAAUGAACUUGGCCCAUGCAUUGGCAUCCUCAAGCAGGUUAGCCUUCAGCAGUGCACAAACCUUAGGAAAUUUUCUAGCUUCAGACUCGGUGGAUCUCUCACAACUACCCGUGCGAGCAGAUUUCCCCUUCUCAACAGACGAGUCAGUCACAACAGAAGGAGAAGUGGGCCUAAGCACCACAAUGGCAGCAGAAUCACCUUCCCACUCUUCAUAGCGGCGAGCCUUUUAAAAGUCUAUUCAGACUUAGCUCCCGAUAGAUGCUUUGAUACAAACCUGGACAUCAGAGACACCACCGAACCCUUCCGCUUAGCAAGUCUCUCAGUAAUGGAUGUAGUCACCUUCGGAGCAGCAGGUUUCAUAGGCUCAGGCUCAACAGUCUUCCUCACCACCUUGGGAGAAAUUAGAUCAAUGACGAGCUUCUCGGCAGCAGAUGAGCUCCCACGAGCAACAAAAGAAGUCAUUGGCUUCUUCUCGGCCGAAGGCUCACGAGCAAGUGAGGAAGAUCUUUUCUUUCCACCCUUGUUGGCUGCAGGCUCUACAGCAGCGAUCUGGCGAGCCAACGCCUCAUCCUUUAUCUGUUUGAUCUCUUCCUUCAAAGGCAGACCACAUUUCUCCCAACGAAGAGAGCUGAGCAGCCAGCACCAUUCACUAUACUCAUUAGGAAUGCCCAAGGCAACGUGCAUUUUCUUCAUAUCUGCCGAAGUCUUUGAAGUUGAGCCAAACUCCGAAUCUACGCAAAGUAAAAGACGAUCAAUAAAUUGAAAUCAUGGAGUAGCUCAACAAAAAUUCAAGUAGGACAAGAAUGAAGUAGUUCACUUACCACUAAUAAAGGUAGUCGAGACACGCAGCUUAGGAGAAGAGUCAGACUCCCACUAUCUGCUCACCUCAAAUAUGUCUCUCUCCAAGUCAUGAUCACCUUUGCUAGAAGCAUCGAAUAGCCUAUGGUGAGACCUUAGCUACCUCACACCUUCAUUGUGGCCGAUCUCAAAGAAAUACCAGAACUCAUUUAUGGUUAAGCCAAGAUCAAACAACCUACUCAAGUUUGAAAAUCCCAUCAUCACACGAACUGCAUUUGGAGAGCAGUGAGCAAGUGGGCAUUUUAUGGAACAGAUCACCUCCUGGAAAAGACGCAACAUGGGAAAAGUGAAUCCCAACACAAAGUAAUACAGGUGGAAUUUGAUGGCUAUUUUCCUAGCAGAGGCAUUCUCUCCACAUAGUUUAUGGCCAUUAUCAUCUUUCACCUGCUUGAUGCCCCAGACGGAAUCACAUGCUUGUACGCCUCAAGAAAAUCCCGAAACAACUUGUCGGAAUUGAUCUUAACAUGCGCAGCCUUGAAGUAACCCACCUUACUAGAAGAACCACCUUGACGGUACAAAGGUGAAGGAUAUUCGUCAUUUUUACGAUCAAAAGAAGACAUCUUAAAGUCUCUGCAAAAAAAAAAGGACGAAGGAAAAAUAUUUAGAAGGUAGUGCGAAAAAAAAAAAAAAAAAAGAUGUGUGCAUAUACAUAUAUAUAUAUAUAUAUGGCCCAACAGAAGCCGCGCGGACGCAGCCCAGCAGGAAGGGAGGCCCGCGCCCCUUUCCUUUCUCCUCCUCCACGUGCUAAGCGUCUCAAAAGGCAAGCCUAGGCCUUACGGCCCAAGCCACAUGCAUCAGCAAGAGGACCAGCCCGAGCAGGCCUCUCCUCAUCUCCAACCUUCAACGGGCCCGAGCCCAAUGCGUCAGCCAGAGAGAUCCGGCAAAUGCCGAUCUCUUUCUCCCUCUUGCUGACCACCUGGCCCGCGCCAGCUUACCCCAUGCCGCAUCACUAAGCUACCUUUUCAUGCAUAGCAGCCCACGACAUCCAUGUCGUGUGUCACCAACAACUAGGACACCCAUCCAGCCAAUUUUUCAAGCCCCAAAGCUCCCAAAAAUUCAAGAAUAAAAAAUUCAAAUUUUUCUUACCUUGGCGCGGCACAUAGAAAAAGAAGGACAACGAGAAACAACUAUUCGCAAGGGCAAGAAAAGAAGAAUGCUAGGGGAGGGGGUAGAAAAAUAUCCUCCGGUUUCUCUUUCUUGUUGGAAUAAUGAUUGUUCUCCAAAUUUAUUUAAUCCCCUGCUUAAGGCAGAAUUAAAUAGGUAUUUGGGGGCAAUUAUUUUCCUUUUCCUAGAAGAAGUCUAUCUCCCAAUCAAGGAAAAAGAUCAAGUUCAAAUUGGGAAACAACUCUACAAGCCCAAGCAGCUUGGGAUUUCUACACCUACUGCCCUUUCCAUGCGAGCAACACAGUAGGUGUGGGGUAUUUGUGGAGCCAAAAAUAAUCCCAAAAAUUCUAGUGGCGACAUGUGGACUUUUAUUCAAGAAGGACAAGAUUGCCCUUAAUAAAUGGGCAGACUUCUCAGAUUCUCCCACGCGCAGCUCAUAUCCCUGAAGGACUCAGCAGUUGAACACCACUACCCACAACUCACCUGCCCAUGGCAAGGAAUUAAAGAUAAGGAUUAAUUACCCAAAUCCUAUCUUUAAUACAUUCCUAAUUAAAGAUUGACUCCAAUCAAGUAAGUAAUCCUAAUUUAAACCAAUUAAGGAUUAUUACCCUAUUAUCUCAAGAUUUUAUCUCCUAUUAAAUAUCUUAGGAAUAUUUAGAGAAUAUUUUCUCCAUUUAACCCUAUAUGGCCAGCCCUAACCCUAUAAAUACUCCAUAUUCUACCAAUUUCUUAGAGCUUUGGACGACCCUAAAAAGCCUCAAAACACUUUACUCUCUUAGAGAAACGAACUUAGGCAUCGUUGAUCCGUUGACCUAACCCCCCCCCCCACCUCGUGGGCGCGUGAGGCUUAGGUCUCUGAUAAAAGGUGUUAAUUGUUUUGCAGGUGCAUUUUCGUCAAGACUGAAUACGGCAGAAAUUUGCAUCCACAAUAAGUGUAGCACUACCCUACUUAAAAUGAAACUAUGAAGAUUAGGUUGGUAGUAGACCAUGAGUUUAUGUGCUUGUUAGUAGACCUUGCAAAAUCAUAUCCGAUACGUUAAUAAUUUAAUAUGAUGCCAAUAUACUUGGAAAAUGGUAUUGGGUUAUACCUUAGGAGGAGGAUUCUCUACCCUCUUAUUCUCAUCCCCUUCCAUCCCCUCCUCUCACACAUUACUUUUUGUCUUAUUAUCUCUAUAAAAAAUCAAUAUAAAAUGUUGACGUGGCUUAACCGUAAUCGUUCAAAUAGGAGGGGUUGGAAGGGUAGAGAGAUUAGGAGGGUGAGAAUUUUGUUGAUUAGUUGACACUUGACGAGAGAGAGAGGGGGAGAGAAAGAGAGAUGGGUAAAGCAUGACAUGAUACUUAAACUUGCAAAUGAGUUUGGCUUCAUCUAUUUUGACACGAUAAGUUAGUGAGUCGGGUUUGAGUUUAGAAUAAUUUCUCAUAACACAAAUACAAAUUGCAAUGGAUUUCUUAUAUCAAGCUUAUGUGUAUAAUAUUAUCUGAUCUGUUAUGUAAAACUACAACAUACAUUCAAAUUUAGGAAAACUAAUGAAAAUGACUUGAAAACUUUGAGUUUUAAUGAUAAGGACAAAAUAAAGGGCAAAAUGAAUAGUACCAGGAUUGACUUUUUAGUGUAAAAAUGUGAUUUUUCAUUAAAGUAAACUGUAACGGGAGCUUUUCGUUAAAGUUCCCUUCACAUUUCUUCUCAUAUUUAACAAAAAUUGAGGUAACUAUUCAAAGUCAAUCUACAUAUCACAAUGCAACAUGCUUAAAUACUUUGUUAGCAUUUCUCUGGUUCACCUUGGAGGUGAGCUUCCAGUUUGUAGCUUUAUCAUAUUGUAGUACGCUCCAUUGCACCCCUAACAAAAUCAAUUCGUUAUGUGAACCCUGUUCCGCUACCUUCCCGUUCUGGAUCACGACAAUGGGGUUGGCCUUCUGUAUUGUAGAGAGAUAAGCUUCAGGUCGACGCGGUCCAUGACCCAGUCUUCUGGGCAUUUUUUCGACCAAUUUUUCGGCUGAUUCCGGCGAUUUAAGGCGAUGCCACCACUUAGGUUCAACUCCUCUCUUCACGCCGAGCAUAACCCACCCAAGUUUCGCCACGAUCGACCACUAUAGAAGGCGGUACUAAGCCAUGAAUCGGUGAUCUCAUCAUUUGUCCACAUGGAAAAUUUUGACAAGCCAUUAGCAAAAAUAUGGGAUCCGCAAUUGGCACAUCAUCAGUUAACAAACAAAUUGAUGGUUUAACUAACAAAUGCAUGAGAUUACAACUACAAUAAAAGUUUGUGUCGUACGUUGAGGUUGCGAUUGCACAAGAACUUGGAGGGUGCAAAAUGUAAGGGCCUAUUUGGCAUCCUAUUAAAAAAAAUGAUCAUUUCUCAAAACAUUUCUCAGAAACAUCACUUGAAUUUUUGUUAGGACUCAAAAACUGUUUGGUAUGAGAUUUAAAAAUUUAAUUUUUAAAACAUAAAAUGGACAAAUAAAUCAAAAAGAGAGAAAGAAGAAAGAGGAUUAGGGGAGAUUGAGAGGAGGAGAGAGAAAGAAGGAAUGAGAGAUAGAAUAAAGAGAACAUAUUAGAAGAGAGAGAAGGAGAGAGAAAGAAGAAAAGAGAGAUAGAUUCGAAGUGAAACUGGAGGAGAGAAAAUAAAUGAAUAAGUUUUAAGUUUAAAAAUCCUAAAAACUCUUUUUUUUUUUUUUUUUUAGAAAAUAUGCUAUUUUUUUAAGUUAAUCUGAAGUUCAUUUUUUUUUAAAUAGCCUAUGAUAUGCAAUAGAAUUUGUGAUAUUCUAAUGUAUACGUUUUUGUAUCAGUCUAUAGACGACUGAGAUGGAGAGAAACAAAUGUGUAUCACACGGUUUCAAGAGGCACAUUAUGCCCUACUUUCUUAGCAAUCAAGUUGCACAUCGACUUGAAUUCUUGAGUCGUUGAAGGUAAAGACUUGGCAAUUUCCUUGGAGUUGUAUGUAAGGGCAUUUUACUUAAUUAUUAAAAGGGAGUAGUCUUAUUCUACCAAACUUCUUGGAACCUUCCUUCAAUCCUAUUUUUAAAUCACUCAAAAUACCCAACAACUUUUUUGAUAUUUUAUAUGAAUUUUAUUGAGUGAUAAAAUUUUUAACAAAAUAUAUUAUCUACAUUAAGGGAGAGAAGAUCGGUUUGGCCUCAUAAUAGGUUAGCAAUAAUGUGAUUCAAAUUCGUCUUUGACAAGAAUCGGACCUAAAACCUCUCACUUACAAAUGAAAAGGAAUAUCACUAGAUCGUAGUAUUAAGUGACUUAUUGAGUGAUAAUUAAAUUUUGGAUAACUUAGAGUAAAUGUUUGAUACUAUACUUGAAUUUAACUUUUUUUAACUCAAAACACUUUAUAAGUUUUAAGUCUUAAAAACAUAUAUGAUAUGAUUCGCAUUAGUCUCGUGAGGUUUGCACAAAAGCACAUACACUCGAGGAAGCAACAUACAACGUAUUGCCGGGUAUAUACCCCGUUACAAGAAUAUAAAUAUGGACCAAGUGACUUUAAUAAAGAUUAAAUAGUACCAAAGACUUUAAUAAAGAUUAAAUAAAGAAGUACAUAUCUUUUUCGGAUCUAAAAAAAUGGAGCUUAAGGAUCAAAUGAUCCGAACUGUUGAAAUUUGAUCUAACAGCUGUAAUUAUUAUAAUAUUAGAUAAACUCCUUGCUUGUAACCGUUUGAUCUAAUUUUAACGACCCGGAUCAUUUAAUCCUUAAACUCUGUUUUUUUAAGAUCAGAACAGGAUCUGUACUAUAAAUAAAGACCAAAGACUUAAUAAAGAUUAAACAAACACCAAGUAAAGUGACCAAGACCAAGAGUAUCAAUAAUAUUUUUUCCAAUCGUUUCUCUCUGUAACCCCUCUUCACAUUUCUCUCUCUAACCACAAACAUGGCGGGUCAAUCAGAAGGGUGCUGCAGGUGCUGCUUCAGCUUCAUAUUCUCCCUCGGCCUCACAGCCCUCUUCCUGUGGCUGAGCCUCCGCACCUCCAACCCCAAGUGCACCAUCCGCUCAUUUUACCUUCCUGCCCUCAACGGGACCCUAAACGACACCAAAAACACCACCCUCUUCGUCACCCUCCGGCUCAAAAACACCAACAAUGACAAGGGAAUUUUCUACGACACCGUCAACCUCACCUUCCGGCUUCAGCCCAACGCCACCGCCAAGCCCGUAUCAACUUCUGCUGUGCCCCGGUUCUACCAAGGCCACCAGAAAACGGCCACCAAGAACGUGGUCGUGGGCCCCCAGCAAUGGCUUAACUGGACGGCGGUGUCCAGUGGGGUCCACCCCAAUGGGAGUGUGAGUUUCAGGGUGGAUUUGGCCACUGCUGUGAGGUUCAAGAUCAUGUUUUGGAAGACCAAGAGGCACAGGCUGAAUGUUGGUGCUGACGUGCUGGUCAAUGACUCCGGUGGGAAAGUCAACAAGAAGGAUAUCAAGCUCUCUGCCGCACCAGAUCAUCACCUGAUUGGUUUCUUUUCUGGGCAGGUGGGGGUUUUGUCCAAUUUCUGGGUUUUGAUUUUGCUCAAUUUUUUGUGAUUUAUUUAUUUAUUAUUUUGUUGAUUUGCAUUGAGUGCUAUUUUUUCACCUAGGAAGGAAGAAAUUAGUCCCAACUUUUUGUACCAAAAAUAUUUUCUAUUCAAUUUUUUGUAAUAGACUGUAGACAAUGCAAUAUUAGUCAAAUCACAAUUUUUUGUGAUCGAGAUUUAUAACAUUUUUUUUGUGAUAGACUGUAGACAAUGCAAUAUUAGUCAAAUCACAAUUUUUUGUGAUCGAGAUUUAUAACAUUUUUUUUUGUGAUAGACUGUACACAAUGCAAUAUUAGUCAAAUCACAAUUUUUUGUGAUCAAGAUUUAUAACACCGUAAUGUUGUUUAUUUUUCCAAAUGCACUGAUCUGGUCAAUUGGUCUAUCCCAAAUCUACCACUGCACUAUUGAGUUUGUUUUUCUUUCUAUACCAUUUAUUAUAAAUCCUGGAGUUAAUGAGUGGUGCAUGGGUGGAGUAUUUAUCAAAUAUAGUAAAAAAUUAACUCUUAAUUUUAAAAAUGUCACUUUUUAUAAAAACUUUCAAAUAUAUCUAAAAUUUCAUUUAAAUUGACACAAAUACCCUCAAAUUUAACAAUUAAAUAAAUUAAAGUCUUUUUAACUACUGUCGCCUCAAGUUUCGGUUCAAUUUCACCUUCGCUUCUAAACUCCACCACAACAACCCUAUCCCCUUCGACCCUCUCAUCACCAACAUUGAGCGCCGCUGCGUUUACUGCAAGUGGGAGUAGCAGAAUUUCAAUCAUGCCUUCAACGCCUUUUUUCUUACUAAUAUCUUUUUGUUGUAAACAUUCCUAGUUUAAGUAUGAUUGUGUAAAUCCUAGAUAAGAUUUGAUUCUAGUUAUCCUUUCCUAUUACAACUUGUAUUACUUGGAGAAGAAGGAAUAUCUUCUCUCCCUUUACUACUAUAAAUAAAGGCACAAUGUAGGAGGGAUAACAACACACACAUUCCCCUACAAUUCUACAAACACACAUCUCUCUCCUCUCUCUCUCUGCCGCCGGCCCUAGUCCCUCUGUCAGAUAAAAUAGACCACAACACUUUUUUAGUUUUAAAUAUAAAAAAAUAGUUUUUAAAGUUAAUCCACAUGUCGUUAUAUGAUUGUAUUUGUGAAACCCACGUGGUUGCACAUCAUCACACUAACAGAGCAAUUGAUAGAUUUUUCACGAAAAAACUAAAAUGAUCACGAUGGACAUAUUCAAAGAAAGACAAAUGGUUCAUGAUAACAAAUUCAAAAACACUACUAUUGAUUAUCAUUAAUUGUUAAGGACCAGAUUAAUGAGUUAUGUCAAUGUCACGAAUCAUUUUGGCUAAAAAGCCUUUAAUUUAUUGGAUUGUUAAAUUUGAGGGUAUUUGUGUUUAUUUAAGUGAAAUUUUGGAUACAUUUGAAAGAUUUUAUAAAAAGUGACAUUUUUUAAAUUAAAAAUUAAUUUUUUGCUAUAUUUGAUAAAUACUCGCAUGGGUGGGUGGGAAAAUAAAUGGGUUGGAAAAAAAUAAUAAUGAUGCCAAGGAAGAAAAGUCAAGCCUUGAAAGAUUCUCGGUGUUUUCUUUGAUAAGUUUGCAAAAAUGGGUAAAACAUGAUAAGUCACAUGAUAUGUUUGGAGAUUUGGUCAUGCUUGAAGUUGUUGUAGUUUUAGAAGAUUUUUACUUUAUUUAUACAAAACUUGAUAUUAUUUUGUUAUUUUUCAUCUAUAUAUAUAAAGUGAGCAUCCUAAAAUGGUGAAACAUUCAAAAUACCAUAAAUUGUCCUUUAAGAAUUUCAUAAAUUACAAUUGAACCAAAAGAAGCUAAAGUAUUUAACCAUAUUUUUAUUUUGAAUGAAUUUAAUAUUUAAAAUUAUAGAAAAACAAAAAAAAAACAAAACAAAACAAAACCUCCCACAUUAGUCGGUGGUUUCACGUUUUUAAUUCAUUUCUUUUCUUUUUUUUUUAAUAUUUUUUUUUAAAAUAUGUAAAUUAAUUAUUUAAAUAAAAGAUAUAUAAAAAUGUCAAUUGCCACAUGCGUAUGCGUGUGGCAAGAGGCUAGUAUUUUGUUAAGGGAGCAUUUUUGCUCACCACCAUAAACUAUGGUGUAUGCUCACCAUACACCUAAUUAAUUGACACGUGUCAUUUCACUCAAUCUUGGUUAAUUUUUUUCAAAAUUGAAAAACUAACAUUUAAUGUGAAAGUUAACUAGAGUUAAGUGAAAUGACAUGUGUCAAUUGAUUAGGUGUAUGAUGAGUAUACACCAUAGUUUAUGAUGGUAAGCAAAAAUGCUCUCUUUUGUUAAUUAGUUGAUAGUUGAAGAGAGAGAAAGGCACAGAGGCUUUAAAUUUGCAAAUGCGUUUGAGUUCACGUAUUUGGACACGAUAAAUUCAUGGGUCAUGUUUGAAUUAGAAUAACUUCUCAUGCUACAGAUACAAAUGGUAAUGGGGUUUCUCAUAUCAAGCCUAUGUAUAAUAUAACAAAAAUUGAGGUAACUAUUCAAAGCCAAUCUACAUAUUACAAUGCAACAUCCUUAAAUACUUUGUCACUAUUUAUCUGGUUCACCUAGGAGCUGAGCUACCAGUUUGUAGUUUUAUAAGAUUGUAGUACGCUCCGUUGCGCCCCAACGAAAGCAAUUCGUUAUGUGAGCCUUGUUCCGCUACCUUCCCGUUCUGGAUCACGGCAAUGGAGUUGGCCUUCUGUAUCGUAGAUAGCCGGUGAGCAAUGACGAUGCAUGUUCUACUAGCCAUCAUCUUUUCAAGCGCUUCUUGAACUGCCUUUUCCGACACGCUGUCAAGCGCGCUGGUAGCUUCAUCUAGUAGGAGGAUUGACGGGUUCUUCAGUAUCGCCCGAGCUAUUGCAAUCCUUUGUUUCUGACCACCUGAUAACUGAACUCCUCUUUCUCCACAAUAUGUAUCAUAACCAUUAUCCAUUCCACUACAAAAUAUAUGAAAAGUGAGAAAUCUUAACAUAUUAUGAAACUGCAAAUCGACAUAAUCUUUUCCGUGUAUUAUUGUCAAAUGUAAUCUCUUACCUGAUGAAUUCAUGAGCGUUGGCAAGACUUGCAGCCCUCUUUAUCUCAGAUUCUUUCGCUUUCUGUUUUCCAUAGGCUAUAUUUUCGCGGACUGUUCCAGCAAAUAGAGUAGGCUCCUGACUGACUAAUGCAAUGUGUGACCUCAACAGUCUCAAGUUAUAGUUCUUGACAUCCUGCUCAUCUAUGCAUAUUGUUCCGUUCAUUGGGUCGUAAAACCUCUCAAUGAGUCCGAUAAUGGUGGAUUUUCCAGAACCACUUCCCCCAACCAGCGCCACUGUCUUGCCUGCAUCGAUUCUGAGGCUCAAUCCCUUAAGGAUCAUCUGCUCAGGUCUUGUUGGAUAUGAAAAGAAAACAUUUCUGAACUCGACGCGACCCUUGAUCCUUCUCUUGAUUUCAAGUCCCCAUUGGUUAUCCGGAUCAAUCUCACUUUUCCUGUCCAACAUUGCGAAAACUGAUUGAAUGGCACUGUUUCCUUUAGAUAUAUCAGAAGUCAUGCUUCCGGCAUCUGCAAUGAUAUAAGCAGUGAAUAGCAGUAUCAAAAAUGCCUGGAAGAGUUCCUUUGGAGUUAUCUGCCCGUCCACCAGUAGCCUCCCACCGUACCAGUAUGCUAAAGCUGUAGCGGCAGUGUUGAAGAAUUGGGAGCUAAACAAACCAGCACCUGAAACAUAAGACUGUUUAAUACUAUCCUUCUUUGGACCUUUCAAGGUAGCACCAAACAGCCCCAAAAUCUUUUUUUGAGAAGAAAAAGCGGUUAUAGUUCUGUGGUUGAUGACAGCUUCGCUCGCCAAUUGGCUUCCUUGCUUUUGAGCUUUUCGUGCUUUCUCACCACUGCUCUUCAUUAGGAUGCUUCUAGCGUAAAAACUCCCGAUGACUAGUGGCUGCACUGCUAUCAUCACAAGGGCUAGCCUCCAUGUCAACACAAGUCCUACUGUGUAAGCAAAGCAAGCCCCGAAAACUGCUUGGACCAGCAAUGACAUCCGGUCCCCAACAAGAGAUUUAACCAUGUUUGCUUCGGUGGCUAACCUUGCACAAAUAGCUGCACUUGUGUUCUCAUCUUGAUCAAACCACCCGAUCUCAAAAGUUAGCAGCUUUUCAAGCACUUUCUCUCUUACCCUUGUCGUCAACUUUUCUCCCAUGACUGCAAAAUUGUAGUGUUGGAGGAGAUUGGUGAAGAAGUUGAAAAAGCCAAUGCCUAAGAAAACGAGGGACAAGACUCUGGAUUGUCUCUUAAUUUCAGAUUUGUCCUGAAGGAAGUAGACUGAUAUAAGCGAUCCUACACAAUAGGCGUUUAUAGGUUGUACUGCCCCGGAGCCUAUUGCACCCAAGCAUCCAAGUAAGGCUUGUCCAGAUUCUGGUGCAUUCAUUUUUAGCAGACGCCAUUGGGAAGGAGGAUGAUUCGGGCGCUUGAAGCCUUCAUCGUCACUUUCAUCUUCUGGAUCAUAUUGGAGAGAGAAAGAGUAGGGUGUUCCCAUGGACAUAGACAUCGGUGUGGGGUUGAAGGCUGGAGAAGGAGUAACUGAUCUGAAACUAAUGGGGCUUGGCGUAACACUCCUACGGCGAGGCUUUUCAUAUAUUGGAGAACUGAAAUCCUCAUAAUCCUCAUUUUUGCCUGCCAUCUGCUGCAUUUGUACCAUCUUGAAGUAUUCGCCUCCUUGUUCCCCUUUCUUUUGCAUUAGUUGAUUGUGUGAGCCUGAUUCUACUACUUUCCCGGCUUGAAGAACAAAAAUCAAGUCUGCUGUUCGGAUUGUAGACAGGCGAUGGGCAAUGAUGAUUGUUGUCCUCCCUUUUGAUGCCUGAUCAAUUGCCUCCUGCACUACUCUUUCUGAUUGCGCAUCCAGUGCGCUAGUUGCCUCAUCAAGAAGCAGAAUUUUCGGAUCCCUCAGCAGAGCUCUCGCUAUGGCAAUCCGCUGCUUUUGCCCACCAGACAGUUGGAAUCCGAAUUGACCAGCCUGGAAAAAUACAAAUGAUGUUAUAAGCAGUAAUCAUGUGACGUGAUCAGUUUCUGAGAAGUUCAUUUCAGAUCAAUUACAUGCUUAUUUUUUUUAUUUUUUUUAUCACCAUAACAUUAUAGAAAUCUAGUUCAAGCGUUGAGUAUAAGAAGAAAACUAGGCAUGGAAAUCAAAAGCAGAUUUCCGUGUGGAAGAUGUUAUACUUGAGUUUCAUAUCCGUCUGGUAACUUGACGAUGAAGUCAUGUGCGUUUGCAGCUUUGGCCGCAGUUAUUACUUCAUCCAUUGAGGCCCCUUCCUUUCCGAAAAGUAUGUUCUCUUUUAAGGAAGUUGCGAACAGAACUGGUUCCUGAUUAACUAGACCGAUCUGGGAUCUCAGCCAUUUCGCCUGAAGUCUACGAGUUUUGUGUCCAUCCAACAGAAUUUCUCCUUCAAUGGGGUCAUAAAAUCUUUCGAGCAAUGCAAUGGUGGUUGACUUGCCCGAACCACUGCCCCCAACUAGACCUACACUCUUACCAGCCGGAAUCUUAAGACUCAAGCCUUGUAAGACUGGGGUAUCAGGUCUCGAUGGGUAACUGAAGUAAAUGUCUUGGAAUUCUAUUUCUCCUUUGACAUGUGACAAAGCCUUCCCUUUUCUGUCUUCAGUGUCGAUACUAGGAACUCGAUCAAUCAUUUCAAGGAUUCGAGUUGUAGCUGCUAAUGCCUCGGUGAUGCCAGUUAAGUUUGGGAGUGCACUUAAAAUACUCCUGCAAUAACAACCCUAGAUUAUAAGUUCAAGAUCGAAAGUGAACUAUUGAAAUGAAAUGCAGUGGCAAGUUAACUCACAAGCCUCCCAUGAGGACAUUGAAACCGGCUACAAAAACAUGACCGCCAUCUUCGCCUUUCUGAGUAACCAAAUAAGUCCCGACCCAAGCUUGGAAACCCCAACCAACAUAGAUCAUUCCCAUGCUUCCCAUCAGCACUCCCUUUACCAAACCUACCUUUAUUCCAAGUUCAGUAACUGUCUGAAGUGCAGUGCUGAACCUAUUCAGCGUUUGGUUCUCUCCAACGUAUGAGUACACGGUUCUUACUGAAGAAAUUGCUUGUUCAGCAAGUCCCCCAGCAACUCCAUAAGCUGCAAUUCCCUUCAUUACCAGCCCCAUCAGGAUCUUUCCGAAUACAAGUCCCGGAGCUAUGAACAAGAUUGAAAGCGGCAUAGCCGCCAACGUCAGCCUCCAUGACAGCAUAAAGGCGAAUAUAUGGCAGAAGAAGAAAGUUGACAUGUACGUCAGGCAGUCAGGUAUCUGCAUUAAAGAAAGCAGCAAACAUGUACUUGAUCGCCAAAUUCAUGCGCAUGUUCUUCAAUUCGGUGCAUAAACUCUCAAGAAUAUGUUGGAUUUAUGAUGAAAAUAACUCUUACCUUCUCACACAAGGCAACUUGGACCGCAGUGGCAUCGGAGGAGAUGAUCGUGAUAACUUGGAAUGUUGUUGAAGAACCAGCAGUCUGGGUGUCAAAGAAGGAAACUUCUUGUCUAAGAACAGAUUUCAUAUAUUCCAUUCUCAUUUUAGAAGUCUGCCUCUCCGCUGUUCGUGUCCAACAUAACCCUUCUGCAGAAGUAGUAAUUACCACGAAAGCGAUUAGGUUCAUGUUCUAAUGUUUAAUCUUUCAUUAUUUCCUUCUAGCAAGAAAACUCAGGACAAAUUGUUGGAAAAACUGCAGAUAACGCGGAAAACUAGUAAUUACUAAUUAACAUUCGAAUUUACGUACCAACAAAUGCUGCUAAUCCAACUCCAAUUGCAACAUAGAAUAACCUGAGUGCAAACUGGAAAAAGGAGAAUCAAAACUAGCAAGCGCUGCAAAUACUCAACGCAGUUAAAUGCCUUGUACUGCAAGAAAUGCUGAGAAAAUUUACCAUGCUUAAUUACCUUAUCUACAUCUGCAUUUGUGACCUGACCCUUCCCAUAAGAAUUAAUAACCUCACUAAGAACAUACAUCAUGAGAGGGUUCUGCAACCCGUCACCGAUGCUGCCUAACGUCCCGAAGAACAUCAACAACUUAUCGGUGCCAUCUGCGUAUCGAAACAUGCUGUUUUUGUGCCCCAUUUUUGCCGGAGGAUCUGAAAUGUUAGAACUUUCAAGGCUCUAGACUUUAUACAACUUCAUCACCUAUUUAACCACAAAUAUUAAGAACCAAGAUUUAUAAAUUAAAAUAAAAACAAGCCGGCAAUCUCAUCCUGUAUGAAUGUUUGCUGCCAUAAUUCCAAUUAGUUCACGAUCCAAGGCUUGCUGUUAUCUUGGCAACUGUUAACUUUGUCUUCAUGCUUUUAUUCUGCAUGAUAAGAAAUAUUCCAUUUGAGAGUUAGUGUACUUAAAAUUGGAAAUUUUCACUUUUGGUCCCUGUAGUUUUAAAUUUGACGAACUUUAGUGCGUACUUAACUUAUUUUUGCAACUUUGGCGCCUUAAUUUGCUUAUUUUUGCAAUUUUGGUCCCAAUCGGUAAAAGCUCUUUUUUAAAACGGGAGGAAACCUAUAAUGGUAGGAUGUGCAUGUAUCAUGGUUGAACAUUUUUGACAUUUGAAGUGCAUGACUUUGUGAGAACAUAGCCAAAACGACAUUCCAAAAUCCCCAAGAACCCUAAAGCUCCAAUUUACGGGCUCAAAAUUCAUCGUUUUCUUGGACUGGUGUUAUGAGAACUUGGGAAAACAACCCAAAAUGUCGAAAAUUCAUGAACAACACAUGCAUAUGGUGGAACAACAUUUUCCAUCUUCAAUUUUAAUGGGGUAAAGCCGUUACAGAUCAAAACAGUAAAAGUAAGCAAACUACAUGAUUAAAAUUGCUAAAGUCGAAACCACAGGAACGAAAGUAAAACAUUCUAAACUAAUGAGGAGCAAAAGUGUAAUUGGCCAAUUCAUAUAUCUCCAUCACAUCGCAUCUAAUAUAUUAACAAACUAAUUAACAAUAAAUGAGGACUGAGUUGGCGAUGUUGAGGGUUUGGUAACAUUUUUUGCCUUUUGCAUUGUCACAAAUUGGCAUAAAAGUCACGCAUUUCAAUUCGGUUAACAACAACAAUAUGGUUUGUUGUUUUGUUCAAUCAAUCGAUACCAAAGCCUGCAAUUUUCAACCAAAUUAAUUCCGUACAUUAAGCCGAGUCCAUUCGACUUUGGAUUCUUUUAAUAAUUGUGAGAUUACCAAUUAUUGCUAUUAUUUUUUGUUUUUCGGCAUAUACUCGAGUAUUGUCCAGUCCAAAAACAUAAAUAUAAAACAUGAUCUCAAUUUUUUUCAUUGUUUUCUCUGGUGUAGUUCUCAAGGGCGGGACCGCCGAAUGCUGCCUUCAAUAUCUGUUUUUGGGACACGUGCCCGGAAAUAGUAUCUGACCAUUCAUUUCCCGUUAUGCUACAUUUGUCGUUAUGAGAGUCCGGAGACAGAUUCUAGGGUUAAUUUGGAAUUGCUGUGUUUUUUUUUUUUUUUUGAAAGCUGUUUUUGGUGUGGCUUAAUUGACAUGGUAGUGAGGAUGGUGGCAAUGAGAAGCGGUGGUGAGGACAGUGAUGGUGAUGGUGGCGGCAGUGGUGAUGACAGCGGCAAAGGUAGUGGUAUGGUGUUGGGGCCAAUAGUCAAGUCUGGUGGUUGAGGUGUAGAGGUAAUAAUGGUGGUAGGGACUGCGGUAGGGACGAUUGUGGUUGUAGUGGCAAUGGAGGUGACUCUGCUUAUGGUGUUGAUGGUGGCAGUGAUAGCAAUAAUGUGGAGGCGAUGAAGGCAACAUUAGUGGUGGCAGUAUUGGUGAUAACAAUUUUGGUGGGGAUAAUUGCAAUUGUGGUGUUAAGUUAGUGUUUGUAUUGGUAGGUGGUAGCAGUGACUUUGUUCUCAAAAAGAAAAAAAUGAGUUUAGAAGCUUAAACAAUGUCAUUUUAAAAACUAAUGAGGGUAUUCCAGAAAUUGAAAAUAUUCAUUAAAGGCUCAACUCUUAUUUUUAUUAAAGCAGCUUUUAAAAGUAGCAUGAAUGUUGCUUUUAAAAGCUGAUGUCAGAAGGCUAUUGCUUUUAAAAUAAACAUACUAUUUUAUUUAUACCAAAUACUUUUUUAUUGCCUAACUUUAAAGUGAAAUUGGUUUUUUGUAUAAAAAAAAAAAAUAGUAACAGAUCCUUAGAUGGACUAAAUACACUGUAAUGUCUUGAUCUAAUAAUACGGUAUUAUGUGAAAUUAUAUUUAAAUAGUAAUGUGUUAUUCAACCGAUAUGUGCACUUAAAUUGCUCUCCUCUCAAUGUGGUCAGUCUUCCUUAAACCAACAUUGUAUUCUCCCCACCCCAACGGAUACAAUUCGCUAAAAUAAAAUACGUGUCUGUCGAUGUGUCCUGGAUGGAGGGCAAACCAACAAUGGAGAUGAUGAAGUCGGAUCACAGUUGUUUAAAUACUCCCAAACAUUAGCUCCAUAGAUAAAUUAAAAUAAAAAAGGUACAGAAUUAUUUGAAAAUUCGCGAAAUUCUGAUUAGCAAACGACGUUUAAAAUAUCAAUGCAAUGUCUUCUGUUCAACUCCUAUUCUCUUCGAAACAACCUAUCAUUGGCCUAAAUCGGAGCUAGGGAUGCCUCAUACCUACUCCCAAAAACUCAAAUUAAUUGGUCUUCUUGGACUUGUGCUUGUGGAGAUCUCAUUUUCUCUCUGUUUCUUCCAAUCGGAUUUGAGCUAGAAUGUUGUCGAUAUUCGCACUCCACCGUAGCAUUUAAUAAUGUCUCAUUAUCGCACUCCACCACCGUAGCAUUCAGUGUCAAUGUCAAUGAUACAGAGACGUGUAAGCUUUGCCCACAAAUCGUUUUAACGAAGUGCACAAUGGUAAAGACAAGCAGCGAACUACUUGAAAGAAUAUUACAAAGCAUCUUCUGCAUGUUGCAACCAGAAACCAAGCAUAUGCACAUGAAAGUACAUUUAUUCAUUAACUAAAUAGUUUUAGGGUGACUCAUCCAUUGGCCAACUUACGAAUACGAAAAUCCAAAACCGAAAAGGAAACUGUUCAAUGUUCAGUGCAGGAUGAGAUCACAAGCAUUAUUCAGAAUUCAGAAACCACCACGGAGGCGAAGGACAAGGUGAAGGGUAGACUCCUUUUGGAUGUUGUAAUCCGCAAGGGUCCUCCCGUCCUCCAGCUGCUUACCGGCAAAGAUAAGCCUCUGCUGGUCCGGAGGAAUGCCCUCCUUGUCCUGGAUCUUUGCUUUCACAUUAUCGAUGGUAUCAGAACUCUCUACUUCCAAUGUUAUUGUCUUCCCAGUCAAUGUCUUCACAAAGAUCUGCAUCCCACCACGCAGACGAAGCACCAAGUGCAGAGUGGACUCCUUUUGAAUGUUGUAGUCAGCAAGUGUCCUUCCGUCCUCAAGCUGCUUGCCUGCAAAGAUCAACCUUUGUUGGUCUGGGGGAAUGCCCUCCUUGUCCUGGAUUUUGGCCUUCACAUUAUCAAUUGUAUCAGAACUUUCAACUUCUAGGGUAAUGGUUUUUCCAGUCAAGGUCUUCACAAAGAUUUGCAUACCACCACGCAAUCGGAGCACCAAGUGGAGAGUCGAUUCCUUUUGAAUGUUAUAAUCAGCAAGUGUGCGACCAUCUUCAAGCUGCUUACCAGCGAAGAUGAGCCUCUGCUGGUCUGGGGGAAUGCCCUCCUUAUCCUGGAUCUUUGCCUUGACAUUAUCAAUGGUAUCCGAGCUUUCAACUUCCAAGGUGAUUGUCUUACCGGUAAGGGUCUUGACAAAGAUUUGCAUACCACCACGAAGACGGAGAACCAAGUGAAGGGUAGACUCCUUCUGGAUGUUGUAGUCAGCGAGGGUGCGGCCGUCCUCAAGCUGCUUGCCAGCAAAGAUCAGCCUCUGCUGGUCUGGUGGGAUACCCUCUUUGUCUUGGAUCUUGGCCUUGACAUUAUCAAUCGUGUCAGAGCUCUCAACCUCCAAAGUGAUGGUCUUUCCGGUGAGGGUCUUGACAAAUAUUUGCAUGCCACCACGGAGACGAAGCACCAGGUGGAGGGUGGACUCCUUCUGUAUGUUGUAGUCGGCGAGGGUGCGGCCAUCCUCAAGCUGCUUGCCAGCAAAGAUCAGCCUUUGCUGGUCUGGGGGAAUGCCCUCCUUGUCUUGGAUCUUGGCUUUGACAUUAUCAAUAGUGUCAGAGCUUUCAACCUCGAGGGUGAUGGUCUUGCCUGUGAGGGUUUUCACAAAGAUCUGCAUCUGUUCACACAAAACAUCCCUAUCAAUCAGUUUUCAUUCUUGAAGCAAAACUGGAUAUCCAAAUAUAAUUGAUGUAAUCACACAAAUAUUUAUCAACAAAAAUUAUUUCAUACAGAUGUUGAAGAUUCUAGAUAGUUCCUUUCAAAUUUGAUUAAUACCCAAUACGCAAGCAUAAAAACUAGAAUCGCUAAAACAACAGUAAAUUGUAGAAGCAAACCAAAAAUUCCAUAUGAUAAUUUUAAGAUCCAAAUCAACACAAUCCCCAUGCUAACAGAUCAGAACAAAGUAGCCUUAAAUUUAAACAAAUCUCAAACAUCCGAGGAAGAAUAAAGCUGCAUUAGGCUCUUAAGCCUGGGUAAAGGCGAAAGUUCUUAGGCGGCCACUGCAAAUGUUCUAGAGAAACAAGCCCUAGAUGUUGUCACCAUAGAUAUAACAUAUGAAUCUAUGAUUAACACAAUUCGAUUAAUAAAAAUUCAUAGUAUUAGUACCUCAAAUCAAAUCAGCAGAAUCAAUACCCAGAAAAUACUAGGAAAUGCUUUAGGAGUAUGAUUCUCGAAUCACAUCAGCAUUAUCUUCUCAACAAAAAUUGUUUCAUAAACGUUGAAUAUUCUGAAGAGUUUUAUUUCAAAUUUGAUUAUUAGCAACAUACUAACAAUUUCAUCCAGCACUAAACAACUGAGCAAAAACAAAUAGGCACAAAAGCAAUUAAAAAACACAAACAAAAACCAAAAAUUCCAUCUGAUAUAUUUCUAUAUCUAAAUCAACACAAAACCCCGGUAGUGAUAGACCCGCAACGGAUUCACUUUAAACUUUUACAUAAUCUCAGACAUCCAAGGAAGGAUAAAAGCAGCACUAGCUCUCAAGCCCGGCGAAAGGCGAAAGCUCUUAGGCGGCCACUGCGAAUGUUCUUGAGAAACAAGCCUUAGAUUUCGUCAUCAUCGAUAAUAUAUAUGCCAAACACAAUUUAAUUAAAAAAAAUCACAAAUUCACAACAGCAUGAUCAAAAUCAACAAAACCCGAACGAAUGUUUGACAAAAUUAACCUAAUUCCAUCCAACAACGAUCAGUAAUCUGAAUCGGCCGCAUUAGUCAAUAAAAAACAUACAAAAUCAAAUAGAAAAAAAUUCUUCAGAUAUACGGAGUCUUAAGCAAUUUCAAUCAGAUCUCGAUUAAUACCAACAAUAAAUUAAAUUUUUCAUCCGCGAAUAAAAAAUCACAGGAAAAAAAAAAAGAAUCGCAAGAAUACGAACCUUGGAGGCAAAGCGAGAGAGAAGUUUGAAGAGGUUGAAGGAAUUGGCGUGUCUCUGACUGUUCCACGAAUUCUGAACAAUGGAGGAUUUGCGAGGCAGGCAGCCGUGUUUUUAUAGGAGCGAUUACCGACUUUAUCAGGGAAUCCUUUGAGGACCCAUCCAAUGAAUUUCCGCCACGUGUUGGGAAAAAAAAUCUUGGACGCCAGGUUUAAUGAAUUAACCAAAAAUAAUAUACUUUUUUCUGAAUUUUUUUUUAUACAUGGAUUUUGCAUUUGAGAAUUUAAUUUCUUUUCUUUAAUUUAGCCAAAUAGUUGCCGCUUAGUAUUACGAUCUAAUGGUAUUCCUCAUCAUUUAUAAAUAAGAGGUCUUAGCUUCGAUUCUUCUCAAAUUUGAACCACAUUAUUAUUAGCCCAUUAUUAUGAGGCUAAGUCCACCACCUCCUCUCUAGUGUAAAUAAUAUCGUUUGUUAAAAAAAAAAAUGAGAAAUUCAAACUUAGGUACCGAAACAUGGCGCUUUAACCAAGUUGGCUAACCUCAUAUGUGCUUCUUAUCCUUGAAUUGAAAUGAUACAAAGAAAGAACGAGAGAUGUACAAAAGGAGAAAGAUGUGAAGAUCUCAAAUUUCAUUUUCAAAAAUUACCAGAGAAAUUAAACAAACAAACAAAAAAAAUAUAUAUAUAUAUAUAAUUGUUAUUAGCACUCAAAAAAUUUUAUUCUACGUUAUUCGCCAAUGUAUUUUUCUUUUUAGUUAAAGAAAGUUUGAAGUACAAAAUGAAAUUUUUGGAGUGCCAAUAUAUAAUGAAGUGGCACGUGAUUGAUUGCCUUACCAGUGACAAACGGCCUUAUCCCCUUCCAAGCUCUUAGUUUGGUUUCCUUCCACUUGCCAACUGAAAGCAUAAGCAUUAGGCAUGGCUUCCAUCUUCCCACAAUUCCUCUCAACUCAUAAUCCUCCUCACCCACCACCAAACCACCUCCCAACCCAAACCACCGCAGCUCCCUCCCACCUUUCCCUCCAUAGACCACCCAGGAAACACUUGUCCACCACCACAUGCGCCACUCCAAACCCUACUCAACCUGACUUCCCAAGUCCAGACUCCGAAACCACCACCAGCGCCGAGACAUUCCCCAUCGAAAAGCGAAGAAAAUCCGACAUCACCCGAGACAGGAGCAGGUCAGAAACCGGCCUCGCAAAGCCGGAACCCCCCAACUUUGAGAUUGGUUGGAAGAGAACCAAAGAGAUAAAGCUAGAGAAGCCGAUAGGGUACGUAAUAGCUGACUUCUUGGAGAAGUUAGAGGACCUGAUGGGAAAAGAAUUUGGCUCCACUGAACUGUUGCUAAAAGUGGCGGAGAUCGUGGCUGAGAGAGCGAGAGAGGAAGCGCAAGUGUUGAGAGACGAAGGCAAAGUGGAGGACAGAAUGGUGACCGAGCUGUUUAGGGUUUUGAGGUUGAUAGAGAUGGACAUGGUUAUGGUAAAAGCUGCUGUCAAGGAAGAGACUUUGAAUGAGAGGCUUGAGCAGGCUAAGGCAAGGUGCAGGCAAGCUAUACUUGUUGCUUUGUCGUUCUGAAAUUUUUUUCUUUUUUUUUUUUUAAUAUUUCUGGAUUGUACAUUUGGUAGAAAUUGAGCAAAUGAAAUUUUUUUUUUCCCCGAAUUAGAGAUCCGUAACUCGAUAUAUCGCGAAGAAUGGAGAAAAACUUGUAAGGGAAUGUUCAUGUAACGUGGUAGAACAAACCUAUUGCAACCGGGGGUACAUCUCCUUAGGUCUCUUUUGUGUGACACAUGAGGAGAGAUAGAGAAAGAAGAUGAUACACCCGGUUGCAACCAAGCUUUUUCCGUCCGUAAGUGUCGCUAAUGUUGUAGAAACACAUACAUUAUGACAGAUAAGAUCGUAAGGAUUGUAAAACAGGAGGUCUGAAAAUGGCGUUGAAACACCCUUUAGCCACUCUUUAAAGAAGGCAAUGCAUGAGAACUGGCCUGUUGAAAUACCCUGAUGGCUAAAUCUUCAGUUCCACGAUUCAGCCGGGAUUUGAACCCCGGUGGUGUCACUUAAGAUCUGUGCAGCAAAUCAAACAAUGAAAAUGCAAGAACAGCGUAAAGCCAGAAUGAACCGCGUAAAGCCAGAAGUCUUGAGGAACCAAUGUAAAUUGAAUAACAUUGAGUGAAUAUAUACUAGUUACACGCGUGAAAAUUAUUCCAGUACACGGCUCAAUGUGUUUACUCCCCGCUGGUAGCGUCCCAAGUGGAACUUUUUAUCUCACCUUGGGCCCUUCGACCAGAGGCAAAAGUGGUUACAUUUGUCAAGGAUGCAUUCAUCUUAUUUCUUCUUUUUCUUCCCACUCUUCGGUUUUGGGUAUGCGGUUUUACAUGCUUGGAUGAUAUAGCGAACAUGGGGAUCAUCUUUAGGCAUUUUAGCAUGUAAAUUUCUCGCAGCAUUGCGGUCCCCUCCAGCCAAAAGGGCUUGAUACAUCCUGCAAGCAUUCCGAGAUUGAAACCCAGUUGUUACAAAAUCAUUUCCAAUACAAGGAAGCAAGGUGUUUGAGCAAGAGACAAAACAAAAAAAAAAUGAAAAUUCCCAAGCAGCAGGAUUAUUCACCUUAAAAAACUUAAAGCGUUGUAAGGCAGGCCAGUAGCUUCGUAUUCUUUCCAAAUUCGUCGGGCAUUUUUCAGAUCUUUGGCAUUACCACAAGCGUGGAGAAGAAAAUCAAGACAUUUUCGUGAAGGUGUGAUGCCAAGCUCAUUCUUCAUAGCAUGAAGCAAGUCCAAUCCCAACUGCAAAUAUGUAGGUUCUAAUUCUGAAAUUAAGGAAAAUACCUACAAAUUUGGGACAGAAACAAACGAAGUAGGUAUCGUCAGUUUAAACAACACACUGCAAGGUUAUCAUGUCCAAGACUAUCAGAGAACAGACAUUUGAAUAGAUAUAUUACAUUCUGUAAACAAAAAGAAAAUGCCAAAAACGUCAGCAAAGUUACCUAGAAAACAUAAAGGAACCUAGAUAAAAGAAAGGAAGGAAAUAUAUUAUAAGUUCAGAAAGGAAAUAGAUUCUUAAAGUGUUACACCGAACGAUCUGUAAAAGUUUGACUGCCCUAGAGGAAGAGAUAAAUUAACAUAAUUACAAUGAAUUGCUGCUACCAAAAUUAGAUUCACACAUAAGAUAUGAGAGUGAGAACAAACCUGAUCAAAAAUUACGUCUAGAGCCAAUUCGUCAGUACAGAUUUUAUCCCUGAACUGCUUGAUCAAAUUGACGGCAGAUCUAAAUAAAAGAGAAGGAAAUAAGCAGCUAGGAGUUGUCAACAAAUCAAAUGAACGAAAACUAUUACAGUUGGAGCAUCCAACAAACCAAAUUGAAUGCGAGGCUAGAAUAACUAACGUGGGGUUUUAUAUUCUCAACAUAGCUGUGAUAUUAAGUAUGAACAGACCUUAAAUGCUUGUUCCGAACACAAUGUAAGAUAGUUCUCAUGCAACCCUCAAGCCAGUGGUCUGGAUCAUCUAAUUCAUCAAGUAGAGAGAAUAAUUUGCUGAAUUCUUCAUCAGAUUGAGAGUGCUCCUAAAAGAUAAACAAGAAAAUGUUAGAUGUUUUGACAAGACAAAGAACUCAAGCACUAAUUUAGGAACUCACAAUAAGACUUAUAACAGCUUUCGGCUCUACACUGCAUCCAGCUUGCUUCAUUUCUUCAUAUAUAUUAAAUGCAUCACACAAUUGCCCACGUGAUGCGAGGGUGUGGAUAAGCACGCUUUUAAUUUCAUUCAAGUUCUUUACUGGAAUCCCAUUAUCCAAGAGUACCUACCAUGGAACGAGUAUCAAUGAGAUCACCAGAAACCAUUCAUAUCUCAGCCAAGCAAAUACCUUGAAAAGCUGUAAUGUGUUAAAAAAUUAUUACGACAAAGAAACCUAGAACUUCUGGUAUAGACUUGUAGAUUCUACUCUGGUAUAAUGGAACAUAUAAACAGUUCAUGGGCAGGAGAAUGCUAAAAGCUAGAAUACCUGGCAAAUAUCGUGCAUGAUUGCAAUACAAUAUGGCAGGGAAAUAAAUGAGGCACUAAUAGGAAGCAAAUAUAAAUGAGAUUUACAGUAUUAAUAGGAACUAUAUGGUUAAUCAAUGUUCUAAAAGGUAAAGGCAAAGACAAGUCGUUGCAUAAAUUGCCUAGCCUAAUCGAUAGCCUCACAGUACUUAAAAUUAUUAUAACCUUACACACACACACACACACACACACACGCACACAAUAUAAUACUUUGUAAAACAAAUAUCCAUUGUCAUUCUUCAUGACCCUUUUUAUCCAUUGGGCCUUGUAAUGUUUUGAAAAAAAAAAUUCAAAAUUAUUUUAACAUUUAAAAAUAUAAGAAAACAAAAGGACAAAGAAAAUCUGAUGAGUCUAAGUGGCCAAGAAGGUUUUAAAACCUUGCACCAACCUUAUGCCGCCUAGUCUGGCUGGGCAGACGUCUUUUUCUAUAACCCCGCCCAAAAAAAAAGCCAUGGCGAGUAUCAAAACUACGAUUUUAGAACAUUGAUUAAAAUUUAAAUAUAAAAUAAAUCAAUAAAAACACCCUUCAGUUUCCCCCACUCUUUAAAAGAAUUUCCAUUUUUUAGUGUUGCUGAAAAUAAUUAAAGUCUAGGAGGCAGGCCAUUCUGUUUGUUUUAAUCAGGCAAUAACAAAUAACGCCUAAAAAAAAAAUUCAAAACGUUUAGGACUGGCUGCAGACUCCAAAUGUUUAUGGUUAUUUAUAUUCCCAAGGAAUAAAAAAUGGACUUGGUCGCUGCUUUAAAUAGUAAUUGCAUCACUAAAUAAGCAUUGUGUCGAUAUGAUAGACUAUUGAUGGUAGAAGACAAGCAGACAAAUAAAAGAAAACUGAUGUAACGAAGUCACAUUCAAUAAUAAACUGUAACAUAAGUUCUUCAGUGAUAUGCACCUAUUGCCCCAAUAUACACAGAUAAUCACAGAUUGUAUAGUCUUCUCUAUUCUUGGUUCAUAAGGUAAGAAAUUGCGAAAUGAAUAUGUACCUGUUUGGCGUUUUCAAACUGCCCACAAGCUGCGUAUGCAUGUAUUAGUGCCAUGAAAAUUUGCUUGGUAAAUUGAAUUCCAGACUGCUUCAUUUCUUCAUAAUACUACAAGUAGAUAUUCAGAUCAGCAACCUUUAAACUCACACUCAUAAAUUAUAAGCAAAUUGAAUCAGGCGUCGGUUGUUUGGCUGGCACUCAAAUCAGGAAUGGGGAAUGUCAUUCCAUCAAGAUGUGAUGUUUGGCUUGGUAGUAAAAGAAAUAAAACUAGAAAGAAAUAACCUUAGUUACUGGAACCAAUUCCCUUAAAGAGGUAGAAUAGAACAACGGGUAGGAUGGUGUUUUAAUUCCUUGGAAUGUAAUUUCAAGCAGAUACCAUUUUAUCAAUCUAGGAGUCUCAAUUGAAAAAGAAAAACAAUUCAACACUUUUCCCCCUGUUUGUCUGAGAUUCAGAAGAAAAAUGUGUCCAAGAAUAAUUUUGAUAUUCCUGUCGGUCACUCUCAAGUUGGGCCAGCUUUUUUGUCCUCAGAAACCUAAAUGCCCAGCCCCAAUUAGAUACACCCACACGAGAUCCAAAGGAUCCAACACCACCUCGACAACGUCCCCCCAUUUUCAGUUCCUUAAAAUUUGCUCAGCCCUUGUUGUGGAUAUGGCCAAUGGACACUACCUUGUCCUUUGCUACACAUUUACAGGUACAGACUGACAUUAAACCUGCACUGGAGCAUCAUACCACUACCAUGGGGUUCCUCAAACUAUAUUGCAGUGCUGAACUAACAAAACAUAAAAAGGAUAUGAUGGAAAACAAGUUUGAAAUCUAUGGCUAUAUGGUUCAUGUUCAGAUGACAAUUUUUUUUUUUUUUUUUUUUUUUUUUUUUGUAGAGUGCAGUUAAGGGAUGAAUGAUAGACAACCGAAAAGAUUAGUAUAAACUCCAUUCUGGGACAAUCAGGAGAACGAGAGCAAUUCCUAUUCCUGUACAAGCUUUCCGGUGAAAUGAACGAGUUAUCACUCCAGGUUACCUUGUUAAUAUCCUUCUCAGAGUUACAGUUGGUAAUUAGAUAGCUGAAUGUCUGGGAAUCUGGUUUGACAUUUGCUGCUUUCAUUUGUUGGAGAACCCUCAACCCACCAUAAAUGUUCUUCUGCAAGGUAUUCAGGGAAACAAAGUUUCAACUUUCAGCCACAAAUUCAUUGAAAACUAAAAAUAGAACAAAUUGUUACUGAAGCUUAAAAAAAAUUAAUUCAUGUUGAAUAGCAUAGUAAUUGUUUGAAAAAGCGGGCUUAGUUUUAUACAGCUGGAAGAAAGAAAGAAAAGCACAUGAAAAAGAACGUUACCUCUCGGAAAAAUCCACCCAUUAUAGCAUUGUACAUGCUAGUAGUGGGUGCCAAAUUCAUUUCCUCCACGUCUCUCAGCAUGCUAUAAGCACCUUCAUACUGCAAAGGUAAAGAGAUACAAUAACUGAAAUUGGGGUAUCAUUGAUAAUAGUGGUUCAACUUCCAUGUUAUUGGAAUGUAAAAAUAUAAAUAUUAGGCAAAAAGCAACAGUAAAUGAAAACUUAGACAUGCAAGUGUGCACAGUAACACAAAGGGAAACCAUAUAAAACUUACAUCCUUCAUUUUCACGCACAAACUUAUCAUACACCUGAAAGUUUCACAGUUUGGCUCUAAUUUGUACUGGCAAAUCAAUGAAUAGAUUUUGCGUACCUGGACAUGUGGCAAGCAGACAAAUAUCAGAAAAUCAUACAAGUUACCCCUUGAAAAUAACUGAAUGUGAAACUCAGUAGCAUGCGCAAAAAUGAAAAAGAGAUUAUUCAACCUGGAAAUACAAGAAAACAUCGCAAACCACCAAAUUAUUCAUGGUAUCAAAAGAGUCAACACUUAGGUCAUUAUUAAUUGGUCAACUUUACAGAGUCAUUAUCAUGGAUCAUAUUUCAAUGUAACUAUUGUGGUUCCAACUCUUUUUAAAUCAUACCAAUCUUGGUUCAAAUUGAGAAUUCCGUCUAAUUUCUGUGUAAUUUGACCCGUAUGCACAUUGCAUUCAGAGAUCAAUGGUCCUUUCCAGCCAUUUCGAUUGGUAAAUUUUCUGACCAUGUACCCCACCCCAAUGACGCAGUGAGACCUGUAUUUCUAACCCACAUUUUCUGCAACUACAUCAAUCCUAUAUAUUCUUCUGCUUUUCACUAAGGUUCUUCUAACCAUUAAAAUUUCUAGCAUUUGGGCACGCCAUAAUAUAGACAGCACCCACCUGCGAUUUAUAGCAAGUCUCUUCACAUUGAAAGGUAAGAAAAAUAACAAAAGUCAUACAAUUCAAGGGUUGAAAAAUAUGUACAGCAUAGUGCAUCAUACCAGAUUAAAAUCACAGCUCUCGUCACUAGCACGUAAAAUGGGGUGUACUGCCUCAAUUGAAAAGGUCAACCCCAGUUCACACAUCUCAUUAACCAGUUCAAGAGCAACAUGCACCUAUAUAGAUAUAAAGGGACAAAUAAUCAAUGUUAAAGCAAUCUCUAAGCCGGCAAAAGAAAUAGAAAAGAUAGCUUUAUGGUGUAAAGUAGAAAGCAAGAUAUUCAUUUUCCAACAUAUAAGAAUAUAUGGAAGGAUCAAUAAUGAAACUCAAUUGCUACAUCUCUUAAGCCAGCAGAUCAGACAUACCUUAAGUGAAUCACAACAGUACAUGAUAAGCUUCUCAUAUGAUGCAGAGGAAGGUGUCACCUCCAAUUUCUUGUGCCAUUUAUUGAAUUCUGAAAUGACAUCCUCAACCUUCAACAAUUGAUAAUUAGUGUAAACACAACACUCUCAAAAGAAAUAUUGAGUAAAAAAAUAAAGUUUUUCUGUAAUUAAUGGAUCAUGGAAACUUCAAGUAAUAAAAAAUGAAAUCUGAUUCCCUGCCCGAUACAAAGAAAAUUCACAAACCGAAACCCAAUCUGAGUCCCCCUCUUAAGCAAACGCCAAACCCAUAACACCAAUCAUAUCAUGUCCAUCAGCAGCAGAUCUAAACCUCCAUCCCCUCAGUUUGCUCAAGUAUCACUGCUAGAUCAUUCUCUUGUGGGAUUGGUUGUACCCGAGAUUUAAUAUUAUGUGUUUUAAGUUACAAUUGGAAUUCUCAUAAUAAUUUGAAUCCCAAAAGGCUUACACCCCAACAAACUUCAAGUAAUAAAACUUCUAGUGACAUCCCUUGACUUUGGAAGUAUUGCUACACUACAACCCAAAAACUAAUGCAAAUAACAAAAUAUUUAUGUAUUUUUUUAUUAAAAACAUGUGAACAGCUUUUACAUAGAAGCAAACUGCGUGAGAAGCAGAAUUGCCUCUUAUAAUUGUCGACUUGAGAAAUUACCAGUAGCAUUCAUGAGAAGUUCCUCACCGCUAAAUUUGGAAUGCCAACAACAUAACUGUAGAUGAAGCUUGUAAUCUUCUCUGCAGCAGAGUCUGCAAUUUUAGCAAAAAGAAAUCACGUGUAUAUAAGGAUUUCAUUGCAUAGAUACUGUGGAACCAAUGGAACACUCACUCUAAUAUUUAUUCUCCAAAUUAUAAUAAGUUGCCAACUGUUUUUCCAGCACAAGAGAUUUUAAAUAGGAAUGCAAAUACCAGUGGCUUUAAAAUAUCAUGAACAUACCACAGGCUUUAAAUUCCAGAAGAAACUUCUCCGCGAAGGAAUCCAGUAGUUGCCUUCCUAAACAUCUAAAGAUACUAUCCACAAAAGGCAGAGAUGAGAUUUUGGUUAUGUCCAUCCUUUCCAAAAGCUGCAAAAUCUCUGUUGUCCGGUCCCUUUCACAAAGUGCCAAAAGAUAAUUCUCUGCAACAUGAGUUAAAACAGUAAGACUUUCAUUGAUGCAAAUCUCAAGAGCAGUUUCAUGGUCGCAAAAAAGCCAUGAUGCGCCGAAAAUACCAGCAUCUGAUUUCAUAAUAUCGUCAUUGGGAUAUGCAUAUCCAUGCUGGACAUAUUCCAUAAGUUAAAUUUCUCCAUAGACUUUUAUUUAAUCCACACUGAAUUUGAAACUGUCAGUGGCAUAUAGAAUUUUUACAAUCAGUUGGUGUCUAAGUCCAAACUGAUGGUGUCAUUCACAUCAAUUAAAGGUUUUUAAGACAUUCUUUUGUAUUUUAUUUUCAUUUUCCGUUCUCUUUAGUCAGUAAAACACCCAUUAUUCAAAAACCUGUCAAAGAGUCAGUAGACCAAAAUUUACAAAAGAGAUAUAUUUCCAAGUGCCCAAGCACCAUUAGUUCUCAAACGCAUAAACAUCUAUACAGUUUCAACAAGGUAUUUUGCCCAAUAUGUUACAAAAAAAGGAGUGACAAGGUGAGAUCUCCAUUCCACAAUUUCUUUUUGGUACAAUUAUGCAUAUUGAUUAACAAUAAAUCAUCCUAGCUUGCAAGUGAUGUCAAAGAGAAUUGUAACAAAACAUAACCCAGCAAUAUAUAUAUUGUUUCAGAAAAACUUAAGAUGUCCAGACAAUUAGAAUAACUAAUCAUCACUACCAAUGUAACGAUUACCUUGUAAAUUGGACUCCUUUCCUGCAUCAUCACUUACAAUGUAAUUAGAGAGCUCUUUAAUUUUUUCCUCAUCAUCGACACUGAUCCAUAACAGCAUCUCAUAGUAUCCUAAUCUGCCAACUGAACUAGGGUUUCCAGCUUUGAUAACUCCACAGAAAUAUUGAAAUUCCUUUAUCAUACCCAUGUCAGUUAGAUAUGCAAGUAAUUGGCCAUACGUUUCUUCCUCCAGAGGAAAACCCUGUUCCUUCAUUGCUUUAAAAAUUCGAUAAGCCAUGUGAAACUGUUCUACUCCAACAUCUUCAUCCGUACUACUCCUAGCCCUCUCUAUGCAAAUUUUAAUCAAUGAAUUAUAUUCUUUCACACCAGUUUCUCGUCCCAAUUUACCAAAAACCUGAAGAGUGGUGUGUGUCCCUAGCUUGUUGGCACACAUGUCAACUAACCGACCAAAACGAUUAACCUGACCGCUACCGAAAGUCCACUUUUGCUUCCUUUCACGAGUGACUUCUUUGCGACGUAAUGAUAUUGCACCAUGAGAUACCUCAGGAUAAAAUGGUAAGAGCAAUGUAUCUUCCUUAAAUUUCUCACCUUCUGUUCCCUGGAUAUCAAGAGAAUUUGCAGAAGUACUGCCUGAAAAAGGAACAGAUCACACGGCUAUAACAAUCCGUCAACAAGAAAACCUUAGGGAAAAAAUAAAAUAACAAUGACACAUAGUAUAUGGCUAAAAACAGUCAUGCUAUUACAGAAUAGAGAUUAGUUAUUACAAGAAGGUAACAGAGCCUAAAGGGAAUCAUUAAAUGCUAACCAAUCAAAAGAAUGAAUCUGACAAAUUUGAAUUUCCCUCUUACCAUCAAAGUUGUAAGUUCAUCACGAAAUUCUUCUGAAAUUUCACUCAGCAGAAAAUUUCCCUCUGACUCAUUACUUAAAUGCAAUAAAGCAUUGUAUCUAUACGUGAAUUAAAGUGCUGACUUAUGACGGUUUCUCACUGAAGAGAAAAAAAAGAACUAUACUGCAAAACAAUAAACUCACCAACCUAGUGUAUAAAUGUAUUAGGAUUUUCACAACAAAAUUAACAAGCACAUACCGUCUAAUAUCGAAAAGAUAUCCCGAGGCAGUUCUUUCGGCGAAUCUUCUGCAGUCAAACACAAAAGCUCAAACAAAACAUCAACCAAUACUACAUUUCUUAAAUUAUACUACAUCCACUCUAAUUGAAUAGUAAGAAAACAAAGGAAAAGUAACCUAAUUUAUUCUUUGAAAAAAACAAUUAGACAAAGAAAGGAAAGCCCUUUAUCCAUCUCAACCAAAUGAACAAAAUCAUUUAUCUUUCUUUUUGGCGAGCUCUUCACUACCCAUAAACCAAAACAACACAAAAAACCCAGAAUUCCAUUUUCAUUUCAUCACUUUUUUCCCACACUUUCUAACCAACCAAACAAAGAGGUAAUGCCGUACCGGGAGCGGAGGGCGAGUCCAAAUUCAAGGCGGCGAGCGCAGAAGGAGCGUUGAGGUCGGAGGGUGGCUUUUUGGAGGCGGUGAAGCGCUGAGAAAUGGGGUUGGAGGGAGGGGAGGGGUCGAGGGUGGAGACGAAGUGCUUGAGGGUGGCGUCCUCGGCGGGGGAGGGUAGAGGUAUGGCGGGGGGUUUGGAUUUGAUGGCGCCGCGGAAAAUAGAGCUUAGGCUCUUGGCGUUAGAGGGGGCUGGCAUCUGACUUCUGAUUAAUUUCCCUCUCUCUCUCUCUCUCUCACUCCCUCGCUGCAUACUGGGUUUUUAAUUACAUAGGUCCCCCUUUGUUUUCUUAAAGAUUUAAUUAAAUUUUGAAAAAAAAAUUUAUUCAUUAUUAUUGUCUAUGUGAAGCUGAGAAUGUGGACUUAGUUUUACAAUAAUUUAUUUUUAAUAUGAUUUAAAUUUGUAUUUGGCUAGUCUCUGGGUGGUUUGAGAGUUAGGUGCAUAAAAAAAAAUACCCAUGAAAAAAAGCUAUGAGGGUUUUAGGUGUUUGGUAAACUGAAAAAAAAAAUUGUUUAUUUUGAAAGUUGUUGUGAAAAUAAGCUGAAAUCAAAGGAAAAAGCUGAAGCUGCUAUUUGCAGCUUUGGAAAACUGGUUUUUUUUCAAAGCACACAGAGCUACAGUGCUACUUUCAUGAAAAGACCCACUAUCAGAUUGUUUUUUUUUUUUCCAAAAGCACUUUAACAAAAAAAGUUUACCAAAUACUAUGCUGAUUUAUUUCAUAGCCGCUUAUUCUCACAACACAACUGUUUAUUCUGACGCUUAAUCUCACAUGAGCUUUUUUUAAAAGGAAAACUAAUGAAAAUGGCUUGAAAAUUUAAGUUUUAAUGAUAAGGACAAAAUAAAGGGUAAAGUGAAUAGUACAGGAUUGACUUUUUAGUGUAAAAAUGUGAUUUUUCGUUAAAAUGAACAGAUUUUCGUUAAAGUUACCUUUUUUAAAUCACAGCAAUAUUAAACCAGCCCUCUGUCUUGUUUAAACAGAAAUUUCCAUUGUUUGGCAAGAGGGUAGGUCUGUUGGUAUCCUGCGCCGCAGGCAUGGCGGCGAAGUUCGCUUUAGGGUCGGAACCGGUGGUGGGUUCCCUCGCACCCUCGAAGAAGAAAGAGUACAGAGUCACCAACAGGCUCCAAGAGGGCAAGCGCCCCCUAUACGCCAUCGUUUUCAACUUCAUUGACUCUCGCUACUUCAACGUCUUCGCCACAGUCGGCGGCAAUCGGGUUCGUUUCUCUUCCUUUGUAAUUCCGGGACUGCUAGUUGGAUUUUCGUGCGUUUUCUCGCCAACCAAACAUGGGUUCUAUACUGUUUUGGCUGAAAAUUUAGUAAAUUUUUGGGGUUUCUUAUGAUUUAGUUUACUGGGUUUUGUUACAUUGAGUGGAUUGCUAGAGAUUUAGGGUUUAUCGAAGUUUUCGAUAUCGGCUUUGCCUAUCAAUUUUUUGAUACAUGAUUUUCUCAUGGAAUAAAGAUAUACAUUGGAAUAGAAUGAAAUGAUCUUUAAGGUUAGUGUUCCGAGAAUCCGAGUGAAAACAAAAAAAAGGCAUCACCUUUAACAUUUACAACAUUGGAUUACAAUGCAGCUUUAGUGGUGAAUUAUGGCUGCUCUGACCUGGUAGUGUAUAGUUCCUUCGUUUUCAAAUAAACAACGUGAAUUUGUUCCCCGUGUUCAUUUGCGUAAAAUAUUUAUCUGAGAGACAAUGCAAGGUUCUCUUUCUGCUAUUUGUUGUAUUUGUUGUAAGUGUUGUUUUCUUCUUUUUCAGGUGACUGUAUACCAAUGCCUAGAAGGGGGUGUGAUUGCUGUGUUGCAGUCUUACAUUGAUGAAGAUGUAAGUAAAGACAGCCAUCAUUCCGUCAUUGAUCAAGAUUAGUGUUCUUUUCUCGGUCAUUUUAUCAAACGGUUUAGCAUUCAUUUGCUAUUGUUUAGAACUUUUUGCGGAUAUGUGAUUGUCAUGUGCUUUGUAUAGAUCAGAAGGAUGAGUCUUUUUACACUGUGAGCUGGGCAUGCAAUAUUGAUGGAUCCCCAUUGCUUGUGGCUGGAGGAAUUAAUGGUAUAAUGCGCAUCAUUGAUUGUGGCAGCGAGAAGAUAGACAAGGUACUAAAUUUAGUACUGGUUGUAAGAUCCUGUACUUUAUAGUGGUGCAGUAGUAAUAGCCUGGGUGCUCUUUACUAUGCUAUAGCAUGCAAUCGGGAUGCAAUCGUACAUCUAUUUCCGCUGAAAUAUUUGAAAUAUUUCAAAAGUGCUUUGAGCGGCAAUGAAAAUACAGGAUUUUCUUGCUUUAAAUUCUUUUUGCCCCUAACAUACUCAUCUAUGUGCAGAGUUUUGUUGGCCAUGGGGACUCAAUAAAUGAAAUCAGGACUCAGCCAUUGAAGUCAUCACUUGUGGUGUCAGCAAGCAAAGUGAACACAGUAACCUGCUCCUUUUUUCUUUUUAAGAUAUUUUUGUUGUUUACUUUAUUAUUAAUCUUAGAACUUUCCAGGAUGAGUCAGUUCGGCUAUGGAAUGUUCAGACUGGAAUAUGUAUUUUGAUAUUCGCAGGAGCAGGGGGUCACCGCAAUGAAGUCCUGAGUGUGGUAAACAUAUCUGACGAGGAGUUAUAUCCUGCCACCUUUCCAUGGGAUCUUUUAAUCAUAAAUCUUUUGUUUCGUUUUUUUUUCUUGUUGUUAAGAUUUUGAUCAAAGAAAAUGACUCGAGGGACUAAUUCUAUCACCUUGUUCUUAUUAUUAUAGGACUUUCAUCCUUCUGACAUAUAUCGCAUUGCGAGUUGUGGCAUGGACAACACCGUUAAGAUUUGGUCAAUGAAAGGUAGGACUGAACGGCUUUGCUUCAUAUGAGAAUUUACACAAUUUGAUAUGGUAACCAUUGUUGUGUAACCAUAUGGCAUGGAUGAUGGAUCACAAUGGUCACAAAUUUACCCAUUCACAGUAUAGUGUGAGUACGUAAUACUUAUGUUUCUAAAAAAGGCAAAAUAUAUAUUAUCAUAGAAAAUAGAAGCAGCCUUCUAUGUUUUACUAGUAUUGAAGAAAGUAAUGGGUUAUUUUAAAAUUCUUUUUUAUUGCAAAUUAGCUAUGUUUAUGCAUGAUUAUGCAACAGUGGGAUGUUAAAGUAAUUCCACAUCUGAGGGUCAGAGUGCUUGAUUUAAUGUUUGGACAGGCGUCAACUGGGUAAAUCAAUAUUAUUUCUAAUCUGUUUUCUUAUACAUUGCUUUGUUGUAGAGUUCUGGACAUAUGUGGAGAAAUCUUUCACAUGGACAGAUCUUCCGUCAAAAUUUCCAACAAAAUAUGUGCAAUUUCCAGUGAGUACCUCUUCUUUUUUAGCAGAUCUAAGGGGAAGAGUAAGAUAUUGGGCAGCCCUCUGGGCUUCAGUAUCAAAUGAUUUUAAGAAUUACUCUCUUUCUCACAUACUGUGGGAUAUGUUAGCAGCCGUAAAGUGAUUUUGGUUGAGGUUUUGCUACUUGUAAUCAGAUCCUCUUGAGAGAUUUUCUUGUUUUGUUCUUGGUGGAUUUCUUAUCCACUUCUGUGUAAUUCCACUAUUCUAUUUUAUUAAAAUGUUAUAGUUUCUUCUCAAAAAAAAAAUAAUAAUAGAGUUUUCAUUAUCCUUUUAUCUGCGGUUAACUUGAACCUUUCAGGUAUUCAUAGCCUCCAUUCAUACAAACUAUGUUGACUGUAAUAGGUGGCUUGGUGAUUUUCUCCUCUCAAAGGUGAAUCACAAUUUCAUCCACUAUUUUCAUUUUUUUCAGUAUAAAUCUGAUGGUUAUUUGGGGACGGAAAAUAUUUGUAGGAUGUAAAAUCUUAAUAUGUGAAUCGUAUGUUUCCUUUACUAACUGGCAAAACUUUAAUCAGCACAAUCAGCUGGUUCAAAUGAGUUAACGGGGAAGACGUAUCAGUUCCUGCAAAGUUGAUUUCUAUUUGUUUGGCAUCAACUUAUUGAUAGCUUAUUUGAUCGCCUGAAAGCAAGAUGAAGUUUAAUAACAAUUUAGAAUAACUUGCAUGGUGUGAUAAACUUUAUCCAGAUAUAACAAAUAGAUUUCAAAUAUGGGUAGCUUGAAUUGCUUUUAGAUGCCUGUGGUAGCUUAAUUCCAUAUAUUCUCUAUUAAUGAUUGCAUUAAUAGAUUAUUCUGUGAAUUUCCAGAGUGUUGACAAUGAAAUUGUGCUGUGGGAACCGAAAAUGAAGGAACAGUCUCCUGGGGAGGUUAGAAACCUGGCCAAUUCGCAACAUUUUUAUUUUCUGUUUUUUUUUUUUCUUUUAAUUAAAGAGAUGGAGAGGAGGUGAGGAGAAAUGAGUGGAAUAUAUAAAACUAAUACUAAAAGCUAAAUACAAUUCGAAAUAGUUUUUCUUUUAGUUUUAUGCUAUAAAGCAUUCUAAUUAUCUUCUCUGCUUCUUUCACCACUAUCAUCUGGCUACUCAGUUUCCUUCAUCUCUUCCUUUUCCCCUUUAUUUUUCUAAUUAAAAACAAAACAGUUAUCAAGCAAACCCUAUUUCUUCUUCUUUACUACCUAUUCCACAAAUCUUUGCUGAGUUUGGUUGAUUGUGUAGAAUUCCCGUAAUUAUACUUUCUGGUGGCCUAAAUUGUUAUUUGGAUGCUUUCUGGUUAGGGUACCGUUGACAUCCUUCAAAAAUACCCAGUUCCGGAGUGUGAUAUUUGGUUCAUCAAGUUUUCCUGUGAUUUCCACUACAAUGCAGCCGCUAUAGGUAACGCAAACUGCAUGAGGAAUUUUCUUAAACAGUUGUAGUUACAACAGUUGAUAUAGUUCUUCAUUCUUUCAAAAAUGAAGGGACCAUCCCAUGUAAACUUUGAUGUUCUGAGUUGCAGAACUAUAUGUUGACUUCUUCCGCCUCUAUUGUUUUCUGUCUAGCAGGGAAUAGAGAAGGAAAGAUUUUUGUUUGGGAACUACAGUCCAGCCCUCCGGUUCUUAUUGCAAAGUUCGUUUGGUUUUCUGUUCUUUACCAAAACUACAUGCUGAAGAAAGUUGUAACUUUGAAAUGCAAACCACUAAUGAUAUAACCUUGCGCCGUUUCUCAGGUUGUUACAUCCUCAAUCAAAAUCUCCGAUUAGGCAAACUGCUACGUCUUUUGAUGGAAGGUGAUCCAUGCACAGUUUAUCUCUCAUUGCUUUUAUUACAUAUUAUCUUUUAUUUGACAUUGUUCUUUAUAUGACCUUGUAAUUUCCAUACCCCUCGAUAAUGAUGAAGUGUACCCGCUUUGCCUCAUUCUAUAUUGCAGCAUCAUUCUAAGCUGCUGUGAGGACGGAACUAUUUGGCGUUGGGAUGCUAUGGAGAGUUCUUAAAGCGUAUCCAAGUCGGUUUGUUGGUACUAAUUUAGAAAAAUGCUUAUCGCUGUUUGAUUUGGACCAGCUUUGGUUGAUUGCGGUAAUGUAUUUGGCGGCCUUCCUGAUAGAGAAACACUAAGUGAUUUGUAAUAUGUGAUCGAAAUUUGGAGUACAGAAAAUCGUACUUUGGCGAACCUUUGCUCUAGCGUAGUUGUUAUGUAACUCAGGCAGGUUGAUAACAAGUCUAUUUCAAAAUUUGCAGAAGAAUUAUGUUAUCAUGUAUGUUAUAUCAUAAGACCAGUUGUGCAUCACUCUCGGUGCUCAUUAGGGGCUCCCGUGGUUCGUGCUCUUAGAGCAACUCCACCCAUGGACCCUCCUUCCUGGCAAUCCACUAUUCAAUCCACCCUAUUGAACAGUAACUGCCUUAAAUGAAUAGUAAUUACCAGUAAUGAACAGUAAUUGCCAUUUACAUCUCCACCCUUGGAACCCUCCCCCCUGGCAAUAAGCAAUAAAAAUAAUAGUUUUUUAUGUUUGUUUAAAUAAUAAAAAAUUACAAAAGCUAUCUCUCUCUCUCUCUGACACAAAAAAAAUAAAAAAAUACAAAACCCUCGGGCCACAGGCCCGUCGACUUCCCACCCCCCCUUCGCUCGACCUCCCACCCUCACUCGGGCCCUUCCCCGCUGGAUUUGCUCCCACCGGCCCGAGGAGCCCACCCUCACUCGGGCCCUUCCCCGCUGGAUUUGCUCCCACCGGCCCGAGGGCCCUUUCUCCUCGCCUGACGCCCGAGCAACCAGCAAGGCUGGAGUUGCUCUUAAGGAAGAAGUGAAGCCUCGGUUGAUUUAAGCGAUUCUGCAAGCACUAUGGGAAGGAAAAGGUAACAUGAUAUCGCUAUUCUCCCCUUUUCGAGAAUUUCAGGCCCUCGGCCAACAACAGGUACCAAAUGUCAAAGCAAACGUCUGCAAGGUGCUCGUAAUGUGGCAAAACAGUAUCGCUUUUAUCAACAGAGACAUACACCGGAACAACUUCAAAUCAAAUCCACCACAAUUUCAUGCUGGAUUUGAGUCGUGUUCAAAAUUUUCACCCCCACUUAGGCUUAAGGAAUCUGAUAUACGCUUGUGAAACAUGAACCGAGUAGAAAUAUCAUUGUUUCGCCGAUCGACCAUUGCCAUUGCUACAAGCGAUGCAACGCGGUACUGCAUAAUCUCUGAUCUCUGAGGCAACUUUUUGCCCCCUUAUAUACAGAUAAAGAAUGGGUAGGCUAUAUGAUUGGGAUCAUUUUCGUACCAAGGUAUUACAGGGGAGGGGACAAAAGAAUAGCACACAAUGACAAUUAUAUGUGAGACCGUAACUGCGUCAAUAAACUCUGCAUACUCUGAAGUUUCUGAUUGAGUUCUUUUACAGUCGCAAGAUGCUGUGCAGACGGCUCUGAACUACCUAGGUCAGCAAGAAGAGCAGUGCACUUGGACUGUGAAUCUGUAAAUGCCUCCUCAAGUGAAGCCACUGUCGAUUCCAAGGUCGCGGUUGUACUUGGGGUUUCAAUAAUCAAAUUUGACUGAGAGAGCCCCGUGCUGGAAAAGCUGCCGCCCCUGCUGAGCUUUGCUGGUGAGAGUAACUUGUCGAUGCCCUCAGUUCCUGCAAGUCAUUUUCAUAUCCAAACUCACACAUGGCCCAAAAUAAUAUAUUUUAAAACUUAUUGGCUAUAAUCACAUACACCAGAUUAAACUUGUUGGCUAAAUUUUUUUUUUUUUUUUUUUUUUUUUUUUUUAAAAAGGUAACUAAUUCCACAAAUGAAUCGAGUAACUCAUGGCAAGAGAUGUCAACUGAUUGAAUUUUUUUAGCGUAGCAAUCUCAGGACUUGGAAGGGAAGAACAACUCAACCCUGAUUAGAAUUAAUGGAGAUGUAUAUGUUGGAUGACAAUCAGUUUAGUAGCGUACCAAGGUUGCUUAGUUGGUCCAUUGCAGCCUCACCAAUGGACCCCUCCAGCUUGAGUAACCGCAGAAUUCCAGCCGUCAUUCGACCCAUUGAUUCAACUUCCGACUUGCACAGAAAAGUAAGAUGUUGCAACUCAUCCUUCGUUACAACCGCCUCAAUCUAUGGAGACAAAAAAGUUCAUAAUGUAGAAUACUUUUUGGAAGAUAAAAUACAGUUGUUAACUUGAAAAAACGCAUUACCGGUUGCUUAACAGAGAAUUUCACAUUUUCCACAGCCCAUUCCACCAUUUUGUGAUCGACCGGGUCCUCUGGUAUCACCAUGCGAAAUUCAAGAUCUAUACCUGCAGAUGUCUCAGCAGUUUCCUUGAUCCCAUUCGCAGGUAAGACAGCAACAUUGUUAGACUUCUGAGAAUGUGGCUUUAGUAUCUGCAAGCCUUCCACACCAACCUGGAACCAUAUUAAAAUGCAUGAGAUAAUAUUUCGAUAUCUGUUUGAUUAAAAUGCAGGUGCAUAAAUGAUGAAAUUGAAAUCAAUCACAAACAGUUGCACAUAUUUGCAUUCGAUAAUAUUCUAAUGAAAGCAAGCUAUAUCUAGAGUGUCAAAAUAUUGAUCUUGAACGCAGCACAGGCGCAACGAACCAAGUUCCACCAAAGAAUAUAGAGAGAAUUGUCAGCUCAUUAGAACUAAAAAAAAUAAAGUAGAAUAAAAAAAGAGCAAAACCUUAGCAUGAAUGUUCUUUUGCUCAUUUUGCCUAAAUCUCAAACCGCAUGACAUUGACUCAGUUCUACUCUAACAUAAAGCACUACCAACUGUUAGGUUGCUUAGAAUUACAUAUCUCCAAAUUGCACCCAACCGUGAGAUAGUUCUGAGCGCAUGAGCAAGACAACUUCUCACCCUACUAUAAUGACCCACUUAAGGUAAAGCCCAGAAUUAUCAUACUUCACUACUACUUAACCAAACAGAAAGCUUGACAAACCAGUUAAGAAAAUGGUACAUAUAUUUUUCUGAAAUGAAACAGAAAUUGAUUAGUUCAAAAAUCAAGUACAAAGUGCGGGUGAGAAAUCUUGUAGGACCACCACCAAAUUACGAAUUUACAAUAACAAAAAGAAGGGCAAACAUUCUAAUCUAACAACCCUGCCUCAUCACUCUCUUCCUAGUGAAGCAAUUUUCAGCAGCUGUAUCAUUCCAUGAUCCAAGGUAAGUGGUAGCAAACCAUAUGCUCAUUUACUUUCAUGAGUGUUACUGUUAUGACCGCAGAUGCACUUAACAUGGUGAACCAACACCAUAACAGGGACAUAAUCUCAGCAAUGCAUGCAAGUUAAUAAAAAAAUUAAAAUACCUAAGAUAUCGCCCAGGAAGACCAUAAUUUACUUUUUUUUUUCCCCAAGAAAAGACCCAAAAAUAAAAUGAUAAAACGCUUCAAUGAUGCUGGCUUAUUCAUGUAAGCUGACCCUUUCGGAAAAAAGUCACCCUUAAUAAUCAAUAUGCAUGUAUAAUUCAUCCAAGAUGCCUUUAGCAGGCAACCUUAAAAAGAGAAAAAGCCACAAUGGAAAGAGUGAGAAAUCCUUACUGUAACCAAUUCCACAGGAUAUUUUUGGGUCCUGUAUGACUUUCCAUUACCAUUCAGCAUAUGCUUUGGACCACUUUUCGCUUUUACAUGCAGAUUAUGGAACGUUGUGUGCCAACACCUCUCUUUCUCUUUGCACAUCCUCAUGAUUGUCGAACCACCAUCUUUCUGCAAUCUCCCGUUCACCUUCAAGAGCAAAUAACCAAUUUUUGAACUCUACGGACACGUCUACAUCAUCUGGCUUUCCCAAGUGCAAGACCCCACUUUCUCUCCCAUCUCCUGGACUUCCAUCUGGAAGAAAAUGGAAUAUAUACAUCCAUUUGUGUAACAAUGAAUAAACUCAGCACUGAUAAUAAAUUGACAAGGGAAAAAAGAAGAGGAUAAAACGAUUUUGUGUGUGUACCUAAACAGACAAAAUUACCAAAAUCAUGUUCACGUACCCUCUUUCACAUCAACAAUGAGAUGCAACGGUUUGAAAAGUUUUGACAGUGGUCCAGCUUGUAAUUUUUCUAACUCCUUAGAGAGCCCCUUUCCUGGACCACCAUCAGGGCCAAGUAUUCCAAAGCGAUGCAGCAGGGAUUCAGCAUAGUUCAUUCCCCCACUUAGGCGUAUGCCAGAGAUACACGCCGACACAUUCAGACUAUGACACUCUGCAUCUCGUUCAUUUAAAGGAAUUACGUGUACCAUGCUUACGUCCAGAAAUGGAUUUACAAAAGCUUUUCCAUUUGAUUGAUGUUUUAUUUGGUUAUGUAUCCAAAAUACAGGUCUUAGCUGAGGGUACCCAUUUCCACUAGUUGAAAGACCAUUUUCAACAGAAGUUAAAACUGAGCCAUUCUCAUGUGCCAAGUUUCCCUCAGUGUCUACACAGUCCACCUCAACACUAUCCCAAUGUAUAGUGGAUGAAACAGCAACUGCACCACCGAGAGUUCUGUGAGUAACUUUUAUAAAGAGAUCAUCCCCAAUAAACUGAACCAGAGGCAUUCCUUCAAUAUUCACGGAAGAUGAUUCCAGAAAUUUAAUCUGAAGAUUUUUUACUGCCAAGCUUACCGCUGUAUCAUUGGGAACCUUGUCAAUCAGCUUUAAGUCAAUAGAAUGAUCCUUAUUCUUUUUUCCAGUAUUUUUUCCAAUGAGAACAAUCUUUUCACUAACUCUGCCAAAGUACGAAUAAAGAUCCAAAACAAAAAAUAACUGUUCAACAGAUGUGUUGGAGAGAUAGUUUUGACAAGCUACCCCCACCCUGACAAUACCACGGGGGGGAGGAACAUUUGUUAAUGGGCUCCCAUCAGCAGUUACCAUAGCUACUUCAACACAAGCAUCUUUCAGCUCAACACAUCUCCACAUGCCUGAAUUCCCAUCAAGAGAACCCUGAAGGCCAGCAGACUUGGUGCAUUUUUCUAGUGACAAACUGAUGUGCGAUGCUCUAGCACUCCAUUUCUUCUGGCUGGCAUCAAUUGGUUGAUCUUCCCAAAGACAAAAACAAGCAGGAUCCUUCUCCAGAUUCAGUAACCUUAGUUUUAGUGAUGGUGACUCCGAAAAUAACAAGUUCUCGAUAUGAAGCCUUGCUCCAGAAAAGGUACUCUGGUAGAUACUGUCCUUGUUAGCACGGUCACACAAUUUAUCUCUGUCCAAAGGAACAGUCACAUCUAAUUCCUUCAGGGUGAAAGUCAACGAAUUGACUGAGAAAUCUGGUAAAACAGCACCAGGAUUGACUACAAUUCCAUCAGCCAGGAAGGAAGCGAUCCUCAAACAGGAUCCUUCUUGGAGAUCAAUCUAGAAUUUAAACCAAAAAACAAACGGGAAAAAAAAAAUUGAGAAAUGAUACUUGAAGAUUCACUAAGAAAAACAUAUAAAAGAUGAAACAAAUAAAAGAUGUCAACACAUACCAUUAGGGGUUGACAAUUAAUUACUGUUUGUGAAGCAAAAGAUGGAGGGAUUGGGGAUGGCUUGAUCUGAAGAGAGUGAAGGCACAAAAAAGGGACACCUUUAAUUAGCUGCCACUCCUGAUCUCCCAAAGGAUAUAUGGGAGGGCAAAAGUUCUUACCUGUCCAAACAAUAAUACAAAACUGAUAAGAGAAUAAUUUCAAACUACAGAUACCCAACACCCAGCACACGGCCACUGGUUUAAAUUCUAGUGUACAUAAACAAAUUUAAUACCAAAGUCAGGAACAUGGAGAGGUUUUUCAGAAACUGCAUGCAUUGAUGGUUGAACCAAAGUGCAGGGAGGUCGUGAAAAGGUAUCCCUACAUUCCAGCCACCGACAUAUAAAUUAUAACUUAGCCAUAGGACUGAACAUAUAUCAAAUUGAAAGGGGAAGCCAUUUCUCAAAUUUAAACGUUUCCCACAAAGAGCUAAUGUACAACCAGAGUGCAGGGAGGUCGUGAAAAGGCAUUCCUCCAUUCCAGCCACCGACAUAAAUUAUAGCUUAGCCAUAGGACUGAACAUAUAUCAAAUUGAAAGGGGAAGCCAUUUCUCAAAUUUAAACGUUUCCCACAUAGAGCUAAUGUACAAAAUCAUACUUUUCUGUUAAACUACAUCCAUAAUUCAUUGUGCCUUCAACAAAAGUAGAAAUGCAAUAGGACUAGUCACAAAAUCACUUCAGAUACAAUGCAGGUAUGAACAAACAAUUCCUACAGUUAACAUAUAAUCCUUGUUAAUUGUUAAGAGAUAUGUGAACUCCUACCUAAAAGACACGAAAAGAAAUGCACAAAGCAGAAACAACACCCAAAAGCUAUACUUAGUAGUUAGUAGAACCUAGUCAAAGCCCAACUAAGCUCCAGGAAAAUGAUGGGAAAACAUACUACCACCAAAUCUCUUGCAACAUCUCUACUAAUUAAUAAAACCCUCUUUGUCAACCAAAAGAGGGUGAACAAACAAAUUAGUCUUCUAUCACACAAAAAAAAUGAUGGGCAAUAAUGUAAUUUCAUAGAUCCAAAUUUUACUGUUUUUUAUUGAAGCCUCACCUACAGGUGAUGUUAAAAUACCUCCAAUAUUUAAAAAUAAAAAUUAAAAAAAGGGAAAAAAAAACCUCCCACUCCCCCCACGUUCUCUCUCUCUCUCUCUCUCUCUCUCUCUCUCUCUCUCUCUCUCUCUCUCUCUCCUUCUCAUUUUCUAAAAAAAUGGGUUCAUACACACAAAGUGUGUAGGCAAAUGCUAGUCCUAAAUUAACAAUAUUUACCUUAAAAACAGUCCACCAAUCAUAACCCUCGACAAGUUGUUGUCAAUUUCUCCAUCUGAAACACUGGCCUGCAAAAGUGGAUCCCCAUAUAAGAUCCUGGACUCCUAAUUGAGUUAAACAGACAUGGAACUUCACAAACACCACACCGCAUGCAUAAAACCUACAAUUUGUACUCCCAACAAUGAAAUCUAAAGACUCCCAAGUAUUAAUGUAUUUUAGUGCUUAAUAAGAGCUUUAAAUAAGAAUUGCACAGAAUUCAAAUGCCAAAUAUUUUUAAUUUUGAUUGUGACAAAUUUGUUAAGUAUAAUAUAUUUUCCUACAGGACCCUCCUUGAAGUAUAAGCACUCUGUAAACUGAAUCUUAUUUCAGUAAUAUGUAAACCCAAGAGUCCAAUAUGUAAGAGUUCAAUCAAUGACUGAGAUGAUGGUAAGGAAAAGUUUAAUCAUAUAUGUAAGAGUCAUAGAACAUACCCGUGAGAAGAAGAGUGAUUGCAUCAAAAGUUCAAGCUUGAACUCUGCAAGUAAAUCCAACAUUUCUGAGAAUGCUUCAAUUUAAAAAACAAAAAUAACAAAAGAAAUAAUCUGAAUAAAUGUACCAGGCAACCUUGCAGAUACUAACAAAUUGGGUUCCCUGGCCCAUUUUUCUUUGUCGGUACGGGUUGUAUAAAACACAUGUUUUUUCAAUGUACACAAGUAUUAAGUCCCUAUAACAUUUGUAAAAGAAAAUCACAAACCAGCAUCUUUAAUGCAAAGAAAAAUGUGGUCCACAACAAUUGAGACAAUAGAACGUCCUGCUGCUUGUGUGGAUCGCUGCAAAAAAAUCCAUGAGAGAUGUAGAUAGAUAGAGAUUAGAGACAGAGAAUAACAAGAGAAUCAUAAAAUGUUAGCAGAUAAUGGAUUGAGAAUGAAGUAAAGCCAACAGCAAACCUGCUGAGUAUUUGAAUCAACAUCUCCUCUAUUCAGACAUACAUACAAUCCUGUCAUAAAGCGAAGGAGAGCACGUAGUCCUGCACCACAUGAUUACAUAUUAGCACCAAGCUAUACGUAUACAUUGUCUUAUUAUAAUUUUAGAACCACUGAAACAGGUGAUCAAAUAUAAUUCACUUGUUACCUGGUUCACUUAUAGCAGGACAAAUGGCCUCUGUGAUAUGUAACUGAACCUCAAGUCCAAGUGGACUGUUUAAUUCAGUCCUUUGCACUGUGAUCUGGUCAAAACAGAUACACUGACAUAAAGCCCAGAAAACACUUGAAGCUCUCUAGAUUCACGCUGAUAUAUGGAGUAAAAACAAAUUCAUCAGUAAUUAACUAAUAAGUUUAUAUCUACAUUACAUAAGCUUGUCCUGAAAUUCCUUCUAUAAAGCGCUCCCCACCAAAGAAAACUCGCUUUGCACCAUCGUCAUCUCUCUGGUUUCUUCCAUCUUCAGUACGUGCUAUAUUAGCAUCCAUGAACAUAUCAGGGUGGGGAAGGAGAUCAAUAGACAAAGAUUCCCACUCAAGUUUCUGGUAAGAAAGAAUAUAUCAUCAUCAUCAUCAUCAUCAUCAUCAUUUAAUACUAAUUCAAAACUGAGAAGUCUAACACUGCUGGACGCAGAACAAUAUGGAACACAAGAGUGAUCUGAUGCACAAAGAUUAGUACAUUACUUUGAACAAAUAUAUGAACUUUUUGUCACUGGAGAAUUCCCGUGAUUCCUUAAGACUUACAACCUGUAACAGGACAUUUGUUCAAAUAAGCUGGUAAAAUUAGAGAACUGGUCAAGAAAUGAAUGUAUGAGCAGAGCAACUAACACAUUACCUGCCAAUUUUCAUUGGUAGUAUACAGAAAAAGGUUCCGUAUAGUUAUAGAGCCCAGAGGUGAUGCCCUGUGGUACAAAUAAAAAAAAAUGAGAGAAGAAUGAGAAUAUGCACUAACCUAUACAACUUCAUAUUUCAAAGGCUUAUUUUUUGCAAAGCCCCUUGUAACUCGACCUCAAUCCCAAAAUUUCCCCCCUGGAACUAAACUAUCACCACUUUGAAAUCUGGAACUCAAUAUUCGCUCCACUUUGGAGCAAUUCUGUUUCUUCCGUUAAAUGGUUGCCAAAUGUGCUGAUGUGGAAGAUAUUUUGCUUAUGUCACAUUGUUGACCCUAGAAAUUACAAAGCCUACGUGGCGCGCAGGCCGAAUAUAUUCUAAGCUAACUACGUCCUUCGGUGAUUGCGGGGCGUGCCAACUCGUCGGCCGAGGCUCGGCCGAGGAGUAAAUUUGAUGAUGCUGCGUUGGGUCGCGCUACUGACUUCUGCGUCUUGCGAUUGCGGCCGAGAAAGGAACACGUCUCGGCCUCUUGGGUUCUCGAGCCUGAAGACAAGGCUGCUAUUUCUUACAAAGUUCACGAACCGAAUUCGGCUUGCAAUGUGCCGAAUGUAAUAACUGUAACACCUCACCUCGCCGAGAAGGCUAAUGAGAUGACCUCGACCAACAAGGAUUCGAAAACCCUUCUCGACCGAGACUUGGAUAGGCAAUCGACCGUUCUCGCCGCAGUGCUGUUGAUGCCAACGGAAGAUACUGCGAGACCGACCGACUCUACGGUGACAGAGCUAUCUAUGCCGACUUAAGAUAUCACCGGUUGCUUCCACAGUGCUGUUGAUGCCAACGGAAGAUGUGUCAGCGAAAAAGGAAAAGAAAAAGAUCUCAAGUUGUGAGAGUUUGCACAGGGCAAUUUUUGUGUUGAUUUGCAGGGAUCGAAUGGUGCGCAACCCUCCCUACUUAUAGUGAAAGUUACACCCGUUCGCUUGAUACUCUUGGAGAGUCCUAAUUGGACUCUGUCUUGUGGAAUUGCAUCUGGUUGUACAUUCGUCUUAUAUCCUUUAGCCAAGGAUCAUAUCCCUUUAUGCCAAUAAGCUUCCCGCCUUGAAAUAUGCCAAUAAUAUGCAUGUAUGGCUGACCAACGCCAAUCAUGCGGCUGAUUAAAUCCAAAUUGGCAUCCUUAUCUUUAUGCAUGCGCAAAAAUCCAUACCAAUCCAUAACCAUUCGCCAAUAAUCAGUAAUGCAUUAGGAUUCUAAUGCCCCACCAUCCUACGAAUAAAUUGGGGUUUUAGAUAAAAACUAGGUUUAAUAAAUUAUGAUUAAAAUCCCAACAUUAUCUCAAUCAUAAUUUAUUUCAACCACUUUGUCGUUCAACGGCCUAAAACCCUGCUCAUCCGACGGCCUUGAUUGCUCGGGCCGAUAUUGUAAAAAAUGGGUCCAAACACACAUACAAUUGGAAGAAGAGACAUCAAGUCUCCUCCCUUCUUUCUCAAAAGAACCUGCAAACUGGAGCGCCAAAUCCAUCAGUCAAAAACUGAAAACUUCACACAUCACUUCCAAAAUUCGUAGAGCAGCCCCAAAUCCCAAUAUCUGCUUUGAUUUUCUUUCAUUUCUCACUAUUUUUCUACCUCAAAUCAAACCCAACUGAUGAAAUUUCUUUAUUUUGAAGAUAUGUAGGGUGAGACGCUACAUCGUACAUCUGUAGCUCUGUUUUCAAAUUCUUGCAUUCAUUUUGCCAAUUUGAAUUCUUGCAUCUUGGUUGUAAUGGGUAGGGUCCUUCAUGCCCAACUAAAAGUUAAAAGUGAAAGCAAGCGAACUCUGUAACUGAAAGUUUCAACUCAAAACCAAAAAAAGAACCUAAAUUUUAAAUUAAAAGAGAGAGAGAGAUGAAGAAAGUCGCAGAGCAAGUGAUGCAUUCUUCACAGUGGCGCUUUGCUCCACUAAACCUACCCCAAAACACCUGCAACCUCGUGCCUAUUGCUUGCUCCCCCUUGAGCUGACAUUUCCAACAACAAUGACUACAUUUUGACUUCAACGGUCCUACUCAUCGUCAUGUUACCUUAGAAAAUGACUAUUAAGUGCCACCUGUGCUUUAAUUACUAAAUUACCCUUCCAUCAGCGCAUUUAACUUAAUUUUGACAGAAUAAACGGAAACUGACCAAAGUGAAGCAGAUAUUGAGUCCAGGUUGCAAAGUGGUGAUAUUUUAGUUUCAGGUGGGAAAGUGGGAUUGAAGUCGAGUUAUAAAGGGCUUUACAAAAAAUAAGCCUAUUUAAAUGUCAAAGAAAUCCUAGAGCCUGUCCCUAUAGUGUUUUUGCCAAAAAACCUGAACUUGUCAGUCCUGCAGUUUUUGAACUAAAGAUCCUAAACUAUCGUCCUGAAUACUUAAGAUAUUGCCACCCAAAACCUCCAGCAAGCAAAAAACCUUCGGCUUGCUACUUUUGGCCAUCAACAUCUACUACCUUUCUGUUAUUUUCCUGAAGUAUACUUCCUCCUCUUACAGACCCAUAAGCGGUAGGUCUCGGGUUCGAGACUUGAGAGCAGCCUCUCCAUAAAUGGGGGUAAGGCUAGCCGACAUUCACCUCUCCCAGACCCUGCGUAAAGCGGGAGCCUUGUGCACUGGGUACGACCUUUUUUUAUACUUCCUCCUCUUACAGACCCAGAACUUAAACAUUUAAAUCUUCAAUAUGUCCUCCUAUAUACAAAAAUUAUCAUUUUUACCAAAUAUUACUGGCCUAUAUAAUAAGUUAGCACAGAUACAUAUGCCAUUUUAAGAGAUAAAAUAUCUACUUGUUGAUUUGUAUAAACUCAAUUCCUUGUUUGGGGCCAAAAGUUCUUGAUCAUAAACCCAAUUCCCACAAAAGGGAUCCAUAACUAAGAACAUCACGACUGCACAUGGUAAAUAUGAUAUCACAUAUUGAAGAAUUUCCACCUGAUACAUCUAUAUUAACUUCAAUCUAAGGUUAAAAAUCUACAAAAGUUAUCAAGUGUCCUUAAAAGGCCAGUUCAUUGAGGAUAAGAGCAUUUCUGGCCAUAUUCGUUUCCGAAAUAUAUAACUAGAGAACUGGGACUGAGAAAUUACCAACUAGCGCCUUCAUGGCUUCGACCACCCCCACGAGUCUCAAGUAGAAGAUUAACUGUGAGAAUCUCCAAAGUCAUUCCAUCUGCAAUCUGAUCAUUUUAAAAAAGAUCGAUAACGUAACUUCCAGAAUAAAUGUUCAAAUCUCUAUGCAUGCUCAAAAAACCCAAAGAAGACACUCAUCAGUAAGGAAGCUUGCAAGAAAACUUUACAGGCCUGGAUUUUCAACUGAUUUGAGCUACUAAUGAUACCAUUGAAAAAGUCAGUAUGUGUUGACCUUUUUUUUAGAAGAAACAAAAUUUAUUGAACAAUUAAAAUUGUGCAACAAUACAAGAGCAGAGGACCAGAAAUUCCACUUCACAGAACAAAACAAGAAUAGAAAAUAGACGAAAUGUUGGAAUGAAAAGUGAAUUACAAAAAGCAUGAGAGCAAGGGAGGAGUUGAAUGAAUGAAAGGUCGGAACCUAACAAAACACAUAAUCUCAGUUGCCAUACUUCGGUGAUAAUUAGCCAGAUACACUAAAAAAGACUGGAGCUUUAUUUGACAAAUUUCAUCUUGUUAACAAGCUAUAAUCGCCAUUCGGCAACAAACAUGAAAUGUGUCAAGAAUUCAAUGCCAUUUGGCAACAAUCUCUCCUUUUACAAGUGAUAGCUAAUUAUUUUUAUUCUUCCUGAGUUUUGAAGUUUCAUCAGUCUUAAAGAAUGACAAGAUUAUUUACAUUCUGUAUAGAGAACACAUAACUGCACUGACUGAACCUCACCUUAUCAGCAAAUCCAUAACCGCUGCCCAUUGCUGAGCUAGAGGAUGAUGGGGAACUGCACACAAGAAUUUAUUUGCUCAGUAAAACCAUGACUGCACUAUAAAACUUGUUUCAAUCUUGAAAUGUAUAAUCAAGCACCUCCUUGGACUCCUCUCAUCCAAAUCUGACUUCUCCUCCAGAACCAAAUCAAGCCUAUCAAUUUGCACGACAAUCGGCUCUAUUUGCACAUUACUGACAGAUGGGAGCUAUCAAACCACACAAAGAAGAGUCAUUUACUUAACUCAUAUCCGAAAAUGAAUUGAGAAAUAAUGCAUAUAAAGGAAACCAUCUGGAAUAUACAUCAACCCUAAGCUCUCACCAGAGCAUCACAUCUUGUACAACGAUAUACUCAACUAAAUUCGAGAGUUUUGUAACAAUUAAGAGAGUAUACACAAAAAGCCAACACAUUUUAACUUCUCAUUUCCUUUUCCAAUCCAUUAACUUCCGAUUUCCAAUUCUCAGCCAGACACUAUAACAAUUGAAACCAAUUGAAUUAUACCGAAUACACAACAAUCAGAAUUAACAGUCACCAACCACUAUCUCCAACUUUCCAACUUUGGCCGUGGCUACGUUCAGUGCCGGCGGCAAUCCCAUGCUCGAAUGCAAAGCAUCGCCAUUGAUAUCUGUCAAAUUCAAAAACAAAUCAAUGAAACCCUACUACAACGAAUUGAGCAAACAAAUCCCUGAAAUUUACCUAAAUUAGAAAGCUGGACCGUCCGUCCCUGCAACUUGAACUGGUCUCUGGAGAAAGAUUUCAACCAAUAUUUGAGAGUGUACUCCAGCGCCCGAGCCAAUAUCGACUCCAUACCUGAAGCAAACUUGCAGAACUUCUACAACGCCCUCGAGAAUUCAAACAAAUCGUCAAUGGAAGCUUUCCGCCGCAACUCCGCGGAUCUGCGCCGAUGCGAAAUGUGGAAAACCGUAAUCGGGUUUGGAUCGGGGGUUCUGGCUGGCGGGUGCAGCAUGCAUUUGGCGAUUGUAUUCUUCUUCACUAAUGAGAAAAUGAGAAAUGAAAUGUUAAGUUCGAAUGUGCCAAAUUUAAUUCUAAAUUAGGCUAUAUUAUUAGUAUGACUUAGCUAAAAAUAUUGUUGUAUAAAAAAAAAACAAAUAUAUAUAUAUAUAUAUGCGCUAGGAUGAUAUGAUCCUUUUCAUUUUGCAAUGAUUGCGAUAGAUUUCGGCAUUUUACAUUUUUGGAUACCACUUUGAACGUCAUCUUUACAAAAAUAAAGUUGUUUGAAUUUGUUUAAUGAAUUGUGGAAAUUGUCGAUAAUACAUCGUAUAUAAUUAAUCUAACAGACCUAAUUAAUUUGUUUAUGGAAUUACGAGUAGAAGGGAAACACGGGUAUCGUAUGAAAACGUCAAAUAAUAUUGAAGAUUUACGCUUACCACAUAUUUGUACAUCAUUUAUAUCAUCUCUCUAAUAAAAGUAAGAUCCAGUAACACAUGUGGAUUCUAUCUUUAUUAAAAAGUGUACAAAUAUGUUGUAGAGUAGAAAUUUUUGUAUAAGUAAAUAAACUAUAUCUAUCACUUAAAAGCCAAAAUGUUGACAUUAAUAAUCAAACAAUUCAACAACUUAUAAUUUUUUAAAACAGUUUUGGUAGAUCCGAUCCUGAAGAAUGAUCUAGAAUUGUUGCUAAUGACUCGUACGAUGUUUGGUGGGUUUAUUAGAUGUAUUGGAUUGUUUAUGCUAAAGAUAGUUAACCAAAAUGAAUUGUAGUUUGAUAGGAUUUCUUUUUAAUUGUUGAUGCAGUCCUAAUCUAGUUAUCCACCCAUUAAGAGAGUUGACCAAAGAGAUCAAAUUCUUAUUUCUAUGGCAAGAAAAGCUCAUCACUAUUAAUAUAAAUAAAGAUACAAGAUUAGGGAUAAAGACACAUUCUCAUACACAUGAGCAAUUUUCUAUUUUUAUCGUCCCCUCUCUCACACUUUUAAAAUUAGUUUCACAACACGUUAUCAACACAAAGUGUCUCUGCGAGAAAGAUAGGAUCCCAAAGGAAACUAAACCACCCAGUAUGAAAUUGAAGUGCAGAGGAUUCUAGAUUUUUACAGUGUUGUCUAAAGCAUGCCAGAGGCUUUCACUGGUCUCGAUCACAUAUAUCAGCUGCAAACGUGUAUGCAAGGAUAGACGUGCCUGACAGAGGUCAAGUUAACGUGGAGCAAGGACGUGUAUGUUGGUUAUUUAGUUUGAGAAUAGAUACUCUCUGAAUCUCUUCCACCAAAGUCACCGGAUCAAGUGAUCUGGGCCUUUCAAAUUUUAUCCAACGGUCCACCUGUUUUGACCCCUUAAAAACUAAAAUAAUUUUUGGUCGUUGGAUGAAAAUUGAAAAGCUUGAAUCAUUUGAUCCGGUGGCCUUGGUGGAAGAGAUCAGGAGAUGAUCUCUUCUCAUUUAGUUUAUUUUAUUAAAGAUUCAAAACUAUAUUUAUUAUCAUUUAAAAUAAUAAAUAUAAAGAGUCAUGUCUAAUGGAGAUAAUCAUGUCUUUUACAAAAGGGUAAUGCUAUAGAAGCUAAAUUUUUAAACUAAAUUUUGUGAACCAAAUGAUGUGGUUGUUGAUGGUCGGAUUAUUACUUAAGUGUUGAUUAACGUGUUUAUUUCUUAUUAGUAAAACGUGAUUUAGUUUGCAAAUUUGGUUUAAAAUUUUGGUCUACCUAAAAGGCUAGAAUCACCAUUUACAAAAGGGUGUAGAGAGUUUUAUAAAUAGGAAACUCCUCAAACAUAAAAUAGAUGUUCAAUUAUUUUCUUUCUCUCCCUACUGUAGUACUCAUCUAUAUUCCUUAUUAUUUUCCUACUCAUCUUUAUCAUUAAUAAGCAAUUCAUCACUAAUUGGCACCUCGUUUACUGUAAUCGUGCGUAUGGAUCAGACACUCUGUGAGAUUCAAAGGUUGUAUCGUGAAGUUGUAUAUAGCCAUUAUAAUCUACACGUAGGGAGGCAUCUACAUCUUUAGAACAAUGACAACACAUCUCUCUUGAUACCACAAGUCAAACUAUCUCUUAAUACCACACGGGCAGUUAGCCAAUCACAUGGUCAUGUUGGGCAGUAGGUACAUUGGCGGUUAGCCACUCACAUGCCCCACCUUGAAGCGUGGGAGACCCGUUAGUUCGAAGGAUUGUAUCCCCAGAAGAGGAAGCAAACAACACAUACUAGUCAAACUAGUUUGGAUCCUAUCGAUGUCUUAUUUGAUCCAUCGCAUGAAAUUCUUCUAAAUUAUGGUAGAGUAUUGGAAGAGAAACAAUCUUAUCCCGAGAAUUGAGAGAUUUCAUCCACUAUACUAGCUUGGAUGUGGUUUGGAACUAGAAUGAGGUUAUCAUCGAUGAUGCAUUUGCAUUUGCACAUUGCAGUAGAUAUUAAAAUUUUGAUUAGCGAUGAAGUCAAAUUCAUUCCGUUGAUGAAUGUCAUGUAGAACUGAUUAGCCAAAAUGGAAGGAAGAAAUUCAAGUUGAAUUUGAUUCCUUAGCAGAGGGUUAAGUGUUUUGACCUGUAGUUCCAACUCUAUCUAGUGUGAAGCUUGUUGGCUACAAGUGGGUGUUCGUAAGAAAGCGUAAUGAGAAUAAUGAAAUAGUGCGUUACAAAGCACGCCUUAUAGCAUAAGGUUUCUCUCAACGCCCUGAAAUUGACUAUGAGGAGACUUAUUCCCCCAAAAUGGACGUCACAAGUCUGCUACCUUGUCAAUCUGAUAGUUUUCAAAAGACUGAAUAGUAGCUCAUGGACAUGGUCAAAACUUAUCUAUAUGAGGACCUAGAUACAAAUAUUUAUAUGAAAGUUCGUAAAGGACUUGUAUUGACUGGAUAAAAUAGUUCUUGACCACGAACACUAUCUAUUAGAUUGAGACAUUCACUUUACGUAUUGAAGCAAUGUCAAUUUCAUUUAAUAUAUAGGUGAUACCUAUAACGAUUUAGUAUCUUUAGUAUUACCCAUCAUAAUGAAAAUGUGAGUUUUCGUAUACAGUUGUAGCAUACAUUAUGAUUUAAGAGUUUUAGACGUGUUAAAGAAGAAGUAUGAAGGGAAUGCUUCUAUAUUAAAUGUAGAAAUAAAUAUAGCUAGAAUUUAGAUUUUGUAUAUAUUCAGCAACAAAUCUACUUAGGGAGAGCGGUUGGUACGGGAUACUUUAGAGGUUGAGAACAAAAGCUUGUAAAUGUCCUGCAUCUCUAGGGACUUUUCAAAUGUCUCAUACGGUCCAUAUGGAACCUUUUUGUAUCCACUAAGUGUUCUAUGAAAAAGUUAUUCAACAUAUCUCGAUAGCACUUGAUAGGAUGACAUAUACACUAAAUGCUUGACGAAAUACCCAACUAAAAUCUUUAUAAAAAAAUAAUGCACUAUUUUUGUAUAAAAAUAAAUAUUUAAUUUUACGAUAGAAUCCUCAAAAUUAGAAUUCUAAACCAGGCACUAUUUUUUAUUGAACCCAUCACAAUAUGUGAAAUUGAAUAUAUGCCUUGUUUGCGCAGCAGAUGGAGAGGAAGAGAGCCCAAAUUCUCUCGGUUGCCAAGAAUGAGUUGGUUCUUUGCUUACUACGUUGCUUCGCAAGCUACUUUACGUAACUCGAUGAUGGAUAAUCUCCGCAAUUUUGCUUGACAACAAUGCCAAGUGAACUGGUAUUUGCUGGGCUAAUUACUAAUUUGCCCCAUAUUCUUUCGGUCACACGUAUUAUAUUUGUGUUUAGUUCGAUACCUAGUCAGUAACUGAUUUAUUGACAUUGUACGCUCUAACCUAGUUGCCAGUCCCUCCCGUUAGAUGUAAAAUAUCAUUGUAUACAAAAUAAAUAAGGGACAAGGCCAAUUUUUAAAGAAACUUGUGUAUAACUCUCUAUGUACAUAUACAUGUUAAUUUUCCAAGGUAAAACAGUUAGAACAAGUUCAUUAGUAAUCAUCUUAUCAUUCCUAUUUUUGACGGGAGAAAAGAACUUAUAUAAAACGAGUUCACCGUUACAUUUCAUCUUUUGUCCAAUAAUUCAUUGUCAUGUGCACGUUUCUUUCACAUGAAUAUAUUAUUGAAUCAAGAUGUCAUGUGACGGUGAACUCGUUUUAUAUCAGUUGCUCUCUUGAUGAGGACCCGACAAUUUUAUUUAGGUUAGCAUCUGAGAUAGACAAGUGCUUGGUAAAGAUUCCCAAAUCUGUAACCCAAUGCUUACUCAACAUUUAUAUCUUACAUGUGUGAGUAUAUGUUGCCAAUUAAUCUCUUUCCUGUGUCCCACUUGCCACUCAACAAGCUGUCCAUAAUCUCAUGAACCUUUUUCUAAUUAUGCUUUCGGCUUUGUUCUUCUAUUCUCCCCUAAUGACGUUCAACUAAGUGACCAUGAUUAUUACCUUUUGAUAUAGAUGGGUCGGGCUCCCUCAGUUUGGUCGUGAAGUGACCGAGACGGUCCUAUUCAUCAGAGUUUUCAGGUUAAAUCCCGAGCUUGGAGAAUUCAGCCUUCACGUUCGAGAGAUCAGAAACUUAAAGCAAGGUCUACUUGAUUAUGGUCACAUACAUGAUGAAAUUUUUCAUAACCUCUUUGAACUCGAAAGUGAUAAAUUACUGUAAUUUGCUACUAGUUAUGUCCUUUAAAAAAAAAAAAAAAAAAAAACCAAGUGUUCUCAGAUUGAAUUCUGACCAUCUCUGCGGCCUUGGGGUCCGAGGUUUACCGGAGCUGAAUCCUUGACGCCAUGUUUUGAAUGACAAACCUAAUACUCAUGUACAAUCAUUGACCAGUGCGUAACUUAACGAAAAUCACACUUUUCAUAUUAAAUAUAGGAAUAUGCUAUCCACACAUUUUAUUUUACUUCUCACACAACCUUGAUAAUUUAUGUAUGUUGAUAUUCUUCAAUUCAUCUGAUCCGACAACCGAAAAUUUAAAAAAUAUGUAAAAAGUAAAAUGAGAUAUAUGAAUAUUACACUCAUAAAUAUAUUAAAUAUGUUGUGUAUAAAAAUAAAUAACUCAGGUACUCGUUAAUAAUUAAUUUUGAUGCCAAUCAAACGUCACCGUUACCAUGUUUUAUAAAAUUUUGCACUCUCUGACAAAAUCCUUAUCUGGAAGUUAACCGAAAUGAAUACAGCAUCAGCAAAACUGCCUUGCUGUGUGUAUUGAUAUGCUAAAUUUAGUUUACUCCGCUCCGUUAUUUAUUGCAGAUGACGUCAUCAUCUUGUCUUUGAGUCACUAGUCUCCUCCACAACCACAUGCAGGUUUUAUUAGGGCACGAUGGCCUUUUCCAGACGUGAGGAUCAUGCACAUGGAUAUAUGGAUAUACGGUAAUACCUAUGACAAAUGUUAAGAAGACUUUUUUAUAAUUUAUUAUCUGUCAUUUUACAGUUUAACGUUAAUUUUCGUGUCAAUAUUAUAAAAUAUUAUGCUAAAAAUUUGAGAUGACAGAGAGUAUAUCGAGAGUACUUUUAAGAGGGCAUCCUUUGUAUUUCUUGAAAAUAUAGAGAAAUGUUUAAAUGGUUUUCAAAAGUGGGACUCAUUGCCACCUCAUUUUUUGGUACAAUGUUUUAGAGAAAUGUUAAGCAAACUCACUUAAAAGUGAGACUUUUUAUGAACUUUCUGACAUAUUAUGUUUUUGACAUAAUAUUUUAUAAUAUUGAUACGGAAAUUAACGUUAACAUAUGAGAUAACAAAAAAUCCAUGAAAAGUCUCAUUUUGAAAGUCUCCUUAAAAUUUAUCUUUUAUAAUAUUAUUACAAGAAUUAAUAAAAAAAUCUUCUUAACAUUCCUCUAUAUGGUCAUGAUUAAUAUGAUGGCUUGGGUGGAAAACCAAGUUAAGGUUCUCUUGAUAUUGCAACUUGCAAGUUAGAAAAAUGCAGUCAAAUACUUACGGCUUGUUGGAUUUUUGCAACUUGCAGAGUUUGAUUGGCAGGCAAAAGUUCAUUGAAUGUGUAACUUGUGCAAGCACGUUAGCCAAAGAUAAAAAUUUAUCUAACCAAACGGUUGGUAGCGAUUUUCACACACUUUUAUUUAUUUUUGUUUUUUAAAUUUGCUUUGCUUUAGUAUUUUCUAUAAAAAAGAAGAAAAUAACUUACAGCGAGGAUUGUCUACGACGAAUCAUCCUAAUUGGGUAUAUGUCACAUGAACUUCAUGCAAAGUGUUAUAUAACAAGAAUGAGUGUGUAUAUAGCACCACCCUAUAAGUACAAGGGUGGAUCUGUGAUACCACUUGUUUGCAUAAUUUUUUACACACGUUUUUGUAAUGUAUUUAAGAAUUUGAACUAUCACUACUCAGUAUUACGGUCUGGUGGUAUUCCUCUUCGCUUAGAAGUGAGAGGUCUUAGGUUCGAAUCUCGUGGAUGACGAAUUCGAUACCAAAUUAGGUUGCCAAUUGUGUGGCUUAGCCGAACUCCCCUCCUCCUAAUGUAAAAAUAUAAAUGUAUUAAAAAAAGAAAUCUAACCGUCUAUCUUUUAGAGCAUUAUUCAUAGACCAUCCUUACAAAAAAAUUAGACAAAUCGAAAAUCAUUAAGACAUUAAUUUAUAGUGAAGAAAAUGGACGAAUAUGAUUCUACUAGUAAACCCUAAACUCUUAGAUAUGAUUUCCGAUUUGAGUGAUUUUUUAUAGACACGAUAUUUGAGGAAAAACAUAAAAGAUAGACAGUUUGGAUCGUUGAAAUACAUAACGAAACGAUCUUUACAAAAAUGUGUGUAAAAAACUAGUACCACAUAUCGGUCCCAUAUGUGUGUGUGUAUAUAUAUAUAUAUUAUGUAGGGAGCAUUUGAAGGGGUAUUUUAUGCUGGAGGUCCAAGAAAAGGAAACUUGGAAACCAAGCUGCAGGAAGACAACAUCGGAUUCCCCUCCUAAAUGUCUUGCUUAACCCACUUUACUACUCCACUUAUCAAUGUCUCCUCAGUCGGAUCACGUCAACAACUUGUACCUAUUUUUUCUAGGAGGGUUUUCUAUUUAUUUUUUAUAAAAUAUUUUGUAUAUAUAUUUUUUGAACAAACAAUAUUAUUUACAUAAAUAAGGAACCAGAAUGUAUUUGUAUAUCUGUAAUAAUUGGUAUGUCUUUUUAUAUAUGUUUACAAAAUUAAUUUAAUGAUUUGCUUAUAAUGAAAGUAAAAUACCACCACAACUUACUUUAUGUGGAAGACACAAUCACAAUAUUUACCAUCACAUCGAAUUAAAAAAAAAAUCUAGUUUGAUAUUUAAAUGUGUAAUGCUAUGCCUAAAGCUUAAGGAUUUAACCGAUUAGAAGGCUCGUUGUUCGCAUACUUAUUCCUUUUUUUCGUUCUCAAAUUUUAAAUUCCUCUUAUUUAUAAUAAGUAAGCAUUACAAAAUAUUAUUCGUGAGAUUUUGAAUUUUAUCUGUUUGUUAAACUUAUCAUUCUAUUAGAUCUUAUGAUUCAAGAAAAUUGUGGCUAUCCAUCAUUCGAUCUUAAUUCAAUAGUAGGUGAUCAUUUAACUUUGGUAAUUGUUACCUUUGUCUUCAUUGUUGAAUUAAUGUCGGGGUCGGGAGAAGGGUGAAAAUUGUUUGACCCACUAAAACUCUUCCAACCCAUUUCAAUUGUAACAUCCCACAUUGCAAAGGGAAAUUGAUUUUGUAAGCCUUAUAUGUAUAUUUUCAUCUCUACCUAGCACGAGGCAUUUUGGGAGCUCACUGGCUUCGGGUUCCAUCGGAACUCCGAAGUUAAGCGAGUUCGGGCGAUAGCAUUCCCAUUAUGGUUGACCCACUGAGAAGUUCUUGUGUGAGUUCCCAGAAACAAAACAGUGAGGGAGUGAUCAAGUCCCAAAAUGGACAAUAUCGUGCUACGGUGAGUCGAGCCCGGUAUGUGGUGAGGGUCCGGGUCGGGAUGUGACAUCGCUCACCUAGGCUAAAAUCGACUAGCCUAGCGCUAGGCCAUGUGAUGCAAGGUGGCGUGCUACAAUUAAAAACGUAAUGAAAAAUACAAAAAAUUAUAAAAAAUCAUAAAAUUGAAUUAAAAAUACAAUACAAAAAAAAAAAAAUCUAUAAACACAUUAUUCCACCUUAUACCACAUUUUAGUAUUUUCAAAUACUUUCAACUAAUUUUUUAUUAUCAUCUAAAAUUAAAAAUAAAAUAUUUUUAUUAAUAUUUGAAUACAAAAUGCUUGAGCUAUUCAGUUUAAAAGUUGUUUUUGGUUCAACUACGUGAGACUCUCACCCAAUAAAUACCCAAAGCCGAAGCAAAAACCCAAUUUUGAUAAUGCCUUAAAGGUGGCUCAUAGCAUAUAGAUAGAGUCGUAAACAAAUAGUCUCUUAUUUUUUUAUUUUUAAGUUUAUUCCAAAAAAUGUAAAAAAAAAAAAAAAAAAAAAAACACAUAAAAAAAAAACAUUGCCAUUAUCCGAUCUCUUUCUCUCUCCUCAUAUCUCCCCCGGUUUUCUGGCGAUUUCUCGGUGGUUUUCCCCUUCAAAAACCCUAAAAAUCCCUCCUUUAAUCCUCUGUACAAAUUAUUUCCAUUCAAUUCCUACCCAUUCUUUUUUUUUUUUCAAAAUUCAAGAAAAUCCCAUUAUUUUUUAAUCUCUAAAUUUUUUUAUUUUUUCCGUUGUAGGAGUAUAAAGAACCCCUCAUUCUUCAGCAAAAUUGUACAUUUGUUCACGGUGUUUUUUCGAAUUUCAGCUUCUGGGCAUUAAAGAUAAAGUCCCUUUGGUGUUCUUUCUUUGUAUUUGGAAGCAGUUACGAGUUUCUUUGUUUUUUAUUGAGGAGAAGACGUGGAAUCAGAGGCGAAGGCCCUGUGUUCCCUAUUUAUUUCGAUUUGGGGGUUUUAAAUUUUGGGUUUUUGUGAAAAUUCGGAUGCUUUUUGGUGUAAGAAGGAGAUGGAGACACUUGGGACCUAAAGCUUGUGAAUUUGGGGCUGUUUCUUAUUUGGGUCUUGCCUUAUAAUCAAAGGGAAACAGCUCUGGGGUUAUGAUUAAGGCAGUUUUCGAAGAAUCAUCGGUUUUCGUGAUUUGGGUAUUGACUAGUUUGAUCUCUCUGGUUCUGGGGAUGAGGAAUGAUGGCGGUCAGAAGCAGCAGCAGGGUGGUGUGCCUCGCCCAGCUCGGUCCAACAGCUUCAUUCCUAACUCUUUUCGGGCCAUUUCGAGCUACUUGAGGAUCGUUUCGUCCGGUGCUUCAACUGUUGCGAGGUCCGCGGCUUCGGUGGCUUCCUCGAUUGUGGAUAGGGAUGAUGAUACCAACCAUGAUCAGGUAUGAGUUGCAGAAUCUUGGUUUCUUUAUUUGAAAUUUUAGCACUUUGUUGGAAAAUUAGUUUUGAAGUGUAGAAUUCAGUUCAUUUGUUGUGUAUGUACAACUAUCUGUUGUGUAGAUGUUGCUACCUUUAGCGAAUAGAUUGAUUAAACUUACUGUUAUGAAAAUUUUGGAAUAAAGUAUGGAUUCUGGAUUCAGUGUAAAUCGUUUACUUUUAUGAAUACAAGCUUUGAAAUGCAGAUUGAAUGUAGACUAAUAUGUGCAGUAUUUAAGUUUCCAAAAUUGUUUGCUGUGAAUACAUAAUUUGAAUAUGUUGCAUCUGAAACUUUGAACCUGAAAGAGAAUGCAAAAGCUGUCUGUAGAUGAUGAAAAUUGUUUAUGGAAGUGGUGGUUAUUUACCUAACCAAUCGAAGUUGAUGAAAAUUGUUUAAGAAAGCUUGAUGUGGAAGCUGAUUGAAUUAGGAUGGUAUUAGUGUUUAUACUAGUUGUGGAAAGGAGAAGUUGCGAUUAGUUGGAAGAGUGAUUGUAGGGGUCGAGGUUAUUAUGCAUGCAUCGUAAGAUUUGAUUCUUGUUGAUGCAAUAUUUUUUGAAGGAUUUUGUCGGUUUCAUGUCGGGAUACUAGAUAAUCUAGUGGAUUAUUUUGUAUAUUUAUUGCAAGAUUUGAUUCUUGUUGACGCAGUUUUUUUAAUAGAAUUUUGUUGUUUUGGUGUCGGGAUACUGGCAGUUUGGGGUCAUAGGUAGUUCAGAACUUCAGAUGGGGUGUUCGCAACAGGCUAAUGUGACUUUUUGCUUAUUUAAUGUCGGAUAGCAUAGUUGUUUUGAUCGGUCAGUUGCGUAAUUGAGGCUCUACACGUGUUAUCUUUCGAAUCAAUAUUUUGAUAUACAUAAGCCUCAUGGCCGGUGUGGUGCGUAGCGUACCUUUUGUCGGAUUUGUGCUAUAUAUUCCACGUGUUUGAUUUUAAAUGAUAUUAGUUUUCUAUUUUUUUAAGCUUUUUUCAUUGCAAUUAAAAAUUUUAAUUUGGAAAUAUUUGGUGUUCUAUUUUAGCUUUGAUUGUGUGACUUCUAUUAAAUCAUGUUUUCCAUCUUGGUUGUGACAAAUGUGUGUGAAUCAUGUCAGAUAUAAAGGAAACUUUUUUGAGUAUGUCUGUUACAAGUGCACGCCCUGAUUUCCAGAUUCAAUUGAAAACAUUUGGUUAAGCGCUUAUUUGUUUAUUCAUUGAUAAAAAGGAAACUUUUUUGAGUAUGUCUGUUACAAGUGCACGCCCUGAUUUCCAGAUUCAAUUGAAAACAUUUGGUUAAGCGCUUAUUUGUUUAUUUAUUGUUAGAUUGGUAGCAUUGGGACGUUUCCGUAUCAUGCAUGCCUUGAUGCUACAGGAACUAUACAUUCCGGUUAACAACUUUAGCUCGACCUUAAUAUUACUAUAUAAAGGAGUUGCUAGAAAGUGCUAGAAAGUAUUUCAGGCAUGGUAAGAAGCUGGCUUUGAUGACAUGUUUUCUGUUGGCAUUUACAGAAUACAGUCAUAACUAAUCUGUUGAAUUGGACUGUGGGUUUUUGCGACUUAAAUGGUGUGACAUUAUAAUUGUCAUGUCAUUUUUAAAAGAUAUUGUGCAACUAGCACUGACGUUUAGUGAUUGGUGUAGUUGAACUUGUGACAACUAUAUAGAUAAUUUAAUUUUAUUGUAAACUAGAUUUCAUAAUUUAAUUCAUGUAGUGACUAAUUAUUUCAGUAGAAAUGGAAUUCAUCCCGAACUGAUCAUUCCUUUAACAGUAACAUUGAUUGGAAAAUUUCAUUUUAAGACGGGGAUAAUUGCAGCCAAACAGAGCCUCUAUUUAUUUUGUUCAAGUAAACGAUUUGUUUUACAAAAAUCAAGCCUUUCUGAUGAGGACACAUUUUAUGAUUUUCUUUUUGGAAACAUUAUGAUGAAGAUGGCAUACAUAUUUCUUACAAGGUGAAAUAAUGAUUCACUGAUGGAAGAGUUUUUGGACGUUAUACUUAUACUGAAUUGAGUCUAGAAAACAUAAUACUAAUAGGAUUUUACUCAUUAUUUUUGUGCAAUGCUACUUUGGGAACAAGAAAGCAGUUGCAUAAUGAAAAUAUUUGAUGCAAAUUGCAGUGCCUUUUUGCAGGUUCAACACCCAAAUAAUUACUUAUUUCACUUCAAACAUGCCCGUGCACUAGAACUUUGAAGGAGCAAUUGAGCUGCAAUUGUUAAGAAGUUUCGUGGUUCUAUAAUAUAUAUAUAUAUAUAUAUAUAUAUAUAUAUAUAUAUAUAUAUAUAUAUAUAUAUAACAAGUUAGAAAGUUUAAUUUAAAAUAUACGAACAAUACAUACCUAAAUGGGGGUCUGUAAUUGAUUGGAAAUUUUAGCUUUUUGUUUAGAUGUUAGAAGUGGUAAAAUGGUAUUUGUUGAGAAUUCUUACCAUUCAGCAGGGAUAUUCUGAUACAUAUUUUUCAUUCUUGAAUUUGAUGUUAGUCCAUCAAGGUCUCUCUCUCUCCCAACCUUUUUUCCGCCAAAGGUUAUUUUAAAGAAAAUUAUGUAAAGCCUAAGAGUGGGUGUUAAUUAUGCACAUUCAGGUUGAUGACUCUUUAUCUCGUUGUUUUCUGUAAAUUUCCUCCUUUUGUUUUAAACUUGGUUUUCUUACCUUCUUCCUGUAGCUGCUUGUUUCAUUGAACAUUAUGCUAUUACUUACUUCUAAUGUUGAUGUACAAAUGAUUUAAGUUUUUCUCUUUGCUUUUGGAUUUUUAAAAGUAGUAGACUUGGAUUUGACUUUUCAUUUUUCUUUUGAAUAAAUAAAGGUAAACUGGGCUGGCUUUGACAAUUUAGAAGGUGAGGGGAAUCUCACUCGUCAAGUUCUCCUUCUGGGUUACUGUUCUGGAUUUCAGGUUUGGGAUGUUGAAGAAGCAGAUAAUGUCCGCGACCUGGUUUCCAGAUAUGAUGGUCCUGUCUCAUUCAUGCAAAUGCUACCUAAACCUAUAGCUUCAAAGAGAUCAGAAGACAAUUUUGAAGAAAGCCGUCCAUUGCUGGUAGUUUGUGCUGAUGGGUCCAUUUCUGUUGGUAAUACCAUACAGGAUGGUACUGCCACUCCUCGCAAUGGUAUUACUGCAAACAGCCAUGACACAAUGAACAGCAGUUUUGUGCCUACUGUUGUUCGGUUUUAUUCUCUGAAAUCUCAAUCUUAUGUUCAUGUUCUAAAGUUCAGAUCAGUUGUUUAUUCUUUAAAAUGCAGUUCUCGAGUUGUUGCUAUUUCUCUAGCAGCUCAGGUAUAUACCUGUUUAUGUAAAGUUUCUCCAUUAUUUCUUAUCUUCUGCUUAACCAGUGUUUGAGUAUCUAGUCUUGCGUAUUGCAGAUACACUGUUUUGAUGCCAUGACAUUUGAGAGAGAAUAUACCAUUCUUACCAACCCGAUAGUUAUGGGAUUUCCUGGUUCUGGAGGUAUUGGUUGUGGACCUCUUGCAUUAGGCAAUAGAUGGCUGGCUUAUAGUGGAAGUCCUGUUGCUGUAUCUAAUUCUGGGCGUGUCAGUCCACAGCAUCUGGAACCUUCUGCAAGUAUUUCUGGUUUUCCUUCAAAUGGAAGCCUGGUUGCUCACUAUGCAAAAGAGUCAAGCAAGCAACUAGCUGCUGGGAUUGUAACCCUGGGAGACAUGGGUUAUAAGAAGCUGUCCCGGUACUGCUCUGAGCUUAUACCUGAUAGUAAUACUUCUCUUCAAUCACCCAAUCCUGUGUGGAAAGUCAACGGUACUGUCAAUGGCCAGUCCACAGACACUGAUAAUAUUGGAAUGGUAUGGUACAUAUUGUUGACCUCAAUUCUGCUUUCACCUGUAGUUUUAGUUUUCACUUUCUCUUUUAGAAUAUCAUAUAAUGAGUGAAUUACCUUUCUAGCUUUGCAUGAGUAAAUGCAUGUACAUGCUUUAUUUAUGUGUUUUUUACCAAAUAAGUUUGUUAUAAGGGUAAGUGAUACUGUUCUGAUUGUUUCAUGCGUUAUUUGGGUCACCUGUGCUUAUCAUGUUCUUUGGUUUGUCAGGUCAUUGUCAGAGAUAUUGUCAGUAAGGCUGUUAUUGUGCAGUUCAGGGCGCACACGAGUCCUAUUUCUGCGAUACGCUUUGAUCCUAGUGGCACCCUUUUAGUGACUGCAUCAACUCAGGGGCAUAACAUCAAUGUUUUUAAGAUAAUGCCUGGGAGCUCUCCUUCAACUGAUGGUGGUGCAUCAUAUGUACAUCUUUACAGGCUGCAACGUGGAUUAACAAAUGCAGUAAAAGCUAUUCUCUUGGUUUGGGAUUCCUUGUUGGGUACACCAUUUGUUGCAACAAUCACAUGUUUUAUAUUAAUUUCCUCCUUUUUCGUUUUUCUGUUUUCCAGAUCAUACAGGACAUCAGUUUUAGUGAUGACAGCAACUGGAUCAUGGUUAGUUCCUCUAGGGGGACAAGCCAUCUGUUUGCAAUAAAUCCUUGGGGAGGAUCAGUAAAUCUCCCAACUGCCAAUGCUGGUUUUACUACCAAAAGUACAGGAUUGGGGGUUACAACUAGAUCGUCAGUUCGUUGGCCAGGUUUGCAAACGCCUAAUCAGCAAAGCCUUUGCUCAGCUGGUCCCCCGGUUACCCUCUCUGUUGUUGGUAGAAUAAGAAAUGGAAAUAAUAGUUGGAGAGGCACUGUAACUGGUGCUGCAGCCGCUGCAACAGGCAAGAUGAGUUCCCUUUCUGGGGCAGUUGCUUCUUCAUUCCACAAUUGCAAAGGAAAAGCUUAUUAUGUGGAUCGCAACUCUUCGAAGGCUAAGUACCAUCUCUUGGUUUUUUCCCCUUCUGGUUCCAUGAUACAAUAUGCAUUGCGAAUAUCAAAUGGUCUAGAUUUGACAGCUGUGGCUGGAUUGAACAGUGCUUAUGAGUCAGGCCUGGAGGGUGAUACAAGAUUAGUAGUUGAAGCUAUCCGGAAGUGGAAUGUAUGUCAAAAGCAAAACCGAAGGGAACGUGAUGAUACUUCUGACAUAUAUGGUGAGAAUGUAAAUUUCGACAACAAUAAGAUAUCCCGAAGGGAAGAAGAAGGGAAACACCAUUUACCCAGAAGCUUGCAUUACUCUCCCAAAAGCAAAGAUCAGUUCUGAGGAAGAACAUCAGUUGUAUAUUUCAGAAGCCGAACUGCAGAUGCAUGAAGCACGGAGUCCAGUAUGGGCAAAACCUGAGGUAUUUCUUUUGAGUAUUGGAGAAAUCCAAAACUGCAGUUAUGCAUGUUUUUCACACAAAUUAUGUGUUUGUGAUGUUUAACAUGCUCUUUGCUUUUGUAAAAUGAUUUGCCAGCUAUACUUUCAGUCAAUGAUCAUGGAAGGUGUCAAAAUGGAUGAUGAAACCACUUCAGGAGGGGAAAUUGAGAUCGAGAGGAUUCCUACUCGCAUGAUUGAAGCAAGAUCAAAGGACUUGGUACCAGUUUUUGAAUAUCUUCAAACUCCCAUAUUUCAACAAACAAGGUGAGCUGAGCUUGUAAGCCUUGUAUGCACCCACUUAUUUACCAGUUCCUGGUCAUGCAACUGUUGCUUAUAUUCACAUGCUCUCUGCAUAUCUUUAUGUAUGUUUGCCCAUGACAGCAUGGAGUGCUUGUGUUCUUGUAUAUCAAUUACCAUCUUCUCUUAUGCAGGGUUGCUUCUGUAGAUAGCAAUUUUAGCCGGCAACUUUCGCGUCAGAGGUCUGGUAUAUCUGAAAAUGGUGGGCGUUCAUGCAGAAACAGUUCAAGCUCUCUUGACACCAUGACUGAAAGUGGUGCUGGAGUGGCAGAACUUACUAAUGGGAUUGGAGUAACUGGACGGGGUGGUUCUCAGAUGCCCACCGAAAGCAUGGGCUUUGUAAAUAACAAUGACAGCCCAAAGACAGAGACUCAGCUUGAGACUGUAAAUAAUAGAGAGAGCAGCUUAAAAUUGGAGGCCCAACUUAAAUCUGUAAAUAAUGACAUAGACGGCCUGGGAGUGGGGAAUCUGUUUGGAAUCGAAGGUGAUGAGUUUGAUUAGAGGUAUGUUCGUCUUCCUGUUGUAGAUUUCUCUGUUAAAUAUUAUUAGUAAGUUUAUUGAAGUUCAGGUUUAUGAUUUAUAUCUUCUGGAUUGUCUUAAUUGGAAUGAAGUGAGAAUGAUUAUAUAGUUCAAAAUGAAACAUUGUAGUUUGAGGUUAACGACCUGGUACAAGCAUGAUGCUCUAGGCAUGACAUUCAUCCCCUCCCACUUGGUAUUCAGUUUGUUUUUUUUUUCUUAAAUUUUAAAUCUCCUUAAAAAAUGCUUUACAUAUAUAUUCUCAAUGCCUGUUACAAAUUCUCCUACCAACAACAACAAUAACAACAAAGCAUUAUCCCACUAAGUGGGGCUGGUUGUAUGAAUCCUAGAAUGCCAAUGCGCUUGGUUUUGCGCCAAGCCUUCUGUUAGCUCUAAGUACUCCAUGUCUUUUCUUAAAGUUAUCCAUCAUUAUAUGUCAUAUCCAUGAACUCUUGGUACCAACUUGGUACUUAAAGCGAGCAGUUCACUUGCCUACUUUCUAAAAUUAAUUGUUUGAGACGAGCAGAUUAUAUGCAGAGUAGUUUUCUUAAUUCUAGGGUGGUGCCUUCCAGUAAUGCAUCUGCCCAAAUAAUGAUUUCCAAAUCUUUCCCUUGCUCUUUCUAGUGUUGUCAAAAUUUGGACCAUGUUAUUCCAUCAGUACGCUUUCUCUGUGCGGUUUUCUAAUUCCCUCUUUGUUUUCGUUUUUGUGUUUAGUUGUGCAGAUAUUCUUUACUUGUACUGGGAGAUUAACACUGUUUAUACAAGGGGGGUGGUCUGUAGAGAAGCAUGAGCAAUAGGGGCUUUUUACCGAUGCGGAAUUGUGGAUACCAUGUUGGGUUUCAUCUUAUAUUGACGUUGUAAAUAAAUGACCGUAUAUAUAUAUUUCCAAUAAUCCGUCAUAAUAUGUAAAUAACAGCAUUAUGUUGCUACGUUCAUUUCAAUCUCCUUUUUUUGUUUCUGCUAGAUUUUACACAUUCCUACUGCUAUUAUUCUUGCAUGUUUUACUUGUGGUUUGCAGGGUCCAACUUGGUAAUUUAGGUACUCCCUUGACGCGGACGCAUCGGUCUAGCCAGCUAGGGCUUGUUAGGUUGUCAAAGAGACCAGGACCAACUCCGAAUCCUUUAGGGUUUUGCAAAGUUGUCUGAGUCCUUGAUAGGAAGCCAGUAACUUAAAAAUAAAAGAUUUGAAGUAGGCUUAGGAAGUGAACAACCUUUGUUAGCUUCCAAGAUUUCUUUUAGAAAAUCGUUGUGGCGUCGAGUGCCCGACGCAGCGCCCUAACAAGAGAAAUUGUGACAACGCGUUAUUCUGCCGUACUCUGGUUGUUAGGUUGCGGUUGUUGUGUUGCUGUUGGCAUUUAGGAUUAGGAACUGUGUUUUAGAAAACGAAAUAAAACCAACUUGUGUUGAUAUGAACUUGUGACCGAGGCAGUAUUAUUUUCGAGUGCUACAGGCAAGCAACGGACUGCACUGCAAAGGUUGCCUCCCUAGGCCAGUCAUCGGUGCGUCUGGAGGCUUUGUGGCAUGCCUCUCUUGACUCGCAAGCAAAACAACCCUCUUCCCUACUAGCCUCAACCAAGCAACAAGAAUUCAGUCAAUCAUACUAUCCUUGUAACCAAUUGGUCAAUCACGGUAUCCUUACCUUUCAACGAAACAAGCGCUCUCGAGUCCUCUUCUGCAACCGUAAUACGGUAUAUAAUCUCGGUCCUUGACUCCUUCCUUUACCUCGAUGCUUGCCGCUCAGUUUGUUUUGUUUUCCGGCGAUGGAAAGAAUCCACGAAAUACUUCCUACGUGUUUACGUAUCGGAUUUGUACAAAGUAACAUGUUUGUGUAAAUCUGCUUAGCUGCGAAUUUAGAAAGUUGAUGCUUCUUAAUUAAGCAAGAAUUUUUGUUUCACACGAUACAACCUAAAACUCUUAAGAGGUGCCAACGAACAAGAAUACAAAAUAAUAAGAAUAUUAUUAAACAAACAAGAAGCCGAAACGGUUAAAAAAAUCUCAAGAUGUUACAUUGUGACUAACUUGUUAUUCAUGCUAAUCUAUAAACUAUAUUUAUAGAGAACAAAACUUAGAAAUCCUAAUUUAGAUGAGUUAGGCUCAUAUUCUAAACUAAUAAGCAUACCCAAACAAUCAAAUAACGAUAAAAUACUAAUAUUUUCUGACACAUUCUUCACUUUUUCUGUCCAUCUUUAGCUUCUGGGAAACUCGUAGCUUUAAUCUCCAGGAUUUCGAUCUCCCUGAGAACUUCUUCUUCUUCUUGUUCAUCACAAUCACUCCUGCUGUUUGCAACAAACUCACUUUGCGCUCAAGCUCUUCCACUUCUCUAAGCCACUCUUCUUCUACUUUUACUGGUGCUUUUCCAUCUUUCUCAGCUGCUGAUACGACCAACCGCUGCCGGAAAUCAUUCCGAAGAUCCACAAGAUGUUUCAUCUCCUAGUCUAACUCGUCGAGGUUGUUUCGGAAUUUUGCAGAGUCUUUGGCGGCAUAACAUAGACAGCAGCAUAAAUGCCGGACGGUUUCUCCCACUAAACUACCCAAAAUUUCAACCACAAUUUCCAUGGCAGAAGCUUAAUAAGGUUCAGUACACAUGAGAAAACUGAUGCUUUGGAUUCAAGAAAUCUCAGCCAAAUUUAUAUACGUACAAAAACGUAUCCAAAGUCGCCAUCUUCAUCUAAACUUACUAGAAUGAAGAAAGAAACAUACCGCAGUAUUCAAUUUGACUUGCGGUUGUCUAUUUGAAGUUAGCCUAUUCAAGCAUUCUGUUUUUGGACAAAGGUUCCAUUUGAAGUUUGACUGUUCAUGCAUACAUGAGAUUUUUUAUGGUUUUGGAUGCGCUCAAGUUCGAUUAUUGGCUAAGGAUUCACAUAUGAACUCGAAUCUCUAUGGACUAUGAGUCAUCGUGGAACGCUCUAUUUUCGAUUUGACAAGAAAUGUACUUGAUGAUGAAAUUUUUUGGCCUAAUCGGAUAAACGGUCCCGUGGUGAUAAGGUAAUCGGAAAGUAGCUUCCGUGGUAAAAAAAUUAGGAUUUAAACCUUUGUGGUGUAGUCUGUUAGCAAAUUUAGUCCAAAAGUGAUUUUUCUAUUAAAUGUCUGUUAUAUGCAAGGGUAAAAAUGUACAUUGACGUGUGCCUUCUUCUUCCUUGUCUCCUUCCUCGUCUCUCUACUCUCUCUGUAAAACAAGUACAACCAAUGCACAUAACAGAUGAAUGGGACUAACAAAUCAACCCCAAAAUUCCAAAAAUUCAUGGAUUAAACCGCAAUGCAAUCUCGAAACACUAAUAAUUCAUUUGAUAAUGCUAAAAAAAUUAAACUAAACUAAACCUCACAUUAAUCUUUUACAACAACAAUUGGGAUUAUAUAUAUAUAUAUAUAUAUAUAUAUAUAUAUAUAUAUAGAGAGAGAGAGAGAGAGAGAGAGAGAGAGAGAGAGAGAGAGAGAGAGAGAGAGAGAGAGAGAGAGAGAGAGAGAGAGAUGUGGUGGGUGGAAAAUGGGGAGUUUUGGGGGAAGGCGGAAGUGGUUUAAAGAGAACUCCAAAGGGACUUUUGGUAUUUACCCAGCUCCUCUCCUAGUCCGAGUGAUGACUGUCUCAGUGAGCUAUGUUCCCACUUGGAUACAUAAAUAUAUACCAAAGGUGGGCAACCUCCAGUCUUGAACAACAAUUGGGUGGGCGGGGCUCAAAUUCAUCUUAGCCACCUUCUCAGUGACUCAAAUUCCCCAAAUUUUCACACUAUUAGAGAGAGCAUACAUUGAACAUUGAAGAAGAAGGCGCACACAACAAAAUACGUUUUUACCCUUGUAUGUAACGAAUAUUUAACGAAAAAUCAUUUUUGGAGUAAAAUUGCUAACGGACUACACCACGAGGGUUUUAAUCAUAAUUUUUUUACCACGGGGGCUACUUUCCGAUUACCUUAUCACCACAGGGACCGUUUAUCCGAUUAGGCCAAAUUUUUUACCUUUCUGUAGUAUGUGAUAAACUUUUGGACCUCGCUUGGCAUGCUAUAUUAAACAUCAGAUAUGACUAUUUAAUACGAAUCAAGUGUUUAGUGCUACUACAUAUUAAAUAGCCACCGCUUAAUUUAUCAGGGCCGCCCAUUUUAGAAAGUAUUUUUGCUCACCACCAUUGAAUGUGGUGUAUGCUCACCACCCUAUUAAUUACCGUUAGAUGAGUUUGAAUUUCGAGAUUCAUGUAGUGAAUAAGUAUAAGGGGGGGGGGUGUACUCAAUUAGGAUUCUGAAAGAGUUUCAGGGAAUUAAUAAUUCCAAGGGUAUUCAAUUAGGAACUUAAAGGAUUUUAUAAAAAUCUUGGUGUAUUCAAUUGAGAUUCUUAAAGACUUAUUACAAUUCCCUAUAAAUUUAGGUGUAUUCAAUUAUAACUUUUUGAAAGUCUCCAAAAGUUUAGGUGUAUUGAAAAAGGAAUUGGAUUUGAGCGGAUUUGUGAUUUGGUGGAUUUUGGAGGAUUUCAAGGUGAUAUGUAUAAAUACCAAAGAGCUUGGCAAAUCUCACCUCAACCCUAGAAACUUUGAGAGAUUUUGAGCGUGCUGCUCUCCUCCAGAGAACAUCUUCUCCGGUUUCCAUCUCGUCGUUUUGAAUUCUUUGCAAAGGUACAAUCGUUUUUCCUCUGCAACUUCUUCCCAUUGUUUCGAAUAUUGUAAGCCUCUGGUUGUUUCGAAGCCUCCUGUUGUUUCCAAUUGGUUGGCAUUGUUAUCUGUUCUGUGGGGUUUUUUUUUAAUCAGCGAUUUGUUUAUCAAUCUGCUGUUAUACUAUGCUUGUAAUCCCUAUUAAUUCUAUUAUUGUCAUGUUAUGCCUUUUUAUAGUCAUUAUAUUUGUUGCGUUAAUAAUAUGUCAAUCUGUUGUCCCAAUCCUUUUUAUAGCCAUUUGUACUUGUAAUCCCUAUUAUCAUGUUAUGCUUUUAUUGUCAUAUCUCAUUGUUUUAUUAUAAUGCAUCAUCUAGUAAGAUUAUAAAUGGGAGAUUCACAACAAGAAAAGCAAAAGGAAACUAUAAUCAGCGGUCCAUGCAAGAGAACAACAUGUUGUUACAACUACUUGUUGAGGCUGUAAACAAUGGAUGGCGUGAUGCUAAUGGCAUAAUAAGUAAGCAGACCAUAGAAGCCAAAAUUGUUCCCGUGCUCAAUGAAAAACUUGGGUGUAAAAAAACUGAAGAUCAUGUUAAGAACCGUAUGAAAACAUUGAAGGGUCGAUUUCAAUCAAUGUGCCAGCUUUUUAGACACAGUUCUGGAUUUGGUUGGGACCCUGUCACAAAGAAGUUCACAGCUAGUGAUGAAGUAUGAGAAGGUUUCCUUAGGGUGAGUUUUUUUUUUUUUUUAGAGAAUAUAUUAUUUACACAUGAUGAUCUUUCAUGUUUAUACAUUUUGUAUUUAACAAUUUUAUUAUGUUGUUAUUUUUGCCAGUCUCACCCAAAGAGUCAAGAUAUUCGCAAAGAGACAUUUACAAACUAUGAAGAUUUGAUGAUUGUUUUUGGUGAUGGAACAGCUAAAGGAAAUAACUCGAUUGGAUUGGGUGAUAAACUGAUGCCACAACAUAUAGAGUUGAAGAAAGUAGGCUAGUCAUAGUAGACAAAUUUCCUCCCUUUGAUGAGAACGUCGAGCAACUUGAUCCAUUAUUCCAAACGCCAUCCUAUGCAUCAUCUUUCCUAGAUGCAAAUUUUGAGGCUCCCGCUGCUACACCCGUACAAAAGCUACUUCCAAGGAAAAGAUCUCGACUUGAGUCCGAACCAAAAUUAAACGGGACUACCUCUCAUAUCUUUCUUAUGGAAAAAGUUUUUGUUGGAAUGGAUUCGAUUGUUGCAAUUGCCACUGAAAUUCAAGGAAUUCAUAGCAUAAUGGCGAAAAGAGAAAAAGAUAGAGAAAAAAAAAAGAAAUGGAGAAAAAAGAAGAGGAGAAAAUCAACAAUGUGUGGGAUGCUAUCAAAGAGACUCCAAAUUUGGAUGCUCCUAGUCGUUACAAAGUAGUUGCGUUGGUUCAAAAAUUGGGAAUGAAAAAAGAGUUCUUGAAAAUGACACCAGAAGAACGCUCAUAAUGGAUAAAAUACAAUAUGGAGUGAAUGCGGUUAUUUUAGAUUUGUUUACAUCUUGGACUAUUUACUUUUGUUUGAUAACAUGUUGACUUUGGUUUGGUUAUUUCAAAUUUGAUCUUGGAGUAUCUAAUUGGUUUGAUAAUACGUUGACUUUAGUUUAAAUGAUAGAAGAAGUAGUUUGUUUAUUUGCCUAAGGUAUUUUCCCAUUCCAUUGGUCUUCUUAACAUGGAAUAUUAAUGCCAUGGUUUGUAUAAGUUUCGGUUCUUUCCUGAGUUCUUAUUUUUCUGUAUUUCGAAAUAGUACGAAGAGUAUAUUUCAUAGCUGUAAAACUUGCACUUGAUAUUGCAAGGUGUGGUACUAGUUUGAAUUGGCUUUGAUUAUCUAGUUUUGUAUUUCCUUAGCUAACAAAUGAAGAGAGACUAUAUACUAAAUGAAUGCUCGACCAUUAAAAGCUACAAUGUUGAACAGUUGGUUGCUUAAUUCGUGUUGUGAAAGCAAAAUCAUGCAUUGUACUUCGAUAUUUCCCCACUAAUUAUCUUUUGAUAUCUUGCAGAGGAAUGAGUUAUUUGCAUGAGAAGUAGUUUGUUUCUUUACCUUUCUCUCUAUUGUGUUCUAAUGGAUAUAGUUUUGCUUUUUUAGGUGAUUCUUUAUAUAAUGUUUGAAAACAUGUCUGAAGAGGAAAUGGAAAGAGAAGAUGAAGAAUAUCAUGAAGCCAUUAAGUUACUAUUGAUGGCAGUACAAGCUAUAGUUCAAGUGCUAAAUGCGUUAAUGGUUAUUAUACAUGAUGAUCAUAUUGAAUGUCCAUUGGCUUGACGACCUAUUAGUAGAACUGGAUACGAUUAUAUUAACAAGGUAUUGAAUGAGGAUCCUCAAGAAUUUCGAGUUCUAUAUAGGAUGUAUCCGGAUGUUUUCUUAAAGCUAUGUGAUGUCCUUACGGAAAAGACGCAUUUGAAUGGUACAAGAUUUAUUUGUAUUGAAGAAAUGGUUGCUACAUUUCUACUCACUAUUGGUCAAAAUUCUCGAUAUUGCCAAACUCGGGACACAUUUCGGCAGUCACAUUUUACAACAAGCAAAAAUUUCAACAACGUUUUGAAGGCCUUGAACAUAAUUGCACCUUUGAUGGUCCAACCUGGAUCCACGGUGCCAACUAAAAUAAGAGAAAGUAUAAGAUUUUACCCUUAUUUUAAGGUUAGUAAUUAGUACUUAUCUUAACCAUGUCCUGAUUAAACUGGUUUCAUAAACAUAUUUUUAGCUAUGUAUUAACUCUUAUAAUUAUUUUAGGAUUGUGUUGGAGCUAUUGAUGGAACACAUAUACCAGCAAUGGUAUUGGGACCCGAAGUAGCUAGCUAUCAUGAUCGUCAUCGUAAAAUAUCAAAAAAUGUAUUAGCUGCUUGUAACUUUGAUUUGGAAUUUAUAUAUAUUCUUAGCGGAUGGGAGGGUUCAGCUCAUGACUCCAAACUAUUACAUGAUGCUGUAUCAAGGAGGAACAGACUUAAAGUGCCAUAAGGUUUGUAUUCAUUCAUUUAUUUACACUAGGAUGUACCAUAAAUAAUAACUCUGUGUUUUAAUUUUAGGUAAAUUUUUUCUAGUGGAUUGUGGAUUUGCAAAUCGUUGUCAAUUUUUAGCUCCGUUUCGAGGUGUUCAAUAUCAUCUCCAAGAUUUUGCUGGUAACGAUCGUGACCCCAUAAAUGCGAAUGAGUUGUUCAAUCUUCGACAUGCUUCCUUAAGAAACAUAGUGGAGAGGAUAUUUGGUGUAUUUAAAUCUAGAUUCACAAUUUUUAAGUCUGCACCUCCAUUUCCAAUUAAAACACAAGCAGAGUUAGUGUUAGCUUGUGCAGGGUUGCACAACUUUCUUCGCAAGAAGUGUCGUUCUGAUGAAUUUCCAAUCGAACAAGAAGAUGAUGAAUCUGAAGAUGAAGAAAAUGAUGAUGAACUAGGUAAUCAAACUUAAGAGCAACAUCGACAGAUUGCUAAUGCAUGGAGAGCUGGCAUAGCUACAAAUAUGUGGACAGAUACGCAUGACGUGAGUUGCUUAAUGUGUGUAUGAAAUUACAUGGCAUGGUGACGGUUAAUGUGGAGUAGGGCCAAAUUGGGUCAAGGUUGUAUGUCUAUAUAGACUUGUUGCAUUUGGAUAUCAACAUGGUUGAACGCUGGAUAAAUCUUUUUGCUUUGAGUGGUUAUGUUUAUAUAAAAUUGUUGGGCUUUUUUCAAAAACUUUGAUAGUUAAUUUAUUUUGACAUUAAUCGAUCGGGUUCCUCUUUCACUUUGAUAGCUAGUUGAAAACAUUGCAUGUGAACUUGGUAUUGCGAUUUGGUAUUAGUAGGAUGAAAAUUUUAGCUCGUAAAGAGAAGGAAGUUGUUGAUCAAAUUCUCUGCAAUUCUCUAACCCCAUGUAAAGAAUUCUCUCACAAUUCAUGUGAAUUCUCUGAAAGUUAUAAUUAAUUCACUCAAAAUCUCUGGGAAUUCAUUUUUUUUUUCUCUCAAACUCUCUCAAAUUCUAUAGAUUUAAAUUCCCUGAAACUCUCUAAAGAUCCUAAUUGAAUACACCCCCUAAGUCUCAAAAUUCAAAUUUAUCUAACAAUGAUAAAUAGGAUGGUGAAUAUACACCAUACUCAAUGGUUAUGGUGGUGGGCAAAAAUGCACUCCCCAUUUUUACGUCGCUCAAAAACCUCUGUAUUAUUUAGUCGGGUUCUCAAAAACGCUAAAACAAAAUUUCAUUGUUCUUUCCCUUUCUCUCACUAUCUGCUUGUGCGGCCAUCUUUUUCUCCAACUGAAAGUAUUCCUUCUUCAAAUUCUCUCUUUGUCGAUUGAUUUCACAAAUUCUUAUCACUGCCUUUUGGGUUUUCUUCAUCGUCAUCACCAAGACCUUAGUCUUUUUAAUUGCAGACUCCUUCAAAGCUUUGAUUUUUGGAUAAAAAGCUUGCUUCUUCACAAGGUUCUAAAAAACACUAGGCGCUAGUUGGGCGGUGGGCUAGCGCCUAGCGCCUAGGCGGCCUAGGCGGAUUUAGGUAAAUUUCUUGUAUAUCUUGUAAAUAAGUGCAUAUUGACACCUAAAAAAAAACUAUACUUGUAUGGAUAAUAAAAUAAUGAUAAAAUGCAAAUUAGGUACACUAUUUCCAUAAGUAUUGGAUGAACUUGUAAUAAAUCCAUCAUUUGCAAAUUAGAUACACCAUUUCCAUAAGUAUACCACCAUGAAAUCAAAAAGGGCCGCCUAGGACCGCCUAGCCCGCCUAACCCGCCUAGCCGCCCAACCCGCCUAGACCGCCUAGGCACCGCCUAGGCCCAACCCGAUUUUUCCUCCCAAUUUGCCCAAAAACGCCUCGGUUGCUAGGCGCCUAGCGCCUAGGCGGCCGCCUAGGCCGUUUUUUAGAACACUGCUUCUUCAUGGUAUUUGAGCUUUCUGCCUUUAUGGGUUCUAAUUAAAGUGAAUCUUCAUCUAAUUUGAUAUGGGUUUUCUUUGGUUUUGCCAUUUUUGGAGCUUUUAAUCUGGUUCUUGGAAGAGUAGUAUGAGAAUUUGAGAGGUGGAGUUUUGUUGGAUUGAAAGGUUCAUUAUGCCGGAUCAAAGAUGCUUAUCUGAUAUGCCUAUCCCAAAAUUUGGUCGGUGUAUGAUUACUUCGUUUUUUUUUCCUUCAGUUUUUCUUUAGUUUUUCCUUCUUUCCAUUUAACAUAGGUUGUUAUGUGAAAAGUUACUAAAAUUAUUUUGGUUUGAAGCAAUUUUUCUCUUUUCUUUUUCAUUGAUCAUCAAAGUUUCAAAAAUAAUAAUAGUUUGAAGAAAAUAAUAAUAGUUUGAAGUGUUCCUAUUCUGUACAGUGGUAGUAUAAAUAAUACGAUUAUUAGUCUGAUUUGUACUAAACAUCUGAAUAAUUUAGUCAGUAUUAUCUAGUGACUUUUUAUCUUAUUCGACUGAAAUAGUCAGUACAGUCCGAACUGCCAAACUAGGCCUUAGGCUUCUUUGUACUAUACUUGACUAAUCCCAAAAUUAUUAAGCACCAGUCAACUUUAUACCUUCAAAGAUCCACUGAAAAGUUCAUGCUGAGGCACCCCUGCCGAAGCAAAAGAGUUUCUCUCCAACCAAGAGGCCAAUCACAGCACGACACGUGUCAACGUUAGAAUAAAACUCCUAAAGUCCCACAUCAAUCACGGGCGAAAGUCAGAGACUCUCCUCAACUAUAAAAGAAGACUAUUCUCUUACAAUUAAUCCCUAAUGUCAUUAUUGUACUUAAAUUCAUCAUUAGAACCCACUAAUGAUGAUUAUUCUUGAACUUAUGUAUUGUGUAAACUCUUCACUAUUAAUGAGAACUCCUCUAUCUAGUGGACGUAGCCAAACUUAGGAUGAACCACGUAUAUCUUGUGUUUGCUUCCUAUCUCUAUCUCUUUACAUAUUAUUCUCACCAGGUGACUAAAGUAACCGAAGGUCACAAAACUUGACAGUUUAUAUUGUUCCAAAGCCUUGUUGAUUUUGUGCAUCAACAAGGCUCAUUAUAGUCGAGUGUUAGCAUCAUCAAUAUUAUACUAAUUUAACUAUUACUUAUUAGGUGUUGAAUUUUAUCACUAAAAACUUCGGUGACCUUCAAUAAGGAACUUUGACCUAUAUAAGUAUACGAGUCAUCAUGGACCUUUCUUUGCUGAUUUUGACAAAAAAUGGACCUUGAAGUUGAAGUUUCUUAUUUUUGGCAUCCCAGCAAAGAAAAAUCUAAAAGAAGUUCAUGAUGCUGCUGUCGCAUAACCAAAACAUUCUCUCGUUAUGUAACUGUUAUGUAAUAAGAAAGAUACUAAAGCUUUCAACAAUGAGUGAAUAUGAUAGCUAUAUAUAGAAAUCAAGCAACUUGAGUUUAAUACCUAAAACAAUACUACUAUAUUAGUAUGAGUUCAAUGUAUUGAUAUGACACUCAAAAAUUUAAUAUAAUAAUAAGUUAUAUUCACCUUCAAGAUUUAAUUUUCUUUAUUAGGCAACCUGGUUUUAGUUUUUAUUUUAUUUUUGGGACACUUUGGAUAUGGUCUCUAAUUAUCAAUAUUCUUUGACUGAAAUCUUGUUGGUUUUCAAUUUUUGAUCGAAGUCCCUGAAAUUAAUGUGAUAAUGUAUUUCUAUGUAGGUUACUAUAUUUUUUAAAUUAAAAAUUGAAAUUUAUAGUUGUUUGUAUUAAUGAGAUUUUAAAUAAAAACCCAUAAUUUGUGGAUUAAAAUUAUUAAAAUAUAAAUUAUACUCUCCAAUAUAUUGAGUGUGUGUGUAUAUAUAAAUGUAUGUAUGUAUAUAAACAUGGGUACAUUCAUUAAAAUUAACAAAAAAAUUAUUGUACCAAAAUAUGGGUACAUUCUUCAAAACCACACAAAAAAUAAUAGAUAUUAGGCUUAAUAAUAUUAGUAAAUUUCUUUGAUUAAAUUUGACAUGGAUACAUUCUCAAAUCAAGAAAAAGAAUGUACCUAUAUAAGUUUAAAAAUGAAUUAGAAAAAAAAUUGAAUAGAUUUUAUAUAAAAAAAGGGUACAUUUUACUACAACAAAUUGAUAUAUUUAAGAAUGGGUAUAUUUUAAGAUUAAAAAUUUAAAAAUUACAUGAAUGGGUACAUAUAAGAUUAAAAAAUUGGAAACCUUUUUAUAAAAAAAUUAAGGGGUACAAACUUAUUCUAAUUUUUUUUUUGGAAAUGUUUUGAAUUGAAAAUUAUUUAGGAGUUUAAUAAAGGUGUGAGUAUUAAAAUCCUAAAUCAAUUAUUAAUUUUUUAUUUUAAAAAUUAUGUAACUGACAUGUAAAUUCAUUAUUGUAUUAAUACUAAGAACCUUGAUUAAAAUCUGAAAACUAAUAAGGUUUCAAUCAAAGAAUAUUAGUAACUAAGGACCGGAUACUAAUUUUUCUUUUAUUUUUUGUGUUUAAGAUAAAAGGAAAAUAGAUAAGAGAUAUGAGUGGUAUUAAAAGUAGAGGAAGCAUGGUCCAAGAUAUAUGUAGAAAAUAUGUAUAAGAAAAGAGAUACCAAAAGAAAACUAAAAACCAAAAAAUGUUGUAGCUAAUAUUAUUAGGAAUGGUUGCGUAAAUCUAGAAGUAGAAUUCUAAUAAUAUUUGGGUAUCAAAUCCCUUUAUGACUUGUAUUACUUGUAGGGCAAGCAAAUUCCAUGUAAUUAGCUAAACCAAUAUAACCUUCAAAGUCCUUAAGGGGUUGUUUGUUUACGGAAUAUGCUUAACUUGGAAUAAUUCUGGAGGUUGGUUUGAAUAGGCUUGCCUUUCCCUUAUUUAAGGAUCACGCUUUAAAUCCUACUAGUGAAGGUGUUAUGCUAAUUUAUCUAGUUCUUAAUUAACUUUAUGUUCAUUCUAGUCCUGUCAAUCAAACACUACCUAAAAUUACUUAAUUUAUCUGCUUGAGAUAAGAACAAUGCUACAAAUUUUGAAUUGUUAAAGCUGUAGUACAAUCAAAAGAAUUAUUUGAUAGAAUACUUGAAUUAUGCCAGUUGGUAGAAUAAUGAGUCUGUCCCUUUCUUGCAGCCAAAUUCAAAUUCUCGAUUCUCAUGUACUAGAGUAAUUAAUUAAAAAUAUUAUCUUGUCAACAAAACAGAAACGUAACAUAAUUUAUCCUCUGAAAAAAGCACACACACACUUUAUUUAUUAUCUAUGCAUUACAUUACAAGCAGCUAACAGACAACUGCUAAAAACAAAGAGAUGAAACCCAUGAAGUGUUUCUGGAACUUAUUCUUGGACUUGCUCACCACCUUUGUAUGUAUCCUCACAUCUUCAUGCCUACAAACAAGCAAUAAAUUUCCAACGAAGCUAAGAAUCCGACAGAAAAUACAUUUACUAUACAUAGCAAUUUGUGCACGUGAAUAUCAUUGCUAUUAAAAAAAUGGCAUGGAUUGUUGGAUUCGUAGAUGAAAACUACGUAAACUCGAAAAUGAAAAAAACUACAAGAGAUGAUGAUGCUAUGAGAUAAUUAUCUCUACCUAUUUAAUCCUCCAGCGGCUGCACCCCGGUGUCUGCGCACGCUUGGAAUCGUUGCUGAAGACUGAUUUUGUCUGCACGAUCUUUCCAUUUAAGAGUUCUCCAACCGUUUAAAUCUCCUGUAAUCUCUUUAAUAGUCACUGCAUCACGGGCUGCGAAGGGAAGCUUCACCACCCUGGGGCAGUUGCUCACCACUAUCCUCUCUAGAGCUGACAGUUCUGCUUCCCUUGAACAGAUAGUCCUUAAGUUUUCCAUAUUCCUGACUUCUAUGGUUUUCAACUUUGGAAGCAUUUCAGGGAAAGUUUUCGUGAUAACCUGCUUCAUCGUUCUGCAGUCACUCACCUUGAUUUCUUCGAGGUUUGGAACCAGUCGAAGUAUAGCAAAAGAUAAGAGGUUCUUUAGAAGUCGACAUCCCACCACCUGGAUGGUCUUUAAAUUUUUUAGGCAUCCCUCUGGGGACUAUCGUGUCCAACAAGGUUGCUAAGUUAUCCAGGUGACUCAGAGUUAAGUGCUCCAAAUUUGGCAAUGUGCUCUGAAGAGUUGUUUCGCUGACUAACAAUGUAGUUAUGCAGUCGCAAUUUGAUAUGGUGAGCGACUUCAAGUUUGGCAGGCCACACAAACUCUUGUUAGUAAUUAUAUCAGAUAAACUACUUAUACCUCCGCAUGUGAACAGGUCCAGGGCACUUGCUGUGCUCAAUAGCCCCUCGAGCUCUCGAUGCAAGAGGUCAACCCCUCGAAGGAUGAUUCUUUUCUCAUCAUGCUGAGUCGGUAGACAGACUGAAUAGCAGCUGCUUGGACCAAUAAGAGAAGGCGCCGGGAUAUGCUCAACCACUAUAUCAGUUGGCUUCCUAUAUUCCGCAGAUAUUGGAAGACUGCAUAACUCCUCGGUGACUUUUUUCACCUCAUGACGCUUCUUUGCUGCAGUUUUUGCUAAGUUGGUACUUGCGCCGCAUAUUAGAGUCAAGCAUACAACCCGGGCCAAAGGGAGAAUCAAUGGGAUCUGCCUCCAAAAGUAGCCGGGCUUCAUGUUCAAUCCCCUCCACCUCACGUUCAAUCUUCUCAACCCUUUCAAGCCACUCUAUAACUUGGCAAGGGGGGUGUUUCCCUUCUAAUCUUGAUACAUCGAUCUCUUCUGUUAUAUCAUACUUUCUGCGAGAGAGCUUCUGCAGCUCCUCCUUCAAAGUUUGGAUGUUUUUCUGGAAAUUUUUCAGGGUGGAAAACAGUGACAACACGGAGUUGCCUACACACACCUACUAACUUCAACGAUGGAAUCACCCAAGGUUUCCAUGGUUUCACAAUACUAGUACCUUUUUUUUUAUGUUUGGGGUUCGAGGGGAGGGAGUGGAUACCCUAUUGGAGUUAUGGGAGCUCAGAUAGUUGGUUUGAGAUUACAAAUUAAUCGUUGUUAACAAUAUAGUUUUAUAGGGAGCAACAUGAUGAGGAGCGAAAAUCAUCGAGGGACCAAUAGGAAGCAAGGGAAAAAGAGAAGGAAACAAGAACAAGAAAAACUUGUUUUUAGUGACAUCUGAUACAAAGUUCUAAAUGAGGAAAAUGUGAUUAAAUUUUUCUACUUGGCUUCAUUAACUUUAAUUCCUUAGUUAUUUACAUCACAUUGUGAAGCAGCCAAGCAGGUCUUCGUUUUACUCGGCCUUCCCGGCUCCCUGAUAUCCAAACAAGAACAAUGCCAAGUAUGUAAUGACAGUCCAUACUAUAUACGGAGUGGGAGAUGUGAUAUGAUAAUCCGAGAUUAUGACAGAACCAUCGGCAGUGCAUAUAAAUAAAAAAUUGAGUAACUAUACACCAAAAUUUUCCAGGUUUCUUGGAAAUGACACUGCCAUCGUAUUUCUGGAUGUUAAUAUAGAAUUGGUAUAUUUCAUUGAUUUGUUUAUAGGUACAGGUCUGUGAUUAUAUAUAUACUUUGAAUACAAUCCUAAUAUGGUAAAUACAAUCAUACUUGAAUGACUGAAUCAAUCCUAAUCAAAUAGAAUAGGAAAGACAGCAUAGCAUAUAUCAUAGUUGACUUUCAUACGGAGGAGCCGAUUGUGCGGUUGAUGGAGCAGAUUGUGUUGUUGACGAACUGAUCUCCUUUGAUGUAGGAGAUUCCUUAACACGCCCCUCAAGACGGUGGCACCAUCGGAGACACCGAUCUUGGAACGAAGGAGAUGGAAACGAGGACGUGGCAAGGAUUUGGUGUGAGAGCGUCAGCAAGCUGAUCAGUAGUGGAGACAUGAGACACUUGAAGAAGACCACGAGUGACACGAUCCUGUACAAACUGAAAAUCAAUAUCGAUAUGUUUUCAUACGGGAAUGUAGGACAUGAUUAGCACAAUAGAACAUGGCUCCAAUGUUAUCACAAGAAAACAACGGGUGUUGUGGGGAGAGGAAAUGCCAAGUUCACGCAGUAAGGACUGAAUCCAUGUGAGUUCAGCAGUGGUGGCAGCAAUGGCCCGAUAUUCGGCUUCGGUGGAGGAGCGAGAGACAGACCGCUGCUUACGGGAGCUCCAAGAGAUGAGAUUUCCACCGAGAUAGACAACAUAGCUAGUCGUAGACUUGCGAUCAUCACGAUCACCAGCCCAGUCAGCAUCGGAAAAGGCAUAGAGACGAUGAGAGGGGCGACGACAAAGAUGAAGGCCAAAGGAAAUGGUACCCUUCAAGUAGCGAAGAAGACGCUUGAGUGCCUGCCAGUGAGUCUCGGAAGGAGAAUGCAUGAAUUGAGAGAGCUUAUUGACUGCGAAGGAGAUGUCAGGGCGUGUAAGGCUUAGGUAUUGAAGACCACCAACAAGACGACGGUAGGGAGUGGCAUCCGUUAGAGAGGAGCCUUCAUGGAGCAUGAGUGAGUGAGUGGUGGAGAGAGGCGUACUGACAGCCUUUGCACCAUCCAUCUUGGCAUUGACGAGAAGAUCAUGAAUGUACUUGUGCUGAGAGAGGAAUAUGCCAGUGGCUAUGGGAAGGACCUCAACACCAAGAAAGUAAUGUAAUGAGCCCAGGUCCUUGACGGAGAACCGAGUUGCCAAUAGUUGGAUGAACUUUGCUACAAGUGAGGAAUCGUUGCCUGUAAUAAGAAGAUCAUCAACUUAAACCAAAAAAUAAAUUACAGCAGUCCCAUUUUUCAAGAGAAAGAGUGAGGCAUUAGAGAUGGCAUUGACAAAGCCAUGGGAGAGCAGAAAUGAGUGUAAUUCCUUGUACCAUGCCCGAGGAGCCUGUUUGAGGCCAUAGAGGGCUUUCCUCAAUUUACACACAUGAGAUGGAUGAUUAGAGUCAACAAAACCAGGCGGUUGGACCAUAUAGACAUUUUCACGGAUUGUGCCAUGAAGGAAAGCAUUGUUAAUGUCCAACUGACGAAUUGGCCACCCAUGAGUCACGGCAAGAUGCAAAACAAUGCGUAUGGUAGUAGGUUUGACCACCGGACUGAAAGUAUCUGAAAAAUCAACACCAGGGCGUUGGUGAAAACCCUUGGCAACUAAGCGUGCCUUGUACAUGUCAAUAGUGCCAUCAGGAUGCCGUUUGAUACGAAACACCCACUUACAACCAAUAAGAUUUUGAGAGGGGAGGGAAGGAACGAGCUCCCAUGUACCAUUGCGAAUUAACGCAUUGAACUCAUUGGACAUUGCUUACCGCCAAAGGGGAUCCUUAACGGUCUGGGAAACACAUGUCGGUUCAACUGAGGAGAGAAUGGGAUGUUUAGUAGCAGUCAUAGCAUACCGAGGAUUGGGUUUGUGGAUACCUGCUUUGGCACGGGUGAUCAUGGAAUGAUCGGGGAGCAUAUGAGGUACGGGGGGGUUAGGGGGGUGUGGGUCAGAGGGUGGAAAGGUGACAACAGUCCUAUGAGGGUUUCUAGUGUAUGUACGAACGAGGUUAAGGGGAGGAGGUGGCUGGACGUGAACAGUUUGGGCUGGAGAAUGUGGUAGGGUGAAAAGAGGUGCGGUAGAGGUAGGGGCCAAUGCAUGGUGGUUGGGUGACGGUAAGAGAAGAGUGGUAGCAACAGCAAUAGGGGCCGGGGCAGCGGAUGGUGACGGUUCUGAGACAGGGGCAGAUUCUGAUGAUGAUGAUGUGACAUGUGGUGGCAGCGAAGAAGAAACAACCGACUCAACAGGCUUGGUGGGUAAGUGUACAGGAACAUGAGUAACUGGAGAAAGAGAGGAGACCCAAGUGUGAGAGUUAUCAAUAGUGACAUGGGGAAUGGAGGAAGAGAGGUUGGCAAGAGGAAAAGUGGACUCAUCGAAUUGAACAUGCCGAGAGAUAAAAAGUUUGUUGGAGGAAAGAUCAAGACACUGAAAAGCACUUUGAUUAAAUGAGUAACCAAGGAAGAGACAUGGGCGGGAACGAGGGAGUAAUUUAUUGGAAUUGUAAGGACGUAACCAAGGAAAACACAAGCACCCAAAUGUACGAAGACGGGAGUAAUUGGGUUGUUCAUCAAAUAGUUGAGUGAAUGGGGAGAGAUUAUGAAGAAGCGGAGUAGGCAUGCGGUUGAUAAGAUAGGCAGCUGUUUUAAAGGCAUAAAAACCAAUAGGUGAGAGGUAAAGAAGCUUGAUGAAGAAGGGUGAGACCAGUUUCAACAAUAUGACGAUGUCGUCGUUCGGCGACUCCAUUGUGUUGAGGAGUGUGAGGUGGUGUAAGAAGAUGGGUGAUGCCAUUAGAUGAGAGAAAAUGUUGGAGUUUGAUGAAUUCACCCCCACCAUCAGUUAUAAUCUAGUGAUUUUUCUUUUUGAAGUAAUUUUUCGACAAGUGCUUUGAAGGUGACAAAAGUGGAAAACACAUCAGAUUUCUUUUUGAGAGGGUAGAGCCAUAUGUAUUUUGUAAAAUGGUCAACAAAGAUAACAUAGUAGGAAAAACCAUCAAUAGAAAAGUACGGAGCAGGGCCCCAAACAUCACUAUAAAGGAGGUUUAAUGGACCAUGACUGGUGAGAGACGAAGUACCAAACGGGAGCCGAUGGCUUUUAUUUACAAAAGACAUGAAUGACAAACAGACUCGAACAACUUGGAAGACACAUUAAUGGAAGACAUACGAAGGACUUGUUGGAGAGUUUUGGUGGUUGGGGUGACCAAGACGACGAUGCCAGAGGUUGGGAGAGACCACCACACCCACCAUAGCUUGCGGUUGACAAAAAGAUUUGGGAGACCACUCGUACACAUCAUCCUUAUUUGGGCCUCGAAGAAGAACCGCCCCCGUGCUCAGAUCCUUGACAUGAAAGAAAUCAGGAAAAAGUUCAAUAGAGGUAUGAUUUUGUUUAUUAAAUUUAGAGAUAGAAAUAAUGUCUUUUUUCAUAGAAGGAACACAUAUAACGUUUGAUAAGCUGAAAGAUUAGGAGGAUGAAGAGGGUAAAGUGGUUGAACCGACAUGAGUGAUACCCAAACCUGAACCAUUACCAAUAAUUAUUUCAUCAGGACCAUCAUAUAUAGAGGCACUAGAGAGAGUGUUGACAUUGGAGGUAACAUGGUGAGAGGCACCGGAAUCAAGCAACCAUGUUGGAAACGAGGUGGACCGGCCAUGGGUGGUAGGAUUGGCCACUAGUGGACUGUGAGGUCCAGAUUGGAGUUGAGGGCAGCAUUUGGCACUAUGACCUUGAGUGCCACACUAUUGACAGAAACCACGAUAACCUGUGUUGUUCAUGUUGGUAGAGCGGCGACCAUUGUUGGUGAAAGAUUGUUGGGUAGGCUUGUAGGAACUACGAGAAUUGGUGUCAAUGGAAGAUGUGUGGGGGUGCCCGAAGGAACCACGAGAAGGAUUGCGAGAGGCAAAGGACCCACGGUUGGAGUUGGAGUUGUGAGAGCGGUAGCCACGGUUUGAGGUGUGGGAGCGAGAUGUCUGAGUGACAUUGGCAGUGAUCACUGGGGCUACAACAAUGGUAUCAUCACGCUUGAGAGCAGCUUCAUGUUCAACCAGUUUGUCAUGCAGGUUUUCAAAAGAGAUUGAGGUGUCGCGAGAACGAACUACCGCAGCAAUUUCCUUGAAGUCAGAGCCAACACCAUUAAGAAUGUAGAGGAGGAGAUCGUCAUUAGAGAGGGGGACAUCAAUGAUGGCGAGCUCAUCUGCAAUAACGCGGACUUCUUGUAGAUACUCAGAGACAGGCUUGUUCUCACGGCGCAGGAGAGUAAAGGCGUUAUUUGAGACCAAGAACGCGGGCACGGGUUUUGCUAGCAAAGAGAUGGAGAAGCUUGUCCCAAGCCUCAUUGGAUGUCUUGGCAGAGGCAAUAAGGGAGAUGACCUGCGGUGAGACGGAAGCAAGAAUCGCAUGAAGGAGGAGUUGAUCUUGCUGAAUCCAAAAGGUGCGAAGCACGGUUUGAGUAGUUGAUGGGCAGAGAUUAAAACCAUCCACAUAACCCAUGAGGUCGUAGCCGUAAAGGAGGGCGUUGAACUGAGCAUGCCAGGAUAGGUAAUUGGUGGGUGUGAGUUUCACAGGUAGUUUUGGGCUGUAGCGUUGAUUGUGAUCAAGGUGGGAGCAGGGCCGGCCCAUGCCCAGUGUAGGCAGGGCGACCGUCCAGGGCCCAAAAAAAUUGGGGGCACCAAAAUUAUUCAGGUGGUAUAUUUUAUAUAUGUUUUUAUAAGAGUAUAAAAUUUAAAAAAGUUGGUUUAAUGACAAAGGAAUUUAACUAGAAGUGGUGGUUUUGUAAUUUGAAAUUAAUGAGAAGGUCUUGGGUUCAAGACACCACGUGUGCUUAUUUACUUUCCAAUUUUUUACAAUUUUUUUUUCAUAAGAGUAUAAAAUUUAUAAAAUUUGGUUAAAUACUCAAGAAGUUUUAAUUAAAAGCAAUGAUUUUUUUGUUGUUUAAAAUUAACGAGAGGUCCCUAAGUUUUGAAAUGCUAUGUGCGUGUUUAUUCUUUUUCAAUUUUAACAAAUUUUUGUUUGGUUGUUAAUUUAUUUUUAGUUACUAGCUAGUAGCUAUAUGGGUUGCUAUUUUUAAAUAUUCGUUCAAAUUCAAGUCUAAUAUUCAACAAACAGUAAUGCGUAGACCAAAUUUUUUGAGCAAAUUUACAAAUCAAUGACGUGUCAUCAUAAGGUUUAAUUUAGUGCCCAUUCAUUACUUAUACAUAUCAAUUAAAGACUUGAAAACAUUAUUAUUUUUUUAGUCCCAUAUUGACAAGGUUAGUAAAUAAGAAAAAACAUCUCACGAUUUAUACAAAAACACUUUAAAAGUUCAAAUGGAAAACAAAACUCAUUUAUCUACUUGUAAGCCAGGAGUUUUUUGGUUUCCUUCUUUUGAUACAAAAUAAAUUAGUCUUUAUGUGUUUCAAAAUUAUUGAGUUCAAAAUGUUUUUCUAAGUAUAAUUUUAUCGAUGUCUUUUAUGUGAAAAUAAAUAAUUUUCUUAUGUGAAGUUAAGGCAUAUUUUUUAGCGUCGCCCCGGGCCUCAAAAAUCUCUAGACCGGCCCUGGGUGGGAGUAGUGGAGUUGAGCUCUGGUAGAGGGUUGGUUGUAGAGGAGUCAGUGGCCAUGGAUGAAGACAGGGGAAGAGAGGGAUAAAAAAAAAAUUGCUCGUUGGAGUUUUUGGGCUCGUGAUACCAUAUAGAAUUGGUAUAUUUCAUUGAUUUGUUUAUAGGUACAGGUCUGUGGUUAUAUACACUUUGAAUACAAUCCUUAUAUGGUAAAUACAAUCAUACUUGAAUGAUUGAAUCAAUCCUAAUCAAAUAGAAUAGGAAAGACAGCAUAGCAUAUAUCAUAGUUGACUUUCAUACGGAAGAGCUGAUUGUGCGGUUGAUGGAGCAGAUUGUGUUGUUGACGAACUGAUCUCCUUUGAUGUAGGAGAUUCCUUAAUAGUUAAAACUAUAGAAGCUACAAAGCACGAAGAAACACUAGUCUAAGGACAUACAUCUGCACCAAGGAGCUACCAAAAAAACUAAAGACAUACAUAUACAUCUUUUUCUUGGAUAGAUGUCCACACACACCAACCCCCCUCCCCCCGUGCGCGACAACAAGAGCAACUUAAAUAUCAUAUAUAGCGCAAUGCAUGAAUAGAUGAAUUGUCAUUAGAUCAGUUUAAAUUUCAAAACUCGUGUAGCAAAUAGAUUAAAUAAUACUCAUCUAACAGCUAUUAACAUGGUGGUGAGCAAAAAUGCAUUGUAGAACAAUUGAUCCCAGAUUAAGUUUCGUCUUCAAAAUGGAGUUUUUAAGUGUUUCUAGUCCAUACCUUAUCAGCAAAACUAAUUCAACCGCUUAGUUGAAACCUGAAUUAUUUUCAAAGAAGUUGCCCACCCGUUUUUUCUUUGACCUACUACUACGAGAAAUUUUUUAUUGUGACCGGAAUACGGGUGAUACACUACGUCUUUUUAUUUAAGGACAACCAAAAGCAUAUUUCGUUUUGCAGGAGCCAGCAGGCAGCAGCUAGCUACAGUUUCUUUCUUUCAACUUGCUCGAGUGAAAUGGAAACAAACUCUAUUACAAAGGUUCCAUUUGAAGUUUUACUAUUCAUGCAAUCUGUUUUAUCGUUUUUGGACAGAGGGCUUUACUGUACGCCACUUGUUCAUGCAUACAUGAUAAUUUUUUUUGUCUUGGAUCUCAAGUUCAAUUAUUGGAGAAGGAUUCACAUGUGAACUGGAAUCUCUAAAAAUGCACUUGAAGUUCAAAUUUCUUACCUUUUCGUGUAAUAUGUGAUAAAUUUUGUUGGUGCAAUAUAGUCCACCAUUAAAACAUCAUCGAUAUUGUCUUAACUUAAUUAUUAAUUAUUAAGUACUAAAUUUUAUCAUCAAAAACCUCAGCAACCUUCAAUAAGCAACUUUGACCCAGAAACUAGAUUAGUAUUAUGAGUCACCAUGGACCUUUCUUUUCUUAUUUUGACCAAACAUGGACCUUGAAGUUGAAAUUUCUUAUCUUUAGCAUGAAAAAGAAGUUCAUGAUGCUGCUGUCACAUAACCAAACGUCCUCCUAUCAAUAUCUCUCUCGUUAUGUGAUGUUUUAUAUAAUGAGAAAGAUACUAAGAUUUUCAAUAAUAGUUUGAGUGAGUAUGAUGACUAUAUAUAGAAAUUAGGCAACCUGAAUUUAAUAUCUAUAAUACUACUACUAUAUUAGUGUGAGUUCAAUAUAUUAGUACGACAUUCAUGAGUUUAAUAUAUUAAGUUAUAUUCACUUUCGGAUUAGUUUUCUUUAUUAGGCAACCUAAAUUUUUGUUUUUUUUUUGGUGUGUAUUUAAGAAAAAGGGAAAUACAGAGGAGAAACGGGCGGUAUAAAAAGUGGAGGAAGAAUGGUCAAAGAUAUGAAAAAAAAUAUAUAUAUAAGAGAACAGAUAGAAAAGAAAUCUAAAACCAAAAAACUGUUGUAGUUGAUAUUAUUUAAGGACUUGGAUUGUCUGCCCUCCCAUUUCAGUGUCCUCCUCAUGCCCUCUUGUUUGUGUGGUCACGGUUAAGCCACGUCAACAUUUUAUAUUACUAUUUCUUUUUGUUUUAUUAUUUUUAUAAAAAAACAAUAUAAAAUGUUGACGUGGCUUAACCGUGACCACACAAAACAAAAGGGCACGGGGAGGAUACUGAAAUGGGAGGGCAGACAAUCCAAGUCCAUUAUUUAAUAGUGUGGUUGCGUAAAUCAAGAAGUAGAAUAUCUAUAAUAUCAGGGAUCAAAUCCCUUCAUAACUUGUAUCUUGUAAGGAGUCUUAAUGAAACACUUAUGGUACGGUUUACUUUUAAUGUUAAAGAUAUUUUUAAACUGAAAAAUCAUUUUUAAUACUAUUCACUUACAACACUAUUUUGUCAUUUUGAUUAAAAUUAAAAUUUUUGAGGAUUUUUUAUUAGUUUUCCUUAUAAAUAAAGGCUUGCUACAAAAAAAUGCAAGCAAUUACAAACCACCUAGCUCCAUUUUUCUCUCUUUUCCCGUUCCCCUCCUACCCUCACUCUCUAAAUUUUCCGUCAACCAAAACUAUUUUAAUUUUUUACUUCGUAAAAGUUAUCCUUAUUUCUUCUUUGUUUCUUACCUCCCUUUCUUUCAUAACCCUUCUCCAUUCUCAUUUUCCUCGUAUACUCAUAUCUUAAGCACAAAAAGGGAAAAUAAAAAACUAGUUAUCAAACGUACCACAUUUGUCUUUCAGACCAACUAAUUAGCUAGCUAAACCAACUUCUUCUAUUAUCUUAUUGAUAAUAACCUUCAAAGUCUUCAAAUAAUUGUGGAGACUAGUUUGAAUAGGCUUGUCUUUUCCCUUAUUUAAGUAUCACGCUUUAAAUGGCCUAAAAUAAGCCCUACUAGUAAAGGUGUGAUGCUAAUUAAUCUGGCUUUUAAUUAAAUUCAUGUUCGGUCUAGUCUGUUCAAUCAAACACCACCUAAAAUUUCUUAAUUUAUCUGUCCGAGAUAAGAACAAGGCUACAAAUUAAGUUUGAAUUGUCAAAACUAUAGUACAAUCAAAAGAACUAGUUGAUAUCAUAUGUGAGUUAGGCUAAUUGGUAAAAUAGUGUGUCUGCUCUUUUUGCAGCCAAGUUCAAAUUCCGAUUUUCUUAUAUUAGAGUAACUAAAAGUGUUGUCUUUUCAACAAAACAAAAAUGUAACAUAUCAUCUCAAAAAGUACAACUAUGGACAAGGAAAACUCUACCAGAACAAAGUUGUUGGUGUCUUAAAAAGUAAAAUGCACCAACAAACAAUGGAGUUAUUAUCUAUGCAUUACAUUACAAACAGCUAACAGACUACUGCUACAAACAAGGAGAUGAAACCCAUGAACUGUUUCUGGAACUUAUUCUUGGACUUGCUCACCACCUUUGUAUGUAUCUCACAUCUUCGUGCCUACAAACAAGCAAAUUUCCAAAUUACGUUAAGAAUCCGACAGAAAAUACAUUUACUAUAUAGCAAUUUGUGCACAUGAAUACCAUUGCAACAACAACAACAACAACAAAGCCUUUUCCCACUAAGUGGGGUCGGCUAUAUGAAUCCUAGAACGCCAUUGCGCUCGGUUUUGUGUCAUGCCCUCCGUUAGAUCCAAGUACUCUAAGUCUUUUCUUAGAGUCUCUUCCAAAGUUUUCCUAGGUCUUCCUCUACCCCUUCGGCCCUGAACCUCUGUCCCGUAGUCACAUCUUCGAACCGGAGCGUCAGUCGGCCUUCUUUGCACAUGUCCAAAUCACCAGAGCCGAUUUUCUCUGAUCUUUCCUACAAUUUCGGCUACUCCUACUUUACCUCGGAUAUCCUCAUUCCCAAUCUUAUCCUUUCUCGUGUGCCCACACAUCCCACGAAGCAUCCUCAUCUCCGCUACACCCAUUUUGUGUACGUGUUGAUGCUUCACCACCCAACAUUCUCUGCCAUACAACAUCGCUGGCCUUAUUGCCGUCCUAUAAAAUUUUUCCCUUGAGCUUCAGUGGCCUACGACGGUCACACAACACGCCGGAUGCACUCUUUCCAUCCAGCUCGUAUUCUAUGGUUGAGAUCUCUAUCUAAUUCUCCGUUCUCUUGCAAGAUAGAUCCUAGGUAACGAAAACGGUCGCUUUUUGUGAUCUUCGCUAGAUUGCUCCGGUCAUUAGUGUGGAUAAGUAUAUAAAUGGAUAGAGAUAGGAAAGCAAACACAAGAUGUACGUGGUUCACCCAGAUUGGCUACGCCACGGAAUAGAAGAGUUCUCAUUAAUUGUGAAGGGUUUACACAAGUACAUAGGUUCAAGCUCUCCUUUAGUGAGUACGAGUGAAUGAUUUAGUACAAAUGACAUUAGGAAAUAUUGUGGGAUAAUGAUCUCGUAAUCACGAAACUUCUAAGUAUCGGAGUGUGGUGUCGUCUUGACUUGCCUUAUCUGUCUCAUAGGUAGAUGUGGCAUCUUCUCUGGAAGUACUCUCUUCCUCCAUCCAGGGGUGGUAUCUUUAACUGGUGGAGAUGCACAAGGUAAUGUAUCAAUUUCACUUGAAGCUUACUUGUAGUUUCAGGCUUGGUCAAGCGCGAUACAAACCAUGUAGUAGGAGUCCCCCAAGUCGCCGAGCUAGGGGGUCUGCUGAAAGAGGUGACAGACAAGGUAAGCAAUCAGAGCUCCGACUGAUUGUUCACCUUCUCCCCAUCUUGCAGCAGCAUGAAGGAUAAAGAGAAGAAAAAUGAGAAGAGAUGAUAUGAGAUACUUUUUGCUUUUGAAGAAGUAACUUUCCACAGGCUUAUUCUUGAACUGAGCUGGAGGGUUUUCUGGUUUCCUCCAGAGUAUAAGGCCGACUGAAGAAUUUGAGGGUCAAAACAAGUCCAUCAAAUCUAGAGUACGUUCCACCCUGCUGAUAUGGGAUACUUUUGCUUUUUGACAGAGUAAUGGAUGUAUCGGCACGUGUGCUGUUACGCUUGUCUCCACAUGCUUCCUUGUAUCCUUCGCACUUGCCCUAUCUGUUCCUCAAGCAGAUGCGGAAUCUUCCCUGGAAACAUAAGAUGAUGAAGAUGAGUACUCGAGAGAGCAAUGCCAGGUAAGUAAUCAGGUAAGGGGUUCCAGGCAGUCAGUUCCUGGCUGGAAGCUUGAUUCCAAGUACUGACUGAUUGCUCUCUUUCUCCUUGUCUUGCAGGUAAAAACAAGGCCAAAAGAAAAAACAGGGAAAAAGCAUGAUAUGGGAUACUCUUGCUUUUAACCCUGAUGAUAUGAGAUAUUCUUGCUCUAGUAUAGCUUGUUUGCAGAGGUAUUAUCGGGGGGAAAGAAAGCUGAAUAUUUCGAAAGGCUUUGUUGGGAGUGCCCUCUCAGAUAUGAUGAAGGGUUGAGCAUUUUUGCAGGUCUGCCUGUCCGUUGGGGAUGGAGGUCGACAUAUAUAGGAGUCUCCCUAACAACAAGUAGUAAUGCUAUUCCUUUACCCUGCUUGGUCAUAGCACGGUAGUGGGAGCUGCCAGUUUCACAUGUUUUAACUCUGUCAGAGCACUUUGAAAAAAGUGGUCUGUGGUAUCUGGCUCUCGAGAUUCGGAGAACGAUGCCUUCUUCGAUUUUUUGAGAAAGCAAUCAUGGGGGUCUGACUCUCGAGAUUCGGAGAGCAGUGUCUCUUCGAUUUUUGAGGAAGUAAUCAUGUUGGGAGUCUGGCUCUCGAGAUUCGGAAGGUGGUGCCUCUUCGAUUUUGGAGCAAGCAAUCUUGUUGGGAAUGUUGUCUCGAAUGUGAGUAAAGGUUGGACAUGUUUGCUAGUCUACCUUGCCACGAAGCACAAAGGUUGACACACAGGGACUUUCCAAUUAUCCAGCAAUGGUACUGUUCCUUUACCCUCUCUUCGAUUUUGAGAAAGUAGUCAUGUUGGGAGUCUGGCUCUCGAGAUUCGGAAGACGGUGCCCUCUUCGAUUUUGGAGCAAGCAAUCUUGUUGGGACUGUUUUCUCGAAUGUGAGUAAAGGUUGGGCAUGUUUGCUAGUCUACCUUGCCACGAAGAACAGAGGUUGACACACAGGGACUUUCCAAUUAUCCAGCAGUGGUACUGUUCCUUUACCCUUGUGGGUAAUAAUAUGGUAGCUAGACCUUCAAAAUUUAUGUGUCUAAACUUUGUUAGUGCUGUUUCUUUGCUAUUCUUUUACCUUUCUUGGUCAGAGCGAUGUAGUGGGAGCUGCAAGCUUCACGUGCUCAACUUUGGCAGAGAACUUUGGCAAAGUGAUCUGUGGUACCCAUGAGUUAUUGUUGCGUGUGGGAAGUGGGUGAUUGAACAGUAAGAUUCGUGUGCUUUCUACUUCACCAGAAGUCUUCGACAAAAUGCCCAUAAUUUCUGCAAAGCUGAGUGUGCGUGUGACAGGUGCUGACAAGGCUAGAAAAGUAGGUGCCUCUUCGAUUUCUGAGAUCGGCCCUCGUGGUCUCUGAACAGCCCAGCUUUUGAGAAAGCGAGCGCCUCUUCGAUUGAUUCGGAGAACGGUGCCUCACCGAUUUUUGAGAAAGCAAUCAUGCUGGGGGUCUGGCUCUCGAGAUUCGGGGAGCAGUGUCUCUUCGAUUUUUGAGAAAGUAAUCAUGUUGGGAGAGUGGCUCUCGAGAUUCGGAGGGUGGUGCCUCUUCGAUUUUGGAGCAAGCAAUCUUGUUGGGAGUGUUUUCUCGAAUGUGAGUAAAGGUUGGGCAUGUUUGCUAGUCUACCUUGCCACGAAGCACAGAGGUUGACACACAGGGACUUUCCAAUUAUCCAGCAAUGGUACUGUUCCUUUACCCGCUCUUCGAUUUUUAAGAAAGUAGUCAUGUUAGGAGUCUGGCUCUUUAGAUUCGGAGGACGGUGCCUCUUUGAUUUUGGAGCAAGCAAUCUUAUUGGGAGUGUUUUCUCGAAUGUGAGUAAAGGUUGGGCAUGUUUGCUAGUCUACCUUGCCACGAAGCACAGAGGUUGACAUACAUGGACUUUCCAAUUAUCCAGCAGUGGUACUGUUCCUUUACCCUUGUGGGUAAUAAUAUGGUAGCUAGACCUUCAAAAUUUAUGGGUCUAAACUUUGUUAGUGCUGUUUCUUUGCUAUUCUUUUACCCUUCUUGGUCAGAGCGAUGUAGUGGGAGCUGCAAGCUUCACGUGCUCAACUUUGGCAGAGAACUUUGGCAAAGUUAUCUGUGGUACCCAUGAGCUAUUGUUGCGUGUGGGAAGUGGGUGAUUGAACAGUAAGAUUCAUGUGUUUUCUACUUCCCCAGAAGUCUUUGACAGAAUGCCCAUAAUUUCCGCAAAGCUGAGUGUGCGUGUGUGACAGGUGCUGACAAGGCUGGAAAAGUAGGUGCCUCUUCGAUUUCUGAGAUCGGCCCUCGUGGUCUCUAGGGAGCCCAGCUUUUGAGAAAGCGAGCGCCUAUUCGAUUUCUGAGAUCGGCCUUCGUGGUCUUUGAGCAGCCCAACUUUUGAGAAAGCAAACGGCUCUUCGAUUUCUGAGAUCAACCCUCGUGAUCUCUAAGCAGCCCAGCUUUUGAGAAAGCAAACGCCUCUUCGAUUUCUGAGCAGGCGCCUCUUUGAUUUCUGAAGCUCCGUCGAGUGCAGAUUUUUAUAGAGGCUGGCAUUAAGUUCCAAAGCACACUUGAAUCUCCACACCAGUAGAAGCUUCAUUCUUGCACUUCUAAGAUCUUGAUUUGUCCGACCUCUUCUCUCUUCAACACCUUUGAAAAUGUCUGGCCCCUCCGACCGUCGUUUUGACUUGAACCUUGUUGAAGAGGCAGCCCCGCCUUCUCCAGACAACAUAUGGCGCCCAUCCUUCGUCUCCCCAACUGGUCCUCUUACCGUUGGGGAUUCCGUGAUGAAGAAUGAUAUGACCGCUGCGGUGGUGGCCAGGAACCUCUCUCACUCCCAAAGAUAACAGACUACUUUCCAAACGGUCUGAUGAGUUAGCUGUUAAGGAUUCGCUGGCUCUCAGUGUUCAGUGUGCAGGUUCUGUGUCUAAUAUGGCCCAACGCCUAUUUGCUCGAACCCGCCAAGUUGAAUCAUUGGCGGCUGAAGUGAUGAGUCUCAAACAGGAGAUUAGAGGGCUCAAGCAUGAGAAUAAACAGUUGCACCGGCUCGCACAUGACUAUGCUACAAACAUGAAGAGGAAGCUUGACCAGAUGAAGGAAACUGAUGGUCAGGUUUUACUUGAUCAUCAGAGAUUUGUGGGUUUGUUCCAAAGGCAUUUAUUGCCUUCGUCUUCUGGGGCUGUACCGCGUAAUGAAGCUCCAAAUGAUCAACCUCUGAUGCCUCCUCCUUCCUAGGGUUCUGUCCAGUACUGAGGCUCCAAAUGAUCCCCCUCCGGUGCCUUCUCUUUCUGGGGCUCUACCGACUGCUGAGACUUCUCCUAAGCAACCUUUGUGAAGGCUCCCUCUUGUGUGUUUAUUUUGACUCAUGUAUAUGUACAUAUUUGUAGCUUAUCGGGGAUAUCAAUAAAUAAGCUUUCCUUCAUUUCAACGUAUUGUGUUAAAUACACCAAAGCCUUCUUCGCUAAGUUCUUUGAAUUUUCUUUUGUUGAAGCUUGUAUGUUGAAGCUUUCUGAGUGGAGCAUGUAGGUUGGGGGUAGUGUUCCCUUAAUUUCCCGAGUGAGGAAAACUUCUCGGUUGGAGACUUGGAAAAUCCAAGUCACUGAGUGGGAUCGGCUAUAUGAAUCUUAGAACGCCAUUGUGCUCGAUCCUGUGUCAUGUCCUUCGUUAGAUCCAAGUACUCUAAGUCUUUUCUUAGAGUCUCUUCCAAAGUUUUCCUAGGUCUUCCUCUACCCCUUCGGCCCUGAACCUCUGUCCCAUAGUCGCAUCUUCUAAUCGGAGCGUCAGUAGGCCUUCUUUGCACAUGUCCAAACCACCGUAACCGAUUUUCUCUCAUCUUUCCUUCAAUUUCGGCUACUCCUACUUUACCCCGGAUAUCCUCAUUCCUAAUCUUAUCCUUUCUCGUGUGCCCACACAUCCAACGAAGCAUCCUCAUCUCCGCUACACCCAUUUUGUGUACGUGUUGAUGUUUCACCGCCCAACAUUCUGUGCCAUACAGCAUCGCCGGCCUUAUUGCCGUCCUAUAAAAUUUUCCCUUGAGCUUCAGUGGCAUACGGCGGUCACACAACACGCCGGAUGCACUCUUCCACUUCAUCCAUCCAGCUUGUAUUCUAUGGUUGAGAUCUCCAUCUAAUUCUCCGUUCUUUUGCAAGAUAGAUCCUAGGUAACGAAAACGGUCGCUCUUUGGUAUUUCUUGAUCUCCGAUCCUCACCCCUAACUCGUUUUGGCCUCCAUUUGCACUGAACUUGCACUCCAUAUAUUCUGUCUUUGAUCGGCUUAGGCGAAGACCUUUAGAUUCCAACACUUCUCUCUCCAAAGGUUAAGCUUUGCAUUUACCCCUUCCUGAGUUUCAUCUAUCAACACUAUAUCGUCUGCGAAAAGCAUACACCAAGGAAUAUCAUCUUGAAUAUGUCCUGUUAACUCAUCCAUUACCAACGCAAAAAGGUAAGGACUUAAGGAUGAGCCUUGAUGUAAUCCUACAGUUAUGGGAAAGCUUUCGGUUUGUCCUUCAUGAGUUCUUACGGCAGUCUUUGCUCCUUCAUACAUAUCCUUUAUAGCUUGGAUAUAUGCUACUCGUACUCCUUUCUUCUCUAAAAUCCUCCAAAGAAUGUCUCUUGGGACCCCUAUCAUACGCUUUUUCCAAAUCUAUAAAAGACCAUGUGUAAAUCCUUUUUCCCAUCUCUAUAUCUUUCCAUCAAUCUUCGUAAGAGAUAGAUUGCCUCCAUGGUUGAGCGCCCUGGCAUGAACCCGAAUUGGUUGUCCGAAACCCGUGUCUCUUGCCUCAAUCUAUGCUCAAUGACUCUCUCCCAGAGCUUCAUUGUAUGACUCAUUAGCUUAAUACCCCUAUAGUUCAUGCAAUUUUGUACGUCGCCCUUAUUCUUGUAGAUAGGCACCAAAGUGCUCGUUCGCCACUCAUUUGGCAUCUUCUUCGUUUUCAAAAUCCUAUUGAAAAGGUCAGUGAGCCAUGUUAUACCUGUCUCUCCCAAAACUUUCCACACUUCGAUUGGUAUAUCGUCUGGGCCUAUUGCUUUUCUAUGCUUCAUCUUCUUCAAAGCUACAACCACUUCUUCCUUCCGGAUUCGACGAUAAAAGGAGUAGUUUCUACACUAUUCUGAGUUACUCAACUCCCCUAAAGAAGCACUCCUUUCAUGUCCUUCAUUGAAAAGAUUAUGAAAAUAACCUCUCCAUCUGUCUUUAACCGCGUUCUCUGUAGCAAGAACCUUUCCAUCCUCAUCCUUGAUGCACCUCACUUGGUUUAGGUCCCUUGUCUUCUUUUCCCUUGCUCUAGCUAGUUUAUAGAUAUCCAACUCUCCUUCUUUGGUAUCUAGUCGUUUAUACAUAUCGUCGUAGGCCGCUAACUUAGCUUCUCUGACAGCUUUCUUCGCCUCUUGCUUCGCUUUUCUAUACCUUUCACCAUUUUCAUCGGUCCUCUCCUUGUAUAAGGCUUUACAACAUUCCUUCUUAGCCUUCACCUUUGUUUGUACCUCCUCAUUCCACCACCAAGAUUCCUUUUGGUGUGGGGCAAAGCCCUUGGACUCUCCUAAUACCUCUUUUGCUACUUUUCGGAUACAACUAGCCAUGGAAUCCCACAUUUGGCUAGCUUCCCCCUCUCUAUCCCACACACAUUGGGUGAUUACCUUCUCUUUGAAAAUGGCUUGUUUUUCUUCUUUUAGAUUCCACCAUCUAGUUCUUGGGGCACUUCCAAGUCUUGUUCUUUUGUCUUACUCUUUUGAUAUGUACAUCCAUCACCAACAAGCGAUGUUGAUUAGCCACGCUCUCUCCUGGUAUAACUUUGCAAUCCUUACAAGUUAUAUACGAUCCCCUUUCCUCAUUAGAAGAAAAUCUAUUUGUGUUUUUGACAACCCACUCUUGUAGGUGAUCACAUGUUCUUCUCUCUUCUUAAAGAAGGUGUUGGCUAAGAAGAGAUCAUAUGCCAUUGCAAAAUCCAAGAUAGCUUCCCCAUCCUCGUUUCUCUCCCCAAAACCAUGGCCACCAUGAAAACCUCCAUAGUUGCCUGUCUCCCUGCCCACGUGUCCAUUUAAAUCUCCUCCUAUAAAUAACUUCUCCGUCUGAGCAAUUCCUUGCACCAAGUCUCCAAGAUCUUCCCAAAAUUUCUCCUUCGAACUCGUAUCCAACCCUACUUGAGGUGCGUACGCACUAAUCACAUUGAUAAGUUCUUGUCCUAUUACAAUCUUGAUUGCCAUGAUUCUAUCUCCUACCCUCUUGAUAUCUACAACAUCUUGUACCAAGGUCUUGUCCACGAUGAUGCCAACACCGUUUCUCGUUCUAUUUGUGCCCGAAUACCAAAGUUUAAACCCUGAGUUUUCUAGAUCCUUUGCCUUACUACCAACCCACUUAGUUUCUUGUAGGCACAUAAUAUUUAUCCUUCUCCUCACCAUAACUUCCACUACUUCCAUAGAUUUUCCCGUUAAGGUUCCUAUAUUCCACGUUCCUAAACGCAUUUUGCUCUCUUGAACUCUACCCUUCUGUCCUAGCUUCUUCACCCUCCCCGUCGUCUAAUAGGAUCAAAGUACUUCUUUUUGUGUGUCCCGGGUAAAGUUGAUAGGAGCAUAUGCUCCCAAACAACUUUGAGUGGAGUCGUUCGAAAAGAAGUUUCUAUGGCCCCCUUGCUCAUUUAACACUGCAUCCGGGUGCCGAUGGAGAUACAGCGACCCUUGCUCACUUAUCACUGUGCUCGGGCCACACAGCGCGCCACUUACGGGUGACGCCCUAGCUUUAGCGCGAUUUUGUUCUGGAUUCAUUUUCAUAAGGAUUCGACGUGAUCAUGGAGUGCCGGCUGUCGACUACCUGACGCCCUCCCCCUCCUCCUUUAUCCGGGCUUGGGACCGGCCAUGUAAGACAUAGGCGGAGUUAUGAAUACCAUUGCAAUUAAAAAAAAAAAGGCAUGGAUUGUUGGAUUCGUAGAUGAAACUACGUAAACUUGAAAAUGAAAAAACUACAAGAGAUGAUGCUAGGACACAAUUAUAUUUACCUAUUUAAUCCUCCAUCGGCAGCACUGCGGUGUCUGCGCAUGCUUGAAAUCGUUGCUGAAGACAAAUCUUAUCUGCAUGAACUUGCCAUUUAAGACUUCUCCACCACUUUAAAUCUCCUCUGAUCUCUUUAAUAGUCACUGCAUCACGGGCUGCGAAGGGAAGCUUCACCACCCUGGGGCAGUUGCUCACCACUAUCCUCUCUAGAGCUGACAGUCCUGCUUCCCUUGAACAGAUAGUCCUUAAGCUUUCCAUAUCCUUGACUUCAAUGGUUCAACUUUGGAAGCGUUUCAAAGAAAUCUUUCGUGAUAACCUGCUUCAUCCUCCUGCACUCACUCACCUUGAUUUCUUCGAGGUUUGGAACCAGUCGAAGUAUAGCAAAAGAUAUGAGGUUCUUUAGAAGUCGACAUCCCACCACCUUGAUGUUCUUUAAAUUUCCAAGGCAUCCUCUGGGGACUAUCGUGUCCAACAAGGUUGCUAAGUUAUCCAGGUGACUCAGAGUUCCGUGCUCCAAAUUUGGCAAUGUGCUCCGAAGAGUUGUUUCGCCGACUAACAAAGUAGUUAUGCAGUCACAAUUUGAUAUGGUGAGCGACUUCAAGUUUGGCAGGCCACACAAACUCUUGUUAGUAAUUAUAUCAGAUAAACUACUUACACCUCCGCACGUGAACAGGUCCAGGGAACUUGCUGUGCACAAUAGCCCCUCGAGGCCUCGUUGCAAUAGGCCAACUCCUCGAAGGAUGACUCUUUUCUCAUCAUGCUGAGUCGGUAGAUAGAUUGAAUCGCAGCUGCUUGGACCAAUCCGUAUGGUGUACUCCUUCAACUUCUCAGCAAAUCGAGAUUGAACCUCUUUUAUAUCCAGGUCAUUUGACACAGGGACCGAAAUAACCAUAUCAAAUAACUCUGCCAGAAGUGUCAAGCUGAUCAUUCAACGUUUUCACCAGCGCAGUCUUCCUAGAACCCCUUCCAUAAACAGCAAUCCUUGUGAUCUCUUUAACAGCCAAAAGUUCCAUAUGAUGCUUUAGGAUCUCUGGUGCUUUCUGACCAACAAGAGAAGGCGCCGAAAUAUGCUCAACCACUAUAUCACUCGGCUUCCUAUCUUCUAUAGGUAUUGGAAGAUUGCAUGACUCCUUGGUAACUUUUUUCAUCUCAUCACGCUUCUUUGCUGCAGUUUUGGUAAGGUGGUACUUGCGGCGCAUGUUAGAGUCAAGUAUACACCCCGGGCCAAAGGGAUCAUCAAUGGGAUCUGCCUCCAAAAGUAGCUGGGUUUCAUGUUCAAUCCCCUCCACCUCACAUUCGAUCUUCUCAACCCUUUCAAGCCACUCUAUAACCUCGCAAGGGGGUGCUUCCCUUCUAAUCUUGAUACAUCGAUAUUUUCUGUUAUAUCAUACUUUCGGCGAGAGAUCUUCUGCAGCUCUUCCUUCAAAGUUAGGAUGUUUUUGUGGAAAAUUUUCAGGGUGGCAAACAGUGACAACACGGAGUUGCCUUCACACCUACUAACUUCAACAAUGGAAGCGCCCAAGGUUUCCAUGGUUUCACAAUAUUAUUACUUGGUUUUUUUUUUUUGGGGGGGGGGGAGGGUGGGUUCAGAAGGGACAGGACAAUAGAGCGGGUGGGAGGGGAUACCCUAUUCGAGUUAUGGGAGCUCAGAUAGUUGCUUUGAGAUUUGAAAUUAAUCGUUGUUAAGCAUGUUUUUAUAGGAAGCGUUACUUUGGCCAUAAUGUUUUAGUCUCAGAAACCUACAACCAGCAACAUAAAGAAAAACGAAAUCAUUGAGGGACGAAUGAGAAGCAAGGGAAAGAGAAGGAAACAAGAACAAGAAAUAAGUUGUUUUUACUGACGUCUGAUAACCUUACCUUUUUCCUGACUUCAAUAUUCGAUGCAGUUUGCAAGCCCUGCGCUCGGUGCUCUCUUCUGCAUUCAGUGCUAUAUUCAACCUCUCAGCAAUUCGAGAUUGAACGUUUUUCAUAUCCAGGUCAUUUGAACAGGGACCCAAAUGACGACAUUAAAUAACUCUCUGCGAGAAGAGUCAGGCCAAUAAUUCAAGGUUUUCACUAGCGUAAUCUUCCCAGAACCGCCCCUUCCAUAAACAGCAAUCCUUGUGAUCUCUUUAACACCCAAAAGUUCCAUAAGCUGCUUUAGGAUCUCUGGUGCUUUCUGACCAAUAAGAGAAGGCGCCGAAAUGUGCUCCACCACUAUAUCACUUGGCUUCCUAUCUUCCGGUAUUGGAAGAUUGCAUGACUCCCUGGUAAGUUUUAUCACCUCAUCACACUUCUUUUCUGCAGUUUUGCUAAGUUGGUAUUUACGGCGCAUGUUAGAGUCAGGCAUACCACGGGCCAAAGGGAACAUAAAUGGGAUCCAGGCUUCAUGUACAAUCCCCUCCACCUCACGUUCCACUCCAUAACUUGCUGAGGGGGGUGCUUCCUUUCUAAUCUUGAUACAUCGAUAUCUUCUGUUAUAUCAGCGAGAGAGCUUCUGCAGCUCCUCGUUCAAAGUUUGGAUAUUUUUUCUGGAAAUUUCUCAGGGUGGCAAACAGUGACGACACGGAGUUGCCUACAUACCUACUAACUUCAAGAUAGCACCCAAGGUUUCCAUGGUUUCACAAUAUUAGUAGGUUUUUUUGGGGGGUUCAAAAGGGACGAAAGGACAAUAGAGCGGGUGGGAGUGGAUACCCUAUUGGAGUUAUGGGACCUCAGAUAGUUGGUUUGAGAUUAGAAAUUAAUCGUUGUUAAGCAUGGUUUAUAGGCAGCGUUACUUUGGCCAUAACUUGUAGUCUCAGAAACCUAAAUAAACAACAUAAAGAGAAACGAAAAAAGUCUAGGUAUGAAUAAGAAGCAAGGGAAAGAGAAGGAAACAAGAACAAGAAGAACUUGUUAUUAGUGACAUCAAACAUAGAGUUCAAAGUGAGGAAAGUGUGAUGAAAUUUCCUACUUGGCUUCAUUAACUUUCCUUAGUUAUUUACAUCACAAUGUGAAGCAGGUCUUCGAUUUAGUCGGCCUUCCCGGCUCCCUAAUAUUCAAACAAGAACAAUGCAAAGUAUGUAAUGACAGUCCAUACUAUAUGGAGUGGGAGAUGUGAUAUGAUGUUCCGAGAUUGUGACAGAAUGAUUGGCAUUGCAUAUAAAUCGAAAAUUUGAGUAAUUACACACCAAAUUUUCCAGGUUUCUUGGAGAUGACUGAGCCAUCAUAUUUUGAAACUAUAGAAGCUACUGUAGACAUCGAAAUUUCGGUAAAUAAAUGUUGACCGAUAAAUCAAAGUUUCAACGCUCAUGUAUUACAUAAAUUUUACACGUAGCGUGUGUCUAAACAAAAAAUCGAAAUAAGUUGGAAAAGUCAUCAAACAGGACACGUAUCAACACCUGGCAGAAACGACUUAUUUCAUCUGGAAUAUUAUAUUCAGAAUUAGGCCUUGGAAAAUUCUAUAAAUAGAAGGCUAAUUCAUUCAAAUUUUUUUUUUUUUCAUAUUACACCUUGAAGCUCUGAAGCUCUGAAACUCCGAAGCUCUCAAGCAAAUCCCAAAGGAUCAAGAAAGCCCUUUUCGUUCUUCAUCAAAUCCUCCUUCAAGAUCAAGCCCCGACGGCCCUUGAAGAAAGUGUUCUUCGUUCUUCGUUCAUCAUUCUUCCAAGAUCAAGCCCCGACGGCCCCUUGGAUCAACAACAUCAACAAAUCCACACGUCCAACCGUUCUUCAAGAUCAAGCCCAAAAGCCCUUGGAGAUCCGUUCAUCACUGUUCUUCAAAGAUCAAGCCCAAAACCCCCUUUGAAGAUCCGCUCAAAUCCACCUUCAAAGAUCAAGCCCACGGCCCCUUGAAGAAACUUCCAACAGUUCAUCCAAGAUCAAGCCUCGACGGCCCUUGGAUCAACGAAACAUCCACAGAUCAACACCUUACGGAGAUUGAAUCAGAGGAUCAAAUUUAAGAGAGAUUGUAACCCAAAAAUCAUCAAAUACAAAUAUUAUUUUGUGCACGUUGUUCUUGUCUCUUUCGUUUCAGGAAUUUUCCGUGUUCACAAAUUGGCACGCCCAGUGGGACAGUCUCUACCUCUCAUCUCUUCCUCCGUUCAAGAAAUAUAAGCACACUUCCAAAAUCAAUGACAUCAAGGAAGGCUCAAGCUGUUCCCAUAACCGGCGUAAAGAAAAAAGGUGCCCUCGUCGCAAGGGGUGUCACUUUGGGCAUCACGACUCGAAGCAAAGCAAAAGCUACUUCUGCCACCUCUUUCACCUCUGCAUCAACUCUGCCAAAGGAACAAGAGUACCCAAGGCGCGAGCCUGUGAUCGCCUUAGCCUCACUAAGGGCACCAAGGGGGGAAAGACCAAGGGAAUACUCCGAAUCCAUGCUCUCCGAUGACGAUUCAAGCGGCAGUUCAGCCAUGCAAGUCAUGACCACUGGAGCAACUUCAAUCGAGGAACAGCUUGCUUAAAUGAAUGAAGCAAUCGCAAGACUAACUCGAACUGUGGAAGAAAAAGACUUGCAAAUUGCAGCAUUAGUCAACUGACUGGAGGCGCAGGACAGCGAGAAACCUGACCCAGAGGAUGAUUCACUAAAGGGAGGAGCUGGCGGAGACGAAGAACCCCCGGUGAAGAAAAUCGAUGGGAAGCCGAAACCAGACCAAGCAGCGGCGCUCAUGGGAUCUCUCUCUAUCCAGCAGCUGCAGGAGAUGAUCACUAACACCAUCAAGGCACAGUACGAAGGGAGCUCCCAUGCCUCCACGUUGUACUCAAAGCCUUACUCCAGGAAGAUCGACGCCUUAAGGAUGCCGAAGGGCUAUCAACCGUCGAAAUUUAUGCAAUUUGACGGAAAGGGAAACCCGAAGCAACAUGUCGCACAUUUCGUCGAAACCUGCAACAAUGCAUGGACGGAGGGAGAUUACCUCGCUAAGCAGUUUGUGCGCUCGUUAAAAGGAAACGCCUUUGAGUGGUACACGGACCUGGAGCCCGAGUCCAUCAACAGUUGGGAACAGUUGGAAAGGGAAUUCCUCAAUCGCUUCUACAGUACCCGCCGCACUGUGAGCAUGCUAGAGCUGACGAGCACGAAGCAAUGGAAAGAAGAACCAGUCAUGGACUACAUCAACCGAUAGCGUAAUCUAAGCCUCGACUAUAAGGACAGACUCUCCGAGAUUUCUUCAAUCGAGAUGUGCAUCCAGGGCAUGCAAUGGGGUUUACAAUACAUCCUUCAAGGUAUCAAACCACGAACUUUUGAAGAAUUAGCCACCCGUGCCCACGACAUGGAGUUGAGCAUCGCCUACCAUGGAAAGAAGGAGCCAAUCACCGAUUUCAAAAGGGAUAAGGUGUUUACUUCAAGAGCAGACAAUCAUGGGAAAAAGCCCGCCAAGGAAGCUUUUACCACCAAUACCACCCCUAUCAAGACCUCGUCCGCGCCCGUCAAAAUCUCUUUCAAUAAAGCAAGGGAGAUAAAAAAAAGUGAGCAUUCCCACGCCCAAGAUAGGUACAAAAACACCUUGAGGGAAUUGGAGCAGAAGGUAUACCCUUUUCCGGACUUCGACAUGGACGCAAUGUUGGACGACCUGCUGGAGAAGAAGGUGAUUGAGUUACCCGAAUGCAACGCCCUGAAGAAAUGAAUCGCAUCAAUGAUCCUAAGUACUGCAAGUACCAUCGUAUCGUGGGUCAUCAUGUGGGCAAGUGUUUCAUCCUAAAAGAACUCAUCAUGAAGUUGGCACAACAAGGACGGAUUGAGCUCGACCUAGAAGACACAGCUGCGACGCACACCACUACGGUCGUGUUCGGAUCCUUUGAUCCCGUGCUUCUUCAAGAAAUGCCUGACCAUGCUCGGUAAUACUCAAACCACACUGCACAUUCUGCAUCACCAUCACUGGGGGCAAGCAACCAGGAUGCACCUACUGACGAUGACAAAGGAUGGACAUUGGUGACCUAUAAGAGGACGAGGAAACCGAAAUCGCAAGCUAUAAAGCCAAAAGGGGAACAAGGGAGAAAACACCGCCGUCGCGGCAAUAGGGAGCCUAAAAGAAACAUAAGAGCUGCUAAACCAAUAUAUGUUGGGGAACCUGAGGAGCAAAAGCCACGCAUUCCCGUCUCCUUGCACGAGUACUUCCCGGAGGACUUCUUCCAACAUUGCACUAUCAUCGCAUGUCACAUGGUCGAAGUAGAAAUGGAAUAACCCUCAAAGGGCAAAAUUGUCGCCGCUGAGGGAGAAAAUACUCUGACACCUGAAAAAGGUCUGCCAAUACACUUUAGCAUCGAGGAAGCGCUACAAUUGCCAAAGAAGAUACGAAGGGCAUUGGCGACGGGUUUAGCGAGUCCAGACGACCACGAAGUGCAAGAAAGCAAGAACGAAGGCUUGAGGCCUCGGCCACACGAGUGUGCCACAUGCUAUGCCGCCGAGGUCACAAUCCACUUCGCCGACGAAGACUUGUUGCUAAGAUCCAAGCCUCACAACCGACCUCUCUUCGUCUCUGGGUACGUAAGGGAACACAAAGUCAGCCGCAUGCUUGUGGACGGUGGGUCAGCCAUAAAUAUCAUGCCAAAGUCAACAAUGACUGCAAUCGGCAUCAAGGUGGAUGAACUAUCCUUAAGCUGUCUACUAAUCCAAGGUUUUAACCAAGGAGGACAAAGAGCGAUGGGCAUGAUCCGAGUGGAGAUGACCAUUGGUGAACUCAAGUCAAGCGUGAUGUUCCACGUGAUUGAUGCAAGAACUUCCUACGGUUUGCUCUUAGGAAGGUCUUGGAUCCAUGCAAACGGAGUAGUACCGUCCACCCUUCACCAAUGUUUAAAAUUUUACCAAGAACGAGUGAAGGUGAUCUAUGGCGACACCAAGCCAUUCACCGAAGCCGAAUCACAUUUCGUAGACGCCAAGUUCUACAUGAAUGAAGACAUGGUGCCCGAAACUCUUCCAAAAGAGAUUAAAUCCAUGAGCAGAGCAGCACCUAAAAAACAGGAGUGGCAAGCUAUGCCCAAAAAGCAAGAAGAAGAAGCUAUGCCAUCUUCAAGCAAAAACGAUGAUGAGCUUUCUAAACCUGCAACAACCAGAGGAAGUAGGACGACCUCAAAUGGACUAAGCAUACCCGUCUUCCGAUACAUCCCGACGUCGAGAAGAAAGAAUGGUCAAUCCCCGUUUGAAACUGCAGCGAGCAAAGCCGAUGCACAGCGGCACAUGGAUAAUGUAAAGUUGCUCAAAACGAAUGCAGUUUUGCCUCUGACACAGCUAGGCGACACUAAGGUUGCAAAACCAUCACAAGGCUUCAUAAAAGGCCUGCCAAAGGGGGUGGAACCAAGCUUUCUCCCAACCAAAAUGACCGAAGAAGGUUUUGAUCCAAACGCCUACAAACUUAUGUCGAAAGCUGGGUACAACUUCACCUCCUCUGCAAAUUUGGGAAAGAAUGAUUUGAACACCGUCAAAGACAACGAACGUGAUCUCACUAAAACUCAGAAGAAGUUGGAGAAGCAUGGUUACGGGGUUAGCAACAACAAAGCUGGACUUGGCUUCACACCAAAUGCACCGGUGAAGAUCUCCAGCAAGGCAAAAAAUGCUAGCGCUCAACACAUCAGCGUAAGCAUUAUACAAGAUAAAGAGGAGCCUCAACCUACCCCUCGGACAUCAGUAUUCGAUAGAAUGAAUUGUUCAAAGCCCAGAGUUUCGGCACCUAAACUCAUUGGCGGUCAAAACAAAACUUCCAUCUUCAAAAGGCUCAACACGUCAGUAUCUCGAGGCUCUGUUUUCAAAAGGUUAUCGAAACCUAAAAAGCAAAGCAAUACGACUAGCUCUCCUCCACGACAGUCAGUUAUGGAAAGACUUGGAGAAGCCAAAGAGCCUUCUAAAAGGAGAAAGACGACACCAGAAGUAGAAGAGAUCGAUCGCCUGGCAGAAAAGGAUGACGUUCGAAGUUCCAUUCCUUCAAGAAUGAAGCGCCAAGCAAUUUUGGAGGUUAACACAGUUGGAUCACUGAAAGUGAAAAGGCGCACCAUCAUUCACACUGGACAAUCUUCAUGCCAACUAGCUCGAGAGGUUAACACCGAAGAAGAAGCCCAAGACGUCUUCCACAUCACAAUCCAAGAAGGUGAAGAAGAUGAAAUCCUCGAGGAAGAUGUCAUUGCAGCACCGUCACAACUCAAAGAUGGGGGGCAAACCACAGUUAACGACCUUAAAGAACUCAACUUAGGCACAAGUGAGGAACCGAAGCCUAUCUUCGUGAGUGCAUUACUAAGUGCAGACGAGAUAGAGAAGUAUUACCAGCUGCUAUUAGAGUACAAGGACGUCUUUGCUUGGACCUACAAGGAAAUGCCCGGCCUCGACCCUAUCAUUGCUGUGCAUCAUCUUGCAGUCAAGCCUGGAACACGACCAAUAAAGCAAACUCAAAGACGCUAUCGAUCCGAGCUCAUCCCACAAAUCGAGGCCGAGAUUGACAAGUUGAUCGAAGCAGGCUUCAUUCGAGAGGUGCAAUACCCCAAGUGGAUCUCCAACAUCGUCAUAGUCCUUAAGAAAUCUGGACAAAUACGUGUUUGCAUGGACUUCCGAGACCUCAAUAAUGCUUGCCCAAAGGAUGACUUCCCCUUGCCAAUCAUUGAAAUCAUGGUGGACGCAACCACUGGCCAUGAGGCACUAUCAUUCAUGGACGGCUCUUCUGGAUACAAUCAAAUUCGUAUGGCUCUUGAAGACGAGGAACUAACAGCCUUCCGCACUUCAAAAGGUAUCUACUGCUACAAGGUGAUGCCCUUUGGUCUGAAGAAUGCUGGAGCUACAUAUCAACGCGCAAUGCAGAAAAUCUUCAAUGACAUGCUACACAAGAACGUAGAAUGCUAUGUAGACGAUGUGGUGGUCAAGACAAAGAAAAGAUCAAAUCACUUGAAGAAUUUACGAGUAGUGUUCGAAAGGUUGCGGAAAUACAACCUCAAGAUGAACCCGUUAAAGUGUGCAUUUGGCGUCACAUCUGGAAAGUUCCUUGGCUUUAUUGUCAAGCAUCGUGGCAUUGAAGUGGACCAAUCAAAGAUCAAGGCCAUUCAAAGCAUGCCCGAGCCAAGAAACCUGCACGAGUUGAAAAGUCUACAAAGACGGCUAGCCUUCAUCAGACGCUUCAUCUUCAACCUUGCAGGGCGUUGUCAACCGUUCAGUCGACUCAUGAAGAAAGAUGUUCCGUUCGUAUGGGACAAAGCAUGCAACAAUGCUUUCGAAAGCAUAAAGAAGUAUUUAUCGAGUCUACCUGUCCUGGGGGCACCUGUACCAGGGAAACCGCUCAUAUUGUACAUUGCUGCUCAUGAAAGUUCAGUUGGAGCACUCUUGGCACAGGAAAACGAGUCCCAGAAAGAAGGAGCGCUCUACUACCUCAGUCGAACGCUUACCGGCGCUGAGUUGAACUACUCCCUAAUAGAAAAAAUGUGCCUAGCCUUGAUGUUUGCCAUCCAGAAGCUCAGACAUUACAUGCAUGCUUACACCAUCCACUUGGUUGCUAAAGCUGACCCGGUCAAAUACGUCAUGUCUAAGCCAGUUUUGACAGGGCGACUAGCUAAAUGGGCAUUACUUCUCAAUCAAUACGAGAUCAUCUACGUCCCAGCUAAAGCCGUCAAAGGACAAGCGCUAGCAGACUUCCUUGCCGACCAUCCAAUCCCAGCCGAUUGGAAAAUCUCAGACGACUUGCCUGACGAAGAGGUGUUCUGCAUCGACAUAUUCCCGACAUGGACGAUGUUCUUCGACGGAUCUGCACGAGCAAACGGAGAGGGGCAAGAGUAGUAUUCAUGUCGCCACAAAGGCAAAUACUACCUUAUUCAUUCCAGCUAAGCGAAUUAUGCUCCAACAACGUCGCUGAGUACCAAGCACUGAUCCUCGGGCUCCAAAUGGCAAUCAACAUGGAAAUCGCAGCCCUUGAGAUAUACGGCGACUCCAAGCUCAUAAUCAAUCAACUCCUGACUGAAUAUGAGGUGAGGAAAGAUGACCUCGUCCCAUACUUCCGGCUGGCAACGCAAUUGCUACAAAGGUUUGAGGCCGUAACACUAGAACACGUGCCAAGAAAAGAGAAUCAAAUGGCAGACGCUCUCGCCAACCUAGCCUCGAGCAUGACAUUAGGAGAGAACGAAGCUACAAACGUGCCAGUCUGCCAAAGAUGGGUAAUCCCGCUUGUCACUGAAAUAGUACUAAGUGAUACAAACGUUAUUUCAAUACUUCCGGUCAACGUUGAAGAAUGGAGAUAGCCUCUGAUCAACUACUUGGAGCAUAGAAUACUUCCAGAUGAUCCAAAACACCGCUUUGAAGUACGUCGACGAGCACAUUGCUUCCUCUAUUACAAAGGGACACUCUACUGGCGAUCUUUUGAAGGAGUACUUCUGAGAUGCCUAGGCGAGGAAGAAGCCAAUCAAGCCAUGGAAGAAGCACACUCAGGAAUAUGUGGAGCGCACCAGUCCGGACCAAAGCUUCAUUUCCAGCUCAAAAGAAUGGGUUAUUAUUGGCCAAGCAUGGUAAAUGACUGCCUAGAAUACGCCAAAAGGUGCCAAGCCUGCCAAUUUCACGCCAACUUCAUACAUCAACCGCCUGAACCAUUACACCCCACAGCUACUUCAUGGCCAUUCGAUGCAUGGGGAUUGGAUGUCGUAGGACCAAUUGCGCCAAAGUCAUCUACAUGAGAGGCUUACAUCCUGGCUGCAACAGAUUACUUCUCUAAAUGGGCUGAGGCCAUACCCCUGAAGGAAGUCAAGAAGGAAACUGUCGUCCGUUUCAUCAAGGGACAUAUCAUCUACCGAUAUUGUGUGCCUCGCUACAUUGUCACCGACAACGGAAAGUAGUUAUCAAACCGACUCAUGGACGAGCUCUGCGAGAAAUACAAGUUCAAGCAACACAAAUCCUCCAUGUAUCAUGCUCCGGCCAACGGUCUUGCAGAAGCAUUCAACAAGACAUUGUGCAACCUCCUGAAGAAGGUAAUCGGUAGAACAAAGAAAGACUGGCAUGAAAGAAUAGGCGAAACACUGUGGGCAUACAGGACAACAUAUAGAACACCUACCCAAGCCACACCUUAUUCUCUUGUAUAUGGCGUGGAAGCUGUUCUACUCGAAAGUCAAAUCCCCUUGCUAAGGAUGGCUAUACAAGAAGGCUUGACUGACGAAGAGAAUGCAAAGUUGCGUCUUCAAGAACUGGAAGCGCUGGAUGAGAAAAGACUCGAAGCCCAGCAACACUUGGAGUGUUAUCAAGCGCGACUUUCUAAAGCCUUCAACAAGAAAGUUCUCCCUCGGUCUUUUCAAAUAGGAGAUCUCGUCCUUUCAUUGCAUAGGCCUAUCAUCACAAGGAGCAAGUUCACGUCAAAAUGGGAUGGACCAUACGUAGUACAAGAAGUCUACACCAAUGGCGCCUACUUAAUCAUGGCGGAAGACGGCUUGAAGAUCGGCCCUAUCAAUGGCAGAUUCUUGAAGCGCUAGUACCCCUGAAAGGCAGCAAAUUCCCGCUCUUUAUUCGCAUGAGCCUAAACUGCAUGAACUAAAGCUCCUGGCCCGCAAGAGCAUAAACUGCGUACGGCACCAAAAAAAAAAAAAAUGUAUUUUGAACUAUGUUAUGACUUUAUCCCUCCUCGACAAAGGGUACGUAGGCAACUCGAAGUGUCAAAACUUCAAGUACAGUCACACCAUCUAAAGGAAAUAAUAAUAAUAACAAAUAACACUUUGAAGAUUGAAGAGCAAAUUCAAGAACAUAAAUGCUUUAUUUCUUUGAAAGAAGGAGUUGGCUCCAAGGCCUUAUUACAAGAAGAUACUACUUGAAAACUAUGUCCCUAAAACUACGAAGGCGAUCUUCAAGCGAGCCUUCCAAAGUCUUCAGAGUCUCUACCUCGGCGGGGGACAAGAUGGGUAACUCCAUAGUCAUGCCUUCCUCUCGUUCUAGGCGUGAAAUCUCCUCUUGGUACUGAGAAAGUGCAGUUCCCUGCUCCGCAAGAACACUUUCAAGUUGCGAUGCUUCAAUUACCAACUACUCCCGCUCUCGCGUCAAUGCAUCUAGACGCCCCUGGACAGAAGUUAAAGCAAUCUUCGUGACUUGAUAAUCUCCUGAAAUAGCUUGCUGAAAAGACCGGACUUGAGCUAGUGACGAGUUUAUCGCUGCUAGCUGAUGAGCUCUAACAUUUGGACUCAACUUCUCCAAGGAAAUAGCACGCAAGGAAGAAUACUCAGUCGAGGCGGCCAUAAGUUCGGCAAUCUUGAUCUUCAAAGAUAAGGAAUCAACGUUAAGGUUGUCGAUCACGGAAACAAACCUCGACAAAUCCUCAUUGAGCAACAUAAGGUCUUCCAGCGGACACUUAGAAAUCCUCUCCUCGAUAUAACCCUUGAUCUCCAUUGCACCAAGACUGAUGCGAUGGAUAAGUCGCUCAGUACCGCUAAGGUUCGGCCCUCUCAAAGAGAUCUCAGAGCUAGCUGGCAAAGGUGUUGGGCGCAUGACAGGUUCUGGCAUACCUUCACCUACACAUGGCAAACUCGGGAAGUUCGGCAGAUUCGGAACAAGCUCUGUACCAGGCGGAUCCCCGAUCUCCCUGUCUGUAGGUAGGUCACCUACAAAUAGCAUCUCGGUGUAGGAAUAGAUAUCUACAGUUGCCAAAUCAGGAUGACAAGAAGGCCCAACCUAAAGGAGACAAAGGAAUGCGUUAGAAACGAAAGCCAAAACAAUGAAAGCAGAAGGAAUCAAAAAAAAAAAAAAAAAAAAAAAAAAAAAAAAAAAGGGAAAGUACAUACAUCUAUCUCAAAUGGCGCACGGUCAUCAAAUUGAGGAGAUCUAAACACUUCCUUCCUCCUAUGGCGAAAAUUGACAUCACUGUCGACCUGAGCAUCCUCAAGUGGUCACUUGUUUGAAACUUGUUGAGGUUGCUGUAGAAUAAAUCCGUCUUCGUGCGAGUCAACUUCAUCUCCCGCCUCUUCAGAAGCAUCCAGAUGUCGAGGAGACGAGUGUGGGCGUUGAUGAGCUAAAGUUACAGGUCUAUCUGGUAAGGGAGCUUCACUCGCGCAAUCAAGGGGUACCAGUCGCAUAGAAACCACAGGACAACCCUCUCUCGACAUACCAUCGCCUAAGAGAGAGAAUUGGUACCAUUUGUCAUCCCCAAGUUCGUAUAAUGUGUCUUUGACCACCAACGUGCGUAAACACGGGUCACUGGAUUACUCUUGAACUCAUCAUUGGUCGGCAGCGUGAUAACAGCAUUUGUGCAUGAACGGGUACAAGACUCCUAAUGCAUGUACACGGCUUGCAAGGAUGCCGAUGGGCUCUUUUCCUUCAACCUGCCUGGCACGUUUUGGACAAAACCAAAUUGCCUGCUGAAAUGGUGGGGACUAUAUGAUUGAACAAUGCAUCGGUCUUCUUGCCGCAGAGAAACAAACCCCGAGCGAAGACUUAUAAGAUAAGACAAGUCUGAGGAGCGGAGAUGCGAAUUGUCUACGAUGCCUCGCCGCACCGAGCCAACCCUCGCUAAGGGGUCCAUCUUCAAAACUGCACAACUUUUAAAUAGUGCUCGCGCUUGCAAAUCAUCAAAGCUCUUCGCGGAGAGCACACCAGAAUACUUCGUCAUCAAAGGCCCUAGCUUGGCUCCGGUCGAUGAAGAAGGCCUUGACUUAUCUAGAGUUGACAAAGAAAAAUGAGUGCCAAAAUAUUCACCCAACCAACCAUACACAUAGUGGUAAGGAAGCACCGCAGCACGAUCUUCAGUGCUUGCCGAGUCUGAAACAAUGCUCAAGCCAUUGUAAAUGUUGGCUAAUACCGGGAUAACAAGGCUAAAAGACUCACCCGCAGCCAUCUUGCUAGCAACUUUGAAAACUCCAGGACGAACUAAGUUGACAUCGCCUGCUGGGAAAACAAACUUACAAAGCCAACAAGCUAAGAAAGCAGCCAGGUAAGACUCAUCCACAUGCUCUGAUGCUAUGCCAAGAUCCUCAAAUGCUCUCAACUCAUCAGAAGAGCGACGCCUGGUUGAGCCAAUAACACCAGACGGGUCUGAGUCUCCCUUUGGCCUAGUGGUCUUGUUACGACCAACUUUCUUCAAAGGCUUCUUAUACCUCAUGGCCUCCAAAUACCAGAAUCGGAUCCAUGAGGAAAUCCUCACUCCUGAUCUACCUUGAGCAUCCUGGAAAAGCCUGUGAUACGCCCAAAACAAAUAGCGGCAACUUGCGGGCAAUCCUCGGCUAUUGCAAAGAGAAAUCUCAUCCGCACUGGGAACGACCUCGUCGUAAAACUUGCCUUGGAUCGGCAAGCCUCCUAUCCUGUGAAGAUCCCAAAGUGAAAUUGACAUUUCCCCUUGCGCUGUGUGAAGUGUGUUGGUCGCUGAACACCAACGCUCUAAGAACGCACGAAUAACGGGAGGAUGGCAAUCAUAACUAAAUAAAGAUGCGUACACAGCGUGGUAAAGGCCCACCUUAGUAAGCACAUCCUUAGAUCGGCUUAAGACAUCUUCGAGCCAUUCCCAAUAAAACUCAUCAAAAACGGCCUCUCAAGCAGUAGACAGGGUACCAUUCCAGGCCAUAGCUCCGAUGCGGAUGUGAUCACCAAGAAGCUUAAAUGAGGCCGAAUGAUUGUCACCAGCAUGGUGCGACAGAUUCAAGAUAAGAAUCUUCGAGAUGCGCGCCUUCUUCUUUGUAUCUGUCUGGAUAGAAUCUACCACAUCCCAAGAUACUUCGGAAGACCACGACUUAAUAUGCAUGGAGUUAUCUUUCGCGGGAAGAGCAAGCGCUUUAAGACCAGUCAGUGGCUCGCAAAGCUUCAACGUCGUUCCCCGGUCUUGCGAGUCACCUGCCUGCGCAAGAAUGGUAAGGGUGCUGCCCUUAAAGCACUUAAAAAAUACCAUGACCUCGAAAAAACAAAAUAAAUCAGUAGCAGCACGGCAAAGGGGGUAGCCACAAGACGGUCCUUCCAAGUGGCAGCAAGAGGCACAUCGACGUCACCACCAAGGAAAGUUAUGACCAAAAGACAUUACACAGCAUAAACUCGCUGCAGUCUCUCGCACAGCACCGCACGGCAGCGCACCACCGAGGAAAAAACUGUGAUCAAAAGGCACUACACAGCGAAACCCCGUUGCAGUCUCUUGCACAAACCCUAGGCGGUAGAAAGCACAGAUAUGCUCACAUCCUGCUCACUCCAAAUACCACGUCUCUGAAAGCUUCGUGAAAGUUCCAGCAUCAUGCUCUGCCUUCCCCAAAAUUAAAGAUUCCUAGCAUUACAACAAAGAAAUCCAUCAGUAAGGAUGUGCACAUUAUAUUAUGUUUUAUAUAUGUGCACGAUGGGACAAUCAACUUCCAUAUAUAUAUAUAUAUAUAAAUACAGCGGUGGGACAAUUACCCUCCACAUGUAUAUAUAUAUAUAUAUAUAUACAUAUGUACGUAAACAUGCACACACGCAUGCAUGCAGAGUGUGGGACAAACCAACAAAUGUAUUUUAUAUAUAUAUAUAUGCAGACGAUGGGACAAGCCAUGGAAAGUACCAAUUACCUGCCAUAUAUAUAUGCAUGCAGAUGCAAGGUCACGGGACAAACAAAUAAAAUAUAUAUGCAUACGAUGGGACAAGCCUAGGAAAGUACAUAUAUGCAUGCAGAUGCAAGGUCACGGGACAAACAAAUAAAAAAAAAAAAAAAAAAAAAAAAAAUAUAUAUAUAUAUAUAUAUAUAUAUAUAUAUAUGCAUGCAGAUGCAAGGUCACACUUCCAGGAUUAAGGAACUGGAAAAGGUUGUGGAACAAAAGAAUCUAGAUUUGGAGAACCUUGAAGCUUCCUGCGGGAAGGUUAUGAAAAGGCUUUCCGUCACUGUCAGUAAGUUUGAUGAGCUACAUCAUCUAUCUGCAAGCCUCCUUGCUGAGGUGGAAAAGCUUCAAUCACAGUUGCAAGAACGGGAUGAUGAGAUAUCCUUCUUAAGGCGAGAGGUCACUAGGUGCACGAAUGAUGUUCUUGCUGCAUCACAAACCAGCAACAAGAGAAAUGCGGAAGAGAUCCAUGAGUUACUAACAUGGCUUGAUAUGAAUAUUGCUCGAGUCCGGGUGCUCUGAUUCCUACAGCCUUUGCGCCAGGAACAGCUUUAGUAAGAAACCCACUGCCAAAGAGGCUCUUUGGGAGAACAAGCAAGAAAUGACCCCUGCUACUAGAGGAAUGGAAAAGGAAAUCAGAGCAUUGCAGUUAGAAGAAAAAAAGUUUGUCACUGAGAUAAAAAGAACUACAUAAGUUGAAGAAGCUGCACCACUCUUCGCCAGGUUGAAACUUUCCGCAGCAAAAGUUGUCCUUACCAUGCUCCACUGGCUACCCCUCGUACGUCGGCAUCAUUUCAUCGUCGGUCCUCCAGCUGCCUGACGACCUGCUGUACUCGGCGGCUACAAAUGCAAGGAUGGCAGGCAGUGCGAUGGUGUGCAGCAAACGGUGCAACAAGGACGUAAGGCGGUGCGGCAACCAGCAAGGAUGACAAAGGCAGUGCAGCAAGGAUGGUGGCUGUGCAAUGGCUUGGCAGUAACAGUAAAAGGUAGUGAGCAUGCAGUGGCUGCGCAAUUGGCCGUGAAAUGGUUGCGUAGUUGUGGUGUUCAGAGAAGCAAGCAAACCUGCACAAAUAUGAAGCAGCAAGGAUCGAAUACCUGCCUAAAAGCCUUACAGGAAGGCUUACUUAUACACACAUGCAGCAACAAAAGAAAAAAAACUUUUGUUAAAGCUGGGAAAAACUUUAACGCCCAUGUUUGCCGUGUUUUGUUAAAGCUGGGAAAAGCUUUAACGCCCAUGUUUCCCGUGAAUGAUGAUACUCACAUGCAGCUGCAAAAGAAAAAAAAAUCUUUUGUUAAAGCGGGGAAAAGCUUUAACGCCCAUAUUUGCCUGACACUGCAAGCAGCAUAUUUGGGGAGAGAAAAAGGACAUACAGCUUUAGCUGUAUGUUUGAGAUUGAAUAAAUCGCCAACAUGAGGACUGGGGUAACACACCAUUUUGCAGUAAAGAUUGUAGGCAAGAAGAGAUAAAGUUGGAUGAGAACAAGGAGAAGAGCUGGAAGGUUACGUCCAGGAGAAGAAAGUCGGAGCCCAACAAGAACUCCACCCCCAACAAAAAUGUACGGACGGGUUCUGUUGCUGUAGCCUGAUUGAUCUGAAACUGUAGAGGUUAUUGGUGGAGAUUCUUAUUAAGCUUUCAGAUCAUUCCACGUGGCAAGAUCAUGGUGGAUGUGAUCAAUAUGUAAAGCUAGGGAGAAAGGAUGAGAGGACGAGAGGAUGAUGUCCGAUCGGAUAGGAUGUAAGGAUUCAAAUCCCAAGGAGAAGAAAGUAAAUAGGAAACUGUGGCCAAUUGGAUAACGUAAAAUUAAGGAGAAGAAAUCAAGAAAAAACCCAAGAAUUUUGUUUUUGUUUUGGUUGAUGUUUGCAAGUCCAAGAGCAUCCUGUUGAAAUGGAAUGGUGGAAGGGAAGGUUAAUUCGUAAAGUUUUGUUAGUGAUCGAUCAUCUUUGUUUACUUCUAAAAGGAUGUUGAUACAUUGAAAAGUUUAUUCAAAGAGAUUUUCGUAUGAAAAAAAAAAAAAAAAAAAAAAAAAAAGAGCAUAUAGACACUAAGUGAAAUAAAGCUCAUUUAUUAAUGUUUCCAAUAAAUUACAAAUAUGUACAUAUACAUAAAUCAAAAUAAACAAACGAGAGAGAGAGAGAGAGAGCCUUCACAAAGGUUGCUCAGGCGGAGCCUCAGCGGUCGGCGGGGCCACAGAAGGAGGAGGUAUCGGAGGUUGAUCAUUCAGAGCUUCACUACGCGGUACAGCCCCAGAAGACGAAGGCAAAUGUUGUUGGAACAAACCCACGAACCUCCGAUGAUUAAGUAAAAUAUGACCAUCAGAUUCCUGCAUCUGGUCAAUUUUCCUCUUCAUGUUUGUGGCAUAGUUGUGUGCGAGCUUGUGCAACUGUUUAUUCUCAUGCUUGAGCCCUCUAAUCUCCUGUUUGAGACUCAUCACUUCAGCCGCCAACGAUUCAACUUGACGGGUUCGAGCGAAUAGGCGUUGGGCCAUGUUGGACACAGAACCCGCACACUGCACACUAAGAGCCAGAGACUCCUUAACAGCUAACUCAUCAGACCGCCUGGAAAGUAGUCUGUUAUCUUUGGGAGUGACAAGGUUCUGGGCCACCACCGCAGCGGUCAUAUCAUUCUUCAUCACCGAAUCCCCAACGGUAAGAGGACCAGUAGGGGAUAUGAAGGAUGGGCGCCAUAUGUUAUCUGGAGAAGACGGGACUACCUCUUCACCAAGGUUUAAAUCAAAACGACGGUCGGAGGGUCCAGACAUUUUCAAAGGUGUUGAAGAAAGAAGAGGUCGGACAAAUCAAGACCUUAGAAAUGCAAGAAGGGAGUUUCUACAAGCGAAAAUUCAAGUGUGCUUUGAAACGAACUGCGUGCCUCUAUAAAAAAAAUCGGCACUCGACGGGAUUUCAGAGAUCGAAGAGGUGAGCUCAGAGUUCGAAAAUGCCGAUUCAAAAAUCGAAGAGGCAAGCUCAGAAAUCGGAGAAGCAUCUUGCUUUUCCAGACGCGUUAGCACCCGUCACACGCAAACUCAGCUUUGCGGAAAUCACGGGCAAUUUGUUAAAGCGUCAAUCCCAGAUAUCGAAGAGGCGCCAGUCUUUUUCAGCCUCGUCAGCACCCGUCACGCGCAAACUCAGCUUUGCGGAAAUCACGGGCAAUUUGUCGAAGCGCCGAUCCCAGAUAUCGAAUAGGCGCCAGUCUUUUCAGCCUCGUCAACACCUAUCACAUGCACACUCAGCUUGACGAAAAUUAGGGACAAUUUGUCGAAGAUUUCUGAUAAAGAAGAAAGCACGUGAAGCCAUACUGAUCAAUCACGCAUUGGUUGCCGACACGAGUAAAAGAAUAGUACCUCUACAGGUACUAAAGAAAUUCCUAUAACUGUCCACAUUCACCCUUCAUAGCAAGGCAGACAUACAGAACCUUUCUUCAUCUCCGAGAAUGCCUUCCCAACGAAGCCUCUCGAGUCACUCAGUGUUUCUUUAUUCUUUUCCUUGGGGUACCUCUGCAAACAAAUGACACCAAAGCAAAAGUAUCUCAUAUCAUCAGGGUAGAAAGCAAGAGUAUCUCAUAUCAUGCGUUCUCCCUGUCCUUUCCUUUGUCCUUGUUCUUACCUACAAAGACAAGGAUAAAGAAAACAAUAUGCCGGAACCUCCACUCAAACUCGGAUGCCACAUUUGCCUGGAGAACAGAUAAGGCAAGUGAAAAUGAUACCUUGCAGCAUGUGGAGACAACGUGCAGAGGAAACAAGCAGAGAAGAAUGCAGUCUUCACAGUCAGCUCAGCAGAAGGAGUCCGAGCUGAGGAACUCAAGAAGCUGCCACAUCUGCCUGAAGAAACAAGCAGAGAAGAAUGCAGCCUGCAUAGUCAGCUCAGCAGAAGGAGUCUGAGCUGAAGAACUCGAGAAGAUGCUACAUUCUGCCAGAAGAAUAGAUAAGACAAGGGAAAAUGAUACAUUGAAGCAUGUGGAGACAAGCACAACAAAGCACGUGCCAAUUCAUCCGCUACUUCUUCAAAAUCAAAAGUAUCUCAUAUCAUCAGGUUUGCAAUCACUCUGGGUGGAGGACUCGUUUUGACCCUCAAAUUCUUGGGUCGACUUGCUAGGCGUUGUGGGCUGCAUGUGCCGUUCACCACCAUUGGAUCAAAUCCUUAAAGAUCAAGUCACCAACUGGAAGAAGAACCCAUCAAUCUUGAAGAUCAUACCGUUGACCAAACUACUCAGGUGUGAAUUAAAAAGAUUGAACAAAGCAACAAGCCGUCACCUUCACCUCGUGCCUGCUUGCCAGGUGUUCGAGUCAACCUUCAAGAAUCAAUGGCCUUUGAAGAAGUUUCUGGCCAAAUUCAAGAUCAAGCCUCGAUGGCCCUUGAGGAAAUCACAAGUCCGAUUCCAGAUCAAGCGUCCACCAUAUUUGAAUCAAAUCCAGUUCAAGAAUAAGCUGUGGAAAAUCAACAAUUGGAGGAAUCCAGAAAAUCCUCCAACCCAGUUCAAGAUCAAAGCUGUGGAAAGUCAACAAGCGCAACAAAAUACGUGCCGAUUCAUCCACUACCAAAACCAAGGAUCAUCUACCACAUGAAACUCCUUGUGGUCCAAUUUCAACCUUCAAGAUCAAGCCUCGACGGCCCUUGAAGAAAUCUCAAGACCAAUUCAAGAUCAAGCCUCAACGGCCUUUGAAGAAAUCUCCAGCCCAAUUCAAGAUCAAGCCUCGAUGGCCCUUAGAUCGACAUCUACAGUAAGGGACUUCAAAACGCAUCUCCUACACGUGACAAGCACAUGUAUACGACGCGCCUUGAAGUGGGGGCAUUUGUAGACAUCGAAAUUUCGGUAAAUAAAUGUUGAUCGAUAAAUCAAAGUUUCAACGCUCAUGUAUUACAUAAAUUUUACACGUAGCGUGUGUCUAAACAAAAAAUCGAAAUAAGUUGGAAAAGUCAUCAAACAUGACACGUAUCAACACCUGGCAGAAACGAUUUAUUUCAUCUGGAAUAUUAUAUUCAAAAUUAGGCCUUGGAAAAUUCUAUAAAUAGAAGGCUAAUUCAUUCAAAUUUUUUUUUUCUUCAUAUUACACCUUGAAGCUCUGAAGCUCUGAAACUCCGAAGCUCUCAAGCAAAUCCCAAAGGAUCAAGAAAGCCCUUUUCGUUCUUCAUCAAAUCCUCCUUCAAGAUCAAGCCCCGACGGCCCUUGAAGAAAGUGUUCUUCGUUCUUCGUUCAUCAUUCUUCCAAGAUCAAGCCCCGACGGCCCCUUGGAUCAACAACAUCAACAAAUCCACACGUCCAACCGUUCUUCAAGAUCAAGCCAAAAGCCCUUGGAGAUCCGUUCAUCACUGUUCUUCAAAGAUCAAGCCCAAAACCCCCUUUGAAGAUCCGCUCAAAUCCACCUUCAAAGAUCAAGCCCACGGCCCCUUGAAGAAACUUCCAACAGUUCAUCCAAGAUCAAGCCUCGACGGCCCUUGGAUCAACAAAACAUCCACAGAUCAACACCUUACGGAGAUUGAAUCAGAGGAUCAAAUUUAAGAGAGAUUGUAACCCAAAAAUCAUCAAAUACAAAUAUUAUUUUGUGCACGUUGAUCUUGUCUCUUUCGUUUCAGGAAUUUUCCGUGUUCACAGCUACAAUCACAAAGAAACACCAAGUCUUCUUUUGUUGGACAUACAUCUUUUCUUAAACGGUAUAAAAAUUGCUGAGAAUAUCUUACUGAAGUUGACUGACAGUUGAAAUAAGUGAGAAACUUGUUGACAGCUGAAACAUGUGUUUGUUUAUAACUUUUCUUUGCACCUUUUUAUUUAAAUAGCAGGAUAAACAUGUCCAUCUAAUCAUAUUUUUUUUUCAAGAUAUUUGAAAAAGAAAGUGUUUGGGUUUUAUGGAGGUUUUUUUUUUAACUUCCUUUUCUCUACGGGUAUUUGGAUGAUGGUAUUUUUUUGGGAACUUUAACGAAAAGCAUCCGGUAUUGUUCACUUUAACGAAAAACCACAUUUUUACACUAAAAAGUCAAUUCCGGUACUAUUCACUUUACCCUUUAUUUUGUCCUUAUUAUUAAAACUCAAAGUUUUCAAGUCCUUUUCAUUAGUUUUCCUUAUUUUUAGAGGUUAAAAAUAUAUAUCCGGAUAUUAAAAGUUAUACAAUUCUAUAUAACCUAAGAAUAAUAAAAAGGAACAAAUGGUGUAGAUAAAACAAGAUUGAUUAAUAAGUUUUAGUACGUCAAAACCAUUUCUUGUGAUAGUAUAUAGAGUCAUGAUAUAUAUUUCAGAAAUAUUUGAGAAAUUUACGUGAAACAUGCGUUAGAUUUUUGUUUUUUAUAUUCAUCUCUACUAAUUAAUAAAACCUUUUUUGUCAACCAAAAGAGGGUGAAAAGACAAAUUAGUCUUCUAUCACACAAAAAAUGAUGAGCAAUAAUGUAAUUUCAAAGGUUCAAAUUUUACUAUUUUUUAUUGAAACCUCACAUAUUAAAAAACCUCCAAUAUUAAAAAAAAAAAAAACCUCCAACUCCCCUCACAUUCUCUCUCUCUCUCUCUCUCUCUCCCCUUCUCAUUUUCUAAAAAAAUGUGUUCAUACACACAAAGUAUGUAGGCAAAUGCUAGUAACUAUUAAAAAGGUUUAGUCAAAGUUAAGUAUUUUUGUUUAACUUUUUGUUUUUUCGUGCUGGAUUUUUGUGCUAGACUUUUGCUUUUUCCCCAUUUAUUCUAUCUUUAUUUUACUAACAUGUUGUCACAGCCUUCCUUGUGGGGUAAAAGCCUACGAAUGUGCGGAGGCAUGAAUGAUAAAUGCAGAUGGGAACAGGAAGAGAGGUACUUUUGGUUGUCAUACUAUAAAUUAAUUAGGAGAAUAAGAGAAAAAAUUUAAAAGCUUUGUUUAUUGAGGAAGUAAAAACAAAUAAAAUUGUAUAAAUGCCGUAAAAUGUGAAAAAAAAAAACCAAGAAGUAUUUGUUCGAUAACGAGCGGUAUGGGGUACAUGGCAUAUUGGGCCAUGAAAAAUAUAUAUAUUUGGAAUUGGGACGAGAUUUUGUUGUAGGGAAGUAGAUAUAAAUACGGUCAAUUUGUAGAAAAAAUAUAGAAUUUUUCGAUCAUGUUAAGUAUUAUAUUAUGUUUUUUGAAGUAGGGAAAUUGGAAAAUCCUUAAAAAACCCGGGGCGAGAUUUUUUCGACUCCGUAACUUAGAGGACCUUCUAAAAAUCAUAGAUUAAGUAAAAUUUUUAUUAAAAAUGGCACAUAACAUUGUUUGAAGAUUUUCGAUGCGUUUCGACAUGCAUGUUGUGCAAUUUGGCAUGUCAAUGAAGAAUCCAUGAAAAUAUGGUUCUAGGAGAACAAACCGACUUGUCGAAAUCUAUAACUAAGAUGAAGCUUACGGCUAUCAUAGGCCAAGCACCUAUGCUUGGCGCCUCGAACACUUAUAGCAGUUUUACUAUGAAAAUAAUUCUCAAGGGCUUACUUAAUAACCACAGAUUCAAGUUCAACUCUCUCUAUAUAUAUAUGACAACAUUGCUAAGAAAUGUAGAAAACUUAGGUAUGAAGAAAGAUAACGAAUACUAGAGAGAGAGAGAGAGAAGACAAUCUUUUGCAACAGAUUUUUCUAUUACUGUUAACUUAAUCAAUACAAUGCAAUCCUGCUAUUUAUACUCAUACAAAACAUAACACCCUAGAGACAAAACUCAACAGCCACUAAUACAAGGACAAGUGGCAUUCUCUACAUAACUCAAAUGGCUUAUAUUCUAACAUUCCCCCUCAAUCUUAUAGUGGGAAGCCCCAAGCAUAAGAUUGGAACAAUGAUGAAGAAACAAAGGUGAACACAAGCCUUUGGUAAGAAUAUCAGCAUAUUGAUCAGUAGAGGAUACAAACUGCAGAGAAAUAACUCCCUGUUGAACCCGUUCUCUAACAAAGUGACAGUCCACUUCGAUAUGUUUAGCUUUGGAAUGAAGAACCGGAUUGGUUGCCAAUGCCAUUGCUGAGAUAUUAUCACAAUGCACGAAAUCCACAACCUGAACACCGACGACGAUCGACAAAUCACAGCAACAAUCCAAGAAAGAUAAAUCAAGAGCGGAAGCAAGAAGGAUCGACAACCGAAGGUGUUAACCGUAUCGGCGAAGAUACCAUGACAACAUUGCUAAGAAAUGUAGAAAACUUAGGUAUGAAGAAAGAUAACGAAUACCAGAGAGAGAGAGAGAGAGAGAAGACAAUCUUUUGCAACAGAUUUUUCUAUUACUGUUAACUUAAUCAAUACAAUGCAAUCCUGCUAUUUAUACUCAUACAAAACAUAACACCCUAGAGACAAAACUCAACAGCCACUAAUACAAAGACAAGUGGCAUUCUCUACAUAACUCAAAUGGCUUAUAUUCUAACAAUAUAUACACUCUUAAAGUCCACAUUUAUCAGCAAAACUACUUCUACUACUUAGUUGAAACCUGAACUGUUUUCUUUGACCUACUACUGUAACCACUAAGGACACCCAAAAGCAUGUUUUCGUUUUGCAGGAGCCCGCACGCAGCAGCUAGCUAUAGUUUCUUUCUUUCAACUUGUUCGAGUAAAAUGGAAACAAACACUCAUAAGCAGCACGCGAUAAGCAUGUGGGAUUAGCCGAAAGUAAUACAAAUGGACAGAUCCGACUUGGGGCUUCAACGAAAGCAUCUUCGGACACGGUUAAUAUAUUUGGAUCAGGGAUGGAACCAUUUGUUAGGAGGAAUGUUACUAGGGGUGUAAAUUAGUUGAGGGAAACGGAAUAUUAAAGUACUCAAGCUCGGCCCAGAUGAUAUUCUUCGUGCGCAAGAAAAAGGCUCGUAACCGCAAGCUUAAGCUCAGCUCGGAUAAUAUUUCCAAGCUCGAGCUUAUGUUUAGUUCGACUUAAUUUAUUGACAUGUAAUAGAAUAAACAUAAUAAAAAACCGUUGAUAUUAAUAUUGUAGUAUGUGAACAAAACAAUAAGUUAAACACUUUAAAAUGAUUGCAUAUCCAACAUUUACGAACUAGUCACGAGCUUUGCACUAUUACAAUAUUAGCUUUAACUGGCGGAUGAUGGUGGCGGAUAAUAGAAAAAUCCUGUCGGAUAAAUUAUAUCUGACACAUCUUUUAAUUUGUGGCGGAUAUUAGAAAAAUCAUGUCGGUUAUAUCCAACAUAAAUUCCUGGCGGAUAUAAAAAAAUAUUGUCGGUUAUAACCGACAUAAUUUUUUAAUAUUUUUUUUAAAUAUUUUUGACAUAUUCUGGCGGUUUUUAAGUUAAUGGUGACGGUUAUAACCGACAUAAAUGAAAAUUUUAUUAUUUUAAAAUAUUAUAUUUAUAAAUAAAAUAAAAAUAAAAAAAUAAAAAAAUAUAUUAAAUAAAAAAAUAAAUAGACAACCUAACAUACAAAAGCAAUGGGGAGGAUUUGAGUUCGCAACCCUAGAGACAUAGGAUUCUGUCACCUGCCUUGAGCCCAGAGCCAAACAGUUCCAUACCGUUUCAUUUCAAAACCCCUGCUCGGGCAGAUAAAGGAAGCUCUAGAUUUGCACACUUGUCAUGCAUCCGAGUAUGGAGCUCCUUAGGAUUCUAAAAUAAUAACUAAAAUAUGCUCCAUUUCAGAGUGUUCGUUUAGAAACCCUAAGGCCCCUCUCACAUAUGGCUCAACUCUCUCUCUCUCUCUAUUCUCAGACCCAUUUCUUUCCAAAAUGAAAAAUAGCUCGCCUUCUCUCUAUUCUCUCAGACCCUUACCCCUAUGCCGCUCAGCCACACACAAGUGCGAGACUUUCUCUCUCCCAGCAACACAACCACACACACUCUCCUUUGCAAGAACCCCAAAACCAACGCCUCUGCCAUGGAAAUGGUAGCACAUUUGAAGCUCAAAUCUUCCCACAAAGGUAAUCUUCGUCCCUGUCCUUGUUUAAUAGGUGCACAAUUGUUGAUUUUUUUUUCGGAAAAGAGGAACAUUAACUCAUGAUGAUCUGCUUCCUUUGCGAGGAUGUGGGUUCGUCGACGAAACCCAAAGAAAAUAAAGAACAACAUUCAAACGGCUCAGAUCCAAGACAGAAAGGGUAAAAUUACUAGUCUCCAUAAUUGAUCUCUCGCUACAUGUAAUUAUAAUGGUAUGGUAUGUGUGCAGAACACUUGGAACCAUGACAGAUCCGAGAGAAAGAACGCUUAAACUAGAGAUCCCCUGGACAGAAGGUAGGACACAUCUCAAAGGCCUUGAUUUGUCAAUUUGGAAGGUAUAACCACUUGGAGAGCGAACGGGCGACGGGGAUAUGGAAAAUGCAGAAAUAUUUUUUGAAAUUGAGCUCCGGCAAGGUUUCGGAUGGUGAAUGCAGGGGAUAUGGAAAAUGCUGAAAUAUAUAUUUUUUUAUUAUUAAUAUAUGUUCUGUCGUUUUUAUCCAACAAUUUUUUUUUUCUUAUAAUAAAUGUUCUGUCGGUUAUAGCCGACAGAAGUCCUGGCAGUCUUUUUCUUUCCUGUCUGUUUUGGAGUAGUUUCUGUCAGAAAAUUCAUUUCCUGACGCUAGCAAAUCUGUCGGUUAUUAUAUCUGCCACUGCAUUCAUUUUCUGACGGAUUUUGCUUAAAAUCUGACAGUAAUAUACGUUUUUUGUUAGUUUUUGAACCGCCAGUUAUAGAUAAUUUUGUAGUAGUGUUGUGAGUCAAACAUACCAAAGCUUGAGCUCGGUUUUUCUUCAAAUGAGCCUAUGUUUUGUUUAAGCUCAACUCAUUUAACUUAAUAAUUGAGCUUGAACGACCUACACAAGACAUAUGAGCACUGUUCUAAAAAUCUCCACCUAGCGUCGCCUAGGCACUAGGUGGCUGGCCAUUACCCCGAUUAAUGUCUAGGCAUUUGAAAAUUAAGAAAGGGCGCCUAUACCGCCUAGACACCCGCCUAGUCCUCCUAGACCCGCCUAGGUUGUAACAACCCAACCCGGAAUUUACGGAAUAGAGGGGCAUUUUGGUAUUUUCACUUUGGGUUUGGACAAGGUAUUUUGAAAUGUGCUUUUGGGUCUUAAAUGGUGUGCCCAAGGGGGCCCACCCUUGGUUUUGUUCCUCGGCCCAAACCCUCUCUUCCUCUCAUUUUUCCCGUGUACAACACUAAGACCUCUCUGUCUUUCUAUCUCACUCUCUCAUUCUCUCUAACUUUCUCUCCUCUCUUCCCGAGCUCACUCUCACUCUGCAAGCUCUCCCUUUCUUCUCUCAGACUCACCCUCAGAACUUCACACAACCCCAAACUCAUCUCCUAGACCGAGAAACUUCAAAGAUCCCAUACAAAUGCCAAGGAACCCCACAGUGACGUUGUCAUUGUUCAUUGUCUUCCUCGACGCGUUUCGUGAUUUUCCAAUGUUGGUAAGCUUCUAGAAACUCUUGGGAUGUGUUUUAGGGUUAGAUCGAAGCUUCUUUUAAGUUGUACAUAUGUGUUAAUCGUAGAAAAUAGCUCGGAGUAGCUUUUCCCAGUUUUCCGACGAGCAUUGCCACUUUCAAGGAUUUUUGGACCAAACCAUGGAAAGCUAGCCGCCAUGCAAGAUACCAUCCUCUUUGUCUUGUUGAGAAGUAUAAUUUUUGUUUUUGAAUCACUUGAUUUCGAUGAGUAUUGAAGAAGUUAUGAACGUUUAAACUUUACCCAGUUUUCGACAAGCACCGCUACUUUCGAGGUGUAUUCUGGCCAAUUCACGGUGAGUUAGACAUCAUGAAAAGUAUCAUUCUGUUCAUCUCAUUGAGUACUACAACUUUGGUUUUUGAAUUACUCGAUUUGGUUAAGUAUCGAAGAAGUUAUUAGCGUUUAAAGUUGCGCCCAAAAACUGGCCAAACCUUGGCCUGAAACUGGGUCGACCCGACCCGAUUACCUUGAAACCUAAAUCCAAGAUCCAAUCUUGCAACCGGCCCAACCCAGACCCUUUGGGCUAGGCUGCUAAGCCCAAGCCUAUAAUAGUGACAUAAUUACCCAGCCCAAUUGCCCAAGCCUAAACCCACUAAGCCUAAACCCAGGACCCAGACCCAUCACUUUGACAAGACUUGUUGACUGACCGUUGACUUUAGCCGUUGGCUGGUCAAGGUAGACUUUGGGUUAACUUUUUUAGGUUUCGACCAGGAACCCUCAUAGACUAAUUUCAACGUCCUGAUUCCAAAUUCGUGCUCCGUUUUCUCAAAUUCAAUCGCUUUAGUACAAUUUUAUUAAUUGGAUCCAUUAUGUGCUUAGGUGCAAAUAUUUGUGGCAUCCCGUAUUCACUAGUUUCAUGACUCUUCGCCAACGGUGUAAGGUGAGUGGACCCCUUCUAAAAUGCAUAUUUACUACUAGAAAUGCAUACAUGAAAAACAUGAUUUAAUGGUUAUGUUUUAUGAAACGUUUAUGAGUAAAUUGGAUUUACGCUUUAUGAUAUUCAUGCUUUAUCGAUUUUACGUUCUUCGUUGUAUAUAUGAUUGAUGACUAUAUACUACGAAUAGGUUUUACGAUAUGACGUUUUAGUUACUGAACACCGAUUAAGAUAUAUAUAUAUAUAUAUAUAUAUAUUAGAAAUAUUAAGUUAAUGUUUUUAUGUACUUACUUAGUGGUUACUCAUACGAUCUGCCUACAGGCAAAUGGUCAUGCCUACAGGCGAAUGAAAUAUGUGUGUGUGUGUGUGUGUGUGUGUAUAUGCCUUGUCCUACUACUACUAAACACAUUAUAUACAAUAUAUGUUUUAUGAAAGGUUUUAUGGCAUGCUAGGGUUUUCGGAAAAAACCUAUUACUUAUUACGAUAUAUGAGUUUUCUAAACCUGGGGGUUAGUACUUUAAAUAUUAAUUGUUUUUGUAUUACUUAUAUAUAUCAACUUUGUCCAUUCAUGUUUUGUUUUGCACCCCCUCAGGACUUAGAUUCGAGGCGUACAAUCCCGACGUCAAGGCACUCCCGCAUCGGCAUCUUCGAGUCAUCUCGGUGUAGGACCCAUCCUUUUGUUCAUUCAAUAUUUUAUUUCAUUUUUAGUGUCUCAUAUUAGUUAUAUGCUUUGAACACGUUCCUCAAUUGCAUAUUCAUUAUAUUGAAAUUUUAUGAGUUUUAUUUAUAUUCGUAUUCCUUCAUAGUUCUCAUGUAUGUUAGUAUGGCUUCGUCACCUUCUGGUGUCAGCCAGCAGGUGCCUACCCUGGUAUCAGAGCGUGGUUUGUUCAGAGCAUACUUAGGAUCAUAUCGUACUUUAGUAGUGUGUCAGUCAUGACAUCAUUUGGAUGUCACGACUUUCGGAUUUGUUGUCAUUCGGCAUAGUUGUGCAAGUCUCAUUUUGCGUGAAUAGUCAUAUCCUAUUGAAAAAGAAGAAAUUUGUGUCGGGAUUGUGCCUCAUCGGUGACGUGAUGGAUUAUUGGACGACUUUCAACAUCAGAUCGUUACUCUGCAACAUGUGUUCCUUAGGAAUUGCGAGCAGAGUCAGUUUUUACAAUUGAAGUGACGUGAAUUAGAAAUCUUAGUUAGAGGAAGUCUGGUUAAGACCAGCUGAAAAUCUGAGAUGGUGAUGCCAUUCUGCAACGUGCGUUCCUUAGGAAUUGCGGGCAGAGUUGUAUUUACACAGGAGUGUGAGGAAACGGAAAAAUCUAAGUGGUUCGUGUUUGGGAAUCUAAAACAGUGAUGUUACUCUGCGACAUGUGUUCCCUAAGAAAGGCAGGCAUGGUCAUAUCUUUAUGAAAAUUAUUUGAAACAUUUGAAGUUUGUGUUAGAGAAAGAGAGUAAAUGCUAGUUGUUACGAAGUUUAGUAAGUGGUAGUUUGGUAGGAUCAGAUCCAUGUCCUCGGACUCGAAGGAAAUUCAUGCGGAUCCUUAGAACAAUUCUUGGCGAUUGUUCUAUCAAUAACCCUCUUCUCAAUAGAUUCUGUGGUAAUGGAUGUUAUUCUUAUCAAUUUCCAAAAGAGGUUACGACCGUUGGAAAUUGAAAAUCCUCACAUGGUGUUGUGAAAUGCGAAAUGCCUUUGACCUCGUCAAACCCUAUCAGCAGUUCUUAACUAUUCCUUGUGCUUAGCCUUAUUUCUUUUUUGCUAAGAAACCAAUCAAUGGUGUUAUUAUGCUGAUGGUGAAUGAAGUUCCUAACAAUGGGGUAUUGUCACAUUUGAUCGCAGAUUUUACACUUUUCGAAUUUCUACGGUGGUGUACUAUUAAAUGUCUGGAUGCACGCUGAUGGGACAAGAUCCAGUCACGCAUGUGCCUCUUGACGAUUUGAACCGCAUGAUGUGAACCAUUCUAUCUUUAACCUAGAGUUGGUAAUUAUCUUUCUUGUUGUAAAAUCUGGUGACGUUUUCCCUACAAUAAGAAAUUUUACAUCCUUUUUUGACCAAAGAGGUUGUAGUGUGUUUCACACAUAAAUGGCUGAGUUUGAAAUGAAAGUGGUGAAAUGGAAGCCACCAGGCUUAUCUCAAUUUCUUUCUAUUCCUGUUCAAAGAUGGGAAUAAAUUCCUAUGGUUUUCCUUAUUGGGUUGUCGAGGACCCACUGGGGAUGCGAACGAAAAUGGGUGAAUGUCACGAUUUUCGGUACAAACCAUCUUGUACACAUGGAGACUGUGAUGACGUUUCGGUAUUUGUUGAUCAACACAUUUUUCAUAUCAUCUACCAAUCUAAAAGGACUACACUUCGACCGUUUGGCAAAAUUUCUUCAUCCUAGACUUUGUUUGACUGACAUCUUGAUUGACAUUGAUUUCAACCAAAACCCCUGUUUCACCUCCUGGUCCUAAAAAACAUCCUAGUCAAAUUUGGGUUCGUGCUUACCCUACGAUACUUCGUGUCAUUUCCUUCGUAUUGUUUCCAAGCAAACAGACUAUUCAGGAGAACCACUCAUAUACAAAGUUUUGGCCAGAACCAUCAGUCAUUCAACCACCAAUUAACAUCUCAUCGAGUCAAUAAUUACCACUGGUGUUUGAAUAUAUCUGAGGUUAUUGUUGUAACAAGUUGAUGUGAAUAUUAGAAUGGGAAAAAGUUUGAGUUCCCGUCUAUUAGAGUUCAUGUUGGUACCAUAUAUUGGGCCUCGUCUUUAGGCCUCAUCCCUAAGCCUAUGAUUUAUGUAAGAAUGGAGGAAACCCUUAUUCUAUAAAAGGGGGGCCUCACAUUCACUAAGGGGAAGCCUCACAGACAGAGAGUCUCACAUCUCAGAACCCUCACAACAAUAGAGGGUAAUACCCUCUCAACCAAACAGAGAGCAAAAUGGUAAGGGCUGCAUCUACAGAGAGCUCCCUUGCCGAUCUAUUGUAAUCCAUACAUUCAUACAGUAAAUGGAAUCAGCAUCAGUGUGGACGUAGCCCAAACAUUGGGCUGAACCACGCUACAUCUUUGUGUUCUUGAGUGUUUGUGUGAUUUACGGCCAGAUUUACGUUGGUCCAAGAUCCUCCAGAUUUUGUGCAUCAACAGAGUUCUUUAGACUACCACUCGAGUCGAGUCCACACUCAACCAUUUCGACUUGCCAUCGCAGGAUCAAGUUUUGUACUCACACAUGUUUUUACUUCAAAGUUACGCUUUCCACCAAGUUAUCUUGUACCCUCGACUUGACGGACUUGUUAUGACCCUUAAAUUCUUGAGUGUUCUUUUAGCCUUCUCGGCAUAGCAUUUUCGCUGAAUCCGAGAGAAAUUCUCAAUGAAUCAACUCACUUAGGUGUUGUGAAUUACAUUGUUUUGGUUCUCGGUGCAUCUUCACUUUUGUACCUUAUCGUGAUGCAUGUUUCACUUCUAAGUUUUGUGAAGUUUUGUGAAGGUCUUGAGUACUAAGUUGUUUGUCCAGUAUCGCAUAUUUAUUUGCAGAUUGUGGGACAGUCUUCAACAAACUAUCUAGAUCUUGAAUGACGUGUUGCGUUAUUUUGAUUUGUGGUUUCUGAAUGAUUUGAUUUUGCACCGAUCUCUUUUGGAGAUUACGACGACAAUUCUUUUAUUUCCAGUUUGAAUUUGGCACUAUUUGAGACUUGAUUUGAUAGAUUCUAUUGGCAGCACUAGUUAGACAAUAAAGUUUUGCGAAUUGGUUUUCGGAUGUUUGAUUUUAUAAUUUGAGAAAUUGUGUGCUUAUGUUUUUGUUGACUUGAGUUUGGACAAAUUGGUAUGUUUGCACCCUUAGGAAAUUACUACUUUCUUAUCGAGAUAACAAUGUGUUGUCGAUAUCACGGGUGGCCGACUGUGAUAUCGAUGGCUUAUUCAUUGGGUUCGUCAAGCAAGUGGACAUGUAGACCCGUCUAUGAUAGUGAGUACUGUUAGGUUAUUAUUGGGGCUCGACCAAAAGAUGCAUCUAUUCUCGGAGUACAUGACGUUUCGAAUGCUUGGGCGAGACCCACUUCCACGUUUGGUUUUGAUUUUCAGUACAAGUAUUUUAAAUUACCUUAUUUUCUCUGUUAAGUACAGUACGAGUUUUUCGACCUCUAUGUUAGUACAUAUCUAUUUUGAAGCUAUCGUAUUAUAUGUACAUACUUUUGACCUUAUGUUAUUAUACAAUUUCGACUUUAUAUCUUCAUAAAGUAUGUUGCUAGCGACGGUGUGGCAUAUUCUCUCUGAUGCAACCACUCUGACUUGAUUCCUUCUUUAUACAUAUAUUCUUACCUAUCUUCAAGUAUUUAUGUAUAGUACGUUAGUUCAAAUUUCGGGACGAAAUUUUCUCAACGAGGGUAGAUUGUAACAACCCGUCCCGGAAUUUUCGGAACAGAGAGGCAUUUUGGUAUUUUCACUUUGGGUUUGGACAUGAUAUUUUGAAAUGUGCUUUUGGGUCUUAAAUGGUGUGCCCAAAGGGGCCCACCCUUGGUUUUGUUCCCUGGUCCAUACCCUCUAUUCCUUUUAUUUUUCCCGUUUACAACACUAAAACCUCUCUCUCUUUCUAUCUCACUCUCUUUUUCUCUCUAACUCUCUACCCUCUCCCCGAGCUCCCUCUCUCUGUGCAAGCUCUCCUUCUCUUCUCUAAGACUCACCCACAGAACCUUACACAACCCCAAAUUCAUCUUCUAGACGAAGAAACUUCGAAGACCCCAUACUAAACGCCAAGGAAACCCACAAUGACGUUGACACUGUUCAUAGUCUUCCUCAAUGUGUUUCAUGAUUUUCCGAUGUUGGUAAGCUUCUAAAAACCCUUAGGAUGUGUUUUAGGGUUAGAUUGAAGCUUGUUUUAAGUUGUACAUAUGUGUUAAUCGCAGAAAAUAGCUUAGAGUAGCUUUUCCCAAUUUUUCGGCGAGCACCACCACUUUCGAGGUGUUUUUGGGCCAAACCACGGUGAGCUAGCCAUCAUUCUCAUUCUCUUCGUCUUGUUGAGAAGUAUGAUUUUUGUUUUUGAAUCACUUGAUUUUGUUGAGUAUUGAAGAAGUUAUGAACGUUUAAAGUUUAUCCAAUUUUCAGCAAGCACUGCCACUUUCGAGGUGUUUUCCCGGCCAAUCCACGAUGAGUUAUCCAUCGUGCAUGGUACCAUUCUCAUCAUCUCGCUGAGUACUACAACUUUGGUUUUAAAUCACUCGAUUUGAUUGAGUAUCGAAAAAGUUAUGAGCGUUUGAAGUUGUGCCCAAAAACUGGCCAAACCUUGGCUUGAAACUAGGUCUACCCAACCCGAUAACCUUGAAACCUAGAUCUAAGAUCUAAUCUUGCAGUCGGCCCAACCCAGAACCGUUGACUUUGACCCGACUUGUUGACUUUGAUCAUUGAUUGGUCAACGUUGACUUUGGUUGACUUUUUUUGGUUUCGACUGGGAACCCUCCAAGACUAAUUUUGAUGUCUUGAUUCUAAAUCCAUGCUCUGUUUUCCAAAAUUCAAUUGUUUUAGUAUAGUUUUAUUAAUUGGAUCCUUUAUGUUCUUAGGUGUAAAUAUUUGUGGUGUCUCGUUUUCGCUAGUUUGCACGACUCUUCGCCAACGGUGUAAGGUUAGUGGACCCCUUCUAAAAUGGAUAUUUUACUACUAGAAAUGCAUACAUGAAAAACAUGAUUUAAUAGUUACAUUUUAUGAAACAUUUAUGAGUAAAUUGGAUUUACGCUUUAUGAUAUUCAUGCUUUAUCAAUUUUAUGUUCUUCGUGGUAUACAUGAUUGAUGACUAUAUACUACAAAUAGGUUUUACGAUAUGACAUUUUAGCUACUGAACUCCGAUUAAGAUAUAUAUAUAUAUAUAUAUAUUAGAAAUAUUAUGUUAAUGUUUUUAAGUACUUAGUGGUUACUCAUACGAUCUGCCUAAUAGCGAAUGGUCCUGCCUACAAGCGAAUGAAAUCAUUAAUUGGCUUUAGUCGGGUGAUGUAGGGCCUACAGACGAAUAAUACUGCCUACAGAUGAACAGUCCUGCCUACGAGCGAAUGAUACUUAUAUUGGCUUUAGUCGGGCGUAGGUUGGUGGCUUCCGCCGAAAGAUACUUAUAUUGGCUUCGGUCAGACAUAGGUUUGUGGCUUCAGCCAGAAGAUACUUAUAUAUUGGCUUCGACCGGGAGAUGUAGUGCCUACAGGCGAAAGAUAUGUGUGUGUGUGUGUGUGUGCGCGCGCCUUGUGCUACUACUACUAAGCACAUUAUAUACGAUAUAUGUUUUAUGAAAGGUUUUAUGGCAUGCUAGGGUUUUCGGAAAAAAAACCUAUUACUUAUUAUAAUAUGAGUUUUCUAAACCUGGUGUUAAUACAUUAAAGAUCAACUGUUUUAGUAUUAGUAUUACUUAUAUAUAUUAACUUGGUCCACUUAUGUUUUAUUUUGUGCCCCCUUAGGACUUAGAUUUAAGGCGUACAAUCUCGGCGUCAAGGCACUCCUGCAUCAGCAUCUUCAAGUCCUCUUGGUGUAGGACCCAUCCUUUUGUUCAUUCAAUAUUUUAUUUCCUUGUUAGUGUCUCGGAUUAGUUGUAUGCUCUAAACACGUUUCUCAAUUGCAUAUUCAUUAUAUUUAAAUUUUAUGAGUUUUAUUUAUAUUCAUAUUUCUUCAUAGUUCUCAUGCAAGUUAGUAUGGCUUCGUCACCUUAGCGUGUCGGCCAGCACGUGCUUACCCUGGUGUUUGGGAGAAUAUCAGGGUCGGGUGUGUCAUAGCUUGCAACUCACUUAGACAAAAAAUAGAUAACUUUCAUUUUGCAUUUUAUUUUUUUUCAAUAAAUUGUAAGAGACUUGUUGCAUACUUAAAUGAACACACAUUAUAUCCUUAUUUCACAUGUUUUCAUUAUUUUCCAAUACUUUAUAAUAUAUAUGCAUUCUAUUUUGUAGUUUAUGAUGAAAUUAUAUAUAUGUUAAGUAUAAGUAGACACUUAUUUACACAAAAUAUGAUAGAUUUACUUAAAUCUGCCUAGUCCGCUUAGGCGCCCACCUAAGCCCCGCCUAGCCACCUAGGCGCUAGGCCUCAACCUGUCGUCCGACUAGCGCCAAGCGUCUUUUAUAACCUUACAUACGAGUCAAAGGUCAAGGUGAUUUGUAGACCCAUUAUGUUACUGACUAGAUUGUUAACCUCUAUUACAGAGGUAGUCAGCAAGGUAGUUAGUAAAUGUAAUAAAAAAACUUUUCAUUGAAAAAACGAAUUAGAGUUCCAAAAGCACUUGCAGUGCUUCUUGUAUGAAGCACUUCAAGUGAUUAUCCAGGAUUCACUAGCAUUUUUACUAAAAAUUGAUCCCAAUAUUAUUACUGUUUAUACCAUAUUUAGGGCCUCCGUAUUUAGAUCUCAUAUAAAUACUCGGGGGACUUAAAGGUAAUUAUGUAAUAAAGGAAGGGGCAAAUAUGUAAUAAGUGAGGAGUCCUUAUUCUAUAAAAGGACCCCUCACCCUCACAAUUAGGGGAGGCCAAUUCCUAGGCCCUCUCACCCCCUCUCAAAGCUCUCACUCUCAGAGCUCUCUCUCCCUCACUUCUCAAAUAAAUAGAUAAUCAGUGUGGACGUAGCCCAAACCUUGGGGUGAACCACAAUACAUCUUGUGUCAUUUACAUUACUUGCAGAUUCACGGUUGGAUUUACGUUGUUCCAAGACCUCCGGUUUUGAUUUGGCGCCGUCUGUGGGAAACGACACGAAAACUAUGUCGGUUCUCUUUCAUUUUUUCACCUUCGCCGUGAAUCUGCAAAAACCCACACAGAAACCAAAACAAAAAGAAAACCUCAAAAAGUCUCUUAAACUAUCUCCGAGCUUUUGUAGUCCCCCACGUGUCAACAAGUCCAGUUCUCUUCUUCAAAUGUUUGGAGUCACGGUUUCAACCGAUUUACAGAAAAUAGCAUUAACACAACCAAGGUAGAGAGAGAGAGAUGGCGGGAGAUGCAGAUUGGAGGAAAACGGAAGAGACGACGAAGAUGAGUCCGAAUGAAGUGAAGAGAAAUAGACUGGAGGGAGCACAGAGGCCUCCCGGUCAUAACCCCGGCGGUGUUCUUCACCAGCGACGCGGCCUCCCAUUUGGCCCUAUCACCAUGGCAGUUACCGGCUUCCUCACUGUCGGCACCAUUGGCUACUUCAUCUCUCUGCAGUUGAAACAACAAGAAAAACCCAACAACCUAGAGUUUUCCCAGAGAUCUGAAACACUCACUCAAACCCUUCAUUUCCUCUGGUUUUUUCUCUGCUUCUUUAACCCUGAUUUCCUCUCUCCUCUCCGGCAACGCUUCUGUUUCUCUCUCUAGAAUCAUGCUUCUCAAAGCCUCUGUAGCAUUCUCUUACUUGCUCGCUCGCGGGGACGGUUUUGAUCCUCUGUUUCCCUUUGCACCGUACCUUUCGUACUCAUUCUCGCCUGUGAACUCCUCCACAUCUGUGUCUUCGAUUCUCCGAUUCCCUCUAGUGAAAAAUGAAAGUGGGGUCGUCGUCUGCGCGUCGAAGAGUGCGACUAACCGGCCGCUUACAUAUGUGGUUUUUGAGCCAUUUGAGGAGGUGAAGAAUAAGCUCGAUCUCGUUCCUACUCUCCCCCAAUUCUCUCUGGCCCGUCAGAAAUACACUGACAAAAGGGAGGCCGUCAUUAACGAGCAGAUCAAUGGUUCUAUAUGUACGUUCCAGAACCUCUUAUAUGCCAUCUCCUAAAGGUCAAUGAUUCCCAGGGGUAGAUCCGUCAAAACACGGAGUCAGCCAUGGCAUUCCCUGCGACGACGUUGUCGAGAUCCAGCCGGGGAAGACUCCCGACGAGCAGUCUGUCCUCACCCCCAACUGCCCCGACAAAGCAGGCCUCGACUGCGACCUCUCCAUAAUCAUCCUCUAGUUCGGCCUUUUCCAUUACGAGCAAUAAAGCAGUAGCUCAGGCGUUUUCAGAAGUUCAAAAGAUGGAGUCUUUAACGAGAAAAAUGGAGAAUUUGCAGAAGAAAAUGACUGGGCCCGUCAAGUUUUCAACUGACGAUGGUGGUGGAGGAAGCGAGUCGCUCAUCGAUUCGAGCGGCGGUGACUCGAGAGAGACUAGCAGUAUAAGCCGAUCCCAGUCCUCAUGAUUCUCAAAGCACUAAUGAAUCAUCAUCUCAAUUUAUGGGAAGCGGGACCUUAUUUGGAAAAUAAUUCAGUGAGUCUAUGAUCUGUCAACCUGAGUUAGCAGGGACCAAGUCUUGUGAAGAACCAGAUCCUGAUAAUAUGGAUAUUAUGGAAAGCAGGGGGCAAGCAAGGAAUAAUGUGGACGAACCUGAUCCUGAUGCUGAGGAUGCAACAAGCAGAUUAGAUAUGGCUUUCUUUAAAUCGUCCAGCUGCUUUUGAAAACUGUGAAAAGAAAAAGUGGUGCAGUCAUGGAGGGGUCAUGUGCUCACAAAGAAGAAAAUCAAAAGCACUGACAGAAGCAAUGCUAUUGGCAGAUUUAAAUCAAAAUCCACUGCGCCUACGCAGAAAAAGAAAAAGAAAGUAAACAAAAGCAAAAGCAGAUAAUAUUAAUGGGGUUCAUAGUGGGGUGGUGCAGUUUACAACCAUGAUGAUGAUAGGCCAACAAGCAGCUCAUUCGAAUUCAGAUCUGACAGCAGCUGUUACUCCCAGUCUCUCAAAAACCAUCCAAGCCAAUGAACGCUACCAACAGAAGCAACCCAGUACGCAGUAGGGGCAGUCCGCACCAACGAUCUGCAAUUGUCGAAACGUUUAUUUUUGAAUGAUGUAAUUUAUUUUUCGUAUCUUUCGGAGAUAUCUAUAUAAACCCCAUCAGAGGGUAAUAUGUAUAAACCCCAUCAGAGGGUAACAAAAAAAAUAAAUAAAUAAAAUAAAUAAAAAAAAGGGUAAAGCCCAAAAUAAAUGGGCUGGAAUAUUGUGUGGAGAGCGAAUGCCCAUAAGCCUAAAAUAGCACCAACCAGGUCAUCAAAAGUACGCCCAGUACUCCACAAUUAUUUGGCAACCCGCCGCUAUUACCACCAACCAGAUGAUCAAAAGUACGCCCAGUACUUCAAAAUUAUUCGGCAACCUAUCACUAUUACCACCAACCAGGUGAUGAAAUGUACAACCCGUACUCUAGUAUCAUUUGGCAACUAGCCAUUCAUGCCACCAACCAGGUGAUGAAAUGUACAACCCGUACUCUCCUUCAUGCCACCAACUAGGUGAUCAAAAGUACGCCCAGUACUUCAAAUUAUACAUUAGCACUACUCAUGUCAUUCAUACAUAAAUAUUCAUGAGCAUCACUCAUGACAAUCAUACAUAAACAUUCAUGACCAUCAUUCAUGUCAACAUUCAUGACCAUCACUCAUGUUAACAUUCAUGAGCAUCACUCAUGACAACAUCCAUGAGCAUCACUCAUUUCAAUCAACAUAAACAUUCAUGAGCAUCACUCAUGUUAAUCAACAUAAACAUUCAUAAGCAUCACUCAUGUCAAUCAGCUUUAAAAGCUUCAUUUACAAAAGCUCCAGCUUCGAAAGCUCCAUUUACAGAGUAUACAAAUACCGCCUUCGAACAACCGCCACUUCGGCCCAUACAUGGAUUCAAUUUGAAGUCUCUAGCCAACAGACUUUAUUGACCGAAGACUUGGGGGACUACAUUAUGUACCAUAUAUUGGGCCUUAACUGGGCCUCAUAAAAAAUACUUGGGGGACUUAGCCCAUCACUUAUGUAUUGAGGAGCGAGCCCUUAUUCUAUAAAAUGGACUCCCUCACCACCGUUAGAGAGCCUCAACUCUAGCCCAUCAUUUAUGUAUUGAGAAGCGAGCCCUUAUUUUAUAAAAGGGACUCCCUCACCAUCAUUAGAGAGCAUCGCCGCCAGCUGAGCAACCGCCUCGCCGCGAGUAUCAACUCUAACACAUUAUUCAUGUAUUGAGGAUCGAGCCCUUAUUUUAUAAAAGGGACCCCCUCACCAUCAUUAGAAGAGCAUAGACGCCAGCUGAGCAACCGCCUCGCCGCGAGCAUCAACUCUUAGCCCAUCACUUAUGUAUUGAGGAACGAGCCCUUAUUCUAUAAAAGGGACUCCCUCACCUUCAACACCACAAACCGAGCCAACCAAGGCAACAUAAGCCACGAGCCGAGCAGCCUCACAGCAUGUGCUAUUUCUAGUUAAACAUCAUUUCAGAUUGAGCACCGCCUCAUAUCGAGCAUCAGUUCUAAACGACAUCUAGUUACUUCGGCCCACACAUGGACUGAAUUUCAAGUCUCCAACCAAAAGACUCUCUUGACUGAAGACUUGGGGGACUACUGUUUAUACCAUAUUUAGGGCCUCCGUAUUUAGACCUCAUAUAAAUACUCAGGGGACUUAAAGGUAAUUAUGUAAUAAAGGAAGGGGCAAAUAUGUAAUAAGUGAGGAGUCCUUAUUCUAUAAAAGGACCCCUCACCCUCACAAUUAGGGGAAGCCAAUUUCUAGGCCCUCUCACCCCCUCUCAAAGCUCUCACUCUCAGAGCUCUGUCUCCCUCACUUCUCAAAUAAAUAGAUAAUCAGUGUAGACGUAACUCAAACCUUGGGAUGAACCACGAUACAUCUUGUGUCAUUUACAUUACUUGCAGAUUCACGGUCGGAUUUACGUUGUUCCAAGAUCUCCAGUUUUGUGCAUCAACAAUUACCAAAAGUGCUUUCAUCAAUUUUAAAAGCAUUUCCAAACAAGCCCGUAGUCAACAAGAUAAUUAGUAAAUGUAAUACGAAAAAACAUAUUUCUUUGAAAAACGAAUUUAGAGUUCGAAACACGGUUACUUUUCCUAAAGAUUCUACAUUAUAUUGAAUGUAUUUGAAAUAAUUUGAUGUACUACACUUUAAAUGCAUUUGAAAUACCCAUUAUGUAAGGAAUCAUUUCAAACCAAUUUGUUUUUUAGAAAAUUUUAUUUGAACUUAUAUAACAUUAUUCUUCACCCAAUUUAAACUUUAAAUAUAAAUUUUCUUUUGGGACACUUUGGAUGCGGUCCCUAGCUAUUAAUAUUCUUUGAUUGAAACCUUGUUAGUUUUUAGUUUUUGAUUGAGGUCCCUGACAUUAGUGUAAUAAUGUAAGUUACUAUAUUUUUAAAUUAAAAAUUAAAAAUUGAAAUUUGUAAUUGUUUAUAUUAAUGAGAUUUUAAAUAAAACCCAUAAUUUAUGGGAUUAAAAAAUAAUAAAAUAUAAAUUAUACUCUAUUAUAUUGUGUGUGUGUGUGUGUGUGUGUGUGUGUGUACAUAUAUGUAUGGGUACAUUAACCAAAAUUAACAAAAAAAGUUAUUGUACCAAAACAUGGAUACAUUCUCAAAUCAACGAAAAAGAAUGUACCCAUAUAAGUUUAAACAUGGAUUAAAAAAUUUGAAUGGAUUUUAUAUUAAAAAAAUGGUACAUUUUACAUAUAACAAAUUGAUAUAUUUGAGAAUGGGUACAUUUAAGAUUAAAAAAAUUGAAAAUUAGAUGAAUGGGUACAUUUAAGAUUAAAAAAAAUUGAGAAUCUUUUUAUAUAUAUAUAAAAAAACUAAUCGGUGCAAACUUAAUUUAAUUUAAUUUUUAUUAUUUUGGAAAUGUUUGAAUUGAAAAUUAAUUAGAAGUUUAAUAGAGGUGUGAGUAUUAAACCCUAAAUUAAUUACUAAUUUUUAUAUUAAAAAUUAUAUAAUAAACAUGUAAAUUCAUUAUCACAUUAAUGAUAGGGACUUGAAUCAAAAUUUGAGAACUAAUAAGGUCUUAGUCAAUGAACAGUAAAAACUAGGGACCAAAUACUAAUUUUUCCUUUUCUUUUUUACCUUACUAUAUUAUUACUAUCAAGUACAAUAUGAAAGUAACAAUAAAACAAAAAUCUAUUAUAACUCACUCAAUAAUUAAACUCUUACUAUUACACAAUUUUUCUCCUGCAUUCUAUUUUGGCUAAAACCUUAUAUAAAACAAAAAGUUUUGUACCACAUAGAUGACCUCAUGCAAUCUUCCUGGCAUUCGCCCUCAGUCUCUUUUCGAUUCGCAUAGAUGAUCUGUACCACAUUUCCUUGUCUAUGUUGAAACAUUUGUGAAGCAUAAUCUUGAACUUGGUUUUGUUGUAAUGUCUAUAAACUAUUGUAUCAUGAUGUUGCCAUUUUCUUGACUUCAAAACCUUUCUUUGAAUGUAAGAUUUCCCAGAUCAUAGUAAAGGCAAGAGAUGUGAUGAAUGUUAUUGAUGGCUUGAGUCCAUCCUAAUUUCAGCCACUUACAUACUAGUAUUACUCCUUCAACACAAAAAUAUUUGUUUCAUUAUCCAGCGCAACACUGUAGAGGGUGAUGAAGACUCCAUCAAAGCAAGUGUUUUGGUGUUAGCAGUGUCCUUCAGGCAUCCUCCUGUAAACUCAAAUGAUAAAUUAAUCCUCUCCAAUUCUUACUAAUUUCAAUUUUGAUUUCUAUUUCUAUUUCUAUUAAAUAAUAAAUAAUUGAAAGGAGAGACGAGGGACCUAUUGAAAGGAGAGAACAUAUGCAUUGAUUUUGAGUUUUUAUUUUUUAAAUGUGCGUAAAGAUAAAUUUACAUCUUGAAUUGAAUUUGUGAGGAUAGUAAAGACAAACAAUUUAACAAAUUUAGUAUGUUAACUGAAUUUGAAACCACACCACCCUUAACUUCUAGUGAAGGACCAAAUAUAUAGAGUUGUUCAACCCAAGGAUAUCCCUACUUGGGUUUAUUUGUUGUUUUGGGCCUUGUACCCUAUAUAACAAAAAAAAGCAGGAAAAACAAAAGGAAAUAAGCAUAAAUACAUAGCACCAAGUAGGUUUUUCCCCAAAAAUUCGCGGGCAGUGUCCAUGUAUAGGAUAUCAUAACAACAUACAACAAAUACCAACCCAAAAAUGUGCAUAAAUACCAUCCAUAAAUUGAACUCGAUAUGUCGGGUGCAAAUGUAAAUACUUUUAACCAAACUACUGUAGUUGAAUUGAAAGUCAAAGUUCAAACAAUGACAAUUUGCUUGAAAAAAAAAUAUUAGAAUCAAAUGUUCCUGCAAUUUUACUCCACUACCAAAAGCCCAUAGAAGAGAGAGAGAGAGAGACGAAGAGUCAUUUUCCAUGUAGAAGCCCUGUUGUGUCAAACACUCUCUUUCUCUUAGUCGAAGCUCUUUGAAACAAGAACCUCCUGUGGAGGCAAAGCCAAGCAAACACCAAACCAAACAUUUACUGCAUUAUUAUAUUCUAAUUUUUUUAUUUUUAUGAAUUUUAAUUUUGUUUUUCUCUCAUCUCCCUCGUCAACUUCCCUCCUUCAAAACCAAGCCAAACUCCCCAAACCAGAAAAGCAAACAUCACCAGUCCCAUGUCUCUAUCUCUUUAACAACCCCCCUCCUCAUCUCUCUCCACAUAUCAUAAUAUCCUAAUACAUCUCCUCCUAUAGCCCAAAAACUAAGCAAGGUUAGGUAACAGAUAGCUACCUUAACACCAUCAAAACCCUUCCUUUUACACAACAUUGCUUCUUGCAAUUCUACUCUGUCCUUGUUUGCCUGAUCAGGCUGGAAUUUGCCAUUUCCCACCCGAAAAUAACAUUUUGGGUGUGUAUGUGUUAGUUUUGUUGGUGUCCUGAACAAAACAAUAAAAAUGCAGCUUCACAUAUCUCCCAGCCUGAGGCAUGUGACAGUGUUGCCGGGGAAAGGAGUGAGGGAAUUCAUCAAGGUGAAAGUUGGGUCGAGGCGGCUUUCAUACCGGAUGCUCUUCUACUCCAUUCUGUUCUUCACUUUUCUUCUCAGGUUCGCGUUUGUGAUGACUGCUGUGGACACCAUUGAUGGGGAAAGCAAGUGCUCCUCACUAGGUACGUGCAUGUACUUUCAACCCAAUAUUAUUGUAGCAACUCUAUAUAGGUUUCAGAUUAUCAGUUUCAUAUGUUAUGUUAUCAAAUUAUUAAUCUAGACAAGUGCAGACAGAUUCUUGUUUAAAUAUAUACUUUUAUCUUAAAAGUUUAACAACAUAAUAUAUCGAAGUUAUUUGUAAUCUUGUAGAUAAGAAAAGUAGCUCCUAUACAAACGGAAAAGAACAAGAAUUGCCAGUGUGAAGAUACACACGUGAGAGACUAAUCAUAGAUUGUUCAAUAUUAUCUAGGUUUCAUAUAAAAGCAUGUCGUUUCUGUCUUGACAAUAUCAAUUGCAGGCAAAUAAUAUUACAAUAGUGAUAAACCAAUGGCUUGAUUAAUUUAUUAAUUCUUUGCCAACAAACAAUGAUCUGCUAGGAAAAGUUGUUCAGAUAACAAAAGAUUCUAGUCACUGUAAGAACAAGAGGAACUUGUAACAUUCAACGUUUUAGUUUUCUUUCAGAAAAUGGGAAAAUUGGUUCUUGAAGAACUAAUCUAUGAGUAUUGGUUCUUAAAUCUGCCACAACGUUUAUCAAUGAUCAUUUUAAAUAACUCAAUUAUAGUUUUCUUUUAAAAUAAAAGAGUUUAAUUAAAUAAAGGACAAAAAUUCUAACAAAUGACUUGUUUUGAGGUGCUUUUAAAAUGACUGAAAAAACUUUUGGUAAAACUGAUUUUUGAUUCUAAAAGCACUUUUUAGAAGGUAUACCAGAAGCACUUAAAGUGCUUUUCCGAAUCUGCUUGGAUUUUUACUAAGGAUUAAUUUCAAAAACAUUUUUACCAAAAACGUUUUCAGUCAUUUUAAAAACACUUAUAAACGAAUAUGAAGUUAUUCAAAAUAAUUACUACUUCAGUACUUACAACCUUUAUUUUAGAAACCACUGUUCUAAAAAUCCCCGCCUAGCGCCACCUAGGCCCCAGCUAGGCACUAGGCGGUUGGUCACCGUCUCGAUUAAUGUCUAGACGUUUGAAAAUUAAGAAAUGGGCCAUAAACCUGCUAAGGUGCCCACCUAGCCCACCCAGACCCGCCUAGGCUACGACUCACUUAGACAGAAAAUAGAUCAUUUUCAUUUUGCAUUUUAUUUUUUUCAAUAAAUUGUAAGAGACUUGUUGAAUACUUAAAUGAAUACACAUGUUCCCCAUGUUUUCAUUAUGUUCCAAUACUUCCUAAUAUAUAUGUCAUUCUAUUUUGUAGUUUAUAAUGAAAUUAUAUAUAUUUUAAGUAUAAACAUACACUUAUUUACACGAAAUAUAAUAGAUUUAUUUAAAUCCGCCUAGUCCGCCUAGCCGCCUAGGCGCUAUGCCCCAGCUCGUCGUCCGACUAACUCCUAGCGUCUUUUAGAAUCUUGUUAGAAACCAAAGCUUUGAUUGAGCUUUAGUUUAAAAACAAUACUCUAAUUACGUUUUUCUUUGCCACUUAGUACUAUGGUCUAGUGAUAUUCAUCUUCAAACGUAAGUGAGAGGUCUUAGGUUCGAUUUUCGCAAAUUUGAACCACAUUAUUGUAAGCCUAUUAUAAGGCUAUGACCAUCCCCUACCGUAGAUAUUAUCAUUGUCACACACACACACACACAAAAAAAAAAACUUUUUUUUUUUUUGGGAACAAAAUAUAUUACCUAUUGAGGGUUAAGUUUAGCCUCACAAUGCGCUAUCAAUAAUGUGGUUCAAAUUUUCUUUUGAUGAGAAUCGAAUAUAAGACCUCUCACUUAUAAGUAAAAAUGAAUAAUAGUGGACCGUAGUACCAAGUGAAGUGAAUAUGAAUGUGAAUGUGAUAUCCAAUCAUUUGAAUUAUAUAAUUAAAUAUGCUUAAUUAUUUAAAAUGUGUUUUGUCAUGUGUCAUGUGACAUCCCACAUCGCCCAAGGAAGUGAUACUUAAAUGUAUAUUCCCAUCCCUACCUAGCACGAGGCUUUUUGGGAGCUCACUGGCUUCGAGUUUCAUCGGAACUUUGAAGUUAAGCGAGUAGCGCACGAGAGCACUCCCAUGAUGGGUGACCCACUGGGAAGUUCUCGUGUGAGUUCCCAUAAACAAAACAGUGAGGGCGUGGUCGGGGCCCAAAGCGGACAAUAUCGUGGUACGGUGGACGAGUGGGUCCGGGAUGUGGUGGACCUCGGGCCGGGAUGUGACAAUUUGGUAUCAGAGCCUAACCUUGGCCGUGGUGUGCCGACGAGGACGUCGGGCCCCUAAGGGGGGUGGAUUGUGACAUCCCACAUCGCCCAGGGAAGUGAUCCUUAAAUGUAUAUUCUCAUUCCUACCUAGCACGAGGCAUUUUGGGAGCUCACUGGCUUCGGGUUUCAUCGGAACUUUGAAGUUAAGCAAGUAGCGCACGAGAGCACUCCCAUGAUGGGUGACCCACUGAGAAGUUCUCGUGUGAGUUCCCAGAAACAAAACCGUGAGGGCAUGGUUGGGGCCCAAAGCGGACAAUAUCGUGCUACGGUGGUGGAGCGGACCCGGGAUGUGGUGGACCCCGGGCCGGGAUGUGACAUGUCAAGUGAUCCAAUGUAUUUAAAAUCUAUUGAAUGAUAUAAUUAAAUGUGCUUAAUUAUUUAAAAUGUGUUUUGUCAUGUGUCAAGGCUCAAAGCUCCUUUCAGGAUAUGAUAAAUGGGCUGCUUGUAUUUGUUGUCUCUGCAACAUCAUAAUUUAUCCCACCAUAAUUUCUUUUUUUAAAACCAUAAAUUCUGAACCACCAGAUGAAUGGCAUAGUACAGUAACCUGCACUCAUUUUUAUUAACUAGUUAUAGCUUGAGCGCUCAGUACAAAAACAUCAUUUAAUUUUGGGAACUUUAACGAAAAGCACCCGGUACUGUUCACUUUAACGAAAAACCACAUUUUUACACUAAAAAGUCAAUCCUGGUACUAUUCACUUUACCCUUUAUUUUGUCCUUAUCAUUAAAACUCAAAGUUUUCAAGCCCUUUUCAUUAGUUUCCUUUUAAUUUUAACAGUUAAAUAUUGCUAGACAAAAAACUAGACAGUAAAUUCAGUACAAAUAAAUAUAAUUAGACACAUUACUCUAGUUAUUUGUAACACCUAAUUUUUGUUUCAAUGGUAGGUUGCUUGGGGAAAAGAUUAGGGCCAAAAAUAUUGGGAAGAAGAGAAUCAAGGGUAAUUUCUUAAUGCCUACUUCUUGUUGAUGAGAUAUUAUUUAAUUACUUGAUUUUAUUUUUGUAUAUAACAAUGUAAUUAAUUUCUGAAAGGUCCCAGAAGUAAUAUACCAAAUAUUAGAAGAACCCAUCGGCAAGCAUGAAUUACAAGGAAGAUCUGAUAUUCCUCAGUCCUUAGACGAGUUUAUGGUUGAAAUAAAGGACGGAAAAUUUGACGCAAGGACUUUCGCUGUCAAGCUCAGAGAAAUGGUACUUCUGUUCUCAAUGUUUUAGUUUUUUGAAAAGUAAUUAAUAAGACAUUUCUCUAAUCGGCAAUGAAAUUCCGAUAACGCCAGGGUCUGCCAAAUUUCGGCUCCAAAUUAUGUCUCAUGUUUUUGGUGCAAGCGUAUUUUGAGUUAUAAGACAUGGUGCAUGUUUUUCAGGUCACACUUCUUGAGCAAAGAACCCGAAAUGCCAAAAUCCAAGAGUACUUAUACCGGCAUGUAGCGUCAAGCAGCAUACCUAAACAGCUUCACUGCCUAGCCUUGAGGUUAGCCAACGAGCAUGCCUCCAACGCGGCUGCACGCCUCCAGCUCCCUUCUGCUGAACUCGUCCCUGCCCUCGUUGACAACUCCUUCUACCACUUUGUCCUCGCCUCAGACAAUGUGCUUGCCGCCUCUGUUGUUGCCACAUCCCUUGUUCGCAACUCAUUGCGCCCUCACAAAGUUGUCCUCCACAUUAUCACAGACAGGAAGACAUAUUAUCCGAUGCAAGCGUGGUUUUCCCUGCAUUCGUUAUCACCUGCCAUAAUUGAGGUCAAGGCGCUGCACCAUUUCGAUUGGUUUACAAAGGGGAAGGUGCCGGUGUUGGAAGCAAUGGAGAAAGACCAAAGGGUGAGGUCGCAAUUUAGAGGCGGGUCCUCGGCCAUUGUGGCAAAUAAUACCGAGAAGCCUAAUGUUAUUGCAGCAAAGUUGCAGGCACUUAGUCCCAAGUACAACUCUCUGAUGAACCACAUCAGAAUACAUCUACCAGAGGUAGCAUGCUUAACAAUGGUUUAAUAGCGUUUACGACAUCUUAUAGUGCUUCCAUAAGCCUAUUUUGCCUAGACAAAUUGCUGCAUUUUCUCUGCACUUCAUGCUAAUCUACACUAAAUCUCAAUGCAGCUGUUUCCUAGUCUUAAUAAGAUAGUGUUCUUGGACGACGACAUAGUCGUUCAAACUGAUCUUUCUCCGCUAUGGGAUAUCGAAAUGAAUGGAAAGGUCAAUGGAGCAGUUGAGACAUGCAAGGGAGAAGAUAACUUUGUGAUGUCGAAGCGGUAUAAGAGUUAUCUGAACUUCUCUCAUCCUUUGAUAUCUAAGAAUUUCGACCCCAAGACAUGUGCCUGGGCUUAUGGCAUGAACAUCUUCGACCUAGAUGCUUGGAGAAAAACCAACAUAAGCCUUACAUACCAACAUUGGCUUGAAGAGGUGAAAGAAGUUUAAACUUUAUAACUUUCAAAAUUUCCCAAAAAGAAUUUAUCGAGAAAAUGCGUUACGGUCUUCUAAAAAUCAUCCUAUCUUAUGAUCCUUAUCUUUAUGCAGAACUUGAAAUCAGACCUGAGCCUUUGGCAGCUAGGAACGUUGCCCCCCGGCCUAAUAGCAUUCCACGGGCAUGUCCAUGUUAUCGAUCCAUUCUGGCACAUGUUGGGACUGGGAUAUCAGGAAAACACAAGUUCUGCCGAUGUUAAGAGUGCCGGUGUCAUCCAUUUCAACGGGAGAGCAAAGCCCUGGCUAGAUAUUGCAUUUCCAAAACUUCGGCCAUUUUGGGCAAAAUAUGUCAAUUUCUCAGAUAAAUUCAUCAAGGGCUGUCGUAUCACGGCAACCUAAGUUGGAUUUUCAGAGGAAUAUAUCGAAAAUGUUGAUGAUAAGAGUGGAUUGUAUAUGAGGCAAAGGAAAAUGAGAGAGAGUUCUUCCCCAAUUCACGGCGUUCAAUAUUUAAUGCAAGAAAAAAAACAGCACCGGGCUUCUGAUACGCGGAACUCCGCUUCCCGCAGUGCACAUUCCUUCACCUAUCACUCUGUAUUCUUCUUUCCUUUACCCCCUUACACGGCGAUUAGAACUUCCGAUCAUACAGUUUUGUUUACCGACUAUAUGUUAGAAGUAGUACAAGCAAUAAAAUACAAGACCACAUACUUCAUAAGAUUCAAAUACAUGAGACAAAGAGAGGGAAGUUUGUUUCUUUGGACAACAAUUAGAAAGAGCACUGAAAGGGUCAGAAAUACAUUUAACUACGAAUUGCUUGUCUACGGUUAAUGGAAAGCACGGUGCAUUCCCGGUGCCAAGUUAACACGGUGGCUGGGAGGACAGCAUCAGGAUUCGGGUUUUCCUACCGACUGUUAAAUUUAUAGAAAUCAUAACUAGUCCGGCCAUUAAUGAGUAUCGAGACCCUUGAGUGAGGAUGGCAGAAAGCGAAACUGCGUAAUAAGAGUCUCUCUCCCUUGUACAUACUCGAAAAGCAAUCAUUUUACGAGGACAUUUGCCUCUAUAGCUUACAAUGAAGACAGAGAACAUAUAUAGCAAGAUUGAAUGAUGAAUCCAUAAACAUAAAUCCAAAUUAUUUCCCUUGUAAUCAACAAAAUACACAACCACGAGCUCAGGACAUGUAAAAGUCACACAAUUCAACAAACACCUCGUACACAUUCAAAAAUUAUCAAUCAGAGAGUAUACAAACACAGUCCUGGAAGAAAGCUUACUUGUUUCCAGUCACAUUCGACACCAAAUCCCUGAAAAACUUGACUGAUUUCGUCACGGGCGAAUUAAUGGCCACCAACUUAUUCAAAACAUUCUCAACAUCUCCGAUCGAGGACCGCGAUUUAAACGUCGAAACACCUUCAAUUCCCCUCCUUCCUCAACAAAAACAGUCCAUUUCACUCACCACUCACAACCCCAUCUCUCACGCAUUUGAAGAUCACGACAUUCCUUCUGCUCAAAAGCCCCUUCACCUCCAAACCCACGAACGAAAAAAUCACCUCAAACGAACUCACAAACCGGCCUAGCUCUCCCUUCUCCGCCUCCUCCUCGAACGCCCACUUGGGGUUGAAGAUCACCACCGGCCACGGAACAACAAAUUAGUGUCCCUUUUUGUAACCGCCAGUUGGGUUCCCUCUGGCGCCAAAAACACCGCCACGUCAGCAGAAUUCAAAUUUCCGGUAUUAUCGUUGGCGAUGGAGGAAAUGUCUGAAUGCUCAACCGGGGUGGAAGGGCAAGCCCCAAAGGCUUUCAAUGCGGUUUCUGCGAAGGCGGCGUUUGACCAUACGUUCAAGACGUUGACUUUGGAGGAUAUUCGUUUGAUGGGUAGGUCUUGGAAGAGCUGGAGGGCGAGGUGGGAGAGGGAUUCCGGGGAGUCAUCGGCGAGAGGGAUUUCAAGUCGGAAUCGGGGUUGUUUGGGCUUCUUGAGCUUCAUGGUGAGGCGGAGGUUGUUGAGGGGCUAGGAGAGGGUGGUGGGGAGGCAGGUUUUGGCUUGUUUGAUGGCGGAUUCUUUGGAGGUUGGAGGGGUGGGGAAGGAGGAUAAGGAGGAGCAGAGUGCAGAUAAAGUGGUAAUUUUGGGUUUUGGAAGAGGGUUGAAGGGAUGGAGAUGUGAGAGUUUUGGUGGUGUUUGAGAAAUGGGAAUGGGGGGUUGGUGGGGGGUUUGGAGUUUUGAUGGUUUUUGUGUGGAUUUUGAGAAGGUUGGAAGCCAUUUGAGUGUUUUAACAGAGUAGGGGAAGAAAGCCGAAACAGAAAUAGGUAGUUUGCCAGAAGCGCUUCUUGAUAAGGUUGCAAAAGCACUUCCACUUUUUGUUACUUUUUAACUUGGGUUUUUUGCCAAUCGUUUGUUGGUUCAUAUUUGUUUAGUUUCUAUGACAGCUGUAAUAUGACUCCUAAUUUCGAGUUCUCGGAGAACUUCAAUGUAACUAGCCAAUGCAUCGACGGUGUUUCAAGUCAAUCACGCAUUGUUAUGUGAGAACGUUAAAAUACGUAGAUGUAACUAGUCAAUGCAUCGAUAGUGUUUCAAGUCAAUCACGCAUCGUUAUGUGAGAAAGUUAAAAUACGUAGUAGUGUAUAAUAGACCUGUGAUACCACCACCAUGGCAUCACCGGUAAAAGUUGCUCUUCAUUUGUAGACGAGCAACGCAGCGUCCAGAAUUCUGUAUUACUGGGGCGCACAUUGCGGUGAAGACGUUCCAUAUAGGUCCGAAUCGAUAACGUGCAUAAGAUGAUUAACAUCUAGAGCAUCCUAAAAAUUGGGAACGAGAAGUUGCGAGAUUAACUUAUUAGUUCAUACGAUUUACAUGUAAAUACCAGCAUACUAAUUCAUAAACGUAGCCAGGUUUGCAAUUGCAGUUGCAAAUACAGUCAAUUCACCCACCAAAUUCAGUUAGUACAUAGUUAAACAAAAAUACAUGAACAAUGACACGAUAAUAAUACAUUUGUUUGGGACAAAAUGUUAUCCCAAAUCAACACCCCAAUCAUUUUAGAUUAAGCCGGACUUAAGCAACCGGUGGGCGGAGUACAUGAUCCUGCGAAGUAUCCACAGCGGCAGGUGGCAUGAAUUGCCACAUGGCAACCCCAGGGUAACCAAUGAAAGGCACCAACUUGUUGCCGUGGGCUUGGCCUUGAGCCGCAAAUGCAGCAGGAAUUCCAGGAGGGGGAGGCAAAAAGCCAGGCUGCGCAUUCAUGGAUUUCAGUUGCUGUUCCAACUUCUCUUUCUCCGAUUUAAGCCUCUGCUUCUCAUCGCGAAGUUCAUUCUUCUCUGUCUGCACAAGGGAAAACAUGUUUUGCACGUUGUCACAUCGGCAGUUUUUUUAUGUAAGUCCGUAUGUCCUGUCAACUUCUACCAGGUAGAAUAAAGAGUACAAACCAUCUAGAAUUUAAGGGUUUUUACACGUGAUCCAUCCAAAUUUUGAAUCAAAAGAAACAAAGGGUUUUUACCUUCAAUUCCUUGAUCUUCUCCUGGAGGCCUGAAUUUGUGUCCUUCAACUUCUGGGCUUCACCACGUAAUUGAUUCACCAUUCGUACAGCAUCAACCAGAAUGGCAGCCUUGUCCGUCUUGGGGGGCCUUCCAGGCUCCAAAAUAGAGCCCAAUUCCACAAACCUAUUAUUGGUACAUGUCAAGCGAUAAGACAAGCCUGCCUCAAACAAGAGGGAGAGAAGAGGAGACCUAUAAACGAAAGAGAACAAUAGAAUGUACUUGUCAUUUAGCCUGUCCCUUCGCAACUUCUCCCUACAUGCCUUCGAGCUUGUUCCACUGCAUGAUUCAGAUCUGACCCUGCAACGAGAAAAAAGCAACACACAGAGGAAGACAGCUGGAAUAAGAUGAAUUAAAACAAACUUACUAGCUUUUGAUCAACUCACUUGUAAUACUAACAUGUAACUUCUAGGUGGUGAUUUUCAAGACAACAUGAUAAUUUGUGAAGAUAUGACAUGAGGUGUUUUAAAACCAAAUUGAAAGAAAAUAAGAAAUUAAAUCAUCCAGGAUUGAAAAACCAAAGAUAGAUGAUGACAGUAAGCAUGCAUGUUAGUGAUUGAAGAGAUCAUUAUAAACUUUAGUUAGUAUCCUCAACUAAGGCUGCUGUAGCACAAAUUCAUGAUCUCUUGCACAGCAGCACAUGCAUUAAAGAAAAUAGUCAACUAUGAUAAGGUAUAAAGCACAUAAAAGAGAAUGAGAAUAUGCUUUUUAAAGUGGUUACACAUGGUGAUCUCUUUGAUGAGAAAAUUCAAAGUUCAUACCUCUUUUUUGAGCCAGAUUCCUUAAGUCCCUCAGCAUCCCCCAAUGAGCCAUCAAGUUCAACACUACGAAAUGCCACAGAAUAAAGAAAAUAAAUGAACAACCAUACCACACGACCCAAUCUGAAAAUGAAUAAACAAUACAAACCCUUGCAUACGACAAAGUAAACAUUACACAAUAUAAAGAAAGAUCAUGAUACAAACAUCCAAUACAUUUCUGAACUCUGUCGCCUCCAACCGACCAAAAAUAUAUAAAAUUAUGACCAAAGCUUUCUGACCUCAUACACAUAAUAGAUGAUCACAUAAUGAAUCCACAAUAUAGACCAAGCCCAUGAAGCCUUCUGUAAAUAGUCGUUCAAAAAAUGGUCCAGCAGUCCUUGUAAAGGCCAUUGCUUAAAUAUAACUGUAAAACCUUUAUAUGGAAAUACAUGAAUAUAUGCAUAAUGUGUACCACUUUUCAUCAGGAACCCUCAUUGCAAAAACAGACUGUCACCCCGUUAAAGUAUAAAUCCCACCACCAAAGUCAUCUUUUUCUCUCAGUAGAAAAUAACCUCAGACCCUCACAACUCCAACCACACUAGUACUCAGCAAAUCUCAUACACUAAAGUUACAGUUCAUGGGAAAAGGUUUUGAGUGAUCAAAACAAACUGACAUGUUAUCGCUCUCGCAGUGGCUUCCACAAAAACUUCAAGUUAGUGGACAAAUUCUGUUCGUCCCACAAAUGUAUUACACUCAAAUCCUAGAGCACAAGCAGUUGGUCUGUUAAAGCCAUAGAUUCCCUAAACUGUUGGAAAAGUCGCUUCUUUGUUCUUAAAAAGCUACUUUUUACUUUUUAUUUAGCCAAACACCCUCAAACUGUGAUAUGUGAUAGUAUCGGUUAAAUUCGAUAUUUUUUUCCCACCCGCAAAAGAACACAGUACAAUUCAAGCCAUUCAAUCAGUAACCAGCUUGAAUCCAAGCCUCUCUCAUCACACAUUUCCCAGUCCUAAACAGUCCCAAUUAACCAAACACUCACAAUCACAACGAACGACCCAAAAAACAGAUUGGGAAUAAGACAAAAGGAUCUUAAAAUCAGCAAAUUCCAACCAUUCAAUCCCAACCCACGAACCAAAAACCACCCAAUUUCGCAGAGGUUAUCCAGAAACCCCAAAAUCAAAGCAGAAACGAAAACUCAAAAAACCCUAAUUUGUCCCAGUCGGAUUAAUUGCCCAAAAGCAAGAAUUAAUUAAUCAAUAGUACAAAAUUACAGAAGAAAUGGAAGUACCUGACGCUAGCCGAACCGGCGACGGGCUGAACGGGCCAAGUGAAGUUGCCAUCCAGAACAGGGGUAUCGUCGAUGAGCCCGUAAUCGAAGAGCCAGUUGGUGUUUUCCGGGGAGACCAUGUUUGGACGCUGCCGGAAAAAAAAAAUAGGAAGCGGUUUUCCGGUUGGGGACUAGUCAAUCCUAGUAACCAAACAGGGGGCGUCAAUUCGCCGUCUUGGGGGGUUGGUGGAGGAGGCGGGUUCGUAUGGAAAGAGGGGAAGAAUCUGUGUGCUGAUGGUCACGUGGGGAUUUGAUGGCACAGCAAAGGUGGUGCGUGGUGUGUGCUGGGUGUGUGUUUCGUCAUUGAUCCAACUCUACACAUCUCACCCACACGCUUUUUGCUGGGUUGCUGGGUAUGGACCUAGAUAAUAAGUCAUGGGCUUGGGCUUUAUCUCAUCACGUUUUUAUUUAUUUUGUAUAAAGUAAAGCCAAGUUUGAAACGCUAGCUAGGGCAGCAAAGUCACAUAUACAAAGAUGAGUGAUUUGCUAUAGAAGAUCCUCUUAAACAAAUUCAAAUUCUUCCUCGUAGUUUAGUUGAAUUUAGUGUAAAAUAUCGUCGGUAUCAAGAAAAAUAAUAUAUUAUAUGGAUGAAAUAUGGUCUGAUCUUCGAGUUGAUAUAUUAAACAAAGUAGUUGAACGAGUAUUUAUCAAAUAUAGCCAAAUAUUAGCCCCUAAUUUUAUAAAUGUCAGUUUUUAUAAAACCUUUCAAAUAUAUCCAAAAUAUCACUCAAAUAGACACAAAUACCCUUAAGCUUUUAAACCUAAUAAAUUAAAAAAUCAAAACCCGAUUAGAUUAAGAAUUCUCACGACAAAACCUAAAAAUGGUGGAGACCUAGUGAAGGCAUCGACGGUUGGUGGAGACUUGUGCACCCCUAAACGAAGGUGAGCAUAGAUGAUUAAUUUCUUGCAUUUUUCCUUGUCUACAUUUUCUCUUUACUUUUGUAGUUUUUUCCUUUGUAUUUAAUUUUCCUCUACAACCUGAAGAAAAAAAAAAGAACAUGAGUUUUUAUGACGAUUGUAACACGGUUUACACUCCAUUAUAUAUUUAUUUUGAGAUUAACAUUUGAAUAGUCAUGAAGUUUGUAAACUUCGUGGUUUGCAAUACUCUCCUUGGGAGAUUUAUCGAGUUUUCCUGCAAGGGCCAAUAACAAGGUUGUUUUCCCGCAGCCAUGGGGACCAAGAAAUUCAUGUACUGCAUUUAGAAAAAAUAGGGUUACUUUAUGAUAUAAAAAAAUGUUUUUUUUUCUUUUAGUCUGCAAUUGUCAAUUAAUUGUACCAAUAAUUUGGCCAAUAUUAAAUUAAUUUUUUCAAUAUGUAUGUCACUUUCUUCUUUGCUUAUUGUUUUGCUUAUAUUUUAGGAAAAUGUCUAGUAAUGUGCAAUCUAAUGAACCCAGCUUUAACCGAUUAGAUGUUCACAAAGGUAAAAAUAUUGUACAUGAAUUAGAUAUAGCGGACCUAUGCAAUUCAGAUAGAGAGAUAGUUAUAUGUCAAUUGUAUUAACUACUGUAAAUCUAAGAAUGUUUGAUCAAGAAAGCUGAAAAAUGAAGUAAGAAAGAAGAGCUCAGAGAGAGAGAAUAGUGCACUCAAAAGAUGAAUAUUCAUUCAAUGUAAUUGUUCAAUACAAUCAGAAAACUAACAUAUAAAGGCUACCAACUGACUUAAUGACUAGAAAACUUUUAUCCAAUCUAACCAAAUCUUAACAGAUCCAAUCCAACCAAAUCUUAUCUAAAAUAACCACUUUUCAACAAAUCCUAGCUGGCAGAUAUACCUACAAACUUGCCAUGUGUCCUCACUUAUCAUCCCCCCUCAAUCUCAGGUAGGGUAACCAAUUCGGAGAUUGCAGCAAUGUUUGUAAAACGCAGGUCCAUGAAGCCCCUUUGUAAAGACAUCAGUUGUCUGAUCCUCAGUGGGAACAUAUUGCACCAGUAAAUCUUUCUUCUGGACUUUCUCACGAACGAAGUGGAAGUCAGUAUCAAGGUACUUAAUCCUGGUAUGAAAUACUGGAUUCACACAUAAAGCAAGGGCUGAGAGAUUAUCACAAUGGAGAAGUGGGGGAUAUGACAGAAACUGAUGCAAAUCUUUCAACAUAAGACGUAUCCAUGCCAUAUCCGCAGCACAAUGAGCCAAGGCUUUAUAUUCUGCCUCGGUGGAACUUCGAGAAACCGAAGAUUGCUUCUUAGACUGCCAGGAAAUAGGAUUGUUGCCCAUAUAAACCACAAAACCAGUUAUUGAUCGUCGAGUAUUAGGAUCGGUUGCCCAGUCCGAAUCGGAAAAUGCAGUAAUAGACUGAUCUGAAGAUGCAGAAUAUGUAAGACCACAAUUGAUAGUGCCUUGUACAUAUCGAAGAAUGCGUUUGACAAGAGCAUAAUGAACAUCUGUAGGAUUGUUCAUAAACUGACACGCAGCAUUGACAGAAUAAGAAAGAUCUGGUCGUGUAAACGUUAAAUAUUGAAGUGCACCCACCAAACUCCUAUAAGUAGUUGGAUCAAUUAAAUGAGUACCCUCAGAUAACAACAAUUGAGUAUUUGGCUUGCAUGGUGUGGGGGCAGGUUUGCAAGUGUCCAUUCCAGCCUUAUGAAUCAACUCCUGAGCAUACUUGGAUUGAUUAAUAAAGAUAUCACCAUUAUCUUUAUAGGUAAGUUGCAGUCCCAAAAAAUAUGAAAGUUUUCCCAAAUCUUUCAGCUCAAACACAUCACCUAACUCCUGAAUAACUGCUUGAACUUUGCUGGCAUUGGAACCUGUCAAGAUUAUAUCAUCAACAUAGAGUAGAAGAACUAUUACAUCAUUGUCAUCACGUUUGAUAAAGAGACUCGUAUCCAACUGAGACAUGUGAAAUCCCAUAGCUGGUAAAUAACCUGUGAAUUUAGCAUUCCAGGCACGAGGUGCUUGUUUUAAACCAUAGAGAGAUUUCACCAAUUUACAAACAUACUCAGGAUGAUUAGAGUCCAUAAAACCCUGUGGCUGCUUCAUAUACACUUCUUCCUCCAAAUCACCAUGUAAGAAGGCAUUUUUGAUAUCAAGUUGUCUUAACUCCCAUUUGUAUUGAGCAACAAGAGAGAUAAUCAAUCUCACAGUAGUAUGACGCACAACCGGACUAAAAGUCUCAAAGUAAUCUAAACCGAGUGCUUGACUAUAACCUUGAGCUACUAACCGUGCCUUAUACCUUGAAAUGGAUCCAUCAGGAUUCUUUUUCAGUUUAAAAACCCAUUUACUACAAAUAACAGACCGAUGUGCAGGAGGAGGAACAAGGAUCCAAGUGCCUUGACUUUGUAGAGCGUCGAACUCCUCUUGCAUUGCAUGUUGCCAAUGAGCAUGAGUUGCAGCAGUUCGAAAAGAGGUAGGUUCUGAAAUAUCAUGUAAUGCAGCAACAAAAGAAAAGCCACUAUGACAAUGAUCAGAAGGAUCAAGUUUCAUAGUGUGUAACUGAGGGAAUGUAGCAAGAAAACCAGCAUAAUUCUUCCGAGAAAUAGCAUCGGUUUGUAGUCUAGUUUGCAUUCUCGAAAUUGGAGCAGAAUGAGAUAAAUCAUUAGGGAAAGAGUCAAGAGGAAGAAUUACCUCCAGUUGUGCAGGAUCAAGGACAGGUAAGACUAAAGCUGUGGAGGAAGAGGAGAGAGUUGUUUCAGAUGCUGAAGAAGAGCCAGUAUGAUCAGUAUUUGCUGAAGGAGGAGCAGAUGUAGCAAUAUCAUUGAAGGAAGACAAAUCAGUACUAUGAUGACUUUCAAUACCCUGUGAACCUAUAGAGACCGUGGAGAUUGAUCUUGGCGGAGGAGGAACAGGAACUAGCACGGAAGAUUGCAAGGACUGAGAAAUAGAAGCUUGAUCAGAAGAACCAGUCUGUGUAAUAGAAACAUUCUUAUAUGGAAACUGACUUUCAUCAUGCACAACAUGCCUAGAAAUAAUAAAUUUCCUAGUUGGAGGAUGAAAGCAAAUGACUCCUUUAUACCCUGGAGCAUAUCCCACAAAAACACACAAUGAAGCCCUUGGUUGUAACUUGUUGGCAGUAUAAGGUCUAAUAUAUGGAUAUACUGCAGUACCAAACACUUUGAGACCUUGUAACUGAGGAUUGAUAUUAUACAACUUCUGAUAUGGAGAUUGUUGUGCUAAUACUGAACAGGGCAUUCUAUUUAUUAAGAAGACAGAGUGGGCACAUGCAUGAUACCACAUAUCUUGAGGUAAUUUCGCAUCAGUCAUAAGAGUAAUGGCAGUCUCCACAAUAUGUCAAUGUUUCCUCUCAGCAAUGCCAUUUUGCUGAGGGGUAUAUGGACAAGAGAGCAUAUAAUGAUGCCUUUUUGUUUUAAGAAAUUCGCAAAUCUGGUACUAACAUAUUCACCACCACCAUCCGUUUGUAAACAUUUGAUACCAACAUUAAACUGAGCCAAGACAAAACUAUAAAACUGUCGAAAGACAUCAAAACAUUCUGAUGUAUUGAUUAAGGGAAAUAUCCAUACAAAUCUGGUAAACUCAUCUACAAAACUAACAUAAUACUUGUAACCGUCUAUGGACUUAGUAGGUGAUGGUCCCCAAAGAUCAGUAUGAACUUUUUGAAAUGGAAAGGUACAAGUUUCUGUUUUAGCAGAGAAAGGUAACCUAGACAUCUUCCCAGAAAUACAAUGAGGACAUAAGUGUUGUUGGUCAUCGGGAAUACUAACUAUAUCUGACUGUUUCAACAUAGCAGACAGGAUUGCAUUGCUGGGAUGUCCAAAUCGUUGAUGCCAGAUUGCUGUUUUCACUUUCUGUCCAAGUAAAGCCACUGAUGUAUUGGAUGAAUGAGUAGAAGAACCAGAUAGCAACUAAACUGGUAUCCGAAACAACUCUCCCCCAUUACUCCUUCCGUGGUAAAGUACAACUUUGGUUACCUUGUCCUGCACAAAGAACUCAUGAUCAUCACAAAUGAACCAACUGAAAUUAUCUUUACAAAGUUGUUGCACUGACAUUAAACUCACAGCAAUAUUUGGCACAUGUAAAACAGUUCUUAAAAAUAAAGAAGUAGGGAGAGUAUUUAAUUGAGCAGAACCAAUAUGUUGAAUUGGCAAACCUUCACCAUUGCCAAUAGUGAUUUUAUCAGUGCCUUGAUAAGGAGUGACUUGUUGAAGUGAAUUGACAUCAGCGGUCAUAUGAUGGGAAGCACCAAUGUCAACUAUCCAGGAAUCUUGAGGCAAGAAUGUAGACGAACCUUGUGCUUGCAUAGCAGUUAAAGAAGGUGCAGGUGCCGUGCCUUGAUAAGCAAAGUUAUUACGAUGAUGACAAUCCAAGGCACUAUGACCUCGUUUUCCACAGAUUUGGCACUCAACAACCUGACCUACUUGAUUAGGAUUAGUAGAUCUUUUCCAGCAAUUAGGAGCGGUAUGCCCUCUCUUGGAACAAAUUUGGCAUUCUGGAACAAUAUAGCUUCUAUUUUCUGUGUUUCCAGACCAAGAUUGCCAAGUACUGCCACUGGACUUAGUACCGGAUGACUGUCCUCUGCCAUUAGAACCUCGAUACCCCCCAUUAGACUUCGGGCCAAAAAAUGGUCUGGAACCAUUAUUAGAGGUAUUGAAUGACCGAGAAGCAUUACCAUUGCCAACAAAACCAUAUGAAUUAGAAAACUCUGGAUACACAGAUGGAGAUUGUGGCAUGACAUAAGAACUUAAUGGAAAUUGAUCAGGAGAAUACAUGAGACCAUUAGAUGAAAAUGGUGGUGCAGAAAAGGAAGACCCUUGAGGAUUAACAGGCAAAGCAGCAGACCCGUGAGAAUUAAAGGGCAAAGCAACAGAACCUUGAGGAUGAUAUGGUAUACUCAGAUUAGAACCCCCAUUAGGUACUCGAGUAAUUGUCCCAACAGUAGCACAUGGAAUGUCAUCAGAAUGGCUAGAUGAACCUUGAGACUAAACAGACUGAGAAGAAGAGCCUUGCAUAUACAACCCAGAAAAAUUAUGAGUCAUAGUAUUAACCAUAGAGUCAACUUCCCUUUCAGCACACAACAAUUGCUCCCUAAACUCCCUAAGAGUAAUGGAGUUAUCUCGAGUAAGAAUAACAGUUCUUAUAGUAGAGUAUUCUCUAGGUAAACCAGAUAAUGCAGCCACCACAAAAUCAUUAUCAGAGACAGAUUCAUUGGCAGCAAUUAAUUGAUCCUUAAUAUUCCGUAGUUUAGACAAAUAUUGAUCUAUCGAAUCACCACCUUUUUGCAAAGUUUGAAACUCAGUCUUUAAAGUAUUCACCCUAGCCUUCGAAAUUGAAGCAUAACGAUCUUGGAGAUUAGACCAAGCCUCAUGUGUUGUCUUACAACCCAAUACAUGUUCAAUAGAUUCAUCAGACAAAGUGGCUAUCAACAAACCCAAGAGUGCUAAAUCAACUGAUUCCCAUUCAAGAAAAACUUCAGAAAGCACACUAGUAACCCCAUGCUCUUUAUCAAUCACAAAUUUAGGAGGACAAACUGCAGUGCCAUCAAAAUGAUCAAACAUCUUGUACCCUUUCAUAACAGACUUGAACUGAUAAACCCAUUUCGAAAAAUUCUUAUCAUUCAACUUGAUUGUAAGCAUACCCAAAAGACCUUCAAUUCGAAUAGUAUUAGACGCCAUUGUUACACAAACUAUGCAGAUUUCAAGAACACAAGUAGAAAAAGAACAACUUCAACGUUCAAAGAUACACGAAUAACAAACAAAUUUAUCAGAUGGCUUCAUGCCCAAACACACAAUCUUGAUCGCAGAUGGCUUCGUGCCGCAAACACACAGUAAAAACAAAUUUCUCAGAUGGCUUUGUGCCCAAACACACAAUCUUGAUCGUAGAUGGCUUCGUGCCGCAAACACACAGUAAUGGCUUUGUGCCCCCAAAAAAAAUUUAUACACUUACAGGGAAUUGAUGAAUUGAUGAACCCAGAUACACCAACUCAACUUCCAAAUGCCCAAAGUGCCGUCACCGACUGAAAUUUCAGAUGCCUAGACACCACAGGAGGAUCGCUUGCUCUUGAUACCAUAUUAACUAUUGUAAAUCUAAGAAUGUUUGAUCAAGAAAGCUGAAAAAUGAAGUAAGAAAGAAGAGCUCAGAGAGAGAGAAUAGUGCACUCAAAAGAUGAAUAUUCAUUCAAUGUAAUUGUUCAAUACAAUCAGAAAACUAACAUAUAAAGGCUACCAACCAACUUAAUGACUAGAAAACUUUUAUCCAAUCUAACCAAAUCUUAACAUAUCCAAUCCAACCAAAUCUUAUCUAAAAUAACCACUUUUCAACAAAUCCUAGCUGGCAGAUAUACCUACAAACUUGCCAUGUGUCCUCACUUAUCAAAUUGUACAAGACUAAGGAGGAUUUAAAAAAAAAGUUGGGUAUUGAUGCUAUGAAGAACAAUUAUGAAUUCAAAGUGAAGAGAUCAAGCAAAGAAAGGUUUGAAGUUAGUUGUGUCGGCGACGCAUGCAAAUGGAAAUUAUGUGCUUCUAAAUUACGACAAUCAUCUUAUUUCAAGGUCAAGAAAUACACUACUAUGCAUUCAUGCUCAUUAGACGUUAUCAAUCGCCAUCAUCGACAGGCAAGUAGUUCUUUUAUUGGUUAAUGCAUAAAGUCUAAGUAUGAGGGUGUAUCAUGAGUACAUGGACCACGUGACAUCAUAGAACAUAUGCGAAAGGACAUGGGUGUGAGUAUAAGCUAUGUGAAGGCUUGGAGAGCUAAGGAACAUGCAAUGGAGUUGGUUAAGGGAUCACCAGAAGAAUCUUACACGGUACUUCCAUCUUAUUUUGCUGUAUUAGAAGCCAAAAAUCCAGGUACGAUAACAACUAUUGAAACGGAUGAGAAUAAUUGUUUUUUGUACUAUUUCAUGUCACUUGGACCUUGCAUAAGAGGCUUUCGAAGUGCUAUUAGGCCUGUAAUAGCAGUCGACGGGAUGUUUUUAAAGGGUAAAUAUUUUGGCACUCUAUUUGUUGCCACAUGCAUGGACGACAAUAAACAAAUAUACUCUUUAGCAUUCGGAGUUGGAGAUUCAGAUAAUGACGCAUCAUGGAAUUGGUUUUUGACAAAAUUACGGGGAGCAAUUGGGGAAAUUGAUGACUUGGUGUUCGUUUCUGACAGACAUGAAAAACAUUCGAAAGGCUCUUUCAACUGUUUUUUCCCAAUGCCCAUCAUGGUGCAUGCAUAUUUCAUAUAAGUCAAAACAUUAGGCACAAUUUUAAGCAUGAGAGAGCACACAAAUUGUAUUUUACAGCUACUAAGGCAUACAGAGUUCCUGAAUUUCUUCGUCUCAUGACAGAAAUAUAUAAAGUCGACUCUGAGGUGGGUGAUUAUCUUAAUUCAGCUAGAUAUGAAAAGUGGACUCGUGCGUGCUUUGAUGGAAAGCGGUACAACAUCAUGACAACAAAUAUUGUUGAAUGCCUUAAUGCAAUCCCUAGAGAUGCUCGAAAGCUACCUAUCACACGAUUUCUUGAGUAUUUAAGAAUGAAUAUUCUCCAGAAGUGGUUUUAUAAGCAUCGAACCGAGGCAGCCAAAAUGAAUACACAUUUGACAGAUUGGACAGACAAGUUGGUGCGAGAAAAUAACAAGCAAAGAUUAUCAUUCCAGGUAUUUUACUUUAUUCACUUAACAAGAAUUUAUUUUAAUUUCUCUAUUUAAUUUUGGCACAUUUUGAUUUGUUCUCAAGUUUUUGAACUAUUUUACUGAUUCUCAUAUCAAAUAAUCUGUAACUUUAUCCAUCUGUACCAUGUUAUUCUUUAUAUGUAUGUUUGCAAUGCAAGAAAGUAAAGUUCAAAACUUGGGUUUGACCAAAAAUGUAACUUCAACGUAAUUUUGUUGUAGUUUUAUGUAAAUUGCUUUUUGUAGUUUUUAUACGGAUUUUGUUGUUGAUUAGUUCUUCUUUUGUUUGAGUAAUGUGUGUGUGUGUGUGUGUGUGUGUGUGUGUGAAUAUGCAGGUAUCGCCCAUAGCAACUUACUAAUUUCAUAUAUAUACGAUAGAUUUUGUAUUGAAGUUGUGAAUUUAGAGGAAAAGAGUUGCACAUGCCGGCAAUUUUAUCUUGACCAGCUACCUUUCUCAAAUGCUUGUGCUACAUGUAGACACCGACAAAUUUCAUGUUAUCCUAUGUGUUCUCAUUAUUAUACUACAAACUUUUUGGUCAUUGCAUAUGCAGAAGCUAUAUGGCCAGUUCGUGAUCAGACCGAUUGGAUAGUAACUGAUGAUGUGCAUGAAAGAAUUGUCCUACCACCAAUUACACAAAGAAGAUAUGGCAGUGCAAAGAAAAGAGGAUCCCAUCACGUGGGAAAGAAAAAUCAACUCGAAAGUGUUCAAAACGUAGUUCAAAUGGCCAUUAUAAGCAAACUUGUAGGAAUCUCGUUCAACUUCAUCCUACUUUGUAAAACCCUUUUAAAUUUACAGUUUAAAGAAUACAAUUUUCUUUCUAUCAUUUUAUUAUUUAUAUUGGUUGUACAAUCCUUUAAAUUUGAGACAAGUAAAAGUUAAUUUAUUUUUGUUUGUUCACUCUGGUAUAUUGCCUUCUUUAUCAACUUCUUCAUCUAUUCCUGAUUAUCUUUACCACUACUUGAUGUAUUGUUCCAUCUUCCUUGUUAACUACUAGAUUUUCAAAGAGAAACUUAUUUGGUUACUAUUAGCCGAAAGACUAGUAUAAGAGAAAACAACAUUUUUAGGUUUUGCGUGAAAACUCAUUCAUCUAAUAGGGUUUUUGAUUUUUUUUUUAUGCAACGAUAUAUUUUAUUUUUAAUUUAUUAGGUUUAAAGUUUAAGGGUAUUUGUGUCUAUUUAAAUGAUAUUUACAUUUAAAAGUUUUUAUAAAAACUAACACUUUUGAAAUUAGUAGCAAAUAUUUGACUAUAUUUGAUAAAUACUCAUAAUAUAUCUCAUAUCUUGAUCUUUGUCACUUUUCUGCGAUGUGCAAGAGUUGGCGGGCUGUUCUAGAAUGGGUUCAACUGAGUGCAAACUUGCCAUCAUCACCAUGCCUAAAUAGUACAUGUGCCCUCUUGGUGCCAAGAGCGAUGGUAAAACCGUGAAGACGUUCGAGCUCUUUGAUCUGUCAUCCAAACGAACGUAUCAUCAUAUUGGAAGCACGCAUCUGAUAGAAGAAGGGAGAGGACUCAUUGCCAAUGCUCGACUUCAUGCUUCAAAAUAUGGUUGGUUAUUGUUCUCAGCUAUAGAAAAUUUAUCCGGUGGCGCGAGGACAGCAUUCUUUUUCUUCAAUCCCUUCUGCAAUCAGAUUUUGGAAAUGCCUCCGUUAGAUUUGAACACGGGUGAAAAGGUAGGGUUUGCAAUCUUUACAACCACUCCAACUUCUCCUAAUUGUUUCAUCCUUGUCCUAGGUGAAAACAUAACAUCUUAUCCUUGCAGUAAAGGAUAUAGCUUUAUAUUUACAUAUAACUCGACAGAGAAAAGAUGGAGAAGUGUACGUGGUAAUUAUGAUUUUAAUCUAACUGAAGCCAGUGACAUCGCAUAUGUGGAUGGAAUUUUGUAUGUGCGUGGGGAAUACUUCUUCAUUCGCCUUGGAUGCCUUGGAUAUUUCACUUCAAGCCUGGAAACAAUGAAGAAACUACUACAUGCCAAGAGAAUCUUUUCUCUACGAACCAGUGGAACGUUAUUUAGUUGAGUCUGAUAGGGAGCUCUUAUUGGCGGUUUAUUGUGUCAACAAUGAUCAUAUCUGAUUAAAUUUUGGUAUGUUUAUCGACUUGAUUCUUCUCUAAAUUCUUGGAGUAGAGUUGAAAGUUUGGGACAUCGAGUGGUGUUUAUAUUCUGCUCGAGUAAACUGUUCAAAACAUCAAAAGCAACUGCGAGUCCAGCAGGGGGGAAAUUCCACCAAGUCUUAGCGUAUAAAACUUGGUUGUUUAAUCCAAAAAACCAUUGAAAAUGCCACAUUUUUUGGUGUGAACAUUAGCGAAUGGAUAGAGAAUCAAUCCAUGAAGAACACACAAUUGAGAAUAGUCGGGCAUGAUAUAUAGAUGCACAUUUUAUUUUAUUUUGUUACUGUUAACCUAACAUGGAUAUGUGCAUACGCAAGAUAAUGCAGUCGAGUCGCUGUCGGGGACAUUUAUGCACGUUGCAGCUGCAUCUGGAGCAGUAUUAGGGUAUUUGGAACAACAUCUAUCAGAGCAUGGUUUACUGAUGUCUGUACUUGGGCAUGGAAUGUCCGACUGCAUUGCCUGGCGAAUUUCAACUUCUUCCUUUUCUCUCUGGUUCAGUAUUAAAGAAAGCUCUACACGCAUCAAUGACGAAUUUAGCAAAGAAACAAUUUUGCAAUCCAAAAUUGACCAAACCACUUUCAAAUUUAAGCUAAACAAUCAUCAUAUCAUCAGAACUAUAAAAAAAUUAAACAUUACCCACUAAAAAUAAAUCAAAACAAUUUUUGGAUCCUCAUUAGCUCACCCUCCCGUCAUAGCCUUUUUGGGCUUCCCAGGACCCAGAUCUGACCGACCCAGAUGACGCAGACGACGAGGUAAUCGUUGGAGAUGAAGAAGUUGAUGUGUUCGGCGUCGGAGAUAAAGUCAUGCCCGAAGCCUUUGUUGUCAAAAUCAAAGUCGAUGAGGUGAAUCUAGUAGGACAAUGCGAUGUGCCAUUGCAAUCGAGGUUGAGGAGGUGAAUCAAGCAGAACGAAGCGAAGUUCUUAGCUAAUCCUAUGGUUUUUUGGAGGACUCAUGAAGACCUGUUAGCAAUGUCUCUAGCCAAAGUGAGUCUUAGUUAAUCUUAUUAACACUAGCCCCGCAAGGGAACAAACACUAGACUAGACUAAUAUUCAAUCUAGUCUAGUCCAAUGAGAGCUAAGGCAAUUUCCAACCGAAGGGUCCAGAGGGCCAGAGAGCCGAAAAUAGUCCGAAAAUCAUCUUCAACCGAAGGCUAGACCAGGGGGCUCGUGGGCCCCACGAAAUCUGAAAAGGCCAAGUGGCCAAAGGGCUGGCCAUAAAUUUAAGAAUUGACUUCGGAUAUAACCAAAAGCAUCAUUAUUAAUCCUGUCAAUUAUAUCUGACAGCAAUUCUUAAACAAGUUUUUGAAUCCAACGGCUAGCUAACGUCAGUUAGCCGUUAUUUUUGAAUUUUUUUUUUACAGUUUUAUUUAUUUAUUUUAUUUACAAAAAAAAUUUCCUAUAACUUCCAUUUUUAAAUUCUAUUUUUUUUCUAUAACUUCUAUUUUACAAAAUUUGUUUCAUAUUUUUUUAAAAAUUCUAUUUUUUUCCUAUAACUUCCUAAACCAUUAUACAACAUUAAAUUAAAUUAAGUAACAUGAAACAACAUUAAAUAAUAUUAAUGAACAUAAAAAUUAUACAACAUAAAACAAACAUUUAACGACAUGAAACUUAAACAAUAUUUUUAAAAACAUUUAACAACAUAAAACUUAAACACCUACUUCAUGCUUCUUUUGGCCCAAAGAUGUGCAACAAGAUCCUGUUAUAGGUACUUGUUUGUGGCAUAGGAACGUAUCACUCUAUAGGACCUCAUGUACUCAUUUAUAGAGAUACUACCAGUUCUUGGAUUGAAAGUCAAAUUAGGUCCAUCAUAUAUUUUUGCACGAGCCAUUCUUGACCUAUUUGGACUUCUUGGUCAUCAUCGGACUCUCCAUCAAUAUACUCAUCUCACUCAUCCUCCACUAUCAUAUUGUGUAAUAUGAUGCAAGACAUCAUGAUGGAGUCCAAAUUUUCUCGACUCAACCCUCUUGCCGAUUCGCUGAUGAUUUUCUACCAUGCUUGUAGAAUACCGAAAGCUCUCUCAACAUCUUUCCGAUAUGCCACUUGGUGUAAGGUAAACAACUUUUCCGCGUCAUUCUUAGGGUUUGGAAUUGCUUGGACAAGUAUCGCCCACUUUGGGUAGAUGUCAUCUGCCAAGUAAUACCUCAUAUUGUAUUGACGGUCGUUGAUGUAGUAGUCAAGUUGAGGUGUUUUACCUUCCGUCAGGCGAUUGAAAAGGGAUGAAAGCCCAAGAACUGUAAUGUCAUUUUGGGAUCCAGGGACUCUAAAGAAAGCAUGUCAGAUCCAUGUGUUAUAUGAGGCAACCGCCUCUAACACAACAGUUGGCUUUCUCGACCUUCCGUUAAAGCCUCAUUGCCAUCCAAUGGGAUAGUUCUUCCAAUCCCAAUGCAUGCAGUCUAAUGACCCUAUCAUGCCUGGAAACCCACGGUCUUUAGUUUUGCGAAUGAGUUGAUUCAGAUCUUCUUGAUUUGGCUCGCGGAGGUACUCAUCUUUGUAAACCUGAACAAUUGUGUCACAUAAUUGUUCAAGAGUAUCAAGGCAUGUAGACUCAGACAUACCAUGGGUUUCAUUCAUCGAAUCAGCUGGGGAGGCAUAGGCCAUCAUUCGGAGUGCAACAAUAACAUUCUGAUGAGGUGAGAAACCAGGACAUCCUUCUAUGUCCCGCUUUUGUCGAAAGUAUAGAUUAACCUGCUGGACAUCACAAAGUAAACACUCGAAGACAUGAUGCAUCAUCCGGAAGCAACGUCUGAAAUCCUCUUUUGUGUACAUCAAGUUAGGGUUGAAGUAGUUGUUCAUCAGAUUGGCAUGCAUCAUCGCUCUGUCUCGUGUUUGUAAGAGCGACCAGCAAUAGAGCCACCCCAUUGAGGUUGUUUCUCAGUUGGCUGACACACCAUAGAUGCUGCUCUAUUUUGUUUGUUGCGCCUUACUUGAACUUCUUUAUCAGACUCCUUAUCUUCUCGUCUAAUUUGUGCCCAUUUUUCUUCCAAUUUGGAAUUGGAUGAGGACCCCCAAUUGGAAUCCGAAGAUGAUCCAAAGUUGGAAUUCAUUGCAAACUUGAAUUGAAAGAGAUUGAAUUGAAAUAAAUUGAAUUCAAAGUUGUGUGAAUUAUAACCCAAUAUCCACCCUAUUUAUAGCAAAAAAAAAUUCAAAUCCAACGGCUAGCUGACGUCACUUAGCCGUUGGAUUUGAAUUUAAGUUGUAGUUUUUAAAUAAUAAAUUAUGUUUGGCCCUUUGGCCCUCGGUUGGAGAUGGAAACAAAUAUGAUAAUGUACUGUUCAUUAAAAUAUUAAUUUCUUGGAGGGUUAGAAGGCUAAAAUGAGCUCUCUGAACAGCCCUUGAUUGGAGAUGGCAUAAGACCGGCAAACAAACGGACUAGGAUUCUCUUCCUUCCUCUUUCCAUCUCCUUCCGUCCCCUCCUCUUACAUUCUUUAUUUUGUCUUACUUUUUCUAUAAAAAAUUAAUACAAGAUGUUGACGUGGUUUAACCGUGGCCGUUCAUAUAGGAAGGGAGGGAAAAAAAGAGGGGAGAGAAUCCUACUCCCAAACAAACGCCCCCUAACAUUAUUAUUUUAGAAUAGAAGAAAAACUUACAAAUAGUGCUCUAUACUUUUGACAUUGUCGUUCAUGUAGUGUUGUAUUUAUAGAGUUGAAAGUGGGUAGGUUUAGAGUACAAGUACGGUGGUUAAGUAUAAACAGAAAUUAGUAUCUGAACAAAUCCUCUCAAAUUAAUGUUUGAGUUAGGCUACAUGGAAAUGUUAAACAAGCAUAAUCCCCACCAAAUGCAUUUCAACUUUAAAAAGGAAAUGCUGCAAAAACACUGGCCCAAAUUUGGUUACAAAAAUAGCGACACAAAUACAGACUUUGUACUUUGUUUCCUAUUAACAUUGCCCACUAAUACUUGGAUUUGUUUCCUAUGGACAGACAACACCAAUUAUUGUACCCAGAUUUUUAGUAAUGAAACGAACACAAUCCUCUUCCCCUAAAUAAACCCUCCCUUUGGAUGAUAUCAUAAUUCUGAAUUUCUUCUUCUCUUCCGAGCUCUUCUUGUCGAAUUCACGGACCGCACCAACACCGACUUAGCAGUUUUGGAUCUGGUCCUCUCUCCUUAGAGCAUAUCCGAAAGAGAUAUCAAAUAUAAUAUGUUAAAAUUUUAUCUGAUAACUGAUGUGAUAAAUUAAAUAUAAGUGCUAAAUUUUCUUCUUUUCUAAUGAAUGUGUCCAAUAUUUAUUUAAUUAGACCUAGAGUUAUAUUAACUAUUAAAAAAUAAUCAAAACUAAUUUUAGUUUUCAUUCUAUCAGUUGUUAAUGGGAAUCAUGCAUUGAAAAAUUAAAUUAAAUAUAUUAAACUUCUUUGUUUGAUCUAAAAAUAGAUAACUAGAAAGUAAAAAGUCAAACUCCUCAACUGCCACAUCAUAUAUAACAAAUAUAUUAAAGAACACCUAAAUAUCUUAUAAUCAUAUUUAGACAUUCCGUUUGAAAAUAAUCUUAGACUUGUAUGAUACGGCACUAGCCAAACGGCAACACUGCCCUUGGCUAGCCUGCAUUUCUUGCACUAAUUCAUCCACAUUAAUUCACCAAAAACUAAGACUCAUUUCCGUAAUUUAUAUUCAAUUUAUCCUCUAGCAAAAUUUGUAAUUCUUCUAAAUUCCUGCUCAGAAAUUAUUUGUGCACACGCUUUUCAGCUUCCACUCAACCGUUUUAUAUGACGAUAUGAAAGAUGAGACAUUAUUUGUGCACACGCUUUUCAGCUUCCACUCAACCGUUUUAUAUGACGAUAUGAAAGAUGAGACGUUCAGAUUUAAUAUAAUAUCAAACUCAUUCCUCCCACUUACGAAUAAAGAGAAAUAUCACGAAUAAAAAGAAAUAUCGCUAGUAGCUAAUAUUAGCAAGCUGAAAACAGCAUUUAAACCAAACUGAGAUACAACGAAACUGAUGCCAAGUAACGUGACAUCUCUAAAAUACCACACUCAAAACGUUUGCUUCUUUGCCUUUUCCUUCCAGGCACAAUUCUUGGAAUCUAUGAUUAACCAGACCAUGAAAGAGAUUAAAAUACCCUAAACUUUCAGUGACUUAUAGCUCAUGUGCCACUCUCACUCUUUUCUAACCUCCAAAGUCAUUUAGCAAUUUCUUCCGGGAGGUGUGGGGAAUACUUCUCCAUGAGAUGGGUUAAUUUGGCAUCAAAAUCCCUCUCCAGUUCUACCUCUUCCUCCCAAUGCCUCCGCUUCAUUGCAGCUUUAUUGUCUUCAUGACCCUUCAUCAGCAUGUCCCGCUCUGCCACAAAUUCUUCCAUCUCUUUUUCUUGAGACUUGAUGAAGUUUUCAAUUUCCUCCGACCUACGGCCAUGAGUAUGGAAGAAAUAUAAAUCAUUAUCAAACCAAACCCAGAAGCACCACAUGGCUAAAAGUAUUGAACCCACUACUGGGGCCCUAACUUUCUCGUCUACGAGGAUUCUUUGACACAAAUUACCUGUAUUUUUGUUCCUCUGCGUUUGAAGGGUUGAGAUAUGAGUGCUUCACCUUGUCACGUUCCUCCUGCUGCAGCCUCUCAAAAUUUUCUUCCUUUGCAUCCCUUGAUUCAUGAAUUAUCUUGAUCUGGUCUUUGAAAAAUUGUUCUUGCAGAUACAUCUUUUCACACCAAAAAGACAAACAAACAAACCAAUAAACGAAACAAAACAACAGAGCAAGUAAAUCUGCAAAAAAAAAAAAAAAAACAAACAACAAAUACAUACGAAAUAUUUGGAAGCCACAAGGAAAAACAAACGGUGGUAAACCACGCAACAUGGUGAAAAAUACCAACUGUAGACAAGCCAAACCCUGAUGCAAGUGUAAACUAGUUUCUACUCUAAUAUUGGGGCAUAAUUAUCUGACAGCGAAACUUACCUCUUCUUUGUUCUCUUGGUGCUGCAAUUUGGUCCUCUGUCUUACAAUACGAUUUUCCUCCGUCGUCUUCCUGAGCUUUUCACUCACUAUACCCAGAGAUUCCUCAAGGGCUUUUGCAUGUCUCUGUUCCUUAGCAACCUUGUUCUUAAACCACAUAAGCUGUUGGUUGUCCUCACUCAUUUGCCUGAUUUGGUUCACGACCAUCUCCUGGUAUGAUCUCAUCUCAAAUUUCAGCUUAGAUUUACCUAAUUAGUAAUGGGAGCAUGUCAUACAUCCAUAUACAACAUUUCCAGGGAUCUUAAUUGCAGAAUAAAAUUCAAUGGAUCAAAGUUAGCAUGUGAACUUCAGAGAUUUUAAGUGAAAACUCAUUAUUUUAUGCCCAAAAUGACCAUCCAAAACCAAAACACAGAGGGCAAGGGGAAGAGAGAGGAACACACCUUGAGAAUGCUGGUUAAAACUGUCCAUGUCUUCUUUCAUUGCCAUGUACCCAUAGAGCUGUCGCUUCCCACCAGGAUGAAAUAAAACACGACGACGGUCCCAUGCAUCUCUAUCAGUUCCUUGCUCUGUAAAAUGCUUGUGAAGACGCUCAGCCUCCAAAUAACCCCUUGCAGAGGCCUCAAAGAUCAAAACGCUCAACCCACGGUGUCCUUGAGGACCAUAUGAGUGUCGAGCUCUCACAGCAGCAUAAGAGCUGAAGUAGUCAAGAAGCUCCUGAUUUCCCAUGCCAAUCCACUGAAAUUCAAAGCAACAGAAAAUGAGGGACUGGAAAUGAUAACAAGGCAAGGAACCUUGGCUUUAUAAACAAUCAUGAAAAUGUAAACCGACUGAUACUUGAAAUACCAAUUUGAAAAACAUAAUUAAUACCUUGUCAUCUUCAUCCUGCUCAAGUUUAGUGUUUAAGAUGACAACCAUAGGAGGCCAGACAAUUUCAUGAUCUUUUUCCUCAUCUUUCAAACCUUUCCAUUUACCAAAAGCUUCACCAGCAGGUACAACUGUAGUUCCCUUCCUCCUCAACUCCUCAUCCAAAAGCUCUGCAAGCUCUCUAUGGAGCAUUACCCUUUUUGAUCCUUUUGUUUUGGCAUGUGUCAUCAGGGGCUGCAGGCCUCGGUACCAAUCAAUGGAACCAGGACCUCCUUGACAUGCAGGACAGUGCCACUGCCUAGCAGGAUCAUUAAUCUCAUCAGCAGUUAAACUAUCCAAAAUCUCAAAGAAUUUCUUGAACCAUCUGCUAUUUUUUCGAGUUUCAUGGCUCUUUUCACUUGAAUCCGAGUCAAACUCAUCGCUGAACAGCUCAUCGUCGGUAUCACCCGCAGCAUCAGAGUUGUCAUCAUCAUCAUUGGCAGCAUCAGCAGCAGCCGCAUCACUGUCCUUAUCAUCUUUUCCGUGGAAAUCAUCUGAACCCUUGGGUUGAGUGAAACCAGCUCUGGAUUGCCAGUUCCAUCCAUGGUCCAGUGGAGGGGGAAUCACAUUUCCUCUUCCCGCUGGUUUUCUCGUAUUAGAAGUUUGUGAAGGCCAGAAGUUUCCGGCACCCCUUCCUGAUCCACCAUUGUUCCGCAUUGGCUUCUGAGCAUCGACCGGUGUCCAAGCUUUAGAAUUAGAACUUUGAGUACCCCAUUGUCUUGCAGCACUGCUUCCAGCUCUGUUCUUUGACUUCCUGGCAAUCACCUCCCACUCUCCGUCACCCUUGGCCGAACCCAGGCUAACGUCUGCAACACCAUGACUCAACUCUUCAAUCUUGGGGCUACUUCCUCCAGAGACAUCUUUUCCCUUGAAAUUUCCACCACUUCUUCUCGCACUCAUCGUACCAAACAAUCCCUUUUCUGCAACACUGUUUUAAGCAAAAAAAUGCCAUGAAAACAUGAAAAAUAUUCACAGAAUAAUGUACAUGCGUGUAAUCUCCUCACAGCUACGUUUCCAAUUUAUUUUUUUUUUAUAAAAAUUUUGACAUGAUUUUAACCAAAAUAUAAGGAAACCCAUGUCCAAUUGUCCUUUGAAUUUUUUUUUACCUCUCUUCAUUUUCCCAUCAACCAAACAGAGCGCAAAAAACAAGUUUUUUAGGUCAAACGCUAAACACAUAAUAAUAAAAGCAAAAACCCUAAAACAUUUCAGUAAGCUUCCAUUCCAUUCACAGAAAUGUGGCAGAUCUAACGCUCUGGACACAGAAAAUCAAAACACAAGUUCAACUCCGAUCCACAUUGGUACGCCCAAAAGUUGAAUAUUCACAACAAAAACCCUCAAAACCCCUCUUAUAAGUAGACGGUAGAGAGAGAAAAGUGAGCGAUUACCUGAUGAACAACGCUGAUCGUCGUCGGAAAAGGAGUAAUGUGCGCCGGAGGGAGAGAUUCCCGAUGGGUGGUGUGUAUCACGCGCUCUCCAAGUGUAAGCGAGGUCGAGGAAGUGAGAGUGAGAGUGAGUCGUAGCAGAAGAAAUGGCGUGGAAGGGUAGCCUCUUUUAUCGUGAUUCGUGAGUCAAGUCUGCACCUCUGUUGGGUCCGGAUUCCAAACCAUUAUUAAAUCUCGUUUGUUUUAUAUCUUUUCUUUUUCUUCUAAUGGCGUGGGAAGGAAGUCUUAACCAUUAAGACAAUGCCUUUUUAACAUAAUAUGUUAACUCGACUCGAAACGUCAUAAAAAUAACAAGAUCAACAAUUCUACAUUAUAACUUAUUAGAUUGUUCUACAAGAUUACGAGUGGAUACCCAUUUCAACCUGAUAAGUUAAAAAUUAGGUCGAUAAUUUUAAACUACUAAAAACAUUUCUACAAUGUAUUUAAUAUCACAUAAAAUUUCAAAGCACAUUAAGAAAACCUUAUUAUAAGUGAGAUUAAAAAAUUUCAAAGCAAAUUAAAAAUACUAAAGCAAUUUGAAAAGAAUCCGGAUCACUUUUGUGAGAAUUAUGUGGAUCCGUGAAUUAUAUUUGUUCAUCGUACAUCGUGUGGUUAGAAAUCAUUUUUAAUAUUUUUUAGGGUAAAUUACACUGUACCACCUCAGAUUUGCUGUCUAUUACAACCUCAUACAACAUUUUCAAAACAUUUCACUUUUAUACCUCAAAUACUAUUUUGUUUCAAUAUAAUACAUCUGUUAUAUUUUCCAUUCAUUGUUCAGUUAAGAGUUGACGUGACUGUCACAUUUGUUCCACAUAGCAAAAAAAGAUUUUUUUAUGAAUUUAAAAAUAAUUAAUUAAAGAAAAGUUUUAUAUAUAAAAAAAAUUAAAAUAAAUAACCCUAAAACCCAUAUUCCCCGACCCACUUCUCCUCCACUCUCUUCACCUCCCCUCCCUUCUCUCUCCCACUCCUCCCUCUUCACCUCCCGCCACACCCCCCGCCGCCUCCUUUCCCUCCCAUUCCACCAAACCCACUCUCCAAUUCCCCUUCAACCCCUAAACCCCUACCCUCACCCACCGCACCACCCACAUCCGCCCCCUCACCGUCGUCGAAGCCCUAGAAAAGAUCAAGAAGCUCGGCACCAACAUCUCCAGCAUCACCCUCGAGGAAGCUCGCAUCCUCGUCGACUACUUCCAGGACAAGCUCGACGUCUCCACUGCAGCCCUCGCUUCAGCCGCCAUUGUGGCCAUUGCACCAGGAGUGGGCGAGGCCUCAAAUCUGUGGAGGAGAAGACGGAGUUCGAUGUGGAGGAGAAAGUGGAGAGGAGGGUGGGGUAAUGGACUAGGAGUUGUUUGGCAUUGGGUCUAGAUUUGUUAAGUUUUAAUCUUUAUGCAAAAAUUUGAAUUUUCUGCAUUUUUGUUCUUGGGUUCGGAUUUUGGAAAAUUGGGGUUGGAAUCCAUUGAAAUUUUGAAGUUAUUUACUGUUUGGUUGCCUAGAAAACGAGGGAAAAUUGAUGGGAAAGCUGGGUAAUCUGUUUUAGAACAAAUUUGGGUAAUCUAGGUGGGGUGGGGGGUUGCAGGGGAGGUGGGAUAGGGGGUUUGGGUUGCGGGGAAGGGGAAGGGAUCGGUUGGGGGAGGUGAAGAGAGUGGAGGAGAUGGGUGAGGGGGGGGGGUUGCGGGGAAGGGGAAGGAAUGGGUUUCUAGGAAUUUUUUUUCACUUUUCUUUAAUUAAUUAUUUUUAAAUGCAUAAAUUUUUUUUUGCCACGUCGCAUAAAUGUGGCAGUCACAUCAACUCUUAACAGAACAAUGGAUGGAAAAUGUAACGGAUGUAUUAUAUUGAAAUAAAAUAGUACUUGAGGUAUGAAAGUGAAAUGUUUUGAAGAUGUUGUAUGAGGUUGUAAUAGAACUCAAAUCUGAGGUGGUACAGUGUAAUUUACCCUAUUUUUUAUUUAAAAUUAAAUACAAACAGUACCUGACAAAAAUUGACUGCAUUGAUGUAGGAUAAACGGACAUGAUUUAUGGAUUUCCAGAAUACUCACUAAAAAGAUCCGGUUGGAUUUAAAAAUACCAAAGCAUAUUAAAAAAUUCAUAAUAUUUAAUUUACAAUUGUAAAAAAUGUGAAAAAAAAAACAUGCAAAAGCUCAUGAACAUAUUAUCUAUGCUUUGACGAUCAAUACAUCGUCAUUUAGAUUUUUAAACCUUACAAACUCUUGUGAACUGGGUUUUUAGGGGAAGUUCAAAAUAAACAAAAAUUCAUAAUAAUUAAUGUAAAGGUUUGAAAAGAAUAUACAAAAUGCAUGUGAUUGCAUCAUCUGCGCUUAGACGAUGGUUACAUUGUCGUUUAGAUUUUUAAAACCCUCCAAAUCAUCAUGAAUAGAGUUUAUUAUUUUAGUGUAUAAUUAAUAAUAAUUCAUAAUAAUUAACAUAAACAUAUGGAAAAUGUAAAAAAAAAUAUGCAAUCACUCGAAACAACAAGCUUUAUAAUUGUGGUGAAGGGAUCAACUCCGAAAUUCUUUACUAUAAUCUAUAACCCCUCUAUUUAUAUUUAACCGUCAAUUAUCGUUUAUGCUAUAUUAUUCUCAUCGGAUCUUAUUUUUCACAUUUUGUUAUAAAGAAGAAAAACAGAGGAGAAAAAGAAAGCAAUGGUUAAUGGUUUUCCUGAGGGCAAACUUCACAAACACAGGCCACUAACUUGUUUGUAAAAUCUUCUGAUCUGGGCCCAUAUCGGCUUAUGCAUAUAUCACUGUGCCUUGUUACAAUGACCAAUUUAUCCCAUAGGAGGAUAUCCUUCUGGUGGUCAGUAGUAAACCCGCAAUUUGGAAAAGGAUAUAGCUCAAAUUCUUGCCAAUCCACUCUCUCUGUUUGCUCAAGACGGCCAAUUUCCCAGCCAAUUCUUCUGCAAUGGCUCGCUUGGCAAACUUAAAUGGAGUCUCCGAAACGCUGCCGGUCCUUCCAAGGUUUCCGAGCGUACAAACAACCCGAAAGAAAGCGAGCUUUAUUUGCUUUACGGGCAAGAAAAGCAAUGAUUUUCAGGAACAGCCACUACAAACUACAAGAAGAAUUGCAUUGGGCCUGGCCUCUGUUGCACUUGUUGGCAACCCCUGCAAUGGUGUCUCUCUUGCUGAGGGCAAUGGGUUCUGGCUCGACGGCCCUCUGCCCGUGCCUUCGGCUCAAAACAGUAAGUUUUGUACCGAGAAGUUUACUGGUACAGCAUUUGCUACAUUGUCACUCACUCGAACCAUGUGUUUUGAUGCAGAAAUUGCAAAUGAGAAGACGGGAACGCGGUCUUUUCUGAAGAGGGGACUCUACAUGGCAAAUAUCGGAACCAAAGGGAGGAAGUUCAGGCUUAAGAAGUACGCAAAUGAUCUCCUGGCAAUGGCGGAUUUGAUUACGAAAGAUACACUAAACUAUGUCCGAAGGUAUCUGCGGCUGAAAUCCACAUUCAUGUACUUUGAUUUCGACCAAGUUAUCUCUGCAGCACCGGUCGACGAGAAACAACCACUCACAAAUCUUGCUAACAGAUUGUUUGACACCGUCGAAAAGGUAACGAUAAAACGAACACAUAACUUCUUAGAUCCUAUGCAGCUGCUUGAAAAAGUUUAACUUGUUUCUUCCAAUUUGUCAACAGCUUGAUGGCGCCGUGAAGCAACGCGACCUCCCUCAGACAGAAACAUACUACAAAGACACAACAGUUGUUCUCCAAGAGGUCAUGGAUCGAAUGGCGUGAAUUCUUAAAACCUGUUCAUCUGAUAGAGAAAAAUUAGUCUUUCCUACCGAUGUGUAAGUCUCCUUCAAAGCAUAUAACUUGUACACGACAAAUGAGUUAAGAUUUUCCGAGAUUAUGACUAUGAGCGCGGACUAUUUUUCGCUUCUAGUCAGUUUUACUUCAUCGACGUUCAACAAGCAAUCAAGCAUUACUACAGAAGACUCGAGAGGAAAAAGAUUAUCGAGUAAUGAAGCUCAAUCAAAUCACUCGUUAGAACAGAGAGUUCUCCGAAUUUACUGACACGCAUACCCUAUUUCUUCACUAUACAGAUAAGCCUACGUUAGAACAACUCUUGAAUUUCGCUUCAUGGUACUACUGGUACACAACACAAACCAGUGGUUACUUUUAAAUCAAAAAAGAAGUCUUGGAUCAAAGAUCAACCAUAGCUCAUACGUGAAUCUGGAGGCCGCAUGCUGGUCUGACGCCGUGGAACCCCAAUAUCGCAAGCGUUUACCCGUGAGGCAAAACGAAGGGAACAGAGUGAUUCACCUGCUGAGGAGGGCUCGGGAGAAAUGUUUACGAACAUCAAUGUCUUUGAGUCUCCUCCUAGACAUGGCUGGUCAAAAUUUCGUUAAGAGUUUAGAAUAUGAUAGGAUGUUUAAACUUAAAAUUGUUUUCGCAUAUCACUUAAACAAGUAAACAACCUGAAGAAGAUAUGUAAGCUUUGAGUUCCUAAAUGGUACGUGGUCCUCCUUCUUUGCCAAGGCAAAUAUCACGUCGCUUAAAGAUGAUAGACUUUUGUUGAUGGCCUGAUUUCAGGGGGAAGACGAUUACUACAAAAGAAAAAUAAGAAACAUAUAAACAAAUAGACUACGAAGGUUAACAUAAAAUACCUGAGUUUCUUUCAGUCGGUCUCCCGUUGACCCACUCUUGGAAAGUCGUUCACUCCCAGCAAGAUCAAUAAGAUUCAGAACACCUUGUACUUGUUGUUCAGUGCUCUAAGAUGAGAUGAUAAGUUAAGAAGUAAGCACAGUAACGAAAAUAUGAAAAAAGAUAAGACCAAGAAACUAAUUUUUUCAAUCAGAAGAUAAUCUGCAGAGAAAAUGGAAGUCGCUUACCUCAUUAACACCAGAUAUCCGUAGUGUGAAAACAAAAUGGCUUCUUGAAGAUUGCUCGUUCAUUUGAGUUUUGCCUACAGACCUAAAAGGAACCAAGUGGAACAUAAGUAAGCACCUUUCUUUCAAUAGCAAUUUUCAUCCUUUAAACAAAAUCAGCAAAUCCAAUUUUCAUCGAGUUAGAGUUAGAUCCCCACCGUCAAGCAUUGGUACUGCUGGGGAAAGUUAAGAAGGAUUUAGAAACAUGCAUUGGAAUACUAGUUAUAUGUUGUAGUCUUAUAGACAACUAAAUUUCUCCAACGAAACAAAACUAAAAAAAGGCACACAGUUAGAUUUAGAAACCUGCUAUGUUCAGCCCGUUCUAAGAGAUAUGAGACCUCUUUAGCAGUGCACACAUCAACAAUGGUAAGAUCAGAGACAUGAGUGUUCCCAUUUGCAUCGUGUUUGAUUGUAUAUUGCUUUCCACCAAUACCAUUUUCUCGCAACAUAUCUGAAGAUGAUCGAUUGGGUGCUAACAGAUCACGAAUAGUUUCAUUGUAUAUUUCCAACAUCGACACCUACAUAUAUUUGUCAAACAAAAAAGAAAAUUACAUAUGAAAUGAAUAUAUUCAUUAAUGCAUUAACAGCAAAAUAACUGUUCAGAGAGAGAGAGAGAGAGAGAGAUUCCCCUCACCUGCAUUUCAUAUUUCCAACCUUGUGGUUGAAGAGACUGUAUGGUUUUAAAAAUUUGUUCUAAUGAACGAGGAACCAACCCUUUUUGGUCUUGAUCUCCUGGCUUACCCAUCAUGGUAUAGGUUUUCCCUGAUCCUGUCUGACCAUAGGCAAAAAUGCAAACCUAAAACAAGAAGCCACCAUCAUUAGGCUACGAGUGUACAAUUCAAUCACUGAACAGAUAUAUAAAACCAAUAAAGUGAAUGCAAAGAAUAUGCAUGUCACCAAAUUCAUAACCAAAUACAAUACACCCUCCUAAAGACAGACAAGCACAUAAUAUGUGUGUGCUUAUGCACCAGAUACAUAUGUUCCACUGCCCAUACAACUUUCAGGUUAUCAAUUUGUAAAAAAGGAAACAAAAAUGUGAUAACAUUCUAACAAAUAUACAGCAUGCAUCUAUAAGUAUCUUCACAUAUUGCAUGAAAAAAAUAAUAAUAAUAAAUUAAAGAUCCUAGGUGAAGCAUAUAGUAUAACAUGGAUAUAAAGUUAAAUGUUGAUACAAAAUUACAAAUCGAAAGCUUUUCUACCGAAACUAAUAAGACAAAUUUGGAAUGAAAUUGAUAAAACUAGAUGAUAAAGGCAUUGCUUUGAUGAAAUGCAAAGAGUAACUUAAACAAGGUAACAGGCUUUUAAUCACCUUAUAACCAUCAAGAGCACUUUGUACGAGCUGUGAAAUGUCUUCAAACACAUCUUCUUGUGAUAUUUCAGGCAUAAAAACUUUGUCAAAUGUGAAAGAAUGUUUUUGCCCUGAUGACAAAUACAGGCAAUAUGUGAAUUUGAAUAGCACAGAAUAGGACAGCCUACAAGAGAAAGCUAUCUACUAUUGCUUAACAUACCAGGUUGCACUAAAUCAAUGCCCCGUCCAAGAGCAUCCAUUGAUGUUGGAUAAGAGAUAACCUUCCCUUCAGUGCUUACGUCUUCAUCCGCCAACAAAGGUCGCACUCGACAGAAUACACGGAUGUUCCCUUUUAGUUCCUAUAGAACGAGAGAAUUUACAAGCUGAUAGCAGAAGUAGCAGAUAAAAAAGCAAAGGCAAAAGAUUUACCAAGAUAGUGUUGUGCAACUUUUUACGCAGCAUUUCUCCUUCAAUAAGUUUGAAUUCUGCAUCUGCCAGGCGAGUUUGUAACUCACUUAUAAGUUUCUUUUGCCCUUCAUAGUCAGUUCUUGUUUCCAGUGUAGUUAAGUUGGACAUCUAGAAGAAAACAUAUCUAUACUUAGAAAGUUUAAUCAACAUGAUGAAUAACACGUUAAACAUUGCAUUCCACAACACCAACAAUGUAGAUAACCCGUAUUAUCCUUAGUCACAAAAGAACCAGAUAUUAUCACCUGUACUUUCUCCUCUGCAAUCAUUAGUUGGUCCUUCAAUGUCUUUAUCUGGUCAGUCUGAGACAGACAUCUUACCUGAAGAAUACCCGCCACUAUAGUAUGUUAACAAAUGCUAUUAGAAACAAAACCCACAGAACUACCAGAAAAGAAUUAUAAAAUGACCUCCAGUUCGGUAUAUUUUGAUUUGAGGUUAUCCACCUCAAAACUAGAUUUCUCGGUGGAUUCUUUGUAUGUUGUAUAUUCAGCUGUUAGGGUCUGCACUUGGAGUUUAUGACGAUCCCGAUCAUCUCUCACUUGCUGCAACUCCAUCCUAAGGGAUGCAACUUCAUUUACCAAAGCAUCCCUCUGCUUUAUAGCAUCAUCUUGAGUUUGCUGUAUGUCAUCCAUCAAAUAAAGGUUUGAAACAGUUCAUUUUCAGAAGCAAAAAUCUAAAAUGCACUGAAGAAACAAAAGUCAGGACUACAGAACAUGGUCAGAACUUUUUCAAGAUUAUUUCAUCAUAAUGUGAGUCAUAAAACAUACUAAUAACAACAACCUUCGUAGAAUUUUCAAUACAUGCCUACUUAGGAGAACACAUAAGUCAGAUUUAUAGAUACAUAAUAAGAGAAAUUCCUUAUGCAAUUAGAAACAAUUCAAGAUAAUAAACUCACUUUGGACACUGAAAGUUGACCCCUUAGCAUGCUCAGGUUCUCCACCAUACAAACUUUUUCCUUCUCUACGCGCUUAAAGUCUUCCUCAACUGUAGAGAGGUCGUUGUGCAGUUUACUAUUGUACUGUUGCAAGCUUGCAAUGUAUUCUUGCAAUCGUUUGUACAUAUCAUUCAGUGAAGUUAUCUGCGGAGCUCAUAAAAGAAUAUCAUUCAGAUUAAAACAUUUGUAAGGAAUUCCAUACCUGUCAACAUGGAAGCAAAAGAAGGAAAGGAAUGCACAUUCUACUUUACCUUCUGCGUAGCACUUGAAAGCUCUCUUUGAACUCUCCCAUGCUCAUCCGAUAGGGAAUUUUGUGAUCGCUCAAUUUCAAGUCUAGUCUCUCUUUCCCUCGCGAGAGAUUCCAUUGCAGCCUGAUAGACAUAUCAAAACAUUUAAUAAUCUACAGAAAUUAACCAAACUCAGCCAGAUUGGAUAUCAAACCCACCCUACUUACCAUCUUAUCCAACUCUUCUUUUGUAAAUUUCUCUUGUAAGGAAGCAUAGUUUUUCCUCAGCUCCGCAAUAAUCGAAUUCAGUUCUUCUUCCUUGUUUUUCAGUAAGAUCCCUACAAUAAAACAAAUAUAAUUACUCUAGUAAACAACUUCAUUGAGAAUUCAACGACACAAAAGACGUUAUUCAUACCCAUUUCAUCCCGCUGCCGCUCUGAAACUUCCACAUCAUUCUCUAACUUCUUGCGCUCAAUUAAGUAGCUUUCUUCAAGCUCUUGAAACCACUUUAUGCAAAGUUUCAGCCUUUUAAUAUACUCACUCAUAGUCUCACAUUUUUCCUAGAAAAUCAUUCAACAUAAAAUUGAAAAAUAUCCAAAACCCGUCUCAGGUAAACUAAUCCAAAUAAAAAUUCAAAAAAUUCAUACAUACAAAUUUCAAAGAGAAAAAUAUUAUAAUUAAAUUAAAUUAAUAAGUGAAAGCUAAUACCUUGAGACUGAACCUGUCCUUCCUUUUGGGUCUCUCAUUCAACAAUGCGUCAACAUCCUCUCUGGUAAACUCAAUACCACCGCUCUCCGAACCGGCAUUACUCACCGGAGCGCUGCUCGGACCCAACUCUUGGCCCCCGUUCACCACCGAGAACGCGUGCCGGACCCUCCCAUUUUUCGCGGGGCCCACCAUUUUUGCCCUCUCGAAAAUUUCGACACUUGUCAAAAACCUCACUUCAAUACUUCAUCAUCUCACCGACCCAACACUUGUAAAAAGAAAAAGCAAACAAUUUUCAAGAACAACCCAGAAAAGAAUGGCGAAGACAAAAGCAACCCAAUGUGAGAAUGUGAAAACUUGGUGCCCUAGCUACGUUUCUCCAGAAACCCAGGAGGGAAAAUCCCCCAAGUAUACAAAUUGGGCACGGAUUUCAAAAACCCAAAUGUGAAAAAUCAAAACGAACCCUUGAAAAACUAGUGGAUGGGGCUGUAUUGUAAUCUUGUGAGAAAUGAAGACUACUAAAUCUGUCUCUUGAAAACUAUUUGAAUAAGCAGAGGGAGAGGAGAGAGAGUUCAGAAAGUGUUGUUGUGUGUGGGGCCAUGAAUUGCAUUCAAAGCUAACAGUGAAAUCUCAGCCGUUGGUUCAACGAGCAGGAAGAUGGAUGAUCUACAAGCAAGAAACCCAGAGACUGAAAUUCUUUAAAUAUUUAUACAUUUGUUUCUCAGAAAUAAAUCUUAUUUAAAAAUAAUAAUUAAAAACAGUUAAAUUUCUUUUGUUUUUUUAGUGAUUGUUUCAUUAUUUUAUUCAUUGGCUGUUGCCCGGGUAAGGCUUGAUUUUGAAUUUUGGGAUCAGGUGGUGCCCUACAAGGCUCCAAGUUUGUCUUCAUUCAUUUUAUUUCCUAAUUUGAUUUUUAAGUUUCGUACGUUUUUAUUGAAUUUUUAUCACGGCUGGCCUCUUGAAUUCGACCUUCCACUCAAAAUGAUCAUUGGAAUUGAAAAUUCAUCAACUUGAUUUCUGAAAAUGCCAAAAUGGGUCUUGCAAUCAAUUUGAUCAUUCCGUUAAUUUUCCAUGAAUCUUUUUGUUAGUGUGCUAACGUUGUAAGAAACAUUGAAAUUCUAGUGUGAUAAUUAUAUGGGUAGAUGAUUCUGAAUUGAAUUUUUACAUAGAUGAUCUAUAAAUUGAGAAUUACAAAAUAAAUCGUUGAAUUUCGAUGUGAAAUGAGUUACACACUAGUUCUUAUCUUUAUUUUUUUCAACCAGAUAAAAAUUAGUGAUGAUCUCCUUUGCUGGAGCUGAAGCAACCAAAAGCCAGAUCCGGCUCCCCAACUUUCCAACCAGAUAAAAAUUAAAGAAUUAAAAAACUGUACAUCUCUUUCCCUUGCGUCAAAUGGAGGUCAAGUAUUUUUACUUUUAUAAAUUUUCCCGGAAAAGUUCCCAUCAUGCAUGGUGGUGGUGGUGCAGCUGGUAGCUGUGUUGGUAAUAUUGCCUUUUCGUUUCUUGGUGCUCGGCUGCAUUCUUGAUGACGUCACUUUCUGAUAAUAAUUAUAUGAUCCUUUUCUGGAAAGCUUCCUCAUUAGCCAUUCAUCCAUUUUAUUGUGUUAUUGUGGUGUUUGAUCCAAUAAUGUAAUAUUAUGUGCUUCGUGUGAUUAUCGUCACCAUGACGUUUUAGUUCAAUAAAUAUAAUAUUAUGUGUUUCAUUGGUUUACCGUCACUAGAGUGUUUGGGUCUAAUAAUACAUUACAUUGUUCUCGUAAACUAGACCUCUCUCUCUCAAGAUAUAUGCCAAACGUGUAAGCUGUGCUUAUGUAAAUUAAAAGAAAAAGAGAUUAUAAUCAAGGUGAUAGAUGAGCUAUCAAGAUUCAUGAUGAUCACUUUUCCUGCUGAGAAGAUGCUGAUUAAUAUGGAUUAGUGACUUUAUUUAACAAAUGGAAUAAAGAGCUAAGUUCGUCCUGUCUAUUUUGAUGCUCAUAGCUUGCCUUUCUAUUUUGAUGUUCAUAGCUUGCCUUUCUAUUUUGAUGUGCACAUCUAUCAAAUUUAAAAUAUAUAUACACACGUCCUUGGAGAUUAUGAUAAUUUAUUUACGUGGUUUAAUUUGGAUUGUUUAAACGAAGCACUUUUUUGUUCAAACAAACAAAAGCGAAAGUAUAUCGUGCAAAAAAAAAAACCGAAUACAUAACUAACUCAUUAUGAGGCGCAGUAUUGAUAAUAUCGUUUGUUAAAAAAAAAAGUUUUUAUCACAAAUGGUCCCUGAAAUUGACCAAACUCAUCAUUUAUCACUUUCAAAAUCAACCAAUGUCGUCCUUGACAUUCACUACCACAUAUCAAUUAGUCAUUCUGUUUAGAUUUCGUCAAUUAUUCUGUUAAUUUGUAUGUGGGACCCAAAAACCCGAUAAAAUGGUGACAUGUGGAUUAUACAAAAGAAAGAUUUUUAUCGCAAAUGGUUCCUGACAUUGAUCAAACUCCUCAUUCUAGUCCCUGAGUUUCAAAAAUCGAUAAAUUUAGUCACUGACUUUCACUAUCGCACAUCAAUAGAGUCCUUCCAUUGAAAUUUCGUCAAUAUUUUUUGUUAGUGUGCUGAUGUGGUCCCACUAAUCCAAUCAUAUGGCGCCAAGUGGAUUAACUGUAAAAAACUAUUUUUUUUAGAGUGAACCGACUGGCAAGUAUUUGCGCUGACAUUUCUCUCGCAUCCCCCAAUCCCAUUUGGAAAAUAAAAUUCAAUCUAAAUUCGAUAAAAUCGAAUCCAAAUUAUUCAAAUUUGAUAGGAUUAUAACCAACUAUAGAGAAUAAGGAGUGAGUUCACUGAGGACAAGAACUAAUUGUUAUGGUGCCUUUCUUUUCUUUUUGAGCAUACCUAGAUGAAGAUGAUGAUGUCUUUUUUUUUUCUUUUAGUUUUUUUUUUAAUUUCUUAUAGUACUUUUAGUUUUAAAUGUUAAAAAAUAAAUUAUAGUUAAUCCAUGUGGCAUCAUAUGAUUGGACUAGUGGGACCAUAUUAUCACAUUAACAAAAAAAAUUGACGAAAUUUUAACGAAAUGAAUAAAUUGAUGUGCAGUAGUGAAAGUCAAGAACCUAAUUGAUUGAUUUUUGAAACUCAAUGACCAAAAUGAGGAGUUUAAUCAAUGUCAAUGAUUAUUUGUGAUAAAAACCUUUCUUUUAUGCAAUUCACGUGUCACCAUUUUAUUGGAUUUGUGGGUCCAACAUACAAACUAACAGAAAUAAUUGACAGAAUCUAAAUGGAAUGACCAAAUUGAUGUGUUGUGAAUGUUAGGGACCACAUUGAUUGAUUUUAAAAGUGAGGGACCAAAAUGAUGAGUUUGGUCAAUCUUAAGGAUCAUUGGUGAUAAAAACCUAAAAAAAAAUCGAUUACUUUAUAUGUUUAGUUACUUACUUGAAACGAGAAAAUGAAUAUCUUGCUUUGACAAUGGUAAAUCACACACACUUAACCAACUAGUAAAGAAUUAAUUAAAAAUGGUGACAUAUCUAAGUUGGUAAUGGAAAACCAAAAUAAACGCAUCCAAGUAGAUUAAGUUUGUUUAUACCAUAUUUAGGGCCUCCAUAUUUAGACCUCGUACAAAUACUUAGGGGACUUAAAUGUAAUUAUGUAAUAAAGGAAUGGGCAAAUAUGUAAUAAGUGAGGAGCCCUUAUUCUAUAAAAGGACUCCUCACCCUCACAAUUGGAGGAGGCCAAUUCCUAGGCCUUAAGUUCUCAUCCUCUCACAUGUAAUUAUGUAAUAAAGGAAUGGGCAAAUAUGUAAUAAGUGAGGAGCCCUUAUUCUAUAAGGGCACGUUUGUUUGACAGGAUUAGCAAGGCUUGGACUGGACUAGACUAUAGUCCUGUGUUUGGUGUGCAACCGGAUUAGCUUUAAUGGGCUUAGGUGGGACUCGCUCGGAUUACACGCCUCCUUACGAGUUCUUAACGAAGAACCCCAAUUUUGGGCGGACUCGUAAGCCCGGAGAGAAAACCGCGAGGAUCCCCAACGUCCUGCUCGUCCUCAUCUCUGCGAGGAUCCCCAACGUCCCUCGUCCUGCUCGUCGCUCGUCGUCGACCUUGCCCUGCUUCCUCGUCGUCGUCCUCCUCACCCUCAUCUCUGCGUCUUCUCGCCCUCAUCUGGUUGGAGACAGUCUGGUAAGCUUCAAAUCUUCGAUUGAUUUCGUCGAAUUGAGAUUAGAAUUUAGGGUUUUCAUAUUUUUAGUUCAAAUUGAGAUUAGAAUUUGGGGUUUUCGUAUUUCAACUUUUCUGGUAAACUUCAAAAUCAAUUUUUAGGUCAAAUUGAGAUUAGAAUCUGUGUGUGUAAUCUCUGUGUGUGUCUGUGUGUGUGUGCGUGUGUGUGUAUACUAUGUGUGUGUGUACUCUGGUUUGUCUGUGUGUGUGUGUAUACUAUCUGUGUGCGUGUAAUCUCUGUUUGUGUAUACUCUGUGUGUGUGUGUGUGUGUGUAAUCUGUGUGUGUGUAAGUGUAAUAUGUGUGUGUAUGUAAUCUGUGUGUGUAUACUCUGUGUGUGUGUGUGUAAUCUGUGUGCGUGUGUGUGUGUAUGUAAUCUCUCUCUCUCUGUGUGUAAUCUGUGUGUGUGUGUAAUCUUUGUGUGUGUGUGUGUGUAAUCUUUGUAUGUGUAAGUGUAAUAUGUGUGUGUGUGUGUGUGUAUGUAAUAUGUGUGUGUGUAAGUGUAAUAUGUGUGUGUGUGUGUGUUUGUGUAGUGUGUGUGCGUAUUGUGUGUGUGGGUGUGUGUGUUUGUGUAUUGUGUCCGUGUGUGUGUGUGUGUGUGUGUAUUGUGUGUGUGUGUGUGUGUUUGUGUAGUGUGUGUGUGUAUUGUGUGUGUAUGUGUGUGUGUGUUUGUGUAGUGUGUGUGUGUAUUGUGUGUAAGUUUGAACCAACUUAAGUUGUACAAUUUGAUUAUCUUAUUCCUCGAAUUAGACAUUAUGCGAGACUGAAGCUUUACACCGUGUUUUAGGUGCAGGAUUUGAACGUUCAUGUUGAUGUAGAGUUUCAAUACAGAUGAAUAACUAGUAUUAGGACUAUACUUGAAGCUUUGCAUUUGUAGUAAUCGAGAAUCCUUUAGUUUCACAUACACUCGGGUGGUUCUAAGGUGAUUUAGGAUACUUUCGUACUUUUUUUCUUCUCUGAUUUUUUAGCAUGCUUUGGCGCUCUGUCACUUUGUCACAUGGAUAGAGGCCCAUCACUUUGCUUUCUUAAUUUCUAUGAACACUGUGUUGUACUUUUUAUAAGAAAAUGGAAUUGGGGAUCACAUGAUUUAUCUUGGCGUGGUAUGUGUGGUGGAUUGUGUUCAUGUUUGGCUCGUUUUAUUAUCCUGCUUUUAUUAUUCUGCUUCUUAGUCCGACACUGCACCAAACGCUUCACUAAGUUAGUCCAACUUAGUAUAGUCUAAGCCAGUCCAGCUUAGUCCCUGCAGUUAGUCCAGUCCGAGACAGUCCGGUGCAACAAACGCACCCUAAAAGGACUCCUCACCCUCACAAUUGGAGGAGGCCAAUUCCUAGGCCUUAAGUUAUCAUCCUCUCACAUCCCCUCUCACAUUACAGAGGUUCUCUCUCCCUCAGAAAUACAUAAUCAGUGUGGACGUAGCCAAAACCUUGGGGUGAACCACGAUACAUCUUAUGUUAUUUACAUUUCAUGCAGAUUCACGGUCGGAUUUACGUUGUUCCAAGACCUCCGGUUUUGUGCAUCAACAUUUGGCGCCGUCUGUGGGAAUCGACACUAAAAAUUAUGUCGGCUCUCUCUCAAUUUUUCACCUCCGCCGUGAAUCUGCAAAAUCACAAAAACCUAAGAAACCAAAACUCCUAUUUCCACUCUCUAGCUCUCUCUCUCUCUGCAACUUUUGCUUUUUGAAUUUUAUUCUAUUAAAGAAAACAAUUUGGGAAAUAAGGAGGAGGAUGUACGACCCGCAACAUUUCCUGGAAUCGCAAGAGAAGUCCAGUAAUUUCAGGACCCAAAAUCCUGGCUUUCCGUGGAUGCCAACUCGUCCCCGAUCCACCACUCGACUCAGUCCUCACUUGCUCACUCCUCCACUGCCACCAACAGCAAUCUCUAUCGCGUUUUCUCCCAAUACCUCGUUGAGAUCGUCCUUCUCGUCUAGUCCCUCAUCGAUUGGAAAAGUUGCAUAAAAAGGGAGGAAUGCAACUCAAUCCAUCCCUGCAAGACAGAAGAGAGAUUAGAGAGACAAGGGCUCAAGCAAAAAUGAUGGCUGCCUCGAUGCUGACAGCUUUUCAAGUUUUUCCUCAAGGGCUGCGACAAUGGAAAAAGUGCACCGCUUCCAACUUGUUAGCUACGCCGAGUCAAAGCGUCCUCGACUAGAGGAAGAGCAUCCCUACCGCCAACCCAGCCGCCGUCACCUGCAAAGCUGACGCCGUCGCUCUCUGCGUCAGCUGCAACGUCGACCUCCACACGGAUAACCCACACGGCUAAUCCACUGAGGUAGGGUAUUCGAAGAAGAGGGCUUGAAGCCCAGAAAGAUCAUAUAGAUCUUGAUUCACGGACGAAGAAGCGAGACACGUAAUCAACUACAUGUCGUCGGGCCCCCCACCGCAAGAUCUUGAUUCACUUGCACGCUGUGAUGAAUCAGCAAAGGGCAAUGGGCAAUGAGAGGUUCCAACCAAUGAUGUAUGCUAGGCCACCACCUGCUGUCAACUCCAUGUCGCCCGGCCCCCCACCGCCAUACCCAUACCCAUACGUUCCUCCCCCAGCUGGUGAACCAUACACUCACUUCUUCAGUGAUGAGAACACCUCAAGUUGCAAUGUGAUGUGACUGAAAUUGGUCAUGCUGCUGCUGAUUUGGGUUAAUUUGCUGAGUUUGUCAACAGCUUGAUCUCCAAGGUUGAUUCUGAUGGAGACGGUGUCAUCAACUUCAAAGAGUGGAUAGAGGAACCUCGUGCUUUCGUCCUGUGAUGGGUUCAGUGGGGACAUCUUGCCUCCAAAUAAAGCCCAACCAUCCUCUGAUAACUUCAGGUCGGAUAGCAUUCUUGGGGAAGGCAGAUUGGGAUACGUGUUCAAAGGGUGGAGAGAGGAAAAUGGGACAGGGCCAACGAAACCCGGGUCAGGAAAAUGUUUUUUGGUACCACGAUGUGGAAAUCUGACCUGGUUGGUGCAUCAAUUCACGUGGAGGUGACGAUGAAGCUACAACUUUUGGUGCGAUGGGGUCUCUGAUCUAACUCCAUUGGUUCCACUAAUUCCUCUCGGUGCAGAGAUACUGUAAAGAUUAAUUAGGUGCACUUGCAUGACAGCAGCACACAGACAGACAAAAAAAGAGAUGCGGGGGAAAAGAGAAAAGAAGAAACAGAAACAAAAGAAAAAGCAGAGAUAAGAUUCUUUUCUUAUUAUUAAAUCUAUUAUCAUUCCUUGUCUGCCAUAUUCAUCAGGGUCAAGAAACAGAAAGGAAAAGCAGAAAGACCAUCCAGAAAGGAAAAGAAAAAGCAAAAGCAAGGAAUAAAUACCCCACCAGAAUGAUGUGAUUUACUUUCCUUAUUUUUUAAUGAUGUAAUUUAUUUUUCGUCUCAUUCGGAGACAUCUGUAUAAACCCCAUCAGAGGGUAAAAAAAAAAAAAAAAAGGGCAAAGCCCAAAAUAAAUGGGCUGGAAUGUUGUGUGGAGGGCGAAAGCCCAUAUGCCUAAAAAAGCCAGGCCCUAUGGCUCUAAAAUUAUCCUGCAACCUACCACUAUUACCACCAACCAGGUGAUCAAAAGUACGCCCAGUACUUCAAAUUAUACGUGAGCAUUACUCAUGUAAAUCAUACAUGAGCAUUACUCAUGUCAAUCAUACAUAAACAUUCAUGAGCAUCACUCAUAUCAAUCAUACAUAAACAUGUAUGAGCAUCACUCAUAUCAAUCAAACAUUCAUGAGCAUCACUCAUGUCAAUCAGCUUCAAAAGCUUCAUUUACAAAUCUCUAGCUUCAAAAGCUUCAUUUGCAGAGCUCCAGCUUCAAAAACUUCAUUUACAAAAGCUCUAGCUUCAAAAGCUUCAUUUACAGAGCUCUAGCUUCAAAAGCUUCAUGUACAAAAGCUCUAGCUUCAAAAGCUUCAUUUACAGAGCUACAGCUUCAAAGCUUCAUUUGCAAAGAUUCACCUACAAAGCUUCAAUGCAGGGUAUACAAAAACCGCCUCCGAACAAACCGACAUUUCGGCCCAUACAUGGAUUCAAUUUGAAGUCUCCAACUAACAGACUUUAUUGACCGAAGACUUAGGGGACUAUAUUAUGUACCAUAUAUUAGGCCUCAACUAGGCCUCAUGAAAAUACUUGGGGGACUUAGCCCAUUAUCUAUGUACUUAGGAGCGAGCCCUUAUUCUAUAAAAGGGACUCCUUCACUUUCAUUAGAGAGCACUCAUGAAAAAUACUUGGGGGACUUAGCCCAUCACUUAUGUAUUGAGGAGCAAACUUUUAUUUUAUAAAAGGGACUCCCUCACCUUCGUUAGAGAGCAUCGCUGCCAGCUGAGCAACUGCCUCGCCACGAGCAUCACUCCUAGCCCAUUAUUCAUAUACUAAGGAGCGAGCCCUUAUUUUAUAAAAGGGACUCCUUCACCUUCGUUAGAGAGCAUCAUCGUCAGCUGAGCAACCGUCUCGCCACGAGCAUCACUCCUAACCCAUCAUUUAUGUAUUAAAGAGCGCGCCCUUAUUCUAUAAAAGGGACUCCCUCACCAUCAUUAGAGAGCAUCAACUCUAGCCCAUCAAUCAUGUAUUGAUGAGUGAGCCCUUAUUCUAUAAAAGGGACUCCCUCACCUCCAAACGCCACAAGUCGUGUCAACCAAGGCAACAUAAGCCAUGAGCCAAGCAGCCGAGCAGCAUGUGCUACUUCUAAUUGAGCAUCAUUUCAGAUUGAGCACCGCCUCAUAUCGAGCAUCAGUUCAAGACAACAUCUAGUUACUUCGGCCCACACAUGGACUAAAUUUCAAGUCUCCAGCCAAAAGACUCUCUUGACUGAAGACUUGGGGGACUACUGUUUAUACCAUAUUUAGGGUCUCCGUAUUUAGACCUCGUACAAAUACUCAGGGGACUUAAAUGUAAUUAUGUAAUAAAGGAAAGGGCAAAUAUGUAAUAAGUGAGGAGCCCUUAUUCUAUUAAAUGACUCAUCACCCUCACAAUUGGGGGAUGCUAAUUCUUAGGCCUUAAGCUCUCAUCCUCUCACAUCCUCUCUCACAUUACAAAGGUUCUCUCUCCCUCAGAAAUACAUAAUCAGUGUGGACAUAGCCCAAACCUUGGGGUGAACCACGAUACAUCUUGUGUUAUUUACAUUUCAUGCAAGUUCACGGUCGGAUUUGCGUUGUUCCAAGACCUCCGGUUUUAUGCAUCAACAAAGUUAGGUUUAAUUAAGCCGUCUGUAUUGUCAAACUAUGAAUAUUUUUCUUUUUGUCACAAAGAAAAAGAUAUUGCUAUAUAAUUCCUCAAUCAUUUUUUGAUAUAAUGCUAAUUACGUUUCACACCUUUAAGUUUGUUUUAGUUUUUUAAAUGGGCCACAAAGUUUUAAAUUUUUUUAUAUUACAUCAUAAGGUAUUGAAAUAGUAUGAAGUUAUGCUUUCGACGUAAUUGAUUGUUAGUCCUAAUUGAUUGUUUGAUCUUGCAUAAAAUUGAUGAUGUGAUUGUCAUGUAAGCCACGCUUUUUGAAUAAAAGUUCAUCAAUUAAAUGGUGUAUUAAAGUUUAUACAAUUUUAGGAUGCUUGAACGUUGUAGACUAUAUAUAGCCUUUUAUAUUUACUGAUUGAUGAAUGAACUUUGCAUAAGACACUUUAUUGCAGUAAAGGAAAGCAAUGAUGCCGACGUAUCCUGGUGUGGGUCAAUCCUACUGAUCUCUCUUUUUCUCUUAACAACUAACAAUUUAACCCAUAAAAGCUACCUUUUAUAAAUAAAAAAAAUAAUAAUAAAAAAAAAAAACAAUUGAUAAAUGAACUUUUGUAUCUAUUUUCAUGACCUAACUCUGGUGUGUAGAUUCGAUCCCCAAUAUUUGUCUUUUAGUGUUGGCAAGUGUUUGUUCUUUUUUAAAUGCCAACUCGAACCCUAAUCCAAUAACCUAAGCAUUAAAAUAAAUAAAGAUUUCUAAAUGCUUGGGCGGCUGCAUAUUCCAAUGAACUGAUUGACCAGAAAACUUGUAUAACAAUCAUGGUCUUCAAGUUUGCGCGUUGUACGGUGUCCCAUAAUCUUUGGAUUACUUGGAGUGUUCGCCUGCAUGAUUAAACUGAAUAAUAAAUCAUACAUUAUGAAACAAAUCGGGAUUGCUUAUUUAUAUAUGUUGAAUUAAUCAAAAUGUUUGAGUGGCGACAUAUGCACAUCUUGUUGAUUGAGUCUAAUUAUUUCUCAACUUGGUAUUAGUCGAACAAAAAAUGUAAGCUUCAACGCAAUCUUAUAUUCGACUGUCAACAUAUGACAUCAAAGACAAUCGGAUUAGAUCAGUUUAAAAUGAGUGCGACUAUUGAUCUAGCUAAUCAACCAUAGAUUUUGUCCUCUUAAAAAUUAUUAUGAAAAUCUGAACCAACUUAACUUAAAAUGAUAUAAGAUGCAUCCUAAUCUCAAACAGGAAUGAGAACAUACAUUCGUAUUGAACAGAGCGCUCCACGCCUUAGUGGGUGAGAUUUGACGGCUGCUAGUACUGGUAUUCCUAAAUUUGUUCUUUCUUCCACAUUUUGAUCACUUGAUUUAUCAGCAUAACAAUUUAAGCAACUAACUGGUUAGGCAGUGAUAAGGUCUUCCAUUGGACGUGAAUUCCAUUUAGUGUAUCUUUCAUCCGGUCUACUUAUAAUCGAAUUUUAUCCUUCACAACUAUAUGGUCCAAAUCCAUUUGAUUUGGAAAUUCAAUCCAAAAGAGAGUUAGCCAAGUUUGGGUUUUCAUUAUUUUAGUGUUUGGUAUAUUCUCAUAUAAUGAUGGAACAAGUGAACAACCAAGUGCUUUCACUUUCACGUUACAAAAUUGUUAGUGAUGGUUAUCUAUUUGUUGUACUUAAGAAUUACAUGCUCCCAUAUUACAUAAUAAAAUGUUAACAUGUGUUAAAUUUAGUAGACUUGUGAGAUCCAUAUUUUCUGUAUUAUUUAGAGAUUAGCACUAUGUGUGCUGCUUAGAGAUGACUAAGCUAUGUGCUGAGCUUGCUGGCCGAUUAAGUUAGGAGGUGUCAAUAAAGUUACAUGCAAAUGGGAUAUGUAGGUGAGUCAUAGCAUGAGCUGUGGAUAUCACGUAAACAUUCAUCCACAUUGAGAUGACAGGUGUGCUUGCUACCGAUUCAUCCAUUAGGAUGGUUUGUUUGCCGUUAUUCUUGUACUACAAAUAGGAGCAAAUGCUCCUGUUUAAUAUCGUGCAGAGGGCUAGUUUGCAUGCAAGCUAAGGUCUGAUGUUCAUAUAUAUGUUAGAGAGGGAUUAGGAAAGAAAAGAGUGGAAGAAAUACAUGGUGUUAGGAGUGAUCAAAAAGUUGCUUAACUACGUGGAGUUUAACUAUUGCGGUAGUAACGUGGAUCUUCGUUUUAGUUUUAUGGAAUUGAUGUAGGGGUUUCUUGGGGAACUUAUCACUAUUGGGGUAUUUGUCUUGUUUAAGCUUUGUGAAAUAUGUGUUAUACUUGAUCUAUCUCAACAAUUGAUGUAAGUGUGUAUUUUGGAAUAUGAUAUUCAUAUUUCUAAUAUUGAUAAUGUUGAUUAUAUGCAUAUGUCAUUGCAUAUUGGAGUGGAUGGACUUUAUUGUAAUAUUUGAGUGGUUAUGAAAAUGGAAUUAUAUUUGGUGUGGUUGAGUUUGACUCUUGUAGGGACCAGCAAGGGUGGUAGAAGUGAAAUUAUAGGAAUGAUACAAAGUAGUGGAGACCCUGGCAACCUAGAGGAGAACAAGAUGACAAACAAAAUGGGAAUUUUGGGAUGAUUGAGUUAUGGGGGUUAGUUUAAAUAAUAGAGCAUUCAGGUCACCGCUGAAGUGGUAAAAUGCAUGGUAUGAGACAUGCAGGUCCGCGUGUUUUAUUAUAAAUUAACGGGCUGAGUAAUUGAAGUUAAGUUGCAUUCAUGAAAUAUAAUGUGUUUGAUAACAUGUUAAAAUUGAUUACGUGUUGCAUGACACUUAGUUUAGCGUUGACAAUUAUCCUUGAUAAGAGUUAUGUUCCUAUUGAGUUGUGGUUUUGCUCACACUAUUUUAGACCUUGCAGGCUUGGUACAAGACUGGUCCAAUCCAAUAAUCUAAGUAGCAAACCAGAAGAAAAUUUGUAGUUGAAUAGGCAGAAAAAUUCCUGAUUUGAAUUUUUUGUGAAAUCCGAUUCGACCCUUAUUUCUUUCUUUCUUCAUAUUGUAAAGGAAAGCAAAGCUUCUUUUAUGUAAGAUAUAGCUUUUAUUCAAUUAGGGCUCAAGAUUAACAGAGGGUAGAAGAGCUGAGGUUGUGUUAGACAAGGGAUUUUAAGAGUUUUUAUUAUAUUUGUAACGGAUUUUGGAGCUAUUUGUAUAAGAGAAGUUAGUUUUUCGGUUUUUCUUUUCUUUUUUACUCACGUGCCAAGCACGAGAUCGUAUUUUCCCACCAACCCUGAGUCCAAAGUGUGACAAGACUUGACAACUAAAGGAGUGUUGAGAGUUUCAUACACUGAAGAUGGAAGUCUUGAAGUGCUUAAAAAAUCAUUACUUACUCUACCGACAAGUAAAUGAUUUUAUGUUAGAACUCAUAUUGGAAUACACAUUUCAAUUGAGCAAAAACUUCUUGUCGAUUUGGUUCAACAUCAUCUAAUCCCUCGUUCCUAUGUUUUCAGGUUAAAAACUCCAGAUUGUUCACGACUCUUCUAUCAAUUUGUUAUUGAAGAUUCAAAAUGCACCACUUAAAUUUGAGAAAUACUAGCAACUUUCUCACUUAUUUUUUCACUUAAAUUCUCUCAUUUCUUUAAUGUCACGUGUGCUCCAUUAGCAUCCAAAGCUUUAAUUUUAAUUAUAUUAAAAAUUCUACAAUUUUUCUUCCUCUGUUAGUAUAAUUAAAAUUUUAGUUUUUCAAUAAACAAAAUAAUUAGCCUUUUAGUUUGCGUGCUAGUAGAAUAUACUUGACAUAAGUUGAAGUGAAAAUGUUGAAUAAGAAAGAAAGUGAAAAGGUUGCUAACAUUCACCGUCUGGAAAUAAUUUCCGUAAAGGGAUAUGAUCUUUUAAUCUUUAUGUAUUAAUCGUAAAAGUGUUAAAAAUAUCAACCAUUCAAACUACUAAUGCGUAUAAUUUCAUAGGCUUUUGUUAAUCGUUUAUGUAGCAUGUGUGGAGCUUACGUUUUGUAUUUGAGGAUACUAAUGUGAGAAAAUUAGAACGUCUAUCCCUUUAUUGGAAAGUAGAACUACACAUCAAAGUGUAUAUGCAAUUGAGUAAUACUACGUAAGAGUAAAUUGUAACAAUGAUCCAUUAACUUUAACUCAAUUUGGUAAUGGUCCCUCAACUAAAAAUCCAUUACCAUUGGUCCCUGAACUUAUCAAAACGUGCAGAAAAAUUCAUUACCACUAGUCCUCAACUUUAGAAAUAGUCUAUCAACCUUAAUCCAACUGGAGAAAUAGUCCAUCAACCUUAAUCCAACUGGAGAAAUAGUCCUUUAACUUUGACAAAAUUUUGACAAAGUUGACGAAAAUGACCAUAGUUACACAUUUUGAUGAGUUGAGGGACCAAUGGUAAUGAAUUUUAGUUGAAAGACCAUUGCUUCAAUUUGAUUAAAGUUGAUGGACAAUUGUUGCAAUUUAUUCUACUACGUAAACCAAUUUUUUAGAUUAAAUUUACAAAUAAUAUAAUGUGUCACUAUUAGAAAAUAAGUAUAUUAAUCAAUACUUAAGUAAUAACAUAAUCAUCAAUAAUCACGUCAAAAAUAUAAUUUAAAUGUUGAUGUUCCUACUAUUAUCUUUUGCAAUUAGGUCUACUGGUAAACGACGUGAAUGUUGCAUCCUAUUAAACGGACAACGUGAAACUAAGCGUCGUUUUGCCUUCUCACCGACUGGGGCCUGUUGGGCCAUUUCGUCCACCGAGAAAAUUCUUUAUAGCCGUUAGAAAGAAAGAGCUUCCCUUCCAUUUAAACCGACGGCUCAGAUUCACUCGAUUCAAACUUGAAUGCGAUCAAAACACUACCCCUCACAAAUCCCUCCGGUCCCAUAAACGAACGGUCUCUUUCUCUCUCUCUAGCUCUCCGAGAUCUUCGCCUAAAAUUCACAACCCCCCUCUCUCUCUCUUCAAUUAUUUCUUGUUUUUUAUUUAAUUUCUUGUUAAAUCGUGGAGCGAGAGGUGUCAAAUGGUGGGAAUAUUGCCCCAAAACUACAGAGACUUCGUUCCAAAUCACGACUCCAAGCCCUCUUCAACCUCUGAAGCAGGUUCUUGUUUUUGUUUUAUUUUAUUCAAUUUGCCCACUUUUUAAUUGUUUGAAUUACAAGAAAAUGUUGAAUUUGAGGUUUGGAUUCGAUUAUUACAGCUUCUUAUAGUUUUAAUUUUGUUUUCCGGCACAAGAAAAUGUAGAAUCGGGGAAUUUUCUGAUUCGAUUUCAUCCCUCUUUGUCUGCAGAGUUAAAACUGAAAACCCUAGAGCGAUUACAACAAAGUUGGAACAGUGACGUGAGCGACAAAGGUGGGUAAUUUCUGCAAUUCUUGGUUUUUUAAUCUUUAAUUUUCUAAAAGAAAUUGGGAAACUUUUCAACUAAACUGUUGCGUUGUGUAUUUCAAUUGAGUAGUUGAGUUGUAAGAAAAUGGAAAACUUUUGGGGGGUCGUUGAAGUCAUUCUCUGAUUAUAUCAUUAUUUUCAGAAUGUACUCCAGAUAUUGCUACCAAACUUGUCGAGUGAGAUUCUGAUUUGAUUGGUGAGAGUAGCACGUCGAACGGAACUCAGAAAGUGAUUGGUGAGAUUCUGAUUCUGAUUUGUUAACGUCGCUUUGAGGAAAGCUCAGAAAGUGAUUGGAAGCAUUUGUAUAUUCUUUCUGUUUUUAAUCUUUCGACAAAUUCACUAAACGUUUUUGGUUUUGUUCUCAUGCUUUAGGAUUUGAAGAGAGAGCAUACUGCCUUGUCUGAUGAAUUUCUUACCGGACCCUGCAGUUCUAAACACCAUUCAGUUGCUAAGUGAGCCUUUUGUUUUAAUCACUCACAAUUAUUUUCUAACUUCCCUUCUCUCUUUGAUUGUAAUUUGUUGUUUCUGGAUAUCCAAAUCCAUAAGCUUCAUCGGAAUUGCCCUGGUAUGCUUUCUGUAAACUCACUUUAUAACUGCUGUUUGUUGUGACUGUGCUCUGAGUGAAAUUUGGAGUUAACUGCUAGACAAACAAGAUUAAGAAUGAUUUUAGAGACCUAGCAAUUCAAUGAAAGACUAGGAACCCAUAUCUGCUUGGACUGUCCUCUGAGUGAAAUUCGAUUGCUUUGAACUGCUUAAAUUUUCUGCAAUAUGAUAGUCUUAGAACUGCUGUGGUUGAUGUCAAUGAAUGAAUCUGCUGCUGGAUGUAGGAUCCAGUUUUUUCUUUAUUUGCCUUGCACGUCUUGAUUGCAACCUGCAAAAGCCCAAAGUUUUUCAAUCAAUAAUCUGUUUUUAUCAACUCAGUUUUUCAUAAUAUAAGUUUUUUUUUUUUUUUUUUUUUUUUUUUUUUGGUAAAUUGGAAAUGCAAUAUCCGGGCAAAGAUGCCAAAAGAUUAUAAGAAUGCCUACAACGAGGCAAACAAGCACAAACACCAGCUACAGAAAUAGUAGUACAAGAAGGUAGAAAGAAAAUCAUGACGCCAAGAAAUCCCAUCUUUACACAAAACAUGAACCAAGGAAGAUGGGGUUCUAUCGACCCAGAUUAAGUCACAUGCUUCCAAACAAUGCUACGAUGCCAAGAAAUCCGCAGCCGAGUUGGCCAGUCUUAAGAUCCAAGACCAACGACAAUCUUGGAAGACCAGUCGCAAAUUGGAACACUUCCUAAGAAUGGGAAAAGCAUCCUAACUACCAUUCCUUGCCAAAUCUCUAAGGCAAGAAAUUGAUUCGAGUGAGUCCGAUUCCACAAUUAUCGAGUCCCGCCCUCUACUAGCCCCUAGCUUGCACCCAUGCAAAAUAGCUAAAGCCUUCGCCAUUGCAACACCAUUAGCCUUUAUACAAUACCUACAAGCUGCCAGGAAACGACCCUCCUCAUUCCUUGCCACCACCCCCGUGAAACCCAUCCCAUCACUUGCCACCCAACUUGCGUCAACAUUAAUCUUAAUAGCGCCCGGAGUCGGUGGGGACCAUUGGACUACAUUAUCCUCACUCUACGCCUGGUGCUGGAAUAGAUUCUUUAAAAGCCGAGACAGAGAGGGAAAUAGCAACUAAAACCCUCCUUGGGUUGAGAAUCAGAUUGUUGAACAGGAAGUCAUAUCUUGAUUUCCAAAUAUGCCAGCAAGUAAAAGCUAUGUAAGAUAAGAGCAUAAUAUGUACCUCAUUUGACCCAAUAGUCGAUUUAAACAUCUGAAGAAGCCAAUCUACCCAGUUUGAAUCCUGCAGCCGAUUCGCUCUAAUAUUCAACGUACCUCCGAACCAAACACCAUCUAUCCAAGGGCAUUUAAGAAACAUAUGUUCUAUUGACUCAUCAUGUGACUUACAAAUGGGGCACAACAGAGAAGGAGAGGAUUGGCGUUGAUAUAAGUUUGCCAUAGUAACAAUAGCCUCAUGCAUAGUUCUCCACAUGAAGUUUCUAAUUUUCAGCGGUGCCUCCAGCUUCCAAAUGAUCUUCCAUAAAGCACCGAGGCAAUUGGUCGUCAUGAUAGGUGAAGGGAUCUUUCCAGUAUUAUGAUUCAAGUUCCAAUAAUAACUAGAUUUGAUGGAAUAGGACCCCUUCUUCUUAUAGGGCCAUACCAGCCUGUCUCUAAGCGCCAGGUCACCAUUUUGUGUCCCUAAGAUAGCCUCAAAAUCCACCUUCGCCAAGAACGGCUUUAAGAAAUCAAUGUCCCAUUCCCCACUGUCCUGGCAAAUUAAGGACUUCACCAUUAGAUUUUUUGAUAUCGGCACCGUCCCCAAAGGGGCAGGUCUACCUAGGGGGAAUAGAAGGGAGCCACCUAUCCACCCAGACCCAAGUAUCAUUACCAUCCAUAAUCUGCCAGUGAGCCCCGUCGCCCAUGAUCUCCCUUCCAACAAGGAGGCUAAACCAAAUCUAAGAUGUUCUCCCACCCCGUUUAGCCUCGAGGAAAGAGGAAUUCGGAAAGUACCGGGCCUUAAGCACCAAUGCCCAUAUAGAGUUUGGCUCCACAAUCAACCUCUAACACUGCUUGGCUAAGAGGGCAUCAUUGUACAUCGAAAAGCUUCUCAAACCAAGACCUCCUUCCUCCUUUGAGCGUCCUAGUCUCGCGAGAAACCCAGUGUAUCUAGUUUUCACCCUGUUUUUGUCCCCAUUAAAACUUCAAAAUCAUGGCAUCCAUUUUGUUACAAAAAGAUGUGGGAAACUUAAACAAAGUAGACUUUUUCCAACCUUUAAGCUUUCUAGUAGCCCCCAUUUUACAUAGGCAAGAUCGACUUUCUUUGAUCGGCCCCAUAUAGCCGGAACCCUAAGGUAAAUUCUCGGAUCCCGACCUUCUCCAUACCGAGAAUGUUCCCCAGAUGUUGUGUGACCUUCACAAGCACAUUGGAGCCGAAGCAUACAUUGGAUUUCGACUUAUUGACUUGUUGUCAGAAGCCGCACAAAAGUCAUCAAUCAACUGAAUAAGGUGCCUACAAUUCAUUUCCUCCGCCUCGAGAAAGAUGAGAGUAUCAUCUGCAAAAAGAAUGUGGGAAAUAUUUGGACCCGACAGAUUCAUCUGCACCCCCCCUUAUCCUUUUUUUAUCGCAAACCUGUUGAAUGAGGAGCAAUAAGACUUCAUUGACCAAGUGGAAAAGGUAAGGGGAUAAUGGGUCACCUUGCUUAAGACCACGAGAUGGCGCGAACUUUGAACCCAGGUGACCAUUGAGCAAGAUGGCAAAGUUCACCAAAGAAAUACAGCCCAUUAUCAACUUUCUCCAACUGUUAUUGAAGCCCAAUUUCUCUGUAACUGCCAUUAAAAAAUCCCAUUCCACUCUAUCGUAGGCCUUGUGCAUAUCUAACUUGAUUCCCAACUCAAAUUUGCAUUUCGCUUUUCUCAUUUUUAGGAAGUGGAAGAGCUCAUGCGCAAUACCAAUAUUAUCUUGAAUUUGCCUACCUAUUACGAAAGCAUUUUGGGUAGGAAAGAUCAAGUCCGGCUGCUUGAGGCGGUUGGCCAACACCUUGGAAAACACCUGAUAAGAAUAAUUGCAUAAACUAAUGAGGCGAAAUUGUGACACAGACACUGGAUUUUGAACCUUUGGAAUCAACACCAAGUUAGUAGCAUUGAUGUGCUGAGGGUUUUCAGUUCUAUGCAUCAAUUCCUUAAUUAUUUCAUUCACAUCCGCUGUAAUAAUCUCCCAAUGAGCCUGGUAGAAAAUGCCAGGAAAAUUGUCAGGGCCUGGGGCCUUCAAACUCCCCAUCUGCAUAACAGCAAUUUUUUACCUCUUCACUCGAAACCAAUUUCGAAAAAGCAGCGUUCUUCUCAUCAUAAACCCUUGGGAUAACACAGUCUAAAAUCUCACCCCAUUCCCGAUGUCCCUACAAUGUGAAUAAUUCCAUGAAGUACUCAUUAAACAUGCGCCGAACCUACCUUUGGUUCUCAACCCAAUUACCACUACUAUUUUUAAGGAGACCGCCUUAUUUCUUCUUCUUUUGUGCAUAGUAGAUUGAUGAAAAAAAUUUCCUAUUAGCGUCUCUCCUUAAGCCACUGAACCCUCGAUCUCUGCUGCCAGUAGCACUCUUCCUGGCUCCAUAAAAAAUCCACUUCUUUGGAUAAAGCUUGAAUCUCCGCAGAGUUCCUACCCAAGUUUUGUUGAAGCCGACCCAAUUGACCCAUCAUAUCUUUGAUCUACCAUAUCCUUUGUUUAAAUUUAACAUUACACUCCAUUUUGAAAGGGAAUUACGGCAUUCAUGAAUUUUUUCAUUCCAUCUCUGUAAAGGAUUUCCCGCUCUGCUUAAUUCCUAUGCAUAUUUCACGAUGUCAUUACAUUCACCAUCCUUAGCCCAAAACGCCUCGAAGCGGAACAACUUCUUUGUCCUUUCAGACUUCGGCUCACUUUGCACCAAAACAGGAUAGUGAUCAGAUCCCAGAGUCGUGCCAUUUGUAACCGAUGGGUUUAGCCAUUGAGAUACCAUUAUUCAUUUACCAGACCCUUGUCUAAGCGGGCUUCCACUAAUUGCCCAUUUCGAGUUCCUCUCCAGGUAAACAUUUAGCCAGUUGUAUUGCACUUCAGCUCCCCUCAAUUUCUCAUGAUCCCACAGGAAUUCAUUGAAAUCGCCACCACAAAUCCAUAUAAUGCACUCCGGCCCAAAUUUCUGUAUCAUUCCCCUCCAGAACACCUCAUUUUCCGCCUUGUAAGACGUACCGUAAACCUAAACACCACCGCCGAGUCAAUAAGAUAGCCCCGGGCAUUAAUGAAAUGCUUAGACGAUUCAAUAACCUCCACCUGUAUUGAAUCACCCCAUCAUAAGUUGAGGCCACCUGCUCUACCAAUCGGAGCAACGUCAAAACCAUUAAAAUAACCCAUCCUUCUUCUCACCCCUGUAAUUCUAUGAUUUUUCAUUUUUGUUUCCGAAAGAAAAAUCAUGAGGGUCUGUGUUCUUUAAUUUGCCCAUGUAGGGCUCGAACUACCGUGUCAGACCCUAGACCACGGUAGUUCCAGAACAGGUGUAUCAUGGCGCUCCUGCGGCUGUUGAAGGCCAGCCACCACCACCUUGGGAAGAAGAUCCCACUAUCUUGGCCCUCAAGGCAUUUCUCCCAUCCUCAGAGGUCUCAUCCGUGUAAUCUUUUUUGGUUAUUCCCCUAAGCCAUUCUGCUGCCCUAUCUUUUUUUUCCUUUACCCUUCUCUUCUCCUCAAUAGUUUUUUAUUUUUUCAGAGAUAAGUGGCCCACCUCCUUGGUCGAUGCUUCCAACACCCUCUUGUUUGUACUUUUAGAUCCUUCAGCACACGAUUCUGUGUAGCCUAUUUCUUCUAAAUUUUCCAUGCUUGAAGGUUGUACCUGGGUUGGCUGGUCGAUUUAGAAGUGGAUCCGUUCCUGGAUCUCUUCAAUCAGGACUGAUUGGAUUCUUCCAUGCUCAGUUUGACUCUCUAAGGGCUUGAAACUUAUGACCAGACGAUGGAGAGCCAUCAGCCCAUUUCCUUCCAUGAUCCAUUGGGCAUGGUUGAAAGUCAGUCCAUCCCUAGUUCUUGACAUUCUACUCCACGUUUUCAAGUUUUUCCCUUUCUUUUGUUGCUACAUAGUAUGCAUAUGGUCAUCCCCAACAGUUACUUCUACCUCACUCAGGUCCCCUAAGCCUUGUUUCUCUCACUGUUAUUUUGAGAUCCUUGUUCCCACUCGAGUUGCUCCAGCAUGUCUACGUUCCGCCAUGGUAAUAGCCAGAGGUUUUGGAGGUUCAACGAAGUCUUUCACAGGUGCCGUUUUGGUCCACUCUCCAUAUCCUGCCAUACCACCUUUCACUGACUCAAACGUACACUCGAUGUUUGAAUGUCUGAUUCUCCCACAUCAAUAACAAAAGUCCUGUAGCCUUUCGUACCUGAACAUAAUCCAUGAUUCAUUAUUGUUGACUCUCGGGAGCCAACACCAUAUGCUUAAAGGUGUCAAAAUAUCCACAUCUACUUUGACUUUCAAAAGGCCCCUUGCCUUCGAUGGGUCUUCUACAGUUUCAACUUUCCCAAUUUUUGACGCCAAACACCUAAGAUUCUUUUCUGAGCUUAGAUAAGGCGGGACACCCCUAAUUUGCACCCAGAAUGAGAUUACAUUCAUAUUAAUUUCCUCCAAGGCUAACUUAUGUGGCCAUAUUUUAACAGAGAAAAUUUUCUUCAUAACUGCCCAUGGGACCUGGUCAGUGAUCAUGGUAGCUGUACUUUCAUCAUUUACAGUGAUAAUGAAAGUAUUAUCUUUGACCCACUAGAUGUCAACCUCACCCAUCUUUUUCGAGGAAGCUGUAAGGAUGUUGCAAGUGCCCCAUUUGUUAAGGAUUUUCUUGGCCAGAAUAGUGCCCACGAGCUUGAUUCCUUGUUCCAUGUUAGAUAAGUCCAUACUUUUCUCCAAAUGGACCACUAAUUCCUCCACCUCCGCUCCAGCCAUUUGACGCGACGAUUAAGAAGCUUUACAGACUAUCAGAAUCAUAGAAAGCCACAAGUAUACUUUUGAUUUUUUACCUAGAUUAGUCCUUUGUUUUAUUGUAUCUCCCUCUUUGCCUUUCGAAUUUGUUGAAGAUAAAUGGAGGCACAACAGACCCACAAGCACACUACCCGAUUUAUUAAGACUGACCUCUUCAUAAAUACCCUCAUUAUAACUUUUUAGGUGGUUGGCUUUGAUUGUUUGUGUAGAUCAUUGUCGCGGAUACCGAGACUUUACUCUCUUGCUUGGAUAUGGUGGGUUGUACUUAUUGAUGUACCCACAAUGCCCCGGGAUUGUUCUGUUAUCAUUCUAAAAAAUAUUUAUCCCUUUAUGUCUGGUGGGUGGAGAUCUGAUUUCUCACCGUCCUGUCAUCCCUGCAAAACAGACCCGCAGCUCUAUAUCUGACCCAAUAAGGAAGGAAUAAGGAAGGAAGAAGUAAAGACAGAUUAAAAGGAAGUACAGAGUUGGAGGUUGGGGUUGAGCAGAAAGAUCUGAAGUUAAUUUCAAAGGUGUGGGUUUAAAUACGGAGAGAGAAAGCCAAAAUAAAGGGUAGGUUUAUGUAUUAAUGAGACAGAGAAAGAUAUGGAUUUGGUGGGUAGGUUGAUUAAGAGAAGAUCUGGGUUUUGGGUUCAUGAAUCUUGUGUAUUAAUGAGAUUGAGAAAAGUAUAAACCUGGUGGAUAAGCUGAUUAAGAAGAGAUUAGGGCUCAGUAACCUCAUGAUCGCAGAUGAAACCCACACAAAUGAAGGACUCUCACGGAGGAGAGAAUUUUUUUUUUCAAAUGCGUGUUUUCAUAAUAUAAGUUUCUCCAAGCAAAAAUUUACUUUGAAAAGAUAAGAAUUUUAUCUAACAAAACAAAUGCUUCUUCAAAUUAAAAACACUCAGGCCAACAACAAUUUUAUUAAAACAAGGAUUUUCACAGCUAACAAUUUGUACACACGAAAAAAAUACUUUAAAAUACAAAAUUUUAAUCUAGUAUUACUGAAAGAAAACAAAACUAAAAGCAAAAAGUAUUUUUUUGAUUGUUUUUCAAGUUAGUGUUAGAAAAUUAGGAUGCCUCUAAAAAAAUGCUGUAGUUAGUUAGUCUACAGCUAGACGUACCAGAAGUCCGAUGGUCAAAUCACUGGUUUCUUCUCGCAUAUGGCAUCGUAGGGUGACUCCAUGUAUAGUUUCAGCUUGUGGACACCUUGAAUAUGUUACCACUUUACUCAUUAAUAAUGUUGGCAAGCCUAUGAGGAUAAACCUUAGUAACCUAGUGUUGUCUGUCCCAGUGGCUCUUCAACUUCCCUGGAAACAACUUCAACCUUGAAUUAAACAACAACACUUUCUGCCUUAGUUGAAACUCUUUUCUAAAUUUGAUUGUCAUGAAACCCCUUAGUUUUCUCCUUGUAGAUCUUCGUAGUUUCAUAUGCCUCAUUACGAAUUUCAUCUAACUUGUUGAGUUGCAAUUUACGCUUAUCAUCAGCAAAAUCAAAGGCAAAAUUUAGAUGUUUGAUAACCAAUACACCUUAUGCUCUAGCUCCAUAGGUAGAUGACAUGCUUUCCCAUAAACGAGCUGAAAGGGGGACAUUCCAAUUAGAGUUUUAUACAUUGUUCUAUACGCCGAGAGAGCAUUGUUUAAUUUCAAACUCCAGUCCUUGCGAGUAGAGCUGAUUGCUUUCUCUAGGAUACGCUUUAUCUCUGUUGGAGUUUUCAACCUAGCCUGAUGUUUGAGGAUGAUACGCAUUGGCUACACAAUGGGUGAUCCCAUAUUUCGUAAAUAGUGCAGCAAAAGGCUUAUUCAAGAAGUGCUUACCUUCAUCGCUAAUAGUAGCUCUCGGAAUAGAAAAAAUCGGAUAAAUCAUACCUUGGAGGAAAUUUAGGACCACUGACCCUUUGUUAUUAGGUGCUGUAAUUGUCUCAACCCACUUAGAAACAUAUUCUAUAACCACAAGAAUGUGUUGGUUCUCAUGGGAUGAUGGGAAUGUUCUCAUGAAAUCAAUGCCUCAAACAUCAAAUAAUUCAACAACUAGAAUACUCUACUGCGACAUCUUAUUCUGCAUAGACUGAUUGGCCACUCGUGGACAACGAUCACAAACUUGACACCAAUUAUUUGCAUCCUUGAAAAAUGAAAGCCAAAACAACCAAUUUUGCAAAUUCUUAGUUGUUGUCCUCUUUGGCCCCAAAGUGUCCUCCAAACACAUAAUGAUGGGCAAAUAUGAAAAUAUUUUCCUGCUCCUUUUCUGGAAGACUGGAAUACAUUGUCGAAUGAUCUGAUAUGGGCAAUACUUGUACAAGUAUAGUGUUAACGUUGUGCAUUUUUAGGCCCACACAAUGGCACAUGCCCAAGGAAAGACCUAAGAGCCGACUCAAGGGGUUCAUAGAAGGUCACCCCGAGCACUUGAGCCAACUGAGAUAAAAAAGGUGUUGCCCCUGAUCGCAUGGAAUACGGAAGCAAACUGAUAGCUUUAUAGCAAAAGUCUCCAAGGGCAAAACUACUCAAGUGCCAUUUAGAUUAUGUGGCAGCUCGUAGUUAGUAACAAAGACCUAAUAUGAAACGUAAAGGUAGUUGGGACAAUGCUCGACGAGACGAGGUAGAGUAACCAAGGUUCGAGUGGGACACUCGGCUCCUUUAGACCUAAAAAGGCGUGCCACCUUGACUGUAAAAAUGUCAUUUCACUUACGAGAGCUUGGCCGAAUAGGUGGAAAGGUGUUAGUAAGUUAGUACAAGUUGUUGGCAUACAAGACAACGAGCAAGCAUAAGCUUUGGCACCAUCUAUUGGGAACACAUACGAUUUGGUUGCAUUUUCUGCCCUGUUAUUUUUGCUCCAUAGUUUGUAGUCCACUAAGUAAGAUGACCAGCAAACCUUAGCCAACACUUCGAAGAAGACGACGAGAAGAGAGUACUAGGCUUGCCAUCUAUAAGGAGAAGAUGAAUGCAUACUUGUUGGUUUUUGAUAGAUGGUACAUAACCUUUUCCACACCCAAGACACCCUACUCCAGAAGAAACAUGAUGACCUCCUAGAACAAAUCAACCAAACGAACGAGAAGAUUGAUAGCAUAUCCAAGGAAGGGGCGUGUGGCUCCACAAGCCCCCUUAGGGAUGUCAACAACGGGGGAAAAGAUGCCCAUGAAGUCAUUAGCAAGAAUCUCAAAGCAGAGGAGGACAUUGGACGUUCGGGACAAAUGGGCGAGAGCCGUCGAGCAAGCGUUGGAAGGCUGGAUGGGAACCCUAGUUGGCACCCCAACAUGAGAAGCACCUUGAAAGAAGUAAUGGGUAAUAGAAUAAUAAGCGUGUUGGAUUGACUUAGAGACAUUGAGUGAUCGCCUAAACUAAAGAACCCUAAUUAUUAUGAGGAUGAGGUGUCACUACACUCGAGUGUUCAAGAUGCAAAGCUACAAAUGGCUUACUGAUCUGUAUGACUAUCUCGAUGGGUUCAUAUACGUCAUCGAGGGUGUAGGCUAUUUUUGACUAUCCUUAAGAUAACUACUCGGGAUUGGUUUAAGAAAAUAGUCUCAAGGUCCAUAUGCCUUUCUUGAACUGAGGCAUGUUUUCCUUGAAACUUGUACAAUCAUCUUUAAAAGCCAGUACACACCGAACGGCUUUGCCUCUGUGAAAUAGAAUCUGAACGAAUCCUUAAGCUAUUAUAUAUCUAGAUUCAACAAUAAGUACACUAAAUGCAUAGGAUGUGAUGAGGUGACGACACAUAAUGCCUUCAUGGAGGGAUUUGCUGGUGGCAAUUUAUACUUUUAUCUUACUCGAAAUCCUCUUAAUGCCUUCAAAGAUUUGUUGUGUGAGGCAACGAGUUAUUGCUAAGCCAAACAACUAAACAAGACGAGGUUACAAAUGUAGGAAAGAUUGAUUGGUCGAACACGUCGGCUAAAGCCAAGUAGGAAGUUGUGUAUCGCCUGCCUAGAAAAAGGUAUGAAAAUUACUAGACCAACACCGAAAGUCACCCCGAGUGAUAUGACAGGUACGAAUCUUAUGCCCCUAUGAAUAUGUCUCAGAUCAAGAUGUUCCUUCUUGUGGAGCAUUAACUGCCUACCACUCAAAUGGUGCAACCCGAUUUUUACGAACGGAGAGAUGAUACCAGAUAUCUCCUGUAUCAUAGAAACCAUAACCACCUUACAAACGACCACAUGGAUCUCAAGGACGACAUAGAAGCGCUCGUUCAGUGAGGACAACUCGCGAAAUACCUACCCGUUAGACCGUUGGCCCAACUGAGCUUCAUUGACGUCGAGUGCCACUGCAAAUUGUGAUCAAGUAGGAAUGAGGUGAUCUACGUAUUAUCUUAAGGCUUAUAUGCCCGAGCGUCAUGACAGGCAGUUUCGCAUACCUAUUGGGUCGGAGAGGAUGCUAGUGAUGAUGAUCCCGACCCUUGCGAGGUAGGAAUGGUUAGAGAUGAUCAGAUGUUGGCAAAAGUGUGUUAUGCAUCAGAAGUAAAAGUACAAAUGCUCGGAGGGUCGCCCACACCAGAUCCUAAUACUUGUUAAACGGCCCGACCGCUCGUUCAAGAAAAAAUGUAACAUGUUAAGUAAAUUCAACAAGUUAAUGAAGAUAAGGACCAAUGUUCUAAAAAACACUAGGCGCUAGUUGGACGGCGGGCUGGGGUAUAGUUAAAACUUAUAUUUAUAUUGAGAAUUUGAGAAAGUUAAAAGUUAAAACUUAGGUCUUCAUGACAUUGCCAUCAUCACAAACUAAUACUAUAAAAAUAAGAAAAAUGGAAAACGGAAAUCCAAAAUUAAAAAUUCUCUUUUUAGUAGGUUAGAAACCAUUUAAGUUUAUUAAAAAAUAAUUAAAAACAAUAGAACCGCCUAGACACGGCCUAGCCCGCCUAACUUGCCUAGGCUGCCUUCUAGCUCCUACUUGAUUUUUCUUUCUAUGUUGGUCUAAAUUGUAUCGGUCCUCCACCGCUUAGCACAGCCAGGACCAAUUUUUAAAGCAGUGAUGAACACCCAAUUUGAACUCUGAGCAACAGGUAACACUAUAAGCAAGACUUGAGUAAGAAGAAUAAAUCUUCGAAGGAUAUAGUAAAAGGAAAAGUUUUGCAAUGUGGGGCCAAACACUCAAAGCUAAAGCAGGCAUGCUAGGAAAACGAAGAAAAAGAUGAUAGAAUACCAGAACAACAAACGGUACAACACUUAACCCAGAACCAGUCAUCAAGGCCACUCAAAGGAAUGUUAGCAGGAGAUUUUUUUUGGAAGAACUCGCUUUGAAAGAAAUUGGAAUUUCGGAUCAGAAGCUAGCUAAAUGGUCUAGAGGCAUCAUGUUGGCUGAGUCAUAUCAAAGUGGUAGGAACAUCGAGACCACUAAAUAGAGUCAUUCCUUGAUCCCCUAAGGAUGGUGUUAAGGGUAUCACAUGGAGAUUUUUUUUUUCUAGUUAGUAUAAAAGAGAAAGGAGUUUGUUGAAAAACAACUUUCCAAAUUAGUCCCCCUUACACUAAAAAGUUUAAACCAAUCAUCAAUGUUAAGAAUAAUCCAAAAUCAAUCGCCCAAACCACAUUAAAGGAUAAAGAAAAAGAUGCUUCAUAAAAUUAUUUAAAAUGACCCCUAAAAGACCUUGUCAAAUAAAAAGAAAAAAUUAUUGUAAAAAUUAUGUUGAGGAGGCUGGUCUGGUCUUGUUUGCUGGGUCGGUAACCAAAGAGUCUACGGCUGGUCCAGUUUAGUCGAUGGGGGUUUCUCUGACUCCAUCUUCCUUAUCCCCGCCCUUCUCAACACUGUCUUUAUCAUCCCUGACAUCUAGAUCAUAGUCAGGAUGAGUUAUCUUCACCUUCUUGUAAAACUUCACAUAGCACUGGAAAUAAAGUUUUUUGGUAAGCUUUUGGCUUGCUGACGAUUGGAGGUCUAUAUCAUUACUGCAGAUUUGAAAGGAUUCAUCCAAGGCCCUCUUCUGCUGCUUGUUCUCCUCCCUCAAGGCCCAAGCAACAUCUUUAGCCUCGCCCCUAGCUCUAGAAGCUUGAAGUUUCUUUGUACUUGCCUCCCCAAAUGCUUGUUCAUUUGCUUUAGCUGAGCACUCUUUUUUUACCAUCUCAACGAUCCUCAUUGCGGCGCCAAGCUCCGUCUCUUUAACUAUCAAGGCAUCUUGAAGCCUCUUAGAUCUCGGUCGAGUUGAACACUGUGCUUAUUUUUAGAUGACAUAACCUUUGGCAUUAAGCUAAGAGACACGAAAAAAAGACUAUGGAAACUUUGGUAUUUUGCAUUUGAUCUGCAGGCUAGAGUAAGUUCUUUUUCCUAUUUCACUUCCUUAUGCUUACAAAACAUCUUUUCCUUGGCUAAAUUUCACAAUCUUUUUCCUAUGCAGGCUCUCUUUGCUCAGUAUCAUGGGCUUUAACCCUUUUCUCUGAAAAGAAGCACAUGUUUAACUCGAUCGAGACCUAAAAGUCUUUAGGAUGGCUUGGCAGCUAAAGAGACGGAGGUUGGGGUCACCAGGAGGACCGUCGAGAUAGUAAAAAAAGAGCUCAACUAGAGCAAAGGAACGAGCGCCUGUGUAGACAAGUGAGCGAAGCUACCACAAAGAAACUUUAGGCCACUUUGGAACUGAUGGUGAGGCUAAAGAUAUUGCUUGAGCUUUAAGGGAUAAGAACGAGCAACAGAAGAGGACCUUGGAUAACUUCUUUCAGAUAUGCAGUCGAAAUAUAAACAGCUUACCAACAAACUACGCAUUUAAGGUAAGUGGAGGAAAAAAAUAAAGCUAGAGAAACCUUCAUUGAGUUUACCUUUCUCAAAACCUUGGUACAUGUCAUCGAGUAAGUAGCUGAGCCCUUUAGUCCUCUUCCUACCGAGUGAACUCUUGUGCUUUUGUCUAACUCGUUGGGUGUUCCUGCCAAUUAAGCAACCUAACAGCUCUACACUUAGCAUCCGCAGACUCCAUAGCCACCGACUAUGCAGCAACAAUCGCCCAGACCAAACUAGCCACCCUUUAACAUUAUUAUUGUGCUUUUAAUUUUAAGUUUUUUUGUAACAAAACGAACAACUUUAAGUUUGUGAUAUUUUUUUUUUGUUGAAUAAGGCCUAUUAGGGGUCAUUUUAAAUAUUUGUAUAAAGUGUGUUUUCCUUUAUCCUUUAAAGUGGUUUGGGCGUUUGAUAGGACGUGGAUUAUUCUUAGUCACGAUAGUGAUGAUUGGUUUAAAUUUUUGAGUAAUUAGUGGUCGGGCAGAUGUGUGUGUGCAAGUUUUUUAGUGUAAAGGGGACCAAUAUGGAAAGUUUGUUUUUCAAUUUAUACUAAGUAGAAACAAACUCUCUAUCCGGGUAAAGUCCUAUACUGUUUUUCGUUAUGGUAUUUUAUCAUAUUAUCUCUUUUUUUUUGGCCUACCUACCUCUAGCUCCCAGCGCUUGACCCUACGUUGUGGUCGUUGCGAAACUCUUCCUUCUAUUGUAUCAAUCGAAGACGUAUUCUUCAUGCUCAGGUGUUAUCUUCCAUAGGUAGGCUAAAAGAGUCUUGCUUAUAAAGUGUUAUCUGUUGCUCGGAAUAAAUGCCUCAGACUGGGUCUUCCUUAACCUGCUAUUAUGUCCUUAUCUUCUUGAACUUGUAGAAUUUCAUUAACGUGUUACCUUUAUGCUCAAACGAGUGGUCGGGCCAUUUAACAAGUAUUGUGAUCUGGUGCAGGCAACCUUCAGAUCAUUCGUACAAACUGCUUUAUUGCCACCUUGGUCUUCACUUUUGCUGCUGCCGUGUAUCAUACUUUUGCCAACGCAUGAUCGUAUCUGACCAUUCCUACCUCCGCAGAGGUCGGGAACUUCAUUGUUAGCAUCUUUUACAACUGAGUAGACACACGAAACUGGCUGUCAUGAUGCCCAAGCAUAAGCCUUCCUAAAUUGGUUAGAAUUCCUCGAUAGUAAAAAUCUUCUAGACAAAGUGUAAAUCACCUUGCUUUCAACCGAACCACAAUUUGCAGGGGAACCCGACAUCUAGGGAGCUCGGUUGGGUCAACGAUCCAUCAGCUAUGUAUUUCACAAGUUGCACUCGCAGAAUAAGUGGUUAUAUGUCGACCUUAAGAUCCAUGCAGUCGGCGGUAAGGUGGUUGUGGUCUCUGUGAUACUGACAAUACCCUAAUCUCUCCACCCGUGAAAAUCGGGUUGCACAUUUCGUUCGAGUGGUGAGAAGUUAACUCUACACAAAAGGGAACAUCUCCCCCCGAGGCAUAUUCAUUGGGGCCAUAAGAUUUGUACCUGACAUAUUGUUCAAGGUGACUCUGCAUUGGGCUAGUAAUUCUUCUACCUUUUAUUUUUAGGCGAGCGGUCGCACAUAACUUCUUGCUUGGCUUUAGUUGACGUGCUCGGCUGACUAAUCCUUGUUGCCUCUAUAUCCUUAUCUUGUUCAGUGGUUCAUGGAGCAAAUCCUUAAAGGUCUCGGGGGAUUCUAAGUCAAAUAAAAGUGAAAUCGUUUCCAACAAAUCGUUCCAUGAGGGCAUUAUGUGUCGUCGUUUCAUUACAUCAUAUGCAUUUGGCGUACUCGUUGAAUCUGGAUAUAUAAUCACUCAGGGAUUCAUUUGAACCCUAUUUCAUGAAGGUAAAGUCGGUCAGUAGCAUAUAUGAACCCAUCGAGAUGGUCAUACAGAUUAGUAAGCCCCUCAUAACUUUGCAUAUUGAAUGCUCGAGUGUCCCGCUCUUAGGCUCAUCGAGUAGCUUAUUAGAGAAUGGCAGUGACACCUCAUCCCCAAAAUAAUCACGGUUUUUUGGUUUGGACGAUCGGUCAAUGUCUCCAAGCUGAGGUCGAGGGGGUUUCGUAGAGUUCCCAUCAAGCAACCUAGCUUAUGCUCGACGAUUCUCGCCCCUUCGUCCCAAACGUCAUCCUCUUCUUUGAGCUUCUUGUUUAUGACUUUACAUGCAUCUUCGCCCCCGCUUCUGAACUCUUCCCUUGGAUAUGCUGGCGAUUUUCUUGUUCAUUUUGUUAAUUUAUUCUAGGAGGUUGUCAUGCUUUUCCUAGAGUAGGGUGUUUUUGGCGUGGAGGAGGUUCCCUACCUCAUUUAUCUCUCUGACACCAGCAGGUUUGUCAUUAAUCUUUUUCUCAUAGGUGGCGAGUUUGGACCUCUUUUCUCAUCUUCUUCCUCAAGAGUGUCGGCUCGAAACUGCUCGUCAUCUUGCUUGGUGAACUUCAAACUAUUGAGCAAAGAUAACUGGGCAAAAAACGCAACCAAAUCGCAUGUGUUUCCCAUAGAUGUAUAAAACUUUUAUUGGGAUGUCCUCAUUUCAGCUCAUCUAUAGGAAAAUGUGUCAUCUACCUAUGGAGCUAGAGCAUAAGGCGUACCAGGCUAUCAAACAUCUAAAUUUUGCCUAUGAUUUUGUUGGUGAUAAGAGUAAAUUGCAACCCAACAAGCUAGAUGAAAUUCGUAAUGAGGCAUAUGAAACUGCGAAGAUCUACAAGGAGAAAACCAAGGGGUUUCAUGACAAUCAAAUUUAGAAAAGAGUUUCAACUAGGGCAGAAAGUGUUGUUGUUUCCAGGUUGAAGUUGAAGUCUCGCUGGACCAGACAACAUUGGGUUACUAAGGUUUAUCCUCAUGGGGUUGUUAACAUUAAUAAUGAGUAAAGUGGUCACAUAUUCAAUGUAUCCACAAGCUGAAACCAUACAUUGAGUCACCCUACGAUGUCACAUGUGAGUCAAUGACUCUGAAGAAACCAGUGGUUUGAACAUCGAACUUCUGCUACGUCUGGUUGUAGACUAACUAAAUCGUUUAUUCUUGGCAGCCUAAUUUUCUAACAUUAUGUAUUUGUUUCUACCCAAAAUAUUGUUUGGGAGUUAAGUGUUGGAUAUGCCGGGUUCAAAUCCUCUAUCGGCCCAGAAGUCGUGUACAGGUGUCAAUAAGAGAUAUUUAGCCCAUGGACCGUACGACCGAAAUUGGCCAUAUCCUAUCGGAAAGUGGAAUGUGGACGAAUCCUAUUGUGAGAGGGAGUCUCAACGUGAUCAGGAUGCUAAGAUUGAAUACGGUCUGAUAAUGAGUUAUGUUCGGAGUCCUCGUAGGAAUAGGAUUGGCCGAAAUGAAAUUGGAUAAUGAGAAGGAGUUUUAAUCCGAUAGUGAUUAGGAUUCAAUACAAGCUGGCUGCUAUAAAUAGGGAGGGAAGACGUCGAAACAAGUCCCAUUCAAUUCAACACACAAUUGCCCUACGCAAAUUCUCUCAACAACCUCGAGAUUUUUUCCUUUUCUCUUUUCGCCGACACACCUUCAAUUUGAAUAAACAGCACUGCGAAGGCAACCGGUGAUAUCUUCAGUCGGCAUAGAUAACAUUGUCGUCGUAGAAUCAGCCGACCUCGCAGCAUCUUCAGUUGGCAUAAACAACACUGCAUCAAGGGCGACUGGUUAUCUAACCAAGUCUUGAUCAAGAAGGAUUUCCAAGUCCUUGUUGGUCGAGGUCAUCUCAUCAGCCUUCUCGGCGAAGUGAGGUGUCACAGUUUAUUAGGCUCGACACAUUGCACGCUGAGUUAUUUUAUGAUUGGAUACUCACAGGUGAGAUUUUGAGUUCGGCAUUCCAACGGCCGAACCAUGUUUAUUGUCAAGACUUAUAUUCGCUUUGAGUAUUUGUGCCCUUACACUUUGGUGUCGAUUCGACGUGAGUUUACUCUGAUGAUUACUAUCACUGUGAUCGAACUCGACGACGACGAUUUGUGAACUUCGUAAGAAUAGUAGCCUUGUCUUCAGGUUCGAGAACCUAAGAGGCCGAGACAUGUUCCUUCCUCGGUCGUAAUCGCAAGACGCAAAAGUCGGCCGUGCACUUAACACAACAUCAGCAUAUUUUACUCCUCAACCGAGCUCGGCCGACGAGUUGGCACGCCCCGCAUUUAAUCGAAUGACGUAGUUAGCUUAUAGAUUACUCGGCAUGCGCACCACGUAGGCUUGGUAGUUUUUGGGAUCAAUAUUUUGGCACGCCCGAUGGGACCAGUGCUAAAAUUACGAAGUUCAUGCCAAUUAAGACACGAUCGAUUAAAAAGAAAACAGCUAUGGGAAAAUCAACAAUCGAUUUGCCAAUUCAGAACAUAGGACAAAGUGUAUCACAGGCACAGAAUCCUCUUAGUGCUGUGACACCUGAGUCCACAAGCGCGACUCGCCGAGAAAAGAAAGUUAGUUUCGGCAGUCAGCUUCGCAGUAAAUAAAUCUAUAACAAAAACACCUGCGUUCUCAAUGAAUGGAUAGUGGAGGACUGUGAUGAGGACGGUGGUGAAGGCUCUGAUCCACCAACAAGAUCGUUUCUUCGAAGACGACUUGAUGAACAGUCCCAGAUGGUUAAACAGACAUUUAGUCGAGGAAUCGAUAAACUGCACGACGUAAUACGCAAUACUAGUGAGACACAAACCAGAUUACUUGAAGUGCUGGUUAGUAAGGUCGGCGACGACAUGUCCUUCGAUUUUUCCUAGCAAUUACUGUCAAGAAAUAAUCUAUUCCUAAUAGUACAGGUCGAGCCAAUCCCUGCUCGGCUCAAACCAAUUAACUUAGAAACAAGAGGAGGAUCAAAUAGUAGGUCAGAUGGAUCCGACCAGAGAGUGGAAACAAUACCCGUUGAUAUGACCGAGGUCCAGCGGAUGAUCGAUUCGGCCAUGAAAAAGGGGUCGAAGUUCCCUAAAUUUAUCCAUCCGUAUCCAUCUUAGGUAGAAACAUUCGAAUACCCUAAAGGUUUAAAAAUUCCAGAUUUUAGCCUUUUCGCUAGGGAAUCGUCCUUAUCUUCGUUAACAUGUGGCUCGUUUCACCGCGCAAUGUGGAGAUGUUAAUGGUGACUUUCAUAAGCUACGACUGUUCAACUUUUCGUUGACCGGCUCAGCAUUUUCCUGGUAUAUCAACCUCCCACUUAAUUCUAUCCAAAGUUGGGAGGAGUUGGUCGAGAAAUUUCACGAGCAGUUUUAUUGGCCAGGAAUGGAAAUGUCAGUUUCUCCAUUAGUGAGGAUGACUCAAGCAUCUGAUGAGUCACCAAUGGAUUAUCUUACCAGAUUCAAAUCGGUCAGGAAUUGGUGCCGAAUGCCUCUACCCGAAGUCGAAUUUGUUAGACUUGCUCUGAACGACCUCGACGUGGAAUACAAAAAGAAAUUCUUGGGGGCAAACUUUCGAGAUAUGUAUGAACUAGCCCAACAUGUCGAGCAAUAUGAUCAUUUGCUCCGAGACGAGAAGAUCUCGAAACCCCCAUCCCGAUGGACGAUUUACAAAAACCCCACGGUCAGUUAUGCAUCGAUCGAAUGUGAUGAGUCUCAAUACGUCAGCGUGGACGCAGCUGAGAUAAUAAUAGAUAAACCAUAUAUUUGCAAGGCAUUGACUCAGAUUAAUUCUAAGGAAGCUAAACUCGCUUGGCCAUGGAAGAAACAGCGAAGACAUCGAAAGUCUACACUUUUGAUAUUACAAAGGUCGAAGCAAUUUUCGAUCAAUUGCUAUCAGCAAAGAUCAUCAGACUUCGGCCAGGGCAUAAUAUUCCCAAGGCUGAAGAGCUUAAAGGGAAGACAUAUUGCAAAUACCAUAACUCGACAAAACAUGCAAUAAACAAUUGUGUCAUAUUUCGUGAUGAUAUCCAGAGCUAGAUUGACAAAGGCAAGUUAAAAUUUCCUGAAAAACGCAUGACGGUUGAUACAGAUCCAUUCCAUUCGGUGACAGUUGGCUUGGUAGACGCCCGUUUGCCCAAGAGCAAAGGAAAAGAAAACGUUGAAUUUGCCCCAGUACAACACAUCCUAAAGCAAAGCUCCCAGCCUCGACUCAAGAUCGACCUAUUUUCCAAUGCGCCACCCACCGAGCUAUCAGGACUAGCCAUAGUUGAACCCAUGUCAAACUACAACGACGAAGAAAAUGGCGGGCCAAUAGUAUCACAUAUCCUAAAGAAAGGUUCCCAACCUCGACUCAAGAUCGACCUGUUUUCCAAUGCACCACCCACUAAACUCUCAGGACUGGCCAUAGUCGUGUUCAUGUCAGACUCCAGUGACGAUGAAAAUGGUGGACCACUAGUUCUGUGUAGAAAUUGUAAGGCAUGCGUCGUAUUAACCGAGCCCAAGAGGCAACUGCCUCCGAUGCAGAUGCCAACACCGCAACACCAAUCGGCGAUUACGGUGAAACUUUCAAAUGAACCUAGUAAAGGCCAGCGCCAGAAAGUAUUCGACAUGCUCGACCCAAGGAAACAAACAGAUGGUCCUACAUUGGUUAGACCGUGCUUUGAUUUUGACGCACCAUUUUAUGAGGAUGAUUAUUCACGCAAUUCCAGUAGCUUAAGCUUAUCAGCAAAUCCAAAAACCUUCGGGCUACCUAAACCACGUGACCAACGUUGGUAUAGCUACAAUUCUCCCACUGGCAUGUAUACCGCGCUUUCCAAAUCUCAUAAACGUCGAUGUCAGCGUAUAGAUUGUUUGGCUCGACGGCAAGCAGCCCAGCCUGUUUCGGCCACUAAAUGGCAGCUGAAAGAGACGACAAGAAGCUAAGAUGAUUGGCCAACCCCAACAAUCAUGGUUGAAUUACAAUGGCAGAAGGAAACCAAUCGUGACUUUGAAACUACCAUUGAAGCAUAUGAGAAACACAUCAAACUUCUUCUUCGGCCUGGGGGAAUGAAAGCUCAUUUCAAGCAAUUUAAGAAAGAAGCCGAAAGCCAAUUGCCCCCGUUACCUUUAAAAGAACCACUAAUCAGAGUUCGGCGGAAUCUGCACCCCCCAUUCCUUGGUGAAUCAUUAGAAUAUAUGAAAGAAUUUCACAAGAAAUAUUUCGCCAACGACUUGUAUGGGUUGCCCAAUGCUUACCAAGAAACUCUUGACCUGGCAUUAACUUGCCCCAAUGUUGAGCAAAUCAUCCAAAAAACCACUGAUCCAGCAAUGAAAGCCAGAUUCCAGCACAUUCGAGAGGCUAGGGUUCUCGACUUCGAGGUCGAACCAUAUACAGACAUUGACAUAGCCGAACUCCCCUUUUCUCUUGAAGACCUUCAACACCUUCGAUAUCACUUCGAAGUUUUUUCGACCGUAUCCUUAUUCGGUUUAACAGCCAAUGAGAAAGAGUGGGUGGCACGUCUGGACGCUUACCUGGACACAAGGAAUGCCCGGAUCGCCUAUGAGGAACGAGCUCGAAAAAUAUGGUAGGAGCAGAGUCCGACACCAAAUGCUUACAAGCCCGAAGAUGACAGUCAAAAGGACACAGAGUCGGAUUGUGUGGCAUAAGCACACGAAUAUGUUGAGACACACAGUGAUCCGACCGUGAAUGCUCUAAUACAUGAUGCUAUAGUCCUCACCACCCCGAAAGAUGAUGACCAGGAUCCAAUAGGCCCUUCAGUCCUUGAAAAUAUGGAAAUCAACAUGGUCCAUGUUCUACCUGUCGAAUUUCAGCUGACUGCACACCAACCAAGUUCCUUGGACGGUGACGUGGUCACCGAGGAAGCAACACAAGUUGAUUUCGUCACUACUACUGAAGACAAGUCACCAAACGACGACAAUAAACUUAAAACAGCCUUGGACAUCUUGUUUCCCUAUUCUUCCUCAACUGAUCUUCAGCAUUUAAAAUCGUUGUACGUCACGGCCCAUAUUAAAGGCUACCCAAUCUUUAAGGUUUUCGUCGAUUACGGAACAACAAUCAAUAUCAUGCCUAUAUUUGUCAUGAAAGCAUUACGAUAAUCCAACGACGAACUCAUUCCUUCAAGAAUAAACAUGAGUAGCUUUGUCGGUGACAAGUCUCAGACCAAAGAAGUACUCCCUCUAGAGGUCCACAUUGCAGGUCGCAAUCACAUGACCGCAUUUUUUAUCGUUGACUCCAAGACCGAAUAUAAUGCUCUGCUUGGUAGGGAUUGAAUUCAUCAAACGAAUUGCAUUCCUUCUUCUUUAGAUCAAGUUCUUAUUUUUUUGGGAUGGUAAAUCAGUUGUGGUCCACCCGGUCGAUACUCAACCGUUUGGAACCAACAUGAUUCAGACCCGCUAUUAUAAUGAUCACGUCGGCUAUAUUACCCUACAGGGUUUUAUUGAAGAUGGACGGCCGACUCGGAUCUCAGUCCAGAAGGCCAUCGAGGUAGGCACCAAGAUUGUCCACCAGGAUUCGACAAGACUUGGUUUGGCCAAUUUACUCCCCACCACUGAUGAUUGUCAUCAAAAGCGAGAAGCGUCCAGCCGUGGUUUCAUCCAUGAUGGAACGUCUGUUGGCCCAUUGGUAUGCUAUUUCCAAGCACCCACAUUCGGGCAUCCACUUAAUUGAAUUUUUGGCCGAAGAGGAUAACGACCCGGUACUAUCGUUGGAUAAAGUUCAGGCCGUACCAGCCAAGCUCGACGAUAGCCGACCCCAAGUUACGAAUCCUCUAGAGGAAAUAAAUGUUGGAACGACCAACGAUCCUCGACCAUUAUUUAUUAGUGCAUUAUUACCCCAUGCCAUGAAAGUUAAACUCCAUCAAUUACUUCACGAGUUUAAAGAUUGUUUUGCUUGGAGUUAUCAUGAGAUGCCGAGUCUCGAUCAGACCCUUGUCGAACAUAGAUUACGUAUCAAACCUAGUUGUAAGCCUUUUCAACAACCUCCUCGAUGAUUUUCGACCGAAGUACAGUUCGACAUAAAAGAUGAAAUUGUUUGACUGUUAAAUGCUAGGUUUAUCCGAACUGCUCGAUACGUCGAGAGGUUUGCAAAUAUCAUACCGGUGCUCAAGAAAAAUAGGGCCCUACGUAUUUGCAUUGAUUUUCGAAAUUUGAAUCUGGCAACACCCAAGGAUGCAUAUCCCAUGCCAAUUUCAGAUUUGCUAAUCGACGCCAUGGUUAAUCAUGACAUGCUGUCAUUCAUAGAUGGACAUGCCGGUUAUAACCAGAUAUUUAUUACCGAGGCUGAUGUUUAUAAAACUGUUUUUCGCUGCCUGGGGGUACUUGGAACCUACGAGUUGGUAGUCAUGCCGUUUGAUCUCAAAAACGCUGGUGCCACAUAUCAACGCGUGAUGAAUACCAUUUUUCAUGACCUGAUCGGCACUACCAUAGAAGUGUAUAUUGAUGACGUCGUGGUCAAAUCGAAAAAUCGUCGAACGCUUUGCUUGGCUUUAUUUGUCGUCGCCUCCAAACUCCACACGAUAUGUUCCUAUCCGUUAUAGUGGUCAUCACCCAGACAAAUGUUAUUCGAUAUAUGCUUACUCGGCCAAUAAUCAAAGGCCGAAUCGGGAAAUGGACACUGGCACUAUCCGAGUUUAGUUUGCAGUACGUCCCAGAAAAAGCCGUCAAAGGACAAGUGCUUGUUGAUUUCUUAGCCCAUCACCCUUCUCCAUAUGGGUUCGGAGGCAACGAUGUUGAAAUCGGAAUGGUGGGAGCACGUGACAAUUAUUGGACAAUGUAUUUCGAUGGUUCUAGUACGUCGACAUCAGUCGGCGUGGGGAUCGUACUCCAGUCUCCACACCAACACUGCUGGUUCUUUUCCCUCAAGUUGGAUUUCGAUUGUACCAACAAUCAGGCUGCAUAUGAAGCUAUUGUGAUCGGCCUUAGCGUACUUUAUGAUUUGCACGCUACUCGUGUCCUCGUUUUCGACGAUUCAGAGCUUGUGAUUAACCAACUCAAUGGCACUUUUCGAUGCAUGAGUUGCACUCUGGUGCCCUAUCACAUGGUUGCCAGUUACUUAGCCAAGUCAUUCGACGGUAUCACGUUCAAUCAUAUUUCCCGUGGUCGGAACACCGUCGCAGACGAACUCGCUUAGAUAGCCUCCGGAAUAACUCAUGGGGGGCAAGUAUGGACCAAUGAUACCCGUUUUACGGCAAUCGUAUCCGGCUUUGGUUAAUCAACAAGUCCUUCAGCGCGACCAAGUCAUUCGUACACGAGUAAUGUCCUUACCUUCGUUGGUCGAAUGGGAGGAUCCUGUAUAUGUUUGCGCAGUCGAGACGCUACCAAACGACUGGAGAAGGCCAAUUAUGCAAUACCUUGAUGAUCUUAGAGGCAAACACGAUCGAAAGACAAGGGUCCAUGCCACAAACUGUCUCGUACCAGAAUGAGUAGUAUCGAAAAGGCGAGGGUGGUUUAUUACUGUUAUGCCUCGGCCCGCAAGAAGCCGCCCAAGCAAUCAUAGAGGUACACGAAAGAAUUUACGGAGCCCAUCAAUCAGGACGCAGGAUGCGUUGGCUACUUCGCCGGCACGGUUACUUCUGGCCAAUCAUAUUAAAAGAUUGUAUUGAGUAUGCACGAGGAUGCAUCCAGUGUCAAAUUCAUGGACCCAUCCAAAGAGCCCCGGCCGAAUUACUUCAUUCGGUCACCAAACCUUGGUCAUUCAAAGGAUGGGCAAUGGACGUGAUCGGUAAAAUUACGCCAUCUUCUGGAGCAGCAUGCAUGGAUACUCGUGGCAUCUGAUUAUUUCACUAAAUGGGUCAAAGCAAAAUUAUACGCCGAAUUAACCUCCAAAGAGGUUUGCGAUUUUGUGGAGGAACAUAUUGUGACCAGAUUCGGCAUACCAAGAACAAUCAUGAAUGAUAAUGGCACAAUCUUCACAGCCGAAAGGUUCAAAGAGUAUACGGCGAACUUAAAAAUUCGGCUUGAGCAGUCCACACCAUACUAUCCACAAGCGAAUGGACAAGCCGAAGCGAGUAAUAAGGUUUUGAUCGGCAUUCUCGAAAAAAUGAUAAAAGAAAGACCUGGCAUGUGGCAUUUAAAAUUGAAUGAAGCCUUGUGGGCAUACUGGACUUCACCCUGGUCGACAACGGGGACCACCUUAUUUGCGUUAACCUAUGGACAUGACGUGAUGGUAUCGGUCAAGCUAAGUGUAAAUUCUUUACGCGUGAUCAGCAGAGUAGUUUGUCCAACGCCGAAUACAACUAGGCCAUGUUACAAGAGUUAGAAGAUUUGGAAGAAGAUCGGCUUGACGCUUACAACUUGCUAGUGGCACAAAAGAAAAUUACCGAGGGAGCGUAUAAUCAAAGAGUCAAACAAAAAACGUUCGGUGAGGGGGAGUUAGUUUGGCAAACUGUGCUACCCGUGGGAAUUAAAGACCUCAGGUUUGGCAAAUGGUCGUCGAAUUGGGAAAGACCGUUCAUCGUCCAUAAAGUCAUCGGCAAUGGGGCAUACCAUCUUAGAAAUUGAACCUGUUUAUUCACAUGUUGCCAAUUAAUGGAGAGUUCUUAAAAAAAUACUACCCAGUCACAUGGGAGAUGCAAGAAUAAAAGCGCGUUUCAUUUCAUUGAUAAAUCGUUUUACAGUCAAAUCAUUCUAGGGAAAUGAAGGAAGAAGAGUUCCAAUAAGGGCCUUCAGCUCCAACCACCUCACCUCGCCCAUUAUGACCUCGGCCUGCCGGUUCUUCUUGUCCAUCUUCAGCUGCUCGACUCACUUCGCAUUUGCCGUAUAUUCAGUUAAACAAGAUUUACCGCCCGACUCAAAGUCCCUCGCAAGCUCAGAAGUAAUGGCCGACCUUCGUUUUACCAGUUUGGCCAUUUGACGGUCGAGGUCGGCCAAGGCUUCCCCUUUCGCCUUCAAAGCAUCGAUCUUCGAACAAAGAGUGUCUUGGACAGCCAUGGCAGCUUUCAAGUCAUUAUCAGCCCGAAGAGCGUUCUCGAAAACACUAAAGGAUUCCCGAACUCGCUCCAAGGCAGACGAUGAAUGAACGAUAGCUUCGAUGCUCAUUUGACCAUCUGCUCAAAGGUCGUUUAGGCAUGCACCCAACGAAUCGAGACCUUUAUGCUCAAGGACUUGUGACGCUGAGAGAGAUAAAACUUCUUGCAACCAAACCAGAGCAGCUGAAUCGGCAGGAACAAUUGUAGUGGCCGAAGGACCAGCCGCUCCAGAAAUGCUUGACAAGAGAGCAUUAAACUCGACUUCCUAUGAAGGCUGCACAUAAAAAUCAUUUUAAGCACAAGGAAAUCACGAAAGCAUAUAGCAAGAAGGUUUUUGUUUUAAACCUGCCGAUAGGAGACUUCGGCCAUGUCUUCGGGUUCGUUGCUCGAACCUAAAGAACUUAAUGGCCAAGCCCAAUGUCUUAAACUACUUCUCAGUUCACGCGGCUAAUGGAAGUUAUCUACGUUUGAGGGCCACUAAGACGGCCAAGAAAUAUAGAUAACACCCUUCGGCGCGUAGAAUUUUCGAUGAAAAUAAUGGGUGGGCACCUGACAUUUAAUAUUUUCUCGGUUUAGACAUGUUAUAACAAAUUGACAAUAGAAAGUAAUCGAGCCUUACAAAAGUCGAGGUCACUUCUUGAGGAGGGAUGCCGAGGUCUUCAUCCUGAGGGUGAAGUGGAGUUUCUGAAGUCACUUCAGGCUUGACCAUAGGUUUCUUUCCGCGAUCGACCGUCGGAGGAUCAACCUGAUCGGCCACCUCAACCACUAGGGGAGGAUCAACGGAAGAAGCCAGGAUUGGUCGAGAGUGAUUCACCAACGGAGUCUCGUCGCUCCCAUCAUCCUUAAACAAAAGUGUUAAUAAUUGUUUGAUACUUAAUAAGCAAAGGGAGUUAACAGCGUAAUCAUACUUCUUCUAAGAUGACCACCGAAUGCUUCGGAUUCCUGGAGAGAUCAUUUAUAAUGGAAUGAGUCGUUUCCCCCAGAACAGGUACUCCUAUUAACCCUAGAGCUGCAUGUAAGUCAACCGAGGGUGCAGCAACUAGCUCAACCACUACCCCGGGGACCUCAGGUGUUGGUUGAGCUUGGGAUGCCAGGCCGGCCGGAGAAGGCUGAUUAUCCGUCGAAGUCUGAGCAACAAGAGCGGGAGGAGAGGCACUUGGGGAUGUCGUCCCAGUGGUAUGGAUGGAGAUGACAUGAAUCUCCCGAGCUCCUUCUUCGCCAAUUUCUUGACGCAUUUUGGGGGACGGGGAGUUUCGCCUGUCGUCUUGGUAAUCGAGUGAAGUCGUUUGCUCGGUAAGAUUUUUGCGGUGGUCAUCUUGAAGGAAAAGGCCAACUUUUUCUUGACCACUAUUGGGGCGACCACAUCCGUCUGUUUUAGUACCCGACCACCUAAGAAAUCAAAGUCCCAUUAGUAAAAUUACCCAAAUGUCUAAAAGAAAAAAUAUAGGUAGAAAUAGGGGUAUACCUUGGGGUGCCUCUUUAGAUUGAGAGGCGGAGAGUUUCUUGGGUCGGUCACCAAAAAUUUUGUUGACUACUUCCUCGACCGAAGUGCCAAAAAAGUAGUGUGUAUAUUCCUCCCACCAGUCGUCGAAGAUAUCAGUGCCAAGAGAUUCAGGAGAAUUUGGUCGAAGACGAAAUUUCCUACAUCGUUCCUGAAAUUCUUUCUCGACGUCUCUACACUCCCUUUCUAAAAAACCAAAGACGCGCCCUAAGGUCAGAAAGGAGUGAGAAGAAAGUAAAGGCAAUGGGCAACCUUGGAGGUAACCGAGCUGCAGGACGACAAAGUGGGGGUGAUAGACUUCCCAACUCGCCCCGAUGAGCAUCACAACCAAAGGGAAGGUCGCGAGUUAACACGAACGACCCCCAGUUUUGACGAAAAACGGCAUCCUCACUGUCACUCCAAGUCGAUGUGGGAAGCCUGGUAGAGCAAGGAUAUUCUUAACGACGACAUAUCAAAAAUUCAUCAUCAGAAAUGACAUCCAGGCCGAAUAGGUGUUUGAAGACUUCUUUGGCUCGGUGAGGGGGCACUGGUCGAGAGGCCAAUUGAAGGUUGAGCGCUACAGUAGACUGGAGGUUAGAGACUUCUAGCCGAAGCGCGGAGAAAUAAACCUGCAACCAGAGUUGGAACACACAUAAGGGUCCAUUUUGGUGCGGGUCAAUCUUAUUGAGGGUCGUUUCAGCCAAGCAACGAAGAAGGUUGGCGAGGAUGGCGAGGCUGAGUACUAAAGAAUGGCCACUAGCCAGGGCUUCCGCUACUGGCAUGUUCUCGACUGAUGUGAAAAUUAUGUUGACACACAAAUUAAACCCUAUUUGUGACAAUUGUAGUAAUGAUGUAAGUAGGGAUCGUUCUAACCGGGGAUUAACUAGGGGUGCUAAUCUAAUAUAAAUUGAUUUAAAAACACAAAAACUAAACUUAAAGACUCUAACAAGACUACUAUGACUCAAAACAGAUUUGAAACACUCAAAACUGCCUAAAACAAUCAAAUUGACUCAAAAAGAAACUAGAACUUGAUUUGGACGAAUUGAAAGUGUUUAUGACUCCAAAUGCUUAAAAAACACAAAAUAAAACAGAUUUGAAUGACUAAGACUCAACAAAAUAUGAGGGGAUUGUGUUUGGACGAAAUUAAAUUAAAUGGGCAGAUUAUAAAGAAAACAGAUUGUAGACAAAAUUGUGAUGAAUCAAUGGAUGAUGGAAUAGCUAAGGGGUUCUUCUCCACACAUGAAAUAUAUGCAACGUAAAUCAAUUUCCAGUUAUCAAUUCAAUAAGUUAUGAACCUCAACACUCCAAGUUAAUUAGGUCCGCUUAAAUUAACCUUCAGAUUUCCCUAGAAUCAUUGAAUUGGAUGAAUAUGCAUCGCAAACAAAUUAUUCCUAACAAGUUCUCUAUAUGAACAGCAUGAUAAAGACACAAGUUAGAAUCAUUACGUUCGUUGGAAUUAUAAGCAUUGACAAGGCAUUCGUAACUAUGAAAAGCAUGAUACUCUUGCCAGGAAUCUACUUAACACGAUCGUGACUAGCGACUAGGUGAAACAAACUUAUAUCCGAGCACCAAAUUCAAGCAUGCAAAUUAAGCGUGCACUCUCAAUCAACAUACAAGAAUAAGUUAUAAAUAAAACGGUUAAGCAAAUUGUAUUCACGACUUAUGCAACGAUAACUGGAAGUAAUCAACUUAUUUCACAUAUAUAAUCAUGGUUUUGAAUUCCCCCUAGCCAAGGGGGGUUUAGUUCCUCAUACUCGCAAAGCAAAGAUACAUAAAUUUAGAAAUUAAAAUCCAAAGAAAGAAAACACCUAGAACGCUCCAACUUGGCAGCAAGCUCAUCAACGAUUUCUCCUUCCUCCUUGCUGCGGCAGAGAAGUUUAGAACAGGUUUUGGGUGGUAUUUAUGGUGUAGAAUGGAUGGGGAAUGGUAUGGAAAGGUUUAGGGUUGAUGGGUGGUGCGGCAAGGGUUGAUUUUUGGCAGAAAUUUGGAAGAAUGGUGGUGGAAGGGUGCGGCAGAGAGCAAGGAUCAAUUUCUGGCGUGAAUUGUGAAUUAUGAAAGGUGGUAUCAGUGGCAUAGAAUGAAAACACAUAUAUAUAGGCACCACAAACCCUAGAGAAAUCAGGUUAGGCAAUGGGCUAGGGUUUAGGUGCGGCAAAGGGUGAAAAUCCACAAGGAAUUAGGGUUUUGGCCCACUUAGUUUUAGAAAGGGAUUUGUAUAACCCAAAUCCACAAGGAAAGGGCCUAACAAGUCAGAAUCCAAGAGGGAUUGGGCUAGGAAGGUGCGGCCUAAGUCUAAGAGGGUAAGGAUAGGUCAUCUAAAAGCCCAAAGCCAAGAAUAGAAACUCUUAAAAAUGGAAACCUCCAAGCAUAGAAACUUCCAACUUUAGAAACUUUGGUUUCCAAUUCUGAAUUCUUUGUUCUUCACUUUCAUUUCUUCAUUUCUUAAGCUCAUUUGACCUUCAAACUCGUCCAUUCCUUGUGCUCCAAAAGCAUACACUCCAUUCCAGCUCAAUUUUGCUCUAAAAUGCUCCAUUUUGCACUUCUUUGCAUACUUUGUCUCUAAAACCUGAAAUUGCACGAAAAUGACUUUAAACACUAAAAUAACUAAAGAAAAACAACAUAAAUGCACAAGAACAAGCCCACUAAGUCGCAUAAAUAUGCUCAUAUCAAAUUCCCCCACACUUAGCUUUUGCUAGUCCUCGAGCAAAACAAAGAAACAAAACAAAACAAAAACACAAUCUAAACCUUCCAACAUUUGCCUCAGGGAUUUCCAACGCACAUGACAUGUUAAAAAUCAUCACUCCCACAGAUUUUAGUCAUCUUCACACUUAAGCACAUACUUAAUCAUAGUCACCACUUACUAGUUCACAUUUAACCAUUUAAAACGAUGUUUUGAAUGUAGUAACAUGCCUUGGAGAAUUUGCUCAAUUCCUUACUAGAUAUGCACUCAAUUUUCACACAGAUUUUCUAACUACACACCCUAUACUAGUUAUACGUGAGAGGAUUGAUGUAAAUAUGAAUACGAAUGCUCACAUAUAUGUAUAACAAAGAAAGCACUUUCCGGAGUUAAUAAGCAUGUUUAUCAAUAUGAUCUCAUGAAUGGAAUGCUACUACUUAGAUGCGAGAACCAGUGACACCAUAUGCUCAUACCAAUUUUAAACUCCAUAAAUUGAAACACAUAACACUCAAAAUUAAAGUCAAGGGUUGUAACGGGGCUUGGGGUAUUGGCUAACAAAGAAGGGUAAAGGAUAAGCAAACGUUCUUAAAACAAUAGUAAGCAAAGCAAUGAAAUUGACACUUAGAAUUCACUUUAAAGUGCAGAAAUCAACUUUAAACACAACGGGGAAAGUUCAUGCAACACUUAGGAUCAAAUUCAAUGUUUGGACCCUUUCUUCAACAACCAACAACUUAGAGCUCAUUUUUAUGCUCUUCCAACUCCUUUUCAUACUUUUCACACCUUUUUCUUUUUUUUCUUUCUAUUUUGCACGAUUUUUUUUCUUUCUUUGCCGUGCCUUAAUAUGAACUUUGGCACACACCCAUAUCAAGAAUCCUUCCCCCACACUUGUUUUCUGCAAUACCAUGAUCAAAAGGAAUUCAUCUUGAGUCAUGCUUAACUACGCUUUAAGAACAAGGGUAUGGAUAAUCCUAAUCUAGGCUAGGUAAGGAUAAUGUGGGUUAACAAACAACAUAGGCUAACACAAGGCUCAACGGGGUUAAACCUACAAAAACAAAUGCAUGGAAUGAAGGCUUUUUGGCUAUUGUGGUAACUACUAACUUUAUCUUAAAUAUGUGUUAUGCAAUUCAAUAACAUGUUUUGAAUGAAAUUGGCAUGAGUUCUAGCAUUUGGAACUAAAUGAUGAAACGCCUUCUAAGUAGUAACCAAGCAAGGAAUAAUGAGAUCAUGCAACGACUUUAGAAAACAAUAAUGCACAUAUUUUAACUCUCCAAAUAAACGUUUAAGCUCAAGUCUCACAAGGUUGUAGCGUUUGUUUGAGUUCCUUCCUUCAAGCAUGUUACAAAAACUGAUUUUUCCUUUAUGAUUACAUGUGAAUUCAUAAGUUAUAACCACAACCAAGCAUAAACCAAAGAGUAAAUCAAACUUUCAUCCAUGUUAAUCACUCUUUUUAACAGCCAUGCAAUUACAAACCGAAUCCUCAUCAUUGUGUUGGAAGGUACCCUAGACACAAACACACAAAACGACUCAAAACACUCCUUUUAGGCUCUUCAAAACACUUUUUUUUCAAAUUUUUAUGUGAUUUUCGGAGUUUUAUGUCAACACACACUAAAACACACCAAAACUGCUUAAAAACACUUAAAAACAGCAAGGAACAACAUUUGAAAUUAUGGGUGAUAAAACCCUACGAAUUUGUAGCAAAACACUUUGGUUACCCCCCCCACACUUAAAUCAAACAUUGUCCUCAAUGUUUCAAGCAUAAACUAACACAAAUAACCAACAAACAAAGAAAACAGCAACUAAACAAUCUAACAUGGCAGAAAUGAAAUAACAACAAAAAGAAGGGUUUAGGAACGCAAAUCUGGAAUUGGAGUGCUCUCUAGGUCUUCCUUUGUCGAAUGCAUGGGUUGCCUCCCAAGUAGCGCUUUCUUUAACGUCUUGCAGCCGGACGAUGCCACAUUGAUCAACCUUCAUGGGAACCCACGGCAUAGUGGGUUGUCUUCUCCAUAUCAUGUUCUACAAAGCUCUCGUAGUAAGGCUUCAAGCGAUGCCCAUUCACCUUGAACUCUUGACCUGUUUUGAAGCUACGAACUUGGACUGCACCAUGAGGAAAAACAUUAGUAAUAACAAAGGGUCCCAUCCAACGUGAACGUAACUUACCUGGAAAUAGACGAAGACGAGAAUUAAACAACAACACUUUUUGUCCAGCAGAGAAGGACUUGGUGCGAAUCAUCUUGUCAUGAAAGGCCUUCGUAUUUUCCUUGUAAAGCCGAGCAUUCUCGUAAGCUUCAUUCCGUAUUUCCUCAAGUUAAUUCAAUUGAAGCUUACGAUGAAUUCCCGCCUCAUCUACAUCCAUGUUGAACUUCCUCACAGCCCAAUGAGCCUUGUGCUCCAACUCCACCGGUAAGUGACAUGGUUUUCCAUACACAAGCCAAAACGGGGACAUUCUUAUGGGUGUUUUGUAGGCGGUCCUAUAAGCCCACAACGCAUCUUCUAACCUCAAGCUCCAAUCUUUUCUUGUUGGUCUAACUGUCUUCUCAAGAAUCUGUUUUAUCUCCUGAUUCGACACCUCGACUUGCCCGCUUGUUUGAGGAUGAUAGGGUGUCGAAACCCUAUGUGUAACGUUGUACUUCUUAAGCAGUGCCUCGAUUGUGCGAUUACAAAAAUGUUAACCUCCAUCACUUAUAAGGACUCGAGGCAUUCCAAACCUAGCAAAAAUGUUAGACUUCACAAAAUCUGCAACCACUUUGGAAUCGUUAGUCCGGGUGGCUUUUGCUUCCACCCAUUUGGAAACAUAAUCCACCGCCAACAAGAUAUAGAGAAAACCAUGUGAUGAAGGAAAAUGACCCAUAAAAUCAAUUCCCCACACAUCAAAUAUUUCAACAGAAAGUAUAGGGUUUUGUGGCAUUUGAUCCUUAACACUUAUAUUACCCAUUCGUUGACAACGAUCACAUGUAAGGCAAAAUGUCCUAGCAUCCCUAAAAAUGGUUGGCCAAUAAAACCCACAUUCUAAGACUUUAAGGGCAGUGCGUUGGGUGCCAAAAUGUCCCCCACAUGCAUAAGAAUGACAAAAUGCUAGAAUUGAAUUAAAAUCAGAAUUUGGCACACAUCUUCUAACAAUCUGAUCUGGGCAAUAUUUCCAUAGAUAUGGAUCAUCCCACACAUAAAAUCUUGCAUCAUGUUUCAAUUUAUCACGUUGAACCUUGCUUAGAGUGUUAGGAACUUGCUUAGAUACCAAGAAAUUGACCAAAUCCAAGGGGUACUUACCUCAAUGGACAGAAGUUGUUCAUCCGGAAACGUAUCAGAAAUGGGGAGGGACUCUUCUUCACGCACCAAUCUGCUUAGGUGGUCAGCCACCACGUUUUCACAUCCUUUCUUGUCCCUAAUUUCAAUAUCAAACUCUUGAAGUAAGAGCAUCCAACGAAUGAGCCUCGGUUUGGCCUCCUUUUUGGUGAAAAGAUAUUUCAAGGUUGCAUGGUCAGUGAAAACAAUUACUUUAGUACCAAUUAGAUAUGAUCUAAAUUUAUCUAAAGCAAAUACAACCGCCAAAAGUUCUUUUUCGGUUGUGGAAUAAUUCAAUUGAGUAUCAUUCAAAGUGCGUGAAGCAUAAUAAAUAACAUGUGGCUGUUUAUUUUUUCUUUGACCCAAAACAGCUCCAAGUGCAUAAUCCGAUGCAUCACACAUCAAUUCAAAGGGAAUGGACCAAUCCGGGGGAGUUAUGAUGGGUGCCGUGGUGAGGAGGUCCUUGAGAUGCUUGAAUGCCUUCUCACAUGCCUCGUUGAACUCAAAUGACACAUCCUUUUGUAGGAGAUGGCAUAGGGGUUGUGCAAUCUUGGAAAAAUCCUUGAUAAAUCGUCUAUAGAAUCCUGCAUGACCAAGAAAAGAACGAACCUCUCUCACCGAAGUAGGAGAGGGUAAGUAGCGUACAAGAUCUAUUUUAGACUUAUCAACCUCAAUUCCUCGUUCAGAAAUUAUAUGACCCAAAACAAUACCUUGUUUAACCAUAAAAUGACAUUUCUCCCAAUUUAACACAAGGUUUGUUUCAACACAACGUUUCAAGAUUAAAGUGAGAUUAUCCAAGCAAUUAUCAAAUGAAUUACCAAACACACUAAAAUCAUCCAUGAAUGUCUCAAUAAUUUUCUCAACAUAAUCAGAAAAGAUGCUAACCAUACACCUUUGAAACGUGGCAGGGGCAUUGCACAAACCGAAUGGCAUGCGUCGAUAUGCAAACGUUCCAAAGGGACAAGUAAAAGUGGUCUUUUCUUGAUCAUCCGGGGCAAUAACAAUGUGAUUAUAACCGGAGUAUCCAUCAAGAAAGCAAUAAAAGGAAUGACCUGCUAACCUUUCGAGAUCCAAUAUUCAAACUCAGUUAGCUAAUCUUACUUCUAUUGUUUCACAGAUGGCCGAGGGAAUGAAGAUGCAAGGACCCAUGGUGUGUGGCGUAUGUUCUAUCCAAGGACAUGCCUCCGAAAAGUGUCCUCAACUCAUCGAGAAUGGUGGAUGGGAGAGCGCUAAUGCCAUUGGGUUUCAGAGCCAAAAUCAGCCAAGACAUGAUCCAUACUCCAACACGUAUAAUCCGGGGUGGAGAGACCAUCCAAACUUCAAAUGGAGAGAGCCACAACAAUCCCAACCACAAGGAGGCUUUAGGCAACAACCCCCGGGCUUCUACACCAAACCAUACGCACCCCCUCAAAUCCAACCACAAUCUGCCCCAAAUACUUCAGGUAAUGCUUUGGAUAAUGAAACACUUGUUAAGUUACUAACCACUUUGACUCAGGGGCAAGAAAAUCAAAACAAAAGGGUGGACCAACUAGAGAAACAAAUGGGGCAGAUUGCCGAAGUUGUUGGGCAGAUUAGAGACCAAGGAAGGCUUCCUAGUUCUACCAUUCCAAAUCCAAAUGGAGGGUUUGAAUCAGCCAAAGCAAUCACCCUAAGAAGUGGUAAGGAGGUUGGAGCAGGUUCUUCAUCAAAAACAGGUCACAAAGAGGAUGAAAUGUUGCAAAUGGAAGAGGAGGGAUCAAAUCAACCCACGGCAAAGGUGGAAGUACCUUUGCCGCAAGUCUCCAAUGCCCUUAAACUGUCCAAUUUGUCCAAUAAAGGUAAGAUGUGUCAAAUUCGGUUCCUACUAAUGUUUUUCCUUCGAAUGUUCCUUUUCCUAGUAGGUUUAUGCAAACAAAGAAGGAGGAAGCUGAAAAGGACAUCCUUGAGACAUUUAGGAAAGUUCAAGUAAACAUACCUUUGUUGGAUGCAAUCAAGCAAGUCCCGAGGUACGCCAAGUUUUUGAAGGAGUUGUGCACCACUAGGAAAAGGAUGUCGACUAAGGAAGUGGUAAAGGUAGGUGAGAAUGUGUCCGCCAUCUUGCAACACAAACUACCUCCCAAAUGCAAAGAUCCGGUAGUUUUACCAUUCCUUGCAUCAUUGGUAACACUAAAUUUGAAUCUGCCAUGCUUGAUUUAGGUGCUUCUAUAAAUGUUAUGCCAUAUUCCAUUUAUGCAUCUAUGAACUUAGGAGUAUUGAAAAAUGAUGGUGUUAUCAUACAAUUGGCCGAUAGAUCUAAUGCCUAUCCAAAGGGAGUUUUGGAAGAUGUUUUGGUACAAGUUAAUCAUUUGAUAUUUCCAGCGGAUUUCUAUGUUCUUGAGAUGGAUGAAUCGGAUCAUGCACCCUCGCUGCCCAUUCUCCUUGGUAGACCUUUCAUGAAAACGGCUCGGACAAAGAUUGAUGUGUAUAAUGGAACUUUGUCCAUGGAAUUUGAUGGGGAAGUUGUUAAUUUUAAAGCAAAUACAACCGCCAAAUUUGAUGGGGAACUUGGUAGACCCUUCACGCACUUUGAAUGAUGCUCAAUUGAAUUAUUCCACAACCGAAAAAGAACUUUUGGCGGUUGUAUUUGUUUUAGAUAAAUUUAGAUCAUAUCUAUCUUUGUCUGAGCCGUUUUCAUGAAAGGUCUACCAAGGAGAAUGGGCAGCGAGGGUGCAUGAUCCGAUUCAUCCAUCUUAAGAACAUAGAAAUCCGCUGGAAAUAUCAAAUGAUUAACUUGUACCAAAACAUCUUCCAAAACUCCCUUUGGAUAGGCAUUAGAUCUAUCGGCCAAUUAUAUGAUAAUACCAUCAUUUUUCAAUACUCCUAAGUUCAUAGAUGCAUAAAUGGAAUAUAGCAUAACAUUUAUAGAAGCACCUAAAUCAAGCAUGGCAGAUUCAAAUUUAGUGUUACCAAUGACGCAAGGAAUGGUAAAACUACCCGGAUCUUUGCAUUUGGGAGGUAGUUUGCGUUGCAAGAUGGCGGACACAUUCUCACCUACCUUUACCACUUCCUUAGUCGACAUCCUUUUCCUAGUGGUGCACAACUCCUUCAAAAACUUGGCGUACCUCGGGACUUGCUUGAUUGCAUCCAACAAAGGUAUGUUUACUUGAACUUUCCUAAAUGUCUCAAGGAUGUCCUUUUCAGCUUCCUCCUUCUUUGUUUGCAUAAACCUACUAGGAAAAGGAACAUUCAAAGGAAAAACAUUAGUAGGAACCAAAUUUGACAUAUUCUUACCUUUAUUGGACAAAUUGGACAGUUUAAGGGCAUUGGAGACUUGCGGAAAAGGUACUUCCACCUUUGCCGUGGGUUGAUUUGAUUCCACCUUUGCCGUGGGUUGAUUUGAUUCCACCUUUGCGGAAAAGGUACUUCCACCUUUGCUUGGAGAAACUUAUAUUAUGAAAAACUGAGUUGAUAAAAACAGAUUAUUGAUUAAAAACUUUGGGCUUUUGCAGGUUGCAAUCAAGACAUACAAGGCGGCCUUAUUUCCUCUAAGACGUGCAAGGCAAAUAAAGAAAAAACUGGAUCCUGCAACCAGCAGCAGAUUCAUUCAUUGACAUCAACCACAGCAGUUCUAAGACUAUCAUAUUGCAGAAAAUUUAAGCAGUUCAAAUCAAUCGAAUUUAACUCAGAGGACAGUCAAAUUAGACAAGCAGUUAACUCCUAUGCAUGUUUCUAAGCACAGUCACAGUAAACAGCAGUUAUAAAGUGAGUUUUCAGAAAGCAUACCAGGGCAAUUCCGAUGACGCUUAUGGAUUUGGAUAUCCAGAAACAACAAAUUACAAUCAAAGAGAGAAGGAAAGUUAGAAAAUAAUUGUGAGUGAUUAAAACAAAAGGCUCACUUAGCAGCUGAAAGGUGUGUUUAGAACUGCAGGUCCCGGAAAGGAAUUCGUAGUGAGCUUGACUUGAUCAGACAAGGCAGUAUGCUCUCUCUUCAAAUCCUAGAGCAUGAGAACAAAACCAAAAACUCUUGGUGAAUUUGUCGAAAGAUUCAAAACAGAAAGAAUAUACAAAUGCUUCCAAUCACUUGGUAGUCAAAUCAGUGAUCUUCUGGAAAACUGGAAGAACUAUCUGACAUGGAGAACCUUGUUGAGUCCGUUCGACGCGCUACUCUCACCAAUCAAAUCAGAAUCUCACUCGACGAGUUUGGUAGCAAAUCUGGAGUACAUUCUGAAAACAAUGAUAUAGUAAGAGCAUGACUUCAACGACCCCCAAAAAAUUUCUGUUUUCUUACAACUCAACUACUCAAUUGAAAUUCACAAUGUAACAGUUUAGUUGAAAAGUUUCCCAAUUUCUUUUAGAAAAUUAAAGAUUAAAAAACCAAGAAUUGCAGAAAUUACCGACCUUUGUCGCUCACGUCACUGUCCAACUGGGUUGUAAUCGCCCUAGGGUUUUAAUUUUUAACUCUGCAGAAAAAGAGGGAUGAAAUCAAAUCAGAAAACAAAAUUAAAACUAUAAGAAGCAGUAAUAAUCGAAUCCGAACCUCGAAUUCAACAUUUUCUUGUAAUUCAAAAAAUUAAAAAGUGGGCAAAUUGAAUAAAAUAAAACGAAAACAAGAACCUGCUUCAGAUGUCGAAGAGGGCUUGAAGUCUUUGCAAUUUUGGGGGAAUAUUUGGAUCGUUUGACAAGAAAUAAUUGAAUCAAAAACAAGAAAUUAAAUAAAAAAACAAGAAAUAAUUGAAGAGAGAUAGAGAGAGAGGACAAUCACAGCAAGAAUGCGAGUUCUAGAGAGAGAGAGGGUUGUGAAUUUUAGGCGAAGAAGAUCUCAGAGAGCUAGAGAGAGAGAAAGAGACCGUUUGUUUAUAGGACCGGGGGGAUUUGUGAGGGUAGUGUUUUGAUUGGAUUCAAGUUUGAAUUGAGUGAAUCUGAGCCGUCGGUUUAAAUGGAAAGGAAGCUCUUUCUUUCUAACGGCUAUAAAGAAUUUUAUCGGUGGACCACUUCGAAAUGGGCCAAUAGUCCCCAGUCGGUGAGAAGGCAAAACGACGCUUACUUUCACGUCGUCCGUUCAAUAUGAUGCAACAUUCACGUCGUUUACCAGUAGAACCAAUUGCAAAAAUUAUAUUAGGAAGAUCAACUUUUAAAUUAUAUUUUUGAAGUGAUUAUUGAUGAUUAUGUUAUUACUUAAGUGUUGAUUAAUAUACUUAUUUUUUAAUGGUGACACGUUAUAUUAUUUGUAAAUUUAGUCUAAAAAAUUGGUUUACAUAGUAGAGUAAAUUGUAGUAAUGGUCUCUCAACUUUAAUCAAAUUUGAGCAAUGGUCUCUCAACUAAAAAUCCAUUACCAUUGGUUCCUCAACUCAUCAAAAUGUGUAGCUAUGGUUCUUUUCGUCAACUUCGUUAAAAUUUUGUCAAAAUAAGUUAUAUUGGAAGGACCAUUGCUAUAAUUGGGGCCUUCAACUCAUCAAAACGUGUAGCUAUAAUCCUUUUCGUCCACUUCGCCAUAAUUUUGUCAAUAUAAGUUAUGUUGGAAGGUCCAUUGCUACAAUUGGGUUAAAUUUGAGGGACCAUUUCUCGAGUUGGAUUAAAGUUGAGAGAUCAAUGGUAAUGAAUUUUUAGUUAAGGAACCAUUUCUCAAAUUUGAUAAAAGUUGAUGGACCAAUGGUGAUGGAUUUUUAGUUGAGGGACCGUAACUGCACGUUUUAAUGAGUUAAAGAACCAAUGGUAAUGGAUUUUUAAUUGAGGGACCAUUGUCUAAUUGAGUUAAAGUUAAGGGACCAUUGCCCAAUUUACUCUUACGUAGUAUUACUCAAUUGCAUAUACACUUUGAAGUGUAGUUCUACUUUCCAAUAAGGCGAUAAACGUUCUAAUUUUCUCACAUUAGUAUCCUCAAAUACAAAACAUAAGCUCCACGCAUGCUACAUAAACAAUUAACGAAAGCCUAUGAAAUUAGUUAAUGUACAAAACCGGAGGUCUUGGAACAACGUAAAUCCGACCGUGAAUCUGCAAGAAAUAUAAAUAACACAAGAUGUAUCGUGGUUCACCCUAAUGUUUAGGUUACGUCCACACUGAUUAUUGUAUUCUGAGAGGAUUGUGAGAGAGAGCUUCUGAAAGUGACAGGGCCUAGGAAUUGGCAUCUCCCCAUUGUGAGGGUGAGGAGUCCUUUUAUAGAAUAAGGGCUCCUCACUUAUUACAUAUUUUCCCCUUCCUUUAUUACAUAAUUACAUUUAAGUCCCCCGAGUAUUUGUACGAGAUCUAAAUACGGAGACCCUAAGUAUGGUAUAAAUAGUAGUCCCCCAAGUCUUCAGUCAAGAGAGUCUUUUGGCUGGAGACUUGAAAUUCAGUCCAUGUGUGGUCCGAAGUAACUAGAUGUUGUCUUGAACUGAUGCUUGAUAUGAGGCGGUGCCCAAUCUGACAUGAUGCUCAACUAGAAGUAGCACAUGUUGCGAGGCUGCUCGGCUUGUAGCUUACGUUGCCUUGGUUGGCUCGGCUUGUGACGUUGAAGGUGAGGGAGUUCCUUUUAUAGAAUAAGGGUUCGCUCCUCAAUACAUGAAUGAUGGGCUAAAGUUUAUGCUCUCUAAUGAUGGUGAAGGAGUCCCUUUUUAUAGAAUAAAGGAUCGCUCUUCAAUACAAAAAUGAUGGGCUAGAGUCCCCCAAGUAUUUUUCAUGAGUGCUCUAUAAUGAAAGUGAGGGAGUCCCUUUUAUAAAAUAAGGGCUCGUUCCUCAAUGCAUAAGUGAUGGGCUAAGUCCCCCAAGUAUUUUGUAUUUUUCAUUAGGCCCAGUUGAGGCCCAAUAUAUGGUACAUCAUGUAGUCUCCCAAGUCUUCGAUCAAUAGAGUUUGUUGGCUGGAGACUUUAGAUUGAAUCCAUGUGUGGGCCGCAGUGGCGGUUGUUCGGAGGCGGUAUUUGUAUACCCUGCACUGAAGCUUUGUAAGUGAAGCUUUGCAAGUGAAGUUUUGAAGCUGGAGCUCUGCAGAUGAAGCUUUUGAAGCUAGAGCUUUUGUAAAUGAAGCUUUGGAAGCUGGAGCUGUGUAAAUGAAGCUUUUGAAGCUAGAGAUUUUGUAAAUGAAGCUUUUGAAGCUGAUUGACAUGAGUGAUGUUCAUGGAUGUUGACAUGAGUGAUGCUCACGAAUGUUGACAUGAGUGAUGCUCAUGAAUGUUUAUGUAUGAUUGACAUGAGUACUCAUGAAUGUUUAUGUAUGAUUGACAUGUGUAAUGCUCAUGUAUAAUUUAAAGUACUGUGCGUACUUUUGAUCACCUGGUUGGUGAUAAUAGCGGCAGGCUGCCGAAUAAUUUUGGAGUACUGGGCAUACUUUUGAUCACCUGGUUAGCAAUAAUAGCGGAGGGCUGCUGAAUAAUUUGGAGUACUGGGCGUACUUUUGAUCACCUGGUUGGCGAUAAUAGCGGCGGACUGCCGAAUAAUUUUUUGUAGUACUGGGCGUACUUUUGGUCACCUGGUUGGUGAUAAUAGCGGCAAGGUGCCGAAUAAUUUUUGUAGUACUGGACGUACUUUUGGUCACCUGGUUGGUGCUAUUUUGGGCUUAUAGGCCUUUGCCCUCCACACAACAUUGCAGCCCAUUUAUUUUGGGCUUUGCCCUUUUUUUUUUAUUAUUACCCUCUGAUGAGGUUUAUACAGAUGUCUCCGAAAGAUAAGAAAAAUAAAUCACAUCAUACAAAAACAAGCAAAGUAAAUCACAUCAUUCUGGUGGGGUGUUUAUUCCUUACUUUUGCUUUCUCUUUUGCUUUCUGCUUUUGUUUUCUGCUUUUGUUUUUUCUUCUGCUUUUGCUUUCCCCCAUCUUGAGAUGAUGGGCCACGAAAGCUGGUAGCAGAGACUGUCCGUAACCCGAAUAAUCAUACUCUACCAAGUUGACUCGGAGGUAGAGACUCAGCUCACUGGACAACUCGUACAUCUGACCCAGAUCAUCUAUGUUCCUAUGCGAGUGCAGAACAGUGAGCUUUAUUUCUGGUCUCUGGCACCAAGGAAGUACACAAGGCAGUUCUUCGCAGAGCUGCUUUAAUGGUUGCCGCAGGCAAUUAUGGUCAGGAAAAUCAGCGAACUUGUAGAAUGAGGCCACCACGAGAAUCUCAUUACUCAUUAUUCCCCGUAUCUCCUGCUUUCGCUCCGUAACCAAAGCUUGAGUCUUCCUCUGCAUCACUAGCAGCACGUUGUGCCACGUGUUUACUCUCGAAUUCACCUUUUCGUACAACCCCCACAUUCACGUCCUGCAAAUCCCGAGUCUCCACUGCCAAAAACUCACCCGCCUUUGCACCGUCGAGCAUCCAAAUCAGGCACGAGCAGAACCCCUUCGAGAUCUCUGAGUCGUUGUCCGCCUGGAACCUAAUCUUCCCCGCCUUGUCCAUCUCCGCCUCUGCUGCUACUCUCUUAGCCAAAGCCACUAUUUCCACCGCCGGAGGCAAAAGAGGAAGUGGAGCUACCGACGCACUCUAAACGGCGCCGUAAGAACAGGCCAACGACGCAGACACUGUGACAAAUUCGGAGUGGAGCGACAUGACAAUACCGUCACUGUGACAAUUUGACAAACUGACAAUAGAAUUGAAUGCAGUGGUUGUGGUGGUGGUUGUUACAAUUGCAGAGAGAGACUGAGUGAGAGAGGAGGUGGCUCCAUGGGUUUUCUGGAAAAGUUUUAGAUUCUUGGUUUCUGCAGAUUCACGGCGGAGGUGAAAAAAUGAAAGAAAACCGACAUAGCUUUUCGUGUCAUUUCCCACAGACGGCGCCAAAUGUUGAUGCACAAAACCGGAGGUUUUGGAAUAACGUAAAUCCGACCGUGAAUCUGCAAGAAAUGUAAAUAACACAAGAUGUAUCGUGAUUCACUCCAAUGUUUGGGCUACGUCCACACUGAUUAUUGUAUUUCUGAGAGGAUUGUGAGAGAUUGCUUCUAAGGGUGAGAGGGCCUAGGAAUUGGUCUCUCCCCAUUGUAAGGGUGAAGAGUCCUUUUAUAGAAUAAGGGCUCCUCACUUAUUACAUAUUUGCCCCUUCCUUUAUUACAUAAUUACAUUUAAGUCCCCCGAGUAUUUGUACGAGAUCUAAAUACGGAGACCCUAAGUAUGGUAUAAACAAAAUUAUACGCAUUAGAGCAAGUCCACCCCUAAGGACUUUGUGUCAGCACCCAGCCCAUUUAUCCACUUCAGUGAACAGUAACAGACUCCAAUAAACAGUAAUAGGCCAAUGCAUCUCCGCCCCUAAAAAAAUGCAUUGGUACAAACGAUCUCCACCCCUACAAAAUGCACUGGCACCCAGCCCAUUUAAAAUAUUUUUAAAUUUUUUCUAAAAGAAUAAAAAAUAAAAUAGUUUUAAUUUCGGAUAGGAUUUUUAACCAAUCUCGUCACGCCACAUGACAUCUUCAAUGAGCUUCCAUGAAGACAUUUUUUUCUCUUAAAGUGUAGAAAAUAUUGAAAUGUAGAUAGUAUAGAAAGUGUAGAAAAUAUUGAAAUAUGGUGUAAGGUGGAAGAUGAGGGUUAGGUAUUUAUAGAAAAAAAAGAUAACUUUUUUAAAAUUUUACUAUAUUUAAAAAAAAAAUUCUCUAUUUUUUUUAUAUUUUUAAUUAAUUUUAAUGUAGUUAAUUAAUCUGGACUGUUGGAUUUGAAAAAUAUUCAAAUCCAAGAGCCCAGGAUCUGCCACGUGGCCAACGGUCAUAAAUCUGACCGUUAGACCAUUUUUUUUUGGGAUAAAACGUGGACCAUUGAUCUGUGAUAGAACGGUCCAGUUUAAAAGUAAAAUUUAAAUUUUUGUUACCGUUGGAAAUCCAACGGUCUAGAAAAACUAGCUGUUGGAAAUCGAACGGCUCUAAGCGAACCAUGUUGCUACAGCAUAAAUGGGCUGACAGCGCCUGCCGGCUUGUCUCCUACUCGCUGCCAAACGCGCAUGCAGUCCACGCGCCAGCCAAAUAGGCCGACUCUUGGGUCUGUCAAAAAUAGGCUGGUCUGUUGACUGGCAUGGGCUGUGUGCCAGGCAGCCCGACGGGCUGGAGUGAAUUCCCUAAUCCUUAGCUUGUUAUUUGGACAGGGUGCUGGGCAAAAACCACUCCGGUGGACUUGCUCUUAGUAGUUUGAAUGGUUGAUAUUUUUAACUCUUUUUAUACAUAAAGAUUGAAGACCAUAUCCCUUUACGGAAAUUAUUUCCAGAACUUCAGGUGAAUGUUAGCAACCUUCUCACUUUCCUUCUUAUUCAACAUUUUCACUUCUACUUAUGUCAAGUAUAUUCUACUAGCACGCAAACUAAAAAGCUUAUUAUUAUUUUAUUGAAAAACUAAAUUUUUAAUAAUACUAACAGAGGAAGAAAAAUUGUAGAAUUUUUAAUAUAAUUAAAGUUAAAGCUUUGGGUGCUAAUAGAGCACACGUCACAUUAAAAUAAAUGAGAGAGUUGAAGUAAAAAAAUAAGUGAGAAAGUUGUUAGCAUUUCUCAAAUUUAAGUGGUGCAUUUUGAAUCUUCGAUAAUGCCCAACGAUUAACAAAUUGAUAGGAGAGUCAUGAACAAUCUGGAGUUUUUAACCUGAAAAAAUAGCCCCACGCCCGGCGCGUGAGUAAAAAAAAAUUAAAAAAAAACGAAAAACUCGCACGAGUAAAAAAAAUUAAAAAAAAAAUGAAAAACUAACUUCUCUUAUACAAAUAGCUCCAAAAGCCUUUACAAAAAUAAUAAAAACUCUUAAAAUCCCUCGUCUAACACAACUUCAACUCUUCUACCCUAUGUUAAUCUUGUACCAAGCAUGCAAGGUCUAAAAUAGUGUGAACAAAACCACAGCUCAGUAGGAACAUAACUCUUAUCAAGGAUAAUUGUCAAGGCUAAAUCAAGUGUCAUGCAACACGUAAUCAAUUUUAACAUGUUAUCAAACACAUUAUAUUCCAUGAAUGCAGCUUAACUUCAAUUACUCAGCCCGUUAAUUUAUAAUAAAACACGCGGACCUGCAUGUCCCAUAACAUGCAUUUUACCACUUCAGCGGUGGUCUGAAUGCUCUAUUAUUUAAACUAACCCCCAUAACUCAAUCAUCCCAAAUUUCCCAUUUUGUUUGUCAUCUUAUUCUCCUCUCGGUCGCCAGAGUCUCCACUACUUUAUACCAUUCCUAUAAUUUCACUUUUGCCACAUUUGCUGAUCCCUACGAGAGACGAACUCAACCACACAAAAUAAAAUUCCAUUUCCAUAACCACUCAAAUAUUCCAAUAAAGUCCAUCCGCUCCAAUAUGCAAUGACAGAUGCAUAUAAUCAACAUUAUCAAUAUUAGUAAUAUGAAUACCAUAUUCACAAAGCUUAAACAAGACAAAUACCCCAAUAGUGAUAAGUUCCUCAAGAAACCCCUACAUCAAUUCCAUAAAGCUAAAAUGAAGAUCCACGUCACUACCGCAAUAGUUAAACUCUACGUACUUAAGCAAGUUCACAUGAUAUUAAAAGAAAUGAGAGAGUUGAAAUGAAAAAAAAUAAGUGAGAAUGUUGCUACAUUUCUCAAAUAUUCGUAGUGCAUUUUAUAAUUAUUUCUAAAGUGUAUAAAUCACUCAAAAAAUAAUAUUUAUCUAAUAAAAAAUAAAAUCACUACAACUUUUGUACAAGUAAUGGUGGUGUCGGUGGCCGAGGUCGAUGAUGGCUUCCUUCACAUCCCCGAUCUGCUUGUUUCACUUCUGCUCCCUGUCUUCUUCUUCUUCUUGUUCAGUAUCCAACACAACCUCCACCACACAUUUGUCCUUAUCUUCUUCUCACUCUAUGUUCAAUGGUUGCACUGCAAUUUCACUCACCAAGUCUUCUUCUUCUUCAAGAAUUCCUGCCAAGUUUGAUAAGUUCCAAGGUCAGACUCCCCAGGAAGUUCUUGAAGAUGCCACACCACCACCAUCUCUAGAAGCCCUUGAAGAAGAUGGUGAACAAGAAGAAGAUGACAGGUGAAUUUCUUUACAAGCGAUAUUCUACUUUAAACUAAGAUGACAGGAAAUUUCGGACAGUACUUCGUCGAUCUCCGCAUUGGCACCCCUCCCACAUCGCUUCUUUCUCGUCCCCGAUACCGACAGCGAUCUCGUCUAGCUCAACUGCUCCAACCGCAAACCUAAUAAGAGGACCCAUCUCAUUUUCCUAGCAACUGGGUCGCCUAUUUGGGAACAAUUUCUCGUAUUGCCUCAUGGACUACACCAUGUCCCCGUCGCUGACAAGUUACCUUUGAUUCGGAGGCGGCUCUCCGAGAGCCGUUGUUUCGAAUUCGACACCCGGCGUUGAUCCUUGCGCCAACGUGUCAGGGGCGGGUCAGGCCGAGUCUGCCCAGGCUGAGUUUUAAACUCGUUGGGAACUCGGUGUUUUAAAUCCCUUCAUUUGUAUUUUAUUUUUUAAUUUCCACGUGAGCCUUAGGUGGACACGUGGUGUCCACUCAUUGAACUGCUGUUUUAACAGGAACUUCACAGAUAUAAAACUGUCUAACAAUUAUCACUUUAGGUACCAAAUUGGGAUGAAAAAAACUUAAUGUAUAAAAUGUAGAAAACCAAAAAACUUCAAAGUAGUAUAAAUUGAGAUUUACCCUAGUUUUUAAUUUAUAAUUUCUUAAUGUCCAUGUGGCGCCAAAGCGACAUGUGACACACAGUCAUUGUCUACAUGGGCGUCACGUCAUUAGUUAACGGAGAUUAUAACGGAAAAAUCAAGAGAUGUAUGAAAGUGUCUCAUAAUUAUGACUUUAGGUAUUAGACCGAAUGAAAAAAACCUUGUAUGAAAUGUUAAAAACUAAUAAAUUUCAGAAUAAUAAACUGAAAUUAACCCCUUCUUCUGUGUACCAAAAAAUGUGAGGUUUUUUCCCUCCCUUUUUUUUUUUUUUUUUGAGAAAAGAUUGAUGGAUUCAUUGCCAACAAAAUAGAGAGAUACAGCCAAAAGCAAUUACAACAAAGCUUCCGAUAAUAUGCCCAACGAUUGACAAAUUAAUAGAAGAGUUGUGAAGCGCAGCAACAAACCGGAGUUUUUAACCUGAAAAAAAAUGGGAACAAGGCAUUAGAUGAUGUUGAUCCAAAUCGACAAAAAGUUUUUGCACAAUUGAAAUGUGUAUUUCAAUGAGUUCUAACAUAAAAUCAUUUAGUUAUCAGUAGGGUAAGUAACGAUUUUUUAAGCACUGCAAGGCUUUCAUUUUCAAUGUGCGAAACUCUAAAUACUCCUUCACUUGUGAAGUUUACUAAAUUUUAACACAUGUUUAAAAAUUUAUUUUGUAAUAUAGGAGCAUGUCAUUCUUAAAUACUACAGAUGGAUAACAAUCACUAUUUAUUUUGUAACGUGAAAGCACGUAGUUAUUCACUUGUUCCACCAUUAUAUGAUAAUACUGUUGAUGCACAAAAAUGGAGGUCUUGGAACAACGUAAAUCCGACCGUGAACCUACAAGAAAGUAAAUAACACAAGACGUAUCGUGGUUCACCCCAAGGUUUGGGCUACGUCCACACUGAUAUUGUAUUUAUCUGAGAGGUGAGGGGGAGAACCUCUGAAUAUGAGAAGGGAUGUGAGAGGGAUGAGAAGGCUUAAGAAAUGGCCUCCCCUAAUUGUGAGGGUGAGGAAUCCUUUUAUAGAAUAAGGGCUCCUCACUUAUUACAUAUUUGCCCAUUCCUUUAUUACAUAAUUACAUUUAAGUCCCCCCGAGUAUUUAUACAAGAUCUAAAUACGGAGGCCCUAAGUAUGGUAUAAACAGUAGUCCCCCAAGUCUUCAGUCAAGAGAGUCUUUUGGCUGGAGACUUGAAAUUCAGUCCAUGUGUGAGCCGAAGUAACUAGAUGUCGUCUAGAGCUGAAUACUCAAGAUGAGGCGGCGCUCAAUGUGAAAUGAGGCUCAACUAGAUGUAGCACAUGUUGCAAGGCUGCUCGGCUUGUGGCUUAUGUUGCAUUGGUUAGCUUGGCUUGUGGCAUUUGAAGGUGAGGGAGUUCCUUUUAUAGAAUAAUGGCUCGCUCCUCAAUACAUAAAUGAUGGGCUAGAGUUGAUGUUUGCGGCGAGACGGUUGCUCAGUAGACGGCAAUGCUCUCUAAUGAUGGUGAGAGAGUCCCUUUUAUAGAAUAAGGGCUCGCUCUUCAAUACAUGAAUAAUGUGUUAGAGUUGAUGCUCUCGAAUGAUGGUGAGGGAGUCUCUUUUAUAGAAUAAGGGGUCGCUCCUUAAUACAUAAAUAUGGGCUAGAGUUUAUGUUCUCUAAUGGUGGUAAGGGAGUCCCUUUUAUAGAAUAAGGGAUGACUCCUCAAUACAUAAAUGAUGGGCUAGAGUUCCCCAAGUAUUUUUCAUGAGGCCCAGUUGAAGCCCAAUAUAUGGUACAUAAUGUAGUCCCCCAAGUCUUCGAUCAAUGGAGUCUGUUGGCUAGAGACUUCAAAUUGAAUCCAUGUAUAGGCCGAAGUGGCAGUUGUUCGGAGACGGUAUUUGUAUACCCUGCACUGAAGCUUUGUAGGUAAAGCUUUGCAAGUGAAGCUUUGAAGCUGGAGCUCUGUAAAUGAAGCUUUUGAAGCUAGAGCUUUGUAAAUGAAGCUUUUGAAGCUAGAGCUCUGUAAAUGAAGCUUUUGAAGCUUGAGCUUUUGUAAAUGAAGCUUUGUAAAUGAAGCUUUUGAAGCUAUACUCUAUAAAUGAAGAUUUUGAAGCUAAAGCUUUUGUAAAUGAAGUCUUUGAAGCUGAUUGACAUUAAUGAUGCUCAUGAAUGUUUAUGUUGAUUGAUAUGAGUGAUGCUCGUGGAUGUUGACAUGAGUGAUGCUCAUGAAUGUUUAUGUAUGAUUGAUAUGAGUAAAGCUCAUGAAUGUAUGUAUGAGAGUAAUGCUCAUGAAUGUUUAUGUAUGAUUGGCAUGAGUAAUGCUCAUGUAUAAUUUGAAGUACUGGGCAUACUUUUGGUCACCUGGUUGGUGGUGAUAGCGGCAGGUUGCCGAAUAAUUUUGAAGUACUGGGCGUACUUUUGAUCACCUGUUGGUGGUAAUAGCGACAGGUUGCCGAAUAAUUUUGGUAGCACUGGACGUACUUUUGAUCACCUGGUUGGUGCUAUUUUGGGUUUAUGGGCCUUCGCCCUCCACACAACAUUCCAGCCCAUUUACUUUGGGCUUUGCCCUUUUUUUUUUUUUUUUUUGGUAUUAUUACCCUCUGAUGGGGUUUAUACAGAUGUCUCCGAGAGAUAAGAAAGAUAAAUUACAUCAUUCAAAAAUAAGGAAAGUAAACCACAUCACUUUGGUGGGGUGGGUGUUUAUUCCUUGCUUUUGCUUGUGUUUUUCUGCUGCACUCUCUGUCUCUUCAUCUGGCAGACAGAAGGAAUCAUAAUAAUAGGACGAUCUUUUACUUUUCUUCUUUUCUUAGCUUUCUGCAAUUAUCUCCGAGACUGAUCGAGUAGUGGGUAGCCAUGCUUUCUGCUUUUAUUAUUCUGUUCGUCUAUCAUUGCUCUAGUAGUGAAACUGUGAGCAGAGACCCAAAGUAUAAACCUUUUUUGUCUAUCAGUGAAGAGGAUGGGCAUUCUGCAGGGCAGUAUCCCUGCUUUGAGAAAGCACAGGUUUUUCUUGCUGUAGCAAACUUUAAGAUUUGUCUUACUUUGUACCAGAACCACGAUACCAUGUCCCCCCUUUAUUUAUAUACAAUAUAGUUUUGGGUUGGAAUUAUUAAAGAUAGGAAUAAAAUAUCACAGGAUGCAUGUGAUAAUGUGAUGAUGUGGUUUCCAGUAACAGGAUAUGAAUUUGAAUAAAACUUAUCUUCUUCGUUGCUUUUCCGCUUGGCACUUUCCAAAAAAAACAGUUUCUCUAUUAUUCUCAGGGGCUGUGAGAUAGCUGGGGAAGCAACAGGGGUAGGAUGGCGAAGAAAAGGAGAAUUCCAAGGCUACCCUUGAGGAAAUCGUUGAUCGGAGCGUAGAGGACGGUGACGAAGGAGAUCAUAGUGGUUAAAACUAUCUGAGAGGCCAAGAUUCCGUACACCUUGCGGAUGAAUCCCCAUCGGAGUUGGUUCUCGCCUUUACUCAGACCUGGGUACAACAACUCCCCCGACUCUAUGUUCACCUCCGCCGCCUUGCCGUCGUUGUUUGUACCCACAUCCGUGUAUCCGUGCAUCUUUCAUCGGAGUGACAACACCUUUGUCGCGCUAAUCAAAGUCCUUUGGAAGAUCAUUGGUGGGAAGAAUCGAAGCAUUGUUCGCGUCGGUCGGAAGCCGAAAAUGAUGCUUGAGUCCGAGAAAGUUCCUGUGAAACUCCUUGAGAGUGAGAUCUUGGUGACACCGUGGACUACAGAGGGGUCGAGCACUGGUGUCGCUUAGCUCUGCAGAGGUUGGCCUUGAAGAUGCCGAACCUGUAAUCGUGCUCCACCUGAGUCAUGUAGGUCUUCCCGAACAUGGCUUUGAAGCUGGAGAAGUGCUCGGCGUGGAGAAGUUGAUCUGCCAUGUUUUGCUGCUGCCUCUGCGACCUAUGUUGCUUGCCCUGCUCAAUAAUUUAAUCUUAAUUUCAAAAGAUUAUGAAUUCUUUGUAACUAUAUAUUUGAUUUGUAUCUGGUUCGUACGUGCACCGACUCGUCCCUCAAUAAUACUUCCUUAAUUAUAUCAAUGUUGAUUUGCAGUACAUUCUCUUAUGUGCCAAGAUUUGUAAUAGUUAAUUAACAUGCAACAAGUGAGGGCGGAGAAUAUGAGAGAAAUAAGGAGAAGGAAGGAGGCGAGAUGAUCCAUUGUUAGUGGUGAGUGUAACUGUGUUUCCAUUGAUGCUGCCGUGACCGGGAGCUGAAGCGGAAGACAUAGGUUUUGCAGUGACUGUGCAGAUGUUUGGUUCUUGGAUUUCUGUAGAUUCACGGUGGAGGUGAAAAAAUGAAAGAGAACCGACACAACUUUUCAUAUCGUUUCCCACAGACGGCGCCAAAUGUUGAUGCACAAAACCGGAGGUCUUGGAACAACGUAAAUCCGACCAUGAACCUGCAAGAAAGUAAAUAACACAAGACGUAUCGUGGUUAACCCCAAGGUUUGGCUUACAUCCACACUGAUAUUGUAUUUAUCUGAGAUGUGAGGGAGAGAACCUUUGAAUAUGAGAGGGGAUGUGAGAGGGGUGAGAAGGCUUAAGAAAUGGUCUCCCCUAAUUGUAAGGAUGAGGAGUCCUUUUAUAGAAUAAGAGCUCCUCACUUAUUACAUAUUUGCCCCUUCUUUUAUUACAUAAUUACAUUUAAGUCCCCCAAGUAUUUAUACGAGAUCUAAACACGAAUGCCCUAAGUAUGGUAUAAACAGUAGUCUUCCAAGUCUUCAGUCAAGAGAGUCUUUUGGCUGGAGACUUAAAAUUCAGUCCAUGUGUGGGCCGAAGUAACCAGAUGUCGUCUAGAGCUGAAUACUCGAGAUGAGGCAGCACUCAAUGUGAAAUGAGGCUCAACUAAAUGUAGCACAUGUUGCGAGGCUGAUCGGCUUGUGGCUUAUGUUGCCUUGGUUAGCUCGGCUUGUGGCGUUUGAAGGUGGGGGAGUUCCUUUUAUAGAAUAAGGGCUCACUCCUCAAUACAUAAAUGAUGGGCUAGAGUUGAUGCUCACGGCGAGGUGGUUGCUCAGUAGGCGGCGAUGCUCUCUAAUGAUGGUGAGAGAGUCCCUUUUAUAGAAUAAGGGCUCGCUCCUCAAUACAUGAAUAAUGUGCUAGAGUUGAUGCUCUCUAAUGAUGGUGAGGGAAUCCCUUUUAUAGAAUAAGGGCUCGCUCUUCAAUACAUAAAUAUGGGCUAGAGUUGAUGUUCUCUAAUGGUGGUGAAUGAGUUUUUUUUAUAGAAUAAGGGUUCGCUCAUCAAUACAUGAAUGAUGGGCUAGAGUCCCCCAAGUAUUUUUCAUAAGGCCCAGUUGAGGCCCAAUAUAUGGUAUAACGUUGAUGCAUGGUUCAUGGCCCAAUAUUUUUUUUUCUCGGAAAUUCGAAAAUUCAAAAAUUUGAAAAUUUGAAAAUUCAAAAUUUAAAAAAAAAAAAAUAUAUAUAUAUAUAUAUAUAUAUAUAUAUUUUAAACUUUGUAGGUGAAGCUUUGGUGUUGAAGCUUUUGUGGUGGGUGAAACUUUUGUUGGUGAAGCUUUUGUGGGUGAAGCUUUUGUGGUGGGGAAGCUUUUAUGGGUGAAGCAUUUGUCUUUUAUGGGUGAAGCUUUUAUGGGUGAAGCUAUUGUGGGUGAAGCUUUUGUAGGUGAAGCUCUAGAGUUGAAGCUUUGGAGUUAAAGCUUUAUGUAGGUGAAGCUUUUGUGGUGGGUGAAACUUUUGUGGGUGAAGCUUUUGUUGAUGAAGCUUUUAUGGGUGAAGCUUUUGUAGGUGAAGCUAUUGUGGGGGGUGAAGCUAUUGUCGGUGAAGCUUUUGUAGGUGAAGCUUUUAUGGGUGAAGCUAUUGUGGGUGAAGCUUUUGUGGUGGGUGAAGUUUUUAUGGGUGAAGCUUUUGUGUGAAGCUAUUGUGGGUGAAGCUUUUGUAGGUAAAGCUUUGGAGUUGAAGCUUUGUAGGUGAGGCUUUGGAGUUGAAGCUUUUGUUGGGUACCAGGAAUUGAUUUUGCUUCACACUAUCUUGAUCAAGAUAGUGUGAAGCUUUUGAGAAUUUGUAGUUGUCCUCCAUUGAUGAAGCUUUUGUUGGUUAAGCUUUGGAGUUAAAGCUUUUGAGAAUUGUGGUUGAACUCAUUUGAUUAAGCUUUUGUUGGCACCAUAAAUUGGUUUUGCUUCACACUAUCUUGAUCAAAAGUGUGUGAAGCUGUUGAGAAUUGUGGUUGCCCUCCAUCGAUGAAGCUCUUAUUGGCACUAUAAAUUGGUUUUGCUUCACAAUGUCUUGAUCAAGAGUGUGUGAAGCUUUUGAGAAUUGUGGUUGAACUCCUUUGAUGAAGCUCUUAUUGGCACCAUAAAUUGGUUUUGCUUCAGACUGUCUUGAUCAAGAGUGUGUGAAGCUUUUGAGAAUUGUGGUUGCCCUCCAUUGAUGAAGCUCUUGUUGGCACCAUAAAUUGGUUUUGCUUCACACUGUCUUGAUCAAGAGUGUGUGAAGCUUUUGAGAAUUGUGGUUGCCCUCCAUUGAUGAAGCUCUUGUUGGCACCAUAAAUUGGUUUUGCUUCACACUGUCUUGAUUAAGAGUGUAUGAAACUUUUAAGAUUGAUGAAGCUCUUGUUGGCACUAUAAAUUGGUUUUGCUUCACACUGUCUUGAUCAAGAGUGUGUGAAGCUUUUGAGAAUUGUGGUUGAACUACUUUGAUGAAGCUCUUGUUGGCACCAUAAAUUGGUUUUGCUUCACACUGUCUUGAUCAAGAGUGUGUGAAGCUUUUGAGAAUUGUGGUUGCCCUCCAUUGAUGAAGCUCUUGUUGGCACCAUAAAUUGGUUUUGCUUCACACUGUCUUGAUUAAGAGUGUGUGAAGCUUUUAAGAUUGAUGAAGCUCUUGUUGGCACUAUAAAUUGGUUUUGCUUCACAUUGUCUUGAUCAAAAGUGUGUGAAGCUUUUGAGAAUUGUGGUUGAACUACUUUGAUGAAGCUCUUGUUGGCACCAUAAAUUGGUUUUGCUUCACACUGUCUUAAUCAAGAGUGUGAAGCUUUCUACGAGUUAUAGUGUUUGCAUUGUUAUAGAGGGGAAAUGUCUGAAGCAGAUGCAAGAUGGCUGAAUAGCUUGAUCUUCGUAUGCCGUGUACUGAAGUUGUUGUUGGCUUACAAUAAAAUUUUGUUGGUGACUAUAACUCUUUUUUGGCAUAAGUGCUCCCCUAGUUGAGUUGUCAAGCUUGAGGGUUUUUGAUUAUUUGUGAAUGCUAGGAGUUCACAUGUACAAGUUGUACCACUCGUCUUAUGGUAAGUGGAAUGAAUGGUGAGUUGCUUUCAUCACUUGGUUGGUGGUACGAAGGUGAGUUCCUUCAUCACAUUUCAUCACCUGGUUAGUGGCACGAGGAUGAGUUCCUUCUUCACCUGGUUGGUGGCAUGAAUGGCAAGUUGCCAAAUGAUAUUAGAGUACGGGUUCUACAUUUCAUCACCUGGUUGGUGGCAUGAAGGAGAGUACAGGUUGUACAUUUCAUCACCUGGUUUGUGGCAUGAAUAUGAGUUCUUUCUUUACCUGGUUGGUGGCAUGAGUGGCAAGUUGCCAAAUGAUAUUAGAGUACGGGUUGUACAUUUUAUCACCUGGUUGGUGGCAUGAAAGGGAGUACGGGUUAUACAUUUCAUCAUUUCAUCACCUGGUUGGUGGCACGAAGAUGAGUUCCUUUUUCACCUGGUUGGUGGUAUGAGUGGCAAGUUGCUAAAUGAUAUUAGAGUACGGGUUGUACAUUUCAUCACCUGGUUUGUGGCAUGAAAAAGGGUACGGGUUGUACAUUUUAUCACCUGGUUGAUGGUAUGAAGAUGAGUUCCUUCUUCACCUGGUUGGUGGCAUGAGUGGCAAGUUGCCAAAUGAUAUUAGAGUAUGGGUUGUACAUUUCAUCACCUGGUUAGUGGCAUGAAUGAGAGUACGGGUUGUACAUUUCAUCACCUGGUUGGUGAAAAUAAGGGCAAGGCGUCGAGGCACAUUGUAACAAGUGUCGAAGACAUAGCACAGUUGGCUUAUAUAUGGAUGUGUUGGAAUGUAUGAUGUUUAUAUAUGAAUGUGUUGGAAUGUAUGAUGUUUAUGUAUGAAUGUGUUGGAAUGUAUAAUGUUUAUGUUGAUUGAUAUGAGUGAUACUUAUGAAUGUUUUGCUAUGCAUGAAGGGAUCCAUGCCUUUGAUAUGUGAACCAUGUUGGUUGUAACACUUAGUAUCACAUACUUUGUGUCAAAGUACGCUUGUUGAAGCUUUGAGUUGAAGUAUAAAGGUAGGUUAGUGUAGACCAAGUGUUCCAGUGCUAGGAAUGCAAAAGACUCAGAAGAAGUUGUCUGAAUUCCCUCUUCUUUAAAUAUUUGCCAAAUGGCUUGUGUGACAAAAGAUCUCAAGCAGUUGAGAGUCAAAACAUUUGUAAUAUGUAUGCCUUCUUAUAAUAGCAUUUCCUUCAGUACCUAGUCCUCCACUUUGAAAGAGUGAGGCUUGGCCCCAUAGUCAUAAUAGUCGACGGUACGUUCACCCCUGGUUGUCUUGAUACGAACUUUUAUCCCUCUUGUUGUAAUGGGCUUGCUAAGAGUAAAAAUCUUUCCUCUUACUAAGAGACAGAUACGUUUGGUGACUUAGCGAGUAGCUAAAUGAGGCAGGAGAUGAUGCAAUGGGUGUCUAAAUAGCCAAUAUCUCCUCACUUGGUAGAACUUGACUUCCACUUCCCAUUUGUUGAUAGGGGUUAACCAUAUGGAGGUUUCCUUGGUACAUCAUUGUUUCGGCAAAGGCGUGGUUGUAAGCAUGUGCCAUCACCUCAUAAUAAGUCUUAUAAGUGUUGGCAUUGAUCAUAUACUUGAAGAAAUAAUUACGUAGGCAUGCCGUGAAGGCCUUGAUGGCGGUCUUGUCAUCUGCCUCAGCGCAGCAAGAAUACUUAUGGCUGAAACGACCGGCAUACUCUCGUAGUGACUCGUCCGGCUUCUGGCGAAUUGUGUACAAGUCAUCUAUAGAAUGCAAAUGAUCGGUCUGAAAGAUGUGUUGAGAGACAAAUAGUUUCCUCAAUUCCUUAAAUGAGUUUACUGUCUCAGGUGGAAGGACAACAAUACCAGUUCAGAGCUCCGUCAGAGAUGGUGGAGGGGAAGAGAAGACAUCGCUCUUCAUCGGUGUGCAUCUGAUCUGCCAUGGUGGACUCAAAGAGGUUAAGGUGUUCAAGUGGGUCAUUCCUUCCAGUAUAGAGUUGUAAACCAAACUUUUGUUUUGUCUUCGCUUGAAGAGGGUGUCAAGAAUCUUUCUUGUGAGAGGGUCAAGCUUGGGUUGGUUCCAGUCAGGUAUCUCGACCUGACGUUCGGCCUUUAACUUGUUUACUUCCUCAAUGAGUUGUAGGACAAGAGGGUCCUGAGUGGAGUCAUGUACCACUGGAAUUUUCUUUCGUAAGUCUCCAUCGCCUCUUGGAAGUAGGAAAGUUUGAGCAAGGGCGUGUGUUUUUUUCUUGGACUCGCCGUACUGACUUCUAGGGCGAGUCUGUCAUAAUACCUCAGAGUCCCCUGUACCUUCAUGUUCCUCUGGGACCUGUCGUUCAUUCCCUAGAUUGGCAGCUGGCCUGGGUCGUGGGAGGGGACUGAGUCUUUCAAAAACCCUUGGGUUAUUGAUCUUCAAGCAUAUGUGGAGGGGAUUAUCUCAACGUUGCUUUAGGAAGUCUCGGCAGUUAUGAUAAACGGCUUUCGAUCCUUCCAACCCUUCUGCAAGGAAGUGUCUUCCUCCACUUCUUCUACUUCGGGUCGAAGCAUCUCGGUUGAGAGAAGUCUCAUGUUGAUCAAUUUUUUUAUGAUUAGCUCGCUCCUCAUCAGGGAUACCCAUGUCGAAUGGAGGUGACCCUUCGUGUUGGGGGGCACCCAGAUGAUGGUUGAUGUCCACAUGGGCAACGAGCUCACGUGUUUGAGUACGCCUAGUUUCGUUGAGCUUCUCAUACUGCUCCUGGAGAACUUCAUUCUUCAUUGCUAUCUUGUUGUUCUGAGCUUCUAGCUCAUCGACUUUAGCUUGAAGAGCAACCUUAUUUCCUUCCUUUUUUUCGUUGCUUCGCAACAGGUGCAAGAAGGGUGUCAUUCUGUGUGUUGUGGCUUCCUUCGCUCCCCAUGUUGGAAAGGGAUGUCUGGUCAAAAGAUAGUGUACGAAUGGUGGAAACCAGUUUGGCAAAGCUGAAGAGAAUGGCAAUAAGUGUCGUUCCCACAUACGGCGCCAAAUGUUGAUGCACAAAACCAGAGGUCUUGGAACAACGUAAAUCCGACCGUGAACCUGCAAGAAAGUAAAUAACACAAGACGUAUCGUUGUUCACCCCAAGGUUUGGACUACGUCCACACUGAUAUUGUAUUUAUCUGAGAGGUGAGGGAGAGAACCUCUGAAUAUGAGAGGGGUGAGAAGGUUUAAGAAAUGGUAUCCCCUAAUUGUGAGGGUGAUGAGUCCUUUUAUAAAAUAAGAGCUCCUCACUUAUUACAUAUUUGCCUAUUCCUUUAUUACAUAAUUACAUUUAAGUCCCCCGAGUAUUUAUAAGAGAUAUACAUACGGAGGCCCUAAAUAUGGUAUAAACAAAUACAUAUACCAAACACUAAAAUAAUGAAAACCCAAACUUGGCUAACUCUAUUGGAUUGGAUUUCCAAAAUCAAAUGGAUUUCGACCAUAGUUGUGAAGUUAAAAUUCGAUUAUAAUUAGACCGGAUGAAACAUACACUAAAUGGAAUUCAAGUCCUAUGGAAGACCUUAUCACUUCCUAACUAGUUAGUUGCUUAAAUUGUUAUGCUGAUAAAUCAAGGGAUCAAAAUGUGGAAGAAAGAACAAAAUUAGGAGCACCAGUACUAGCAGCAGUCAAAUCUCACCCACUAGGGCGUGGAGAGCUUCGUCCAAAACGAAUGUCUAUUCCCACUUCUGUCCGAAAUCAUGAUAUCUUAUAUGAAUUUAAGUUAAGUUAGUUCGGAUUUUUAUAAUAAUUUUUUAGCAGACAAAUUCUAUGAUUAAUCAAUUAGGUCAAUAGUUGCACUCAUUUUAAACUGAUCUAAUCCGAUUGUCUCUGAUGCCAUAUGUUGACGAUGGAACAUAAGAUUGCGUUGAAGCUUACGCUUUUUGUUCAACUAAUUCCAAGUUGACAAAUAAUUAGACUUAAUCAACAAGAUGUGCAUAUGUCGCCACUCAAACAUUUUGAUUAAUUCAACACACACACGUAUAAAUAAAGCAAUCCCCGAUUUGUUUCAUAAUGUAUGAUUUAUUCAGCUUAAUUAUGCAGGCGAACACUCCAAGUAAUUCAAAAAUUAUGGGACACCGAACAAUGCUUCGUUUGACAACUCGAACUGUACGGAUUAUUUCAGUCGGAUAUGAUAAUCUAUUGUCAGAUAAUACUGACUAUUUAGUCACGCGUAUUGACUAUUUAGUCAGGAGUUUGGCGUAAAAUCGGAUUAAAUACCGAUUUUUUUAUAAAAUAAAUAAAUAAUAAUAUUAUCUAUAGUUUCUUAGAGUAUAAACAAAUUAAAGAGUAUUGAUUAGAUUUUGAAAAAUAAAAAUAAAAACUCAGUUCAUCUUGGACUUGUUUUAGUUUGCAUUUCUUCCUUAAUAAAAGUUGCCGCUGCACAAAGAAUCAAACAUUAUCAUGUUGAUCUACUUCCUCAAAAGGAAAUUGAAGAAUAUUUAAUGGCAUUGGGUUUCCAAUUUAAAAUCAAAUUUGGUAUUAGAGCCCGUCGAUUUGAUGGAAAAAACACUAGAAACCACCACCUUUAAUCCAAAAGCAGAUGUUGCUGCCAUGGAUGUUUGUCACGAGUAUCUGCAAACGCAGGUCAACGACCUAUUCAUCGAUUAGCCCAAAUUCCAACUUAUUCCAUUACCCAAUCCCCACCCCCAACAACCAUACACAGCUGCACCCCCAAACUCCAAUUCCUUCUUCAUCGAGAGAGAAAAAAUGGAAUAUUGUUUGAGAAGAUGGAUCGGGAUGGUGUUGGAGUAAUCUACGAGGAGGGAUGGAAAAAGAGCCAGCAUGAUUUUUUUCCAACAAUCCGAAUAAUAAUACUAAGGAUUUGAAGUGUAUAAAAUAUCUAGUGUGUGCCGUAUAAAAGAGAUGAGACCGCAUAAAAAUUUGGUGUUAAUUUAAUAAGGAAUAACACCAACUACCAAAUGGUAUUGAAGACCAUGAUUGGUAAACAAGUUUUCUGGUCAAUCGGUUCAUUAGAAUAUGCAGCCGCCCAAGCAUUUAGAACCUUUUUUUUUAUUUCUUUUAAUGCUUGGAUAAUUGGAUUGGAUUAGGGUUCGAGUUGGUAUUUACAGAAGAAUAAACACUAGUACCUUUAGUCAUAUGAAAUUCCAGCCCGUGAUUCGCUAGCCUUGGCGUCGUUUAUUAAUUAUUGACAAGAAGCUAAAUAGCCGUCUGAAUAAAUAUGAAAAAGGCAAAAAUAAUGGAGAUGCGGGGUAUCGAUCCCCGUACCUCUCGCAUGCUAAGCGAGCGCUCUACCAUCUGAGCUACAUCCCCGUUUCUUGUUAUUUUUCCUUUUUUAAUCAUUAUACUUCCGUACUUAAAGCUCUGAAUCGGAUUCACUGUUACGAUGGACCAAGACGUCAGAAUGACCGUGAACUUGUUUCAUAUACGUCAUUUUUUACAAUAGGCAUGAAAAAAACUCUGCUGUAUAAAAGUACGUCAUCACAUCACACAAAUUUAUGUCACAGGUACGUCAAAAUUUAACAAGUCACAAAUAGUAUGUUAUUGGGUUUUAAUUGAACUUACACCGCAUCAUUAUCUUUUGCAUUAGCCUCAUAAUCCAAGGGUUUGUUGUUGAUCUUGUGAAUUUUGAUUUCCAAAAGUAGGUCAUUAAUGAGAGAAGCCUCUAUCCUUUUGGAAUCUGCAUCUUGUGGGAGCUCAAGCCUCCGAACAUAACCAUGUUCCCACCAAUUCCCACUUCUCCAAUCCUUUGUGCUCUUCAAGGAGUUGGACUCUCCUCCUUGCUGCUGCUGCUUCCACUGCCCGCUAAUUUCCACCACCUUCCCAUUUUCAGCAUACACCUGAAUAUUAUUUUUCCCUUCUCCUGUUUCACCAAAUCAUUACUGUUGAGUACGUUUUCGAUUUUUCUUUUCUGAUACAAACGAUUUUGGGUACAUGAAAAUAAAUUUAAAAGCGUGGAUGCAGAGCAAGAUACUUUUAACUAUUUUAAAUAUAAGUUAUGUGCAUUAAGUUAUAGUCUCACUGCCCUCAUAAAUUUAGUUUCUAGUUAAAAUCACUUUGGACUCUAAGCCUUAUCCCUCGCUCCUCAUUUAUAAAACCUAUGUAAUACACAAGGGUGAUAAUCCUCCUGGGCUAGUAAGUAGUUCACCAGUUCUAGGAGCGCAAGGCAGUUGAAUUGUCCUUAAUAUCCAAUUUAAACAUUAAUUGUCUUUGUGCAAAUCUACCCAUUUUGGAAGGGCAAGUGUCACAUCCCAAGCUCCACAACAUCCUGGAUUCGAUUCUGUUGUAGCACGAUAUUAUCCGUUUUAGGCUCCGAUUACACCCUUAUGAUUUUGUUUCAUCCAUCCUGGAAAUGCUCUGGUCCCUUUUUCGCUUUACUUCGGAAUUCCUACUAAACUAGAAGCCAUUGAGCUUCCAAAAGACCUUGUGCUAACAGAGGUGGGCAUAUACAUAUAAGGCAUAGAGGAUCCACUCUCCUAGACGAUGUGGAAUCUAACAGCAAGGUGAUUACUAUUUAUAAAUAAAUAAAUAUAUAUAUAUAUAUACUGCUACUGUAUCAUGCACGUGUCAUUAUCGUCCUAAGUGUAUUUAAGGAGAUUAGUAGUAAAAAUAAAUAUUGAGUUGUGGAGAGGAGAAUGAAGAAGAUGGUUGAGUAUAUAUUUGUAGAAUUAAAGAAAAGAGUUUUUUUUUUUUUUUUGGAUUUUUUUGCCGUUGGAUUAAUCCUGACUCUUGAUUUUCAAAAUCUUUUAAAAUUAGACGCAUCAGAUUGUUCCACGGCACAACCUAUAAUUUAAAAAAUAAAAUUACCGACGAAAAUCCAACAGUACAUAUGAGAAGACUGUUGCAAAACCAAUGGUUGAGGCCAAGGCAGACUUCUUGGGUUUGUAGAUGCAGUCUCCUUAGUUCAUGAAAUUUAAAUCAUAAUUAGGAAAUUAAGAAGUCUAAUUUCUGAAACAAAUAAAUUAAAAGUAGUUGAAAAACCUUACCUGGUAGCUCUACUUUAAGGACAUAGUCUCGAUCUGUUUGAAACCAAUCAAUAGUGUUUUGGCCAGCGCUUCUGAGACCAGACAGCAAGAUAUCUGACUCAAACUCCCACAGUGGGAAGGCAUCAGAAGGAUCAAAAAAUUUCCCAAACAACAAAGGACUGAAAAAAGAUGCACCACCAAAGACCUUCUGGAUUGUUGGAUUUGGACUGCCCUGAGACAUGAAUCUUCUGAACACGUCUUCUCUCAAUAAAACACACCAUUUCUGCGGAGUUUGAUCGUCUCUUACGACUUCAAGCUGCUUCCGCGUAGUACUACUAGUAGUCAUUGGAGAAGCUUGAGAGAGCAACUUUUGAGAGGAUGGUGGAGAGAGGUUAGCGUGUUUGGUGUUUAUAGUGAAGGAGAGCACUUUGGAGAAAGUUAGAGCACCAAUUCCUUGGUGAGAAUAUUUGGAGGGCUGUAAAGCAAUUUGGAAUAUUUUCUUUUUCCAGGUUUUUGCUUGUCGGUGUGAAGAAAAUCAAGCUAAUUAAUUUUUCUAUCAAGCUAGCUAGUAUUUCACUUGUCUCUAACAGCACAAGGUUGGCUUUUUUUCUUUGGUAUACAAGACGAGUUAUGAUCCAUCUCUAUGACAAUUUUGUAACUUUAGGUGAGUGCCGAUGGUUCGAUUGUUGGAUGGGAGUUAGAAUGAGUACCCAAUUUAAAAUCAAUUAAUAAUGCAGAAGUAUGAGAUUUUUUAUGUUAAGUACUUUCAACACAUUUUUUUAUGUGUAGCAUUUGCUGUGCAUAAUAUGUGUUCAAUUUAUAUAAAUGACGUGAGAGCACAUGUCGCUAUGACACUUAAUAAAUUUAUAAGUUAUAAACUCUAGACUCUAAACCCUAAACCCAAACAUAAACACGAUUUUGUUACAUCAAAUACAUACAUCAUGCAGUUCUCCAUGCAAACUAUACCUUAGAUAAAGUGUAUUUAAAGAAAUGAGUACCUUUGCUUGUUAGAUAGAAAUAUACCAAUUAAUUUGUACUCAUAAAGGUUGUGGGAAAGGAAUAUUUGUAAAGUAAAUGUGAAUGUAAAUGCAUGCACCUCCUCUCAUAAAUAAAAAAAGCUUUUACGGAGAGCUGCUUUUUACAAAAGCAGGAUUAGUAUCUGCUUGAUUGAUGCUGAAUUUCAGAGUCCACAGGGAAAUUCUGGAGCAACUCGGAAAGUGGGGCACAGCCACAAAGAGCGGUGCGGUUUGUCAUGAAAGGUGAGAGGACUAAUCAUCUGCUGCAGAUGCUACAAUGGUUGACCCGUUAUUGUGAUUCAUCAUCUUCAUCCUCGCUGAUGUAGUAUGCUGGGAGCGGCUAGGAUAAGGCAAUCAAAUACACUCAGGCCCUUUUAAGGGUAAAGAUUAAAACAAAGUGUUCGUCAAUUUCUUUAAAUUCUCUUAAAUAUUUUCGAUUUGACUAAUAUUUUGCAAAGAUAAUCUAUGAAAAAUGAGGAUCCUCUUUGUGAGGAUUCCGAAAAAUCAUGUUCAUUUAUCGUAUAUCGUGUGGUUAUAAAUCAUUUUAAAUUUUAUAUUUAAAAUUGAAUACAGAUAGUACCUAAUGAAAACUGAUCCAUGAUUUACGACGAACAAACACGAUUAAAGGAUCUCCUGGAUUCUCACAAAGAAAAUCCGAAAAUGAUCCCUAUUCAUCUAUGAGGUGCAACUUGAAAAUUAGAUGGUUCGACACAUAAAAUUCAACAAGUGGAUUAAAGUAAUCUGUUUGUAAUUUUUUUUUCUUUUUGUUAUUCCUCUUGUAAUUGUUCUAUAUAAAGUGAGCGAAAAAUAUUAUAACUGGAUGGACAUAUCAGCACUAUUGUUAAAAUCGAAGAUAAUAGAAGAUAAUGACUUACUGCCUAAUUGUGAGAGCUCCUAAGGCCAUCUCCAACCGAAGGGUCCAGAGGGCCAGAAGGCCGAAAAUAGCUUGAAAACCGUCUAUGUGGAGCCAAAAAUAUUAACUAAGCGACACGUGAAUUUUUUGACAAAAGAUGACAAAAAUACCCUUGAGGCAUAAUGGGAUUCCUACGCGCGAGCAGCGGGCAAUCAUUCCUCAACGAAGUCAAAAGUGCCCAAAAUAGGUAACAAUUUAAAACCUAUUUCAUCAAAUCUCAUCCACAAGGUAAUUCCCAAAACCUAUCUCAUUCCAUAUAUUUUCUACUUCAUUAUUUAGCUAAUCAAUUAGUUAAAUAAUUUAUUCAUUCCAUAACUCCUAAAACAUUCCUUCUAAAAUCAUGAUAAUUAGCCAAUUAAUGGGUUAAUUGCCUAAUUAAUCCCUUAAUUAUCAAUUAAGUCAUCCAUUUUAUCCAAAACACACAAUAAGGCCGGUCAUCCUUCACCCCCAAAGAAAUCAACCAUGCCUUCAACCUUUUCUACCACAUCUUUCCUUUUUAUAAUAAUUAGCUAAGUUAAUUAGGGAAUUAUUUUGAUUAAUUAGCUAAUUAUUUCAUAACUCCCAAUUUGAAACAAAUCAAAGAUCUAGCCCACAAACAAAGCUAGGUGGCCGGUCCUCUCUCACCCAAGGAGGCUGGCCACUCUCCUAUAAAAAGCCUCACAUUUUCUCCAAAAAAGGUCUCUCACACUCUUGCUAAAAUUCUCCAAAAUUCUCAAACACUUUCUCUCUAAAUUCUAACUUUGGCAUCAGAGGUUUUUCGGCCAAAGCCCCUCCAUUCAUUGUGAGUGCAUGAGGCUUUUGCCCUUGACCUAAGGUGUUAAUUAUUUUGUAGGUGCAAUUUUGUCCAAGAUCAAGAGGAAGAAAUUUGCAUCCAUAGUCUCCAACCGAGGGCUAGGCUAAAAGGCUCGUGGGCCCCACGAAAUUUGAAAGGGCCAAAAGGUUGGCCAAAAGCAGCCAGCCAGCUAGCCCGGGCUAGCUAGAAAAUCAUAGCAAUCAUGUCGGUUCUUAAAGAAAAAUUUGAAUCCAACAACUAACUGACGUCAGCUAAUUGUUAUUUUUGAAUUUUUUUUACAAUUUUUUUUUAUUUACAAAUUUUUUCCUAUAACUUCUAUUUUUUUAGGAAAACUAAUGAAAAUGGCUUGAAAACUUUGAGUUUUAAUGAUAAGGACAAAAUAAAGGGUAAAGUGAAUAGUACUAGAUUUGACUUUUUAGUGUAAAAAUGUGAUUUUUCAUUAAAGUUAACAGUACCAUAGGUUUUUCGUUAAAACUCCCUUUUUUUUUCUAUAACUUCUAUUUUACAAAAUUUGUUUCAUAUAUUUUUUUAAAUUCUAUUUUUUUCCUAUAACUUCUAUUUUACAAAAUUUGUUUCCUUUUUUUUUUUUAAUUCCAUUUUUUCCUAUAACUUCUAUUUCACAAAAUUUGUUUCCUAUUUUUUUUUAAAUUCCAUUUUUUCCUAUAACUUCUGUCACAGCCCGUCCCGGGAUUUUAUUUAUCGAGGACGUGAAAUGACGAGAUUGCCCUUCGCGAUUACUAAGGUAUGUGUGUGUGACAUAUUUUGGACUAAAUACAUAUAUUCCUAAACUUUUGGAAAAAUAAUUUAAGUUGGAUUAAAGUUGGUAUGUAUAUUUUGUGUGGUUAGGGAUUUUAAGAAUUGGGUUGUGACUUGUUUUUGGGUGGACCACACACACACACGGGACAACCCUCUCCUUCCCCGUGCUCUCUCUCUCUCUCUUUUCCGUUUCAGUCUCUCUCUCCCUCUCGAAAUUGUACGGACAAAGCACCAAACCCUCGAACCUUCAUGGAUCGACGCCAAAAAGGGAAUUCUAAGCUUAUAGUGAGCUUAGUGAGAUCCUAAGGAAGCUCAGAGUGCUUAGUUUGAAGGUUUUGGACGUCGGGAUCGUUGAGUUCGAAGUUGGUCGGUUUUCUUGGAAUUUCUCCAGUGAUACCUAUCCCGAGGACGAGCGCAUCCAGGGACGUCAAGGGGGUUACGACCCUUCGACUUAUCAGUGAGUGGACAGUUAUUUUAUGUAUUUACCUAUACUAUUGAUUUUCCCAGAAAUUGAAUUUAUAUGAAAGUAUGUUUUAAAAUGCCAUGCAUGCAUAUUGUGAAUUAUAUGAAUUGAUAAUUGAUGCAUAUAUAUAUAUAUAUAUAUAUAUAUAUGUGAAUUGGUGCUGUGGACGCACAUGUGAGUAUCAGGUGAGUUUUAUGUUAUUCAUGUGAAUCAUUGAUGAUGUGAAUUGUGUUGAGAGCUCAUAACAUGCACCCUUGGUGUUAGUGCUUAUAGUAUUCACCACACCGCACGCUCACCUUGGAUCCAAAUAGGUGCAUGUCGUACAGACCAUGAAAGGGUUCCGACAUGCUAGUCGUAUAGAUCACUAGAGGUGGUUCUGACUGGUAGGUGACCUUAGAUUAUGCGCGCAGAUGAUUGAUGAGAGAAGCACUAGAGCGUAUUAUUUCACCAUUCUUGUCGUACAGACUACUUCAGGUAGUUCUGACUUAUGUGCAGAGUAGCGCCGUACAGGUCACCGUGGUGACUCUGGCUGGAUUGGAUAUUGAGCUAUAUAAUUAACCGUACAAGACCAACUGCAGGGUCUCCGGUUGAUUCAUUAUGUUACCUGUUAUAUUGAUGCAUCCAUAUUCUGUCAUUGACAUUUAUAGCAUGGCAUACUUGCUGGAUUUUGAUAAAGAUUAAUGUUUUGAGAGAUUUGAACAAAUAUUAUGCUAUUAUGUUAUUUUCUGGGAAAAUAUACAGGUUUUACAGCGAGGGGUUAGAAAUGUUUUAAAUGAAAUGUUUUGGAAAACUUUGGUUUUACUAACCCACUAAAUUUUGUUUUGCGCCCCUCCAGGUUCUAGUUAGCAGUUGGUGGCUCACGAGGUUUUCUUCGGCGUUCUGACAGACUUCCUGCAUGUAGGACUCACCUGCGGGUGUUGUAAUUUAAUUAUAGUUAUACUUGACUGCACCUAGUAUUUCUGCUCUGAAAUUGUGUACUGCACACUUAAACUCACUCUAGCAUGCUAGUUGGAUAUUAUUGCUAGUAGUUGGUUUUUUAUUCCUUCGUAUUUCUCAGAUCUUUUGCUUCCGCAUCGCACUUUUGGUUACGUCACGCUCACGUGACGGCCAGCACGCCUUGAUUCUAGGAUCGGGGUGUGUCAACUUCUAUUUCAUAAAAUUUGUUUCAUAUUUUUUUUUUACCAUAACUUCUAUUUUACAAAAUUUGUUUCAUAUUUUUUUUAAAUUCCAUUUUUUCCUAUAACUUCUAUUUCACAAUAUUUGUUUCAUAUUUUUUUUUAAUUCUAUUUUUUCCUAUAACUUCCUAAGCCAUUAUGCAAUAUUAAAUUAAAUUAAGUAACAUGAAACAACAUUAAAUAACAUUGACCAACAUAAAAAUUAUAUAACAUAAAAAAACAUUUAACAAUACGAAACUUAAACAACAUUUUUAAAAACAUUUAACAACAUAAAACUUAAACGCCUACUCUAUGCUUCUUUUGGCCCAAAGAUGUGCAACAAGAUCCUGUUGUAGGUAAUUGUUUGUGGCAUGAGAGCGUAUCAUUCUAUAACGUCUCAUGUACUCAUUUAUAGAGAUACUACCAGUUAUUGGAUUGAAAGGCAAAUUAGGCUAAUUAAUUUUUCUAUCAAGCUAUAUAGUAUUUCACUUGUCUCAAACAACACAAGGUUGGUUUUGUUUCUUUGGUAUACAAGACGAGUUAUGAUCCAUCUCUAUGACAAUUUUGUAACUUUAGGUGAGUGCCGAUGGUUCGAUGGGAGUUAGAAUGAGUAUCCAACUUAAAAUCAAUUAAUAAUGCAGAGGUAUGAGAUCUUGCAUGUGAAGUACUUUCAACACAUCUUUUCAUGUGUAGCAUCUCCUGUGUAUAACAUGUGUUCAAUUUAUAUAAGUGAUGUGAGAGCACAUGUGGCUAUGACACUUAACAAGUUUAUAAGUUAUAAACUCUAGACUCUAAACCCUAAACCCUAACCUAAACACGAUUUUGUUACAUCAAAUACAUACAUCAUGCAGUUCUCCAUGCAAACUAUACCUUUAGCUAAAGUGUAUUUAAAGAAAUGAGUACCUUUGCUUGUUAGAUAUAAAUAUACCAAUUAAUUUGUACUAAAGGUUGUGGGAAAGGAAUAUUUGUACAGUAAAUUUGAAUGUAAAUGCAUAAACAAAUAAAAAAAAUCCUUUGCGGAGAGCUGCUUUUUACAAGAGCAGGAUUAGUAUCUGCUUGAUUGAUGCUGAAUUUCAGAGUCCACAGGGAAAUUCUGGAGCAACUCUGGAAAGUGGGGCACAACCACAAAGAGUGGUGCAGUUUAUCAUGAAGGGUGAGGACUAAUCAUCUGCUGCAGAUGCUACAAUGCUUGACCCGGUAUUUUGAUUCAUCAUCUUUAUCCUCGCUGAUGUAGUAUGCUGGGAGCGGCUAGGAUAAGGCAAUUAUUUCUUUUUUUUUUUUUUUUGGAAACUAAUAAGGAAAUUAUUUCUGGUGCUGGAUAAGGCAAUUAUAUAUACUCAGAAAAGGGUAGAGAUUUUUAUUUUUAAUUUUAAAAAAAAUAGGAAUUAGUUAUAGACUCACUUCACAUCGAACUUCUAUUUUAUAAGUCUCAAUUUAUAGAUCAUCAUUUCAAAUAUUCAAUUCAAUCAGAAAUCAUUUGUCUAUUUAAUUAUCACGAUAAAAUUUCAUUGUUUCUUAUAAAACAAAGUGUUCGUCAAUUUCUUUAAACUCUCUCAGAUAUUUUCGAUUUGACUAAUAUCUGAUCCUCUUUGUAGCAUCUUUGUGAGGAUCCCGGGAAUCCUCUAAUCGUGUACAUUCAUCGUACAUUGUACGGUUAGAAAUUAUUUUAAAUUUUAUAUUUAAAAUUGAAUACAAAUAGUUCCUAACAAAAAUUGACCCACGAUUUACGAUGAACCAACAAUUUUAAAGGAUCCCCUGGAUCCUCACUAAGAGGAUCCGAAGAGAAUUCUCUCUGCAACUUGAAAAAAUAGACAGUUCGGCACGUAAAAUUCAACAUUUGGAUUAAAGUAAUUUGUUUGUAAAUUUUGUUUUUUUUUGUUAUUCAUCUUGUAAUUGUUCUAUAAGAUGAGCGAAAAAUAUGAUAAGUGGAUAGACAUAUCAGCACUCUUGUUAAAAUAAAGAUAAUGGAAGAUAUUGACUCACUGCCUAAUUGUGAGAGGUGUUACCGUGUAACAUUUCCUCGCUGGCGAUCUUAUCUUACAAAACCGCUAGUAACACAGAAGAAAAAACGAAUUUCGAAACCAGCACUUGUCAAUUAAAAACAAUCCGCACGGUCACCACGCGCUGAGCUUCAUUUCCCAUCGGUUGUUUGCACAAAUAUUAUAUCGAUCGAGUUAGGAUUGGGAGACAACUAUUUUUUGACAUUUAUUUUAGAGAACUUUAACGAAAAAUUCGUAGUACUGUUUAUUUUAACGAAAAAUUAUAUUUUUAAACUAAAAAAUCAAUUCUGAUACUAUUCACUUUACCUUUUAUUUUGUCUUUAUCGUUAAAACUCAAAGUUUUCAAACUCUUUUCAUUAUCCUAGUUUUUUUUAAGGAUUUGCAUUGAUGGAAUUAUAUAUCUUCUCCGGAUCUCUUCAUUGGGGAUUCCGAAAAUCAAUUAAUAACAAAUGUUCAUCUAACAUCGUGCAAUCACAAUUUUUUUCUUUAUUUAUUUAUAUUUUUCACACAAAAUAAGGCUGUAUGUUGUUGAAAAUAUAAAUAGAAUUCAAUUAUAGCCGUACGAUCUUUAAUGAACAAUUGGUUAUUUGUCUCCGAGAUCCCCAGUGAGGAGAUCCGGAGAGGAUCUAAUUCCCGCAUUGGUUAUGUUUCAAUUCAUUAUUUAUACAUCAUUCUUACAAACAAUUAAAUAAGUCCAAAACAAUUAAGACACUUACUCUUAGUGAAAAAAAUAGAUGAGUACAAUUUUGCAUAUAAACAGUAAAAUAACUGUCAUUUAAUCCAAUGAUCAAAGUUUCAGAUUUUUAAUAGAUUUGAUAUUUGAAAGAAUUCCUAAAAGAUAAAUAAUUCAAAUUGUUAAGUAAUCCUAGAAAAUAUGUGUCUCCGAACCUAAUCCUAUUAUUAUUUUUUACUAAAUAAUGAUUUCACCUAUGUAUAGUUUCCUGUUUUGUUUUUUCGAGGCCAUUCGAGUUUGGGGCCCUGUGGUUGGAGUCCAACUGCUCACCGAGUUACACCAAUCGAUUAUUAUUCAUGAGAAAUUUUUAAUUGUGAUGAGAACAUAAGUGUUAUAUUACGUGUUUUAAUAAAAAUGGUAGAAAUUUUAUUUUUUUAAAUUAUUAAUUUUUUAUCACAUAUAUCUCACUAUUUAUUUAAUGACACAUGAUGUAUAACUUUAUGCACCGAUCAUAUUGAAAAAUAUCUCAUUAUUCAUGGUAAACAUGCCGACAAGAUUUUGACCAUACGAACACGAUUUUGACGAACCCAAACACGUCAAUUGCUAGAAUUUGAAUAGACAAUGCGGGUUGGAAUUCGUGAUGAAAAUUUGUCCCACGUCGACUGAAAACUUGAGGAAAGACAUCUUUGAGUCCAUCUCAAGCCGCGCAUCAAGCGCAUAAACUUGUGAGGGAAAUUUGUCACACCAAUCAGAGCUGCAGAGACUCUGUUUGGUCAUGUUCAUGAAUGCAUUUGGGAUGUAACGCCUUUCGGGGAUUUUACUCUCUUCCACGAACUUUGUAAUCCUAAUAUAUACCAUCUAUCGUUUUAAAAAAAUAAAAAAAAUAAAAAAUAAAAGUAAGUCCAUCUCACUUAUUGUUAAAUAAGAAAUAAGAACUGAUAAGACUGUUCACUGGAAACAGUUAAUACCCUUUUGAAAGGAUAAGACUGAAUUCAAACCGUCAUAAUUGUUGGUUUAAGCCAUUACAAACUAUGGCUCUAGUAUUAGUAACAUAAUGAUCAAUUUACAAUGUUAUCUUCCUAUUUUUUCACUGAGAUACACACACCAAUUCGCCGAGAAUCCAAGUUUGAGUGCAAGAACUUGAAUUAGAAGUAAAUGUCCGAGAACUACCACACAUCAAUUCGCUGUCAAGAAUCCAAGUCUAAGUGCAAGAACUUGGAUUAGAAGUAAAUGUCCAAGAACUACCAUACAUGUGUGGGGACAGUUGAUUUAGGCCAUUAUAAAUAUAGUUGUAGUAUCAGAAAUGUAAUCAUCAAUUUCCAAUGUUCCCUUCCUAUUCUUUCACUAAGAAACACACAUCAAUCACCAAAAAUCCAAGUUCUAAUGCAAGAAUUUGGAUUAGAUAGUUGAAUCCAAGAACUUGGAUUAGACAAUUGUAGCCUACAAGAUAGACAUCCAAGAACAGCCACACAUGUGUAGGGAUGUAUUUCUGCAUUAGGAGAUUGCUGGUGCAAACCUUUAUCUUUGAAAAACCAAGUUAAUAAUAUUAUUGUGACUCUAGUUACAACUUAUGUUUAAUUUUUCAUAUUUGUGAUUAAGUUAUAUUUAGUUCAAUUUGAUUUCUAUAUAAAGUGUGUAAUUGUUAUAUAUAUUAUAUCAUAUGUAUUUGGUUGGUUUUAACACUAUUUCGUAAUAUUUUCAAAUAGGGUAAUCUUGUUGUGUCAAGAAUUAAAACCCCUAAAUUGCAGGUCUAACUUAGAAAAUUACUUUAAUUAUUUUUGAAUCAAUCACUUAAAAAAGUAUUAGAAUGAGAAAAAUAAUAGCACAAAUGCCUCUAUGAGUCUUUCCGAUCUCCGUAAAUUGCCAUAGCGAAUGUAUUUUAGUAACUAACAAAGAAAAUGUCUUUUAUAUUUCAUAAAAUUAGGGUUGUAAUUACUAAUUAGUGGAUAAGACAAUGAUAAUGCACAUCUCACAUUUGUUCUGUUGCAAAUAUUCCAACUAGGACACAAACACAUGCAUGUGGUAAAAAAGAGGGAGUUUUCUUCACAAAAUUAAAUAAAAAAAGAAAACAAUUUUUAUUUUUCUUUUUUUAUUUAAUUUUUAAAGGGAGAAGGAAAGAGACGGGAAACAUAGUCGUUCGACUCGUUCCCUUGACAGCUUUGAGACGAAACGUUGUGAAGAAAAAGAAAACUUAACCUGUUCGACAUCUUCCAGUCAAUACCGCCAAUGCAUUUUAUACAAAUAUAUAACAGCUGACAUACGUUCUUUAAGCUUCUCUGGGUGGAUCUCGUCAGAAUCGAACACGCGUUUAUAAGGUUUUCACACGAGGAGCCUUUGAAUUUUUGCAUUCCCGGCUGCCAUUUGGAAGCCAUUUGGAAAUUUCUUCAAUUUCAGGCUUUUUCUUCAAGUGAAAUCAAGGUGAAUAUUGAAUUCUUACAGCUCCAUAUGAGCUAUUUCUGGUCUGUUUCUUUCUGGGUUUUGAAUUUUAUUUGAUUUGGUUCAAUAUUUUGGCAGCUUUGGGGAAGAAAAAUUCUGGGUUUUCUAUUGAAUAUCUUCCUAUACUAUUCAGAGUUCAAAUUCUGAUGAGAAGAUAUUUGGUGGGUAGGUGAAAAUUUGCUUGCAUUUGCUGGAAGUUGCGAUAUUAUAUGUGUUCUCUUGAGGAAAAUCGAAUUGGGUCGACGCCAAAUCGCGAAAGUUUGAAACUUUUGUGUGAGUUUUGCUUGACGAAGGUGUUCUAGGGUUUUGGUUAUUAGAGGUUUAGGGAUUGAUGAAAUGAGAAAGAUAUUAAACGUUUUCGGCAACAAAUAGGUCUUAUGAAGACAGGCUGUUUCAUUGCUUUGAUCAUUCUGCUAUGUGCUUCAGCAUCAACGAGCUCAGAGGAGAGCAGCACCACAGAGGAAGUUUUUCUCAGUCAACUAGUCGAUCCAGCAACUGGAAAGAUUGAUGGGGACAUGGUAACACACUACAUAACUUAUCCUAUGAGUAUGUGGUUUCUAGUUUCACAUGGAUUAAUCCUAUAUAUGAUAAAUUUGGUCAUAUGAGUGAUUCCGUCAUUCGCUUUAAAUUUGUAUAGAACGUCUUAUAUAUGGAUUACUCUAUUAGGGAGCAUCAUAUCAUAUUUGUUGGUCGAAAAGUAGAUUCAAAAGUUAGUUAGAAAGUCUAAGCUUUUGAGUACGUGGAAGUACGUUUGGAGCUUAUGAAAUGUUUAAGGCACAAAGCUAAUUUUACUAAAAUAUAUCUUGAUUAUGUUAAGCUAGUGAAGAAUGUUUGGGCGUAACUUAUUUCGAAACCAGAAGUAGUAUUUGACAUAACCAGUGUCUUGGUAAUUUUAACAAACUUUUAUAUUUAUUGCAGAUAAACAAGGCCUUAACAGAAAACAACUUUUAUUAAAAAGAUACUUUGAUGUGUUUGAACUUCACCUUCACCAAAGCCUUCACCAAUGAAAUUUUUAUUCUUCAUUAGCUCUCUAAUACGCUCAUUUUUUCGAAAGUUGACAUUCAAACUUAUGAAAUUCUGUGGCCUGCAGGCACAGCUAUUAUGGAUAAGUUGCAAGGUGGAUUUGUUCCGUUUGACGGAAGCUAUUGAACAUCUUAACUUGUGGUUAACAGAGGAAACAUAUAGUGGCACAGAUGAAAUUAAUUCAAAAACACGGUUAUUGGGAAAAGAAAAGUUUCAAAAACUUAUUAAUGUCCUGCAUCCUGAGGUGAAACGGACUCUAUCAGAUUGUUUAAGAAAGCAUAAUCUCCUAUUCAGUGUCUCUGGAGAAGAGGGUGCCUCUAAGAUUUGGUCUGUCAAGUAUAUCGAGUCCCUGUUUCCCAUACCUUAUGUUCCAAGAAGAAAUUUGGCUGAUGUACCUUCUCCAGCCCCUGCACCAAUAUAUUCUCAACGUAGUCCAGUACCAUCUCCUGGUGUAGCACCUUCCACUUCUCAAAGUCCUAGUCCUACACCUGCACGCCGUUCUCCACAAGGAUCAUUUUUUCCUUCCAUUCCCCGAAAUUCUGGCCUUCAAGCUUCAGGGCCAGCUUCUGGCUCAAAUAUACAGGAGCAUAAAGGACGAGAUGAACGUAAAAAAAUUGUUACUGCUGUUGUUAUAACUGCAUCAGUGACAUUUAUUGUUGCAGCAGUGCUCUUUUUAUGCUGUACUAAAAUCUGUAGAAAUGGGAAAAAGGAUAGACAAAAUGAUGACAGGCCCCUUCUUAGCCUGAGUCUAACUGAUUCUGCUGGUAUAAUUCUCAAAUAUCUUGUUUUUGUUAUCUACAGUUGUUUGGAGCCCUUACAUUUUGACAUUUCUUUGAAAUUUGUUUAUGUUUCAGGUUCUUCAUACAAGUCUUAUGCUAUGGGAAGUUCAAUGAAAGAAGAGAAGCUUGACCAUCAAUCAUUAGGUAAUAACUCAAGUCAUCUCAGGAAGGCCUAAUCUUUAAUAGCAUUUUUGCGUUGAGUCUCAUGUUCUCAAUGCUUCACUAAAUGAAACUGCAGAAUUAGGAUCCCCUGGAGGUGCUUCCAAGUUUGACGUAUCCAACAAUAUCAAUGGACUAGUACCACCUCCUCCUGGAAUAUCUCUUCUGAAGCCUCCGCCUGGCAGAGCAAAUCCUCUCCCACCUGAACCACCUUCUUCAUUUAAGCCUCCUCCCAGCAGGGCUAGUCCUCCUCCAGCGCCUGUCCCACCUCCCGCUUUAAACCCCCCAGGGAGUGCAGGCCCUCGGCCCCCACCUCCUCCAGCACCUCCUGGCCCUCGGCCCCCACCACCUCUAGCACCUCCUGGCCCUCGGCCCCCACCACCUCCAGCACCUCCUGGCCCUCGCCCCCCACCACCUCCAAAGAGCGGCGUUCCUCCUCCUCGGCCACCUCCAGCAAUGGCUAUUGGUUCAAAGGUAGCUCGACCUCCACCUCUUGCACCAAAACAUCCAUCGGAUGCUGGAUCGGAGGUUGAUGGUGAUGCUCCUAAAACAAAGCUGAAGCCCUUUUUUUGGGAUAAGGUUCUAGCAAACCCUGAUCAUUCAAUGGUUUGGCAUCAGAUUAAGUCAGGAUCAUUCCAGUAAGUCGCAAUUUUUUUACCUUUUUUUCUUUUUGACCCAUGAGUCAUUAGAUAUUAUAAGCCUCUGAAAACAAUAUGUGAUUCUUAAAACAGGUUCGAUGAAAAUAUGAUUGAAACUCUCUUUGGGUACAACGCUGCUGAUAAAAACAAAAAUGAACGCAAGAAAGAGUCUUCAUCUCAAUAUCCUACGCCACAGUUUAUUCAAAUUAUUAAUCCCAAAAAGGCACAAAAUCUAUCAAUUCUUUUGCGGGCAUUGAAUGUGACCAUAGAAGAAGUCUGUGAUGCAAUUCGUGAAGGUAACUUUUCUCCUUUCUUUCCGUGGCAUUAAAUAAUAUGCAAGUAUUGUCCUUUCCUCAUUUUCCAGUAUGUCGAAAUGAAAUGUACUAGAAGGGAUAUAUGAUUUUCCUAGAGGGAAGCCUGCAAGGUAGCCAUUUUAUGAGGUUUGACCUAUGUCAGUUCAAGUGGCAGAUGCACUUAGGGAUAUUGUUACUCUGCAAAUUCUUGGUGAAACAUUUUCUUUGAGGAGUUACUUGUUCACUUAUCUGCUCAGUUUUUUAUUUGAGACAAAAUUUCUUAUUUUCAUAGAAGAAUAAUUUGUACAGAAAACUAAAACAAAAGAUGAUAAUGAACCUAGUGUUUGUGGAGGGGCAAGUGUGUUUGUUAUUUUUCUGGAUAGGACGGUUAGAAUGAUAUAAGAGAAGUUUUGAAGAUUAAGGGAAGUGAAGGGCUUGUGAGAAAAUGUUUGUUAUUAGGAUUUGAUAUGUUUUGAUUUUAUUGAUAUACCUUUCUUCCACAUUUACGCAGCUUGGAAGGCAGCAAUCUUUAAUGUAGGUGUGAUUUAUUGUUUUGCUGUUGUAUUAUCUUCAAAAUUUUGUGGUGGAUUUUAGCAGCCGGUAGACUAGAGAUUCUGCACAUCUUGAUGUGUAGAUAGUUUGUUCACUCUGCUUCCUAUUGUUAAGCUUUUUAUAACCAUUUCUCUCUGAACUGUUUCCCUGCAAUCAAAUUGGUCACAGAAAUGCAUCAAUAUGCCUUCCAAACUCGGGGGUUAUGCAUCAAUGUACCCCAUGGCGUCUGAUCAUUAGUUUUUCUGUUAAAAAUUGUCGUGCAACAAGCACAUGAUGUGAUUUCAGGGGUAGAAAUAGAAUGGUAGACCCUCAAUUGAAGAUUUACAAAAGAACCAUCUGUCUCUCUUUCACCCUCCUCUCUAUCACCCUUUCUCGCAUCUUGCUCCUAGACACAGUCAAUGUACUCUAACGUGCUAAACAAACAUCACAAAACAACCUAUUUGAACUAAUUAACCAGGUAAUCAAACACUGUAGACUAAGAAUAACAUAAACUACCCAAAAUGCUUACCUGCUAUAGGACUUCAAAUAAUUAUUUUUGAAAACCAUAAGUGAAAAUGCCCUCAAUAUUUGGUCAUCUGCUUUGCAUGUGAUCAAAUUGAACAGAAAUUGAACAAUCAGAAGUCUGGAGCCACAUUGAUGCAUGGUAAUAGAGUUUGAGGGUCACAAUGAUGCAAUUGAAAGUUCGGGGGCCACUUUGAUUACGGGAACAUCUUCUCAAAUUCUUGAGGGAACAUCUUGUCUGACUAAUAGAAUAACAUACAAAGAAUUCUUACUAAAGACUGUUUCUACAAUGACCCAUUAACAUGCGUUUACUUUUCUUAAUUGGAUCAGGGAAUGAGCUUCCCUCGGAAUUCUUACAAACUCUGUUGAAGAUGGCACCAACACAAGAAGAAGAACUAAAGCUUAGAAUGUUCAAUGGUCCACUUUCUCAACUUGGGCCUGCUGAGCGGUUUCUAAAAGCGUUGAUUGACAUCCCAUUUGCUUUCAAGCGAUUGGAAGCACUACUUUUUAUGUGCACUCUUCAGGAGGAGGCCACCCACCUUAAAGAGUCUUUCGCGACCUUAGAGGUACUGUAUAUCUGAAUUGCAUCACUUGUAUGAUUUUGCGUGUCAUAGCUCACCUACCCAUGCUUUUAGUUUUCUUACAUUAACUUCUAUUUGUUCAGAAAGUGUUAAAAAGAAAGAACUAAUAUAGCUACCUAAACUAUGUUUAUACAACAAUAAUAAACAUAGAACACAGUGCAGAUCUAUGUUAAGCUAGCAUCCUAUGUUCUCUACGCUACACAAAGACAUAUUGCUUUUGAGAUGUGCAAAUCAUCCGUUGAUUAAGGAGAAAACACACCCCUAGUUUGCAAACCCGAACCAAUAAAGGGCCAAAUGCCAAUAAAGGUCGUACCCAGUGCACAAGGCUCCCGCUUUACGCAGGGUCUGGGAGAGGUGAAUGUCUGCUAGCCUUACCCCCAUUUUAUGGAGUGGCUGCUCCCAAGUCUCGAACCCAAGACCUACCGCUCAUGGGCGAAGGCACUUGCCAUCACACCAAGUGCGACCUCAAGGAGACAAAUGCCAAUGGCAAAAGAAAAAUGUACAGUUGAAAUGGCAUGAAAAAGUUUGAUGUAACAAGGAGACAAAUGAUGCCAUGAUUGCAAAGUACGCAUGGGAUUGGUUGCUACUAUGCACAUAUGUUGAGAACAUGGUAGUGGCAGACCUGUGGUCGCUUUUAUUUCUGGUGGGGUUUAGACCCCAACUCUUGCGUAUUACUUCAUCUAGAAGCCUUUAAUUAUAAAUGUCCCAUGACUGCUCUUUCUCCUUAAUGAGAUUGCUGAAGAGAUUGGAAAAUGUUGGCAGAUAUUUUAUACAUUAUGCUUAUGGUUUUCAAAGUUCACGUCACUUCUGUGAUGACUAGUUUAUUCAGAAUUCAAUUUUAUAUUGCUAAUGAUAUUCACAUGUUGAAGCAGAGGACAAUAGCAUAUCAAAACUAUGUGUUAGAUAGCUUUUUUAAAGUGAAACGAUAGCAUAUCUAUUAGAUAGCUUCGGCUUAGUCAUGUCAGCAAAGCUGAAGGCUCAAAUGGCCCAGACCAUACUGUCCUUGGGAGUUGGACAUUAGAUAUGGGAUCUAUCUGCAUUUAGAGGAGAUUCCUGAAGAUAAUCUGGCAUGAGGAUAUGUACAAAUGUACUUGUACGACAUUUAUAAAAAUGUCUUAUCAGUUCCUAUUAAAACGGGGCACAGUUUUUUGUUGUUGUAACCUAUCAUUUUUUGUUUGCUACCAGUAUUUUUUGGUCCAUAUCUCGAAACAUUGCACUAAAAAUAUCUUAAUUAUAUGGCACCUCAUUUCUACGGCAGGUUGCUUGUAAGGAACUAAGAAGCAGCCGGCUUUUCCUCAAGCUUUUGGAAGCUGUUCUUAAAACUGGCAAUCGCAUGAAUGACGGAACAUUUCGUGGUGGAGCACAAGCUUUCAAACUUGACACACUCUUGAAAUUGUUAGAUGUAAAAGGAAUAGAUGGCAAGACAACGCUUUUGCACUUUGUUGUUCAGGAAAUAAUCCGCUCUGAGGGUGUCAGAGCUGCUCGUACAGCAAAAGAGAGCAGGAGUUUCUCUAGCAUCAAAACAGAUGAUCUCCUUGAGGACACUUCCAAUGAAACAGAAGAACAUUAUCGCAGUCUCGGUCUUGAGAAAGUUUUAGGUUUAAGCAAUGAACUUGAGAAUGUCAAAAAAGCAUCUGUUUUAGAUGCUGAAAGCUUAACAGGAACUGUUGCCAAACUUGGUCAUGCACUGAUAAAAACCCGGGACUUCCUGAACACGAACAUGAAAGAUUCAGGGGAAGAUAGUGAGUUCCAUGAAACACUGAAGAGUUUCGUGCAGAAUGCUGAGGUUGAUAUCGUGGGUCUUGUCGAAGAAGAAAAGAGAAUCAUGGUUCUGGUGAAGAGCACUGGUGACUACUUCCAUGGGAGUUCAGGGAAAGAUGAGGGCUUACGAUUGUUUGUUAUUGUGCGAGAUUUUUUAAUAAUCGUAGAUAAGGUUUGCAGAGAGGUAAAAUUGGCACAAAAAAAGUCAACAAAAGUUCAGAAAAAGGAGACACCUUCCUCUGAACCCCACCAGCCUUCUACAACACCAUCGGCCUCUGAUCUUAGGCUGCCUCCUCCGCCUGAUCUCCAUAAGCGGCUUUUCCCGGCAAUCCAAGAUCGACGAAUGGAUAACUCUAGCUCAGAUGAUGAAAGUUAAUUGAUUUUACUUGGAGAAGGUAUGUUCUAACCUAGUUUAAGAAAGAUAAUCUCUCGUAUAUUUUAUAGAAGUUCAUUCCAUGCGUGUGCGUGUAAUUUAAUUAGAAAAAAAGCAAGUCAAGGAUAUUUAUCUUGAGUACCAAAUAAGAAAUUAUUUUCUUGGCAUGUACUCAGGUGAACAUCACUGUAGAAUCUCAACAACGACAUGCCCUUUUGGUUCGUCUGAAGAUGUUAUCCGUAUGCAGUGAUCACAUAAGGAUUCGUGAAAGGGGGGAUAAGAGUUGAGCCUGUGGCAUAUACCCUUCUCUUCAAGGUGGAAUUUCACUGGAUUGAAUCUAUGCUCACUUUCGAAAGUACCUCCGGUGAUGUUUGACCCCAACUUAUGGCUGGCCGUGUACAUCAAUGACUCACCACUGAUCAGGCGGACGAUAGGACUAAUGUCGCACAACGCCAGUACUAUACCGAACUGGCUGAACUGUGGCUGCUCAUCCUCCUUUCAAAAGGCUAACAAUUUCUUGAUUGACUAGCUAUUGGACCCAACAUCGCAAUAGUAGAGUGACCUUCCUUGUAAUUUGGUGUCCUGUGGAGAAUGAACUUAUGACAAAACAAUGUUAUUGCCCUCAGACAGCCGGAAGUCCGCAGCAGCGAUUUAGACUGGGUGGUUGUUUUUUCCUAUUUCUUUGUUCUUCUCACCUAUGAUUAUUUGUUUUUUACUUUUGUUCAUAAUUUUGACCUUUUGGGAGUGAAAAAGGUGUAGCAAGGUAGUUUUGUGUUCAAUAGAAUUGUUUUUACUUUUUUUUUGUUGUUGUCCAAAUAGAAUUGUUUUAACUUACCGUCGGAAGUUUCUUGUUUCAUAUUAAACAAAGAACAAUGUUACGGGCAUGAGAGGCUUCUGUGGCGAUAAAGAAGUUUAAACAAAGUGCUGCUGGGCUCUUCUCAUUUUCUUAUUUUUCUCAUUCUCCAUAAAACUAAAAAUAAAGAGAAAAUUGUAGCAAUAGUCCUUUAAUUUUGAAUUAUUUGGAGUAAUGAUAUAUCAACUAAAAAUUCAUGACCGUUUGUCCCUUAAUUCAUCAUAACAUGCAGCUAUGGUCUUUUUAUCAACUCCAUCAGAAUUUUGUCAAAAUGACUCAUGUUGGAAUGACCAUUUCCAUAAUUAGGUUAAAGUUGAGGGAUCAUUGCUCCAGUUGGAUUAAAGUCGAGGGACCGUUUCUCUUAUUGGAUUAAAGUUGAGGGAUUAUUGCUACAAUUUUUUCAUUUGAUUUUCUAUACUUGCCCCUUGAUCAGCCUCAUAUACACAAGUGACUCAUUUUGGCUGAAGUUGUAACGAAGUUGACGAAAAUGACCAUAGCUACUGUUGACCCUAAAAACUACCAAGCCUACGUGGCGCGCAGACCUAGUAAUCUAUAAGCUAACUACGUCCUUCGGUGAAUGCAGGGCGUGCCAACUCGUCGGCCGAGCUUGGCCGAGGAGUAAAUUUGUUGAUGUUGCGUUGGGUGCGCGGCUGACUUCUGCGUCUUGCGAUUGCGAUCGAGAAAGGAACACGUCUCGGCCUCUUGGGUUCUCGAACCUGAAGACAAGGCUACUAUUCUUACGAAGUUCAAUAUCAAAUUCGGCUUUCAAUGUGCCGAAUGUAAUAACUUGUAACACCUCACUUCGCUGAGAAGGCUGAUGAGAUGCCUUGACCAAUAAGGAUUCAGAAAUCCUUCUCGACCGAGACUUGGAUAGGUAAUCAACCGUCCUCGCCGCAGUGCUGUUGAUGCCAACGGAAGAUGCUGCGAGAUCGGCUGAUUCUACGGUGACAGAGCUAUCUAUGCCGACUUAAGAUAUCACCGGUUGCUUUCACAAUGCUGUUGAUGCCAACAGAAGAUGUGUCAGCGAAAAGAGAAAAUAAAAAAUCUCAAAGUUAUUGAGAGAGUUUGCGCAGGGCAGUUGUGUGUGGAAUUGGAGGUCCUCUUCCCAUUGCCACUGCAUCUGUAUUUAUAGCACUGAAGUACUUGCUCUGCACGGUCAGAUGAUGUUGCAGAGUUUAAUUGCAAUUCUAAUUCCUGAAGUUGAUCCGUAUCAGAACCCAGAAACCAGGGCUAUCCUUCAAACUGAGCCGUGAGAUUUGUUCCAAGACUUUUCAAACUUAACAGUCCAUCUAGGCUUAUCACAUCACAUUUCUAGUCCACCUAGGCUUCUCAUCUCUUUGUCAAAAACCUAUCCGUAGCCAUGCUUUAUCCCAUUAAGAUUCCCAAGAUAACCUACAUGCUAGGCUUUAAAUAAAUAAUAUUUACCUAAACAACCAUCCAUUAUAUAUAUAUAUAUAUACAGAGAGCUUAAGGGGAGGGAUCCCCAUUUUUUGAAAAAAUGGGGAUUAGGUGUGGGGCCCACUUCACAUCUAAUUUCAACGAUCCGAACCGUCUAUUUUGUUAGUCUCGAUCCAUAGAUCAUCCUUGCAAAAUAUUAGCAACAUUGGAAAUGUUUAAGACAUCUAAUUGGGUUCAAGGAAAUGAACGAAUACUUUGUUAUAUAAGAAAAUAUGAAAUUUGAUAUUGAUAAUUAAAUAGGCAAAUGGUUUCGGAUUGAAUUGAAUUUUUGCAAGGAUGAUCUAUGAAUCGAGACUAACAAAAUAGACGGUUCGGAUCGUUGAAAUUUGAUGUGAAGUGGGCCCCACACCUAAUCCCCAUUUUUUUCAAAAAAUGGGGAUCCCUUCCCUUAAGCUCUCUGUAUAUAUAUAUAUAUAGUUGGUAGUCUUUCACAUGGCAUGGACACUAACCCCAUCAUCAAUUUUUAUGAUCCUAUACUCAAUCUGACAACACCAACACCACAAGUCAUCAAUCUCUACUGUCGUGCAUGCAUAAUUAAAACAUAAUUCACCAUUAAAAGAUAAUAUCAUGAUUAAAACCACAAUGUAUCUUUCAAUAAUAAUUAUCUCAACUAUCCUGUCAUCCAACGGUUGAGAGCCAUGUUCAUCAACGGCUUUGAUCGCACGAACCGAUAGUGUAAAAUCAGGCCUAAACAACUACACGUUUUGAAAAGUUAAUGGACGAAUGGUCAUGAAUUUUUAGUUGAGAGACUAUUACUUCAAUUGAGUUAAAGUUGAUGGACCAUUGCUAUAAUUUCAUUUUAAAAAAUUAAAAAAAAAAAAAAAAACAUCCUUGCUAUUUUCUCACCCACUUUGUCUCUUAAAUACCCCCAACAUGACAAUGUUAUCCAGUGAUCCCAACCUGACCUCUCUGAAUUCCCAUUCAUUCUCCAAAUUUCCAUUACUCCAGUCGAGUUUAAUGAGAUUGCCACCCAGCAGCCUACGUCAUUUUUGUUAGUUCCAACAAAAAUGAAAAAAAAAAAAAAAAAAUAACAAGAAGGGCAAAAGACUGUUUACUACCCUCAUGUUCCGUGGUUUUCAACAUUUAGUACAUCAAUUUUUUUUCGUCUCAGAGUCAUACCUAAGGUGUAAAUUUUGGGACAGUUUCAUACAUCCGUUAGUCAAACUGUUAAGUCUCCCGUUAAGUGAUGACAUGGCGCACAUGUGGACAAUGACUGGGUGCCACGUGUCAUUAAAAUACUUAAAAAAUUAAUUAAAAAAUUAAAAAAAAAAAAAAAAAAAAAAAACAAACCAGCCAUUUUCCCCCUCUCCCCCCGCGCCCCCAACCCAAAGGAAGAAGAAGGAGAAAAAAAAAGAAAAAAAAAUUGUCUGCCAACCCAGAAGAGGAAGAAGAAGGAGAAGAAGAAGAAGAAGAAGAAGAAGAAAGAAAAAAAAAAAAAAACAGAAUCUGCAACACCAGAAGAAAGAAGAGAGGAGAAAAAAAAAAAAAACCGUCUGCCAACCCAGAAGAAGAAGAAGAAAAGGAAGAAUGAGGAAGAAGAAGAAGAAGGAGAAGAAGAAGAAGAAGAAGAAAAAAAAAAAAAAAAACCUGAAUCGGCAAAGAUGAAUUCGUCCCCCCCCCCCCCGCGACCCACUUGUUCCAACGCCUCCACAACUACUUGGGCUUUGUUCCUGGGUUCUACGGGAGUCUAAUGAUGGUGGUGGUUGACGAGAUUUACUUCAAAAAUGGCGGAUAGCCGUCACACCACCUUCGCUGCACCCCUCACGGUUUCUUCCAUUUUCACCACCAAAUCUCUCCAAAUUUGGGAUGUAAUAGGUAGAGGGAAGGUCAUGAAGUUGAUUCUAGGUGGUUAGGUAGUGCAAUUUGCUGGAAAAAUAGGUGAAAAUUUGUCGGAAAACAAAGAAUGAUGCGGGUAGGGUCGCGGGUCAAGGAGAGACCCGGCCGUUCCCCUCCUUCUCCCCUCCCUCCUUUCUCUCCUUUCCUCCUCCCUCAUUCGCCACCUCAUUUCUCUCUCCUCCUCCCCUUGGCCGAAACUCUCCCCUUUCUCUCCUGAAACUCUCUUCUUCCUCUCUUCCUUCUUCUUCCUCUUUCUUCCUUUUCUGGGUUGCAAACGGCUUUUUUUUUUUUUUUUUUUUUUUUUUUUUUUCUCCUUCUUCUUCCUCUGGGUUAGGGGCACGGGGGAGAGGGGGAAAAUGGAUUGUUAAUUUUUUUUUAAAUUUUAAUUAUUUAAUUAAUUUUUUAAAUAUUUUUAAUGACACGUGGCGUCUAGUCAUUGUCCACAUAAGCGCCACAUCAUCACUUAACGGGAGAACUAACAGUUUGACUAACGGAUGUAUGAGACUGUUCCAAAAUUUACACUUUAGGUAUGACUCUGAGAUGAAAAAAAAUUGAUAUACUAAAUGUUGAAAACCAUGAAACUUGAGGGUAGUAAACAGUCUUUUGCCCUAAGAAGAAAAUCACAUCUGAAAAGACACCCAGCCGCCGUAGGCGGCCCCCCAUAGAACCACUGCUCACUCCUCCUUAGUUGUAAUCACUAAUUCUUAAACCCUAGGGUUUUAGUCUGCGUGUUCCAAAGUCCAGUUCUCCAUCUAGGGUUUUGAUUCCAUUCGGCUGAACAGUAAGGAGAGCUUCGGAAUUCCAUUCGGCUGCUCAGGAAUCCCAACUUUUCAUCGUCAAAGGUUUUGCUCGCUUUUAAUUUUUGUUAUUGUUAUUCUUCUUUCCAAUUGUUCAACUUUCACUUGCUAAUUGCUACUCAGAUUUUAGGGUUUCAAUUCAAUUAUUGUAGGAUUAGACGUGUAAAGAUUUGAGCUUUUGGAACUUACCCAAGAAUUAAUUUCCCUAAUUGUUCGACAUUUUGAUUUAUCAAAUUUGUUCGAGAUGGUUAUGUAUAUUUGGUGUAUCUGCAAUUCCGCAGCUUAAAAAAAUCAGUUGUUUGUGAUACCUUCGCAGUUAAUUUGUGGCGGUUGCUUUGAAUUAUUCAGCAUAUCAUCCUUAAGGAAUGCUGUUAGCAGACGGGCUCACAAGGAACGAGCUCAACCGUGAGUGACCACAUUCUGUUCGCUGUUAGACUUUCGGAUAAUGUUGUUUUGCAUCAGAUGAUGGGAUUAAUGUUUUUGUGUUUUGGGUCCAAAUUUUUUAUAGGGAAUCGAAGAAAAAAUUUGGGCUGCUUGAAAAGCACAAGGACUAUGUUGAGCGUGCGAAAGCGUAUCAUAAGAAGGAGGAGACUUUACGGGUAAAUUUAUGAUGGUUAUGUUGCUUGUCUCCUUGGAUUUCAUCAUCUACUAAUAGCCUGGUAGUUUAACUUCCGGAUAUGGUAUACGUCUCUCAUCUGUCUUUUCACCCAACAAAUGAGAAGGCCUUCCUCAGAAACCCAGAUGAGUUCAACUUCAAGAUGACCAAGACACGAACUGUUGAUGGAGUCCAUAAAUUAGAGUAACUUCUAUAUCGUUUUCCUUUUUCACACUUGCUACUCAAAUGGUAUAGCUCACUACAGGAGUCGGGCAAACAAGUAAACUCCAGAAGAGCUCCUGCUUAUGAAGACCCAAGAUAUUGGAUACAUAUUUCAGAAAGUGCAGAGUGAGAAAAAGGUUAUAAAUACAUAUAUCAUGAAGCUAUGGGCUACCAAUGGGUUUUUUGAAAUUAACAUGUUGGUUAUAAUUAUGUCGUUAAUUAAUUUAGAAAACUGAAAAGUUAACUGCGACGCUGCACUCUUUUGAUAAUUGGCCUUCAAAUUGAUACGUUUACUUUGCUGAAGACAGGUUUGAGCUUCCUUCAAAUCUUCUGUCCUUGGAGAAUUUUAAUUCUGAAUUAGUGGAUUUUUUUUAUUUUUUUCGUUGCUGUUAUUUGUAAUCAGACUUGGAUCUGGGGAAAGACCAUUUUCACCAUUUUUUCAAUUCUUUGUUAUCCCUUAUUAUCCCCAGAGGUUGCAUGUUUCCAUUGUUCUAAUUGAUUUUGUUAUGUAUAUUUUCUUAUAUUCAUUGAAUUUGUUUUGUCAUCAGUAGGCACAAGUAUCUAGAGUGAUUUGUUAACCCCUUUUUCCAAGCAAACACACAACACACAACACAAACACGAACAUAUAUCUGGUGUACAUGAACCCCAACGUUCAUAUGCACGCAUACACUACACACAUUGAAAAGGAACGGUAACAAAUGGGAAGAUGAUGUAUACAUAAAACUUGUGUGUUUCUCCUGAUUCUGUUUUGGACUUAUAUGAAAUGCUUUUCAUCAUUUUUACUUGAGUAUAUUUACAAAACAAAUUUAUGGCCCCGAAAAAGGGGACAUAGAAAUAAUGUGAUACAAGUGACUCUAAGUGUGCUAUUAGAAAUAAUGUGAUACAAGUAAUUCUGAUUCUGUUGAAAGUAGAUCCUCGUGGCUUCUACUGGGGACACUAGGCUAAUUUCUUAGUGUUGUUAAUUGUUUCUUGGGAAGACAUUAUUAUUCAAUUCUUCACAUAGGGGUAUGAUCUAUAAUGUUAUUAAAUUCAUGUGAGACCACUCCGUGUGAAAGAGUUGGGAAGAAAAGUAGUUUCUUAACUUCUUGUCAUUUAUGUUCCCGUUUGCCAAAUAUUUUACAUAUACUUGAGUCAAAAUAAACAAACAAGAGGGAGCCUUCACAAAGGUUGCUUAGGAGAAGUCUCAGCAGUCGGUAGAGCCCCAGAAAGAGAAGGCACCGGAGGGGGAUCAUUCGGAGCCUCAGUACUGGACAGAACCCUAGAAGGAGGAGGCAUCAGAGGUUGAUCAUUUGGAGCUUCAUUACGCGGUACAGCCCCAGAAGACGAAGGCAAUAAAUGCCUUUGGAACAAACCCACAAAUCUCUGAUGAUCAAGUAAAACCUGACCAUCAGAUUCCUUCAUUUGGUCAAGCUUCCUCUUCAUGUUUGUAGCAUAGUCAUGUGCGAGCCGGUGCAACUGUUUAUUCUCAUGCUUGAGCCCUCUAAUCUCCUGUUUGAGACUCAUCACUUCAGCCGCCAAUGAUUCAACUUGGCGGGUUCGAGCAAAUAGGCGUUGGGCCAUAUUAGACACAGAACCUGCACACUGAACACUAAGAGCCAGAGAAUCCUUAACAGCCAACUCAUCAGACCGUUUGGAAAGUAGUCUGUUAUCUUUGGGAGUGAGAAGGUUCCUGGCCACUACCGCAGCGGUCAUAUCAUUCUUCAUCACGGAAUCCCCAACGGUAAGAGGACCAGUAGGGGAGACGAAGGAUGGGCGCCAUAUGUUGUCUGGAGAAGGCGGGGCUGCCUCUUCAACAAGGUUCAAGUCAAAACGACGGUCGGAGGGGCCAGACAUUUUCAAAGGUGUUGAAGAGAGAAGAGGUCGGAUAAAUCAAGAUCUUAGAAGUGCAAGAAUGGAGCUUCUACUGGUGGAUAUUCAAGUGUGCUUUGGAACUUAAUGUCAGCCCCUAUAAAAAUCUGCACUCGACGAAGCUUCAGAAAUCGAAGAGGCGCCUGCUCAGAAAUCGAAGAGGCGUUUGCUUUCUCAAAAGCUGGGCUGCUCAGAGACCACGAGGGUCGAUCUCAGAAAUCGAAGAGACGUUUGCUUUCUCAAAAGCUGGGCUGCUCAAAGACCACGAAGGCCGAUCUCAGAAAUCGAAGAGGCUUGCUUUCUCAAAAGCUGGGCUGCUCAGAGACCACGAGGGCCGAUCUCAGAAAUCGAAGAGGCACCUACUUUUCCAGCCUUGUCAGCACCUGUCACACGCACACUCAGCUUUGCGGAAAUUAUGGGCAUUCUGUCGAAGAUUUCUGGCGAAGUAGAAAGCACAUGAAUCGUACUGUUCAAUCACCCACUUCCCACACGCAACAGUAGCUCAUGGGUACCACAGAUAACUUUGCCAAAGUUCUCUGACAAAGUUGAGACACGUGAAGCUUGCAACUCCCACUACAUCGCUCUGACCAAUAAGGGUAAAAGAAUUGCAAAGAAACAACACUAACAAAGUUUAGACACAUAAAUUUUGAAGGUCUAGCUACCAUAUUAUUACCCACAAGGGUAAAGGAACAGUACCACUGCUGGAUAAUUGGAAAGUCCCGGUGUGUCAACCUCUGUGCUUCGUGGCAAGGUAGACUAGCAAACAUGCCCAACCUUUACUCACAUUCAAGAAAAUCGAAGAGGCACCGCCCUCCAAAUCUCGAGAGCCAGACUCCCAACAUGAUUACUUUCUCAAAAAUCGAAGAGAGGGUAAAGAAACAGUACCACUGCUGGAUAAUUGGAAAGUCCCUGUGUGUCAACCUUUGUGCUUCGUGGCAAGGUAGACUAGCAAACAUGCCCAACCUUUACUCACAUUCGAGAAAACACUCCCAACAAGAUUGCUUGCUCCAAAAUCGAAGAGGUACCGCCCUCCGAAUCUCGAGAGCCAGACUCCCAACAUGAUUACUUUCUCAAAAAUUGAAGAGAGGGUAAAGGAACAGUACCACUGCUAGAUAAUUGGAAAGUCCCUGUGUGUCAACCUCUAUGCUUCGUGGCAAGGUAGACUAGCAAACAUGCCCAACCUUUACUCACAUUCGAGAAAAUCGAAGAGGCACCGCCCUCCGAAUCUCGAGAGCCAGACUCCCAACAUGAUUACUUUCUCAAAAAUUGAAGAGACACCGCUCUCCGAAUCUCGAGAGCCAGACCCCCAUCAGGAUUGCUUUCUCAAAAAUCGAAGAGGCAUCGUUCUCCGAAUCUCGAGAGCCAGAUCCCCGACAGGAUUGCUUGUUCGAAAACCGAAGAGGCACCACUUUCCCAACUUCAAGAGCUGGAUCUCCUUGGAUAAAGCUUGUCUGUAAUCUUCACACGCAACAUCAGCUUUCCAGAUACCACAGACCACUUUUUCAAAGUGCUCUGACAGAGUUAAAACAUGUGAAGCUGACAGCUCCCACUACCGUGCUAUGACCAAGCAGGGUAAAGGAAUAGCAUUAUUACUUGAUGUUAGGGAGACUCCUAUAUAUGUCGACCUCCAUCCCUAACGGAGAGGCAGACCUGCAAUAAUGCUCAACCCUUUCUCUUAUCUGAGAGGGCACUCCCAACGAAGCCUUUCGAAAUAUUCAGCUUUCUUUCCCCCCGAUAAUACCUCUGUAAACAAGCUAUACUAGAGCAAGAAUAUCUCAUAUCAUCAGGGUUAAAAGCAAGAGUAUCCCAUAUCAUGCUUUUUCCCUGUCUUUUCCUUUGGCCUUGUUCUUACCUGCACGACAAGGAGAAAGAGAGCAAUCAGUCAGCACUUGGAAUCAAGCUUCCAGCCAGGAACUGACUGCCUGGAACCCCUUACCUGAUUACUUACCUGGCAUUGCUCUCGAGUACUCAUCUUCAACAUCUUAUGCUUCCAGGGAAGAUACCGCACCUGCAUGAGGAACAGAUAGGGCAAGUGAGAAGGAUACAAGGAAGCAUGUGGAGACAAGCGUAACAGCAUACGUGCCGAUACAUCCACUACUCUGUCAAAAGCAAAAGUAUCCCAUAUCAGCAGGGUCGAACGUACUCUAGAUUUGAUGGACUUGUUUUGACCCUCAAAUUCUUCAGUCGGCCUUAUACUCUGGAGGAAACCAGAAAACCCACCAGCCCAGUUCAAGAAUAAGCCUGUGGAAAGUUACUUCUUCAAAAGCAAAAGUAUCCCAUAUCAUCUCUUCUCAUUUUUCUUCUCUUUAUCCUUCAUGCUGCCUGCAAGAUAGGGAGAAUGUGAACAAUCAGCCGGAGCUCUGAUUGCUUACCUUGUCUGUCACCUCUUUCAGCAGAUCGCCUAGCUCGGCGACUUGGGGGACUCCUACUACAUGGUUUGUAUCGCGCUUGACCAAGCAUGAAACUACAAGUAAGCUUCAAGUGAAAUUGAUACAUUACCUUGUGCAUCUCCACCAGUUACAGAUACCACCCCUGGAUGGAGGAAGAGUACUUCCAGAGAAGAUGCCACAUCUACCUAUGAGACAGAUAAGGCAAGUCAAGACGAUACCACACUCCGGUACUUAGAAGUUUCAUGGCUACGAGAUCAUUCUCCCACAAUAUUUCCUAAUGUCAUUUGUACUAAAUCAUUCACUUGUACUCACUAAAGGAGAGCUUGAACCUAUGUACUUGUGUAAACCCUUCACAAUUAAUGAGAACUCCUCUAUUCCGUGGACGUAGCCAAUCUGGGUGAACCACGUACAUCUUGUGUUUGCUUUCCUAUCUCUAUCCAUUUAUAUACUUAUCCACACUAAUGACCGGAGCAAUCUAGCAAAGAUCACAAAAAGUGAUUGUUUUCGCUACCUAGGAUCUAUCUUGCAAAAGAACGGAGAAUUAGAUGGAGAUCUCAACCAUAGAAUACAAGCUGGAUGGAUGAAGUGUAAGAGUGCAUCCGGCGUGUUGUGUGACCGUCGUAGGCCACUGAAGCUCAAGGGAAAAUUUUAUAGGACGGCAAUAAGGCCAGCGAUGUUGUAUGGCAUAGAAUGUUGGGCGGUGAAGCAUCACACGUACAUAAAAUGGGUGUAGCGGAAAUGAGGAUGCUUCGUGGGAUGUAUGGGCACACGAGAAAUGAUAAGAUUGGGAAUGAGGAUAUCCGAGGUAAAGUAGGAGUAGCCAAAAUUGAAGGAAAUAUGAGAGAAAAUCGGUUCCGGUGGUUUGGACAUGUGCAAAGAAGGCCUACUGACGCUCCGGUCCGAAAAUGUGACUACGGGACAGAGGUUCAGGGCCGAAGGGGUAGAGGAAGACCUAGGAAAACUUUGGAAGAGACCCUAAGAAAAGACUUGAGUACUUGGAUCUAACGGAGGACACGACACAAAACCGAGCGCAAUGGCGUUCUAGGAUUCAUAUAGCCGACCCCACUUAGUGGGAAAAAGCUUUGUUGUUGUUGUAAUUAUUUUUUUGGCAGGAAUGAGGCUAGAGAAAUUCAAUCGUGUCCAAAAAGUGGGAAAAUGCCGGUUUCUGAGGACAUUACUGAUCGUAUAAAAAGGUACAAAUCCAUCAACCAUGAAGUGAAUAGGACUGGAUUGUUUCGUAAUAGAGGAAAGGUUUUAAGCAAAACUAGUCUCUCAAGACCAAAGGCUGUGAUUUGGCUUUUAUACUGUAAUGUGAUUGUGAUAUGUGAAUAUGUCAACUGAGCUAAAAGAGCAUAAACAAAUCUUAAUGGUUACAAGUAUAUGGCUAAAAAAUUUCACAAAAAAUAAAAAAAAUUAUCUUGCAAAAGUUGUUCCAUAUAUUGAGUUAUUAACCUGUAGAUAAACAGCUUUUUGCUGCUAUGCCAACCUAAUAGAACCCCUUGUUCUAACCUUGCACAUGUAUGCUAGUAUUUCUCUUGUAUUACUCCAACAACUUCUUUUACAAAUCAUAACCCUGCAUCUGCACAAUUAUCCAGUAUUUAUACCAGAACGCAGGCUAAGGUCCUAACAAGAUAUUUUCCCAAAUCUAAUCUUUAUCUAACAAACUAUUAUUCUUAUCCACAACAUUCAACUAAUGACUACAAGACAUCUGUCAAUUAACAACAUUAGCUCGCCACAAUGUUGUACAAUUAUCACUAAUAACAGUAUCCUAUCAUUACCCCACCCUAAAAAAUGAACCUUGUCCUCAAAGUUGGAAUGCAGGAAACCUGUUGACAAACUCUGCAUAAUUUUCCCAAGUCGCAUCCUCCUUAGGCCGAUGCUUCCAUUGCACCAAAACCUCAGUCUUAGAUGAACUGCCCUGACCUGUUAACCUGCGCCGCAAGAUUGCCAAGGGAUAAUCCUCCAAGAGUCCAUCCUCCGUAAUGACAGGUAAUGGAACUGCAGGAAUGAUAUCAGAGCCUAACUGUUUCUUCAAGCAUGAAACAUGAAAAACUGGGUGAAGUUUGGAUGUGGUAGGUAAGUCAAUUUUAUAAGCCACGUGACCAAUCUUCUGCAACACCUUAAAUGGACCAUAGAACCGUGGCUGAAGUUUAUGGAAGGGAUGUUUAGCAAGUGAUUGGUGUUGAUAAGGUACCAAUCGCAGAAAAACCAUAUCUCCAAUCUCAAAAGACCUCUCAGUGCGGUGUUUAUCUGCUUGCUGCUUCAUCCGCACUUGAGCCGAUACAAGAUUAGUCUUGAGCUGAGACAAAAUUCUUCCCCUUUCUUCUAAACUCCGAUUAACCAAAUCAAUCUUAGUUGCUCCAGAUUCAUAAGUAGGUACAGCGGGAGGUGGUUGCCCAUACACAACUUCAUAUGGUGUCAGUUUGGAUGAAGUAUGAAAAGUAGUAUUGUAAUGCCAUUCUGCCCACGGAAGCCAGUGAACCCACUUCUUUGGUUGAUGACUGCAAAAACACCGCAAGUAUGUUUCCAAACCUCUAUUAGUGACCUCUGUUUGUCCAUCGGUUUGAGGAUGGUAACCCGAACUGAGACACAAUUUGGAGCCGUUCAAUGUAAAAAAUGCCUUCCAAAAAGAGCUCAAGAAAACAGGAUCGCGAUCACUUACUAUUGUGGAUGGCAUACCAUGGAGUUUGAAUAUAUGGUCAACAAAUAUCUGUGCUACGGAAUGGGCAGUGUAUGGAUGAGACAUGGGCAGGAAAUGAGCAUACUUGGAAAGGCGAUCAACGACCACAAAAAUAAUGGUUUUACCCUUGCAAGGAGGAAGACCAACAAUAAAAUCCAUUGCUAUAUCCGUCCAUACAGUAGAUGGGAUGGGAAGUGGAUUAAGUAGGCCAGGAGAAGCCAAAGUUUCAGUCUUGUUUUGUUGACAAACUGAGCAAGCUGCCACCCACUGCAUAACAUCAGAUUUCAUACCCUGCCAGUAGAAAGAUCGGGAAAUUCGCUUAUAUGUUUUAAGAAAACCAGAAUGACCUGCCACUGGAGUACAGUGAUGCUCAUAGAAAAUCUUAUCCCUCCAACCACUAGAUGGACUUAAAACAAUCCGCCCUUUAUACUUAAGAAAACCAUUAUCAAAAUGGUACCGAGCUGUGGAAGAAGAAGCACCAUCAGCAGGUAACUCCCGAAUUUUUUCCAUUAUCCAAGGAUCUUGUUCAUUAUGCCGCCUUAUAUCAUCCAACCAACCCAUGUAAGGAUAAGAGAUGGCCGACAAUUCCCCAUCCGAAUGCAGUCUAGAAAGAGCAUCAGCAGCAACAUUAUCACAACCUUGUUUAUAUUGUAUCUCGUAGUCGAAACCGAGAAGUUUGGAAACCCACUUCUGUUGAAAAGGGGUGUGAGCUCGAUGUUGUAAAAAGAACUUCAGGCUAUGGUGGUCAGUUUUAAUGACAAAAUGCCUCCCUUGAAUAUAUGACUGCCACUUCUUGAUGGCAUGGACGAUAGCCAACAUUUCCCGUUCAUAUGUGGACAUUGCUUGAGCUCGUGGGCCUAAAGCUUUGCUUGUAAAAGCAAUUGGCCUCCCAUCUUGGUGUAAAACAGCACCAAGACCAUUAUUGGAAGCAUCAGUUUCAAUAAUGAAAAGUUUGGAAAAAUCAGGUAAAGCAAGAACAUGAGGAGAUACCAUGAGAUCCUUGAGAGCCUGGAAGGCCCUAGUAGCUUCAUCAGUCCACUUAAAUGCAUCCUUUUUUGUGAGCGCAGUAAGUGGUCCACAAAUCUUCCCGUAAUUCGGAAUGAAUUUCCGAUAAUAUCCAGUGAGGCCAAGAAAACCCCGGAGAGCCUUAACCGAAUGAGGAAGAGGCCAAUCUUGGAUGGAUUGAAGCUUACUUGGAUCUGCUGCCACCCCUUGCCGAGACACCACAUGGCCCAAAUAUUCGAUUUGUGAUUUGCCAAAGUCACACUUAGUUCGCUUGACAAACAAUUGAUGGUCUUGGAGAACUUUGAAAACCAGAGACAAAUGGUGAAGAUGGGAUUCCCAAGAGUCACUGUACACGAGAAUAUCAUCAAAGAAAACCAAAACAAACUUCCUCAAGUAGGGGCGGAAAAUCUCAUUCAUCAAACUUUGGAAAGUGGCUGGGGCAUUAGUAAGCCCAAAUGGCAUUACUAAAAAUUCAUAGUGACCGUCAUGGGUGCGAAAUGUUGUCUUCUCAAUGUCACUAGUAUGGACCCUGAUCUGAUGAUAUCCUGCCCGCAAAUCCAACUUCGAAAAAAAUUGAGCACCAAACAACUCAUCCAACAAUUCAUCAAUUAAGGGUAUUGGAUACUUAUCCUUAAUGGUUCUCAAAUUUAGAGCUCUAUAAUCCAUGCACAUCCGCCAACUAUUAUCCUUCUUCUUAACCAAGAGAACUGGUGAAGAAAAUGGACUGUUACUGGCUCUAAUAAAACCCGAAUCCAAUAAUUCCUGAACACACUUUUCGAUUUCAGAUUUUUGUAAGGGACCAUACCGAUAAGGCCUGGCACUGGGAGGCUUGCUGCCGUCCAAAAGAGGAAUUCUAUGGUCAUGAGAACGUGAAGGAGGAAGUGUGGUUGGUGCUUGGAAUACAGAAGCAAAUCGAGAUAAUAAGCCCUCUAACUCAGUUUCCUGCAGAACAGUGAGAUCCCCAACAAUAGCAACCUGAGUCUCGGGUUCUAGGAAGAAAAGAACGACACCAAAAGGACCUUGAGAAAGCAAUUUCUCCACCUGACAGGUUGAAAUGGACGUUGGUGCAGGAGGUGGAGAACUAGAAAUACAAUAGUGCUUCUUGCCCAAAGUAAAUUCCAUCUUGAGUUUGUCAAAAUCCCAAAGAAUAGGACCUAAAGUUCUUAACCACUGAGCUCCCAAAACCACAUCACAACCACCCAAUUGUAGUACAUAGAAAUCAGAAAUAUACUCAUAUUGUUGAAUCUGCAACUUAAUUUGAGAACAACAACCUUUACUGGCAAUAGUACCCCCAUUUGCAAUCAUCACCUCAAAAGAAUGUUUUGAGUCAACCUUCCACCCCAACUGUUUGGCAACAGACAAACUAAUAAAAUUGUGUGAACUACCCGAAUCCAACAAUACAAUAACUGGGCAAUUCUUGAUUAAUCCCGAGACUUUCAUAGUCUGAAUAUGUUGAGGAGCCGAUGAACCAAAAACUGCACAAGCCGUGAUUUCCACCUGUUGGUCAUCACAGUCCUCACCAUCGAAAUCUUCAAUCCUAUCAGCAGAGACAUCUAAUAACAGUAGUUGUUGAGUAGCACACACAUGCCCCCGAACCCAUUUCUCUGGACAAGAAUAACACAACCCCUUUUUCCGACGAUCUUGAAUUUCUUCAAAGGACAUUUUCCUCAUAUUACUAGCCCUAGAUGUGCUAGAAGAAAAAUUACUACUAGAUAACAGAGGCACAGAUUUUGAGUUGGUAGCAUUACUGAAAGAAGAAGCAGAAUUUCUGGAGAAAUUUCGAACCUUGGUAUCAGAUAGUUUGAUGUCCACUUGGAAGGCCAGCGCAAUUGCCUCAUGUACAUCAGAUGGGCGAAGCAAUUUGACGUCAUGACGUAACUCCGGUUUCAGGCCGCCGAUGAAACAACCACGUAGCAUGACCGGACCUAUCUCCGUAGUCCGAUUCGCCAAUCGACGAAACUCCGAGACGUACUCUUUGAGGGAACCCAACUGCUUCAAUUGAACUAGGGCUUCGGUAAAAUCCUCAAAUUCAAAAGGCCCAAAUUCUUUACAGAAGACAUGAACAAAAUCUGCCCAGGUUGGGUGAUUCUUGAUACAAUUCCUCCAUUGAAACCAUUGUAAAGCUUCGUUGUCCAUAUGAAAAGAAGCCAUCCGUACCUUUUGGGCAUCGUCAACCGAGAAAUAAUCAAAAUAGUGCUCUGCCCGAUAAACCCAUGCCAAAGGAUCAUCGCCAUCAGAGAACCGAGGAAACUCAAGCUUGAUCAAUGGCGGCCGUGGGUGAAAUGAUGAAUCUUGACGGAAAAAACGCUGACCCAUAUGAUCAACUCGAUCGGACAAGGUUUCUUCAGAACUCCCCAUUGGAUUUGAAGAAUUUCCAAGAUCCCCGGGAGCACGAUGAGGACGAUCAGCACCAGAAAAAUGAAAUUCCAAGGCUGCAAAUCGAGACUCCAUUGAUGCUAUGACGGUGGACAAAUUCUGCAUUGUCGACCCGAUCGUCGCAACGGAAGAUUGGAUUUCCUGAACCGACCCUUCAAGAGCUGCUACUCGUGUAUCCAUGGUUUUGGCACGCGUCGUCGCUCGCGUCAUACAAGAAGGGAAACGUGGAGGAUAGUUACUGGCUGAUACCAAUAAUAGAACCCCUUGUUCUAACCUUGCACAUGUAUGCUAGUAUUUCUCUUGUAUUACUCCAACAACUUCUUUUACAAAUCAUAACCCUGCAUCUGCACAGUUAUCCAGUAUUUAUACCAGAACGCAGGCUAAGGUCCUAACAAGAUAUUUUCCCAAAUCUAAUCUUUAUCUAACAAACUAUUAUUCUUAUCCACAACAUUCAACUAAUGACUACAAGACAUCUGUCAAUUAACAACAUUAGCUCGCCACAAUGUUGUACAAUUAUCACUAAUAACAGUAUCCUAUCACAACCAAUGCUUGCAUCUUCCUACCUGUCUUGUUGUCAGCAAGGAUUCUUGUAGCCCGAUAUUGUUGUUUUGUUUGUCUUAUAUUGUUGUAUUCAAUGUGCAGGAAAACAGCUGGUUCCGACAGAGAGCUCGAAGGAAGGAGGAAGAGAGUCAAUGAGUUGGAGAAAAUCUAUAUGGACAUGGCAAUGCAGAAGGAAUUACAGGUAUUGACAUCUACAUUUGUUUCGUUAGUUCUGGGUUUUUUGUUGUCCUGGAAAAUUUUGAAAACAAUUCCAUCUAAAUUAACAGAAAAAGAGGUAAAACCCGCAAACUAUGUGAAGAUGAGAUUGUCUCCCCAACAUCCAACGCUGCAUGCAAGUGGUGGGCAGAGCGGAAGCGUUGAAAAGGUGUGUGUUGAUCCAUUGUUAAUUUAUUAGCCUUGUUUAUCAGUUAAACAUUGUGUACUCCUCGGUGCAAUGGAAAUCAUGCAUUUAACUCAACAUGUUUCUGUGAUUUUGCAAGGAAUGAGGCUGCUAUAGAUACCUAGGACCCCGGAAAAAAGUCUGGGCCUGACGUACCAUGAUUUUCCAUGUAACGGAAGUUUUGAUCUACAUAUGAACAUGUCACAAGUGAUACAGUCAGAUACAUUUGCUCUCUUUUAGGGAAGAAGCAACUGCGUUUUUUUGUCUCUGGUAGUCCGACCCUAGCGGGACUUAUAACAAAACUGACAUUCGCGUCGUUUAUUAAUAUCAUCAGUGUUAAGCUCUUCAAUAUGUGCAAUUUGGUAGACAACUCUGGUUUUGCUUUUUGUGAGGUUAUAUGGUGGUGCAAUUCGACUGCCCCAUCUCCGACCAAAUACUUUUCAAGAGUAUUUUUGGAAACUCCCUUCACAUUACUUGUAAGUUUGGCUUGAGAUUUCCUAAUCCAAUCGAAAGGUCCAGAGAAUCGAAAAUAGUCUGAAAACCAUCUCCAAAUGAGGGUUAGGCCAAAGGGCCCGUGGGCCCCACAGGACAAAAAAGUACCAACCCAACUAGCCAGCCCAUGGCCAGGUCACAAAUUUGAACGCAACGGCUAGCUGCUAGCUGUUAUAUUUGAUUUUUUUUUAUACAAAUUAAAAAAAAAAUUAAAAAUUCUAUUUUUUUUUCUUAUAACUUCCUAAGCCAUAACAUUAAAUAACAUUAAGUAAUAUGAAAAAUUAUUAGUUUUUAAAUUUAAAUAAUAAAUUAUGUUUGACCCUAUGACCCUUUGACCCUCGGUUGGAGAUGGUUUUUUGUCAUAGGGCUAUGUUUGACCCUAUGACCAUUUGGCCCUCGGUUGAAGAUGGUAAGAAAUAUGGUCCUGCAUUGUUCAUUAAAAAAAAUAAUUUCUUGGAGGGCCAGAGGGUUAAAAUGAGUCAUCUGGCCCUUAGCCCUCCUUCGGUUGGAGAUGGCCUUGGGAUAAAGGGAUUUAUAGUGGUUUUUUAUGGGUGAGUGUAAGUACUUAUUAGAGUUUUCCUCCUAAAUUGUACAUCUGUGGACCCCAAUUGGAUCACACAAUUUCCUAUAGGUGGACUCCUACCCAAACAAGAUUUGCUAGAUUACUACGGUUGAAAAGAGAGGACCAAUAUAUGUGGUGUGUGUGCACAAACAAGCAUGCAACAAUUUGGAGGAAGAAAAGAGAAAUAUAUCGUUUGCUAAAAAGCAAUAAUAUUCAUCCGAUACGAUUCAGAAAAGAGAUUAAUUUGUCGGAAAGAUUAAUGGGGAAGAGAACCAACGGAGAAGCAGCUCGAAACUGUUUUCUGUUGGCCCUUCUGCUACCAAGGCAGCUGCGUUGAGUGCUUCAUUGACAUGAACAACUCAAUGGUAUGGUGGUUGUUUGUUCCGUUUGCCUUGCAAGUUACAACACAACCACCACACCGUUGACUAAACCCAUCGACGUUCACAAGGAGUGCCUUGACAAAUACAGCCGCACUCUCGAUCAAUGAUAAUGCUCAUUGCUCACUGCUUGAUGCUCUUAGCCUCAGGAAGCUGAUCAAUAGGUUUCUUCAUGUCCAAAUCUUUCUACUUCUUGACUUGUAAUUUCUGACUUUCAAUUGUUUGUUUAGGGAUACAUUAGGGUUUAUAUUUGGAAUAAUCCAUCUUAGAAUUCCUCAUCUUCUCGUUUUUGUUUAAUUUCUCGUUCAUGCUGCAUGCUCGUCAUACACGUUCAUAAAACAGUCAACCUGAACACGACCCAUUAUAAAUGAGUGAGUAGCCUCUUGACACGCGCUCACAAAACACGAAUUGCCAUUUGUGUCCAUCGACAUAACUUUUUAAAAAUAUGUUUUAACGGUUUCACUAUCAUGGAAAGUGCUACCAAUUUCCGGUAAACGAAUUUCAGUUUCAUAAUUGCUAGCAAAUAUUUGACUAGUAGAUUUGAUUCAACGGUCUUCAAUUACUCAAUUCAAUUCAAACUGGUAAAUCAAAUUCAACGGUCAAAUGUGCCACAAAGUGCUUGUAAGCGUUAGCAAAAAUGGUGCGAACAGAAGAGUGAAAGUUGUGAAACCAUACAGCACAAGAACCAUAUGAUUUGAAGCACUGUCAUUAAGUAUGUAAACCCACAAAGAACACAUCCAAAAAGAAAGAAGCAAAAGAAGCUCCCACAAUCUCUUCUAUCUAUCAAGAAGCUAGAAGAAGACAAUUAUAUUCACAAACAUUACUAAACUACAACCCUAACUUUAAAAUCCGACUCGAUUUCCAGACACAGAGAAACAAUUACCUAAUUUAACCUACCAGACAGAACUAAAUCUGAAAUGGAACACAUUAAUCCCGCAGCGAUUGUCAUUUCAGUCAUCAUCACCACCGACAUUCUUGGAUGAGGCACCGGUCUUCUUUGGGAGCAGAAGGUUGUGAAUGUUGGGCAUCACACCACCAUUUGCAAUUGUCACAUCACCAAGAAGCUUGCUGAGCUCCUCGUCGUUGCGCACAGCAAGCUGAAUGUGGCGUGGUACAAUGCGAGUCUUCUUGUUGUCUCUUGCAGCAUUACCAGCCAAUUCCAGAACCUGUAAAAUUGACCAAAUUAAAACAACAUUAGAAUCAAAACCCUAAUUUGAAAAAAGAAAAUCAACUCAGAACCAUAACUUCAGCAAAGAAAAGAUCACAACUUUGAAAGUCACACAAACAACUACUUAAUUAACAACUACACUGGAAGGGAAAGCACAUUGAGGGAACAAAUUCUAAUUCUAAUUCAAAUCCCCAUGAAAAUCCACCAAUCUAUUUAAAUCACAGUAAUCCAAUAACCGUAUCCUCACGAAAAUAUAAUAAAAUAAAUACCCAACAAAAAGAACCCUAAUUUUUAAAAAUUGAACAAUGCCUCAACAAUAUCGACCUCCGGAUCAUAAUUCUUAAGCUCAAAGCCCCCUACUUUCAUACGAAAAAAGAAAUAAAACCAAAUUAAUUCAGCCAACAAUAAAAUAAAUGAAUAAAAUUAUUAUGAAAAAUAAAUUAAUUAAUUCAAGAAAAGUAAAAAACAUAGAUCCAGGAUCCUAAUAUUGGUUCAUCAGAAACAGAUGAAGAACAAAUCGUCAAAAUUUCACAUUUUCUAAUGUUCUAUAUGUAAUUCCCGCACAGAAAUGCUAAAUCGAAACAAAAUCUUUCCCAAUUCGAAACCCUAACCCUAGAUUCACAAAAAGGGGAGAAGAAACACACACACAGAUGCAAAUAAAGAGGAAUAACAAGAUCGAGAAAGAGGGUUAUACCUCAGCGGCAAGGUAUUCAAGGACAGCGGCGAGGUAGACUGGAGCUCCGGCACCGACACGUUCGGCGUACUUUCCUGCUUUCAGGAAACGGGCAAUACGACCGACAGGGAAUUGCAAACCGGCCUUGCUGGACCGCGAUGUGGCCUUCUUAGCGGCUCCGGAUCCCAAGGCUUUGCCACGACCCGCCAUUGAUGGACUUCCAAGAACAAUUUGAGCGAGAGAGAGAGAGAGAGGGGAUAGGGGAAAUAGAAGAGAAGCGAUCGAGAGAAACAGAGAGUUUGGUGGUAUGGAGGAGGACUGUGACGGUUUUCAGGUAUUUAUAGGGGUUGGGAUUUGAACAUGGGCCAAUAGGUUGAAGUUUGCGGAUCGAGAACGAAAGCCGUCGAUUAGAUAGCUAUUGGACGGAGGGGAUUCGUUGAGUGAGAGAAGCUUCAAACAUUCUGUUCUGGUUACAUUUGUUGAAGUGACGAAACUAGCCUUGUCUUUAGUGUUACGUAACGUUAUUGAUUUAUUUUUGGAAGUUUGCUAGAUACACCACAUUCAUCUAAACUACGAGAAUUCGAGCGUGCUUGCGUUAGAGCACAACCAAAUAUGGUGCCAAAUUCUUACUUGAUUGAGUAUGCAUGAAAAUAUUACUAUGAAAAGCAUGACAAGUAUACGUGCAACGGAUAAAACAUCUAAACUAAGAAAUAUAGUUACAUAGGACAAAAAGAUAUCCACAAUAUAAAGGAAAGAGCCAAUUCUCAUAAUUGUUUAAUACCUGGAGUCUUCUUUGGAAUUGACCUUAGAACAAGUCACUACCAUAUUGUGCCCAUCAAGGAUUGCAAAUUUAAAAUGUCAUUGAAACAAAAUUUCGUCGUGCUCAGUAUUUGUAGUUCUAUGAGCAUAUGCUCCAUCACAAAUCAACUAUCUAUAAUUGAAAUCCCACCACGGGACCCCAAAGACCCAAAAUCUUAGUUUUGAUUGAUUUAAGUAAUAUCCAAUAUUAGCAUAAUUCAAGGUUUAGAUGGUUCAAUCAAAGCCCACUACUGCUUAAUUAUGAAAUGGACACUCUCACUACCGUAUCACGCGAGUUAGAUUUAAUACGUGUUAUGAUAAAUUGGUCGUUAGGUAAAUACUAAUGAGCCCUAAAACUCGAUUUUCGAAAGUUUUUUAUACUAGCAUUCAUGUUUACUUAAAAAGUUGCUAAAAAAUUCAAGUGGCCCUUUACCACAGUGGUGUGGAAAAAUGUUGUACCCUUGCAUGACGGCAUAAGUUCGAACCCCAUCGGUGGUUAAUCUAACAUUUAACUUACUAACGCUAUCGUUUCUCUCAAGAAAAAAAUUCCCUUUAUUUAACCACAUCCAGUACGAAUGGACCACACAUACCAGAAUUUCAAGAUGACGGUUUUAUUUUUGAAGUCGUGAGCAAACCAUCUUCUCCACCUCGAUGGGUCUAGCAUAACUGUCCGUCAUGAUGUAUUUCCAACACAUGAGUCUCUUUCCCACCUCUCUGCCAAUUGGGCUCAAGCAGGUUGGGCAUAGAUCUUCGGAGGUCCCUUGGGUGUUUCCCCUGCUAUAGCAGGCCAAUUGCCAAAUGGGAGAGGGAAUGUGGAGUACAAGGGGUGGUACACCCCUAAUAAGGCAGAAAACUCAAAGGGGAUGACUGGGUACACCACGUGUGACUAGGUACACCGCUUGUCGGUAUGACUGGGUAGCCCUUCAUCAGUUUCAGUUUUCUUGGGUUCGUCAUAUUUGUUCAUUCUGAAAGUGUAAACAGUCGAUGAAAUGUAAUCUUUGUGGUACUUCUCCACACCGUAAUUUUCAUACACCAUUCUUGUCACAGUUUGAUCUAGUUCUGCCAGCACUUUUGCAUAAGGUCAGCACUCUCACUGGCCAGCCAACAAAGAACGAACUGUAUAUUAGGAGUGUAAAUUGAAGUAAAUGAUCAAUAUAUCUUUGUGUGUGUAUGUGUUGGGGAAAUGCAGCAGAAAUUAUUAUAUCUUAUACCUACCGAAAUUGAUCGUUUCCAUUGGGCCAAAAAAGAGGUGUGAAUUGUUGAAUUUUUUGAGGGUCUUAGCCGUUAAAAAUCCCCGUAGGAUUGUUGCCCAGAACUGGAACGUGCAGCAUAAAAAGGCUUUUCAGGAAUAUGGUUAGAGGGAUCAAACAAGUCGCCAAAUGUAGAGAAGAAGGUGUUGGCAAGUUCCUUUGGAACUUUGUUGGGUAGGAUUGCCGUGAAACAGCCGAGCUCUUGGGUAGGAUUGGUCCAACGUAAAAUUUAUAUAGAAAUCAAACUUCAAAUUUUCUUUUACGAUACCUAUCAGCGAGUGAUUAGGAAUAAAAUAUUACUAAUGAGAAACUUGCAUUCGAAGACCUUGGUAUUUAAUUAAUUAAUAUACGUCAUACAGCUGUGCAAGUUAUUAAUUAACAAUUCGUCCCACCUCCACCUUGUGGAGAAAUUUUCCAUUGUGACACAUAAGGUACAUCACGUGUUAUAUAAUAACUAGAGGAAAACUUUAUUUUUUAAGUUGUUAAUUUUCUAACACAAAUAUCUCAUCAAAUGCUUAUGUUUUCUUAUGAUUUUUCUUAUUUGGAUGCUGCAAUCUUGUUCUAGGAUUAGGGUUUUUUGGUUUGGGGUUUAUCAGGAUUUGAAACCCUAAUUGCUGAAUAUAAAAGCGUGUGGUUUUCGGGUUUGGGAUUUGUUGUUUGAAUAGUACUGCAUAUAGAAUUAUGAAUAUAUAUGCUUGUAGUUUUCUGGUUUCGAAUCUGUUGUUUGAAUUAGACGUGUGGUUUUUUGUCUUUUAAUUUUGUGAUUUUUCCAAACUAACUCGUUGGAGAGUUGUUGUGGUUGUUGUGAAAUUUGGAUUCCAAACCUAUUUUCCCAUCUUCUGGAGAGUUGUAUUACUUCUUACAUCUUCUGGAGAGUUGUUUUGGUAGUGAGACAUUGGGUGGAUUGAGGGUGUAACUUGGGAGUGAAACAUUCAUUGUUUGGUAUCCAACGAAGGGAAGGCAGUCGGUGCAUGUCACGUCAGGAGCUAUGAUUUUCAGCCAUUUCGAUUGUAGUCCCAUGUGCAUUUGCUCAGUUAAAUGAUUUUGUAAUUGUACUCUAUGUACAUUGCUUUUUAUUUUAUUAUUGUUUGACCGGUCUUUUAUUCAAUUUGUUUGUUUUGAAAUUUUAUGCGUGUAGGAAAUGUAUGACUAAUAAAAGAAUUAUAAUGUAUUAGUAAGAUUAUAAAUGGGAGAUUCACAACAAGAAAAGGAAAAAGGAAACUAUAAUCAGUAGUCUGUGGAAGAGAGCAACAUGUUGUUACAACUACUUGUUGAGGCCAUAAAAAAUGGAUAGCGACAUGCUAGCGGCAUAAUAAGCAAGCAAAUAAAUGAAGCCAAAAUUGUUCCGGUGCUCAAUGAAAAACUUGGGUGUCAAACAUGUCAAGACCAUGUUAAGAAUUGUGUGAAAAUAGUGAGUGUUUAGAGUUUUUUGUAUAGCGAAAAGUUUAUAUCAAAAUUUGGUGGAGAUGAAGCUAUUUAGAUGAGGAGGCGACCGGCCAUAGUGUUAGGGAGUAGCCUACACAUGGCGGCAUCCUAUUAACCAAGGUAUGUCAUUCGCUGGAUGAAUGAGAAAAGGUGGCACGUAUAUUAAAACACCCUUUUGUUUAUAGUAUUGCUAAUAUGAUGUUGUUACCCUGUUUAUACAUUACUAAUGCUGGAUAAUAGUUUGAUAUCGAUAUAUUAUUGGAUCGGAACACUAUGGCCACAUCAACAGUCCAACCAUCCUCAAAAGAAAAAGAAAAAAACCCCUUGUACCCCACAUUCCCUCUCCCCUUUGAGUUUUCUGCCUUAUUAUAGGAGUGCCCAUACACAAGAAUAUAGUGGCGAAGCCAUGUGAGGGUGAGGAGUGGCGGCCGCCACUCCCCUCACCGGAAAUGAAGCCCAGGAGUGAGUACCAGCCCCUCAUCUCAUCGAAAAUGAAGCCCUAUUUUUUGCUGCAGUUGCACAAACGUUGUGCGUGCAAUGGCAAGCCAUACAGACGCAAGUAGGUGUGGUUGCACCUCCGGUCAUCGGAACUCGACUCUAAGAGCGAUAAGCCAUCCCUUUAGACUGGACGUCAUUCCUCUGAACCUGCAAUAAAAUAGUGAAAUUUUCACACAUCUUCUCGCAAGGAAGAAGAACUGUAACAUAUUUCAGUUUAUUGGCUUUAAGAGGAACGGUGCCGUUACGUUUAUUGGUUUUAAGAGGUACUGUGCCGUUACGUUUAUUGGCUUUAAUGGAACGAUGAUGUUAUGGGUAUAGGCUUUUGACUUAGUUAUAUCUACAACCCACAUGAAACUGGUUCGGCCUAAUUUUUGGGCUCUUUUUCGUUUUUCUUUUUAUUUCAUUUAAUAUUUUAUUUAAAGUGAAGGCAUUUUGGUUAUGUGAUUAUCCCUCGAUUUCAUUUUUUUAGUUGUUUUAAUUUUGUCAAGUUGCCACUUAGUACUACAGUCUAAUGUAAGUGAUAGGUCUUAGGUUCAAUUCACGCUGUUUAUACCAUAUUUAGGGCCUCGUAUAUUUGGGCCUUGGGCCUUGUAUUUGGGCCUCACACUAAAGCCCAUACUUUGUAAAAGAGGAGGAGCCCCUUAUUCUAUAAAAGGGGACUCCUCCCCUCAUUCUAGGAGAGGCAAAGAGCCAGCUUAAGAAGGCUAAGAGAAGCUCUCAUUACAUUGAGGAGAGACCUCACACCACCGAGGCUCUCCUCUCCCUUCUCUUCUCUCUCUGGGGGUCUUCCCCUCAAACUCUUGUAUCCAUACAAUUACAGAGAAACAGAAUCAACUACAGUGUGGACAUAGCCCAAACAUUGGGGUGAACCACGAUAAAAUCCUUGUGUUCUUUGUGUUCUUGAGCGUUUGUGCAGAUUCACGGUCGGAUUUACGUUGUUCCAAGACAUCCGGUUUUGUGCAUCAACAUUUGGCGCCGUCUGUGGGAAUCGACACAAAAAGCUAUGUCGGUUCUCUUUCAUUUUUUCAUCAAAUCUCACCACUGUGAAUCUGCAAAAGCAUAAAAAACCAAGAACACCACACUCUCUCUGCCUCUUUCUCUCUCCCCAUGGUUUCUUCAACUUCAAUUCUGACUUUGAAUUUGGCAUUUGGGCCUCUUGCAUAUUUGCAGUAUGAAAUAUCUGCAUACAAGAUCCCCACUUCUUGACAGUUUUCGAUCUUCAACCUUCAACCAUAUCAAAACGGCGUUGUCCUGAUCCCCGAUCGGACCUUCUAGAUCGAAUCACUUUACGCUUUCCUGAAGCUUCAAGUCCUUUAAGAUGGCAGAUAACGACGAGGGAGGAGGCUCGGAGACCCUUCUUCGCCUCUCUCCACCCAGCCGCUCGAUCGCCAGGUUCAGGCCAAUUUCCAGAUCGUGCUUCCCUUCCAAUUUCCAGAUUCUAUUGUCUCUCCAGGGCCAGCCGCACGACUCCGCCGUUGCCGACACCACCGUAGCUGCCCAGUUUAUUCACUCUCUCAUCUCUCCGGGGCCAAAAUCUCCACGCCCAACACCUGUUUGAGGAGAUCACCCACUAAAGAGUCCCGUCGCCGGUUAUGUCUUCCAAAGCUGUUUCCGCUUCUUGCUGCUCAGCAGAGCCUCACUUUCUCUCCCAUCUUCCUCCGAACCAAAUGCAACCCAGAUGGCCAUCAACAGGGACUCCACUUCCUUUCCAAUGAUUGGCAAGAUUGGGUCCUACACUGUCUUUAUGACGCCGCCCGAACCGGUUUUUGAAUCUUCCCGGAAAAUGAUCGCGCCGGUCUUUGAGUCCCCCAAAAAGGCGGCCCCGCCCCCGGUCCAGCAGACGCCUCAGCAAUUGCUGAAGCCCAUUGCCGUAUCUUCAGAUUCCUCGUCCGAUGGCUCGAUGUCAAGGAUUUUCUAAGAAUGCGGUCACCAAAGUGCAGAAGGCUCAUUCAAGUUUGGAUGACCAUUGGCACGCUAUUUUGGAUUAAAUCAGUCAAGAUAUCAGUGAGCGCUAGAUGAUUAUUACCAGAGCAAGGGAGUGAUGUUGAUGGAAGCUGAUAUAAGCAACUAAGUUCAAUCAAGGUCCAGAAUCAAGGCGAGAAGAGGUCAAGUCACUGACCCGCACAACAUAGCCGAAAGAUUACGGAGAGAGAGAAUUGCAGAGAGGAUGAAGGCUCUGCAGGAGCUCGUUCCCAAUGAAAGCAAGCCGGGUUCAACGCAGCUGCGAGGUGUAGGCAAACACGACAGAGACAGAGACAGCAAAAGCAAAGCAAAAUAGAAAAAGGAAAAGCAGAAAGCCCUACCUCAUGAAUGAUGCUCUCUAAUGGUCUUCCAUAUCUCUGCACAAUCUUCAACUGCAUCAUCAUCACAGCCCUAAGAAUAAUGCAGUAAUGGGUUAUCUUCAACAACCCACUUGGACAAAGGGAAUAACUCUACGCAUGUGCUAAAUCCGACCCAUGCCAUCCUGUCCAUCCAUCAGCUUGUCAAAAGAAACAAAAACAAAAAGAGUAAAGGUAAAGCAGGUUUCUUUAAAAGCACACAGCUGGAAAGUGGUCGAUGAUAAAGGAAUUCAGACAUCUAAUGAUGCCAAGUUCUUGCCAUCCCACUACAAGGUCCCAACAUCUCAUUGUGUCGGUGCCUUGGGACGUUGGAUUGACAAGAUACCGAGCACCAUUAUUCCUAAAAAGAGCGGUCCUCCAUGAAAGCGAACGCUAAAGCAAAAAAAAAAAAAAAAAGCAUAAAAAAAAAAAAAAAAAAAAAAAAACAAGGAAUAAACACAUCACCCGAAUGAUGUAAUUUAUCUUUCGGAGACAUCUGUAUCAACCCCAUCAGAGGGUAAUAUGUAUAAACCCCAUCAGAGGGUCAAAAAAAAAAAAAAAAAAUGGGCUGACAUGUUGUGGAGGGCAAAGGCCCAUAGGCCUGAAAUGGCACCAACCAGGUGAUCAAAAUUACGCCCAGUACUCCAAAUUAUACAUGAGCAUUACUCAUGUCAUUCAUACAUAAACAUUCAUGAGCAUCAGUCAUGACAAUCAUACAUAAACAUCCAUGACCAUCAUUCAUGUCCACAUUCAUGAGCAUCACUCAUGUUAACAUUCAUGAGCAUCACUCAUGACAACAUCCAUGAGCAUCACUCAUGUCACUCAACAUAAACAUUCAUGAGCAUCACUCAUGCCAAUCAGCUUCAAAGCUUGAUUUACAAAGCUCUAGCGUUAAAAGCGUCAUUUACAGAGCUCUAGCUUCAAAGCUUCACUUGCAAAGCUUCACCUACAAAGCUUCAGUGUAGGGUAUACAAAUACCACAUCCGAACAACCGCCACUUCGGCCCAUACAUGGAUUCAAUUUGAAGUAUCCAGCCAACAGACUCUAUUGACCGAAGACUUGGGGGACUACAUUAUGUACCAUAUAUUGGGCCUCAACUGGGCCUCAUAAAAAAUACUUGGGGGACUUAACCCAUUACUUAUGUAUUGAGGAGCGAGCCCUUAUUCUAUAAAAGGGACUUCCUCACUUUCAUUAGAGAGCACCCAUCAUUUAUGUACUGAGGAGCGAACCCUUAUUUUAUAAAAGGGACUCCCUCACCUUCAAACGCCGCAAGCCGAGCCAACCAUGGCAACAUAAGCCACGAGCCGAGCAGCCUCGCAGCGUGUGCUACUUCUAGUUGAGCAUCAUUUCAGAUUGGGCACCGCCUCAUAUCGAGCAUCAGUUCUAGACAACAUUUAGUUACUUCGGCCCACACAUGGACUGAAUUUCAAGUCUCCAGCCAAAAGACUCUCUUGAUUGAAGACUUGGGGGACUACUGUUUAUACCAUAUUUAGGGCCUCGUAUAUUUGGGCCUUGGGCCUUGUAUUUGGGCCUCACACUAAAGCCCAUACUUUGUAAAAGAGGAGGAGCCCCUUAUUCUAUAAAAGGGGACUCCUCCCCUCAUUCUAGGAGAGGCAAAAGAGCCAGCUUAAGAAGGCUAAGAGAAGCUCUCAUUACAUUGAGGAGAGACCUCACACCACCGAGGCUCUCCUCUCCCUUCUCUUCUCUCUCUGGGGGUCUUCCCCUCAAACUCUUGUAUCCAUACAAUUACAGAGAAACAGAAUCAACUACAGUGUGGACGUAGCCCAAACAUUGGGGUGAACCACGAUAAAAUCCUUGUGUUCUUUGUGUUCUUGAGCGUUUGUGCAGAUUCACGGUCGGAUUUACGUUGUUCCAAGACAUCCGGUUUUGUGCAUCAACACACGCCAAAGGAGAAUUUGAACCAUAUUAUUGCUAAGACUUAGCCCACUCCCCCACCCCUUAAUGAUAAUAUCGUUUGUUCAAAAAAAAAAAAUUGUCAAGUUGGUUAUUGUGUCUUUUGUUAGACAUCUCUAAUCUACUUUAUGAAUUUAAUGACAGUAUAUAAUUCAGUUAAGAACCAUAAUUUUGAGAAUGUUAAUCAAAUGAAUAUAAUUUAAGGAAAACUAAUGAAAAGGGCUUGAAAACUUUGAGUUUUAAUGAUAAGGACAAAAUAAAGGGUAAAGUGAAUAGUACCAGGAUUGACUUUUUAGUGUAAAAAUGUGGUUUUUCGUUAAAGUGAACAGUACCAUGUUCUUUUCGUUAAAGUUCCCUAUAAUUUAUUAGUACUCACAUCGUCGAUAUACAUUCCACUAAAAAGUAUACAUGUUAACUUUUUAUCAGAAUACCACACUUAACAAAAAUGAUAUUCUUUUCAUAUACUUGUACCAUCUCUUUAAUAGAGAUGAGAUUCACAUGUAUUGACGGACUCUACUUCUAUUAAAGAGUUUCCCUUAAACACCAACACAUUGCCCCCAUCAACUCGCAUGACCAACACCACAACGCAGCUAACACAGCCACCAUCACUCACAAACGGAUCGCCUGCUAGGACACAUCUAAAAUUGGCUAAUUGCAUUCAUAUUCAUAUUUGGAUGAGGAUUUUCUAAGUUCCAAAGGAAUGAUGCCAAAUUAUUAGGUAAAGUACCACAAAAUAUGAACGACAUUGUAACUUGUUUAUAUUGACAAAUUAUGAAUGACAUUAAUAUUAUUUAGUAUAUAAAAUGAUGUGGGUGUCGAUAUUUUUUUGAACCUUUUACCUUUUGAAAUUUUGCCCCUUCCCCCGAAAAUUCCUAACUUCGCCACUGCAAGAAUAUCUCCUUAAAUAUUUCAAUUCAACAUGUACCCAUGACUCAUAAGCAGCAUGCUUAUUAAUUUGGAGAAACAAAAGUAAAAUAAGAAAAUAGAUGAAAGAAAAAAGAAAGAGAACCCGAAGAGGGAUUUGGACCAAAGGAUAUCAAAUGGCACAUUAAUUAUGCCUUUGUGGCAUACUCAUAUGCACCUGUACCAGCAAUUCUCCGUGCUCUAAGGAAGUCCAAAUGAUUUAUAGGCUUGUACAGUAAAGGGUGGUCUUCGUCCACGAGCUCAUUUGGUACGUGUAUCACCCCUUUGUUCCUUGCGAAGACACCAAACAUGUAUCUUACAUCAUUUUCCCUCAAGGUCACUUUAUGUCUACAAGGUCGAAUUCUGUUGUUGCUCCAAAUCUAGGCAAAACAAUCACGCACAUAUCCUUGUUGAGAUACAAUAAUGUUAACUAACAUGAAAUAUGAGCCGGUUAACAAAACUCUAUGAGAAAUACAAAGAUAUAUUCAAGAGUAGAGUACAUAAGUAUUAUGCGAUAUAAUAUACCUGAAAUGCGUCACCUGCUAAGAAUAUGACCGACGAAGGUGGAGGCUCAAAAAGUACCCAGUCAUCGCCCUUUGUAUUUAUUUCCAGACCGCUGACAUGGUUUUGAUGGAUUAUGGUGGAAAAUGUCCUGUCGGUAUGACUGGGAAACCCUACAUUAGUUUCAAUUUUCUUGGGUUCGUCAUAUUUCAUCAUUCUGAAAGAGUAUACAGUCGAUUGAAUGAGAUCGUCGUGGUACUUCUCCACACCGUAAUUUUCAAACACCAUUCUUGUCACAGUUUGAUCUAGUUCUGCCAGCACUUUUGCAUAAAGAUCAGCACUCUCACUGCCCAGCCAACGAAGAACAAACUAUUAGGAGUGUAAAUUGAAGUAAAUGAUCAAUAUAUCUUUGUGUGUGUGUAAAUGUUGGGGAAAUGCAGCAGAAUUUAUUAUAUCUUAUAUAUACCGAAAUUGAUCGUUUCCAUUGGACCAAAAUAGACGUGUGAAUUGUUAAACAUUUUGAGGGUCUGUGCCGUUCAAAAUCCCGUAGGAUUGAUGCCCAUAACUGGAAUGUGCAGCAUAAAAAGGCUUUUCGGGAAUAUCGUUUGACGGAUCAAACAAGUCGCCAAAUGUAGAGAAGAAGGUGUUGGCAAUUUCCUUUGGAACUUUGUUGGGUAGGAUUGCCGUGAAACAGCCGAGCUCUUGGAGUGCAUGUGUUAACAAUAGCUAUGGAAGCUGAAAGAUCAGGAACGACUAGAGAGAGAAAGAGAGAAAGCUCAAAAGAGAGGGAAACUUUCUAACUGAUUUAUUAUUUCAGUUGCUACCUUAUUACAAGAGAUAUUUCACUAUAAAUACAUGUUGACCUAUCUAUCUCAACUCAUAUAAUCCAAUGACACAUGUCAUAAUCUUGACCACUAAUAUACUCUAACAUUCCCCCUCAAUCUUAUAUCUUCGGCGAACCAAGCAUAAGAUUGGAACAAUGAGUGGUAAACAAUGGAGAACAUAAACCCUUUGUGAAAAUAUCGGCAUAUUGAGCUGUGGAAGCAACAAAUUGCAGAGAGAUAACACCUUGUUGAACCCUCUCUCUCACAAAAUGACAAUCCACCUCUAUGUGUUUGGCUUUAGAAUGCAAUACCGGAUUUGUAGCCAAAGCCAUAGCAGAGACGUUGUCACAAUGUAAACUGGGAGGAGAGGAAAUGUCAAGAUGAAGGUCCUGCAAAAGUUGUUGAAGCCAAACAACUUCGGCAGUGGUAGUGGCCAUAGCCCUGUAUUCAGCCUCUGUCGAUGAUCGGCUAACUGUGUGUUGUUUCUUAGAACUCCAAGAAAUGGGAUUGGAGCCUAAAAACACAACAAAACCUGUAGUAGACCGCCGAUCAUUGGGAUCACUAGCCUAAUCAGCAUCUGUGUAAGCUCGUAAACACAGAGAACCAGGUUGAAAGAAGAUUCCCCAGUCCAAAGUACCGCGGAGAUAGCGAAGAAUCCGCUUGACAGCAACAUAAUGAGAUUCCAGAGGAGAAUGCAUAAAUUGGCACACUUGAUUCACAUAAUAGGCAAUAUCAGGCCGUGUAAAGGUUAAGUAUUGAAGAGCUCCGACAAUGCUCCUGUAAUGUGUUGGAUCGGAAUAACAAGGACUACCAUGAGUCAGAAGUUUCUGAUUAGGAUGACAGGGUGUGAUACAUGGUUUACACUCGAGCAUAUUCGUCCUUUGCAAGAGAUCAUGGACAUAUUUAGACUGAUGCACAAAUAAUCCCGGAGAUUGAUAGGCGAUUUGCAAGCCAAGAAAAUAGUGGAGAAUCCCUAAGUCCUUCAUGUCAAACUCAGUGGUUAACUUAGAGAUAACAGACUGAACACAAGCAUCACUAUCACCAGUAAGAAUAAUGUCAUCCACAUAUAACAGUAACACAACCAUGUUGGUACCAUUAUGUUGAACAAACAUUGAAGGAUCGGCAUAAGAAGACUUAAAACCCAAUGAAAGUAAGAAGGUGGUGAACCUGUCAUUCCAAGCUCGGGGAGCUUGUUUGAGACCAUAAGUGACCGUUGUAAUUUGCAAACAUAGUCGGGAUGAGCCUUGUUAACGAAACCCUGUGGCUGAGACAUAUACACCUCUUCCUCAAGAAAUCCAUGUAAAAAUGCAUUCUUGACAUCAAGUUGUUUCAGUUUCCAACCUUGAGUGGCUGCAAGAGAUAGAAUGAGUCUCACAGUAGUUGGCUUCACCACUGGACUGAAUGUUCCAUAAUAAUCCAAACCAGCUUCUUGAGAAAAACCUUUGGCCACCAAACGAGCCUUAUAUCUGGCAACUGACCCAUCGGGAUGUCGUUUGAAUUUGUAUAUCCAUUUACAACCCACGAAAUUUUUAUUGGGUGGUAAUGGAACAAGGUGCCAGGUAUGUUGCUGUAGUAAUGCAUCCAUUUCUUCUUGCAUAGCAAGCUGCCACUGUGGAGACUUAGAAGCUGCAGAAUAAGUCGUUGGUUCUUUAACAGAAUCAAGAUGAAAGGAAGUAUGAUAAACCUUUUUCUUCUUAGAUAUCCCAGAUUUAGACCGUGUCUGCAUAGAAUGGAAAUUCUGAGAAUGCAAUGGAACUAGUUGUAACUCAGGAGCUUGAGAAGUAGUAGUAUCUGGAUGUAAGUUCGAACCCAUAUGAGUUGGAGAAGUAGUAGCAUUUGGAGGUAAUGAGGAACCCAUGGCAGAAUCAGAGAUUAACCCCAUUGAUGAAUCUGAGACUGAAUUAGAGAUAGCCGGCGAUGUGGAGACAAGAUCACCUUGAUGGAGAAUAUGGGACUGAGUAACUGGACUAGUAGUAUGGGAAAAUGCAAGAACAAUGGCACGAGGUAAGAGAUUAUGAUUUAAGGAAUGAUGCUCAAAUGAGUUUGAAUGAGGGACAGAGAGUGGGACAACUGAUGACAAAGAUGCAGUAGACUGUAGAUGGUGAAGGGUAGUGAACCAGGAAACUGACUUUCAUCAAACAAGACAUGUCGAGACACAAUUAACUUGUUAUCUUUGACAGAGUAACAAAUAUAACCUUUAUACUGAGAUGCAUACCCCAAAAAAAAUACAAACAGUGGUUUUUGGAUCAAGUUUGGUUGUUCUGUAGGGUUUCAAAGAGGGAAAACAAGUACAACAAAAAAUGCGUAAGUGAGCAAGUUGAGGAGGUGAUUUAUGCAAGACCUCAAAGGGAGAUUUCAUGAGUAAAGUGGAGGUUGGCAUCCUAUUGAUAAGAUAGGUUGCAGUAGCACAUGCAUGGUACCAAAAAAUAGAAGGUAAUGAAGCUUGCUGCAAGAGAGUAAUGGCAGUCUCAACAACAUGCCUGUUUUUCCUCUCGGCUAACCCAUUCUGCUCAGGGGUAUAAGGACAAGACUUUUGAUGAGUUAUACCAUUGUCCCGAAGAAAAUACUGAAAAGAAGCACCAAUAUAUUCCCCACCCCCAUCACUUUGAAGAGUUUUAAUAUGAGCAUCAAAAGAAUUCAAUACAAGGGAAUGAAAUUGCACAAAAUGACCAAAGACAACAGCUUUAUUGAUGAUUGGAAAAAUCCAUGUAUACCUAGUACAUUCGUCUAUGAAAGAGACAUAAUAUCUAUACCCCUCAAUAGACAUACCAGGUGCAGGCCCCCAUACAUCAGAAUGUAUAACUGCAAAAGGAAGUACAGAUUUUGAAGCAGGAGAAGGAAAAGGAAGUUUAGUAAACUUUCCUUCCAAACAGGGAGUACAAGGCUGAGAUGGUGCAGUACAAUGGAAAGGAAUGGCAGACUUACUAAGAACUAGCUUAACUAUGUGAUUAGUAGGAUGACCCAUGCGACGGUGCCACAAUGAAGAAGACACCUUUUGACCAAGAAAUGCUGCUGGUAAGACCUUUGAUUUUGGAAGCACAGGAAGAGGAUAAACGGCAUGAUUACUCAGUCCUUGGAACAAUAUUCUCUCAGUGAUCUUGUCCUGUAUACAGAGAGAAAACUCAUCAAUGAUACAUUGACAAUUAUUAUCUUUGCAUAAUUGAUGCAUAGACAAUAAGUGUUGGGACAAACGAGGAACAUGCAAUACAGAUUGAAGUUUAAAAGUAUGAGACUUGGUUGGAGGGUUAGAUUUGCCAAUAUGAGCAAUAACCAAACCUUCACCACUAGCACCAGUGACAGUAUCCGUAUGAGGAUAAGGAAAGGCCAUCUGAAGAUUAGAAAUAUCAGAGGUCAUGUGAUGAGUAGCGCCGGAGUCAAGAAGCCAGAACUCUUGUUGGGGUGCAGAUGGAGUGGGAGUAGCUUGAGCCGUCAUAGCCACAGGAGAAUGAGAAGAACCACUCAUGCCAGAGGACUGACCAUUGAAAUGCAUGCCAGAUGACUGACUAUUGAAAUUCAUAGACUGGUGUGAGGCUGGAGACUGUUGAGACUGGAACUGUGGAAAAUGUGGUUGAUAAUACUGCUGUGAUGACUGAUAUCCCAGAGCUGAAGAAUUAUUUCUGUCAAAACAAGUUGCAGCCGUAUGCCCCACUCUAUGGCAAAUCUAACAACCAUGUUGAAAACAAUUGAUAGCAGAGUGACCCUUUUUAUCACAAAUUUGACACUUCUGCAUUGGUUGAUAACUCUGUGGAAAGAUCAUUUGUUGUUGUGGUCCGGAUGCUGAAUGCGAUUGAGACUGAGGUGAAUACUGAUUUCCACCAAAUGAGAACUGUUGUGGAAACUGUCCUUGAUUUCCUUGAUUACCCUGAAAAAACUUCUUGCCUUUCCCUUUGUGUUUGAAAUUAUUUCCUCUGAAAUUAUUGUAUGUACCUGAACCACUUUGAGAGACAAAGGCCAAGGGUCCAGGAAAAGGAAGUUGUUGACACUGAGGAUAGGGUAAUUGUUGCUGUGAAAAGGGUUGUGAGAAAGGAAUAGGUAAGAACUGAGGAGGUUGUUGAAGAGGCACAUAGGAAUAUGGUGAUUGAGGGCUAGAAGCAAGGCCAAAAUAGCUGCCAGAUGACCUUCCUUAGUACCAGAUACACCUCCAGUGUCAUAUGCAGAUGGAGAAUUAUGAGCCAACAUAGCGGACAUGAGAGGAACUUGCUUAAUGACUUCAUUCAGCGUAUCUUCUUCAGCUUUCAAUUGAGACCGCAGUUCUUUAAGAGAUACCAAUGUUUCUCGGCCACGAAUGACAGACUUAAUAGUGUUAUACUCAGGAGGUAAACCCCGUAAUGCAACAAUAGCAAUGUCCUCAUCAGAAAUUAGAACCCCAACAGCAGUUAAAUGAUCCCUAGCAUCUUUAAUCCUCUGAAGAUAAGCAUCAAUGGAUUCAGGACCUUUCCUAAUAUUCUGAAGAUCAAUCUUCAUUUGAACAAUACUCGUCCGAGUCAUAUUUGCAAAUCUUUCUCGAAGACUAGUCCACAUUUCCUUAAAACUCUUACACCCAAUAACACAUGAUAAAGCAGCAGUCGACAGGGUAGCAGUAAUAAGCGUCAUUAAUGCCUUAUCAUGUAUCUUCCAAACAGUAUAAGCAUCAGAAUUCAACUCAGUGUUAUCAGGACAUAAAACAGAUCCAUCAAGAAAACCAAAAAUGCCAUUUCCAUCAAGCAAUAACUCCAUUUGGAAAUUCCAAGUCACAUAGUUAGAAUCAUCAAGUUUGACAGUGACAGUAUUACCCACAGUGGGAAUGAGAGAUGAAAUUGGGGAUUAAGUAAGAGCCAAUUGAGCAGAUGUAACCAUUGUUUAGCCAGAAACACCACAAAGCAAGCAACGCAAAUAUACAGAAUGCACACCCAGAAGCAAUCCACAAAUGACGCUACAAUCGGACAGAAAUGAACAACUUCGCAGAAACCAAAAUUUCCACAAUCUAGGGUUUCAAACAAUACUUGAUCAAGACAUCAAGAUCGCAAUAACAAUGUAGUAGAUAUGAGAAGAAACAAGAUCACCUUCCUUAAGCACAAAGAUGAAAGAAUGCAGCCGAAACACUAGCAAUGAAUCGAAGAACUCCAAAAGAUAGAGUUCGCGAUGAAUACCGACAAUCAAUCGCACCAGCAACCUUCAACAACCGACACAAAUGACGAGCAGGAACGCAAAUCAACGACGAACGACGAACGACGAGAACAACAAAACAAUGCGGAAGCAGAGGAUCGUCAAUCAAUGGUGUUACCCUUGAUCGGCGAUGAUACCAUGUUAACAAUAGCUAUGGAAGCUGAAAGAUCAGGAACGACCAGAGAUAGAAAGAGAGAAAGCUCAAAAGAGAGGGAAACUUUCUAACUGAUUUAUUAUUUCAGUUGCUACCUUAUUACAAGAGAUAUUUCACUAUAAAUACAUGUUGACCUAUCUAUCUCAACUCAUAUAAUCCAAUGACACAUGUCAUAAUCUUGACCACUAAUAUACUCUAACAUGGCAAACGUCGUUGCAUGCUGAGAUCCAACAACUUGUUCCUGGCUUCAGGCAGUCCUCUUCGAGAAAUCUACCACUGGAAUUUUCGCCAUUGUUUGCUAUUAAUUAGCUAGGCAGCUGUGAGAUACAAAUUCUCAGAAUGGCAAUGCUAACUUGGCUUCAAGCUAUAACUUAUAUAGAGAUACAACUACAAAUUUUUUUUCAAAGGAAUAAACUAUUAGUAAUGAGUAACUUGCAUUCGAAGACCUUGAUAUUUAAUUAAUUAGUACAUUAUACAGAUGUGCAUGUUAUGAAUUAACAAUGCGUGCCACCUCCACUAUGCGACGAACACUGUAAAAUGGAAUUAAUUAUUUUUUUCUUUCAAAGGAAUAAAUAAACUAUUACUAAUGAGUAACAUGCAUUCGAAGACCUUGAUAUUUAAUUAAUUAGUACAUCAUACAGUGCAUGUUAUGAAUUAACAAUUCGUCCCACCUCCACCUUGCGACGAUCAUUGUUUUUUAAAAUGGAAUUUUGAUCGUUAAUAAAACCCUAAUUAUUAUUAUAACAAUUUUUCCACAACAUGUGAACCACACCUCUAUGAUUAAUACGUGCAUUUCCCAAUCUUUUCUCCACUUUUUGUGGAUCUGUUUGUACCCAAAAUAACAGUUUGGGUUGAGCCUAUAAUUAAUCUCAGCAGAAUCAUCAACGUUUCAAACUUAAAAUUGCUUGGAAUUAACGCAUUAAACUUGAUUAGGUGACUCUGAGAAUGAACAUCAUGCCCAUGAGUUGGCAAUAUUAUGUUGUUUAUUUUUCUUUGAAUAAGAUUUAUUUGCAUUAGUUUUGGUUUUCUUAGUUAUUGGGUUGUUGUUUUAUUCUUGUUUGAUCUGCUCAUAUUUCUUUUCCGUUCUCGGCUGUUCAUUUUUCUGGGUUUCUUUUUCACUCUUAAUCUAUCCUAUUGUCGGGAUAAGUUGCAUUAGUUAUUAGAAUUUGUGUCUCCUUUUAUAUUUGCAAGAUUAUGUUUUAAUAAAUAUAAGUAUUCGAAUUCAUCUAAGUGCGCUUUUAGCUAUACCUUACAAAGCAUAUGGUAAUAUCAUGUUUAAAAUAUUUACGAAAUUGUCGAUAAUUUCGUCGUAAUUUUUGAAAAAUCAAAGAACGGUAAGAAAAUUGGAGUGAAAUGUAAACUUCACUCUAUAUUGGCGAGAUAUUAGAAAAUCAAUGAAUAUCGAUGCUAUAUAUCGAUCUACCACAGAAAUUUUGCCGAAAUAUCAAUGAUAUCAAAUGAACAUCAUGAACGUAUUAAACUUAAAUUCGCCUGGAAUUAACGCAUUAAACUUGAUUAGUUGACUUUGAGAAUGAACGUCAUGCCCAUGAGUUGGCAAUAUUAUAUUGUAUAUUUUCUUUGAAUAAGAUUUAUUUUUUAAUUAGUUUUAAUUUUCUUAAUUAUUGGGUUGUUUUAUUCUUGUUCUAUCUGCUCAUUAUUCUUUUCCAUUUUCGGUUGUGAUUUUUCUGGGUUUCUUUUUCACUCUUAAUCUAUCCUAUUUUCAGGGUAGGUUGCAUUAGUAUUCGAAUCCAUCUAAGAGUGGUGGAAAAUGUCCUGUCGGUAUUGUUAGGAGUAUUAAGAUCCAAUGGUUAUGAAAUGGACAAGUGUCAAAAGAUUAUGAAGUUAGUUAAGUUGGUUAUAUUGUUACUUAGAGUGUAAGCUACCAAAUGCUAUUAUAAAUAGCUUGUAACAAACCAUUGUGAUUAAUAAGAAAAUAUACUACAAUUCUCAACAGAUUUCUCUCUCUAAUAUCUCAAUCUUCUACUUCUCUCUCUCUAUCCCUUUCUUCUUUCUUGCUUCUAUAUAACCUUCUUCUUCAAAAACCUCUAAUGGUUUACAUGGUAUCAUCGCCGAAACAAGCAUAAAAGCUUGACGGUUUGUCGAUCUUGGUUUCAAUUGCUUCCGCUACAGUGAUUGUUUUCUAGUAUAUUGGUAUAUUGCUGAUUGGUUUUUGGUAUAUUGGGGUGCUUUCUCUGCAAAUCUUAGUCUGGUUCUUCAAUCUCCAAAAGGUGCCCACUAACUGUUUGUGGUUUGGUUUUUGUCAAGAUUCUUUGUGAUUUCUCUACAAUCUGCAACAAUGGUGACAGCUGCUCAGUUACAGAUCUUACAGUCUCCAAUUACCUCUUUGAUUUCAUUUGUCUCAAGUUCGGUGAAUGUGAAAUUGGAUGAGACGAACUAUUUGGCUUGGCAUUUUCAGAUGCAGCUACUUCUUGAAGGCCAUAGCAUAACUGGUUUCGUUGAUGGUUCAAUGUCCUGCCCUGCUCAAUUCAGUCAAGAUUCCUCUGAUAAUUCAGCAAUUUUGUCUGGCGAUUCCUCUACAAGGGUUCCAUCUGAUGACUACAACAUAUAGAAGAUGCAUGAUAAGGCUUUAAUGCAAUUGAUUACUGCAACUUUGUCUCCUGCUAUAGUUUCUUGUGUAAUUGGAAGCACUAGUUCCAAAGAAAUGUGAAAUCGCCUUAAAGAACAAUUUUCUACAAUCACAAGAAUGAGCAUCUUCCAACUCAUGUCAAUCAUACAUGAACAUUCAUGAGCAUCACUCAUGUCAACAUUCAUGAGCAUUACACAUGUCAACAUUCAUGAGCAUUACUAUGUCAACAUCCAUGAGCAUCACUCAUGUCAAUCAGCUUCGAAAGCUUCAUUUACAGAGCUCUAGCUUCGAAAGCUUCAUUUACAUAGCUCUAUCUUCGAAAGCUUCAUUUACAAGAGCUUCAGCUUCGAAAGCUUCAUUUACAGAGCUCCAGCUUCGAAAGCUUCAUUUACAAAGCUUCGACUUCAAAGCUUCAUUUACAAAAGCUCCAGCUUCAAAGCUUCACUUUCAAAGCCUCACCAAUAAAACUUCACUUUCAAAGCUUCACCUACAAAACUUCAGUGUAGGGUAUACAAGAUCGCCUCCGAACAAUCGCCACUUCGGCCCAUACAUGGAUUGAAUUUAAAGUUUCCAGCUAACAGACUUUAUUGACUGAAGACUUGGAGGACUACACUAUGUACCAUAUAUUGGGCUUCCGCAACUGGGCCUCAUGAAAAAUACUUGGGGGACUUACCCCAUUAUUUAUGUACUGAGGAGCGAUCUCUUAUUCUAUAAAAGGGACUCCCUCACUUUCAUUAGAGAGCACCCAUUAUUCAUGUAUUGAGGAGCGAACCCUUAUUUUAUAAAAUGGACUCCAUCACCUUCAUUAGAGAGAGACUCUUAGCCCAUCACUUAUGUAAUGAGGAGCGAACCCUUAUUCUAUAAAAAGGACUCCCUCACUUUCAUUAAAGAGCAUCGCCGCCAGCUAAGCAACCACCUCGCCAUGAGCAUCACUCCUAACCCAUCACUUAUAUAUUGAGGAGCGAGCCCUUAUUCUAUAGAAAUGACUCCCUCACCAUCAUUAGAGAGCAUUGCUGCCUGCUGAGCAACCGCCUUGCUGCGAACAUCAACUCUAGCCCAUCAUUUAUGUAUUAAGGAGCGAGCCCUUAUUCUAUAAAAGGGAUUCCCUCACAUUCAACGCCACAAGCCUAGCCAACCAAGGUAACAUAAGUCAUAAGCCGAGCAACCUCGCAACAUGUGCUACUUCUAGUUGAGCAUCAUUUCACAUUGAGCAUCGCCUCAUAUCGAGUAUCAGUUCUAGACGACAUCUAGUUACUUCGGCCCACACAUGGACUGAAUUUCAAGUCUUCAGCCAAAAGACUCUCUUAACUGAAGACUUGGGGGACUACUGUUGGUACCAUAUUAUAUUGGGCCUCGUUACUUGGGCUUCUAGACAUUGAGCCCAUGAUUUAUGUAAAAGGGGAUGAGCCCUUAGUCUAUAAAAGGGCCUCUUCACCCUCAUAAUCCUCAAGUUCCAUCCUCACAUACAGAAGCCGCAAGGCUUACAAACAGAGAAACUCUCCUAAACUCUCUCUUUCUCUGGGGGACUCCUCUUCACACUUGUAAUCCAUACAUUCAUACAGAGAAAUACAAUUAACAUCAGUGUAGACGUAACCCAAACAUUGGGGUGAACCACGAUACAUCUUUAUGUUCUUGAGCAUUUGUGUGAUUCACGGCCGGAUUUACGUUGUUCUAAGACCUUCCGAUUUUGUGCAUCAACAUUUGGCGCCGUCUGUGGGAAAUGACACGAAAAGCUAUGUCAAUUCUCUUUUAUUUUUUCAUCUCACCCCCGUGAGACCUCAUCACUGUCCACCGUGAAUCUGCAUAAACCCAAAAACCAAAACCAAAAGCCCAAUUCCUUCACCCAACACCCACACUCAGAGACACACCUAUUCAAUCAGCAGAGAGAAGAGGAGAGAGAGAGAAAGAGAGGGAUGAAGGGAGAUCAUGAUCCAAACACAAACGAAGUAUACAGAGAGUGCUUGAGAAACCAUGCAGCCAGCCUCGGCAGCUAUGCCACAGAUGGCUGUGACGAGUUCAUACUUGACCACACAUCCCCAGGUAGCAUACAAUGCGUCGCCUACGGAUGCCACCGUAACUUCCACUGCAGAGUUACUUACGCAGCCACGUCAUCACAAGCUGCAGAAGGCCGUAGAUCAGGACAUCAUCAACACCAUGUCAUCAUGAGUUGCAGUGGUCGAUGUCGAGAUCUCGCUAAAAAUAUCAUAACACAAAACCAAUUCAUUGACUAUAAUGUCGGUGAAGGUGGGUUGCUGGACAGCGGAGAAAGGAUAAGCAGCGGGAAGAAGCAGUUCAGGACGAAGUUCACGGCGGAGCAAAAGGAGAAGAUGCUGGCGUUUGCUAAGAAUUUAGGGUGGAAGCUGCUGAGAAAAGAUCUAGAGGACGAGAUAGAGAGGCUCUGUAAGAGUGUAGGGCUAUGUUGGUACCGCUCGUCAUCGGGCGGUUCAUGGAGAUGGUCAACCAGAACAACGGGAUUGUGGGCUCCACCACCGGCUCCAAUUACUAUGUUAAGAUUCUCAGCAACAUUAAUCGGGAGCUCCUCAAGCCUUCCAUUUCCGUCGCCUUGCAUCGCCACUCCAAUACCCUCGUCGACAUUAUGCCUCCAGAGGCCGACUCGAGUAUUUCUCUCCUCAGUCAAUCUGAGAAGCCUGACAUCACAUACUCUCUCGAAUUACUGCAAUUCAGUCCAACAAUCGCUUCGUGUUCAGAAAUGUCAGCCUAGAAGCAAUCGGAGGAAACCAUAACCUUCAACCAGACCGACAAUAGAGAGGGAGAAGAUAAGUUUGCUUAUAAGAAUUCUAUUAUUAUUCCCUGCCAUCUGCCAAAAGAAAAAAGAAAAGAGCUUUACUUUUCUUUUGUCUGCCAUCUGUCAUCACACAUAUUUAACCCAAGUACCUGUGGAAUAUUUAUUCAUUGCCUAGUGAUAUUGUGACUGUUAUUAAACUAUGUGACUUAUAUAACAUGUGAUUUACCACACGACUGAAUAAAUUAUUUAUUUAUAGAAGGCACGUAGUAAAAUAUUUUCCUUAACAAACUUUGUCAAUUUGAUUUAUACAGUCACACUUAUGCUGCCAUUUAUUGUCAGGAAUUAUUGAGCAACUAGAUCCACUGAUCAACAUUGUUACUGAUUAAAGAAGUAUACCUAAGUGGAAGUGCUCCAUCCUUCCACUUAAGGUUCACCCUCUAUUAUCACCAACGAGGUGAUCAAAAGUACGUCCAGUACUCCAAAAUUAUUCGGCAGCCUACCGCUAUUAUCACCAACUAGGUGAUCUAAAGUACAUCCAGUACUCCAAAAUUAUUCAGCAGCCUGCCGCUAUUAUCACCAACUAGGUGAUCAAAAGUACGUCCAACACUCCAAAAUUAUUCAGCAGCCUGCCUUUAUUAUCACCAACUAGGUGAUCAAAAGUACAACCCGUCCUCCAAAAAAUCAUACAUGAGCAUCACUCAUAACAAUCACCAUUAUACAUGAGCAUCACUUAUGUUAAUCAUACAUAAACAUUCAUGAGCAUCACUCAUGUCAACAUUCAUGAGCAUCACUUAUGUCAACAUCCAUGAGCAUCACUCAUGUCAAUCAACAUAAACAUUCAUGAGCAUCACUCAUGUCAAUCAGCUUCGAAAGCUUCAUUUACAGAGCUCUAGCUUCGAAAGCUUCAUUUACAGAGGUCCAGCUUCGAAAGCUUCAUUUACAUAGCUCUAGCUUCGAAAGCUUCAUUUAUAGAGCUCCAACUUCGAAAGCUUCAUUUACAGAGCUCCAGCUUCGAAAGCUUCAUUUACAAGAGCUCCAGCUUCGAAAACUUCAUUUACAGAGCUCCAGCUUCGAAAGCUUUAUUUACAAAAGCUCCAGCUUCGAAAGCUUCAUUUACAAAGCUUUGACUUCAAAGCUUCAUUUACAAAAGUUCCAGCUUCAAAGCUUCACUUUCAAAGCCUCACCUAUAAAACUUCACUUUCAAAGCUUCACCUAUAAAGCUUCAGUGCAUGGUAUACAAAGACUGCCUCCGAACAACCGCUACUUCGGCCCAUACAUGGAUUGAAUUUGAAGUCUCCAACUAACAGACUCUAUUGACUAAAGACUUGGGGACUAUACUAUGUACCAUAUAUUGGGUUCCGCAACUGGGUCUCAUGAAAAAUACUUGGGGGACUUAGCCCAUUAUUUAUGUACUGAGGAGCGAACCCUUAUUCUAUAAAGGGGACUCCCUCACUUUCAUUAGAGAGCACCUAUUAUUCAUGUAUUGAUGAGCAAAACCUUAUUUUAUAAAAUGGACUCCCUCACCUUCAUUAGAGAGAGACUCUUAGCCUAUCACUUAUACAUUGAGGAGUGAACCCUUAUUUUAUAAAAUAGACUCCCUCACCUUCAUUAGAGAGUAUCGUCGCCAGCAAUUCAUUAGAGAGCAUCGUCGCCAGCAACCGCCUCGCCGUGAGCAUCACUCAUAACCCAUCACUUAUGUAUUAAGGAGCGAGCCCUUAUUCUAUAAAAGGGACUCCUUCACCAUCAUUAGAGAGCAUCACUGCCUGCUGAGCAACCGCCUCGCCGCGAACAUCAACUCUAGCCCAUCAUUUAUGUAUUGAGGAGUGAGCUCUUAUUCUAUAAAAUGGACUCCUUCACCUUCAACGCCACAAGCCGAGCCAACCAAGGCAACAUAAGUCACAAGCCGAGCAGCCUCGCAACAUGUGCUACUUCUAGUUGAGUAUCAUUUCACAUUGAGCACCGCCUCAUACCGAGUAUCAGUUCUAGAUGACAUCUAGUUACUUCGGCCCACACAUGAAUUGAAUUUCAAGUCUUCAGCUAAAAGACUCUCUUGACUGAAGACUUGGGGGACUACUGUUGGUACCAUAUUAUAUUGGGUCUCAUUACUUGGGCUUCCAGACAUUGAGCCUAUGAUUAUGUAAAAGGGGAUAAGCCCUUAGUCUAUAAAAGGGCACCUUCACCCUCACAAUCCUCAAGUCUCAUCCUCACAUACAGAAGCCACAAGGCUCACAACAGAGAAACUCUCCCAAACUCUCUCAUUCUCUCGGGGACUCCCCAUCACAGUUGUAAUCCAUACAUUUAUACAGAGAAAUACAAUCAACAUCAGUGUGGACGUAGCCCAAACAUUGGGGUGAACCAUGAUACAUGAUAGGAGCAUAUUUAUGCGACUUAAUUGGCUUGUUCUUGUGCGUUUACGUUGUGUUUCUUUAGUUAUUUUAGUGUUUAAAGCCAUUUUCAUUUGUGUAGGUCUUAAUAACAACCUUGGCAAGAAAAGUGCAUUUUGGUGCAUGUUGGAUCAAUAUUGGGCUCAAAUGGAUUGCAUGCAUGAGGAUGGACGUUUUGGGCAUAUGUGUGUGUAAUUGCAAGGAUAAACAAUGACAACUCAUACACAUGCAAAGAAGCCCACAUGCAAAGUGAAAGACUCUAAGUACAAAGUAUGCAAGAAGAUGCAUUUUGGAGGCCUUUGGAGCAUGUUUCGGGCUUGGAAUGGAUAGCAAAUGCAUGGGCCAAAGUGGAUGGACAAAUUUGAGAACUAAAGAGGCCAAGAAUGUGAAGAAUUAGUGUUCAAAAGAUAAAGAAUUCAGCCCAAAAAUUUGUCACUCCAAGUUGCACACUCCUUGCCAUGCAAAACACAUAGAAUUCCCUUUGGAUUCCCAUGCCAUGCUUGAUCACUCUUGUCCCCUACAUAAUUUCUGAUUUCAUGCUUUGAUUCAUUUAAUUAUUUCACUCAAUUGCUUCAUACCUCUUGUUCCCUUCACCCAUUAGAUUUUAGACAACCUUUACAUCCAUUACAUGCACCAAUGAGCUCAUCAUUCCUUUGGAAUGCCUAAUUGGCGUUAUGUGUCCGACACAUGUUUGUCUAGCACAUUUGUAACCCAUUUGUAUUAAAGACUACGGAUUGUAAACCGCAAAAUCCCUGUUGUCCAUCUCUAGGUGGUAAAUGUACAUGGAAGCUAAUGGUCAUGUUCGAGCAAGGCUAGGGAGCAUGAAAUGAUUGUUGUACACUUGAGCAUAAGACGCACUUCGCAUUUGUAAGGACCGGUGACACUUCCCUUGUGGCAAUCCAUACAUAUUUCGAUGUUCACAUGCUGGCCAUAUCGCACACGGCACUAGACACGAAACCUUAGCCAUUGCAUUUCAUCGCUAGGCCUAUUACCUCUGAUUAUUACUAGAUGGUUAUUGGCCAUAUAAAAUUACAUGAUUUACGAGCCGCGCUAUUGGCCAAAGUUAAUGAGGGAGUCCGCGCGAUAUGGGUCAUCAUGGUUUGAGCGGGGUUCAGAAGGUUUCGGGUUUCAUCAUACAAUCAACCCCUAGGACAUUAGACAGCCGCACAGAGGAAGCAAAACCAAUAAUCAUAGUGUAGCCUGAAGAAACUACAGCUCCAUCGAGCCUCGAUAUCAACCCCUCUUUAAGUUACAUAGGUUAACUUCUCCAACAAGCACCUUGCACAACUAUCACGCAACAAUCUACUGCUAUCGCACAGCUGCGACCCUGAAAGCCUGCCUCCAUACUAUUGCGCACAUUCGAUGCUACAACGCAUGAAAAGAUACACCUCAACACAAAGGUCUGGUACACUAAGCUUAUGCUCACAAAUGGAGGAUGAGAGCAUGUGACAAUGGAGUCGUACGUCAUGACUUUGGUACCACUAUGAGCAUAUAGGUUGCAUUUUAGGUGUUUGCUUUGUAUUGAUUUAAUUUCUAAUGUUCUAUCAUUUUUUUAGUAUAGAUCCUCAUCUAAUGUAUUGCAAGACUUUGAGCGAACUCAUCAUAUCCGCCUUAGUCUUGGGGGGUUGAUUACGCGAAUCCUCUACCUCAGUACAUUGUGUCUCUCGACAUAUAUCAGCUAGGUCUCGAUGUCACACUAUCUAGUUGUGUUAUCCUCAUCAUAUAGUUGAGCAGCCGCGAUCACAUUCAGUGCUCACAUCUAAGCGCUCUCCAUGAAUAUGAUAAACUCUUCAUUUUGCAUGACUGGUUGUAUUGUAUAGAGUCCUUUUCAGGAUAAGUUUUCGAUGAAUGAAUGUAUGUGGAUCUGCUCAAUAUGUGCAUUUGGUAGGUAUGAGAGGUUCAUUAUCAGCUCUUAAAUAGUGCUUACAUAGCUUAAUAAUCACCAACACAAGUAUAUGUUGGAACGGCUCGCAUUGAAAAACGUCGCAUAGUCGCCCUCAUGUCUGAUAGCAAUCCUGAAUUUUGGCGAGCCCCCAAUUAUUGGAAGAUUUCUAUGCCUCACCAUUCAUAGGCUCACCACAGUAUGGCACUUUCGUCAUCACUUAGCUCUAUAGGUGUUUUCAUUGGUUGUCUAUUCAAUGAAUUCUCUAUCGCAAAAUUGACUCAACUUAUUAGUUAAGAUACAUCAUGGGAUUUACACGCUAAGGUAAACUAUUAUUGAGGUAAUAUGAGACUAUGUAUAGACAUAUGUAUCUGUGAAUAUGCGCUAUUUCAUGCCAAAAUUCACAUUGAACACUUAAGAGAGAGGACUUCGAAGAGAUUUUAAAAUCGUCCAUAAUUAGCGUAUAACUAAUUAACUCGGUGUCUCUCGACGUUAUCAUAAUUUUAUAGGAAGAACAACUUGAAAAAUUCAGAUUUCUUACUGUCUCUAAGCAAUGGGUUUGUUCUUGUGGGUGCGUACGAGAGAUCACACAUCUGGGAAUCGAGUCUCGCUAUUUGUAUUUAUCCAUCCUCUUGUCAUCCACAAAAACACGUUAUAUACUCGAUAUGAGCAGUUUGUUUUUAUAAGUAUUCUUGUUUUGUGUUUGUCAAAAUGUGUUCGUCGAAAACAUCCCUUUUCCACGUAGAAGUCAUAUAUUAAGAUUGAGUGUAUAGGAAAGUGUUUUGAAGAUAUUGGUGUUUUUCUAAGUGUUCCUUUGGAGUUUCGAAGUUUCAUCCCUAAACUUUCGUGCGCGUUAUACGUGGUUAUUGUGUUUAGGAGGAAUGAGACUUGAGGAUUGUGAACUGCGAGAAACUUGCCACACGAGGUGACCAAGUGGUUUUAUUUAUGAGCAGUAAUCUUAGAGGAGGUCUCUCAUUAGGUUAUGCUUCCCUUUUACUUAAUAUAUUAUGAGUCAAUGUUUUUACUGUAAGCCUCAAGUACGUAUGUAUGAAGUAUCAUAAUAAAGUAAUAGUUUUUGCAUUCUGUGUGGAGUAUCCUAGUUUAAACUGUAUUAAAUUUUAUUGGUUUCCUUUCAUGUUUUAAGCAUGUACGCUUAAAUCGAAGGUGAGUUCUAGGGUUACAGCUCGCAACGCCUCUAUAUUGGCCCACACGUCAGAUUCUAGAUAUCGAUGUUCCGGCCCUCACUUACAGUAACUCUAGUUAAUGUCAUCUAACAACUUGAGUUAAACAGUAGGGCUUGUGAAUUAAUUGUAUGUCUGGAUAUCGCUUACCUAUUAAUGCUGACACAGCAUGUAAAUUACAACUAGAUAGUAGCAUCAUAUGGUUUCUUUGGAGGGCUCUGUCUUCGGUGCUGAGCGUAUGCACGGCCUGGAUGUUUUGUCCUUGUGUGUUGUUCUCGAGCUUGUGGCGUUGAGGUGAAGGAGUCCAUUUUAUAGAAUAAGAGCUCACUCUCAAACAUAAAUGGAUGGGCUAGAAGGUAUUGCAUGUUCGCUGGUCGCGAGUGUCAUUGGUGCAUCAACAAGGUGUCAUACCCUAGACUAGUGGUCAGUUGUCACAUUAUGCAUCUUACUUAAAUUUGGACAGAAUAAUUAGAAAGGAGUAACAGCCACAUUAGUAUUUAAUAUUGAGUCAUAGUAAUGUUAUUUGGGGUCCUCUUGCUCCUUAGAUGUACUAUUAAGUGAUGAAGGUUUUCUUUGAGUGUGAGAUGAUGCUCACCGAGGACAGUAGGCGUUUGACAUUGCUACUGAACCUAAGAUUGCGCUUUCUGUCUAAUGUAUAGCUUGCAAUUUCAGCAGAACCGAUACUCUCUAAAAGUAAUACGGUGAGGUGAAUGUUCAUGAGUUGUGAUAACGUUAAGAGGAGCGUUCAACUCAUCCUACUGGAAAUGAGUCUAUUAAGUUGUAUGAGGAUCUUCAGAGAUCUUACUUCCUUCGACUAUCAAUUUUAACUAUGGUGAGGUUGAAGGGAAGAUCCCACUUUGGCUUGAUAAAAUAAUGGGUUCUCUAUGAGCUCUCCACUCAAUCUUAGAUGGUAAUUAGUACUAUGGUGCAUCUAACUGGCAAUCAGAAGAGCUGAUUGGAGCUUCCACUUUCAUAGAAUCAGUACGUAUUUCACUAUUUAAGCUGAGGUUGCAAGCUCCAUAGCGUUAGCUCACUACAAUAAUGGACUACCACCCCAAAGUAUAAUUUUCUCAUAGAUGUAAUCACCCAGAAGUUCGCUUGUAGGUAAAUAAACACAGAAGCGAGAGAUCUAGAUAUUCACUCUUAAACUUCUGAAGUCCACCAGUAAGAAUGGGUAAAUUCCCAAGACCAAGAAUUUAUGUCCAAUCUAGAUUCAGAGUCCUCUGCUCUUGAAUAUCUCUUGAGUAAUGACUUCUAAUUCAAUCCUCAUGCUCCUCAAGAGUGCCAGAGAAGUAAGCGUUCUAUGUUCGGGGAAGGUCAGUUCAGCUCUUCUCGUAAUACUUGUCAAAUUCUGCACUCUGAAGCUGAAAUAAUAGUAUGAAAUCGAUUUGUAAUAAGCGCAUCAAGUCAUUGUUACACUACGUGUCGAGAGAAUGUCUAAAAUUUGAACAUUGUAGCAAGCUAGUGUGAAGCUGGUAUGCCAACAUUUUGUGAGAGAGCUAAAGAGCAUUAUCAAGCACACGUCUAGAGACUUGAUAAAUGAAAGCUCGAAGCUGGCUAGGCUUUAUCUUGAGUGAAAAUAAUUGGACAUACUCGAGAGAUACUCUCGCGAGCUCAAUAGAUAGAUAAUGCAAGUGUGGGAAUAUCGUGAUAUGCGACUAGGAGCUGUCUAUGUAAAGUAGCACUAUGCUUUCAAAAGGACAUUCUGAGACUAGUGCUGCAGCAAUCUAAGUAAAUUGAGACGUCAUUGCAUCGAAGUUGGAGCUCUAUAAUGAAGUCGCUGUCAACACCGAGAUCGCGUAGUUAUGCUACACUAUUUACACAUGAAUGCGAUCUGCAUUGUCACGUAAACGACUACAGAACAGUAUCUCAAUUGUAUACAUGGAUCUAGCGUGCCAAUGAAGUCUAGAAGCUCUCUCGGAGUGAACAGAUCUAGCUCAUCUGCAACGUCUCAGAUCCUCAUGACAAUGAGGAGCAAUGCCACGAUACAACAUAAUGGUUGUAUAAUGGUUUUUAGGCUAUAUCUGAAUUCGUUGAUAAUUUGAUCUUUCGCCACUCAAUGUAUUAGUCCUAUGAUUCAAAAAGUUAAUUCUAGAGAUUCGCCUUUAUGUUACUAAAAUUGUCUAGAAUUUGUUGUUGUGCAUAGGAUUUGUUUGGAUACAUAUACUGUGAUUGGAGUUUGAACAUGUAUGUAUUGCAUCAUAUUGAACAUUUAUUGUAUUCAAGUUACAAAAGCCACUAUAUAAGGGUAAGAAUACGUUCUACUAAAGGGUAUUUGUGUAGCAAUAGUAGGAUGAUUGAGGCGGUUCAUGCAGUUGACCCCUUUCUAUACUCAACCUCUCAAUGGUCAAGAAUUUUCUAAUGGACAGUACUUGGCAGUUGUUCAUGGGAAAACAUAGUGUUAACAUAUCUGAAAUACUCCUAGUGCUAGUAGAAAGACUAAGGCACACGCGCUUGCUUUGAGAACUAUAUAAUGUCUCUUCAGAGUGGCGAGUCAGUAUAGAGUUACUCGCUACUGUGUUGGCUAGAGAUUAGACAACACCUAUGCUCUAUGUGCGUGAACCAUGUUUAAGAGUGCAGAAAAUUUACAGCCCCUGAGAAUAAUUAUUUCCGGAUUUGUACUCGCGAUGCUACUCUAUAGCAAUAGUUUCAGUUCGUAGCUGGAACCUUGAUUGAAUACAGUCUGGUUCAUGGAGUGAUGCUCGUCAUGCACUAUUUUGGAGUACUGGCACCGUCGUAUUUCUUCUGAAGUAUUCUAAGAUAUAUCACUGUGACCUUUCUCAUGGUAUCAUUUGUACCAAAUAUUGAUGGAAUUGUUAUUGCCGGUCUGAAGCAUAUAUAAAAACUGUGAUAUGGGUAUUAUGAGACUCAUCCUCAUCUUGUUUUCCACUAUUUACAAUUUUCAUUUCUUAAACCCAGUCUUUAAUUCGAAUAGUACUACAUAUAAAACGUUUUGACUUCAAUCAUGUAAGGUAGGUUGGUGGUUGGCUGCACGAUAUAUUAGUUAAGGCAUUUUCAUAAUUCUUACUGUGAUAAGGAAUAUAAAUCUAUGCGCAGAAUGCUACAUAGUGGCCGUCUGACUCGACUCAGUAACAAAUGAGCAUAAUAUAAAUUGACCACACACAUCAGUUGAUAUAUCAUUUAUCUAUAUGAGAGAACUACAUCUCUACAUCUCCUAUUUUUUGGUUCAUCUUGCACCGUGGUCUUAAUAACUCUUCAGUAGUAUCUUAAAUCAACCAAUAGACCAUUUCAUUCUCUCAGAGGCUUUGGUGAGCAACUCAGAUAACCUCCUACAUGUAACCAAUGACUGCAUAAUUCAGAUCCUGAGAUCUCAAUCUAUAUAAAGUCUAUGUUCGCAGACACUGUCCUACUUUAGUAUCCUAUGGAUAUAAGACCAUACUACACACAGCGAAUACUAACAUUAGACUCCGAUAGAGCUAUACCAAAAUGUGUCUUUUUAGUGAUUCGAUUCCAAAGUAAAACUGUGGUAUAUUAUAGAUUUGAUGUGAUAUAAAAAGACAAAGUACUAUGAUCUUCUAGACAGUGAUAUUUGAUGAGAAAAUUUUCCUAUAAUUCUUUGAAUACAUAUUCAUCUCUAUUCAUUCUUUUUCUUUUGCAAUGUAUUCAGCCCACUAGGGCAUAUUACAUUCAAAUUAGACAAUUAUCACAUUUAAGUCACAGGACCAAGGAAUCACAAACAAUCGUUCUUGUCUUAUCAAUAUUUCUACAGGCUAUCAUGACGUCCUGGUCUGAAAGGUUGUAAAUUGGUCCUCACUUCCUCCGAUUGCUCUCGGGUCCACAUCGACAAUUUAAGUCGAACAGCUGCAUAGCGAUCUACUCGACAUUGGGUACUGUAUAAUUAGCAGGUAACCAAAUUAGUGUUCAUAUGAGUAAGCAAAUAUGCUGUACUGAUUGAACUGGAUGCGACUCUAGCUAAAAGUCAGUUUAUGAAACGUUUAUGAGAGAAUCAGAUGUGAAAGAAAUCAAAGUCUUCGAGUUCCAAGGUCCUCAUCUGCUCGUAGCGAGGCAUAAACCAUGACUACGCACACACAGCGAUUGGUCUUCGAACGAUCUCGUGUGCCGAGUACCAUGCAUAGAAUGCUCCAAGGAGAAAAAAUCGGAAUUAUAGCAGCUUGAGAUGGUUCUGCGAUAGCCUCCUCGAUUUAUGUUGCUGAGAUCUUUAACAUAGUAAUUGGAGCCGGUGGUGGUAGCCCACAAUCCCGUUGUUUCCUGGUUUUGAACCAUCUCCAUGCAACCGCCCGAUGACGAGCGGUACCAACAAUAGCCCUACAUCUUACCAGCUAAAGCUACACACCCUCAUGCACACUAAGCUCAUAAAUAGCUUGGCAUUAUUUCACAUGAACGCAUAUGACUCUUCUCCUUUCGAGCUGAUGCAUGCGUUCCAUCCACCGCAUCUGAAAGGAAGUUUGAUCCUCUUAAUGAAACUCAAACGGCGAGUCAAUCUUUCAGCAACUCUCUGUCGAGGAGCCACUCUAUCCGCCAAGUAGUACUAUAGCUCUUUUAGAUCCAACUGAAAUCUGCACCGUUCUUCUCCCGACUUGGGUAUAUGAGGUCAUUCAUCUGUUAACAGUCAUGAUAGUACCAGCAUAUCGCCACACUGCCACCGGAACCUUCAAUACAAUGUUACUGAGUUAGAUGGUAAUUUGGUUUUUGUGGGUUAUCUCCUUGUAUGCAAUUAUCAUCAUGAGAGAAAUGUGAGUUACGGCAUGCAUAUCAGAGGCGGUACUACAUAAUUAAAAUAUAUGAUAUUAGUGUGAGUGAUUGAGAUCGGUUCAAUAUUGGCGAGGUAAUACGGCCCUCACGGUCAGCGACUGCGGUUAGUUCUAUAUAGAUGGCAGACGUCCGAAGGCAGGAAAGGGAACUUGACUUUCAGCUGGGUGAGAGUUACUUUGUAUGGGGUCAUCCACGUAAGUUCGACUUGCCAUUUAGUAUAACCUAAGACACCUCGGUGAAAGAUUUGAGGGUUCAAGUUUUUUAGGCAUCUUGGAUAACUAAGGCUGAAUCUCGAUAUUGGCAUAAGCUGCCGGGGAGGAUGGCUUGCAUGGUUUUCUCAACAUCUCUGUUAUAUUCGUUAUGACUUGUGACUUUAUAAGGAUCACUAAGAUCUUUCCAGCAAUUCCCAUAUACGUACGCACUAACACUCACUAUGCAGGUCUUCUCUUGAUCUCUCUGCUUGCAUUCUCUUAUUGGAAUUAGUCGAGAGAGGUGUGGUAUAGUACAACUGAGUGUGGUAGACUUUGAGGUGAACAGGAAUUGAGGCUUUUGUGUCUAAUCGGUUUGCUAUGGGUUUUAUGCAGAUUUACGGUGUGACAGGUGAGUUGACGUCUCACGCGGAGUGAAGAAAAAAGUAAAAGAGACAAAUGGAUUUAUACUUUUCGCUGAUGAUCAUUUCUCACCCAAACUAGAACGGCGCAAAUGACUCAUAGAUGCAACAUGAAAUCGGAAUGGGUAAGAACUAGAAGUUAAAUCGUGCGUCCGUUUUGCACAUACGACAUCACAAAUCACUCAAAUUAACUAAAGAUGUAUCUGGCUGGUUCAACCACACACACUGUUUCGGGUUAAGGGUCUACACUGAUGCUUACAUAUAUUUUUCUCUCUGUAUAUGUGCCCUUAAGGUAUGGAAUAUACGAAGCUUGAGUUAGGAAGGAGGAGUCCCGCAAGAUAAGUAAGUAAGAGAGUUAUUUAGGAAAGAGAUUUUCUCUGUUUGGCAUCGGGCUAUUGCGAGAGCUUUGUGAUGUGCAAGAGGGAGUGUAAGAAAAACGAUUUAUGAGGAAGUUUAUGGAAGGGUGAUAGAGGCCUAUAGUAUUAGGGACUAUAGUAGGUUCAAUCCUCGGCUCUUAACUACAUAAAUAUGCUCAAGUCUAGAAGCCAAGUAACUGAGGCUCCCAUAUAUGAGGUAACCAGAACAGUAGUCCCCAAGAUCUUCAGUGUAUAGAGAUAAAGUCUUAUAUGGCUUGAAGAACCUAAAAUAUUUACUGCGUCCCAUUGUGUAGGCCGAAGUAAUAGGAAUUUCGUUACUAGCAACUGGAUAUCUCAUAAUGGAAGGCGACUCCAACAUUGUAGAUCAGGUGUAUAAUAAGAACACAAUCAUAGAAGUCAGCACAAUGUUUGCGUAGGCUUAUAGCACUAACGUGACUAUGUUCAUCGAUUCUGUUUUACCAAUAAUCCCUUGCUUGAUCAUAGGCUCUGUAGUGUCUCCCGUCUGUCACGUAUCUGACGGGAAUUUCUCUUUUUAUAACGAUAUUAAGUGGUCUCGCUCUUCAAAAAUAAACUGCUCUUGAGGUGGUGUUACAGUCAUGAAGAUUUGAUGUUACCAGCAGAGGGGGUUGCUCAGAAGCCACGCAGCAAUGCACAUUCUCAUGAUUGAUGGUUGUGGAGUUCCAUAUUUUUAUAGAAUAGUUGGCUCGCCUCCUCAAUAAUAUAUAUGGAGGUGGUUGCGGUCUUAUGGAGAGGUGUAUUGUGCAUCCAUGGCAUCUGAGGUGGUUGCUUAGCUGGGGCGACUUGGCUCUUAUAAUGAAAGUGGAGAGGGAGUCAGUUUUUAAUAGAAUAAGGAAGUUUAGCUCACCAUCAGUUCGAAUAUGAUAAUGAGUGAAAUCUGUCUAAGAGUCUCUGUGGUACCUCUUCAUAUGAACACAGUCGCAUGGAGUCCAAUUUUAUUACAAAUCUCAAAGUGGUCCUGCUCCACACAUACAUGAAGUAUAUUGAUCUAGUGGUGUCUGCCCUCUAACUGAACACUGUUUAUGUGGCGAUGUCCCUAUGGUUAUAGCAGAAUCAGACGAUCGGCUCCUCGUACAUAAUACGGGGUUCCAAGUCACCCCCAGCCAGUAUUCUAUGUUCCAUAGAGCAGGAGCCACAGAUCAUAUACGUCACGGAGAGAGGCACGAUAGUUAUAAUAUAUUGGUACAUAGUGAUAGUCUUAAACCAUAGUACUUCAAGUCAAUAAAGAUCUUCUGUUAGCUGGUAGAAUAUCGUGUAUUAUUAAAUUAUAGUCUCCUCGCAUGGGUAAAAUUGGGCCGAGACGUGAGGACAUGAUUUAUGUUUACGUGAAGGCGAUCUUGUCAUAUCCACUACACUGAUAGAUUUAUGUAGGUUAGAAGCUUUGAAUUAAGGUGAAAAUAGUUGUUAUGGUGAGUUCGCACUUUGAGAAGCUCGAGAGAAAAGCGCACUUUGGCGAAGCUGGAAGCUUUUUGUGAUGAUGAAGCUAUUGUAAUAGUCGAGAGAAAGCCGUCUAUGUUAAAUGAAGCUUCGCGUAAGCCUAGGAGUCUAUGUAACAUCGGAGAUGCAAUUGAAUUCGUAUGCACCGCUGAUAGCUAUGCUAAAUAAAUGGACACGCUAUCAAAAUAGGUUAAUGUCAAAAGUAGAGACUAUGUCACAUGAAGUCUUUCAGAAGCUAGAGAGUCAUCUGAACUAUAAAGUCGACUUUCGAGCAUGAUUGUACAUGGAAGUGAUGCAUCGAGUAAGAGGAGGGUUGUUUGACGUAGUAAUGGCCUCAUGAAAUGUUUGCCAUUCAUCGUGUACUAUUGUCGCUUGCGGAAGGAUUUGGAAGAUGAAGUACUAAGACCAUAGAGUGCAACCUCGUUGGAGUCGCAUAGGCAAACGUUGUUGCUAGGGACAAAGCUAGAAAUUUAACUAAAGAGGGGACAUUGUCCUUCAUAAAAAUUGGAGAUGAUUGCACAUCAUUUUGAUUUUUUGGACUAAGACUCUACAUAUACUGUGCCUAAUUGUUAUGUAAAUUUUGUUUACAAAGAGGGCGAACAUUUCAAUGUAACUUCAAUUUUGAAGAAAACCUACAGAUAGCUAUCCAAUUACACAAGAAACAUUGAUCAAGCAAGCGAAGUACACAAGAACAAUUGUUCAUAGGUAACUCACAUUUGCAUGUUAAAAGCCUUAUCAGGAGUGCAUCUUGUCUGUAGAAAUGUAAUAUGAGUACGUCAUACAGAGAUGGAGCACCUAUGAUUAGAGGAUGACGACUCAGACAAAAUUGGCUUGAAUUAUCAGAGGAACUUGAUGAAUUGAGCAGGGAGGACAUUGAACCAUCAACCGAAACCAGUUUUAUGACUAAAUGAGACACUCUUAUAAACAAGAGAGAAAGUUAGCUGUCACUUGAAAUUGCUUCAAGUCCAAUAUGGAUCUGAGAGUUCUUCAUACCAUUGAAUCACUCUGCAAUAGCCACCGAACUAUAGAGAACAAAUGAGAGUAAUCGUAUAAGAGGUUGAAUAUAUGGAAAGAGAAUCUGUAAAAUGAAAUAAAUUGUAACUGCGGGAUGCGUAUGGGCGAUGUCACCGUUGUGCACAUGGAGGGCAUGUGAUGGAGACGCCCAACCGCGCACUUAGUCUCCGCCUCUUCACUGCGCUCCAUUGAGGUCGUUGCGCCUGGCAUCACCACUCCUCACAACAUUUCACCUUGUUCCACUCGUGUUCCAAGCAAUCCUCUUAUGAGAGGUCUACAUUCGAGAGGUCAGAGCCCAUUGUUUGCUAUUAAUUAGCUUAGGCAGUUCUGAGAUACGAAUUCUCAUAAUGGCAAUGCUAACUUGCUCAGGUAUAACAUAUAGAGUAAAACUGCACUCUUUAAUACGUACAGCUAUAUUAGGAAAAAAUUUAUUUUUUUCAAGGAAUAAACUAUUCUAAGUAUUGCAUUCGAAGACCUUGAUAUUUAAUUAAUUAGUACAUCAUACAACUGUACAUGUUAUGAAUUAACAAUUCGUCCCACCUCCACCUUGCGACGAACACUGUUUUUAAAAAAUGGAAUUUUGAUCAUUAAUAAAACCCUAAUUAUUAUUAUAACAAUUUUUCCACAUCAUGUGAACCACACCUCUAUGAUUAAUACGUGCAUUCCCCAAUCUUUUUUCCACUUUCUGUGGAUCUGUUUGUACCCAAAAUAACAGUUUGAUCAAGCCUAUAAUUAAUCUCGGCCCAAUAAAAAAGGCAUCAGGAAUUUCAGAAUAUUCUUAGGAAGGGCCUAGCCCAAUGAAAUUCGGUCGAGUCCUAUCAAGAAAUAAUUUCAUUUGGUUUAGGGGGGUGGUCUGAUAAGCUCAUAUUUAUAUAUACUUUACAUCAAAUUCACUUAUCUUUUCUUAGUUAAUUCCUUAUAUCCUUGAGCUAUUUACUUUGUUUUUGUGUUUUCUAGGAUUUGUCAAGCAAAGAAAAGAAAAAUAGCACAAGUUGGAUAUUAAGUAACAAAUUCGUCAAACUGCCUGUGCAGGUCAGCUGACUUUGGAAGCAAGUUGUGAACAGCUCAAAAUGAAUUAGAGAAUGAGCCUUAUAUGCUUGGAAAGCUACGGAUGUCUAUUUUCUGGAGCAUUUCACGCAUUGUUAAUAUCUUUUUUGUAGAAGAAUUUAUGGCCGUUUUAACACUGAAAGGUUCACAAGAGACUGGGCAGUUUGUAACUGCAAUGAAAGCAAUAAACCCAAUAAAUCUAGCAGCCAAAACUGAUGCAGCCAAGAACAAGCUAGCUGAUACCUAUUCAAAUAUCAGAGGAAAUGAAAAUAAAGAUGAGGAUUAAGUGGGAGUAAUUGGCAUAAAGGCUACCCAAAGAGUUACAAUUGUUUUACCAUUUCCUCUCACUUAUUGUCAUCACUAAUUGGUUGUUAGUGGGGUGAGUUAUGGAGCAGAAAUGAGGCAGCAAGCAUGGGCAUAAAGGCUGAGGUUGCAGCGGCAAAAGAGUAGGUUUUUUUGAGGAAAAAAAGAUAGAAAAAAAAAAGGAAAGGAAGAAAAAAAGGCAAGGCUGCUGCGUUGAGGAAGGAAGGAAAGGAAGGAGGAACUCUUGGCAUUCUCUUCUUUCGGUUUUAUCUUCUCAAACUCAUGUCUUUCUUUUGGUUUAAUUUGAGAACUAUGUGUAGCUAAAUUUUUAGAAGUUAGGGGCUGUUUUGAAGCCCCGAAUAUGAUUGCAAGUUUGUUAUGACAUUUUGUUUGAAUUACAUUUAUGAAUGGAUGAAAAUUGGUUCACUACUUGUCUCAUUGAUGAAUUCUUUAUUUGUUUUCUAUGGAUGCAUACUUAGUAAGCAUAUCUAGGAUUCUAAUGCUAUGAAUAUGUGUGUGCCUGCCCUUGUCGAAUGAGGACCUACAUAUGUUCUAGAGUAGUACUUGUUAAUUGCGAUUAACAUGUGCCCCAAUUUCUAGGAUAAGUAAGACAACGCCAGUACUUACGAUGCCUUGUGAUGACUCAAACUCUUUUCGUUCUUAAUGAUUUCUACUUGUUAAAUCUAUGAACACGCCAUUCUAGAUUGCAUGCUAGGGACUAAGUUAAGUUGAAAACGCCAUUCUCUUAACAUACUACGUAAGAAAGAGUAAUAGGUUGAGUUCUAACAUUGAGCCAACUUGAGCAUCUUCAUCCGGAAAUAAAAGAAAUUUGAAUGAAACAUAACAUGUUUGCAUGAUUAUUUGGUGGUGGAUAGCAAUACCCCUAACUCGUUUUUCUUAAUUUGUGAACUACUUAAUAUCUGUUUCUGUCCUGUUUUUGUUCGAUUUAAUUUAAAUAGCAAAUCAACUCCAAAAAUCCCAAAAAUUUGUGUGAGUGUAGCUCUGUGUGUCUAGUAUCUGUAUAUAAAAUAUCGUAGACUUUAGAUAAGUAUAAGUUGGUCUAAUAAUUAUUUUUCGGUGGCUGGUCAGUAGGGACAGCAACCCAGUUUUUGUGAAAUUUUAGGUAGUUAGAUAAAACAAUCUUCUGCGGGAAAGACCUUUAUUUUCAUAUGCUACAAUUGACAAAUCUUAGUGUUACUAAGGAAAAUCAAUAGGAAAUUUGUGUGCUACUUUGUGGUGUGCUUUUAAUCCUAUCAAAAUUUUGGCGUUGUGUCGCCGGGGAUUGUUAUUUCUAAUUACUUAUUUUUCUGUUGUUUUCUUUUCUUGUCUCAUUAGUGUUUUUGUUUUUGUUUUUAUUUCAGGUACUCUUUGUAGUAUAUGCAUACUCAAAGGUCCAAGAGCAUUGAUCUAGCUUCGUACGAUCCUGAGCUUGAACGAACACUUCGAAAGCUUCAAAGAAAAAUCAAGCAGAAGCGUGCAUCGGUGUCCUUACCACCAUCUUCUCCACUACAUUUGAGUUCGGAAGAGGUGGAAGAACCACAAGAAGGCAUGGCUGAUAACCGUACUUUGAGGGAGUUGGUAAUGCCGAAUACAGAUCAACAACCAUUGUGCAUCACCUAUCCAAAUGCAGACGGAGGAUUUGAGCUCAAGUCCGGCAUGAUUCAUUACUUGCCUAAGUUCCAUGGCUUUUCAACAAAGAAUGCCAACAAGCAUCUCAUGGAGUUUCACGUGGUAUGCUCGGGAAUGAGACCAGUAAAUGUGGAUGAGGAGCAAGUCAAGUUGAGGGCAUUCCCAUUUACAUUAGAAGCCAAGGCAAAUGAGUGGCUUUACAAUUUACCUCCGGGAUCAAUGAACACAUGGAACCAGGUGAAGCAAGCAUUCUUAGAGCAAUAUUUUCCGGCCACAAAAGUUGCAAGCAUAAGGAAGGACAUAUGUGCAAUCUGACAACAACAUGGAGAACCCUUUGGAGAUUACUAUGAGCGAUUCACAUAUUUGGUUGCAUCUUGUCCUAAUCAUCAAAUUUUAGAGCAUCUUUUAAUACAAUAUUUUUAUAAAGGAUUGUGUGGUACUGAUGGUGUAAUGCUUGAUGCAGCAAGUGGAUGAGCAUUCAUUGACAAGACACUAACUAAUGCUAAGGCAUUGCUAAAGAACAUUGCUGGCAAUACACGACAAUUUGGAGGGAGAUAUGAGCUACCUCUUAAGAAAGUUAAUGAGGUAAGUGUUAAUUCUAGUAUUGAAUUACAAUUAGCUAACUUGACUAAUCUUGUGUAACAGGUUAUGGUGGCUCCAAAAUAGGUGUGCGGUGUAUGUUCAAUGAUGGGACAUGCCACGGACAUGUGCCCUUCAUUGAUGGAUCAAGGUGGUCUUGAGCAAGCUAAUGAGUUAGGAGGGUUUCAGGGGCCACAAAGGCAAAAGUAUGAUCCAUACUCCAACAACUAUAACGCAGGGUGGCACGAUCAUCCACACUUAAAAUGGAACAAUCAAGACAAUGGACAACAAUAUGUUCCUAACAACUAUAACCGUCCACCUGGCUUCUUUCAAGCAAGACUGCAGGCACCAUUUUAGCCUCAACAACAACAAGCUCCAAGUAAGUCUCUUGAGGAUUUAAUUGCUUCCUUAGCUAACUCUACUCAAUCUCAUAAACAGAAAACAGACAAAGCAAUUGAAAACCUUGAGCGCCAAAUAAGUCAGUUAGCAAGUUUGAUGGGGCAACAACACCAACCAAGAAGGUUGCCUAGCCAAACCGUGGUGAAUCCAAAUGCGGAGCAGAUGAAUGUUGUGACUUUAAGGAGUGGAAAAGAAGUUUUUGAGCAGCCGAGGAUGCAAAAGAGGACUAGAAAAGACACAAAUGAGCAAGGGGAGCUACAAACCAAGAAUCUUGAGCAAGAUGAGGCUUCAAUAGAAACUGAAAAGUCUCUUAAAGCUACAGAAUUGAACACAAAAGAUUCUGAUAAGGUAAGUAAAGAAGUUCAAAAUUCAUUUAACUCAUGCGUCCCUGUUCCUUUUCCUCUUAAGUUUAUGAAGUCUAAGAAAGAGCAAACUGAUAAGGAAAUCUUGGAUACUUUCCGGAAAGUCCAAGUGAACUUACCUCUUUUAGAUGCCAUAAAACAAGUGCCCAAGUAUGCAAAGUUCCUUAAAGAGCUUUGUACGAACAAGAGGAGAUUCAAUGAUCAAGAAACUAUGGCAUUGAGCGAGGAAGUAUCAGCUGUCUUGCAGAGAAAGCUACCACCGAAGUUGAAAGAUGCCAGUAGCUUUACCAUUCCAUGUGUAAUUGGAGGCAAAGAGUUUGGGAGAGCAUCGUGUGAUUUGGGGGCAUCCAUCAAUCUGAUGCCAUAUUCAGUGUAUGAGUCAUUGAACCUUGGAGACUUGAAAGGAACAAAGGUAGUAAUCCAGUUUGUAAAUAGUUUAAAUAGAUAUCCCAAAGGCCUAUUAGAGGAUGUACUUGUGCAAGUGAAUGAGCUCAUUUUUCCCGCUGAUUUUUUUGUUCUUGAGAUGGAACAUGACUCUAUGCCUAUUACACUUCCUCUUAUAUUAGGAAGACCAUUCCUUAGAACGGCACGUAUGAAGAUUGAUGUCUACAAUGGUACCUUAACCAUGGAAAUUUAUGGGGAAAGCGUCAAGUUCAAAAUCUUCAAUGUUAUGAGAUACCCUAGUGAAUUAGAAUCUUGUUUAUCUAUUGAUGUGUUUGACUAUUUUGUGCAGGAUUGUUUUAAUGAAGGUGUGGGACAAGAUAAUUUAUAGAAGGCAUUAGUGCAUAGCAUUACACAUAAAAAGCUUAAUUAUUCCAAGCACAUUGAAGAAGAAUUAAUCCAAAUAGUGGCCGUUCUUGAGUCUCUUUCACCAAUUUGUGGUAAGUGUUCUUCCUAUUUUAUUUCUCUUCCUACUUCUAACGAAAAAACUCUUCCUUCUGUGAUUCAGGCACCCAAAUUGGAGCUUAAACCGAUUCCUAAACAUUUGAAGUAUGAAUUUUUGGGAGAGGAUGAAACAUUACCGGUUAUCAUAUCAUCACAACUCACAGCAGAAGAGAGGGAGAAACUGAUUCGGGUACUGAAGGAUCACAAAACUGCCAUAGCUUAGAGUAUUGCAGAUAUCAAAGGUAUAAAUCCAGCUACAUGUAUGCAUAGGAUUCUGCUGGAGGAAGGUGCAAAACCAACAAGGGAAGCUCAACGCCGUUUGAACCCACUCAUGAUGGAGGUCGUUAAGAAAGAGGUUAUCAAACUUCUUGAUGUUGGCAUCAUAUAUCCUAUCUUGGACAGCAAGUGGGUGAGCCCUGUUCAAGUAGUUCCGAAGCGAUCCGGAGUCACAGUUGUUAAGAAUGAAGCUAGUGAGCUAGUGCCUACACGUGUGCAAAAUAGUUGGAGAGUCUGUGCAGAUUAUUGGAAGAUAAAUAACACCACACGUAAAGAUCACUUUCCAGUCCCAUUCAUAGAUCAAAUGUUAGAAACGUUAGCUGGUCAUUCUCAUUAUUGCUUUCUUGAUGGAUAUUCUGGAUAUAAUCAAAUUGCAGUUGCUCCGGAGGAUCAAGAAAAGACGACUUUCACAUGUCCAUUUGACACAUUUGCAUACCAAAGGAUACCGUUUGGACUUUGCAACGCUUCUGCCACAUUUCAAAGGUGUAUGGUAAGUAUCUUUUCUGAUAUGAUUGAGAAAAUAAUUGAAGUGUUCAUGGAUGAUUUUUCAGUUUAUGGUGAUUCUUUUGAUACAUGUCUACAUAAUUUGUCUCUAGUUUUAAAACGUUGCCAAGAAACUAAUCUAGUCUUAAAUUGGGAAAAAUGUCAUUUCAUGGUUUCACUUGGAUUAGUUCUAGGGCAUAUCAUAUCUGAAAAGGGAAUUGAAGUUGAUAAAUCUAAAGUAGAACUUGUUAGUUCUUUACCCCUCCCUACUACUGUCAGGGAGGUUCGUUCUUUUCUUGGACAUGCAGGUUUCUACUGUAGGUUUAUGAAGGACUUCUCAAUGAUUUCUAGACCCUUGUGCCGUUUACUUCAAAAGGAUGUAACAUUUGAUAUGAAUGAAGAGUGUGUGGUAGCAUUCAACAAGCUUAAGGAGUUGUUAUCCACGGCUCCUGUGAUCAUGCCACCAGAUUGGAGUUUACCUUUUGAGUUGAUGUGCAAUGCUUCAGACUAUGUUGUUGGUGUAGUUAUAGGGCAGCAUGUCAACAAAGUGCCACAUGUCAUCUAUUAUGCAUCUCGAACACUCAAUGAUGCACAGUUGAAUUAUUGAAUUAUUCAACAACAGAGAAUGAGCUUCUAGCUGUUGUAUUUGCUUUAGAAAAAUUUAGAUCUUAUCUGAUUGGGACUAAAGUUAUUGUGUUUUCUGACCAUGCAGCUUUGAAGUAUCUACUCACAAAAAAAAGAUGCAAAACCGCGACUCAUUCGAUGGAUACUUCUGCUUCAAGAGUUUGACUUGGAGAUCAAGGAUAAAAAAGGGAGUGAGAAUGUUGUAGCAGAUCAUCUUAGCAGAUUUGUGCAUUCAAACACAGAGUAAGAUUUUAUCUCUUUACGUGAGAGUUUUCCGAAUGAGCAAUUGUUUUCAUUAAAGGUUAUUGACCCUUGGUAUGCAGAUAUUAUCAAUUACAAGGUCACCAAAAGAUUCCGGAUGAUUUUACACGUGCUUAGAAAGAUAAGCUUGUCAAAACCGCCAAAUACUACGAGUGGGAUGAUCCUUAUUUGUGGAAUAUUACACUGAUCAAUUGAUUAGAAGGCGUGUUCCGGAAUUUGAAUUUAAAUCUAUUCUAACUUUUUGUCAUUCUUAUGCAUGUGGUGGCCAUUUUGGAGCAAAGAGGACAACCCUGAAGGUGUUAGAGAGUGGUUUUUAUUGGCCUAGUUUGUUUAAGGAUGCAUACGAGUUUUGUGCAACAUGUGAUCGUUGUCAACGAACAUGUAACUUGGGCCCAAGAAAUCAAUUGCCAAAAACCCCUAUUUUGGUUGUUGAGAUCUUUGAUGUGUGGGGCAUCGAUUUCAUGGGACCUUUUCCAUCUUCAAAUGGUUUUCUUUACAUUUUAUUGGCUAUGGAUUAUGUUUCUAAAUGGGUGGAUGCGAAAGCCACCAAAACUAAUGAUUCAAAAGUUGUUUCAGAUUUUAUUAAGACUAACAUCUUUGCAAGAUUUGGAACACCUAGAGCAAUCAUCAGCGAUGGAGGGAGUCACUUUUGCAAUCGAACAUUUGAAGCGUUGCUUAGGAAGUACAAUGUCACACAUAAGGUGUCUACACCUUAUCAUCCGCAAACUAGUGGUCAAGCAAAAGUAUCAAACCGUGAGGUGAAGCAAAUUUUGGAGAAAACUGUGAGUCUUAGUAGGAAGGAUUGGAGCAUGCGCUUAAACAAUGCAUUGUGGGCUUAUAGGACUGCUUAUAAGACUCCUAUUGGAAUGUCCCCAUUUCGGUUAGUUUAUGGGAAACCAUGCCGUCUUCCAGUAGAGUUAGAACACAAAGCUUAUUGGGCGAUCAAAGCCUACAACAUGGACAUGAGUGUUGCCGGACAGCAUAGAAAGCUUCAAUUGAAUGAGUUAGACGAAAUCCGAAAUGAUGCAUACGAGUCUAGUCGAAUAUACAAGGAGAAAUAAAAGGCAUUUCAUGACAAGAUGAUAUCAAGGAAGAGCUUUUCCAUUGGACAAAAAGUUCUUCAAUUUAAUUCUCGCCUUUGGUUAUUUCCAGGUAAACUUCGUUCUCGAUGGGUUGGUCCAUUUGUUAUAAGUAAUAUUUUUCCUCAUGGUGCAAUGGAAAUCCAAAGUGCAAAGACCGGAAACAUAUUCAAAGUGAAUGGGCAUAGACUCAAGCCAUAUUAUGAGUUUUUUGAAGAGCAUGAUGUCGAGGUUAUAGCCCUCCAAGAACCAUUUCCCCUUGGAUGAUUACUCUUGGUACCGUCUGGCUGCGGAUGUAAAAGCAAAUGCUUAUUGGGAGGCAACCCAAUAUUUCUAUUCAUUGUCUUUUUAUUUCAUUUUUCAAUUUUCCGUUUGUUUUUGUUUUCUGAAUUUUCUUGCAUGCUAAACUGAAUUAUUUCUUUUCUUUGUAGGAAAAUUUGAUCGUGCCCACCAUUGGAGUUGAUUGCAGAAUUGGAGUUUGGGGGUCACUGCUUGAUUUUACUGCAAAUUGGGGAAGUUUUUAGUCCAAAUGCUUCAUUUUGUUUUCAGUCCAAAUUGAAAAUUUGAAUUGGUUUGAUUUGUUUUCAUGUUGUUUCUUUUUGUUUUCUUAGUUAGUUUUAUUUACUCUAAACAAAAACACAAAAACAUUCAGAAAAUUUGAAAAUUCAAAAAAAUAUUGUCUUGUUUUAUUUAUUGCUUUGAAUUAGAUUUUUGUUAGUUUCCCGACCCAAUGAUAUAAUUGGAUUGAAUUUGAACUACAGGGAUCAAGAAUUUAGUAAGCAUGUGUUGUGUGAAAUUCCUUAUUCUCUUGUUAGCCUUGUACAUGUUUAAUCAUCUGUGAAAAAUCAAAUGCACAUAGCCUUGUUGAUGUGAAACUAAAGUAUGACUUAAAACUUCGCAUGUGAAUAUAGUGACCGUAUACAACCUAUGUGAGUUUUUGAGCCUAUUGAAAGUGUGUGCAUUUUUCAUACACUCAUAUUUUUUCAUGUGUGAUGAACUUAUGUGACUUACAUCUCUAGAACUUGCGUAAGGAUCUUUCGAAAUGUUUGUCAUUUGAUUGCAUGAACUUGAAAAUGAUAGAGGCAUUAGGUUUAUCACCAUGGCCCAAAUAAGCAUGUUUCCUAAAAAAAAUGAUAUCGUUAGAUUGCCAAUUUGAGCCGUAUAUGUUGAGCCUUUUAUUUCUUAUCACCAGAUAUGUCUACCCUUAUACCUUAAACAUUUUUCCUUACCCAUUCCAAGCUAGCUAGUGAGCAAUGUGAGAUUGUCUUAUGAGAAAUGUUUGUGAAGUACUUUGAAGGAGUUUGGAAAAAGAAUAAGUGUGGGGGUAUUUCAUGUUUGUAUUUAGUUAUGUGCAAAAUUAGUUCAAAAAAAAAAAGAAAAAAAAAGUAUACAAAGCAAAUAAAAAGUUUUUUUUAAAGUUUCAGUUUAGGGGUGUGGUUGGAGGUAUUAGUAGAGUGGUUGGAGAGCUUUAGUUCUUGUAAAUCUCAACAAGAGAAUUGCUUGCAAUGUAGCUUGGAACUUGUGUUUACCUAUUCUUUCAUUUCUAUAACCCUCUUCCUAAGCCUCAUUACAACCAAUAAAAGUCCUCUUGAUUUAAGUUUUGCAAUUAUGAUUGUGGAGAUGAGAUCUUUAUGCAAGCUUAUGGUAGAUCUUUCACAUCUGAUUCUUUGAGCGAAACACAUUAAACUAAACAUAUGUGUGAUUGAGUGUAUGUCUCGUGAGAAGAUCACUAGUUAGCAUGUGGUGUUUUAAAAAAAAAACUUGAAAUUGCAUUAGCAUGGCUAUUACACACACUACACUUCAUGGAUGAUUAAAAGGUUACUGCUAACAUUUGAAUAAGGAAGAUGAGCUUGGAUUAGCUUGUUUGGUGCUAGCUAAGGAAAAAAAGGCAAGGCUGCUGUGUUAAGGAAUGAAGGAAAGGAAAGAGGAAAUCUUGGCAUUCUCUUCUUUCGGUUUUAUCUUCUCAAACUCAUGUCUUUCUUUUGGUUUUAUUUGAGAAUUAUUUGUAACUAAAUUUUUAGAAGUUAGGGGCUGUUUUAAAGCCCCGAAUAUGAUUGCAAGUUUGUUAUGACAUUUCGUUUAAUUACUUUUAUGAAUGGAUGAAAAUUGGUUCACUACUUGUCUCAUUGAUGAUUCUUUAUGUGUUUUCUACGGAUGCAUACUUACUAAGCAUAUCUAGGAUUCUAAUGCUAUGAAUAUGUGUGUGCCUGCCCUUAUCGAAUGAGGACCUACAUAUGUUCUAGAGUGGUACUUGUUAAUUGCGAUUAACAUGUGAACCAAUUUCUAGGAUAAGUAAGACAACGUCAGUACUUACGAUGCCUUGUGAUGACUCAAACUCUUUUCGUUCUUAAUGAUUUCUACUUGUUAAAUCUAUGAACACGCCAUUCUAGAUUGCAUGCUAGGGACUAAGUUAAGUUGAAAACGCCAUUCUCUUAACAUACUACGUAAGAAAGAGUAAUAGGUUGAGUUCUAACAUUGAGCCAACUUGAGCAUCUUCAUCCGGAAAUAAAAGAAAUUUGAAUGAAACAUAACAUGUUUGCAUGAUUAUUUGGUGGUGGAUAGCAAUACCCCUAACUCGUUAACUACUUAAUAUUUGUUUUUGUCCUGUUUUUGUUCGAUUUAAUUUAAAUAGCAAAUCAACUCCAAAAUCCCAAAAAUUUGUGUGAGUGUAGCUCUGUGUGUCUAGUAUCUUCAUAUAAAAUUUCGUAGAUUUUAGAUAAGUAUAAGUUGGUCUAAUAAUUAUUUUUCGGUGGCUGGUUAGUAGGGACAGCAACCCAGUUUUUGUGACAUUUUAGGUAGUUAGAUAAAACAAUCUUCAGCGGGAAAUACCCUUAUUUUUAUAUGCUACAAUUGACAAAUCUUAGUGUUAAUAAGGAAAAUCAAUAGGACAUUUGUGUACUACUUUGUGGUGUGCUUUUAAUCUUAUCAUGGUUGAGUCCUAGUAUUAUAAGUAAUCCUCAAAAGAUCAGUUAUACUUCGAAUGAGGAAAGAUGUCGAGAAUCAAGGGUUGAAUUUGUGCAGCAAUAAAGGUUGAUUCAGAAUCUUACAUAGACCAGGAAUGGCCGAAGCCUGUUUGGAUUUGAUCAAGGAAUUGGAGUCUGAAUGGAAUUCUAAUUCGACCAUGUGGAAUUGCUACUAUAAAUAGAGAGGAACAUGCAUCUUUCAAAGCAUCUCUAAAAUCAACGCACAAAGCAAGCUCUCUCUCUACGCAAAACCUCUCAAACAUCUUGAAAUUUUUAUUUUCCCUUUUUAUUGCCUUCACACCUUCAGUUUAGAUAAACAGCACUGUGUUGGCAACAGGCAACACCUUUAGUUUGGAUAAACACUGGAGCCGUAAAAUCAGCCGACCUAGGAGCACCUUCAGUUUGAAUAAACAGCACUACUUUGAGACUGACUGGUUAUAUAUUCAAGUCCUUGUUGGAAGAAGUUAUCUCAUCAGCCUUCUCGGUGAAGUGAGGUGUUACCAGGUUACUUAAUAUUCGGCACAUUGAAAGCCGCAUUUGAUAUUGAACUUCGUAGAACUAGCAGCCUUGUCUUCAGGCUCUAGAGCCCAAAGGCCAAGACGUUCGUGUUCCUUCCUCGACCGCAAUUGCAAGAUUCAGAAGUCAUUAGUGCGCCCAAUGCCACAUACAUCAACAUUCAUUCACUCCUGGGCCGAUCCCGCGCUUACGCUCCAUGUAGGCUAAGUAGUUUUUAGAAUCAACAGAAUCAUCAACGUAUUAAACUUAAAAUUGCUUGGAAUUAACGCAUUAAACUUGAUUAGGUGACUUUGAGAAUGAACAUCAUGCCCAUGAGUUGGCAAUAUUAUGUUGUAUAUUUUUCUUUGAAUAAGAUUUAUUUUAAUUAGUUUUGGUUUUCUUAGUUAUUGGGUUGUUGUUUUAUUCUUGUUCGAUCUGCUCAUAUUUCUUUUCCAUUCUCGUUUGUUCAUUUUUCUGGGUUUCUUUUUCACUCUUCAUCUAUCCUAUUUUCGGGGUAGGUUGCAUUAGUUAUUAGAAUUUGUGUCUUCUUUUAUAUUUGCAAGAUUAUGUUUUAAUAAAUAUAAAUAUUCAAAUUCAUCUUAGUGCAAUUUUAGAUCUAACCUACAAAGCAUCUGGUAAUAUCAUGUUUAAAAUAUUUACGAAAUUGUCGAUAAUUUCGUCAAAAUAUCUGAAAAAUCAAGGAACAGUAUGAAAAUUGGGGUAAAAUGCAAACUUCACUCUAUAUUAGCGAGAUAUUAGAAAAUCAAUGAAUGUCGAUGAUAUUUACCGAUCUACCACAUAAAUUUUGUCGAAAUAUCAAUGAUAUCAAAUGAACAUCAUGAACGUAUUAAACUUAAAGUUGCCUGGAAUUAAUGCAUUAAACUUGAUUAGUUGACUUUGAGAAUGAACGUCAUGCCCAUGAGUUGGCAAUAUUAUAUUGUAUAUUUUUCAUUGAAUAAGAUUUAUUUUUUAAUUAUUUUAAUUUUCUUAAUUAUUGGGCUGUUGUUUUAUUCUUUUUCUAUCUGCUCAUUAUUCUUUUCCAUCUUCGGUUGUGAUUUUUCUGGGUUUCUUUUUCACUCUUAAUCUAUCCUAUUUUCAGCAUAGGUUGCAUUAUUAUUCGAAUCCAUCUAAGGGCAAUUUUAGAACUGACCUACAAAGCAUCUGGUAAUAUCAAUGUUUAAAGUAUUCACGAAAUUAUUGAUAUUUUCAAUGAAAUAUCCAAAAAAUAAAGGAUCGGUAUAGAAACGGUGAGUGAAAUGCAAACUUCACCCUAUAUCGGUGAGAAUAGGAAAAUCAAUGAAUAUUGAUGAUAUUUACCGAUCCACUACAGAAAUUUUGUCGGAACUCAUUGCAAAUUUUGAACUUUUAAAUUUAUUUUGAGAAAAUUUUCUCUCAUUUCGAGUAAAUCUAAAUUAGUUGAUAUACUCCCCUUAUUGCAAAUUCCCAUAAUUCCCGUGCAAAGCAAUUGACAUUGAUAUAUUCAUAGAUAUUUCUAUAAGUUUGCAUAUUGAUAUUUACACCUAUAUCAUUAUCUUAAACACUGAUAAUAUAGAUUAAGUAUUGUAUUCAGUCCCUUCAAGUUGAUGCAAUUGUAAAUUUGCCGAUUAAAAAAAACAGAGAAAAUGAUCCCAAAAAAUAAAAAGAAAGAUAAUGUUUGAAGAAAGAAAAAGAAGAACCGAUUGAAUUGAUGUACACAAAACAGACAAAUAAAUGGACUACGAAUAUUACUAGAAAAAAAAUACAAAAUUGUUAAGAAUGUUACAUAACUCGAAGAUAUUACAUCUGGCUAGACUUGUAUCAACUGAGUUACAAUACACACUAUUCAUAAAGAACUAAUCAUAAUUUUAAUAGGCAAGAAUCCAAUCCUUAUUCUAUAGUAAAAUCCUAAAACAUGAAAUACAAUAAUUGCAUUUUCCUAGCAUUUUAGUUAAGAACAUUGUUUACUUUUGAAUAUUUUAAAAAUAAUAUUAAAAUUGGUGAAGGGGUAAUAGCCCACUUAUUUGGGAUUUGGAUUCUCUCCUGAACUAAUGGAGAGGAUCCUCUUGACCAAGUGUUAUGGGCCGUUGGAUUUUCAUCCAACGGUUAUAAUUAUAUUAACUUUAAAAAGACCCACCUGUUUAUAGCCGUUGGAUAAAAAUCCAACGGUCCAUAAUACUUGGUCAGGAGGAUCCUCUCCAUUAGCUCAGGAGAGGAUCCAAAUCCACUUAUUUGUGUGUACCUCACAAUGUGGUGCAGAAAUUUGGCCCAAUAAAAUGUCGAGGAUAUGUCGAAGUUCAAGUUGUUUGGUUCUCCAAGUUGCUAUAAAUAGGUUUCUAAAGGACUGGGCUACUAAAUUGGUUGAAGCCCUUCCCCAGCACAAGUGUGAAUUGUAGAGAAUAGAGAAUUACAGAUAGAGUGAUAUUAUCUACACAUUCCUGGCAGAUUGAUUGUAUUAAAAAAGGUUAAUGGAUAAAAAUUAGUAAAAGUGUGUGAGAGCUAAAAUAUAAGGUGUGAAUAAAACUACUCGAGAAUAUUUGGGUAACUGGACUUGUUCUAAGUAUUUCAAAAGAAUUACGUUAUAAUUUAAAUUCAUAAAAAUGUGAGAGAAAAGUUGUAUAAAAACAAGCGCAUGAGGAGUGUCAAUAAUAACAUUCUUAAGUAAAAUGUAAAUCAUAAUUGAUCGUUUAGGUCAGUGACCCUUUGCACUUAAUUUGUUGAAGGAGAUUCUAUGCCAAAUUCUAAGAAAAAGGGUUUAUUUUAUUGAAAAGGAUAAAUUUAAAUGACCUUUCUUGCUGCAACAAAGGAAAAAAUUGGGCUAAAGAUUAGCAUCCAAAACAACUUGUAAGAUUUUGCUCAUGGUCUCAUUUUCUUCCGAGAACAAUUUACAUAGCAAGAAUAUAUUGUCACGUGAAGUUCUGUGUAAAUAAAAUGCAGACAAAGAAAUUUACAUAUAUUAUUAAUUUGUUGACACAAAACGUCAAUACCAGCAUAUCCGUUCCAUGUAAGCCUUUCAUUUUACCUCCUUUUAGAUUUGUGGUCAAAGCUAAUAAGAAUCAUUGUCUUUGUGAAACCCCAAGUUGUUUUUGAGGUACUUUCGCCAAGAAAAACACUUUGUUUGUUUGUUUUUUUUUUUUUUUUUGAGUUUCACUAAUCGAAGUAUCAAGUUUAGGUUCCAAUUUAUUCAGAAAAAAAGAAAAAGGAAAAAGGUUUGGAUGCAUUUGGCCGAUUAUUUCUUCAGCACUACAACGCACCAAUUCAGUAGCCUUCUUUUGUCUCCUCUUUGUGCUGUUUGUUUAUUUGAUUCCCGCAGGAAAAUAUUGGUUUCUUCUGUGUAAAUAUAGAAAAUGAGAAUGCUGCUUCUCUUUAGUAUACAUACAUACAUACAUACAUACAUACAUAUAUAUAUAUAUAUACAUAUAUAUAUAUAUAAAUUUAUUUAUGAGCAUUGUUACGAGCCCGUUGAUAAUAAUUUCAAAUUUUCAGUUUUCAUGUAAAAUAAAAUAGUUAUUCAACUGCUUUUUAAUUUUGUUCUUCGAAUAUUCAUGCUUACAUGCAAACGAAAGUAACAUUUUCUUCAUUUUCAUUUGCAAGUAAUCAUUAUAUAUAAUUUAGUGAACUACGUCAACGGCUAGACAUUAACGCUGAAACUAUUAAAAACUCAAAACCACAUCGUUUUAGACAUGAACACGAUAUAAUCACCAAACACUAGUAGAUAAUCAUAUAUUAUGUGACAAUCACAACUUAGUUGUUCAAACAUUAAUGCAUCCCAUACAUCAGUUUGUGAUAUAAAAUCAUUGUUCUACCCGUCUAGAGCCACCUAGGCCCUUCUAGGCACUAGGCGGCUAGCCAAACCCCGAUUAAUGCCUAGGCUUUUAAAUAAAAAAAGGGUGCUUAGACUUGCUGAGGCGUCUGCCUAGGCACCCGCCUAAGUCGCGACUCACUUAGACAAAAAAUAGAUAACUUUCAUUUUGCAUUUUGUUUUGUUUUGUUUUUUUAUUUUUUUAAUAAAUUGUAAGAGACUUGUUGCAUACUUAAAUGAAUGCACAUUAUAUGCUUGUUCCUCAUGUUUUCAUUAUGUUCUAAUACUUCAUAAUAUAUAUGUCAUUCUAUUUUAUAGUUUAUGAUGAAAUUAUAUAUAUUUUAAGUAUAAGCGGACGCUUAUUUAAAUUAAAUAUAAUAUAUUUACUUAAAUGCGCCUAGUCCGCCUAAGUCCUAGGCCCCAACUCACCGUCAAACUAAUGUCUAACGUCUUUUAGAACCUUGUAUAAAAAUACCAUUUCUUUUUAGCAAUGAUCUAACUUUACCAAUUCUCAUCCUUUUUAGUAUUUGCAAAUAUAUUCAAAACUCACCAAUUUUACGAAAAUGCAAGGAUCCAUAGGAAAGUACGAAAAUGUAGGGGUGGGUUAAAAAAACCGAAAACUGAAAAAAACCGAAAACCAAACCGAACCGAACGAAAAAACCAAACCGAAUUGAAAAAACCGAACCGAACCGAAUUCUUUUGGUUCGGUUCGGUUUUAGUGAUCUAGAAACCGAACCAAACCGAACCGAACCGAAUUAAUUAAAUUAAAUUUUUUAUUUAAUUAUUUGUUUUGGGUAUUAUUUUCUAAACCCAAUUUGUAAGUUAAAAUAUGCUAAACCCAAUGUGUUGCCAAACUUUAAGCUCAAAAUAUUUUUAAAAGGCCUAUAAAAACUCUAAACCCUAACCUAUUAUUUCUCCCCCAUAUAAGGUUUCGGAACCAAACCUCCUCCUGAAGUACCUACAUCCAUCUCCAUAGCACUGUCUACUUCAGACCCAGCUUUCUUUUCCAAACCUACUCUCAUAUAACAUGUAACAGAAUCCAUAAACAUUUAUUUCGCGUAGAUUACUUGUGUAAUUUGUGAUGGAAAAGAAUCCAACACACACUAAAUAAAUCCACCCACACAUUACUUUUACUAAUCAAGUUGUCAACAUGUAGUUACAAGCAAACAACCCUGAUCUUUGAACAACAUCAUACAAUUUAACUUUUCUAAGUCAUUUGUACGAUUUUUGUGUUGUGAGGUUGUUAGUUUGGACUUUGGAAGACUUGAUUGAUGAUUUUAGUUCAACUUUAAAUGUUUAUUUUCAUUGUCUUUGAUUCUAGUUAGAAUGUUUAUGUUAUGAUUGUGUUGGAGAUGUUAAAAUUUUAAAUUUCAAUGUCUUUCAUUUUUUUUUAAAAAAAAACAAAACAAAAAACUGAAACCGAACCGGAAAAAACCAAACAAAAAAAAAAACCGAACAAAAAAAAAUCGAAAAAAAAAUGAACUGAACCGAAAUUUCGGUUUGGUUUCGGUUUUGGCAAAAAACCGAACCGAUUUGAACCGAACCCACCCCUACGAAAAUGUACUGAAUCGUUGACUAGUCAGUAUUCACAUAGGUAUUCAAUUUUACUGCGCGAAUUGGCAAAAAAUGCAGGGACAGAAAUUGGACUUUGAGCUUUGGACUCAAUCGUUCAAAAAAAUUUCCUUCUAAUUUUGUGUGGUGGUACAACAUUGAAAAUGAUUUAGUCACUUAGUACUAAGGUUUAGUAGUAUUCUUUUUUAUUUAUAUGAGAAGUCUUAGGUUUGAUUAUUGUCAAAUACGAAUUUGAACCAUAUUAUUGCUAACUUAUUAUGAGGCUUAUUUUAUCCUCUUCUCGUUAAUGUAGAUAAUAUCGUGUAUUAAAAAAUAAAAAACAAUACCACUUAGUAUUACGGUUUAGUAAUAUUCUUCUUCACUUGUAAGUGAAAGGUUUUAAGUUCAAUUCUCGCCAAAGACGAACCACAUUAUUGUUAGCCUAUUAUGAGGCUAAACCCACCUCCUUUCCCUCAAUGUAAAUGAUAUAGUUUGUUAAAAAAAAAAAACAAAAACAAUAAAAAUGGUUUCAGAUUCAGACCAAGUAAUUGAGAGAGACAGAGAGUAAGGUUAAAUUUAAUAAAACAAAGAUAUGAAACCAGAUUCAGAAAUCAGAAUCCAUGUAAUUGAUGUCAAUUCAGAUUUCAGGGUUUAGUGUCUCUUUCUUUCACGUGAGCCCUCCUCAGUAACGAUGCCCCAUUUAUUACUGUUACUAAGGUUUUCCUGAAUUAAUGUUUUGAACUUUUAUGUUAUAUUUUUGUGAAUAACUGUUUCAUGCACGUCUUAAUUGAAUAUAAAACGUUGUUUUUUUUAUUUUUUAAAACAAUCGAUAUUAUCUAUACUAAGGGGAAUGGGGUAACCUCAUAAUUGACUAGCAAUGAUGUGGUUCAAAGUCGUCUUUGGUGAGAAUCAAAUCUAAGACCUCUCACUUAUAAGUGAAGAGGAAUACCAGUAGAUCGUAACAGUUGCAAAGCUAGGAAUUGUCAAGAGAAGGGGCGAAAUUUAAACGGCUUAAGGUCCCAAAAAAAUGUGGACAUUCAUUCGAGGCCUAAGUCUAGGGUUUGCAUGAAGAUUAUGUGAACUACUCGGAAUAUUUGUAGGAGAAUUUGCACUAACCGAAAUAUUCAAAGUAGGAAUUGGACAUGACUUGACCUAGGAGGACUAGACGAAUUUGAAAUUUUUUAUUAUAUAUUGUAUAAAUAAGUGUCUAUUUAUUAUAUACAUAUAAUAACUAAGAACAUUGACUAUAAAACAUACAAUAUAUAAAAAUAUUGACAAAUUUUUUUAUUACUUUGUUGUAUUUGAUAGUAGGAGAUAAAAAUUCAAAUGAUUACAAGUUCUUAAUAUUUUACAAAAUAUUUUUUAAAGUUUGUAUGAAUUUAUAGUAAAUUUGAAGAUAAAUAUUAGUGUAAACAAAGUAGCUAAAAAAAUAUUGAAAAAGUGGUCAAAUUAAUCAAACAAUAAUUAAAAAACAAAACAAAUCUCAAUAUAAUCAGCGUAUUAAAUAGCUAGCUAUAUGGCCCAAACUGAUUGGGUAAAUAAUUGAAAAACCAAAAUGGGUAACUUUAAAAUGGCACGUGGGGUGGGUGAAAGAGAAAGUUUAUCUUCUUCCUCUCUCUCUCUCUCUCUCUCUCUCUCUCUCUCUCUCUCUUCUUCGUUACUUUUCAGUAGCUGCAAAAUGCAAAGCCUGGGUAUUUUGACAACAAAGGAAAAAAAAAAAAGAGUCUGCGCGCAAGAAAUUCAAAAAACCAGAUGGGACCAGAGGGGCAGAACCAUCGGUCCUGGGCUUGAUUUUCGGCUUGGGGAGAGGCAGUCGCCCCUUUUUGCCCUUAUGUAGCUUUGCCCAUGAACCGUAAUACUAGGUGGCAAUAUAAAGCAUUGAUAUGUGAAAAGAAAAAAAAAAUUUGCAUAUGUGAAAAAAAAAAAAAUUGCAUAUAAGACAUAGCAAUACAUAAUUAACCUUAUAUGAUGGUAACCAGGUAUCAUGUAUAAGUUUUUCUCGAUUUUGAGACCACUUGCCUAUUUUGGAGAAACUUCCAAAAUGCUUCAUUUGAAAGAGAGAGUCUAUAAAAAAAAACAUUACCUACAAGGAAAAUUAUAUUCACGCUUUUCAAAUUAUUUUUCUUACAUUCUUUUAAUUUUUUAAUAUUUUUAUAUCAAGUGUUAAUGGUAUAUAGAAAAUAUUAAAAAAUUAAAAAGAUGUGAGAGAAGUACUUUAGGGUAUGGAAAUAUAAUUUCUCUACCUACAAUAUUUUGAGUGUUUAUUUAUUCAAUUUUAAAUAAUAUCUGUGGGUGUUUCAUAAAAGUUUUGGGUUAGCUUCUUGAAAAUUCUUGGACUAAUGGUUGGUUUGGAAGUGGGAAAGAGUUAAAGUUUGAGUGAAAGGGAGUUGUGUGCCUAAAUAGAAGUUGCAGUCCAAGAGAAGGUGAUUGGCAUCCCACCUUACAUUUUCCAGCUUUUAAUGGCAAUGGAGAGUGAUGACCUGCUUUUCAAAACAAUGGAGAAAACUUGAAGAAAAAAGUGGAAAGGUUUGAAAAGUGCUGUUGGAGGAAGGAGAAAAAGGGGUAUUAUCAAAUUAAUCAAAAAAUGCCAACAGUGUGGUUUUCUCUGAAGAAAUCUCUUCACUGCAAAUCAGAGCCAUCAGAUGUUCAUGAUCCAAGGGGCAGGAAGCAACUGAGCACAAUCUCGACUAGAAAAGCAGGAGGAGGAAGAUCAGGGUGCUCAAGAUCCAUAGCAAAUCUCAAGGAUGUGAUUCACGGAAGCAAGAGGCAUAUGGAAAGGCCACCAAGUAAUUGCAGCCCAAGAUCCAUUGGAAGCAGUGAGUUUCUCAACCCAAUAACACAUGAAGUAAUUUUGAGCAACUCAAGGUGUGAGCUGAAAAUCACCACCAACCUUGGUGGCUUCCAGGACGGAGUUGGGGGUGGAAAUGCCAACAAUGGCAGCGGUGGUGGCAGUGUCGGUGGUGGUUCAACUUUUGUUGAUACCCUAAAGCCAGGCACACCUGGUCCUGGUGGGCACCCUACAAUGCACUACUUCAAUCCAUCUUUAAGGCCUUCCUCAACUCCUCCUAGAAAAAGCCAUUUUCUGGCUUCUGCAGAGAGUAAAGAAGGGUCUGCUGGCUUUAAGGGUUCUGCUUUUUCUGGAGGUGCUGGCGGAAUUAGACAAAGCAAUAGGAUUUCUUUUGACACAGAAAAUUCUAACGGCUCUUCUGCAAUUACUUGCCACAAAUGUGGAGAGCGUUUUACCAAAUGGGAUGCUGCUGAAGCUCACCAUCUCUCUAAACAUGCUGGUAAGAAAUUACCCUUUUGCUGAAACUGAAUGAAAUUUUUCAUUUUUCGGGCAAAGUUUUUUUGAAAAUUAAUAUUUUUUGUAAUUUAUUCCAACCCUUUCUUUUUGUUGUUCUUGAGUGUUUUCUACUGCGUCUGUUUCAACUUUCCUUAUCCUCUUAGGACCUAUGUCUAAAUUCUUCUGACCACAGAAACAUUAACACUUUCGUUUACAGAUUCUAAAUAUUUGCCAAUGCAUCUUUCUUCUGACCAAAAGAAAUUAUUUUUCCUUCUCUUAGGACCAAAGUAUAUUUUUUCUGACCACAAAAAUAUAGGCACUUUUUUUUCGGACUGAGGAAAGAGGACCUUUGCAAAGAUUUAUCCUUUGUUUAUUUUUUUAUUUUUUUUGAACAAACCUUUGUUUAAUUAAUCCAGCAGAAAAGAUUGAACUUGUUUAAUUAAUAUAUCCUUACUACAUAAUUUAAUGAAUCUAGCAGAAACUGGAUUUUGGAUUCAAGUGCAUCUUUUGAUUCGAGUCUCACUUAAUCGCCUGAAACUCGAUAAACUAUCUUUUGGUUGGUAUACCAUGGGGAUUGUUUUCAUUUCCAAAAUGGUUAAUGAUCUUUAUGAACUAAUCUUUUGAUUCAUCAAUUGCUUUUUUUUUGGUCAAUGACUCAUCAAUUGCCUGCGUAAGUGCUUUUCACUUCAGAUUUUAGAGUAGAUUUCCCACUCACACUAUCCCUAUAUCUUUGGCAGUUACUGAGCUCGUGGAAGGUGACUCAUCUCGAAAAAUCGUGGAGAUAAUAUGCCGGACAAGUUGGUUAAAAUCCGAGAACCACUGCGGCCGCAUUGAGAGAGUGCUCAAAGUCCACAACAUGCAAAGAACCCUAGCGCGAUUUGAAGAGUAUCGAGAGAUGGUGAAGACAAAAGCCAGCAAGCUGCCCAAGAAGCACCCUAGGUGCAUUGCUGAUGGGAAUGAGCUCUUGAGGUUUUAUGGCACCACCGUGGCCUGCUGUCUCGGCCUAAAUGGCUCCUCGAGCCUUUGCGUAUUGGAGAAAUGCAGCGUUUGUAGGAUCAUACGUAACGGGUUCUCUGCGAAAAAGGAGCUCAAGGAAGGUGUUGGUGUUUUUACAACAUCUACAAGUGGAAGAGCUUUUGAAGCAAUUCAAAUAUUGGAGGAAGAUGCAACUCUAAGGAAGGCUUUGAUAGUGUGCAGAGUGAUUGCUGGGAGAGUGCAUAAGCCAUUGGAAAAUAUUCAGGAAAUUACUGGGCAAACGGGGUUCGAUUCAUUGGCUGGAAAAAUGGGACUUUAUUCUAACAUUGAAGAGCUUUAUCUGCUAAAUCCUAGAGCUCUCCUUCCCUGCUUUCUGGUCAUCUGCAAACCCUGAAGAUUCUUUUCAUCUUUUUUGCUUUUGGAGGAGGAGGAAAAAAUAGCUCAGUAAAUCUGUUGUCUUCAGUUGGUGUUUGGAAAGUUGAAGCAUAUAAAAAAAUGUGCUUUUGGGUGAAAAUCAUUCAUUAGUUAAUCUGUUGUUUUUUUUAUUCAAGCAAUAUUCUUAUCCAAUCUGAAUUCUGAACUAUUGAGUAGGAAAACUGAAUUUAAAUGCAGAAGCAGGAGUACAUUACUCUAAUCAACUUGAUUAUGUCCAGCCCAUAUGUGCGUAAUUUGUAGUCUUAAAAAAAAAGGUUUAUCAUAGUCAUUGAAUUAUUGAAUUGUGUGCUUGCUCUUGCCUGCACCAAAGUUAAUAACAUCCAAAUGAGUGAUAAUCUCUAAACCCAAAGUGUGAACAAAUAGUUCUUGGGAAUGCAGAAUAUAACAAAAAUAACUCUGAAAUAAUAGAACUAGCACUAUUGGUACAGUAAUUAAUGAAAAAUUAAUUAACAGAUUAAAAGUUAAUGAAAACUUAGAUUCCAUCAAACUGUUAAAUGGGAUGGACCAUAUGAGAAGGGCAUCAAAUCAAGUGGUCCUUGUUGGGAAGUUUAUGUCAAGGUUAGUCCAAAACCAGAGGACAAAAAUAAAGGAUUGCAUUGCAUGACAUAAAUUCACUGUCCAGCCCAAAUUUGUUUUGUGUCUUUUCUAUCCGUAUCACUCUUUGGUUGGUGCUUACUCUUGGUGCAUUAAGCAGCUAACAUUCAAGAUAAGUUCAGGGACUCGUUUCUCUCUCUCUCUCACCCUCUCCAUACAUAUUAUUGUUUGUGACCGUAAUACUGUCAUGUAAUAUUAACGUGCAAACGUUUUCAUGUUUUAGGUGAACUGGUAGCACCACUUGGCAACUUUAUGAUCAUGAUUCACACCAAAAUUUAACUCCUCUCUCUUCAGCUACACUGUUGUUAAUAAUUUACAGCAAGUGCUAAUGAAGUGUUUAUGCUUUAGGUUGAAUUGCUUGCCUGUGUAAACGGCCACACAUGUGCUAAUUCAUUGAAAUUAUAGCAUUCCAAUGUACUAAUAUUAUUAUCAUCCAGUAUUAACGAUGUGUUUAGACAUGUCUAUGCUUUAGGGUCACCGCGUGAAAUUGUUAUGGUCAUGAUUCACACUAAAAGUCGAAUCCUCCCUCUUUAGACUUUAGCCGCUUUGUGCUACGAAUUUAUCAAAAUUACAACAUUUAUUAAUGAAGCGUUUACGCUUUAGGUUGAAACUGGUAAAACCGAAUACCGGCGUUAAUGGCCACAUAAACGUUUACUCCUCCCUCUUCAAUAUUCAGUCGCAUAGUGUUACUAAUCCAUCACAGUUACAACGUACGUAUGCUAUAACACAUUGUACUUUAGAAUUAACUGAUAAAAUCACGAUGGUGUUACGCCAUACAAAACUUUGCUCCUCUCCCUCCUUCCCAAAAAUAGUAAUUGGUUGUGAGCUUUUGGAGUGUGCAUCUACCUUUCUAUUGGGAACACCAUGCCCUUACUGAAACAUCUGUACAGCUUUUGAAGGCAAUGUGGCACAUGCACCUCAUAAAUGAAUCCUUCCUACCCUUCCAGGACACUUGUCUGAAAUUAUGAUGUGAAGAAAUUGAAUGAGUAUCUUAUUAAAUGUUUUGAAAGGAGGUAGCUUUUGGUUUUGGGGUUGCAUUUGCAUAUGAACUCAAAUACUUGAAAUAUUUUACUGCAUGCAGAGGACAAUUACUCCUUUGACAGUAACUCUUCAGUUCAGUCUUCAUCGGGGCAGGCUGGGCAGCCAAUGGCAAUGGCUGUAGCAAUGCAGAGAGAUCAUGUCAAGCUUCUGAAUGUUAUUUAAUUGGAAGCGGCAGAGAGGUUUCGGUUCUGAAAUGUUGUAUCAUAUGCAGGCACCGCUAGGACUAGGAGUAGAUGGCAAUUUAUGAGCUCUUUUCAGAAGAAAUGAUGUUAAUUAGUGUAAACAAGUGUUGACGAGAGACAAUUUAAGAAUCGAAUUAUUGCAGUAAGAAAAAUAAAUCUCACUCAUCAAAUGUUAAUAUCCGAGGCAAUAAUAGUUAGGUACAAUAACAUUCUUUUUUUUUUUUCUUUUUUGAACGAAAUAUGUCAUUGAUGAAAAGCAACAGAUACAUAAAAUAAAACCAUCUUCAACCGAGGGCUAAUCAAAUGACUUGUUUUAGCCCUCUGGCCCUCCAAGGUAUUAAUAUUUUAAUGAACAGUAUAUGGUCAUAUUUGCCUCCAUCUCUAACUGAGGGCCAAAUGACCAUAGAGCUCGUUUUAGCUCUGUCACAAAAAACCGUCUCUAACCGAGAGUCAAAGGGCCAAAUAUAAUUUAUUAUUUAAAUUUAAAAACGACAACAAUUUAAAUUUAAAAACAACAACUUAAAUUUAAAAACACCCACCCUUUACAAAUUUCCCAACAACUGUGAAACUGAAGGGGUUUUGAGCUGCUCUCCAUAUACAAUUCCUCCGCUUGGCAUAUCUAGAAAAUAUAAUUACAAAAAUUAAAAGAAAUUAAUUUAUGAAAUUAAAUGUAAUAUAAUUAAAUAUUUAAAAUAAAUUGUGAAAACACUUACUUCAUCGUAGUAAUUAGCGCUGUUUUCAUGUCUACUUGCUGCUGCUAACAAUGCUUGAUGCCAUUUGUUCAAACUUGGCUGAAGGUGUUUCUUCCAUCUUGAAGAAGAACUUUCGUGGUUCCGGAUAUUCAGUGGACUUGUGCCUUCAUAGAACUCUAAGUAUUUUUUGGACACAUGAGUCCAAACACCGUCAUUUGUUUGACAAUUCCCAAUCACACUAUCUUCUGACACCCAUCUAUAAGUCUUGCAAAGAGCUUCAUCUUCUUUUCUGGUCCAAGCCUACCUUUCAUUGCAGACGAGGCCAUUUAAAAAUUAUUGAAAAAAUUGAAGGAUAGAUUUUUGAAAGAGGAAAGAAAAUAUGAGAAUUGAAAUGGUGAAAAUUUUGUGAGGAAUGGUGAAUGAAUGGUUUAGGUAUUUAUAGGGAAAAAAUUAGAAUUUUUAAGAAUUAAAAAAAAAAAAAAAAAAAGGCUAAAAAAAAUAAAAAAUUGAACCCAACGGUAACUGGCGUCAGCUAGUCAUUGGAUUCAAAUUUUUGUUUAAGCAUUCCUGUUGGAUAUAACCGACAGGAAUAAAUUUAUCUUAAAUAUAUUCAUAUCGGUUAUAUCAAAUAGGAUUGCUGGAAUUUUUUGUCAGCCUUAGGCUGGUUGGCUGGCUGCAUGCGGCCAACCUUUUGGCCCUUUCAGAUUCCGUGGGGCCCACGAGCCUUUUAGCCUGGCCCUCGGUUGGAGACAGUUUUCGAGCUAUUUUCGACCCUAUGGACCAUUUGGUUUGAGAUGGCCUGCUGGCCAGAGGGCUCGUUUUAGCCCUCUGGCCCUCUAAGAUCCUCCAAGAUAUUAAUAUUUUAAUGAACAGUACAGGGUUAUAUUUGUCUCCGUCUCCAACCGAGGGACAAAGGGCCAGAGGGCUCAUUUUAGCCCUAUCACAAAAAACCGUCUUCAACCGAGGGUCAUAGGGCUAAACAUAAUUUAUUAUUUAAAUUUAAAAACAACAACAACUUAAAUUUAAAAACUACAACUUAUAUUUAAAAACUACAACUAAAAUUUAAAAACGACAAAUUAAAUUUAAAAACUACAAUAACUUAGAUUUAAUAUCCAUAAUCAACAUCAUCUUCAUCACCGCCAUCGUAGGAGUAUAGUUAGAGGUAAACAACUGUCGUCGACUCAUAAUUUCUUUUUUUUUCCCUAUCAAAAUAGGCCUUACUCAUUGAAGUGUAAUUCGAAGUGUUCCUUUCCAUAUUCUUAUCAUUCAUCUCUUCUUGUAUUUGUUUGGCCUGUUCUUCAUGCCUACACUUCCUUUCUUCCACCUCAAGGGCAUUUUGCUCCGCCAAUAACCGCAAUGAGGCCGCCACUUCAUGUUGAGCGGCGUAAUCAUCAUUUGCCUUGCCUUUUUCCCUCAACCUUCGCGCCUUGUUUCGUCCCAUAGCCCUAGGUAUGGAACCUUCACCCAAAGAUGGAUUUUCUACCCUUAUUUGUUGAAUGGUUGGAGAUCCAUCUUCAUCCAUAUCUGCAACUGAGGAUGCAGUUCCGAACACUGGCGUAUGAGCUCUCUAUGGUGGAUCUUCAAAUAACACCCACCCUUUACAAAUUUCCUAACAACUGUGAAACUGAAAGGGUUUCGAGUUGCUCUCCAUAUACAAUUCCUUCGCUUGGCGUACCUAGAAAAAAAUUAAAGUAAAUUAAUUUAUGAAAUUAAAUGUAAUAUAAUUAAAUAUUUAAAAUAAAUUGUGAAAACAGUUACUUUGUCGUAGUAAUUAGCGCCGUUUUCAUAUCUACUUGCGGUUGCUAAUAAUGCUUGAUGCCAUUUGCUCAAACUUGGUUGAAGAUGUUUCUUCCAUCUUGAAGAACAACUCUCGUGGUUUCGAAUAUUCACUGGAGUGGUGCAUUCAUAGAACUCUAAAUAUUUUUUGGACACACGAGUCCAAACAUUGUCAUUUUUUUGACAAUUCCCCCUCACACUAUCUUCUGACACCCAUCUAUAAGCCUUGCAAAGAGCUUCAUCUUCUUUUCGGGUCCAAACCCUACCUUUCAUUGCAGACGAGGCCAUUUGAAAAUUAUUGAAAAAAAUGAAGGAUAGAUUUUUGAAAGAGGAAAUAAAAUAUGAGAAUUGAAAUGGUGUAGGAAUGGUGAAUGAAUGGUUUAGGUAUUUAUAGGAAAAAAAUAGAAUUUUUUUUUAAAAAAAAGGCCCAAAAAACCUAAAAAAUAAAAAAGAAUCCAAUGGUAACUGGCGCCAACUAGCCGUUGGAUUCAAAUUUCUUUUUAAGAAUUCCUGUCUGUUAUAACCGACAUGAUAGAUGAUUUUCUAAACCAGCCCCGGGUUGGCUAGCUGCAUGCAGCCAACCCUCCAGCCCUCUCCGAUUCCGUGGGGCCCUCUUAGAUUCCAUAGCCCUCUAUCCUAGCUCUCGGUUGGAGACGAUUUUCGAGCUAUUUUCGGCCCUCUAGCCCUCUGGACCCUUUGGUUGGAGAUGGCCUAAGGGACCCCUAUAAAAUUGGGGAACCUAGCAGCAAGUAAAGACCCCCAAGAAGACAGUGGACCUAAAGGUAGAUAAAGAGGACCAAGAGCGCAACUCAGGUCACCACCCAAAGGCUAGAAACCAAAGAGAGCGUUAGUGGGGGCAAGGAAGGCCAUCAAUGGACAAGAUAUAUGGACCAGACUUCCGAACACAUUUCUCUUUUAAAAAGUCCAAAAAUUUCUUCUCUUCAAAAUGGAGUUAGAGGAAUGAUUUGUGGAGAACGUGUUGAAAAUUACAAGAAUUGCGCAUCAAAAUUAUGAAAAAAUAUAUGUCACUUAUAUUGGGCGGUUACACUCUUAAUUACAGUACGAUAUUUUGUGAUAAAGACUUCUACACCUGUUAUGUUUUGCAAGUAAUAAGAUGCAAAUAAAUGAACCAUAUCAAUGUGAUUAAUUGUGAACUACUAACCUGUCUCCAUAGCAUCUGGACUCUAACCCUCGAGUACUUUUCCAAGCCUUUAGUUAAAACUUAAACAAAGGCGAAUAAAGGUCAAAUUUUUGCCUGUUUCAUUAAAGAUUCUUUCUCUCUGUCAUUUUCCUCCAAUUAGCGAAUGAAUACUUAUUUGAAUACAUAUUUGUUUCGCAGAUGAAUCUCCACUUUAUGCAGGUGGCAACCAACUUGUCUUCUCACUUGGGCUCUUUGGCCAAAACAUUUGACUUGGAUGUUGCAUUUAAUAGUGAUGCGGACUAAAGGACGCCCAAAAAGCUGGCUGUUCUUUUAACUUCAAUUUGACAGAUAGAUAAUUGCUUUUCGAAUUUAGGGCAAGCUUGGUAUUAUAGAAAAAAAAAAUAGGGAGACUUUGGAUGCGGUCCCUAGUUAUGAACAGUCUUUGACUGAAACCUUGUUGAUUUUCAAUUUUUGAUCCAAGUCCCUAAAAUUAAUUGAUAAUUUAUUUCUAUGUACGUUACUAUAUUUUUUAAAUUAAAAAUUAAAAUUUAUAGUUGUUUAUAGUAAUGAGAUUUUAAAUAAAAAACCAUAAUUUGUGGGAUUAAAAAUAUUAAAAUAUAAAUAUACUAUUGUGUGUGUGUGUGUGUGUAAACAUGGGUACAUUCAUAAAAAAUAACCAAAAAAUUAUUGUAUCAAAACAUGGGUACAUUCUUCAAAAUGGGUACAUUUAGCAAAAAUAAAAAUGGGUACACAUAAAUAAAAAAAUAUGGGUACAAUACAAAUAAAACUUUAAAAAAUAUGGGCACAAAAAGAAAUUAAUAUAUGGGUACAAAUUAAAACUGAAAGGAAAAUUGGUACAAAUUAAAAAAGGGUUGCAAAUUAAAAAUGGGUACAAACUAAAAAUAAAAAUAUAUGAUAAAAAAUUUAGCCAUAAAUAUAAAUAUACUAAUUGUAACAUUUUUAAUAUUAAAUGAAUAUAUUUAGAAAUAAAAAAUAUUUUAUUAUUGAAAUAAUUAAUGAUAUUAUUAAUACAAAGGACCUUGAUCAAAAAUUGAAAAGUAAUAAAGUUUUAAUCAAUAGAGUAGUAAAAAUAAGGAUGAAAACCUAAUUACUCCAAAAAAAUAUGAAGCAUUUUAAAAAUUAUUUCUUCAGAAUAAUUUUAAUGACUCAAAAACUUGUUUAAUAUGAAAUACAAAAUUACUUUUAAAUCUUAACGAUUGAAGAAAUAAGAAAGGGAGAGAGAAUAGAGAGAGAAUCCAAAGUGAGAGAGACAAAGAAAGUUGAGGGACAAGAUCGGAAGAAAGAGAGAAGAGAAAGGAAGAUGAGAGAAAAAUUAUAAUAUAUUGGAAGAGAAAUGAGAGAUAAAAAGAGGAGAGUAGAGAGAAAGAUCAUGACAUAUAACACAAGGGAAGUGAGAUGGUAGAGAAGAGGAGAGAGAAAUAGGUUUAAAAACCGACUUAAGCUAAUAUUUCAAGUUGGUUUUGAGUUGAUUUUUUAAAAAUAGUCUUACUAAACAAGAAUUAUUGACCUAAGACUCAAAAAUUGUUUUUGAGUUAAAAAAAAUUAGAUUCAAAUUGCAUAUCAAAUAGACCGUUAACGUUUUACCAAUUCUUGAAACUAACUUUAAAAAUGCUUCAUAGAAACACUACUAGCAAAAGUACUUGGGAGGAAACGACUUUGUAGAUGCAUUUUGAUACCUAGUUACCUACAACAACUCAAAUGCAGUAAAAUUUCCAAGCUUGUGGAGCUCUAAACGGUCCUCUCUGACUUAUCGAUCCAUAGUUCUUGCCGGAUCAUACGGUAGGUUAUUUUUUUCUAUAUAUUGUUGUGGUUGUACAAUGACCACCUUAUUUGCCCCAUUGGAGUGGCAUGAAAAUACAGAGGAAUGAAAAUGUCUGUUUUCCAACAGGCCCACAUCUUCGAUCGAUGAUAAAGGAUUUAGUUUAAUUAAACUUCAAACAAGUAAGUGCAUUUGAAGAUAAAAAUAUCACUAUGUACCAAUAAUCAUGACAUGACCAUACAUUAAGGGCUGGUUUGGUAUUGCUGUGCUUUGAAAAAAAGCUGCUGUGAGAAUAAGCGGCUGUGCUGUGAGAAUAAGCGGCUGUGAAAUAAAUCAGCAGAGUGUUUGGUAAACUUUUUUUGUAAAAGUGCUUUUGGAAAAAAAAGCAGUCUGAUAGUGGAUAUUUUCAUUAAAGGAGCACUGUAGUUCUAUGUGCUUUGAAAAAAAGCCAGUUUUCCAAAGCUACAAAUUGCAGCUUCAGCUUUUUCCUUUGAUUUCAGCUUAUUCUCACAGCAGCUUCCAAAAUAAGCCAUUUUUUUUAAGUUUACCAAACACCAAAAACACUCCCAGCUUUUUUUCAUAGGAGCUUUUUUUAAAAUCACCUCAACCCCAAACUGGGGCUAACAACUGUAAGUUCAUCGUAUCAACAAUAUGAACAACAUCGACAACAUGUCCUCAUUUAAGAAAAAAUGUUGUUAACCGCAACGUAGAAAAACUCUAGACUCUAAAUGGGAGGUAGAAAGCCAUAACCUAAACAACAAGAAACUGUCUGGUGAACGAUAUCUUCAAUGCCAUGCUUGUAAGUGAAUCCCAAAUCAGUUAGCUUCUUUGAAGAGAUCUCGGAAGGUACUACAUCAUUUUCUUCCGCAAUAACUCUGUACCUGCAAAAUAUGUGCAUAAUAGUAUGGUUAAAUAUUGAAGGGGAAAUAUCGAUAAAUUUAGGAGACGCAUGUAAUUAGUAGUAAAUCAUUUGAGUUACAACCUCGAACCUUGAAAAUAUAUAUUGAGUAGAAAUAAGGUGCUAAAUCCACUGAGACCAGCUCCCAAAACAAAUUUAGACUUUUGGCUUCAGUUAUUUGGCCAGAAACUAUGUUAUUGCUCCCAAUGGUAAGGUCUACAUUUUGGGCUAAAAAGUUGUUAAAUAUCAUUUUAGCCUACUAUUUUUGUUUCCGUUAACUUAAAAAAAAAGAUAUUUGUUUAGAUUAAUUUUGUGAACAUUUAAAAGUAACUAUAUAAAUUUCAAGAAAAUAUGAAAAAUCACACAAUAGACACAUUGAAACCAGAGUUCCACAUUGAUUGUGUGAAUGCAUGAACAAAUGGAUGACUAUAUAUAGUUUUAGGGUGAUAUUUAAGUCAAAUUUUUUUCUCAAAUUAUUUAAACCGUUGGAUAUUUUUUUUACCAUUAGAUUUGGUCUCAUUUUAUCUUUGCCAUUGAAUUAUAAGUAAAAAUAAAUAAUAAAAAUAUAAAUGUUUGAAAUGUGAUCAUUGGAUUAAUCAACGGUUAUUUGAUUUGAUCUGCAAAGCUGUUAGCGGUGGUCAACUCAUAAUCAUUCAAAUAGGAAGGGAGUGAAGAAGACAGAGAUUAAGAGGGGAGAUAAUUUUUCUCCUAUCUUCAGAAUUAGGUGCAUCACAUGUCUCGCACAUCGUUAUGCCGACGUUUGGUAUUCGUUGCGAAAUCCCACGCGUAGAGGUGAGUCCCACUCGUUUUGGUCUGGCCACUCUUUCGGCCACCACUGGAAGCCCAAUCAAAAGGCAAAGGCCUAAAAUUAUAGGCCUUGGACCAGAGUUGGAAUUGGUCUAAUUAACUUUACUUUCAUGCUAUUAGUCAUUCAUUUGGUCUUUUGAGAAAAUGGUUAUUGAAGAUAUAUAUAUAUAUAUAUAUAUAUUUUUUUUUUUUUUUAACAAACAAUAUUAUCUAUAAUAAGGGGAAGAGAGUGGGCUUAACCUCACAAUGUAUAUAUAGCGAUGUGAUGAGGAUCUAAGUUGAGAACUUAACUUGAGGAACAUAUUGUUUGUCUAAAUACUUCAACUUGAAGCCCACCCAUCGUCUAAUAUGAUAAACCACUUAGUUUUUCAAUUAAUUUGGGUGGCGGUAGUUGAAUUCAGGAUUUCAUCCAACAUUAAGAAGAGAAGUACCUCCGAACAUAUAUGUGACUUGAAACGUUUAUAACAGAAAAAGUAUACCUGUUUGAAUUUGAGCAAGGAUAUGCCUGAGCUAGAUAGUUAAGCAACUUGGAUAUUGGACAACUUUGGGCAACGCAUACGUAACGACCUUCAGCUUUGGCAUGCUCCAUUAAAAACAUGUGCGCAUUGCAUGUAUCUUCAAUGUGAACUAACGCAAUUGAUCCCAUCCUUGCAUUUACAGCAGAUAAUAUGCCAUAGAGUUCAGAGUCACCUGCAUAGAAGAUCAUAUUCAUAGCUUCAAUUGUCUUUACGAUAUCCACACCUUUUAUCUGUGGAAAUUCUAUAAUAGCACGUUGCAUUCAAUGCAACAUAAAUGAACGCGUAAGAUUUAAAGAAAUGGAUUUUGUACUUUCAUUUACCCCAUUAAAAAACCCGGUGCACUUAAGGGUUAAGGCCAUAUGGUAUUGUAAUCACACCCCUUAUUUUAUUUACGUAUAAAAAUAAAUUUAAACUAUAUUAUAUUGGAAAAGCUGCAUAGUUUAUUUGUAUAUUCAAUGAUAAAUUUUUCUCGUACCAUGGGCAUUUUAAGAAGGGAAGAAGAAGAUAGAUACAGCAGAACCACCUGUUACUGGAGAAAGAAGAACUUGAAUGCUUGAUGGAACUUUGGAAGUGAGAAAAGGCCCCCCAACAGUACUUGUUAUGACUGAUACAAGAUUAAUCCCUUUCUCACUUGCAAAUUUGAAUGCUGCUUCCUCCGUGAGAAUCUUCAAAAGUACAUAAACCUGUCAAUUAAAGAAAGAACGUUUUUCAUGCACAAUGAAGCCUCGUUUGUUACGUCAAACCAUACUGACUAUUUCAACUGGAUAGACUCGGACUACUAACUAUUUUCUAAUAGUAAGAAUAAAGCAUGAUAGAGAGAAGAGGAAACAUUUACCCAUCCAUUUGCUUUUGCAGUUAGAACUUGAUCAACUGGAGUUUGGCAAGACUCAUCAACAACAACUCUUGCAUUUCCGUUUCCGUCUUUGGCGGUGAUAGUACUAAUGGAAGAGGUGAGUACAACCCUUUUCACCGUUCCGGAAUUCACACAGGAUUUGAGGAGGUCUAAGGUUCCUUUGAUCGCAGGCUCAAUGAUAUUUGAUCGAACAUAACUCUCUAGAGAUCAAAAUUUCAGAUAGGAACUCGUAAGGGUUUUAUGUACUAAGAGUGCAUAUGUGCAAUUUUUGUCCAGUGAAAAUGUAACAUGAUGCAUUACCAAUGUUUUCUUUGACAGUAACACUGAAUUCCAUGGAUGCUGCAACGUGAAAUACACCGUCGCAGCCCUUCACAGCCUCGUCGAAGCUUCCUUCUUCUCCCAAAUCCGCUCGGAGCAAUCUCAACCGGUCAAUGCUUGUCCACAAUGAUAAUAGGUGCAAACACUUGGCUGUGCAAUUUUAAGUGGAAACUCAUCACCCUUAUUGAAACAAUAUGAGUAGUCCGGUUGUUUCGGCUGAUAAUUAGAUUGGUCUUGAUUCAAAGAAAGCCCAGAUGUGCAAAGCAAUUUUCAACUUGGGCUAGUGGUGGCUUUGGUAAAGGCGGUAGCCUAUGGAUUAUUUAAUUAUUAUUAUCCGGCAGCUAAUAGGCAGCAGCUUUACAAUUAGAAGUGACAAGGAGCAUAUGAUAGCCAGAAAUGGGUAGAUAACGAAAAGGAAAGAGGUGACUCACUCUUUACCAAAGGCAAUCGUUUGGAGAGAAGUGCACUAGAAAGAGAAAGCUUGGACACUCGGGCCAAAAGUCUAUAAAAGCAACAAGAAAGGCAAGCAAAAAGGACUCUCAACACUCUGAACUCAACAGCAAGAACCCUAGACAACCUUGUUAUUUUCUAUCAUUUCCUUUGUCACUUUUUAGAAGCUCUGCUGCAUGUACUCAUGUAGUAUAUAUUCCCUUUUGUGAAACUUUUAGUGCUAUUCCAUUAGAGAAAUUGCUUGUUUUGUAAAACACAAGAAGAAAUGCUCAGCGAGGAGACAAACCUUGUCUGCCAAGGUUGAAACCUCGCCCAAACCUCCUUUAUUUACAUUUCUGUGAAGUAGAUCUGGCUUUUAUGUAUUUUCCUUAAUCUUUAUGUUGAUCUCCAAUGCUUAUUUCAAAGUUUUUACAUGCUUAAUCAUGUUGAACCAAAUGUUUUUACUUACCUUGUUGCUAAUCAAAGUUGGAUCUCAAGAAAGUUAGCAACCUGAAUGAAAAUAAACCUUUCUAUAACUUGACAUAUGAUGUACAAUCAAAAGUCCUUGUUUACAAGGUAGAGAAAAGAACUUUUUACGGACUUAACCCAUUUGUAAACAAUCAUUUUUUAACUAAGGAGUCUAAGUAACUUGCGGCGCAAGUAAUCGACUUAUUUGAAGACUAAAAACUCAAUCUGUUCAAUAAAGAUAUCGAUGGCACGACCAGAUUUCUUUUAGCUUUGCUUGAAAGCCUAAGGGCCCACAAAGGUCCUGCAAAGGCACCUUUCAAACUAACUCUAAAAUCAUAAUGCAUAAAAUCAGGCAGUGAACCUUGCCCGACUGGCAAGACAAGGGGAGUUAUGUGAGGGACAUUCUAGCCCGAACACCAGUUACUUAUAAGCAUAUGCGAUAUAAGGUUCCAUGGAGCACAUGUAAUAUGAGGAGUAUUCCAAUACUUAUAAGCACAUGUAAGGUCCCUCCUCCUAUCAAUGUGAGAUUCUUUCUCAACACCCCCUCUCAUGUGUGGAGAAUUUUAAAGCCUAACACGUGGACAACACAAACGAGGUGACGUGAAGUACAUGUGGACCUUGGACUUCACACAUGAGACAACCUCUCUGACACCAAGAAGAAGUUGAGGUUUUCCAAAUAAAACUAAUUGACUAUAUAAGGAAUAACUCAAAUACUUAUAAGCACAUACAAGGUAUUUUCUAUCCCAGUUGUGGGGUUCAUACUCCCAACGGCAUCUCAACUAGAAACUAGACCUAUUAAUUGGACCGGGCCAGCAGAAACUUACAUUCCUAGUCUAUCAAUCAAAUGCCAUACUUGGUUUAUUCUCAGACUCAUAUUUAGAAGGGUUAAUUAUAGUUAUAGUAUGGUGCAGAAAUUCCAUUCAUACACGCAUAUGUAUAUUUAUAUAUAUUGACAUUGGGAUCGAAUUUAAAAUGCAUGUAAUUAUUACUUAACCUUGGUAGUCACAUGACUCUAAGGCAGGCCUAUUGAUGAUUUUUCUAGCUAAAACAAACUUUGACUAAAAAAAACUUUACCAACAUCAGAAUCCCAAUUUUUUUUUUCAAUAGCUCAAAUUACUCAACAGUAUGGAAAAUGAAUAGUCAUGAUCAAAUUAGAAAAAUACUAUUUUUGCAUACUUAUCAAUUUAAUAAAUAUAAAACCCCAAAUAUUAAGUAAUCCGGACUAUUGAAGACUUAUCCCAUAAGCUGAUGUCAACUCAAAUAUGAUCCUUCUUUCAGCUACUAUGCAAGUAUCGAUGCUUUGACUUAAAAAUUACGCACAUUUUAGAAAGUUAAUGUUACUCAUGUGAAGGACUUGAAUCCAACAGGUUAAUUGUCACCAUGAGGUGACCAUUAAUGUAAGAUUUAUGUGUAAGACUCUCUCAACAUGAUCUUAUAUUAGUUGACGAAGCUUUCUGGUGGUGGUGAAACCAGAAAUUCUCUCUCCUUACUCAGGGUUCUUCUGCCAUCUCUCUUUCUCCCUUUCUAGUUCAAAGAUCAACCACAAAAAAGUCACACAAGCAAAAAUCUAAACAAAGAAAGUUAUGUUGUUCUGCUUGGAUGAAAAUAAAAACUUGAAAAAUAAAACCAGAAAACAUUAAGAGCUUGGUUAAAGAGAUGAACAGACCAGGAUCACGGACUGUGGCAUGAACCAUGUGGCCUUUCUCCAGGAGGCUCUUCACCAACCAAGACCCUAUAAAACCAGUGGCUCCGGUAACACAGUAAGUUGCCAUAGCUCUCCCUUUCUUUUGCCCGCACGCUGACACACACACACAGAAAUAUAUAUAAACACACAGAGAGAUAUGCAUAUAUAAUCAAUAGUGUUGGCUGUUGUAAUCAUGUAGCAUAUAUAAUAUUCAUAUCCGAAAAAUAGUAUAAUAAGAAACCAAUAGGCGACCGACAAAGCAUGUGAGGCGAUAGUAAUAAAUCGUUUUUUUUUUUAAAUUUUGGAAAGCAAAUAUUUCCAUUUCUGGUCUACCAUGUAUGGAAGUCACAUCAAUUACAAAUGUACUAUUUUUGAGGGACAAUGAUUGUCUGCCCGAUCUCGUGCUUUUUCAUGUCUUUUUGUUUGUAUGGUCACGGUUAAAUCACGUCAACAUUUUAUGUUACUAUUUAUUUUUGUCUUAUUAUCUUUAUAAAAAAAUAAUAUAAAAUGUUGACGUGGAUUAACCGUAACCACACAAAACAAGAGAACACGGAAGGGUACGGGAACAAAAAGGGCAGACAAUCCUUGCCCAUUUUUGAGAUGAGAGUGUGUGUUGUCAAUGCAUGCAUGGUUGCCAAAUGUUAAAUCAUCCACGUGAUUUGAUUUGUACACACUCUCCACAUUCAUACAAUUGGGUUAACAUAUUUACCCAAAAAGGCCAAAAAAAGAAAAGAAAAGUAUUUACUAUUAUUAAGAGGACUUUUUUUUUUUUUUUUUUUUUUAAGUGAGACUCUUUAAAUAGACUCUAUGCUAUCUUAUGCUUUCUACACAAUGUUCUGUAGUGUUAACAUGAGAAUUGAUAUUAAACUGUGAAGUGACGUAAAGUUUAUAAAGAGUUUCACUUUUGAGAAAGUCUUAUUAGCAUUUCUAUUUCCAUAUUAAUUUAUCCAUCAUGUAUGACGUAGAAGUGUUUGAUUUGCAGUAUUCGAACUUGAGACUUGACAUAUCACUAAAUUAAGAACUAGAUAAAUAAAUCUGUAAUAAUAAUGCAUAUAUUAAGGGAAAAAAAAGUUUGAAGAAAGUAUAUUCUUGUGGAAACUACACCUCUUGGCUUACUAAAAAAUGACUAGAGUUGUAAACGAGUGGAGGCAAACCGAGUAUCACUGUCGUCAAUUUAGCUUGUUUUAAUAUUUCUCAAACUUGAGCUACGUUUGACUUGCUUAUUCUACAAGCCAAGUUCAAGCGAGGUUUGAAAUUCAAACUCGAUGCCAGAUUCAGUCUGUUUUGAGUUUAGUAUAAUAAGUUGGUCUGACCUUACAACAAAAAAUCACAAGUUAAUUGGUGGCAUAUUUUAAUGAUAAAUAUAUAACACAAUUUCACACAUAUAUAGUACUUUGAGACGAUCACAUUUUUCAUAACUUUCUCAUUUUUUGUUUUUUUUAGGUGAUUCGAAAUCCCAAGCUGAAUCAAUUUAUGUGUUCAAGCUGAAUCCAGUUCUACAAAUUUAAUAUGGUGCUAAAAAUAUUUCGUUGAGUUUCUUGCCAUCUUUUUUGUUACCAAAACCGGCAGCAGUGCGCGGACAAUUUUUCUAUUUCUUAUCU